rnacentral:lncRNA from 1 species
CGUUCUCCAUGGCCGCCUUGAUCUCCUCGGACUUCACGUUGUCCGGGAGCCUGAACCGGCGCAGGAACUUGCCGCUGCUGCGCUCCACGCGGUGCCAGGUGCCGGUCUUCUGCUCCUGCUCCUUGUUCCGCUCGCCGCUGAUCUGCAGCACGUUGCCGUCGUCCACCUCAACCUUCACCUCCUCCUUCUUCAGCCCCGGGACGUCCGCCUUGAACACGUGCGCCUCGGGCAUCUCCUUCCAGUCGAUGCGCGCGCCGGCGAAGGCCGCGGUGUCGGAGCUGGUGGUGCGCGGGAAGAUGCUGCCGCUGCCGGAGCCGAAGGGGAAGCCGUCGAAGGGGUCCCAGAGGUCGAGCGAGAAGGGGUCGAACACGUCGCCACGGCGGAUCAGCGACAUCGUCAGCGGGCUGGCGAGAAGCUGCUGAUGAAUCUUUUGUUUACUGGUGGAGUGGUGCGUGAGCGCGAAUGGCUUGUGCGAUCGAGAUCAAAGAAGCUUUCGAUGGUUUUUCUCUGCCGGUCUUGGGACGGAGCCAAUGCAGGCGGUGGGAAUUUAUAGUGGGGCGUUCGUGCAAUGGAUAUGAGGUUCUUGAGAGUUCUCGUUUGUUCGAGCGCGUACAGGUAGAAGCAAGAAUCGUGUAGCUGGGCCUGGAAUGCUUCCACCAUUCGCUCUGGACCCUGCUACUCAGGUCUAUCAUAAACUAGAUAGUUCUGGGCGCGUCUAUAGAUCGUCGCAUUCCUAUUUGACGCUUUCUGCGGCAGAUUGUCACAAAAGCACACAGAGCACAACGAGCGACCAGGUAAAUCGGCCGGCCAACUUGUUUCCCUUUUUCCUUUUCAAGUUUAUAUUUCUUUUCAUAAAAAUGUUCCUAAAUUUCAAAAAAAUACAUAAAAAUGUUUAUGUUUUCAAAAUUUGUGCAUAAAUUCAGGAAAAAGUGUUGCAUUACAAAAGCUAUUCUCAUUUUAAAGAUUAUUAGGAAUUUAAAAAAAUGUUUCCUUUUUAAAAAUAUUUUCAUAAAUUUGUUCAUGGUUUCAAAAUUUGUUCCCCCUUUUUAAAAUUUGUUGACAAAUUGAAAAUAUGUUCACAGCUUCAAAAAAUAUUCCCCCCUCUUUCAAAUUUUGUUCACAAACUCAAAACAAUUUGGGAAUUUAAAAAAUAUUCUUGGCUUUAAAAAUUGUUUGUAUUUUAAGAAGUUUCUUCAUAAAUUCAAAAAAUGUGUGCACUUCUCAAAAUAUGUUGAGAUUUCAAUUUUUUAAAACUUUAUUUAAAAAAUGUUCUCUUAAAAAAAUAAUUCGCACUAACUCAUUUCGGUUAGCUACAGUAGCUUGGUUCAAACAAUAAAAAUGAAGAAUUCGCACUAACUCAUUCCGGUGAACCAACCAAGUUAGGCCAUGUGUUUGCCUUGAGUUUGUAUUUUCCUCUAUAUUUUUAUUUUUGUUUAUAUUUCGAAAUGUUUAUAUUUCUUCUAAUUUAGGCCAUAUGAGGAAAUAAAUUUCAGACAUGUAAAAUGAUAGAAAUGUUUAGAGGGAAAGAAAGGGGACCAGAUCCCAAGCAAAGCAUGUGGCUAAGAUUGCCGUCUCUACAGAGAAACAAAAUAGCUCUGCUUUUCUUGAGAGAAACACAAGUGUUUCCUAUCACCAGUGAUAAUUACCACCACUUGCGUUUUGUAUGUUGUAUAUAGUAUCUGUCAAAAUCGACAGUAUGUACGUGUAAUAUGUAAUAUAUAACAAUGUUUGGAUAGUAUAUAUACUACUUUUUAUGUACUAUGUAUAAUAUUUUAAGCAUACUCUUUUUUACGUACAAAUAUAUAUGUAUUUCACAAAUAUAACAAAAAAUAUGGACUCAUAUGCAGUUUUUUCAUUUACUUGCUUUGAAAUAUCUUAAAUAUAGUAUAUGAACAUAUUUAAAAUAAUACAGUAUUAUAUAUACUACUACAUGAUAUUAUGUGAAACAUGUGGGGUAACUACCCCCAGAUGGUUCCUAAAAAAAAUUACCCCCAGAUGGUAGGAUGCAUUUUUUCUAUACAUAUACGUGGUGAUACUUAACUUCUAGGUACAAUGCAUAAAAAUUGAAAAUGAACAAUACUAAAACCAAUAAUCCCUCUUUAGGGGGCAGUAUUCUGGCAACACCUCGCUAGCAGCUCCCUGAUGCGUGGCGGCUUCCCAAGGAGUUCUCCGCCACAUGUCGAUAUGCCUUUUGCUGGCGGACGCGCGUGAAUGAUCUUGCCAUUUCGUUGGGCGCCCAUCGGAGCUCUUCAUCAGUAGCACGCUCGGGCUUAUAGGCCCACCUCCAUGCAACGAUGAGCCGCCAAGCGCCUUUGGCCUUCCUGGCGAAGUACCGACCGUCUUCGUACACCUCCUCCGCGUGUCGACGCGCCCGCCGCCAAAGCUCCAACGCUUCCUUUUCCCAAGCGGCUUCACGGGGUGCCUGCUACCUGGCUCGCUCCUCCGCCGACUCCUUCUUGAACGCCACUUGUCUGGCUUUCUCAGCCAGCACAACGUCUUCCACAGACAAAGAUCGUCUAGACCCAAAACCACUCCAAAGUUGGGGGGGGGGUGCAACCUCACCUGAUGGCGCGCAGGAGUCCUCCUCGUCGCUGCUCUGCGCCUUGACGUCCUCGCGGGGNNNNNNNNNNNNNNNNNNNNNNNNNNNNNNNNNNNNNNNNNNNNNNNNNNNNNNNNNNNNNNNNNNNNNNNNNNNNNNNNNNNNNNNNNNNNNNNNNNNNNNNNNNNNNNNNNNNNNNNNNNNNNNNNNNNNNNNNNNNNNNNNNNNNNNNNNNNNNNNNNNNNNNNNNNNNNNNNNNNNNNNNNNNNNNNNNNNNNNNNNNNNNNNNNNNNNNNNNNNNNNNNNNNNNNNNNNNNNNNNNNNNNNNNNNNNNNNNNNNNNNNNNNNNNNNNNNNNNNNNNNNNNNNNNNNNNNNNNNNNNNNNNNNNNNNNNNNNNNNNNNNNNNNNNNNNNNNNNNNNNNNNNNNNNNNNNNNNNNNNNNNNNNNNNNNNNNNNNNNNNNNNNNNNNNNNNNNNNNNNNNNNNNNNNNNNNNNNNNNNNNNNNNNNNNNNNNNNNNGGGUGAGCGAGGAGAGAAUGUAGAUGAGAAUGCAGGCGGGACGACAUGGGUAGAGUAGUAUUUAUUGGCGCCUGGAAUUUAGAUCUACGAGAGCAGCACCCGCAUCAGUCGUCGGAAUUUACGAGUACUAUAGCUUGAGUUACACACGAUUUCCGUAGCAAAAGCCAUGUGUAAAACAAAUUGCCGACGGUUCCCAAUACAGAACUAUGUCUGAUUAAUAACCGGCGCCACUUACCUUCCACACCGCGAGGCACGAAAUAGAGUGGCAAUCGUGUGGGGCCCGGUUGUCUUGCCAGAUAUUUACAUUUUCUUUCCAAAUGUAAGGCAUGAAUGUGUAUUUUGUGUUACCAUGAUGUUAUUGUAAAUGUAAUACGUAAAUGAUUUUUCCAACGCAUGGUGGUUUGCUAUUGCAUGUACAUGUAGUUCAAAUUUGAAUUACGACCAUUAAAUGGCUAGAACAUAAUGUCUUUAAUAGGUCAAUGACCUUGAAAAUUUCCAAAUUUUAAUAUGACAGUUGUAUAUGUUGUAUAUGUAUAUGUCAAAAGAGGCAAUGUGUAUAUGUAUAUGUCAUCCAUUUUUAUUGAUCUCGGUUGUGGCACAUGUGACACAUUUAUAUAAAAGUGCUCUUCAAAUGUCGUGAAAUAUGAAGGUAAAAUAUUAUCCCAAGAAGUCAAAUGCGGGAAAAUAUUGCAACUCAGUUGAAUAUAUAAGCGAAGCUCUUAUUCAUAUCAAAAUAUUGGCAAUGCUUAUCAUUAAACCAUCCCAACAUUGGUGAAUAAACUUUAAUCAUUUCAAAAUUACAUGCUAGAACAUGCUUAAAUAAGCAAACAUGCAACAAGUCAUUUGACACACAAUCAUCAUCCAGAUUAGAGGUCAUAUAAAAAUAAUUAAACAUUAGCACAAUUAUUUUGAAACAUAUUUGAUCCAAAUCUGAUUUAUUCCCUAAUACACAUGGUUCUUUCGCAUCAACAGUUAACUCAAUGGGUGCACUCGGAAUUGUUGAUAUUGCAGUUGUUUGAUUACAUGGCAAAGUCAAAUCAUCAACAUAGUCCUCUAAAAUAGAUGGUGUGAUCAAAGUAGUGGGUAACUCAUCACAUGAUGCAUUUAAAUUGACAAGGCACUCAUCAUACUCAUGUGGAGGUGGAAGGUCAGUACAUUUGUCAUUACCUCUUAUGAUCAACCUAGAUGAUGUAGACACUUUCGAUGCUGAUGUGUCACAUAGUUUAGGUAAUAUAGUCCUCACAACAAUGAAUAUGGUUAUCAUAGUACACCUAGUAGUUGAAGGAACAACAAUAUCAUUUCUUGGAAUGUGCACCGUGCGCUUGUUCUCCUUGCGGGCAACACGUCAUUUUAUAUUUCUUGUUCAACUUUGCAAGCAAGACAAAAUAAACAGUCCAUAGGAUAACAUUCUUCAUGAAUUAGUAUCUUCUAAAUAUCACGGUUUAAUCCCCAUAAAAUCUUCUUCACUCUUUUUUUCUAAAAAGGAGUGCAACAAGGUAGUUUGUAAAUCAUCAUAAUAUUUUGUUAUGGUGUCAUUACCUUGUUUUAAACGUUGUAAUUUUAUAAUCAUUCCAUGAAUAUAAUAAACAUCGAUGAAUCUAUCUCCUAUGAGAAGUUUUAAAUCAUCCCAAGUAGUAGGUACAUAAUCAGGGUAUAAUCGACAAUAUUCGCUCCACCAAACUAAAGCAAAGCUAUUGAAAGUACUAACCACGCCUUUAACUUUUCUAUGCUCAUCAAACUUAUGGGAAGCAAAUAUAGAAUUUAUUUCAUACUCCCAUUGAAUAUAUAACUCAGGCCUAAAAUGACAAUAAAUGGUGGCAUGGAAACAUUAACCUGAUUAUGUGCAUUCUUAUGUCUUUGCUUCUCUCGUGGCGGUUGUUGUGUUUUCAUAGGCACUGGCAAGUCUCCCACGAUCGACAAUGCCCAAGAACUAACAAUUCUGAAACCUGCCAUAGUUAGUAGAAAACAAGAAACAAAAUCUAAGAAUAAUGUUCCUAUGAACUACUAGGAUGUGGUGAAAAAACGCUCACAGUAUAAUAAAUAUCUAUAUCUUACAAGUUCUUACCAUGCAACAGGUGGUGACCGGUUAUCGGUGGUGUCAAAUAACUUCAAAGAUUGAGAAGGCGAUUGUCAGGUGAAUGUAAAUAUGCACAAUGUAUAAAUAUGUGGAGCCGGGUUGGCUUUAUAUAUGUGGAAAAAAUGCUACAACCACGUUAAUUAAUGCAAAUUGAAUAGUCGCUCAAAAUAGUCGAAUGCUGGUCCUAGGCUAAACUGUGUUAGAGACGCGAGCCUAAGACAUCGGCAAAUUUCACGUAGUGGAUCAAAUAAGAACAAUGACGGAUUUGAAAUGAUGGGCCUGUCACCGAUAAUACGCGUGGAAUAAAGAUCACACACAUGAGGAUCCAACAUUUAUAGGAGUCAAAAUGUCGGUCGAUCUUGUACAACAAACCAGUGAACGUAAAUAUCCAUGGUGUAGAAAUAUAUGAAGCUGGAUUGACUUUAUAUAUGUGGAAAAAAAUGCUACAAUCACAUUAAUUAAUGCAAGUUGAAUAGUCGCUCAAAGUAGUCGAAUGCUAGUCCUAGGCUAAACUGUGUUAGAGACACGAGCCUAAGGCACCGAUCAGUUUCACGCACUGGAUCAAAUAAGUACAAUGACGGAUUUGAAAUGAUGGGUCUGUCACCAAUAAUACGUGUGGAAUAAAGACCAGACCCACGAGUAUCCAACAUGUAUAGGAGUAAAAAUGACGCUUGAUCUCGUAUGACGAACCAGUGAACGUAAAUAAGCGCGGUGUAUAAAUAUGUGGAGAUGGGUUGGCUUUACAUAUGUAAAAAAAAUGUUACAACCAUGUUAAGUAAUGCAAGUUGAAUAGUUGCUCCAAGUAGUCGGAUGCUAGUCCUAUGCUAAACCGUGUUAGAGACGCGAGACUAAGGCACCGGUGAAUUUCACACACUGGAUUAAAUAAGAACAAUGACGGAUUUGAAAUGAUGGGGUUUUCAUUGAUAAUACUCAUGGAAUAAAGACCAUACACACGAGGAUCCAACAUGUAUAGGAGUCAAAAGGAAGCUCGAUCUCGUACGACAAACCAAUGUUCUGCUGCACGAAAACACAUCGACAGCUGUACUACAUCAACAUAAACAACCAAGGUCCACUGCUGAAGAAGCGUUUAUUGUCGGGUGGUUGGUGCGACAUAUGCCAAAGGAUGGCUUAUCAUUGUGGGAGCCAAUAAAACAUCGUCGGUACUUGGAAACGGGAUAAGGCGAAGACAUGCACGCCGGCGAAUCUUACCCAGCUUCAGGGCUCUCCGUGGAGAUAACACCCCUAAUGUUGUUCUGCGGGGUCUCCGCAUGAUCACUAGCUCGAUGGGUAGCUACAGAAUGCUCCUUGAGCUGUUCGGUGAAAGGAUGAAGGAGGGCCAGGCCAGCCCGCUCCUCUUCUCCUUGUGGUGUCUAAAAACUAUCCAAAGAGCGAUCCCCCUGCAUGGGAACCCUGGGGGGUUUAUAUAGGCCUACCCCCAGGGGUACAAUGGUAAUCCGGCUGGGCGUGGGCCCUAGCCAUCUGUAUCUACGCCCGCCGGCUUCUCCGUCGACUGGUGGGGCCCGCCGACUGGUGGGCCCGCCGGCUGCCGACACUUUGGUCGACAGGCCGGCCCCACCGCUCGGGGGUCCUAUCGGGGGCUGGUUACUGUUACCUUGCCCUUGGUGACGAUGGCUUUGUCAUGGCAAGCGUGGCUACAGUGCCGCCGCGAGGCGGCUCAUCACUGUAGCCUUGCCUUCUCUUGUCUUCUUAAUGAUGCACCUCCUUGGAGGGAGAGAGCUGGCCGGCUAUUGGUAGCCGGCCAUACCCUUGGCCGACUGUGGGAAGCCUGACCGCCUUCGAGAUCUCCCUGACCGAGGGGGCUCGCCACCCAUGGGUCGUACUGACCGCUCGCCGUGGGUGACGUCACGAUCAUCGUGGCAACAGUGCCGCGUCGGACGGGUGAUGGCCGCCCUGUAUGGUGCACUGUGGCCAUGCAUGCGCCGGGAUUCAGGGAUGGCAGGCUUUACUGUAGCCACGCCCUGUCUUGUCGCCGUUAUGUGGGUGCAGACUCUGAGGGCAAGAUCUUAGCCGCCUGCUGAGGGGCCGACUCCUGGGAGUCGGCCUUUUCAUGGCCGGCUUCUGGAAGUCAGCCUUCUCAUGGUCUUGUUUCUCAAGGAUUUCAGGGCUGGGCCGCCUUUGCGCAACCGGCUUGAGAGGUAGCCGACUGGGGGAAGGCGGCCCCAUGUCUUGGGCGCUUGGAGGCUUGAUCGGCCUAUAAUUUUUUUGAAGUGCCGGGGGAAGCCGGCUAGGCUACCCGUGGUCAUUUACUCCGACAGUAGUCCCCGAAGCUGGUUGGGCUCCGAGGCAGAAAAAAGACGAGGAGCUCAGUCAGCUUCCUAUCUUGAGGAGCCGGGAACUAGGAGCCGGUUUCGACUAGGCGCGUCGUCUCCUAAAGAUCUCGAAGCUUGAAGGCGGGUGCCAGUCGGCGCGCGGGUCCGGCUGUGAGCUGACCGUUCGUCGUCUAUGCGCCACGUGGCACCCUCCGGCUAGAGGGGCCUGCCAGCCCACGCGCGCGACGGGAGGCCACCGCAGUCUAGGGCCCGCCACUACAGGGCCUCGGCCCAUGCGCGGAUCUUCUGCGGCCCGGACGGACCGCGCGCGCCCCAGUGGUGGUUUCCUCACGCCGUGAUGGCGUAAUAAUCGCGGGGCGUGGGGGAGUGGGUGCAGUUAAUCCCACAUCCCCCCACGUCCUGCCUCCUCGGCUUCGCCGCAUGAGGCUAUAAGUAGGGGGAGAGGAGGGGAGCGCCUAACUCUCGCGCGCUCUCCCUUGCUCUGCCCCCUCCUUCUUCUUCCUCCUCUCAUCGUGACAACUACCUGCUGCCGCUCGGCCUUCCUGCCAAUCUUCUUGGCUUGUCGUCGCUUUGUCGCAGCUGGGUCGUGCGCCCUCCUUUUGCCGCAUCUUUCUCGUCGCCGCGCCAUCCCCAUGGCGUUGUCGAGCUCUUGGGACAGCUCCAACGUCCACGGCGACCACGUCGACUUCCUCCGUCGGACGCGGCGGCUGCCGGGUGCGGAUCUCGUGCGGGUCCGCCUCGCGCCGGAGAGGGGAGAUCUCGCCGGUGCCAGAAGAGGACGAGCGGGUAAUCUUCCGCUCGCACUGCCUGCGCGGUUUUGGCCUGCCGGCGAGCGGGUUCCUCCGCUCGUUCCUUGAAUUUUAUCAUCUCCAGCCGCAUCACCUCACUCCCAACGCGGUGAUGUUGUUGUCGGCCUUCGUCACCCUGUGUGAGGGUUUUCUUGGCGUCCUCCCCACUCUUGAACUGUGGGGAGAGUUCUUUCAGUGUAAGCUCGGCACCGUCGUCGCGGGCGUGCCCGCUCCAUGCGGCGCCUUCAUCGCCAUGCGGAGGACGAGCGAUAACAACCCGUUUCCGCCCAUCCCGCUGAUCCAGUCGGUGAAGCUCUGGCAGAAGUCCUACUUCUACGUGAAGAAUAUUGCUCCGCAAGGUGACUUCGUCAACCUGCCGGCUACGCCGGCUGGGAGGCAGCCUUCAUGGUCCUUCCGGUCUAGGUCGCUGUCUCCGGGCGGGUCCGCCUCCGUUGCCCGGCUCCGGGUGAUGAUCCAGUCGGAGGGUCUGUCCGGGGCCGACCUGGUGGCCGCUUCCGUGGAGCGCCGGGUGCUCCUGCUCCUGGGCCGACCUCAUAUGAUCUGCCAGAUGAGCGGCCGCUUCGACCCGUGCCGGCUAAGCACCAAGGAGAUGCCUCACGCCGAUGUGUCUUACAUGGUGAACUACAUUUCCAUCUGCAAGCUCACCCAGGAGUGGCAGUACGGCAAGGUGUCGUACUCUCGCGCCAAUCCUCCGCCGGUGGUAAGUUUCUCUUCCUCUUUCUCUUUGCUUGUUGCUGAGUUCAUGGUGGCCGACUCCUGACCAGCCGACCUUUCUUUGGCAGAACCCCAUGCUUCCGCCAGCAGCCGGGGCCGCGGGGGUGGAACGCCAGUUCCUCCUCGACCUUACAAUGGACAAUGUAGACGACCCAGACCUGGGGCGGCCGCCAUGGAGGACGACGUCGCAGGGGAAGGCGGCGACGCAAGCAGGUCCGGGCUCGGGGCCGGCUUUGAGGACUGGCCAGAUGACGACGAGGCCGAAGUCAUUCCGCGCCGCCAACUGGCGCCCGAUUACCAUGGUGCGGGCCCAUCCGCCGGGCCGACUGCCCAUGGCGGCGCGCAGAAGUGCCGGGCCGCGUCGAUCCACUUAGGCAGUCGGCCGAAGAAGCCCAAGAGUACCGCGGCAGCGAUCAAGUGGGACGAGGCGCCCGCGAAGGCAGCCUGCUUCCGCAAGGUGGUGAAACAGCCGCAGGCGGUCUCAGCGUAAGUGUCGCUGUUCUCAUGCCUUUCUUUUUUCUUCUUCUUCGGUUGAUUUUUUUCCAAACCCUUUUUCUCGAUUUAUCAAACAGGGCCCCUCUUUCCCUUGGGCGAGUCCCGGACGCCUCCAUAGUCGGAGCCGUAGGAGGGUCUUCAAGCUCGGCCGGGUAGAUCCCCGUGCCGACCUCCUAGAGGCGACGGAGCGGAAUGCGUGAGAAGUGCGGGAGGAGCGGGAGGCGGAGGAGCGAAGGGCGGCUCGAGAGGCAGAGCAGAAGUCGGCGGAGGCGCUAGCCGUCGCGGCCGCCAAGGCCAGGUGGAGGCCACAGACGCGGAGAGGGAGGCGGAGGCCCUGCAGAACCAGCCUCCGUAGAUCGUCGUUCCCCUCCGCGCCACGGCUCCCGACGCCUCUGUGCCCCUGUUGGAGGAGGCCGGCCGCAGCCAGCCGGAGAUGGAGCGGGCCAAGGAGGUCGGCCUGAAGUGCCGCCAGCGCAGCCAGCUGGGGGCGAGCCGACCGUGGGAGGGGAUCUUGUGAUCUCGUCACCGCAUCGCCAACAUGCGGGGAAGGCGACUUCAGCGCCGGACGCGCAGAAAACCGUGGACGCCGGCUCGUCGGCUCAGGACCUAGAAGCGGCCAGCGACAGCUCGUCCGGGUGGACGCCGGGCGGCGGGACAGCCGUGCUGAAUGUGGCGGCGCAGGACAUCCGGAACCGGCUUCAGGCCCAAGCCACCGUGCUGAAGCAGUACACCCAGGAGUUUCUCACGACACGAUCGGUUAUUCGGGUGAGUCCUCCUGCUCUUUGUCGAUUGCUUUUGAUUUCUUCCAUGGGGGCGCGUCAGCGCACCCACUGGGUGUAGGCCCCGAGUUCUGAGCCAGCUGCUGAGCAGGCGGAUUGGAACUUCUUGGAAAGCUUGAUUGUCGUCUUGUUCUCACCUGCGUCCCUUGUCUUAUCUGCAGGAGUACCACAACCUCCGCGCGGCCGCUUUCUACUCCCAGGCCCAGGAGUUGCAUCAGAAGGCCACUGAUCUGACCGAGAGCCGGAGUAAGUGCUUUGUUUUUCUUUUAAGUGGGGGCGCGUCAGCGCACUCACUAGGUGUAGUCCCCGAGAUUCGGGCCGACUACCAAGUAGUCGGGUCGGAUCUUUUCCUGACGACUUCUUUCUUUAUAUUUGCAGGGGCCAAUGCUAACUUGAGGAGCUAGCUGAGCGGAGCCCAGACCGCCCUUCGUGCCAAGGAGGCCGAGUGCGCCGCCCUGGAUCAAGAGCAUGACCGCCUGGCCAAGAGGCUGGCCGACCAGGAGGAGAGCCACAAGGCGGCCCUGAAGGCGGCGCAGGACAGUGAGGCCGCCCUCAAAGCCGAGUACGAGACCGAGGCGGCAAUCUGGGCCGAGAUGAGGCAGGCGCUGAGCCAAGGCUAUAGCCGGGUGGAAGACUUGAUUGAUGGUAGGCCGCCUUCUUCUUUGCUUCCUUGCCUGCCUUCUACUAUCUGAUUCAUUUUUUGACUUUGUGCCACUGCUUUCCUCUUUGUGCAGAUUACUUUCCCGGCUACUCUGCCGCCGCCACCCAAGCCAUCGAGGCCUAUCGCGACGCGCGAUGGCAGGCGGGGGCCGAGAUCGCGCCGAAUGCCAGCCGGUCACUUGAGGAGCAGCUUCUGGGGCUUCAAGCCCGCCUGCAGCCGGCCCAUCGCAUGCUCCGCCGUCUUCAACGCGUCGAGGCGCCAGUGCUAGCCGCCCUCUGGCAUGGCGAGGUGAUUCCGUGCACCCCAAGUCGGACCGCCGACUGGCUGGAGGUCGCAGUCGGCCGCUUCGAGGCUUGGAAGGCGUCAGCGGCCCGGUCCGGUGCUGGGCGGGCUUUGGAGUUUGUUCGGGCUUGGUAUCCUGGGCUGAACUUUGACCAGCUGAGCACCUGGCGGCAGGAGGUUGACAAGGAGCUAGAGGCGGUGCGGCCGGCUAUCAUCCAACGCGCCUCGGCGAUCGCCGAGUAUACCGACACCAACGCCUUUGCUCCUGAGGUGGAUGACGCCAUCGUCGCUCAGCCGGAGGAGUGGUUCGGGCUGAACCCGACCGAAGGUGAGGACUCGGCGGAGGAGAUUGCCUCCAGUGAUGAGGGUGAAGGGGAAGAGGGAGAUGAUGACGAAGAUGCUGCGCCGGAUGGUGAAGCGACCAGCCCGCCUCAGCCCGAUCGUGCCUCUAGCAAUGAUGCCGAGACUCGCCAGCCGGUCACUCCUCCAGCCGGCACCGCCGACUCCACCAACCUGCCCAACUCGCCUGUUGUCCCCCUGGCAUGAUCCGCCGUCCUAGCUUUCCUGCUUGUUACUUCUUUGAAGAAUCUUUAAAUUUGCGCAGUUCCACCCACUGGGGGUGUAUUCAGACUAUGUUGAAUGCUGGCCUUUCGAAGGUCUUUUGUGUAAAUAUUAUGCAUGUGUUUGGCUUCCAUUUAUGUUUGCCUUUUAUCCUUUGGCUUUUUCCUUUGCCGCCUUCCCCUGGCCGCUGCCUUCCCAGCCGGACAGCUGCUCUGCAGUCUGUGGCCGGAGAAGGACUUGGUCAUUUUGGGAAGGCAAGUACUCGAGCUUUCUCAUAUUGCAGCAAGGUGAACGGGAAGCCGACCAGCCGGCUGCUCUGGUAGCCGGCUGGCAGGUGGGAGGCCAGCUCGUGUUAUAUAAGUUCGUUGGUCCUUAGACAUUUUUCGCGUGGGCAUCCUUUCCUGCCCUUGGCUCUUGCCAGUCGGACAGUCGGUUCUUCGAGCUGUGACUUUUUGGCAAGAGGGGGCUUGGGUGCCGGCACACUACUUGUCUGACUGCAGGUGGAACUUCAGAUAUAACUUGAGGCGGCGAGUCCUCGUGCCGACUGGUCGAACCCGGUGCCAGACGAAGAAAGCAAGUGUAGUAACAUAAUCGUAUGCGUGAUACUCCUCAUUCAUAGAUAAAAGAGGGUAGUCCCUGAGCGCUCCUCGGGGCACCCCUUGUCUCGUACUUAGUACAAAAGGUAGCAUGCUACAUACUGUUUUUUAACUGUAAAAUCUUUGGAGGAGAUUGGCGUUCCACGGUCGUUCCGACUCCUUGCUGGAAUCAUCUCUCUUGCGUGCCUUCGGCUUCUGCGCGUCGAUUAGGAGUAGGAGUCGUUGCCUAAAACUCUACUGAUGAUGAAGGGGCCUUCCCAAGGGGCCGAGAGCUUGUGCUGGCCGGCUGUUCGCUGGAUCAGCUGGAGCACAAGAUCGCCCUCUUGAAAAGAUCUUGGCUUGACCUUCCGGCUGUGGUAGCGGCGCAGACCCUGCUGAUAGAUGGCAGACCGACUGAGAGCUAACAGCCGGCCCUCUUCCAGCAGAUCAACGCCGUCUUCUCGUGCUUCCUUGGCUUCCGCCUCCGUGUACAUGGUGACCCGAGGCGAGUCGAACUCGAUGUCAGUUGGGAUGACAGCCUCGGCGCCAUAUACAAGGAAGAAAGGGGUGAAGCCGGUCGACUUGUUUGGGGUAGUGCACAAACUCCAGAGGACGGCCGACAGCUUGUCGAGCCAACAGCCGGCCGAAUGCUCCAGUGGCACGACCAGUCGGGGCUUGAUGCCGGAGAGGAUGAGGCCGUUUGCUCGCUCGACCUGGCCGUUUGACUGUGGGUGGGCAACAGAUGCUAGGUACAACUGGAUGCCGUGUGUUGCGCAGAAACGUGUCAGUGCUCCCUUUGCAAAAUUUGUGCCGUUGUCGGUGAUGAUGCUAUGCGGUACGCCAUACUGGGUUGUAAUAUCUGCGAUGAAGGUGACGGCAGUCGACCCAUUCAGCUUCUUGAUCGGCUUUGCCUCAAUCCACUUGGUAAAUUUGUCAACAGCGAUGAGCAGAUGUGUCAUGCCGCCGCGUGCCUUCUUGAAUGGGCCCACCAUGUCCAGCCCCCAGACGGCAAAGGGCCAGGUGAGGGGGAUGGUCUUGAGUGUAGAAGCCGGCAGGUGUUGCUUGGAGCCGAAAACUUGGCACCCUUUGCAGUGUUUGACUAGUUCCUUGGCGUCUUCCAAAGCAGUCGGCCAGAAAAAUCCAUGGCGAAAAGCUUUGGCGACGAGUGAUCUUGAGACUGCGUGGUGGCCGCAUUCGCCUUGGUGGAUGUCCCUGAGGAUUGCUAUGCCCUUUUCUGGUUCGACGCAGCGCUGGAAGACUCCAGUGAUGCUGCACCUAACAAGCUCUCGGUUGACGAUUGUGUAGGCUCCGGCUCGGCGUUGAACUUGUCUUGCCGAGAUCUCAUCAGUUGGCAGCUCUCUGUUUACUAAGAAGUUGAGGAUGGGUUGGGCCCAUGAUGGAGCUGUGACUUCUUCUAUUGUCAGGACUGCCACUGGGAUAGGGGCGGGUGGGCUGGGUGGUGAAGAGUUGGAGUCGGAGUGUCCAUCGCCUGUUGUGUUGAUGUAGUCCCCGGGCCGGCUGCAGUAGCCCCCGGGCCGGGUGCGACUAUGGCAGUCCCCGGGCCGCCUAUUGGAGUCCCCACGCCACUUUCUUGGUUUCCCAAGUCGGAUCCGACUGCGUUGGGGUUAGGCGGCACGAAGAUGGAAUCAGAUUCUGGAGACGGCUUGAUAGACGGCUUGAGGAGGCGGUGGAGAGAAACGCCGGUUGGUAUGGCUUGCCAGGUGGAUCCUACUCGUGCUAGGACAUCUGCUUGCAUGUUGUCGGCACGUGGUACAUGAAGGAACUCACAUCCUUCAAAAUAUCCACUGAUUUGCUGGACGAGGAAAUGAUAGCUCAUCAUGUUUGCGUCUUUGGCGUCCCAGUCACCGGAUGACUGUUGGACCACCAAAUCCGAGUCGCCAUAGCACAAGAUCCGGCGGAUGCCGAGCUCUUUGGCUAGCCAGAGCCCGUGUAUGAGCGCCUCGUACUCGGCCACAUUGUUGGAGGCGGCAAAAUGAAUUUGCAAUGUAUACUUGAGCUUGUCGCCCUUGGGAGAGGUGAGGACGAUGCCGACUCCCAAGCCGGUGUGCAUCUUGGACCCAUCGAAGUGCAUCCGCCAGUGAGUGGAGUCGGGAGCCGGUGGCAGGUAUUGGGUUUUGGCCCAAUCGACGAGGAAGUCGGCCAACGCCUGGGACUUAAUAGCGGUGCAGGGCUGGUAGAAGAUCACAUAGGGGGCCAGCUCAAUGGCCCAUUUGGGCACUCGGCCGGAUGCAUCCCGGCUUCCUAUGAUCUCGGCGAGCGGGACAGUACAUACGACCAUGAUGGGGUGCUCUUGAAAAUAGGGCUUGAGUUUCUUGGCAGCGAAGUACACACCGUAGCACAUCUUCUGGUAGUGAGGGUAGUUUUGCUUCGAGGUGGAUAAGACUUCACUUAAAUAAUACACCGGCCUCUGAACCGGCUGAGCCCGGCCUUUUUCCGGGCGCUGGACUAUGAUGACAGUGCUGACCACCCGGCUAGUAGCGGCAAUGUAAAGGAGCAUGGGCUCCUUUUCAUCCAGUGCCGCCAAGACAGGCGGCGUGGUCAGCAUCUUCUUCAGCUCGUGGAAGGCUUGGUCCGCCUGGUCGUUCCACUCGAUAUGAGUGGACUUCUUCAUGAGUUGGUAGAGGGGGAGGGCUUUCUCUCCGAGCCGGCUGAUGAAGCGGUUCAGGGAAGCCAAGCAUCCGGUGAACUUCUGGACAUCCCGCAGCUUGGUGGGAAUCUCCAUUCUCUCUAUGGCCUUGAUUUUCAUUGGGUUGCACUCGAUGCCGCGUUCGGAGACCAGGAAGCCUAGGAGCUGGCCGGCUGGUACUCCGAACACGCAUUUCUCGGUGUUGAGCUUGAUUUGGAAUCGGCGCAAGUUUUCAAAUGUUUCUCUGAGCUUCCAGCAAGGUGCCGCGCUUCUCCGUCUUCACUACAAUAUCGUCUACAUAGACGUGGGCAUUUCUGCCGAGCUGCUUGAGGAGGCAUUUCUGCAUGCAACGCUGAAAAGUGGCACCGGCAUUUCUCAAGCCGAAUGUCAUAGUCAGGUAGCAGAAGGCUCCGAAUGGUGUGAUGAAGGCGGUUUUCAGGCGGUCAGCUGGAUCCAACUUUAUCUGGUGGUAGCCUGAGUAGGCAUCCAAGAAGCUCAACAGCUCGCAUCCGGCUGUGGAGUCUAUCACUUGGUCAAUCCUUGGCAGGGCGAAAGGAUCUUUGGGGCAGGCAUUGUUGAGGCUAGUGUAGUCUAUACACAUGCGCCACUUGUUAUUUUUCUUCAGCAUGAGGAUCGGGUUGGCGAGCCACUCUGGGAAGAAAACUUCCAUAAUGAAGCCGGCUGCUAGAAGCCGGGCUAUCUCUUCUCCUACAAUCCUUCUCUUCUCCUUCGAUAGUCGGCGGAGAGGCUGUUUGACUGGUUUCGCAUCUUCUCGGACAUGUAGCUUGUGCUCGGCGAAUUCCUUCGGCACACCCGGCAUGUCCUUGGGGGACCAUGCGAAAAUGUCUCGAUUCUCACGGAGGAAAUCGGCGAGCUCGCCUUCCUAUUUGCUGUCCAGGUUUGCCCCGAUGGUGGCAAGCCUUUCUGGGUGUUCUAGGUCCAGAGGUACCCUCUUGGUUUCUUUGGCCGGCUGAAAAGAACCUUGGGCAACACAUUCCUUGGGGUCGGGGGAUAGGGACGGCUGCUUGCCGGUCAUGGUCACGAUUCGGUCCAGUAUCUUCUUCUCUUCAACAAUUACAAGGGACUCGGCUGGCCGGCUGCUGGCAGCCGCACACUCAGAGGAUUUUUUGUAGUCUCCGGCUAUGGUGAUGAUGCCCUUGGAACUUGGUAUCUUCAUCUUGAGGUAGGCAUAAUGGGGUACAACCAUGAACUUGGCCAGGGCAGGUCGGCCAAGCAACGCGUGGUAAGGGCUCUCUAGAUCCACCACUUCAAACCACACCGCCUCUCGGCGGAAAUGAUCCUUGUCCCCGAAGAGGACAUCUAUCUUGAUCUUGCCGAUUGGGGAGCAGGACAAGCCGGGUACGAUGCCAUGGAACACAGUUCGACUGGGCAUGAGCUGCUUUGUCUUGAUGCUCAGCUUCUCCAUGGUGUCACGGUAUAGGAUAUUGAUGCUGCUCCCACCAUCUAUCAGCACACGGGAGAAAUGGGCGGCCCGCCUUUCCGUAGCGAGGGUGGUGUCCAGAACCAAUGCGUAAGAGCUAGGAGAUGGCAUCAUCUCUGGGUGAUCUGUCCGGCUCCAGCUAAUAGGCCUUUCGGACCAGUGCAUGAAUUCUGGGUUGUUGGAGGCGACUGCAUUGACUUCUUGGUGUUGUCGGCGCCGGCUGCGCCGAUCUUCUGGCUGGCUCGUAAAGACGACGCAGGCGGCAUGCUCGUCGGGGUACUCAUCUUGAACUGCCCCGACCGCUGGUCGAGCGGCCGACUGCGGAGGAGCCGGAGGCGGCUGACCAGCAGGCGGAGGUGGAGCCAUCCCCUCACCCUUGGAGAUCCGUGUGAGCCAAUGGCAUUUUCUGGUCGUGUGGUUUGAAGGCUUCGCGCCACCGUGAAACUUGCAGGGGGCAUCAAGUGCCUGCUCGUAGGAGAAAGCCGGCUACCAAGUUGGCCUGCCGCCCUUCUGCUUCUUGGGUGCGGGCCACCCUUCGGGUUGUUCAUCUUCGACUGUGGCCACCUGCCGACUGGUGGAAAGCGGCAGGGGAGCCUUGCGCUUGUGGUCGUUCUGGUGCGGGCGUCGGCUGGACUCUCUAGCCGGCGUCUUGGGACUUGGAGCGAGCACCUUCCCGGAGGCGUCCACUCGGAGCUCGGUCUUCAUUGAGGAAUCAGCCGUGGCGUAUUUAUCAGCUUUGAUCAGCAGCUCAUCAAGCGUAGUCGGCUCGUCGCAGAGGAGUCGGUGCUUGAGGAGGGUGCCUUCUCGACACCCGGCGGUGAAGUACUCUAUAGCUUGAACCUCGUCCACUCCCUCGCAGGAAUUGCGGAGCUCGGCCCAACGCGUGAGGUAGUCGAGAGUCGAUUCGUUGGGCCCUUGGACACACAAGGAGAGCUGUCGGGGCUUGGGAGCCCGCUUGUAGGUGCUGGUGAAGUUGCGUAUAAAGGCUUCAGUGAAGUCUAGCCAGCUGUUGACACUGUAAGGCUUGAGGCUGUUGAGCCAGGUGCACGCCGUGCCUUGGAGCAUGAGGGGCACAUAUUUUACGGCAGCACGCCUGUUGCCGUUUGCGAUGCUAACCGCGGUGGAGUAGUCGAUCAACCAAUCUUCCGGCUUCACGGAGCCGUUGUAUUUGGGCGUGUCUCUUGGGAGCGAGAACCCUUUGGGGAAGGGCUCGUCGCGGAUGCGGGGGCCGAAGCAAGACGGGCCGACAUCAUCUUCUUCUUCCAGGGCCAGGGAUCACGCAAGGCGGUCGAUCCGGUGGUGGGCAUCAUUCUCGCCGACUCCUUCGCGGCGACCCAGACGGCCGCUGAGAGUCGGAUGCGUGACAGGCGGCGGGGUAGGGUAUCUCUCCCCAUGAGGUGGAGGAGGAGGGGCGUUGCCCCGCCACUCCACGGCUCGAGGGCGGCCCUCUGCGUCACGCUCGAUGGAGAUUCAAGUCUGGCUGCGGCUGGUAGCUGGCUCCUUUUCUUUUCUCGCGCGGGUGUUGCUCGCGGUCGGUGUUCGGGACGUCGCGCCGUGCUCUCGGCACGGGGGAGGACUCUCGGUGCGGACGCCGGCUUCAUGCCGCUCUGUGGCCGCGUUGAUAAGUUGUUGGAUGCGUUUGGUCAUGUAGGGGAGCUCAUCAUGCCCCAGCCUAUUCAACUCGUCUGCGGCCGCCUGGGCGGCGUGCAAGUUCUCGAGAGGCUUGGCAUAGACUGGGCGGUCUGCUCCCAACAUAUCGGCGAUAGCCGCGCCGUGUUUCUUGACGAUGCCGACGCGGCUCGGCCCGUCGGGAGGCAGCAUGCCGAAGGCGGCACGGUCGACCUCGCGCUGGUGAGCCUCGGUGAGGCGUCUCAUGGUGGCGAGCUUCUGGCCCUCCGUGACGAGGGCGAGGUGGAAUGCCUCCAAUGUCUUGGCGUCCGCGUCGGCCGGGACGGGGACGAACAAGUCAUGCAGCGCCGUCUGCAGAGCGUCGUGGGCGUUUUCGCCUGAGGGGGCACCGUGGCUGAUGACCAGUACCUUGGUGAUGGCUCUGCCGUUGCUGUCGGCUCGAGGAAGAGGGUUCCCGUACAGAAUAGCUCUCCGGACAAUGGUGCACCUGGCCCCACGGUUGGCGCCAAAUGUCGGGUGGUUGGUGCGACAUAUGCCAAAGGAUGGCUCAUCAUUGUGGGAGCCAAUAAAACAUCGCCGGUGCCUGGAAAGGGGAUAAGGCGAAGACAUGCACACCGGCGAAUCUUACCCAGCUUCAGGGCUCUCCGUGGAGAUAACACCCCUAAUGCUGCUCUGCGGGGUCUCCGCAUGAUCACUAACUCGAUGGGUAGCUACAGAAUGCUCCUUGAGCUGUUCGGUGAAAGGAUGAAGGAGGGCCAGGCCAGCCCACUCCUCUUCUCCUUGUGGUGUCUAAAAACUAUCCAAAGAGCGAUCCCCCCUGCAUGGGAACCCUGGGGGUUUAUAUAGGCCUACCCCCCCAGGGGUACAAUGGUAAUCCGGCUGGGAGUGGGCCCUAGCCGUCUGUGUCUACGCCCGCCGGCUUCUCCGCCGACUGGUGGGCCCGCCGGCUGCCGACCCUUUGGUUGACAGGCCGGCCCCACCGCUCGGGGGUCCUGUCGGGGGCUGGUUACUGUUACCUUGCCCCUGGUGACGAUGGCUUUGUUGUGGCAAGCGUGGCUACAGUGCCACCGCGAGGCAGCUCAUCACUGUAGCCUUGCCUUCUCUUGUCUCCUUAAUGAAGCACCUCCUUGAAGGGAGAGAGCUGGCCGGCUAUUGGAAGCCGGCCAUACCCUUGGUCGACUGUGGGAAGCCUGGCCGCCUUCGAGAUCUCCCUGACCGAGGGGGCCCGCCACCCACGGGUCGUACUGACCGCUCGCCGUGGGUGACGUCACGAUCAUCGUGGCAACAGUGCCGCGCCGGACGGGUGAUGGCCGCCCUGUACGGUGCAUUGUGGCCAUGCGUGCGCCGGGAUUCGGGGAUGGCAGGCUUUACUGUAGCCAUGCCCUCUCUUGUCGCCGUUAUGUGGGUGCACACUCUGAGGGCAAGAUCUUAGCCUCCCGCUGAGGGGCCGGCUCCUGGGAGUCGGCCUUUUCAUGGCCGGCUUUUGGAAGUCGGCCCUCUCGUGGUCUUGUUUCUCAAGGAUUUCAGGGCUGGGCCGCCUUUGCGCAGCCGGCUUGAGAGGUAGCCAGCUGGGGGAAGGCGGCCCCAUGUCUUGGACGCUUGGAGGCUUGAUCGGCCUAUAAUUUUUCUAAAGUGCUGGGGGAAGCCGGCUAGGCUACCCGUGGUCAUUUACUCUGACAUUUAUGCAGUAGCCAAAUAUUUCAAACGACCUUUAUUCACCUUUUUUCUUUAAGACAAAUAACGAAUCAGUAAAAUCACUUUCCAAGGUAAUCUAUUGGUACUAAUAAAGUGCGAAAUGUUUUUGCCCGUUCGUCAUCAUAUUUAUAUGUUUUUCAAAAAUGCCCCUAAUUUUUCCUUUAAGUAACCCACUGUCUAACGUUAAGUACCCUUCCUCUGUUGGGCUUCGGCCCAACUGCGGUAGCCGCUAACUUGCACUCCUGGGCGCUGGUUAGUAUUCUGUGUUUGCCUAGUUUGCUAUGUUUUCAACCCAUUCAGGUCCCUAACCUUUUAUUAUUGAAUAGGUUAAACAUGAUAAUGCCAUAACUUUGCAAUCGUAACUCAGAUUAAAAUAAUUUAUAUAUGUAAUUUGAUCAGAAAAAUCCGUAGUUUCCAGGGGCCUAUAUGGAUCAAAGGGAGUAUGAAUUACCGGUUUCAAUCGGCAUAUCGGAGUAACAAAGAAAAGAGAGAAUAAAGGGCAUGAUCAGUGGGAAUAAAAAAGGGAGUUUAAAGAAAAUGAAGGAGAGAAUCUUUUUAAUAGAAUCCUUUUAUUGAGAUUUUUCUCAUGACUUGGUGCAAAUUCCAAACAUUGCUUCAACUUACAAAUAAUGCCUUGGUAUGGAAAAAUUGAGAAUUAGGCUCUUCAGAGCAUCUCUAAUAGAAGAUGCAAAUUUGGAGAUGUAAAACAGGCAUCUCCGAAAAGUGCCUUUUACAUCUCCAAAAAAGAGGCAACUCCAACAGAAGAUGUAAAUUGGUGAUGUAAAAGUGCAACUCCAACAGAUGAUGCAAAUGGAGAUGUAAACUAGUUGUGCCGCCGACGACUACCAAGCACGGCGGAGUGCCUCGGGUUUCCUUUAUGGGCGAUGGUUUGUAGCGACUUUUGGCUCUACAGAUAGCUGGGAGCGAGGCGCAUCCUUUGGGGCAAACAAGAGGAGUUGGGGUGGCCGGAACUCGACGGGAGCGAGCUCAAAGUGGCGGCCGGAGCAAGGCUUGCUCGGGCGUGAGGCUGCAGGGCACGGGGAGGACGGAUGAAGGGCGCUACGGGCUCCUGGGAACUCCAGGAGUUCAAGUGCAUGCUUGGACGCGGGAAACAUGAGCUCUAGCAACGAUGGCAACAAGGACAACACCGACAAGCUCACGUGUUUGGAGCGGCACUAUUCGAGGGCAGAGAGAGGACGAGGAGCGGCAGAGAGGCGGAGGAGUGGAGAAUUGGGGCGGCAGAGCAGUGGCGGAGGAGUCGAGGCGAGGAGCUGCGGAGGGCGGAGGGGGUGGCGCGCUGGCAGAUCUGGAGUGGGUGGGCAGUGGCAGUGGGGACAACGGCGAAUCGGAGUGGCUCUGCGGUGGGUGGACAGAGGAGGAAGGGAAGGGAAUAGGAGAGUGGUUGGUAGUUGGUGCGCGACACGAUUUUACAUCUCCUGCAUGUAAAGAUGUAUAUUUGCAUCGCGAGGUGUUGUAUUUUACAUCUUCGGAAGACGGAGAUAUAAUUUUUUUUGCAGCUACGAAGGAUUUUUAGACCUCGGAGUAUUUUUGCAUCUACAUCUUCGACUGAAAAUGCUCUUAAGAUAAGAAUCACCGUACAAACCGUACCAAAAUUAUUGUCUGUGUAGCAUUCUUCUUAAUGUACUACUUAUAUAAAUUUUUGCUAGACCUCAAUGUGCACCUCUCUACCGUGUCCAGGCACAAUCCAAAUGUUGUUGGACCGUCCUGAUGGAUAUUUCGAUGAACACGUCAAUUAUCUCUUCCGUUGCAACAUACAAAUAUAUGUUAGUCCAACCAAAGUAAAUGUGGCUUGUCAUUUUUUUCUUUAUGGAAACCGUAACUUGCCAAGCUUAGAGCAUCUCCAAUAGCUUGUCUAUAUGGAUGUCUAUACUCAUUUUUCACGACGUGACCUCAAAACAGGCGUCCAACAGCUUGUUUAUAUGGUCGUCCAAAUAUACACAUCCUCUAUAUCGACCUCGAGAAUGUCCAUGCCUGGACAAUGUGAAGCCAUUGUCUAAACUCAACUGUAGUCAUGAUUUCUUCCUCUUCCAACGAUGGCCCACCUGUCAUGGUCCCUAUAUAUAGACAUUCUGAUGCAAAACUGAACGUGUAUAUGAGAAAAAAAUUUAAACCAUUGUCUAUAUAAAUAUAUAGACAUCCAAAUAUACACAUGCUAUUGGAGAUGCUGUACGCCAAAAGUGUGCACAUAUCUUCUCUCUGAUUAUUUAAUCCUUCCAAAACGAGUACUAGUAAUCUUUGUUUUUAGUGCUUCCAAACAAUCCUUCUUCGAUCUGCCUCCUAGUAUUUCUUUCUCUUUUUCCUCCAACAACACGUCCAGAAUUUGGAAACCUCCAGCCGAAUCUUGUUUCUUUCUUUUUUCUCUAGUGGAACAAACGAAUCUAGACUCCUCCUUUUUCUCUUCUAUAUUAAGCACGACCUUGCGCUUCUUUCUUUUUUCAAUGAUCAAACAGUCACAACAUAGACCCGGAUUGGCUUCCUGAAAUGUUUGAGCCGUAGUUUUUUUUCUCUCUUAAGGUAACGUGCAAUAAAGAAACUCUGCUGAGUCUGAUCUAUUCCGAACACAAUCUGUUUUGGAAACCAAGCUGUACAUCUUUUCUCUGCCUAAUUCUUUCGUUGCCUUCCCUAUUAUAUCUGCGUGGAGAGACCAAACGGCAGUUUUGUUUUCAAUCUAGCCAAUCCAAACCUGCGAGAACUACUAGUACCAAACAGCUUCAACCUUGUGAACGAUGUAAUUACUGUUAAUAAAGCUAGCCAUGAAGGCCUUCCUUCAAUCAAAAAAAAAAUAGAUCUACUGUUGCCUUUUUUUUUUGACUCGUCAAAAUGUCCUAGCAAACUCUGCACAAAAUCUUCGGGAACCUUGGCGCUAGGUGGCGCUUGUGGGUGGUGGCGACGGUGGUGGUGCGGCCUUAUCCUAGCAUGGGUCUGCGUCCGUUGCUUGGAGAUGGACUCGCGUAGGUGGAUGUCGUCGUUUGGCGUCAUGAUGGCGUCGAUGGCGGAGGCACCUGCCAAGGUUGGCACCUCAAUCUGCUCUGAAGAUGGACCAGUUGGAAGAUGACGGCGACGACACAUGUGAGUGCGUCGGACCGGUUUGUGCCCCGGACCCGGUAUGUGGCUCGGUCGGGGCCUCUGGUUUUAGAUGUUAGGCUUAGGUGAGAGGUCAGGGUAUUUGGCCCAGCUUGCACCAUCAUAUGGAUUGGAGUAGCGGCAGAUGUUGCCAAGAUGGUGGAUUCAGACAUAUUGUUGUACUACUUUGUAAGGUCCUCAAGAAUAAUCAAUAAAACGGCCGCAUGUAUCUCCCAGAUGCAGAGGCCGGGGGUCAUCCUCCUUUUCUAAAAAAAACUCUCCACAAAUCUGCUAGAUGCCAAAUACCAAACGCCCAAUUCCUGUUUUUUUAUAAAACUAGCAACAGGGCACGUGUGUUGCAACGGAAGAAAAAUCGUAACAUUUGAUUUGAUUUAUGACCCUAAAUCAAUUAUUUCAUCUCUUAUCAUUCAACUUCUAACCAUGACUGCAGGUACACAAUUCUAAUCUUAGGUUUUCAAUAUUAAACAAAUUUCAACCAUGACAAAUGUGCACAAUAUUAGUUGCGGAAAAAUCAACCGAAAAACUUGAUGUGUCCAGCAGCAAAUAUAAACAUUCUAGAAGUCCCUAAAGCACUUUAUUUAAAUUCCUCAUAUUUCUCUGAUCCCAGAGAACUAUGUUUGUCUAAAUCCGGUUUAAUGGACAAUUGUUGGAACCUUUUUAUCCAUCGUGUGGGCUUAGGCAAGGGGAUCCCUUAUCGUCAUAUUUGUUCAUGUUUGUUGCUGAGGCCCUCUCCAGCUAUUAAAGGAUGCUUGUGACAAAGUUAUUUCUCAUCUAUUAUUUGCGUAUGACAGACUCCUAUUUUUCAAAGGGUCCAUAGAUCAAGCCUUGGUCAUUAAAAAUAUUUUGUUGGGUUAUGAGGUGGGAACGGGUCAGCUUCUGAGCCCCGAUAAGUGUUCUAUCAAGUUUGGCAAAAAAGUGUGGUACAGAGGAUUAGGUAGCCACUAUGGUUAUUCUUAAUAUUAUUGCAGAAGAGUUUGAAGAUAAGUACCUUGGUUUACCGUACCUGAGGGUAGAAUGAAGGUUGGCAAGUUCCAAUCAACAAAAGAUAAGGCAUUACAAAGAGCAUCAGAUUGGAUUGAAAAAUAUGUCUCAAGUGGUAUAAAAGAAACUUAUCAAGGCAGUGUUGCAAGUGCUCCCAGCGUACGCCAUGGGUAUUUUUAAAUUUCCAGCUUCGUUAUGUGACGAGUUGGUUUAGAUUAUAAGAAAUUUCUGGUGGGAAGAUGAAGAGGACCGAAGGAAAACCCAUUGGCUAGCUUGGGAUAAACUCACUAAACCAAAAAGAGAGGAAGGGAUGGGUUUCCGAGUUCUUAGGUUGUUUAAUCAAACACUAUUGGCCAAACAGGCUUGGAGGUUACUGGUGAAUCCGGAUUCUUUAUGUGCUAAGAUUUUGACGGCAAAAUAUUAUCCCAAUGGUCACAUCCUGUAUACUGCUUUCCCCGCAGGCUACAUCCGUGAAUUGGCAGGGUAUUAUGCAUGGACUGGAUCUCCUAAAAAAAGGGGUCAUCUAGAGAGUGGUCGAUGGAAAAAAUGUUAAUGUUUGGACCUAGAAAUUCUGGCUUCAAAGUUUUAGUAAAAAAGAACCGAACUAGACUAAAAUGGAUCUCUGAAUUAUUCAUUAGCGGAACAAGAAGAUGAGAUGAAAAUUUAAUAAGGUACUUGUUCUAUAGCCAUGAUGCUGAGGAGAUCCUAAAUUUACGUAUUCAGUCUAGAGGUGAGUGUGAUUUAAUUGCUUAGCACUAUGAGAAAAAUGGCAUGUUCUCUGCUAAAAGUGUGUAUAGACUGGCCUUAAAUUUGUAGGGUGGCAAGACUGGGACAGGAACGUCCAACAUUGCCGUUGGCAAGGAAAGGAAUGUGUGGGAUGUUAUUUGGAAGGUCAAUGUUCCGAAAAAGUAAGAAUGUUUGCCUAGCGAGUUGCGUCCAACAGUUUGGCAAUUCAGGUAAAUUGGGUUACUCACCACCAAACGGUGUCAAGCAUGUGCACUAUAUGUGGGGUGGAGGAUGAAAUUAUUUUCCAUGCUCUUGUGUCUUGUCCAAAGACGCGCUUUUCGGCUUCGCAAUGAGAGAGGUGUGGAAUAUUCCUAGUGAGGAGCUAUUUAGAUUUACGGGGCCGGAUUGGAUAUUUAUUCUGCUUGAUCAAGUGGGAUCGCUGGAACACGAUCAAGUCUUAUUCAUGCUUUGGAGAGCAUGGCAUCUGAGGAAUGACUUGAUCUUUGGAAAGGAGAAAGAAUCUUUAUCUGCCUCUGUCACUUUUGUGGAAAUUUACUGAAAAUCCUUCACUAAAGCAAAAACCUAUGCGCAGUUUGAUUUAAGCAUCAAAGGCAAGGGGGUGAUAGAUAAUUGGAGGUACGUUAUCCCAACCACGAAUGGUCGUCAUGGUUGGGACUUGGGAGCCCCCGGAUCAAGUGUAUAUUAAGAUAAAUGUUGAUGCUAGUUUCAUGGAGAGUAUGAGAUCUACUAGUGUUGGGAUUAUUGCCAGGAAUCCCCUCGGCGAAGUCUUGAUUUCUUCAUGGGGUUUUAUCCGGCCGUGCACAUGUGUGGAUGAAGCAUAACUUCAUGCGACUCUCGCCGGGUUAUACAUUGGUAUUGCUCUUCACAAACCGGUUAUUUUGGAAACUGAUUAUAUGUUUGUUGCGGCUUCUCUGGCAAAAGAAUCCAUUGACAGGUGAUGAGCGUCUCAAAGCUCAUUAAGGAUUUCAAGAUUGUGAAGAUUGACAGGUAGGCUAAUAGGGUGGCCCAUGAGAUAGCUAAAUUUUGUUUUAAUAGCAGGUCCGGUGGUGUUUUAUGUAAUGGUGUUCAGUCCUGCAUGGCUAGUUUUGUAAUGAACGACUGUAAGAAUCUUGAGUUAUCUGAUUAAUAUAUGGGUGGGGUUUUCAAAAAACUCCCUUCUCUAUCUUUACUUUAUUCAAGUUUCUGUUUAAUGAGAAAAGAAAAAAGGAGAGAGGUCCAAGUAGCCCAGCACCAUCCGACCUAGCCUAAACUUUCCACGUCGGUCGGCCCACCUACCUUUUUUAAUUUCCCUAAAAAAACCUACCUCCGUUAACCCUAGAGCCAGAGAGACCGAUCCCCAACAUAUUGGUCCAUUCCCCACAUGUCUCCCUCGCCCCCGAGCGCCUCCUCCCACCUUCUCCUGCCCGUCAGGGAGUCUGCCUCCAACGAGUUCCCCAUCCCCAUCGGCCUAGCUGUGUCCCUCUCCCCCGUUCCUUAUUUUCCUUUGGUUCCCUCUCCUUCCUAUAACAUCUCUCUCUCUCUCUCUCAUUUGGUACUGAACACAGGCCGCCGCCGCCUGAUCUGCCGGAUUUAAGUCAAUCCUUUCUUUGAGAGAGCAUCAAUAGCUUUCUUUGAUUUCUUUAAUCUUUUGAUACUGAUUGCCGAUCCAUGGCAUUGCAAUCUGCUCUUCUUUGUCCGAUUCGGUCGACCGUUUCCUUCCCCUUUGAUUAUCCUCAUCUCUGUUUUCUGAUUUUUGUGGUCGCUUGUUGAAUUAUCAAUGUGUACCUCUAUGAACCGGUGAGAAUAGGCGUAAAGAGGCGAUAUGGUAUUAUUAUUUGGCGGAAUCAUAUAAUUGCUUAAGCAUUAUCCUAGAAAGGCAAUGAGAAAGCCCAUCGGCACAUGGCCCACGCGGUGUGGAGGACGCAGAAAUACAAAAUGUUUUUAUGGAACUUUUUUCCACUUAUUUACUGGAAUGCGGAUUAUUUUUCCUUAAUAAUAAACCAUAGGUGACUUUUUGCAAAAAUGCCACGACGGUUAGCAAGCAGAAGCAAUAGAUGCUUUAUUAUUAAGUAGUACAUAUGCCCGUGCGUUGCAACGGGCAAAUAAUUUUGCAAAAUCUACUCCACAUGCCAAUAUGCAACACUUCUUAUAUCCAUUUCUAGCAAAUAACAAAAAUAAGGUUACCCCGAUUAUCGCUUUUGGACCAAGAUCCUUUGAUCCUCUUCUCAUGCCGUCUUCGGCCACUGACGUACCACCACCCCAUUUCACUAUUCACCUAUUUCUUUUGAGAAUUUUUUAAAAGCAUCAUUUUUUAUAUUGAAAAGAGUUGACCUGCAGCAAUAAAGAUAAAAGUGAUGCACGUUUGAAACCAUCUCCAUACCACUUAUUGCUUUGGUUCAUUCGGAAAACAAAAAUUCAAUACAACACAAAGUACCAAAUUUUAGAUUACAAGUUACUACAACACUUGCACAACAAGACUACUAAACCAAGAUUGAUUAUGACACGCUAGUGGUGUGGUAAGCCAUGCCCACAAAGAACGUAUCCCAUGUCAUUCAAGCCUAGCUCCUCCUUUUCCUCCUAGCUCAUUUCAUACUCCUCAACUGCAAUAGUUAACCAAUUGUCAACGUCGAAAUUAUGAAUUCUCAGAGGACAACCAACUGUAAACAGAAAAAUCCAAAGAGGAUAUUCCAGCAAUUCACAACAAUGACUGAAUCACCAAGUGCAGGCAAAGCAAAAAUGAAAAGUUUGCAACGAUCAAUAUCAUUUGGUUCAAAAUUUUGAAGUUUUAUGGAUGCAUGAUAACGUUUAUGAGUUUGAGCAUGAACCAGCAAACAACCCUGCCAGACUUAACAUUUAUAACUCUCAAGAACUGAUGUGCUAUCUAUAAUAUUAUGAAGAUUAGGUGAAAUAGAACCUUACUACAAAAACAAUCUUCAACGUAUCAAAAAGAAAAUACCCACCUUCGCUUACCUCUCUCUGAAACCAUCCUAUUUCUUCUUCUUCCAUUCAUAUGUGAUGUCACCCAACUGGAAUCCAUGAACUCUCUCCAGUGUUGUAAGCCCAAAAAAGAAGCAUGUAUUUGAGUUUCAGAAGAAAAUAAGUUUAUAGCCACAACGAAUCUAUCAAUUUUCAUAUUCUGGUGUACUUCACAUCAACAUAAGUUGCACAAACUCUAUUGAACGCACAGAAGCUUCCAUGACACUUAAUUAUUAUUUUUAAAAUUGGUUUCCACUAAACCUAAGGUAGAUGCAUAGCAACUGAAAGUACAAAGAGUAACAAACGUAAAUGCCAUAUGAUUUUUUGAAUAACUACUUGCCUAGUCAUUCUGGUAAGCUGUUGACAAAAGACUAAAAGAGAUGGGUCUACAUCUAGCUAUGAGAGGAACAUCAAAUAUGCAAUUUGCCUUCGAGAUACUUCCAUCUUAUGCAAGCUAAAAAAAUACUGGUCAACACUUUGACUUGAAUUAGCAUGGCUCUUGCAGUCAAUUUUGAUCACAUGAAGAGAGGAGGCAUUAGUAAAUAAGUGUGGUAAGCAUACCUUCGCAUAUUUUCACGAUUUAACCUUCCACCGCUGUCAUAAUGCAACCCAGUGUUUCACUUGACGGCUCAAACUCAUGAUCAGGUACACUCACUGCGGCUGAAUGGGACUGAAGAAAUUAAGAGGUUUGGAUCAACUAAGUUACAUAUUGGAUAUUUCCAGUCAAUAUAAAUAGGGGAACAUAGGUGAAAUUAUUCCUAAGAUGUAAAGCAACGACCAAUGAAUGGCCUAACUCGGUUUUUAUUCAUGUUAUAUCAUAUUUUUUAGUUCAAAUGGCAUAUGAAUUAGUGUCACUGUACAGCGCAAAUAGCUGGAUGUUCAGUCAAUGAAGAGCCUGGAGAUAAAAUUAGAGUUCCCAAACACACCGGUAUUAAAACACAAUCUGAGCAUUCUUUUUUGUUUUGCAUAGUGGAGCCUAUUCUAUCCAUCCAUUUUGGUAUGACAAAACUGUAGUAAGAUUCAACCCAAGACACAUGUUGUUCCUUAAGUAAUGGACAAUGGAGCCUAUUCUAUCCAUCCAUUUUGGCAUGACAAGUAUCACCAAGUUAGACUGUUUUCACUUGCUAAAGACUCUAGAAUACCUACCAGUUUAGUCCAAAACCUAUGAUUCAUAACUAAAUACCUACCCGUUUAAUUCGAGAAGAAAAUUACUAGGGAUGAGACCCAAAGAAGUAAAACUAAUAUUCCCCACUCUAUACAUAUGUCUCUUGACUGCCUUCAGGUGGCUAUCCCACUGCGGAUGGCGUGGUUGCAGGUCUUAAAGAGGAGGAUGGUUGGGUGCGUGUCCGGUCACGGGGCAAGACGCGAUGCAUGGCUUUCUCCAGUCCCACCUUGAAGGCUCGACCGCCUGCGUGAAUGGAGCGGUUGUGCUUCCCAUAGGUCAGCCGCGUGCCGCGCCCCCUUCAAAUGCUGCAAUUGCUUCCAGAUCAUCCACGGCGGCAAGGUGCUCCAACUUGCAAGCACCCAAUCGUCCUCUCGCGCGUCACCUACCUUGAGAGCCUCUGCCCGUCCCGCUCCUCCUCGUAGAGUCGAGCUCCCUCCACCGCAGCCGACUACUAUGACUCUGCCCGGCAUGUCGUGGCUCGGGGACACGGUCAUCUCGUUUUCUUCAACCUUUUCAAAAUUACGAUUACGGAUGAGGAAAAACAACCCAAGUAGUGUUGCACAUCAGAUGGUUCAAGACUUAAUCAAGAACGUUGACAUGGUCUGUUAGAAGGGAGAGAGAGGGAUUUAGUGGAAUAGUUUUUUUUGAUGUAUUUCUUGAGCCUGGUGGGCAUAUAUAUGGGAGUACAAUGAUCUACUUGGAGUACAAGACAAGCCAGAACAAAUCCUAGUCUAUCUCAUCUUUCCUAAUAAUCACGAUACUCAAUAUCCCCCCGCAAUCACAACGGUAGCGACACAGACGGUGAGACUUGAGAAGAAUUCGAAGGCAAGCCGACGGACACACACCCCACAAUCGUAACAGUUGAUGCAUCGCGGAGUCGUGGUUGGAGUGAAAACCGACAAGGUUGCUCAAGUAAGGCGAUAGCCCUUUGUGUCGUUGUCAAGGUAGCCGAGAGCAUGGAUGGCGGAGCCGUGGUCGCGGUAGCCGUGCGAAGAAUGUCGUGGUCGAUGUCGAGUCGGGAUGGCCGGUGUCAAGGAAGUCACCAUGGAGCCGCGGGCGCAAGGGGGCGCCGAGUUAGCAUGGGCGCAAUGGUGUCGAAGUAGUGGUGCGCCGAAAAGGAGAUGUUGUUGACGACGCGUCGCGGCGGGUUUGCCAAGCCCGGGGACACAUCGUAGAUGAAAUCACGCACUGGUGUUGCCAGCACCGGGCAUGCAUAGACGGACGAAGACGAAGUUGACGGAGCGCCGCACUAGGCUUGCCUGGCCCAGGGACACGUCAUGGACGAAGGCACGUGGCGGUGUUGCCAGCACCGGACAUGCAUAGACUGGGACCUGCAUGAGCUGUACGCCAUGUCGAAGAAGUCGGAGAGGCCAGUAGAGAAGGACUCGACGACAGUUGCGGGCCAAUCGACGUGGGGCCAAUGUCGCCCGCGGUUGUCGGCGUAGAUGAAGCGGUCGGGAUAGAUGACGGCGACGUUGGUGAUGGGCUAGUGCUGGACGAAGACGAAGGGGGUGGACGGGCGGCUACAACGGCUACAGGGGUAGCGGUGCUACCUCUUGAGCACUGCGUUGGUUUUUCCCCGAAGAGGAAGGGAUGAUGCAGCAAAGUAGCAUAAGUAUUUCCCUCAGUUUUUGAGAACCAAGGUAUCAAUCCAGUAGGAGGCUACGCGCGAGUCCCUCGUACCUGCACAAAACAAAUAAAUCCUCGCAACCAAUGCGAUAAGGGGUUGUCAAUCCCUACACGGCCACUUACGAGAGUGAGAUCUGAUAGAUAUGAUAAGAUAAUAUUUUUGGUAUUUUUUACAAUAAAUAUGCAAAGUAAAAUAAAAGCAAAGUAAAAAAGCAAAGGAAAUAACUAAGUAUUGAAAGAUUAAUAUGAUGAAGAUAGACCCGGGGGCCAUAGGUUUCACUAGUGGCUUCUCUCGAGAGCAUAAGUAUUCUACGGUGGGUGAACGAAUUACUGUUGAGCAAUUGACAGAAUUGAGCAUAGUUAUAAGAAUAUCUAGGUAUGAUCAUGUAUAUAGGCAUCACGUCCGAGACAAGUAGACCGACUCCUGCCUGCAUCUACUACUAUUACUCCACUCAUCGACCGCUAUCCAGCAUGCAUCUAGAGUAUUAAGUUAAUGAAAACAGAGUAACGCCUUAAGCAAGAUGACAUGAUGUAGAGGGAUAAACUCAUGCAAUAUGAUGAAAACCCCAUCUUGUUAUCCUCGAUGGCAACAAUACAAACGUGCCUUGCUGCCCCUACUGUCACUGGGAAAGGACACCGCAAGAUUGAACCCAAAGCUAAGCACUUCUCCCAUUGCAAGAAAGAUCAAUCUAGUAGGCCAAACCAAACUGAUAAUUCGAAGAGACUUGCAAAGAUAACCAAUCAUACAUAAAAGAAUUCAGAGAAGAUUCAAAUAUUGUUCAUAGAUAGACUUGAUCAUAAACCCACAAUUCAUCGGUCUCAACAAAUACACCGCGAAAAGAAGAUUACAUCGAAUAGAUCUCCACAAGAGAGGGGGAGAACAUUGUAUUGAGAUCCAAAAAGAGAGAAGAAGCCAUCUAGCUAAUAACUAUGGACCCGUAGGUCUGAGGUGAACUACUCACACUUCAUCGGAGGGGCUAUGGUGAUGAUGUAGAAGCCCUUCGUGAUCGAUGCCCCCUCCGGCGGAGCUCCGGAACAGGCCCCAAGAUGGGAUCUCGUGGAUACAGAAAGUUGCGGCGGUGGAAUUAGGGUUUUUGCUCCGUAUUUGAUCGUUUGGGGGUACGUAGGUAUAUAUAGGAGGAAGGAGUACGUCGGUGGAGCAACAGGGGGCCCACGAGGGUGGAGGGUGCGCCUGGGGGGGGGGCUAGGCGCGCCCCCUACCUCGUGGCCUCCUCCUUUGUGUCUUGACGUAGGGUCCAAGUCUCCUGGAUGAUGCUCGGUGAGAAAAUCACGUUCCCGAAGGUUUCAUUCCGUUUGGACUCCGUUUGAUAUUCCUUUUCUUCAAAACCCUAAAAUAGGCAAAAAAACAACAAUUCUGGGUUGGGCCUCCAUUUAAUAGGUUAGUCCAAAAAAUAAUAUAAAAGUGGAUAAUAAAGCCCAAUAAUGUCCAAAACAGUAGAUAAUAUAGCAUGGAGCAAUCAAAAAUUAUAGAUACAUUGGAGACGUAUCAAGCAUCCCCAAGCUUAAUUCCUGCUCGUCCUCGAGUAGGUAAAUGAUAAAAACAUAAUUUUUGAUGCGGAGUGCUACUUGGCAUAAUUUUAAUGUAAUUCUUCUUAAUUGUGGUAUGAAUAUUCAGAUCCGAAAGAUUCAAGAUAAAAGUUCAUACUGACAUAAAAAUAAUAAUACUUCAAGCAUACUAACUAAGCAAUUAUGUCCUCUCAAAAUAACAUGGCCAAAGAAAGUUCAUCCCUACAAAAUCAUAUAGUUUAGUCAUGCUCCAUUUUCGUCACACAAGAAUGCUCUCAUCAUGCACAACCCCGAUGACAAGCCAAGCAAUUGUUUCAUACUUUAGCAAUCUCAAACCUAUAAACUUUCACGCAAUACAUGAGCGCGAGCCAUGGAUAUAGCACUAUGGGUGGAAUAGAAUAUGAUGAUGGGGGUUAUGUGGAGAAGACAAAAAGGAGAAAGUCUCACAUCAACGAGGCUAAUCAAUGGGCUAUGGAGAUGCCCAUCGAUUGAUGUUAAUGCAAGGAGUAGGGAUUGCCAUGCAACAGAUGCACUAGAGCUAUAAAUACAUGAAAGCUCAACAAAAGAAACUAAGUGGGCGUGCAUCCAACUUGCUUGCUCACGAAGACCUAGGGCACUUGAGGAAGCCCAUUGUUGGAAUAUACAAGCCAAGUUCUAUAAUGAAAAAUUCCCACUAGUAUAUGAAGUGACAAAACAAAAGACUCUCUAUCAUGAAGAUUAUGGUGCUACUUUGAAGCACAAGUGUGGAAAAAGGAUAGUAGCAUUGUCCCUUUUUUAUUUUUUUAUUUGGCCUUUCCCUUUUUUAUUUGGCCUUUCUCUUUUUUUGUAUUUGGGACAAUGAUCUAUUAAUGAUGAUCAUCACACUUCUAUUUACUUACAACUCAAGAAUUACAACUUGAUACUUAGAACAAGAUAUGACUCUAUAUGAAUGCCUCCGGGGUGUACCGGGUUAUGCAAUGAACCAAGAGUGACAUGUAUGAAAGAAUUAUGAACGGUGGCUUUGCCACAAAUACUAUGUCAACUACAUGAUCAUGCUAAGCAAUAUGACAACGAUGAAUGUGUCAUGAUAAACGGAAUGGUGGAAAGUUGCAUGGCAAUAUAUCUCGGAAUGGCUAUGGAAAUGUCAUAAUAGGUAGGUACGGUAGCUGUUUUGAGGAAGAUAUAAGGAGGUUUAUGUGUGAAAGAGUGUAUCAUAUCACGGGGUUUGGAUGCACCGGCGAAGUUCGCACCAACUCUCAAUUUGAGAAAGGGCAAUGCGCGGUACCGAAGAGGCUAGCAAUGACGGAAGGGUGAGAGUGCGUAUAAUCCAUGGACUCAACAUUAGUCAUAAAGAACUCACAUACUUAUUGCAAAAAUCUACAAGUCAUCAAAAACCUCGGCACUACGUGCAUGCUCCCAGGGGGAUAGAUUGGUAGGAAAAGACCAUCGCUCGUCCCCGACCGCCACCCAUAAGGAAGACAAUCAAAUAACACCUCAUGUUUCAAAUUUCUUACAUAAUGUUUACCAUAUGUGCAUGCUAUGGGACUUGCAAAGUUCAACACAAGCAUUUCUCAAAUUCACAACUACUCAACUAGCACGACUUUGAUAUUAUUACCUCCAUAUCUUAAAACAAUCAUCAAGCAUCAAACUUCUCUUAGUAUUCAAAACACUCAUAAGAAAUUUUUUAUUAAUCUUGAACACCUAGCAUAUUAGGAUUAUUUAAGCAAAUUACCAUGCCACUUAAGACUCUCAAAAUAAUCUAAGUGAAGCAUGAGAGAUCAAUAGUUUCUAUAAAACAAAUCCACCACCGUGCUCUAAAAGAUAUAAGUGAAGUACUAGAGCAAAAUUAUAUAACUCAAAUGAUAUAAGUGAAUCACAUAGAGUAUUAUAACAAAUUCCAAAUCAUGUAUGGCUCUCUCAAAAGGUGUGUACAGCAAGGAUGAUUGUGGUUGAGGGAGUCCUGGAUUAGGGGGUCUCCGGACAGCCAGACUAUCUCCAUUGGUCGGACUGUUAGACUAUGAAGAUACAAGAUUGAAGACUUCGUCUCAUGUCCAGAUGGGACUCUACUUAGCGUGGAAGGCAAGAUAGGCAAUACGGAUAUGGAUAUCUCCUCCUUUGUAACCGACCUUGUGUAACCCUAACCCUCUUCGGUGUCUAUAUAAACCGAAGGGUUUUAGUCCAUAGGACAACAACCACAACAUACAAUCAUACCAUAGGCUAGCUUCUAGGGUUUAGACUCUCUGAUCUCGUGGUAGAUCUACUCUUGUACUACCCAUAUCAUCAAUAUCAAUCAAGUAGGACGUAGGGUUUUACCUCCAUCAAGAGGGCCUGAACUUGGGUAAAACAUUGUGUCCCUUGCCUCCUGUUACCAUCCGGCCUAGACGCACAGUUCGGGACCCCCUACCCGAGAUCCGCCAGUUUUGACACCGACAUUGGUGCUUUCAUUGAGAGUUCCUCUGUGUCGUCGCUGUUAGGCUUGAUGGCUCCUACUAUCAUCGAUAGUGAUGCGGUCCAGGGUGAGACUUUUCUCCCCGGACAGAUCUUCAUAUUCGGCGGCUUUGCACUGCAGGCUAAUUCGCUUGGCCAUCUGGAGCAAAUUGAAAGCUACGCCCCUGGCCAUCAGGUCAGAUUUGGAAGCUUAAACUACACGGCCGAUAUCCGUGGAGAUUUGAUCUUCGACGGAUUCAAGCCUCUGCCUUGUGCGCCACGCGGUCACGAUGAGCAUGACUUAGCUCUCCCAUUGGACAGUGUUAAGGAGAUCGCACCGGCAGCCGCUCCGACCCUUAAUUCAGAGCCAGUCGCGCCUUCCGCGGAUGGGUGGAUGGACCCCGCCACGGAGGCCUUACCCUCAGUGGCGAUCAAGCCGAACAUCGACCUUGCCUUGCACGAGAGCCGUGUUGUUAAACUGCCGGAUCCUUCUCCAACCACGGACUCCGAACCGCCUGCGCCCAUUCCUAUCGAAUCCGAUUGGGCGAGUUUACCUCCGCGGGUAUUUUUCAGCACUCGCCCUUUGGCAAUAUACUGAACUCAUUAAGGUCUCUCUCCUUGUCAGGAGAAUCCUAGCCAAACUAUGUCCGGCAAGAUCGGGAUGCAGACGACAAAGAAAUUCGACGCCCACCCACCACCCACUCAAUAGCCACUGUCGAUGACUCAAUCGACAUGCUCGACUUCGACUCCGAAGACAUCGACGGUAUGGACGACGAUGCGGGAGGCGAAGACGAACCAACGCCCACAGGGCGAUGGACGUCCACCUCAUCAUAUGACGUAUACAUGGUGGACACACCAAAAGAAGACGACGAUGAGGAAUGGAAGGACGCAACGAAGGCUUGUUCCCUUGAGAAGCAGUCAAAGCGGCGGCGUAAGCGCCGCCCCAAAUCCCGCCUCGGCAGAAAUAACAAUCAUACAGACCCAACGUUGGAGCAGGGCGAACCACCGCAGGACCACGGCAAUACGGAGAAUCAAACCGAACAAACCAAUUCUGUCAAAUAUAAUAGUCCAGACGACAUAACGCCGGACAGGCACCCGGAGCAGCAGAAUGCCCGUCAAAGGCUUGUUGCCACCGCGAGGAGUCUAAAAAAUCAGAAGCAAAGGCUCAAGGCUGCGUAGGACACACUCCAAAUCAGAUGGAGUAAAGUACUCAACACAACAGCGAAGUACGGCGGCAAUCGCCCCACCAAGAGCUACCCAAAGCGGAAGUUGCUACCUGAAUUCGAUGAGGAGGCCUUAGACCCCCGCACAACCAAAAAUUAAAACAGCCAUCUGGCCGGAUAGACGACCUCACGGCCAACACAAAGCGGCAAGCAACGCCGCACAUAAGCCAAUACGCGGUCUACGCGACGGCUCGCAUCAAAAGGACGGCGAAACCAGAUCCAUCUAUGGACCACACAAGCGUGCUCUAGCAUAGGAUGCAACACAACAAACAUCUGAACAACGCGGUACACCCAGAUAUAGGGGUGCCGCACACCCCGUAUGUUUCACUGAUGAGGUGCUGGACCAUGAAUUUCCAGAGGGAUUCAAACCCAUAAACAUAGAGCCAUACGAUGGAACAACAGACCCUGGGGUCUGGAUUGAGGACUAUAUCCUCCAUAUCCACAUGGCUCGGGGAGAUGAUCUCCACGCCAUUAAAUAUUUACCCCUCAAACUCAAAGGGCCAGCUCGGCACUGGCUUAAGAGCCUCCUCAAAAGCUCCAUUGGAAGUUGGGAAGAGCUCGAAGACGCCUUUCGGACAAAUUUUCAAGGGACUUAUGUCCGACCUUCGGACGCGGAUGAUUAGAGUCAUAUAACUCAACAGCCCGGAGAGUCAGCCCGAAAGCUUUGGAACAUGUUUAUUACUAAAAAGAACCAAAUUGUCGACUGUCCGGAUGCCGAAGCCUUGGCAGCUUUUAAGCAUAGCGUCCGUGAUGAAUGGCUUGCCAGACACCUCGGCCACCAAAAGCCGAGAACAAUGGCAGCAUUAACAAGCCACAUGACCCGCUUUAGCGCGGGUGAGGAUAGCUGGCUAGCCAGAUGCAGCACCAGCGACCCCAGUACAUCCGAAGUUAGAGAUGGAAACGAGAAAUCACGGCGCAACAGCAAUAACAAACGCCGGAAUAAAGAAGACAUCACAAAGAGCACGACAGUAAACGCCGGAUUCAAAAGCUCUCGGCUAGGUCAGCAAAAGCCGCCCUCUAAAGGCGCCAGAGACGAACUGUCCAGCCUAAACAAAAUUCUGGACCAAAUAUGUCAGAUCCAUAGCACCCCUGGUAAACCCGCUAAUCAUACCCACAGAGAAUGUUGGGUCUUCAAGCAGUCCGGCAAGCUCAACGCCGUACACAAGGGAGAGGAUACACCAAGCGAAGACGAGGAUGAGCCUCUCAAGCAAGACACUGGGGAACAAAAGAAAUUUCCACCAGAAGUCAAAAUAGUAAACGUGUUACACGUGAUCAAGGGGAGAAACAAAACGACACUCCCAGAAAAAUAUGCCCAAGGGCCUAUCACCGUGGAGUCCUGCCACUGGUCGUCUCAACCGAUCACUUUCGACCAUCGUGAUUACUCAGCAAGUAUUUGGUGUGCAGGAUGGGCUGCCCUGGUAUUAGACCCAAUAAUUGACGGAUACCACUUCACACAAGUCCUGAUGGACGGUGGCAGCAGUCUAAACCUGAUAUACCAGGAUACAAUCCGCAAAAUGGGGAUAGACCCAACGAAAAUUUGCCAUAGCAACACUACCUUUAAAGGAGUAAUGCCAGGCCCAGGGGCUCAUUGCACGGGCUCCCUGCUACUGAAGGUUAUAUUCGGCUUCCCCGAUAACUCCCGUAGUGAACAUUUAACCUUCCACAUUGCUCCGUUCCAAUGCGGCUAUCAAGCACUACUUGGACGCGAAGCUUUUGCUCGCUUUAAUGCAAUACCACAUUACGCUUCCCUGAUGCUCAAGAUGCCCGGUCCACGCGCAUCAUUACAGUGAAUGGAAGUAUUAAGCGAUCCUUGCGCGCCGAAGAGAAUGCGACUGCCUUGGCAGCCGCACACUAAAAACGGCCUCGCCAACUAAAGUAUUUGAUAGAUCGUCAAGACCACGGACGCGGUUAGACGAGUCGGGCACUGCUAUAUGUAAUUUAUACCGGAUCGAUGGCCACACCCCUAUUACAAAUACAAGGGGCUCAACGCGCACAGACAAGUGGCAAUUUCUACACAUUUCUAGUUAUACAUGGUCUCUUUAAAAAACCACCUUUUUGCACGACAACCUUUUCACCUAAGUUCCUCUUUUUUACAAAUGACCAUCAUGCUACACCCGUCCAGGAUACGGCACAACGGAGACACAGGCGCAGACGUGCAACAGAGACCCGCUCCAAGGAUUCUUUUUAGAUUAAGACCCUGCGUAAACCUUUCUUACUGUCUCUUGUUGAUACACAUCCGCCGAAUUCUCAGCACAAUUGAGAAGGAUGCUGACGUCUUGGCAUGUGGCCACGUCAGAAUAAUGCACGUACCUGGACACAAGGGGCUUCUUACAAAGGGAACUAUUUAGGCCCGGUUUAUACCAUAAAGACCGAAUACCUUAGGGAGUGUUCGACGUCGCGAGUUUGGCCUUAUAUGCAUCAGCUCCGAAUCAUUGUCUUUGGUCAAAUGUUGGGUUUGCCCGGCUCCUGUGUUUUGGUGCCUUACGUUCCGCUUUAUCGGCUAAGGCAGCACCAGGAGAACUACUGCGAUUGUGCCCUGGUUCAUCCGGACGAGCACCUCAGUAGAGAAAGCCGAAAACUGACUGUCAUGAUAUAGCGUGAGACUGGUCAACCACUCGAUGACCUAUCGGAAUGUUAGAAUUCCUCCGCCUUAACGAAGGGCCAUUUUCUGGACAGGCAUGUACACACCCCGGGAUCGGGAGAGUGCGGAGCCACUAGAGGCUAUCUAGUAGCCCCACUGUCAAACUCCUAUGGCUAAGUGAAAGUGUUAAAGCAUUAUAGUUCGGUUGCCUCGUUCGCUACGCUAUCACCUCCUUAAUAGGACCAAGAUGUUUGGUUAAGUGUGAACACACAUUUUUCGCGAGCACCUCCGCAUUAUAUGCAUGAGGGUCGAAGCCGAUGACUGCAAUCUUUCAGGGUAUACACAUGUAUACAUAAACGGCCGCACAGGAGGCAUCAUACUACUUUCAGGCAAAAGUAUAAACAUAGCCUUACAAAAUUUCAUAAAAGCAUUGUGUUUACAAUGAGAAUACAUAUCACUCAAACAUAAUAUUCUUCGAGCACCGGGCCUCUAUCAAACGAGCACCCUCGAGAACCUCCUUGAAAUAGUGCUCGGCAGCCACUCGGCCUAUGGCCGAACCUUGCGCCGCAACAGUGGUAGCGUCCAUCUCCGCCUAGUAUGCUUUAACACGGGCAAGGGCCAUCCGCGAGCCUUUUAUGCACGCCGACCUCUUCAUCGCAUUAAUGUGCGGCACCGCACCAAGAAACCGCUGCACUAAAUUGAAAUAGCUGUUUGGCUUUGGCUUUUCCGGCCAUAGCUGAUCCACGACAGACCUCAUGGCAAGUCCGGACAACCUAUUUAGUUCGGCCCAUUCAGCUAGCUGAUCAGUCAAUGGAAGCGGACGCUCUAGAACGUUGAAUUGCGACCAGAACAGCUUGUCCACUUCACAAUCUGUUUGACCUUGGAAGUAUUUGGCCGCAUCGGUAGCACUCGCCGCCAAGUCCAUAUACGCAUCUGCUGAACUCCACAGCCGAUCCAGAGGGGCAUACCGUGGAUCUCCGAACUUCCUCCGUAGCAUGAAGGGCUUCCCAGCCGCAAUAUCCCCGGCUUCCCGCAGCUCCUCCUUCUUCGCUCUCAUAGCAGAGCGGGUGUCUUUGUCCGCCAUCGGUUUUCUUUUUCAAGGAGCCGGCAAUGGUCGGCAGUACUUUUAAUUCUACGGCCAUCUUGGCCAUCUUCUCUUGGCUCUCGCAAUGUGCGGCCUUCUCGUCUUUCAACUCUUCGGCCGCCUUCAAAGCAGCCGCAUUACUAAUCCUCGCUUGUUCCUUGGCUCGGGCAAGUUCUGCCCGCAAGGUUUCCACGGUGGCAGCUCCAUCUGCAGUCACAACAUAUUAAAGAUACUGGCAUCAUGCUGCUCUUACUAUGUGGCGUUCACCAGAUAAUAACACUUACCCUGUGCCUCGUCAAGCCUCUUGUUAACAAGCUCGAUGUCGGCGUCUGCCGCAUCCAGUUGCCGUUUUAAUUCGGCAAACUCACUAGUCCGGCUAGCCACCGGAGCUUCCACCACCUGCACAUAAGGGCAGUCUGGUUAUUGCCUGGGACUAUGAUCCUCUGUUUGCCGCCGUUCUCGACGACAACCAGAGUCUCAGGGGCUACUAUCUACACAGGGCACACCUAACAUGUGCGGUACUAUCACAUAUUAUCUCACGUACCUCAAAUCCUGUCAGUAGACUCAUAAAGGCUUCAUGUAAUCCACUUUCGGCGAACGAAAUUCUCUCCAUCACUGUACCCAUCAGCGUACGGUGUUCUUCUGAGAUGGCCGCUCGCCCCACCAGCUCCCUCAGAAUGUCCGACUGCAUACCAGAUGCUGCCAGACUCUUUUGUUUGCUCUCUUCGGGAGCCGAACGCUGGGGACUUCGGGGGUCUAUGGGAUUAUCUUCUGGCCUCACCGGAUCCAGAGAGGCCCUCCGUGAAGACACUUCGGGGUCGCCCGCUUCUUGAGCGGAGGAGUCCGGGGGAGGUGUUUCGCUCUCCAUCAUCUCUGGAAGAAGAUCCCCCGAAGACGAGCUCAGCUGAGAGGGGCUAAGGCCCGAACUGCAAGAUAUAUGCGGUGGUUAUUUUCUCAGAAAAAAGAUAGUAUACCUUCACUAUUAAAGUAUUUUGGAUCACUUACGACUCGUUGGAGGGCUGAUCCCCCCGCGGACUUUGUGCGGCAAAAGCACCCCCCGAGGCAGGACCCUAUGUGGGAGACUUCUUCUCCCGUUUGGAGGCCUCGGCAUCCGGAUCCUCGGAAGCAGUCCUUUUCCUCCCCCGGUUAUCCUCCUUCAUGGAGAUGCUCAUUCCCUUGGUUGGAACUGGCAGCGAUGGGGGCCCGCGUCCGCCCGUAUUAUCCCACCCGUAUCUUCCUUCGAGGUCUCCGGGCAAGGUGCGAGCUCGAGCAUCUUUUCUAAUAUCGGAUUUUCCAAACCCUCAGAGAGAGGGGCCAAACACCGAAUCAUCUUCGCCUUUGUUAGCCAGUCCUGGUCAAAGAGCGAACUCUCAGAAAUAACUUCAUGAUGAAUAAAAGAUAGUGUGUUCGGCUAGAGGAUUUCUUACUUGUUCAGCGAUGCGGUUACUGCUCAGGCCCACGUCCUCGGUAGUAUCUGGACACUCUAUUUGAGGUUCGAAGAAUGACUUGUACACCUCCUCGUGCGUCAGGCCGAGGAAACUUUGAAUGGCACGCGACCCUUCUGGGUUGAACUCCCAUAAGCGAAGGGGCCGGCGUUUGCAAGGCUGGACUUGACGAACCAACAUAAUUUGUAUUACCACGACCAAAUUAAAAUCUCCCUCGAAGAGAUCUCGAAUGCGGCUUUGCAGUAUAGGCACGUCCUUGGCUGGACCCCAGCUCAGACCUCUACUAAUCCAUGACAUUAGUUGUGGUGGGAGGCCUGAGCGGAAAGCGGGGGCAGCCGCCCACUUGGCACUUUUGGGAGCCGUGACGUAAAACCACUCCCGUUGCCAUAAUUCGGACACCUCUGGAAAGGAACCUUUCGGCCAUGGAGCUCCUGCCAUCUUGCCUAUUGAUGCACCUCCGCACGCUGCAUGUUGCCCCUCGAUCAUCUUUGGCUUCACUUCAAAGGUCUUGAGCCACAGGCCGAAGUGAGGGAUAAUGCGGAGGAAGGCCUCACACACGACAAUAAAUGUCGAGAUGUGGAGAAAGGAGUCCGGAGCUAGAUCAUGGAAAUCUAGCCCGUAAUAGAACAUCAAACCCCUAACGAAGGGAUCCAGAGUGAGGCCUAGGCCUCGGAGGAAGUGGGAGACGAACACAACAUUCUCGUUGGGUUCAGGAGUAGGGACAACCUGCCCUAGAGCAGGUAGCCAAUGCGAAACCUCGGCGGUCAGAUAUCUGGCCUCCCUCAACUUCUUGAUGUCCUCUUCCGUCACGGAGGAGGGCAUCCAUCAGCCUUGAAGGCUGGAUCCUAACAUGAUUGAAGAUCCGGAGCACCUAACCUGGGCUUUGGGUGUUGGAACUCGAGGCGGGGGAAGGGUUCGAUUGAGCACGAGAGGGAAAAAGCGAAAACCUUGUCUCUUUAUAAAGAGGGUGAAUAUCAAGCGUCCUCUCCGUAGCCGUUUAGGACUUGCCUAUAAUCUAGGAGUCCUAGACACGGUUGGGAUACCCACGAUCGCAUUAAUGAGAAUCCUGUAAUUGUGGGAACACGAUCUCUGCUUUGACAAGACGUGUCAAGAAACCGCCUCGCGUUAUGUGUGGAGCUGGUUGAAGAAAAAUGGUUUGAAUAAUCACCGGGCCAUGACAUAACGUCAUGCUGCCAAAACAAGUCAGCAAAUUGGAUUUGCGAAAAUAUUAUUCUCUCUACGGCGGUAUGUGGAACUUAUUUUGCAGGGUCGAACACUAUCCUCGUAUUCAAAUUCUUCUGUGAUGUAUUCGGAGAAGGAACUCGCCUUGCAAUGCCAAAGACAAUACUGCGCGCCGGACUCAUCGUCAUUGAAGCCUGGUUCAGGGGCUACUGAGGGAGUCCUGGAUUAGGGGGUCUCCGGACAGCCGGACUAUCUCCAUUGGCCGGACUGUUAGACUAUGAAGAUACAAGAUUGAAGACUUCGUCUCGUGUCCAGAUGGGACUCUACUUAGCAUGGAAGGCAAGCUAGGCAAUACGGAUAUGGAUAUCUCCUCCUUUGUAACCAACCUUGUGUAACCCUAACCCUCUCCGGUGUCUAUAUAAACCGAAGGGUUUUAGUCCGUAGGACAACAACCACAACAUACAAUCAUACCAUAGGCUAGCUUCUAGGGUUUAGCCUCUCUGAUCUCGUGGUAGAUCUACUCUUGUACUACCCAUAUCAUCAAUAUCAAUCAAGCAGGACGUGGGGUUUUACCUCCAUCAAGAGGGCCCAAACCUGGGUAAAACAUUGUGUCCCCUGCCUCCUGUUACCCUUCGGCCUAUACGCACAGUUCGGGACCCCCUACCCGAGAUCCGCCGGUUUUGACACCGACAGUGGUAAAAAAGCAAAGAAUCAAAUCAUACAAGACGCUCCAAGCAAAACACAUAUCAUGUGGUGAAUAAAAAUAUAGCUCCAAGUAAAAUUACCGAUAGAAGUAGACGAAAAGAGGGGAUGCCUUCCGGGGCAUCCCCAAGCUUUGGCAUUUAGGUGUCCUUAGAUUAUCUUGGGGGUGCCAUGGGCAUCCCCAAGCUUAGGCUCUUACCACUCCUUGUUCCAUAAUCCAUCAAAUCUUUACCCAAAACUUGAAAACUUCACAACACAAAACUUAAAGUAGAAAAUCUCGUGAGCUCUGUUAGCGAAAGAAAACAAAAGACCACUUCAAGGUACUGUAAUGAACUCAUUUUUUGUUUAUAUUGGUGUUAAACCUACUGUAUUCCAACUUCUCUAUGGUUUAUAAACUAUUUUACUAGCCAUAGAUUCAUCAAAAUAAGCAAAUAACACACAAAAAACAGAAUCUGUCAAAAGCAGAACAGUCUGUAGUAAUAUGUAGCUAGAGCAAGAUAUGGAACCCCAAAAAUUCUAAAAUAAAUUUCUGGACGUGAGGGAUUUAUCUAUUAAUCAUAUGCAAGAAUAAUUAACUAAAUAUCACUUUCCAAAUAAAAAUGGCAGCAGUUCUUGUGAGCGCUAAAGUUUCUGUUUUUUACAGCAAGAUAUCAAGACUUUCCCCAAGUCUUCCCAACGGUUCUACUUGGCACCAACACUAAUUAAACACAAAAACACAACCUAAAUAUAGGCUAUAUAAAUUAUUUAUUACUAAACAGGAGCAAAAAGAAGGAAUAAAAAUAAAAUUGGGUUGCCUCCCGACAAGCGCUAUCGUUUAAUGCCCCUAGCUAGGCAUAAAAAGCAAGGAUAGAUCUAGGUAUUGCCAUCUUUGGUAGGCAAUCCAUAAGUGGCUCACAUAAUAGAUUCAUAAGGUAAUUUAAUUUUCUUUCUAGGAAAUUUUUCCAUGCCUUUCCUUAACGGAAAUUGGAAUCUAAUAUUUCCUUCCUUCAUAUCAAUAAUUGCACCAAUCGUUCUAAGGAAUGUCUAUCAAGAAUAAUAGGACAUGAAGGAUUGCAAUCUAUGUCAAGAACAAUAAAAUCUAUGGGUACAAAAUUCCUAUUUGAAACAAUAAGAACAUCAUUAAUUCUUCCCAUAGGUUUCUUAAUGGUGGGAUCCGCAAGAUGCAAGUUUAGAGAGCAAUCAUCAAAAUCACGGAAACCUAACAAAUCACACAAAGUCUUUGGAAUCGUGGAAACAGUACUAGGAAAAGGCCUACUAAUGGCGCACCAGUUUUGCCUACUAAUGGCGCACUACUGGUGCGCCAUUAGUAUCACACCACUAGUAUUUUUACUAAUGGCGCACCACUGGUGCGCCAUUAGUAUCUGGUAUACUAAUGGCGCACCACGCCAUGCGCCAUUAGUAUAGAACACCAUGCGCCAUUAGUAUGCCUCCCAGGGGGCCAUAUUUAACCAUGUGCUUUGGCAUACUAAUGGCGCACUGUGGGGUGAUGCGCCAUUAGUAUCCUUUGGCAUACUAAUGGCGCACUCUGUAGUGAUGCGCCAUUAGUAUCCUUUGGCAUACUAAUGGCGCACUUUGAGGUGAUGCGCCAUUAAUAUGAAUAUUAGUUUUUUUAUUUUUAUGAUUUUUGCACAGGUUACAAAAUAUAUUAUUGGACAGAAUAUAGACAGCAGCACACAGCAACAGCAGAUUCAUUGAAUACAAUAGAAGAUUAGUCUCCGAAUACAAUUCAUCAUAUUAGUCUCCGAAUUCAGAAGACCGAACAAAGAUAAAACAUUACAAGUCUCGAGACCGGGAGUAGCGAGUUUGUCUUUACAUUACAAGUCGAUAUCGAUCAUCUAAACUACCAUCACAUAGAAGAGAGCUGCGGUCAUCACGAUGAGCAUCAUCCCGAUGAAACUGGUCUUCAUCUGGUUCCUCCAACGCUCCCUCCUCUCUCCCGCUAGAUAGCGGGCGUAUCUAGAUUCCGCCUCUGCCCUAGUGGUGUACCCUUUGUAACUGUUACCGCUGAAACGGUGAACCUGUAUCCGACACUCCUCCCAGUCGUCGUAGACUCCGGGAACCUUACCCUUGUACACGACAUACGACAUCAUCUCUAUGCACAAGCCAAAUAACACACAAUACAUAAGCAAUAUAUAAGUAUGCAACAAAAGGAUCAGAAGAGAAAAGCAAGACAUUAAUAGCACGAUUAAUGGUCCUACUAAUAAAUAGCAUCGAUUACAUCUAAGUGGAACGACUGUCCAAACCAAAGAGACAUACAAUUCAUUAAAGUUUAAUUACAACAUGAGCCAAUCAAUGUUUCAGAACUACACAUAGCAUCACUACUUUCGACUCGACUCAUGGGACCGGAGCGUGGAUGAAGCCGCCGUCUGUCGUGAUGGUCAUGAAAUCGCGGGCGUUGUCAGCCUGCAUUUGUAGCAUUGUGUCUAUCUCACUGUUGGACGGUUGAUAUCUGAGGUAGAACUGCCCCGAGGUAUGAAGGACAUCUUGAUGAAUGAUUUCCGCUAACUCCGGCUGGAUGCGAAAGAAUUCUUGUCUGAUGUCCGCGUCCUGGAUUGCCGACAAGCUAGCGGCACAAUCUUUGAGAUUAUCUGGUAGCAGAAGGUGAUGAUGGUCCCGUACGAUCACCCGCAUGUGAUGGAGGGAAUAGUAGGCAUCCUUCUGACCGCCAGGCGGCUGCUUGACGCAACAGAACUUAGUAUUGUGGGCGAACACGUGCCUGCCGUACCUAUGAACUGGCCUAGUGAAGGUGCCUCCAUAUUUGGCAUAGCCGGGGAGAACAUCAUCAAGAACUUUCUUGAUAUUUGUGUAGUCUAUCUUGGAGUCACGGUUCGGGUCGAAAUACGUGGCCAUGGAAUAUUUCGGGCUUAAGAGGAUGAGUGUGCAAUGUGUGUCACUACACAGAACACGGAAUGUUAGAAAAAAGAAAGAACGAUCAAAAUCUAAGAAAUCAUUUGUUUCGGGGCGGUUAAGGGUUGACUUACUCGGGAAAGUAAGCCACGAGGAAGUUAUCCUUAUCUGGGUUUGCCAGAAUGACGCCUUCGAGGUGUGAACUCGUGACUUGGCGGUCCCCAGCGCUGCCCAAGAGCUUGGCACGCAUGUAGAAGGGGUCGACUAUCAUGAUGUCCGGGGUCCUGUCUCUAAUGAUCUGCAUCUCCAUACUCAGGGAAAAUAGCCGAACGAAGGUGUAGUGUAGCGGAUGAAGGUUAAACAUAGCAAAGAUGUCAUCAAACCGUAGGACGAUCGUACCCCCGAUGGCGCCAUCGACAAAGCCCUUGCCCUCUGGCACCUUGGCCACGAAAACUGGGUAUGCCACAUCAUUCUCUCUAAGACGCCGCUUCUCCAAAGAAAGAACACUGUCAUGCAGACUCCACAUAGCACCGGUUGCAGCAUUGAGCAUAUUUGUCGGUAGCAUUGCCCUACCCGCCACAUGCACCCUCCUUGAGAUAUCCUUAGGUGAAGGUGGCCUAUCCUGAGCACGGAUCGUACUCGGUACCGGCGCCCUUUUUAGCCUUUCGUUUCCGUCCCUUCUUCUUGAUCUGCUAUAAUGGGACCGAGUUCUGCUCACAGACCGCCUUCUUGAGCGUGUUGGGGCUGAUAAUAUUUGGCACCUCAGCUAUCUGAGGCUCGAUGAAGGCGGCAGCUGGAGGCGUCUCCUAAGAACUGAACGCCAGAUGACGCCUGUUGCAACUGGGUUUCUUCGCCGUACCAGCUAGAUCGUGGUCGUCUUGGUUGGGUUCUUGAGAAGGAGGCCCGCAGAACUCAUCACCGUACCCAUGUUCGGCAAAGUACUUAUCGACGUUGGUAAAUGUACCGUCGUCGUUGUCGUCGUCCGGAUCCUGUGCCAUAUGCAUGUCCGGAUCCUGUGCCAUAGGGAUGUCCGGCAUGUCCGGUAGCGUUGCGGCAUUCUUGCCAUGGCUUGGCGUCGGCACGACUGGCGGUCUUGUUUGUGGGGUGGUGUCCCCCGCCCCCAAACGAAUUUGGCUCUUCGGCCAAAGCAGGGGUGAGCUUACGCAGGCGCUGUGGGUCAUCUCAUCUUCUUCGUCGGCCCCAGCAGGUUGAAUCGGAGGUAAUAGCUCGUCGCAGCCUGGCAGCACCGGAACCACUUCAACCCUAUACACUGUGGGUGGCAUCAGAUUACCGUGGAACACGGGGUUGCCCGGUUGAACGAUUCUGCCCUUGGCGACAUCGACCAACUCACCGCCCACGAAGUGCAGGAGAAUGCAAGGAACGUUGGCAGCACCCUGCGAAAACAUGCAUGUAGGGUGUCAGGGAUGCCCAGUCAAAGGCAAGGAGAUGAAGUCAUCGAACGAGAUGCUUAGUUACCGUGAUGCCGUCGAGCUCGGCUAAUGUCGAGGCACCGCCAACGGCGGGCAUGCAACUGACGGAGGGGCCACUUGCUGGCGAGGUGCUGGCCGGCGUACACCCGGGUGCAUUAAGCUCCAAUGCCCGUGUCAGCGCCGGAGACACGAAUACCGCCUCCGCCGGAGACACCAAUGGCGCCGCCGGAGACACCAAUGGCGCCGCCUGCGCGCUGUGCGAGUUGCUGGCCGUGAAGCUGAGAACCGGGGGAGGCCCCUGUUGGCUGCCCGCAAUCCACGUCGUCAGCCCAUGAAUCAACGUAGGCACCGUGGCGUUGAGCUUCGUUCCCAGUUGUUAUUCCACUUGCUCUUGGACAAGCUCCGGUAUCCGUGCCACUUGUGCCUUGAGUGCUUCAACCUCGCGCGACUGGCUUUCCGAGCUGGUCUUUUUCUCCUUUCGCCCACCAGCGGUAUAGUAUGACGACCAUUUUGUGGACAAGCCUUUGCCGGCCACAUGACUAGCUGACGUCGGCUUACUGAGCUUAUCCUUGUUUUUCAUUACGUUCAAUGCCCUAUUCAAAGGGGUGUCAAAAGGGGAGCUCUGAGAUGACCCCGCGCAACUGCUUUCAUUGUCCUGCGGAAGGAAUGUGAACCAUUUAGAAAUAUUGGGGAUUAAUUAGAAUGCAACCAUAUGGAGCUAAUUACGCGGCGGUGUAUUCCUUACCAGAACAAGCUCAAGCGCCUUGGUCUUCGGAUCCGUGGUAAGCUCCUUUGUUACCGGGUCCUCCUUGUACCGGGCCCUGAGAAAGUUGCCGGUCUGCUUGUCACGGUAUUUCUUGAAGCGGGGUGGUAGGCCUUGCUCGGCACGCUCCGCGUCCUCCUUGUCCCAUAUAGGCUCCACCACUCUGUAACCGCCGGGACCGAGUUGGUGGACCCCUAAGUUCAACUGCCGCAUUUCUUUCCCCCACUGACUUGAUUUGGAGGUUGCGGGGCUCUCGCACUUGAUCUUGAACUCCUUGUAGUCAUCUUCGCUCAUCAAAGGAUAUUUCGCCUUGAUCUUCUCAUAACUAUCACCUUUUUAAAUCAUUGCCUUCACCGUGCUUCUCCAAGUAGACAGGGCCGUGCUCAUCCUCGUGAGGGCGACACUGUUCACUUUAUUCCCUGAGAGGCGUGUGUUUGCAAACUCAGCGGGGAACUUGUAUCGUUCGUGCAGCUUCGUGAAGAGGAGGCUGCGCAAAUUCCCUCGGUCCUUAUGCCUUAGGUUCUCGGUGUUGAUCGAGACGGUGCUCCGGAGAAUGCACCCGAGCUGAACCAAGUACCCCUUGACUACUUGUUUGGGCGCCGUCCGAUGCCCGUCGGAGUUCACUUCAGUAAAUUCCUCCCUGACGGUGCCGAGCACGCUCGGGCGCCGGUCCUUCCGUUGCCUCUUCGGUUGGCUGCCAUCUGUGCGUGAGCCGCCAUCAUCAGUGGUGGCAUCUGCGGCGCCAUCAUCAGUGGUGUCAUCCUCGACGCCACUAGGGGUUGUGUAGUUAGGAUCGGUGUCUUCCGCGGCGUCCUCAUAGCGGUGUGGUUCUUCCUCCAACUCCUGGGACAGCUCCCAAAAUUACUUGCCGCCCGAACUGCCGGCCUCAUCGUUGUGGGCCAUGUUUCACUCUAAAUAGGAAAAAGGUUUGGUCAAAAAGUUGGUUAUUGUCAACGAACAAGAUCAUGGUCUCAUCAUUUAGGGUUUUUCGACACCGAGGCAUCCUAAAAGCUAAGCUUUUAUCAUUUAGGGUUUGUCGACGCCGAGGCACCCUAAAAGCCUAAGCGUACAUCAUUUAGGUUCUCAUCGACACCGAGGCACCCUAUAGAAGCCAAGUUAAGUUUUCAUCAUUUAGGGUUUAUCGAUGCCGAGGCACCCUAGGUUGGGCCUAAUCACUUGGCACUAAUCACUUGGCUCUAUUGCCACCUAUGUUGGGUUUAUCAUCUAGGGUUUAUCGAUGCUAAGGAGAAUUCUAAGUUGGGCCUAAUCACUUGGCUCUAUUGCCAUCUAUGGUUUAAUGCAGCAAGAAUGGCAAGGCAGUUGAUCCUACUUAACUAAGUACUAAGAUACCCCGGCCCAUGCAUUAGUCGCAAGUACCCCAUAUGUCCUAUUUUUAGCAAAGUCAUGCUAAAAUUCACGAAAAAUUUCAGCAUGACCUUUGCUGAAAAUAGGACAUAUGGAGUACCCAAAUUUGUUGGAACGGAAGUUAAUCGACAUUCCGGCAAACUCAAGGGCCUCUCGGGGUACCUGCAAAUUCAUCACGACACAAUGGUCGGAGACAAAACCCAGCAAACUAGCAAGAUGAUCAUCAUCUUUGCAAGACAGUAGGUCAUGUUUUUUACAGUAGCCUCUGAAGAAAAUAGCAUUGCAACAUUCAAGUUCAGACAUAUACACUGAACAUUUGACCAGUUACCUCUGAAGAAAAAUAUACGCUGAUUAUUGGAUACAAAGAAAACAACUAUUGUAAAUAUUAAGUCAUGGUAGUGUGCGCUAAAACAAUUACAGUAUAGGAACAACAACACAACAGUGGCUCAGUUAUUAGAGGACUGUAAAAAACAAACACAAAAACACAGAACAGUCAUUUCCUUGUGUGUGCUAUACAUAUAGAUGAAAAUGGACUUGUUGCUACAGUAAUUACAGUUCUAAGGAAAGGGAGUUACAGUUUAACAUCAUCAAGUAGUGUUACAUAAUAUAGGUGAUCAUCAUCAAGUAGUUGCUAGCAGCAAAGUUACUGACGUGUUUACAGAAAUUGUUUUCUGUAAAAGAUGAUCAUCAUGUUUGCAAGUCUUUCUCAAUGUGAUCACAAGUAAUUCAGAGGGAUCACAAUAAAGCAACACCCUGCACUAGCCUAAAAACAAGUGAAGUAUCACCCAUAUAAGAACAACUUUAUAAAAUCAGAGAAGUUGCUAAUUUUUUUGUAUCCUUCAUACACACUGGAGUACAAUGCUUUAUAAUGUUCCAUCAUCAUUACAGAAAUCCAGGAAACACAUGGUCUUGAGGAUAUUCUUUAUGACUGAUUAUUUCAUAAAUGCCAGGGAACACAGAAAUCCAAGAAACGAUGUUUUCACUUGAUUUAUUAAAAUGGGUCAUCACAAGCUCAACGUUGGGAAAAAUGAGUGUCGUGAGGAAUCAGUGCACAGCGGCACACCAGCUGCCUGCCCAAUUUCUUCUUCUUCUGUAAAGAAAAUAAUCGACUUGUUGGACCGGAUCUACUCGUAAUUAAUUAUAUCGAGCGGUCGUGUUCUCCUUAUUAGAAAUUAAGUUGAUGUGCACACAUAUCUGCGAUACUACCAUGUACUAGAACCAAGACCAAGUCGCGUGAAUAAUGCUUGCAUGACUGUGCCUGAUUGCUGUAUGACUACUUGAUUAGGGGGACGAAAACGAUAGGGGAGGACGUCGAGGGCGCGGGCGCGAGCGGAGGGGGGACGGCGAGGGAGGCGGUGCUCGGCUUGGUGUCGCAUGGCCUGGCUGAGCUGAGGUAGAGGCGGUCGUCGUCUUCUUCUCCUCCUCGUCCUCCUCCUGGUCCUCCUCCUCCGGCUCGGGGCGCGGGGGCGCGGGGGCGGCGGCGGCGGACGGACGACAAGGUCGGUGAAGAGAACGGCGACGGUGCUGCAACGAAGCCGCGUGGUCAGCCGCGGGGGCGCGGGGGCGNNNNNNNNNNNNNNNNNNNNNNNNNNNNNNNNNNNNNNNNNNNNNNNNNNNNNNNNNNNNNNNNNNNNNNNNNNNNNNNNNNNNNNNNNNNNNNNNNNNNNNNNNNNNNNNNNNNNNNNNNNNNNNNNNNNNNNNNNNNNNNNNNNNNNNNNNNNNNNNNNNNNNNNNNNNNNNNNNNNNNNNNNNNNNNNNNNNNNNNNNNNNNNNNNNNNNNNNNNNNNNNNNNNNNNNNNNNNNNNNNNNNNNNNNNNNNNNNNNNNNNNNNNNNNNNNNNNNNNNNCUAGCGAGGGAGAGAGGGACGAAGGGGAUCUGGCGAGGGAGAGGGAGGAAUUAGCUAGGGGGGAAGCUUACUAAUGGCGCACCCCGCGGCGGUGUGCCAUUAAUAUGUUUUUUAGAUAGCAAUGGCGCACCCUCCGUCGGUGCACCAUUAGAAAUCUUUUUUUAGAUAGCAAUGGCGCACCCCCCGUCGGUGCGCCAUUAGAAAUCUUUUUUUAGAUAGCAAUGGCGCACCCCCCGCCGGUGCGCCAUUAGAAAUCUUUUUUUAGAUAGCAAUGGCGCACCACCAAACCGGUGUGCCAUUAGUAUGUUUUUUUUUAUUUUUUUUAAAAAUGAAUAUGAAACAGUGAUAUUUUUUUUAUAAAAACAGUAAUAAUUGUUGUUUAACAACAAUUGUAGUCUACACUUUAUUAUUUUUUUUCAGAAAAUGAAUAUGAAUAUGAAACGGUAAUAAUUUUUUAUAAAAACAGUAAUAAUUUUUUAAAAGAUGUCAUCAAAUUUGUUAUUUGAAAAUAUCAUCGGCGGCGGCGGUGGAGCGGGGGAGGGUGCGGGGGGUNNNNNNNNNNNNNNNNNNNNNNNNNNNNNNNNNNNNNNNNNNNNNNNNNNNNNNNNNNNNNNNNNNNNNNNNNNNNNNNNNNNNNNNNNNNNNNNNNNNNNNNNNNNNNNNNNNNNNNNNNNNNNNNNNNNNNNNNNNNNNNNNNNNNNNNNNNNNNNNNNNNNNNNNNNNNNNNNNNNNNNNNNNNNNNNNNNNNNNNNNNNNNNNNNNNNNNNNNNNNNNNNNNNNNNNNNNNNNNNNNNNNNNNNNNNNNNNNNNNNNNNNNNNNNNNNNNNNNNNNNNNNNNNNNNNNNNNNNNNNNNNNNNNNNNNNNNNNNNNNNNNNNNNNNNNNNNNNNNNNNNNNNNNNNNNNNNNNNNNNNNNNNNNNNNNNNNNNNNNNNNNNNNNNNNNNNNNNNNNNNNNNCCAUGAAAUUUAAAAAUAUUCAUGAUAUCAAAAAGUGCCCAUGAAAUACAAUCGAGAAAUGAAGAGUACGAUUUAAAUACAAUCGAUCUUAGCUAGCUAUCUGUUCACAAUCUUCUUGCCCUUCUUUUUCGCAAAUGGAGUUCUUCUGUGGAACGGACGUCCUUUAGGUAGGGUGGUCCUGCUUCUUCUUGUGGUGUAUGCUGCUACUUCAUCAUCGUCGUCAUGUUCCAUCUUCGUGUCAUCGUACUUGUCAAAGUCUUGCUCAUUGGCUACUCCAUCCAUUCCGAUGAUCUUCCUUUUGCCUCUCCUCAUGACAACACGACUGUGCUUUGGCGGGUCGGUAAUGAAGAAGCAUUGGUCCACUUGGGAAGCCAGUACCCAUGGCUCAUUUUUUCGCGGUGACGUUUGCACCCGCGGUCUUGGAUUUGGCUUCGGGUAUAACCAUGGUGGUGAAAUACCGGUCUUCUUUUAGGACGCUCUUGGCCCAUCUGACACGGAACAUCGGGACCUUCUCUCCAGCGUAGCUCAGCUCCCAGAUCUCCUCAAUCCUUCCGUAGUAUCUAUCCUUGUCGUUACCGGUGUAGGAUUCCAUCGUUACCCCGGAGUUCUGAUAACCAUCGCUCUUCAUGUCCUUUUCCUCGGUGUAGAAUGUGUAACCGUUGAUAUCGUACGCCUCAUAGGUCAUCAGGUUGUGAUCGGUGCCCUGUGACAAGGUGAAUAUGAGUUGUUCUUCCGCGGAAGAAUCCUCAUGUAAAGGGUACGCCAGAAGCUUCUGCUUGAACCAACGCGUGAAACAUGAGUUGUGCUCUUUGAUUAUAUCUCCGUUCAUUCUCUGUUGGCCUCGGUGAUUGUACGUGUUCUCAAUAAAGGUUUUGUGCUCUACCACCCAAGGAUCGACCACGUCUAUGUGUUGUAGCGCGACUAGGUUUGCUCUUUCAAAGUCGGCGAGUCGACCCUCGAAGUCGACAUGCAUUUCGCGGCGACCCUCACGAUGACCCCAUCCAGCGAGCCUGCCGAGGUGCCUGUUGACGGGCAGACCAACGGGGUUCUCGAUGCCUAGAUAAUUCGUGCAGUAGGAGAUGCACUCUUCGGUCAGAAAGCCCCUAGCUAUACUUCCCUCUGGACGUGACAUGUUGCGAACGUAUCCUUUGAUGACACCAUUCAUCCUUUCGAACGACAUCGUACUGUGCAGGAACGUCGGCCCAAGUUGGAUGAUAUCCUCCACGAUAUGGACUAGCAGAUGCACCAUAACGUCGAAGAAUGCGGGCGGGAAGUACAUCUCAAGCUCGCAUAGUAUCAGCACGAUCUCUUCCUGUAGCCUUGUGAGUUGCCUCACGCCAACCGACUUCUGAGAGAUGAUGUUGAAAAAGUUGCAUAGGCCAAAUAGCAUUUCACGGAUGUGCGCGUCCAUGAUCCCACGGAUUGCAACUGGAAGUAUCUGCAUCAUCAGCAUGUGACAGUCGUGAGACUUCAUCCUGCUGAACUUCUGCUUCGCUGGGUCUAGGUAUCUGUUUAUCUUCCCCGCGUAACUGUAAGGAAGUUUUACUCCUACGAGGCAGGUGAAAAAAUGCUCGAUCUCCUCCCGACUUAGAGUGAAGCACGUGGGAGGGUAGUCAUUUCCGAUCUUCUUGGCCUUUUUGCCUUUGCGACGACUUUCUGUGUCCUGCUUCGCCUCAUCAUCAUCAUGAUCAUCAUCAUCAUUAGCGUGAAGCUCCUGUCUGAUGCCCAUUGAUUUCAAGUCUGCCCUUGCUUUCGGCCCAUCUUUGGUCCUCUUUGGCAUGUUGAGCAGGGUACCAAGCAGACUCUCGCACACAUUCUUCGUGAUAUGCAUGACAUCAAGGCUGUGAGGCACACGGUGGAUCUUCCAGUACGGCAAGUCCCAGAAAACAGACCUUGUUUUCCAUACCUUCAACAACGGCUCUGACGCCUUUCGCUUCUUUCCCGGCUCUGGUGCCUUUUGCUUCUUUCCCGGUAGUGGGCAAUCUUUCCAAUUUUUCAACAGCUCGUCUAUUUCCUCACCGCUCCUCGUACGCGGGCGUCUUCGGGGUUCGGUUUCACCAUCGAACAGAUCCUUGCGUUUCCUCCAUGGGUCAUCGUCGCGAAGCCACCUUCGAUGUCCCAUGAACACGGUUUUCGACGGGAUCUCUAUCUAGCUGGCGAUACAUUGUGUCAUCCAUGCACCUAACGCAUCCAGAAAAUCCGUGGACCACCUGCCCUGCGAGAUAUCCGUAACCGAGAUAGUCGUGCACCGUCGUGAGCAGUGCGGCUCUCAUAGGGAAAUAUUCUUUCUCUGCGGCGUCCCACGUAUUGGCUGGCGUUUUCCAUAGCGUGUCUAGCUCCUCUUUCAGCAGCCCCAGAUACAGAUUGAUGUCGUUCCCUGGUUGUUUCGGCCCUUCAAUUAGCAUACUCAUGUGAAUGUACUUCCUCUUCAUGCACAACUACGGGGGAAGGUUGUACAUCCACACAAACACAGGCCAGGUGCUAUGUGUGCUUCUCUGGCUGCCCAACGGAUUAACUCCAUCGGUGCUCGCACCCAGCACGAUGUUCCUUGGAUCCUUCCCAAAUUCUGGGUCUUCGAAGUUCAAUGCUUGCCACUGGCUCCCAUCCUUAGGGUGACUCAACAUCUUGUCUUUUUUAUUUAUCUCCGGAUCAUUUGUGUCAUCUUCUCGCUUCUUCGCCUCCCUAUCAGCGUGCCAACACAGGAGCUUUGCUACCUUAGGGUCCGCGAAAUACCGCUGCAGACGAGGAGUGAUCGGAAAGUACCACACCACUUUUCGAGGAGCUUUCUUCCUCUUCUUGUAUCGAGUGACGUCGCACACCGGACAUAUGGUAGACUCCGCGUGCUCGUCUCGAUAAAUGAUGCAAUUGUUCAUGCACACAUGGUAUUUCACGUGUGGUAAAUCCAGAGGACACACGAUUUUCUUCGCCUCCUCGAAACUGGUAGGGCACUUGUACCCCUUGGGAAGACGUUCGUGCCAGAAUGACAUAUUCUCGUCGAAGCAUGCGUCGGUCAUUUUUUGUUUUACCUUCAUCUCCAGAGCCAUGAGCGUUACUUUCAAGCGGGUAUCCUCGGGCCUGCAUCCUUCAUACAAUGGAGUAACCGCGUCUAUCUCCAGUUGAUCCAGCUUGGCUUUCUCUCGGGCGGCAGCUCUUGCGUUAUCCGUCUACUUGAGAAGCAGCUCUUGAAUAUGAGGGUCCUGCACCCAGCCUAGCGAUGGUCCAUCGUCGUCUGCUCCGCCGGCAUCUUCAUCUUCAUGAUCAUGCCCUUCCUCUGCUCCGGCAUCUUCCUCAUCAUCAUGUCCGACAUCUUCUACAUGAUGACUGUGUACAGCAUCACCGUCGUGAUCAUGUCCUGGAGAUUCUUCAUCUUCUCGCCUGCCCGAGCCGCGGUGGUUGUCUUGCUGCCCUUCCUCAUUUCUUGCCCGCCCCCCAUGGACGACUUCAUAGUCAUCUUCAUCACCUUGCCACCGAUAGCCAUCCAUGAAACCACGCAAGAGCAGGUGGUCCCGCACCUGCCCGGAAUCCGGGUCCGCAAUAAGGCUCUUCAGCUUGCAUCUUCGACAUGGACAUCUUAUCUCCGUCUCGUUCUUUUGAAGCAUCUCGGCCUUCGCGGAGCUCAAAAACCUAUUCACGAUGCCUUCAGUCAUUGUGCAGACCAUGGUCGCCUGCGGGGUAGAGCAAAACGAUAUUUUAGAACCAAGAAAAAAUUUGGCAUGACUUUCCCUAAAAAUAGGACCAAAAAGAAUGCAUAGUGCCAAAAUUAUCGCCGAAACGGAAAUGAAUCAACAUUCCGGCAAAAUAUUGGCAACUAUCCCAUUUCAAAUACCGGUACCUGCAAAUGCAACACCACAAACAUACAUAGAUCUAGCUAGGCCACAAAAAGUGCAUGUGCACGUUGUUGGAGCGAGCUAGGGAGAAAAAAAGAGUAGAUCUACAACAUGAAGAUAGCUUUCCCCUUACUUACCUAUCAAAAAAGGUAAUUUCACCACUUAAUUUUGAUGAAUCUAUGGUGCAAAUGAGGUGAGGAGGAGGAGGNNNNNNNNNNGAUGCGGGGGGUGCUCGUCGGCGGCGGUGGAGCGGGGGAGGGUGCAGUGGGUCGGCGGUGGAGCAGGGGAGGGUGCAAUGGGUCGGUGGUGGCGGUGGAGCUAGCGGGGGAGGGUGUGGGUGGGAUCGAGAUCGAGAUGGAAGGGGAUAGCGAUCGAGAUGGAGGGGGAUCAAGAUCGAGAUGGAGGGGGCAUCGAGAUCGAGAUGGAGGGGGAUCGAGAUCGAGUGUCUUCAUGAAUUCAAAAAGUGCCCAUGAAAUUUAAAAAUAUUCAUGAUAUCAAAAAGUGCCCAUGAAAUACAAUCGAGAAAUGAAGGCUACGAUUUAAAUAAAAUCGAUCUUAGCUAGCUAUCUGUUCACAAUCUUCUUGCCCUUCUUUUUCGCAAAUGGAGUUCUUCUGUGGAACGGACGUCCUUUAGGUAGGGUGGUCCUGCAUAUUCUUGUGGUGUAUGCUGCUACUUCAUCAUCGUUGUCAUGUUCGAUCUUCGGGUCGCCGUACUUGUCGAAGUCUUGCUCAUUGGCUACUCCAUCCAUUCUGAUGAUCUUCCUUUUGCCUCUCCUCACGACAACACGACUGGGCUUUGACGGGUCGGUAAUGAAGAAGCAUUGGUCCACUUGGGAAGCCAGUACCCAUGGCUCAUUUCUCGCGGUGACGUUUGCGCCCGCGGUCUUGGAUUUGGCUUCGUCUAUAACCAUGGUGCAAAUGAGGUAAUUUCACCACUUAAUUUUGAUGAAUCUAUGGUGCAAAUGAGGUGAGGAGGAGGAGGCAGCCGACAAGCUUGGAGAAGGAGGUGGAGGGAAUGAAGUGGGGAAAGUGAGUGUGUAUGUGUGGUUGUCCAAAAUAUCUAGCUGGUCCCAGGUUACUAAUGGCGUACCACACAGCCAUGCACCAUUAGUAACCCAACAUACUAAUGGCGCACCUCCUGGGCAUGCGCCAUUAGUAGUUUUGCAAAAAAGUAAUAUAUAUAUAUAUAUAUAUAUAUAUAUAUAUAUAUACUAAUGGCGCACCGUGGCAUAGUGCGCCAUUACUAGUUUAAACUAGUAAUGGCGCACUGUGCCACGGUGCGCCAUUAGUAGUUUUGCAAAAAAAGAGUAAAAAAAUACAGUAGUGGCGCACUCUAUGGCUGGUGCGCCAUUACUAGUUAGAACUAGUAAUGGCGCACUGUGCUCGGAUGCGCCAUUAGUAUGUUUGAAAAAAUGAAAAAAAAAUUGUUACUAGUGGCGCACCUUGUGUCUGGUGCGCCAUUAGUGUCUUCCACACUAAUGGCGCAUCGGCACAUGGUGCGCCAUUAGUAUAUAGUAGUGGCGCACCACUUCUCUGGUGCGCCAUUAAUGUCAAUUUCAUCUAUAGCCCUUUUCCUAGUAGUGAAACACUAGCACGCAAAUCACAUAAAGCAUAGAACUCAUGAUCUUUAAUCUUAAUUUUAAUAGUUGGUUCCCACUCAUCAUAAAGUUUUCUAGGGAUAGAAACUUCCAAUUCAAGUUUCUCUUCAUAAGAUUGCAUCAAUGCAUCAACGAUAUGUUUAGUGAACGCUUUAUUUUGACUAUAAGCAUGAGGAGAAUUUAGCAUGGAUUGCAACAAGGAAAUACAAUCAGUCAAAGAGCAAUUUUCAUAAUUAAAUUCCUUGAAAUCCAAAAUAGUGGGUUUAGCAACAUCUAGGGUUUUAAUUUCUUCGAUCCCACUUUUAUCAAUUUUAGCAUCAAGAUCUAAAGACUCUGAAUUCUUGGAACGCCUUCUAGGUAAAGGUGGAUCAUAAUUAGUCCCAUCAUUACUAAGAUUCAUAUUGCAAAACAAAGAUUUAAUAGGGGACACAUCAAUAACUUUUAGAUCUUCAUCUUUAUUUUCAUAGGAACUAGAUGAACACGCUCUUAUAAAGGCAUCUUUCUUAGCACGCAUCCUAGCGGUUCUUUCUUUGCACUCAUCAAUGGAAAUUCUCGUGGAUUUGAGAGACUCAUUGAUAUCAUGCUUAGGUGGAAUAGAUCUAAGUUUCAAAUAAUCAACAUCAAGAGAAAUUCUAUCAACGUUCCUAGCCAACUCAUCAAUCUUAAGCAAUUUUUCUUCAAUCAAAGCAUUGAAAUUCUUUUGCGAAGUAAUAAAUUCUUUAAUAUUAGAUUCAAAAUCAGAUGGCAUCUUAUUAUAAGAAUUGUUGUAGGAAUUACCAUAAUUAUUAGAGGGAUUACUCGGAUAAGGCCUAGGAUUAAAAUUUCCUCUAUACGCGUUGUUACCAAAAUUGUUCCUACCAACAAAAUUCACAUUCAUAGAUUCAUUAUUAUUCUCAAUCAAAGUAGACAAGUGCAUAUCAUUAGGUUCAGAAGAAACACUUUUACUAGCAAAUAAUUUCAUAAGUUCAUCCAUCUUUCCACUCAAAACAUUAAUUUCUUCUAUUGCAUGCACCUUUUAUUAGUAGAUCUUUCAGUAUGCCAUUGAGAAUAAUUAACCAUAAUAUUACCUAGGAGUUUAGUAGAUUCUCCUAAAGUGAUUUCCAUAAAAGUGCCUCCCGCGGCCGAAUCUAAAAGAUUUCUAGAAGCAAAAUUCAAUCUGGCAUAAAAAAUUUAUAUAAUCAUACAUAAAUUCAAACCAUGAGUAGGGCAAUUACGUAUCAUUAAUUUCAUCCUCUCCCAAGCUUGUGCAACAUGUUCAUGAUCAAGUUGCUUAAAAUUCAUAAUGUCGGUGUCAAAACCGGCGGAUCUCGGGUAGGGGGUCCCGAACUGUGCGUCUAGGAUCGAUGGUAACAGGAGGCAGGGGACACGAAGUUUUACCCAGGUUUGGGCCCUCUUGAUGGAGGUAAAACCCUACGUCCUGCUUGAUUAAUAUUGAUGAUAUGGGUGGUACAAGAGUUGAUCUACCACGAGAUCGUAGAGGCUAAACCCUAGAAGCUAGCCUAUGGUAUGAUUGUAUGUAUAUAUUGUAUAUCUAUCGACUAGCCUGGCCUCGGUUUAUAUAAUGCACCAGAGGCCUAGGAUAACAAGAGUCCUAGCCAAAUACGCCGGUGGGGAGAAGUCCUUGUCUUGAUCGCCAAGUCUUGUGGAAUCUUCCUUGUAUGUGGUAGCCGUCUGAACUGGCCCAUGAGUAUACGGCCACGGGGGUCCUCGGCCCAAUCUAAUAGAUCGGGAGACGACGUGGUGAGUACCCCCUAGUCCAGGACACCGUCAGUAGCCCCCUGAACCGGUCUUCAAGUUAGGGACGCUCCUCGAUUCUUCCGAACUGUUCUUCAUCUUUGGUUGCCGGUCUUGAAAACUGGUUCAACAAAUCUUCUUUAUCUUCGAUCUUGAGGAUCGCCGAAAUGCAUUCGACGAGUUUACACGUCGGGUAUCCGAGGAGCCCCUUUAAGUUUCCGGCCUUUAUCAAUGCCUUGUUUAUUUUUAUGCCACACCUCGGGUUUGAAGUUGUUCCCGGGAGGUAGGGUCCUCUUGCGUUCGAGCUCCAACGCCGGACUGCAUUCGAGGUAUCUUUUGCAGCCGAGCACCAAUGUCGGACCGCUUCCCAGCUCUAGCGCCGGAAUGUAUCCGAGCUCCAACGCCGGACUAUGUAUCUGAGCUCCAACACCGGACUGUAUAUCCGAGCUCCAACGCCGAAAUAUAUCCGAGCUCCAACGCCUGACUGUGUCCAGGCUCCAAUGUCAGACUAUAUCCGACGUGUCAUAUCACCUUGGUUCAAAAAAGUUGAAGGAGUUUAGCCGAGCUUAAUGCCGGAAAUGCCCUCUAUGGAGCCAGCCACUAGCGCCCGAGCUUUAUGCCGGACUGCUUCCGAGGUGGUGCACCACCCCGACUAUGGGCCGAUUUUUUGUCAAUUUUUUUUAUUGGUGCAAUUUAUUCUCUGCCGAGAUAUAUAGCCAGUAGCCCUCAAGGUGUGUAUCGGUCUAAAACCCGAGAUGCACAUGAAGGAUGACAUAAGACCGCUGAUCCCAGUAGCCGCUGAGACUCAGGUUGAUUUGCAAAAUCGGCCUGAGGAUCAAGUCCUAGCUCGGCAGAAUACUUCAGGACACAAAAGCGGCGUGCUCAGUCCUCAAGACUCAAGUUGGGUGCGGCCGACCAACCUGAGGAUCAAAAUCUCCUCGGAAACUAUAUUGCACAUAAAAUUUUCUGCAUUGGACAAGCAAUGCAGUAGCCCCCGAGACACUGGUCGGGUGGCAACACCAGAUCAGGGGAUCGAUGUGCCCCUUUAAUAUUUGUAAAUAAUAAGCCCGAAGCCCAGUAGCCCCCGAGCCUUAAUGCGGGCACGGGUGGCCGAAUUAAGGAUCAAUAUCCAUAGUAAAAUAAAAAAUUAUGUGUAAUGACUCUAUGUAUCCAAGUACUUUACGUCAUUAAUGCUUGGAUCCGCAUUGUACAAAACUUUGUUGACCGACCAUCGGCUUCCACCUCCUUGGCCAGUAGCCGAGGAGUGUUUGUCCUACUUUAUAAAGCCUUUAUGAGGGCAAAGAUUUACGACAAACAAGGCAAUCUGGCCACACGGUUUUAUAAACAAAGGUACGCAGAGAGAUAUGUUAUAUUACUGUUUAACAGAAGAAAUGUAUUCCAAAGAAAAUAGUCCCGCUAUCGGUUCCUUUCUUUGGGUUGUCAUGCUAAGCAUGAUCAUGAAACCUCAGCUCGAAUGUAAGAGCAAAAUAUCGAGGAUUUAGUUUGGGAGGCCAGUUAAUAGCCCCCGGUAGUGUUCGGCGACAGUCGAGGUCAAGCCGUAAACACUUCGGCCAAUGUUAUGAAUGGCCCGUCAUAGUCAUCGGAUCGCUGACCAGUUUACGCUUAUUGUGAUAGUCAGUUUUCGGCUUUCUCCACUAAGGUGCUUAACCAUGUGAGCUGGAAGCACAAUUGCAGUGGUUCUCCCUUUGCACGCCUAGCCGAACAAAACGGAACGUAGGAAGAAAGUGCAGGAGCCGGGCAACCCAACUAUUGACCGAAGACACAAUUCGAAACCGAUGCAUAUAUAGCAAUAUCUGAGAAUGUUUUUGCCGAAUCCCUAAAGGUGUCCGGCGUUGCACUGCGAGACUAAUGCUGGAAAAGCACAAAUAGUUUAAAAGUGCCAAAAAGCUUGGAAAACCAAGAAACGUCAGUAAAAACAUGACGUCCGAACAAGAUCAAGUGUUCGGUGCCAAUCCGAAAAUUGGUUUUAGAAAAAAGAAGUGCUUCUGUCGUCCUUUAACAUGACACAUCCUAUCUCAAGACUUCGAGUGGGUCAGCCUACGGCUUCAACCUCCUAUCCCGAGGGCGGAGUACUUCUCAUUAGGCCAGUUUAGCAAACUAAACUCUAGCGGCUUUGAGAGAGAAAUUAGGCUCCCCGGCUAGUGACCGCACACUCGCGUCGAAAAAAGGAGUGAUAAAUAAUAAUAAUAGAAGUUUGCAACGACUGAGAAGAAGAACACUUAUUAUAAAACGGCUCAAAUAAACUUAAGAGCCCCCAAGUGACUUGGGUAGAAGAAUGAUUGCAUGUACCGAAGUACUUAUAUCAUAUCUAUGUUCAACCGAACUUUAAACGCGUCUUAACCGACCGUCGGCUUCUCCCUCUUUGGUUAAGGACCGAAAAGUGUUAUGUACUCCAUCGGUCGAGAAUAUCGAUGGUGUUUCCAAUAACCAGGCAAUCAGGCCAUAAGGCUGUAAAAGACAAAGCGCGCUCAGGGAACUUAUGCUAUAUUACUGCGAAGAGUAAGAAGCAUCUUCGAAAAAAUAGUACCCCCACCGAUACCUUUCUUCGGUGCUCAUUGUUAUUAUGAGACUUGUGCAAUAGUUUUUUGUACUCAUGAGUUCCGUUGUGUGCCGACCAUCAUUGAAUAACUAUAAGAGCGCUAGCUUUCGGCUUCACCCAGUCUGAGGUCCGGCUCGGGUGACCUGAUCGUGACAAUCGUAGAGGUGCUCCCUUUACUCCCUAGCCAAACAAUCGGGAACGUAGGGGUAAACACAGGAGCAAGGCAACCCAGCUUGCAAAUCGCUUAAGUUAAUGUGGUGCAUAUUGUGGCGUAAUACACGAACAAGGAACGAAGCCGUACAAGUAUAAUCAUAUGCAACAGGAAAAGCUUCAUAAAGGAAGCCCCCAAGUAAAUGGGGUAUUUGAAUUUAUGAGUCACAAACAAAGUUUGGACAAGGAAAUUUUUUAGAAGCAACUUUUUUCCAAAAAAGUAUAAUGCUUCGUCGAACCGAACGCAAGUUAGAAAUUAAAGCUUUGAGCAUGAAAGCGACUUAGCUGGUUAAUGUGUUCGGUAUUGAUGACGCGGUCCGAGCUUGAUGCGGGGCAAGGUUCCAUCCCUCAAGCCGAUCCCGAGGUGGCGGAGCGGAGAGCUUGACAUGCCGAAGUGGUGACAUAGCACGAUCAAUGCAGACCGGCAGAGUGACGCCGAAGUCCCCGGAUCAUUUUCCUGUGCACAAAAAAUAGUGCAAACCGGAGAUAAUAGUAAUAAUGAUAAUUAAAAAAAUAGUUGCAUAAUAAAUAAUUUAUGCAAAGUGAGUAAUAAAAGAAAUAUGGCCUGGCGCCGAAGUCAAGUCGAUGUAGGGCGUCGGCGUGAUGCGGUAAAGGCGUGGCAAAGCCUGAAUUCGCAGGUCGGUUCGAGCUCCGAGUGCGGCGUUCGCCGGACUAUGUACGGAAACUGACCGAACCACCAUGCGACUGUCGUUAAUGCAGGAACCAUUUGAUAGACCUGUGUACAUAUGAUGGACAAACCAGAGUAAUAAUUCCUUGGGAAAAAUGAACCCAAACAAGCAAAAAAUACUGGGAUUAAUAGCACCUGGUUUAUUUGUUGUAGCAAUCCGAAGGAAGGUGAUUCCUAAAAUUGGGACCCGCUCCGCACACCCAUUGCCUGAUUGGCGAUAAAACGACGACAUGGCAAUGCUGGUAAAGGUUGACUCGCCGAGGCAAAGCCCUCGGCCCAGCUAACGUGACGGAGCUGGUCGGCUAGUGACGCCGAAGUGUCCGGAGUAGGUUGAUGAAGAGAUGGCGAAGCCCCCGGUCCAGCCGAGAUGUCGAAGCCUCGAUGUCAGCCGAUGAGUCGAAGUAGGUCGGCGUGAUGGACACCAGCUUGAAGAAGCAAUAGUGCGGCCCUGUCGAUUCAGGUCGUGACGUGGUCGAUGCCGGCUUGAUGAAGCGACCGUGCGGCGAUGCUGGUAUGCCCGCUCCGUGUAAUCCGUGGGGCGGCGAUGUUGGUGAUGAUUUAUCCUUCGCGAUGCCGGGCUCUUGUUCGGCUUGCCGAGAUGAUGAUCCGAAGAAGUUGAGCUCGGCUCAACAAAGUGACGCCGUGUCUAGCGCAGGUCGGCAGCCGUGGAGUAACAUUGCCGGACUGGUUUGACACCAGCAUGAUGUUGAAGAUCAUGUUCAAAAGAUCUUACAGUUAGUGGGAUGUGUUCGGGAACAAAACACAAUACCCCAUACAAAACUUCCUUCAAAAGGGAUGUCCGAAAUCCUGUUCAUAAAAAAGAUGAACUCGGGUCGGAUUCGUUUUCGUGCAGAAAACAGAUCCGAAAAGUGAUGCACUAAUCGGAAGGUUCCCGGAGUUUGGACGGUCGAACAAAGCCGAAAUUUUGAGAGGUGGUAGAUAUAGGAAUUCCGCAGCCGAUCAACGGUUGGAUCUUCCAAAGGACGUCCGAGCUAGAAGCUGGACACCACGCCCUAAACUCAUCCAAAUUCCCGUCCAGGUUUGACAGGGCUCCGGUAUAUCGUGGAUUGCCAGAGAUUCCUCCAUCGAAACUCGACGAAAUUUUCCAGGGUUGUUGUAGACUCAAUUCCGCACAAUUCCACCAAAGCGAUCGUCAAAGCAAUACUCGAGGAGGUGGUGGUGGCAGAUACGAGUUCGCUGUCCAGAAAAACAGCAUGGUCGCUUGAGGGCAAUGUUGACGUUGAGCCCCCGAGCUCCAUAGAUGAUUCCUCCGUGAUCUUGAUAGAGAUCGGAGUUGAUGUUUGAUGAAGGACCUCGUUCGGACAUGGUGAUCCGAACACGGGGCACAAUUCUUGGUCGAACCAAGGUGACCAGUCAAGCUGGUGACGAAGAUGCCGAAGUCGCAGUUGAUCUGCAGGCGAGCCAUCGAUCCUUUUGUCGAUCACACAACGGAACCCUCAAUGAAAGCACCAAUGCCGGUGUCAAAACCGGCGGAUCUCGGAUAGGGGGUCCCGAACUGUGCGUCUAGGAUUGAUGGUAACAGGAGGCAGGGGACACGAAGUUUUACCCAGGUUCGGGCCCUCUUGAUGGAGGUAAAACCCUACGUCCUGCUUGAUUAAUAUUGAUAAUAUGGGUAGUACAAGAGUUGAUCUACCAUGAGAUCGUAGAGGCUAAACCCUAGAAGCUAGCCUAUGGUAUGAUUGUAUGUAUAUAUUGUAUAUCUAUCGACUAGCCUGGCCUCGGUUUAUAUAAUGCACCGGAGGCCUAGGAUAACAAGAGUCCUAGCCGAAUACGCCGGUGGGGAGAAGUCCUUGUCUUGAUCGCCAAGUCUUGUGGAAUCUUCCUUGUAUGCGGUAGCCGUCCGAACUGGCCCAUGAGUAUAUGGCCACGGGGGUCCUCGGCCCAAUCUAAUAGAUCGGGAGACGACGUGGUGAGUACCCCCUAGUCCAGGACACCAUCACAUAAUAUCGUUUCUAAGAGAGAUGAUCUUAGUGGGAGGAAAAUACUUAGAGAUAAAAGCAUCUUUGCAUUUAUUCCAUGAAUCAAUACUAUUUUUAGGCAAAGACGAGAACCAAGCUUUAGCAUGAUCUCUAAGCAAAAAAGGAAAUAGCUUCAAUUUAACAAUAUUGUUAUCCACCUCUUUCUUCUUUUGCAUAUCACACAAAUCAACGAAGCUAUUUAGAUGGGUAGCGGCAUCUUCACUAGGAAGGCCGGAAAACGGAUCUUUCAUGACAAGAUUCAGCAAGGCAACAUUAAUUUCACAAGAUUCAGCAUCGGUAAGAGGAGCAACCGGACUGCUAAUAAAAUCAUUAUUGUUGGUAUUGGUAAAGUCACACAAUUUAGUGUUAUCUUGAGCCAUUGUGACAAGCAGGCAAUCCAACGCACAAGCAAACAAAAAGCAAGCAGGCAAAAAGAGACAGGAAAGAGAGGGAGGACAGAGAGAGAGGGUGAAUAAAACGACAAGGGUGAAGUGGGGGAGAGGAAAGCGAGAGGAAAAUGGAAAAUAAUGUAAUGCGGGAGAUAGGGAUUGUGAUGGGUACUUGGUAUAUUGACUUUUGCGUAGACUCCCCGGCGUAGGCUCCAGAAAUCCUUCUUGCUACCUCUUGAGCACUGCGUUGGUUUUUCCUCGAAGAGGAAGGGAUGAUGUAGCAAAGUAGCGUAAGUAUUUCCCUCAGUUUUUGAGAACCAAGGUAUCAAUCCAGUAGGAGGCUACGCGUGAGUCCCUCGUACCUGCACAAAACAAAUAAAUCCUCGCAACCAACACGACAAGGGGUUGUCAAUCCCUACACGGCCAGUUACGAGAGUGAGAUCUGAUAAGAUAAUAUUUUUGGUAUUUUUAUGAUAAAUAUGCAAAGUAAAAUAAAAGCAAAGUAAAAAGUAAAGGAAAUAACUAAGUAUUGAAAGAUUAAUAUGAUGAAAAUAGACCCGAGGGCCAUAGGUUUCACUAGUGGCUUCUCUCGAGAGCAUAAGUAUUCUACGGUGGGUGAACGAAUUACUGUUGAGCAAUUGACAGAAUUGAGCAUAGUUAUGAGAAUAUCUAGGUAUGAUCAUGUAUAUAGGCAUCACGUCCGAGACAAGUAGACCGACUCCUGCCUGCAUCUACUACUAUUACUCCACUCAUCGACCGCUAUCCAGCAUGCAUCUAGAGUAUUAAGUUCAAGAGAAAAGAGUAACGCUUUAAGCAAGAUGACAUGAUGUAGAGGGAUAAACUCAUGCAAUAUGAUAUAAACCCCAUCUUGUUAUCCUCGAUGGCAACAAUACAAUACGUGCCUUGCUGCCCCUACUUUCACUGGGAAAUGACACCGCAAGAUUGAACCCAAAACUAAGCACUUCUCCCAUUGCAAGAAAGAUCAAUCUAGUAGGCCAAACCAAACUGAUAAUUCGAAGAGACUUGCAAAGAUAACCAAUCAUACAUAAAAGAAUUCAGAGAAGAUUCAAAUAUUGUUCAUAGAUAGACUUGAUCAUAAACCCACAAUUCAUCGGUCUCAACAAACACACCGCAAAAACAAGAUUACAUCGAAUAGAUCUCCACAAGAGAGGGGAGACCAUUGUAUUGAGAUCCAAAAAGAGAGAAGAAGCCAUCUAGCUAAUAACUAUGGACCCGUAGGUCUGAGGUGAACUACUCACAGUUCAUUGGAGGGCUAUGGUGAUGAUGUAGAAGCCCUCCAUGAUCGAUGCCCCCUCCGGCGGAGCUCUGGAACAGGCCCCAAGAUGGGAUCUCGUGGAUACAGAAAGUUGCGGCGGUGGAAUUAGGGUUUUGGCUCCGUAUCUGAUCGUUUGGGGGUACGUAGGUAUAUAUAGGAGGAAGGAGUACGUCGGUGGAGCAACANNNNNNNNNNNNNNNNNNNNNNNNNNNNNNNNNNNNNNNNNNNNNNNNNNNNNNNNNNNNNNNNNNNNNNNNNNNNNNNNNNNNNNNNNNNNNNNNNNNNNNNNNNNNNNNNNNNNNNNNNNNNNNNNNNNNNNNNNNNNNNNNNNNNNNNNNNNNNNNNNNNNNNNNNNNNNNNNNNNNNNNNNNNNNNNNNNNNNNNNNNNNNNNNNNNNNNNNNNNNNNNNNNNNNNNNNNNNNNNNNNNNNNNNNNNNNUGGCCUCCUCCUUUGUGUCUUGACGUAGGGUCCAAGUCUCCUGGAUCAUGUUCGGUGAGAAAAUCACGUUCCCGAAGGUUUCAUUCCGUUUGGACGCCGUUUGAUAUUCCUUUUCUUCGAAACCCUAAAAUAGGCAAAGAACAGUAAUUCUGGGCUGGGCCUCCGGUUAAUAGGUUAGUCCCAAAAAUAAUAUAAAAGUGGAUAAUAAAGCCCAAUAAUGUCCAAAACAGUAGAUAAUAUAGCAUGGAGCAAUCAAAAAUUAUAGAUACGUUGGAGACGUAUCAGCGGCGGCGGCUAGGUUAGGAGCGCGGCGGCGAUGCUCAAAGUAGGUGAAAAACCCGGACAGCAUGACAAAGACCGGUGCGGACGGUGGCAUUCCCGCACUAAGGGAGACGGUGAUGACCCACAAGUAUAGGGGAUCUAUCGUAGUCCUUUCGAUAAGUAAGAGUGUCGAAUCCAAAGAGGACCAGAAGGAAAUGAUAAGCGGUUUUCAGCAAGGUAUUCUCUGCAAGUACUGAAAUAAGUGGCAACAGAUAGUUUUGUGAUAAGAUAAAUUGUAACGAGCAACAAGUAACAAAAGUUAAUAAAGUGCAGCAAGAUGGCCCAAUCCUUUUGUAGCAAAGGACAAGCGGGAACAAACUCUUAUAAUAGGAAAAGCGCUCCCGAGGACACAUGGGAAUAUCGUCAAGCUACUUUUCAUCACGUUCAUAUGAUUCACGUUCGAUACUUUGAUAAUUUGAUAUGUGGGUGGACCGGUGCUUGGGUGCUAUUCUUACUUGAACAAGCAUCCCACUUAUGAUUAACCUCUAUUGCAAGCAUCCGCAACUACAACAAAAGUAUUAAGGUAAACCUAACUAUAGCAUGAAACAUGUGGAUCCAAAUCAGCCCCUUAGGAAGCAACGCAUAAACUAGGGUUUAAGCUUCUGUCACUCUAGCAACCCAUCAUCUACUUAUUACUUCCCAAUGCCUUCCUCUAGGCCCAAAUAAUGGUGAAGUGUUAUAUAGUUGACAUUCACAUAACACCACUAGAGGCUAGACAACAUACAUCUUAUCAAAAUAUCAAACGAAUACCAAAUUCACAUGACUACUAAUAGCAAGACUUCUCCCUUGUCCCUAGGAACAAACGUAAUUACUCACAAAGCAUAUUCAUGUUCAAAAUCAGAGGGGUAAUAAUACACAUAUAGGAUCUGAACAUAUGAUCUUCCACCAAAUAAACCAACUAGCAUCAACUACAAGGAGUAAUCAACACUACUAGCAACCUACUAGCACCAAUCCCGGACUUUGAGACAAGAAUUGGAUACAAGAGAUGAACUAGGGUUUGGAGAUGAGAUGGUGCUGGUGAAGAUGUUGAUGGAGAUUGCCCUCUCCCGAUGAGAUGAGCGUUGGUGAUGACGAUGGUGAUGAUUUCCCCCUCAUGGAGGGAAGUAUCCCCGGCAGAACAGCUCUGCCGGAGCUCUAUAUUGGUUCCACCAAGGUUCCGCCUCGUGGCGGCGGAGUCUCGUCCUGAAAAGUUCCUUCUUAUUUUUUUUCUCAUCGAAAGACUUCAUAUAGGAGAAGAUGGACGUCGGAGAGCCACCAGGGGGCCCACGAGGUAGGGGGCGCGCCUUGGGAGGGCGCCCCCACCCUUGUGAGCAGGGUGUGGGCCCCCUGGCCUUCAUCUUUGGCGGGGAUUUUUCUUUGUUUAUCUUAAGAUGUUCCGUGGAGUUUCAGGACUUUUGGAGUUGCGCAGAAUAGGUCUCUAAUAUUUGCUCCUUUUCUAGCCCAGAAUUCCAGCUGCCGGCAUUCUCUCUCCUUAUGUAAACCUUGUAAAAUAAGAGAGAAUAACCAUAAGUAUUGUGACAUAAAGUGCAAUAACAGUCCAUAAUGCAAUAAAUAUCGAUAUAAAAGCAUGAUGCAAAAUGGACGUAUCAACUCCCCCAAGCUUAGACCUUGCUUGUCCUCAAGCGAGAAGCCAAUAACAAUAAAUAUCUCCUCAUGUUUAGAGGUAGAGGCGUCGAUAAAAAUUUAAAUACGAACAUGAAGGCAUCAUGAUUAUUCUCAUAACAGCAACAUAUAUAUAUAUUUUGUCAUAUGAUUACUUAUGUUCAAGUGAUGAUCUAUUCACAAUGCAAAAGUACGGAUCAUAAACCUUAUUGGGCUCCGACAAACUAUAAUCUCAGUCAUUGAAGCAAUUGCAAUUUAUCAUAACAUCGGAAAGAGUCUAUGUCAGAGCUAAAAAGCAAGUCGACAUACUCAACUAUCAUUUACUCCUCCAUAAUUGCUAACACUCACGCAAUACUUGUGGUUACGGAGUUUUAGUCGGACACAGAGAAAGACAGGGGCUUAUAGUUUUGCCCCACAACCUUUUACCUCAAGGGUAAUGCCAAUAAUAAUGGUUCAUGCUCCCCUACAUCCAAUUAGGUAUAUAUAUCAUGUUCUUUCCAACAUGCUAAGCUUGCCAAAGGAUAAAAUGAAAAAGAAAAGGUGAAGAUCACCAUGACUCUUGCAUAAGGUAGAAGAUAAUAAUAAAGGAUAGGCCCUUCGCAGAGGGAAGCAGAGGUUGCCAUGUGCUUUUAUGGUUGGAUGCAUAAAGUCUCAAUGCGAAAGAACGUCACUUUAUAUUGCCCCUUGUGAUAUGAACCUUUAUUAUGCAGUCCGUCGCUUUUAUUACUUCCACAUCACAAGAUCGUAUAAAGCUUAUUUCUCCCACACCAAUCAAUCAUACAUAUUUAGAGCAAUUUUUAUUGCUUUGCACCGAUGACAACUUACAUGAAGGAUCUUACUCAAUCCAUAGGUAGAUAUGGUGGACUCUCAUGGCAAAACUGGUUUAAGGGUAUUCGGAAGCACAAGUAGUAUUUCUACUUGGUGCUGAGAAUUUGGCUAGCAUGAGGGGGAAAGGCAAGCUCAACAAGUUAGAGGAUCCAUGACAACAUACUUUAUCUCAGAUAUAAGAAAGACAUAACUCAUUACGUUGUCUUCCUUGUCCAACAUCAACUCUUUAGCAUGUCAUAUUUUAAUGAGUGCUCCCAAUCAUAAAAGAUGUCAAUGAUAAUAUAUCUAUAUGUGAAACCUCUCUUUCCUUAUUACUUCCUAUUAAUUGCAACAAUGACCAAAGCUAUGUCUACCAACUCCCAACAACUUUUAAUCAUCAUACUCUUUCUAUGUGAAGUCAUUACUCUCAAUAAUAUCAAUAUGAACUCUUUGUUUCUUUUUAUUAUUUUUCUCUUUUCUUUUAUUCACCCAAGAUCAUUGCAAAAUAAUCAAGCCCUUGACUCAACACUAAUCUUUAUUAUAUAUAGCUCAUGGACUCGAUUACAAAGAGAGAUCAUAAAGCAAACUCAAAACUAGAUCAUGCCAUAAACUUUAUUCUACUAGAUCAAGAUACUACUAAUAGGAUAGAACUAAGAAAAACGGCAAAGAUAGGAGUUGUGAUUGUGAUAUGAUACCGGGGCACCUCCCCCAAGCUUGGCAGUUGCCAAGGGGAGUGCCCAUACCCAUGUGAUUAUAUCUCCUUUGUCGGUGAAGAAGGUGGUGGUGAUUGAUGUCUACUACACAACCUUCUUCUUGUAGACGUUGUUGGGCCUCCAAGUGCAGAGGUUUGUAGGACAGUAGCAAAUUUCCCUCAAGUGGAUGACCUAAGGUUUAUCAAUCCGUAGGAGGCGUAGGAUGAAGAUGGUCUCUCUCAAGCAACCCUGCAACCAAAUAACAAAGAGUCUCUUGUGUCCCCAACACACCCAAUACAAUGGUAAAUUGUAUAGGUGCACUAGUUCGGCGAAGAGAUGGUGAUACAAGUGCAAUAUGGAUGGUAGAUAAAGGUAUUUGUAAUCUGAAAAUAUAAAAAUAGCAAGGUAACUAAUGAUAAAAGUGAGCGUAAAUGGUAUUGCAAUGAUAGGAAAUAAGGCCUAGGGUUCAUACUUUCACUAGUGUAAGUCCUCUCAACAAUAAUAACAUAGAUAGAUCAUAUGACAAGCCCUCAACAUGCGACAAAGAGUCACUCCAAAGCCACUAAUAGCGGAGAACAAAUGUAGAGAUUAUGGUUGGGUACGAAACCACCACAAAGCUAUUCUUUCGGAUCAAUCUAUAAAAGAGUUCGUACUAGAAUAACACCUUAAGAUACAAAUCAACCAAAACCCUAAUGUCACCUAGCUACUCCAUUGUCACCUCAAGUAUCCGUGGGCAUGAUUAUACGAUAUGCAUCACACAAUCUCAGAUUUAUCCAACCAACAUAAAAGUACUUCAAAGAGUGCCCCAAAGUUUCUACCGGAGAAUCAAGAACGUGUGCCAACCCCUAUGCCUAGGUUCCCAAUGUCACGAAACCCGCAAGUUGAUCACCAAGACAUACAUCAAGUGUUCUCAUAAAGACUCAAUCCGAAAAGAUAACUUCAAAGGGGAAACUCAAUUCAUCACAAGAGAGUAGAGGGGGAGAAACACCAUAAGAUCCAACUACAAUAGCAAAGCUCGGGAUACAUCAAGAUCGUGCCAUAGCAGGAGCACGAGAGAGAACACGAGAGAGAGAGAGAUCAAACACAUAGCUACUGGUACAUACCCUCAGCCCCGAGGGUGAACUACUCCCUCCUCGUCAUGGAUAGCGUCGGGAUAAUGAAGAUGGCCACCGGUGAUGGAUCCCCCCUCCGACAGGGUACCGGAAAGGGGUCCCGAUUGGUUUUUGGUGGUUCUGGAGGCUUGCGGCGGCGGAACUCCCGAUCUAGGUUCUGUUCUGGAAGUUUUAGGGUACGACGGUAUAUAUGGGUGAAAGGAGAACGUCGGUGGAGCUCCGAGGGGCCCACGAGGCAGGGGGCGCGCCCAGGGGGGCGCCCUCCACCCUCGUGACCUCCCCAGAAACUUCUUGGAGUAGGGUCCGAGUCUCUUGGAUCACGUUCGGUGAGAAGAUCACGUUCCCGAAGGUUUCAUUCUGUUUGGACUCCGUUUGAUAUUCUGUUUCCUUGAAAUACUGAAAUAGGCAAAAAAACAGCAAUUCUGGGUUGGGCCUCCGGUUAAUAGGUUAGUCCCAAAAAUAAUAUAAAAGUGGAAAAUAAAGCCCAAUAUAGUCCAAAAUAGUAGAUAAAGUAGCAUGGAGCAAUCAAAAAUUAUAGAUAUGUUGGAGACGUAUCAGGCAUCCCCAAGCUUAAUUCCUGCUAGUCCUCGAGUAGGUAAAUGAUGAAAAGAGAAUUUUUGAUGCAGAAUGAUACUUUGGCAUAAUUUCAAUGUAAAUCUUCUUAAUCAUGGUAUGAAUAUUCAGAUCUGAAAGGUUCAAGACAAAAGUUCAUAUUGACAUAAAAAUGAUAAUACUUCAAGCAUACUAAUCAAACAAUUAUGUCAUCUCAAAAUAACAUGGCCAAAGGAAGUUCAUCCCUACAAAAUCAUAUAGUUAGGCUAUGCUUCAUUUUCGUCACACAAAGAUAUUCCCAACUUCUAUACCCCCGAUGACAAGCCAAGCAAUUGUUUCAUACUCAAAUAAUCUCAAAAGUUUUCAAUGUUCACGCAAUACAUGAGCGCGAGCCAUGGACAUAUCACUAUGGGUGGUAUAGAAUAUGAUGAUGGGGAUUGUGUGGAGAAGACAAAAAAGGAGAAAGUCUCACAUCAACGAGGCUAAUCAAUGAGCUAUGGAGAUGCCCAUCAAUUGAUGUUAAUGCAAGGAGUAGGGAUUUCCAUGCAACGGAUGCACUAGAGCUAAGAAUGCUCAACAAAAGAAAACUAGUGGGUGUGCAUCCAACUUGCUUGCUCAUGAAGACCUAGGGCAUUUUGAGGAAGCCCAUCGUUGGAAUAUACAAGCCAAGUUCUAUAAUGAAAAAUUCCCACUAGUAUGAACAAGACAACUUAUGAGACUCACUAUAUGAAAAUCAUGGUGCUACUUUGAAGCACAAUAUAUGAGACUCACUACAUGAAGAACAAGGUGCUACUUUGAAGCACAAGUGUGGAAAAAGAGAUAGUAGCAUUGCCCUUUUUAUUUUCUCUUUUUUUGGGCCUUUCUUUUUUUCUUUUUGGCCUUUCUCUCUCUCUUUCUUUUUUUUGAUUGGGCAAUGCUCUAAUAAUGAUGAUCAUCACACUUCUAUUGAUUACAACAUAAUGAUUACAACUCGAUACUAGAACAAGAUAUGACUCUAUAUGAAUGCCUCCGGCGGUGUACCGGGAUGGUGCAAUGAAUCAAGAGUGACAUGUAUGAAAAAUAAUGCAUGGUGGCUUUGCCACAAAUACGAUGUCAACUACAAGAUCAUGCAAUGGCAAUAUGACAAAAGUAAAGCAUGUCAUGAUGAUGAUGAUGGAAGUUGCAUGGCAAUAUAUCUCGGAAUGGCUAUGGAAAUGCCAUGAUAGGUAGGUAUGGUGGCUGUUUUGAGGAAGAUAUGGGGAGGUUUAUGUGUGAAAGAGCGUAUCAUAUCACGGGGUUUGGAUGCACCGGCGAAGUUUGCACCAACUCUCAAUGUGAGAAAGGGCAAUGCACGGUACCGAAGAGGCUAGCAAAUGGCGGAAAGGUAAAAGUGCGUAUAAUCCAUGGACUCAACAUUAGUCAAAAGAACUCAUAUACUUAUUGCAAAAAUUUAGAAGUCAUCAAAAAUCAAGUACUACGCGCAUGCUCCUAGGGGGAUAGAUUGGUAGGAAAAGACCAUCACUCGUCCCCGAUCGCCACUCAUAAGGAUGCACAAGCCAGGUACACUUCAUGCUUCAAAUUUGUUACACAACUUUAACCAUACGUGCAUGCUACGGGACUUGCUAACUUCAACACAAGUAUUUCUCAAAUUCACAACUACUCAACUAGCACGACUAUGAUAUUAUCACCUCCAUAUCUCAAAACAAUUAUCAAGCAUCAAACUUAUCUUAGUAUUCAACCCACUAAAAAGAAAGUUUCACAUAUCUUGAAUACCAAGUAUAUUAACAUUAAGCAAAUUACCAUGCUAUUAACGACUCUCAAAAUAAUCUAAGUGAAGCAUGAGAGAUCAAGUUUCUUUAAAACAAACCACCACCGUGCUCUAAAAGAUCUAAGUGAAGCACUAGAGCAAAAAUUAUCACGCUCAAAAAGAUAUAAGUGAAGCACAUAGAGUAAACUAUCAAGCUCAAAAGAUAUAAGUGAAGCACAUAGAGUAUUCUAACAAAUUUCAAUUCAUACAUGGCUCUCUCAAAAGGUGUGUACAGCAAGGAUGAUUGUGGUAGACUAACAAGCAAAGACACAAAUAAUACAAGACGCUCCAAGCAAAACACAUAUCAUGUGGUGAAUAAAAAUAUAGCUCCAAGUAAAUUACCGAUGGAAGUGGACGAAAGAGGGGAUGCCUUCCGGGGCAUCCCCAAGCUUUGACUUUUUGGUGUCCUUGGAUUAUCUUGGGGGUGCCAUGGGCAUCUCCAAGCUUAGGCUCUUUCCACUCCUUGUUCCAUAAUCCAUCAAAAGAAUUCACCCAAAACUUGAAAACUUCACAACACAAAACUCAAUAGAAAUCUCGUGAGCUCCGUUAGAGAAAGAAAACAAAAGACUACUUUAAGGUACUGUAGUGAACUUGUUCUUUAUUUGUAUUGGUGUUAAACCUACUGUAUUCCAAUUUCUCUAUGGUUUAUAAACUAUUUUACUAGCCAUAGAUUCAUCAAAAUAAGCAAACAACACACGCAAAACAGAAUCUGUCAAAAACAGAACAGUCUGUAGUAAUCUGUUAUUAACGCAAACUUAUGGAACCCAAAAAAUUCUACCACAAUUAUAGGACCUGGGAAAUUUGUUUAUUGAUCAGCAGCAAUUAGAAUCACUAUUUUAUCACGUUCUGGUGAUUUUUGACAAUUCGGGCACUGAGCGCAAAGGUUCUGGAAAUUACAGCAAGAUCAAAUAACUAUCUUCCAAGAAGAUCUAAUAGGUUUAACUUGGCACAAACACUAAUUAAAAGAUAAAACCACAUCUAAACAGAAUCUAGAUGGAUUAUUUAUUCCUAAACAAAAUCAAAAACAAAAAACACAAAAUAAAAUUGGGUUGCCUCCCAACAAGCGCUAUCGUUUAACGCCCCUAGCUAGGCAUGAUGAUUUCAAUGAUGCUCACAUAAAUGAUAAGAAUUGAAACAUAAAGAGAGCAUCAUAAAAAAUAUUACUAGCACAUUUAAGUCUAACAUACUUCCUAUGCAUAGGGAUUUUGUGAGCAAACAACUUAUGGGAACAAGAAUCAACUUGCAUAGAAAGGUAAAACAAGCAUAACUUCAAAACUUUAAGCACAUAGAGAGGAAACUUUAUAUUAUUGCAAUUCCUACAAGCAUAUAUUCCUCCCUCAUAAUAAUUUUCAGUAGCAUCAUGAAUGAAUUCAACAAUAUAACCAGCACCUAAAGCAUUCUUUUCAUGAUCUACAAGCAUAGAAAAUUUACUACUCUCCACAUAAGCAAAAUUCUUCUCAUGAAUAAUAGUGGGAGCAAACUCAACAAAAUAGCUAUCAUGUGAUUGAAAAUUAAGAUCAAGAUGCCAAGUUUCAUGGUUAUCAUUAUUCUUUAUAGCAUACGUGUCAUCACAAUAAUCAUCAUAGAUAGGACGCAUUCUUUCAUCAUAGUAAAUUUGCUCAUCAAAGCUUGGGGGACAAAAAAUAUCAUCUUCAUCAAACAUAGCUUCCCCAAGCUUGUGGCUUUGCAUAUCAUUAGCAUCAUGGAUAUUCAAGGAAUUCAUACUAACAACAUUGCAAUCAUGCUCAUCAUUCACAUAUUUAGUGCCAAACAAUUUAGAGAUUUCUUCUUCUAGCACUUGAGCACAAUUAUCCUUUCCAUCAUACUCUCGAAAGAUAUUAAAAAGAUGAAGCGUAUGAGACAAACUCAAUUCCAUUUUUUGGUAGUUUUCUUUUAUAAACUAGACUAGUGCUAAAAUAAGAAACAAAAAGAUUCGAUUGCAAGAUCUAAAGAUAUACCUUCACUUACCUAGCCUCCCCGGCAAUGGCGCCAGAAAAGAGCUUGAUGUCUACUACACAACCUUCUUCUUGUAGACAUUGUUGGGCCUCCAAGUGCAGAGGUUUGUAGGACAGUAGCAAAUUUCCCUCAAGUGGAUGACCUAAGGUUUAUCAAUCCGUAGGAGGCGUAGGAUGAAGAUGGUCUCUCUCAAGCAACCCUGAAACUAAAUAACAAAGAGUCUCUUGUGUCCCCAACACACCCAAUAAAUGGUAAAUUGUAUAGGUGCACUAGUUCGGCGAAGAGAUGGUGAUACAAGUGCAAUAUGGAUGGUAGAUACAGAUAUUUGUAAUCUGAAAAUAUAAAAACAGCAAGGUAACUAAUGAUAAAAGUGAGCGUAAACAGUAUUGCAAUGAUAGGAAAUAAGGCCUAGGGUUCAUACUUUCACUAGUGUAAGUCCUCUCAACAAUAAUAACAUAGAUAGAUCAUAUGACAAGCCCUCAACAUGCGACAAAGAGUCACUCCAAAGCCACUAAUAGCGGAGAACAAACGUAGAGAUUAUGGUCGGUACGAAACCACCACAAAGCUAUUCUUUCGGAUCAAUCUAUAAAAGAGUUCGUACUAGAAUAACACCUUAAGAUACAAAUCAACCAAAACCCUAAUGUCACCUAGAUACUCCAUUGUCACCUCAAGUAUCCGUGGGCAUGAUUAUACGAUAUGCAUCACACAAUCUCAGAUUUAUCCAACCAACAUAAAAGUACUUCAAAGAGUGCCCCAAAGUUUCUACCGGAGAAUCAAGAACGUGUGCCAACCCCUAUGCAUAGUUUCCCAAUGUCACAAAACCCGCAAGUUGAUCACCAAGACAUACAUCAAGUGUUCUCAUAAAGACUCAAUCCGAUAAGAUAACUUCAAAGGGGAAACUCAAUUCAUCACAAGAGAGUAGAGGGGGAGAAAAUCAUAAGAUCCAACUACAAUAGCAAAGCUCGGGAUACAUCAAGAUCGUGCCAUAGAGGGAACACGAGAGAGAGAGAUCAAACACAUAGCUACUGGUACAUACCCUCAGCCCCGAGGGUGAACUACUCCCUCCUCAUUAUGGAUAGCGACGGGAUGAUGAAGAUGGCCACCGGUGAUGGAUCCCCCCUCCGACAGGGUACCGGAAAGGGGUCCCGAUUGGUUUUUGGUGGUUCUGGAGGCUUGCGGCGGCGGAACUCCCGAUCUAGGUUCUGUUCUGGAAGUUUUAGGGUACGACGGUAUAUAUGGGUGAAAGGAGAACGUCGGUGGAGCUCCGAGGGGCCCACGAGGCAGGGGGGCGCGCCCGGGGGGGGGGGGCGCCCUCCACCCUUGUGACCUCCCCGAAAACUUCUUGGAGCAGGGUCCAAGUCUCCUGGAUCACGUUCGGUGAGAAGAUCACGUUCCCGAAGGUUUAAUUCCGUUUGGACUCCGUUUGAUAUUCUGUUUCCUCGAAAUACUGAAAUAGGCAAAAAACAGCAAUUCUGGGUUGGGCCUCCGGUUAAUAGGUUAGUCCCAAAAAUAAUAUAGAAGUGGAAAAUAAAGCCCAAUAUAGUCCAAAACAGUAGAUAAAGUAGCAUGGAGCAAUCAAAAAUUAUAGAUACGUUGGAGACGUAUCAGUGAUGUUCGCUUAGUUGAUGGCUUAGGCUUCUCCCUUAAUUUGUGCUUGAGGACGGCAUUUUGAUCCCUCAGAUCAUCAAUCUCCCACUCCACGGUUAAUAUCUUUUUGCAUAGGUCCUGCUUAUUUUCCUGCAAGAGACGAAAAGGGAUAAACUCGAACUUGGGUUUCUUUACCCUAUCAGGGAGACUUGACUUUUUGAACUCCACGUGCAUGUUCCCAAGUUGAGGUAAUGGUGCUUCAUCUUCAUCUGAGCUCGUCUCCUCCUUCCCCUUGGGUUCAUAGUCCUCUUCUUCCUCCGUGGUCCAUCCAUCGUGUUCCACGUCUCCAUAGACCUUUGGAUAUGCUAAGUAAUCAUCCACAUAGCUUUCUCCUUCCGAAUCCUGGGAAGACAUGUUGAUUUGAUCUGCAACGGGAUAGCUCGAAACGAAAACAGAGGAUAUUUGCGUGAUACAGGAGUCAAAACCUUCGGGAGGUUAUAUAAUGAAUUUUUACUGACCAAAAUACGUAUCAUGCAAGAAAACAGAGUCCGGAAGACACAUGAGGUGCUCACGAGGUAGGGCGCGCCCACCACCCUCGUGGGGCCCUCGUGUCCUUCCCGGACUGCUACUUAUUUUUCUAUUUUUCUAAAUAUUCCAAAACAGAGAAAUAUUGCCUUAAAAUUGUUUUGGAGUCAGUUUACUUACCGUACCACAUACCUAUUCCUUUUCGGAGUCUGAAACGUUCCGUAAAGUGUCCCUUAUGUAUUCCUCCGGGGUUACGGUUUCAAUAAUAUGGGUUUCAACAUUUAUGGGAUUACCUGAGAUAUAAUGUUUGAUUCUUUGACCAUUUACCACCUUUGGAUUUGUGCCCUUGAAGUUGUUGAUUUUUAUGGCACCGGAACGAUAGACCUCCUCGAUAACAUAGGGGCCUUCCCAUUUAGAGAGAAGUUUUCCUGCAAAAAAUCUUAAACGAGAGUUGUAUAGCAAUACAUAAUCACCUACAUUAAACUCACGCUUUUGUAUCCUUUUGUCAUGCCAUCUUUUAACUUUUUCUUUAAACAACUUGGCAUUUUCAUAAGCUUGGGUUCUCCAUUCAUCAAGUGAGCUAAUAUCAAAUAACCUCUUCUCACCGGCAAGUUUAAAAUCAUAAUUAAGCUCUUUAAUAGCCCAAUAUGCCUUAUGUUCUAGUUUGAGAGGUAAGUGGCAUGCUUUUCCAUAAACCAUUUUAUACGGAGACAUACCCAUAGGAUUUUUGUAUGCAGUUCUAUAAGCCCAUAAUGCAUCAUCAAGAUUCUUAGACCAAUUCUUUCUAGACCUAUUGAUAGUCUUUUGCAAAAUUAAUUUGAGCUCUCUAUUGCUCAACUCUACUUGACCACUAGACUGAGGGUGAUAAGGAGAUACAAUUCUAUGAUUAACAUCAUAUUUUGCAAGCAUUUUACGGAAAGCACCAUGAAUAAAGUGUGAACCACCAUCAGUCAUUAAAUAUCUAGGGACUCCAAACCUCGGGAAAAUAACUUCCUUAAGCAUUUUAAUAGAAGUGUUAUGAUCAACACUACUAGUUGGAAUAGCUUCUACCCACUUAGUAAUGUAAUCAACAGCAACUAAAAUAUGAGUAUAUCCAUUAGAGGCAGGAAAAGGUCCCAUAUAAUCAAAGCCCCAAACAUCAAACGAUUCAAUAACAAGUGAAUAAUUCAUAGGCAUUUCUUGACGUCUACUAAUAUUACCAAUUCUUUGACAUUCAUCACAAGACAAGACAAACUUACGGGCAUCCUUGAAGAGAGUAGGCCAAUAAAAACCAGAUUGCAAUACCUUAUGUGCAGUUCUAUCUCCAGCGUGGUGUCCUCAGCUUCGGAAUGACACUUGCGUAGGAUCUGUUCCUGUUCAUGCUCAGGUACACAACGUCUAAUAACACCAUCUAAUCAUUCUUUAUAAAGAUGUGGGUCAUCCCAAAAGUAAUGUCUCAAGUCAUAGAAAAACUUUUUCUUUUGCUGGUAUGUGAAGCUAGGUGGUAUAAACUUAGCAACAAUAUAAUUAGCAUAAUCAACAUACCAUGGAGUACUACGAGAAGUACUUAUAACAUUUAAUUGUUCAUCAAGAAAGCUAUCAUUAAUAGGUAGUGGGUCAUCAAGAAUAUUUUCUAACCUAGACAAGUUGUCUGCAACGGGGUUCUCAGCUCCCUUCCUAUCAACAAUAUGCAAAUCAAAUUCUUGUAGCAAGAGAACCCAUCUAAUAAGUCUAGGUUUAGCAUCUUUCUUUUCCAUAAGGUAUUUAAUAGCAGCGUGAUCAGUUUGGAUAGUUAUUUUAGAAUCAACAAUAUAAGGUCUGAACUUAUCACAAGCAAAUACAACCACUAAAAGCUCCAUUUCAGUAGUAGCAUAAUUUCUUUGAGCAUUGUCUAGAGUCUUACUAGCAUAAUGAAUAACAUUUAAUUUCUUAUCAACUCUUUGCCCUAGAACAACACCUACAGCAUAAUCACUAGCAUCACACAUAAUUUCAAAGGGUAAAUUCCAAUCAGGUGGCUGAACAACAUGUGCAGAGACUAAUGCUUUCUUAAGUAUUUCAAAUGCUUCUACACAAUCAUCAUCAAAGACAAAUGGUAUAUCUUUUUGCAAUAAAUUAGUGAGAGGCCGGGAAAUUUUUGAGAAGUCCUUAAUGAACCUCCUGUAAAAUCCAGCGUGACCAAGGAAACUUCUUAUACCUUUGAUGUCCUUGGGACAUGGCAUCUUUUCAAUAGCAUUGACCUUGGCUUUAUCAACUUCAAUACCUCUUUCAGAAACUUUAUGCCCCAAGACAAUACCUUCAUUAACCAUAAAGUGGCACUUUUCCCAAUUCAAGACAAGAUUAGUUUCUUCACAUCUCUGCAAAACUCGAUCAGGAUUGCUCAAGCAAUCAUCAAAAGAGGAACCAUAGACGGAAAAGUCGUCCAUGAAAACCUCACAAAUCUUUUCACAAAAGUCAGAGAACAUAGCCACCAUGCAUCUUUGAAAGGUAGCAGGUGCAUUACAUAAACCAAAAGGCAUACGUCUAUAAGAAAAAGUACCAAAAAGGGCAUGUAAAAGUAGUCUUUGAUUGAUCUCUAGCCGACACAGGUAUUUGAGAGAAACCGGAAUAACCAUCUAGAAAGCAAUAGUGUUUAUGUUUGCAUAAUCUUUUUAGCAUUUGAUCAAUAAAAGGUAAGGGGUAAUGAUCUUUCUUAGUAGCUUUAUUUAAUUUGCAUAAAUCAAUUACCAUCCUAUAAUCUGUGAUAAUUCUUUGUGGAAUCAAUUCAUCUUUAUCAUUAGGAACAAUAGUAAUACCUCCCUUCUUAGGGACACAAUGGACAGGACUUACCCACUCACUAUCAGCAACGGGAUAGAUUAUACCUGCCUCCAGAAGCUUUAGUAUUUCUUUUCUUACCACUUCUUUCAUUUUAGGAUUCAGACGUCAUUGAGGAUCACGAACUGGUUUGGCAUCUGAUUCCAAAUUUAUUUUAUGUUGACAUAGAGUGGGACUAAUGCCCUUAAGAUCAUGAAGAGUAUAUCCAAUAGCAGCACGGUGCUUCUUCAGAGUUUUCAAUAAUCUUUCUUCUUCAUGCUCUGAAAGGUUAGCACUAAUAAUAACAUGAUAUAUCUUCUUUUCAUCAAGAUAAGCAUAUUUAAGAUUAUCAAACAAAGGUUUAAGCUCAAACACGGGAUCACCCUUGGGUGGAGGAGGAUCCCCUAAGAUUUCAACAGGCAAAUUGUGAUGCAGAAUAGGUUCCUGUUUAAAGAAUACUUCAUCUAUUUCCCUUCUUUCAUUCAUGAACAUAUCAUUUUCAUGGUCUAGCAAAUAUUGUUCUAAAGGAUCACUUGGAGGUACGGCAAUAGAAGCAAGACCAAUAAUUUCAUCCUUACUAGGUAAUUCUUCCUCACGAUGUUGUUUACUAAAUUUAGAGAAAUUAAACUCAUGAACCAUAUCAUCCAAGCCAAUAGUAACAACAUUCUUUUUGCAAUCUAUCCUAGCAUUAACAGUGUUCAAGAAGGGUCUACCAAAUAUAAUGGGACAAAAGCUAUCUUGCGGAGAAGUAAGAACAAGAAAAUCAGUAGGAUAUUUAGUUUUCCCACACAAGACUUCAACAUCUCUAACAAUUCCAAUUGGUGAAAUAGUAUCUCUAUUGGCAAGUUUAAUUGUGACAUCAAUACCUUCUAACUCAGCAGGUGCAAUUUCAUUCUUAAUUUCUUUGUAUAAGUCAAUAGGUAUUGCACUAGCACUAGCACCCAUAUCACAUAAGCCAUGAUAACAAUGAUCUCCUAUUUUAACAGAAAUAACAGACACGCCUACCACAGGUCUAUGUUUAUCUUUAUCACAAGGUUUAGCAAUUCUAACAGUUUCACCUUAGAACUGAAUAACAUGCCCAUCACUAUUAUCAGACAAGAGAUCUUUAACAAUAGCAAUAUUAGGUUCUACUUUAACUUGCUUAGGAGGUGUAUAAGUUCUAAUAUUGCUUUUACGAACAACAGUUGAAGCUUUAGCAUGAUCCUUUAUUCUAACAGGGAAAGGUGGUUUCUCAAUAUAAGAAGUAGAAACAAUAGGAUCAUUAUAGGUGACAGUCUUUUCUUCAACUUUAAUAGGUGCAGCUACUUUUACUUCUAUGGGAGGAUGAUAUUUAAACCACUUCUCCUUAGGGAGAUCAACAUAAGUAGCAAAAGAUUCACAGAAAGAAGCUACUAUCUCAGAGUCAAGUCCAUAUUUAGUGCUAAACUUACGGAAAAUAUCGGUGUCCAUAAAAGAUUUAACACAAUCAAACUUAGGUGUCAUACCUGACUCCUUACCUUCGUCGAGGUCCCAAUCUUCAGAGUUGCGUUUAAUUCUAUCCAAUAAAUUCCAUCUGAAGUCAAUAGUCUUCAUCAUAAAAGAGCCAACACAAGAAGUAUCGAGCAUGGUGCGAUUGUUAUCAGAAAGCCGAGCAUAUAAAUUUUGAAUAAUCAUUUCUCUUGAAAGCUCAUGAUUUGGGCAUGAAUAUAACAUUGAUUUAAGCCCACCCCAAGAUUGAGUGAUGUUUUCUCCUUCGCGAGGCCAGAAAUUAUAUAUAUAAUUGCGAUCACGAUGAACAAGAUGCAUAGGGUAAUACUUUUGAUGAAAUUCUAGCUUCAAUCUUUUAUAGUCCCAUGAUCUCAUAUCAUCGCAUAGCCUAUACCAUAUCAAUGCGUCUCCCUUCAAAUAUAAAGAGAAGACCUUCUUCUUAGCAACAUCAUCGGGUAUACCUGCAAGCUUAAAUAAUCCAUAAACUUCAUCCACAUAUAUUAAGUGCUCAUCAGGAUGCUUUGUUCCAUCUCCUGUAAAAGGGUUAGCUAGCAGUUUUUCCAUCAUACCCGAAGGAAAUUCAAAAGGAGUUUCAUUUUUAAUAGGUUCAGUAGGUUGAGGAGCAACUCUUUGCUCUACUGGACGGGGUGAAGAUACCCCGAAGAAGCCCCUCAGAGAAUUACUUUCCAUAGUAACAAGUGACAGUAAAUCUUAGCACACUAUAUAAGUUUUUCCUUACCAAAUUCCACCUACCAAAGGCGCUACACUCCCCGGCAACGACGCCAGAAAAGAGUCUUGGUGACCCACAAGUAUAGGGGAUCUAUCGUAGUCCUUUCGAUAACUAAGAGUGUCGAACCCAACGAGGAGCAGAAGGAAAUGAUAAGCGGUUUUCAGCAAGGUAUUCUCUGCAAGUACUGAAAUAAGUGGUAACAGAUAGUUUUGUGAUAGGAUAAAUUGUAACAAGCAACAAGUAACAAAAGUAAAUAAAGUGCAGCAAGAUGGCCCAAUCCUUUUGUAGCAAAGGACAAGCUGGAACAAACUCUUAUAAUAGGAAAAGCGCUCCCGAGGACACAUGGGAAUAUCGUCAAGCUAGUUUUCAUCACGUUCAUAUGAUUCGCGUUCGAUACUUUGAUAAUUUGAUAUGUGGUGGACCGGUGCUUGGGUGCUGUUCUUACUUGAAGAAGCAUCCCACUUAUGAUUAACCUCUAUUGCAAGCAUCCGCAACUACAACAAAAGUAUUAAGGUAAACCUAACCAUAGCAUGAAACAUGUGGAUCCAAAUCAGCCCCUUACGAAGCAACGCAUAAACUAGGGUUUAAGCUUCUGUCACUCUAGCAACUCAUCAUCUACUUAUUACUUCCCAAUGCCUUCCUCUAGGCUCAAAUAAUGGUGAAGUGUUAUGUAGUCGACGUUCACAUAACACCACUAGAGGCUAGACAACAUACAUCUUAUCAAAAUAUCAAACGAAUACCAAAUUCAUAUGACUACUAAUAGCAAGACUUCUCCCUUGUCCUCAGGAACAAACGUAAUUACUCACAAAGCAUAUUCAUGUUCAAAAUCAGAGGGGUAAUAAUAUGCAUAUAGGAUCUGAACAUAUGAUCUUCCACCAAAUAAACCAACUAGCAUCAACUACAAGGAGUAAUCAACACUACUAGCAACCUACUAGCACGAAUCCCGGACUUUGAGACAAGAAUUGGAUACAAGAGAUGAACUAGGGUUUGGAGAUGAGAUGGUGCAGGUGAAGAUGUUGAUGGAGAUUGCCCUCUCCCGAUCAGAGGAGCGUUGGUCAUGACGAUGGUGAUGAUUUCCCCCUCCCGGAGGGAAGUAUCCCCGGCAGAACAGCUCUACCGAAGCUCUAGAUUGGUUCCGCCAAGGUUCCGCCUCGUGGCGGCGGAGUCUCGUCCCGAAAAGUUCCUUCUUAUUUUUUCUCAUCGAAGGACUUCAUAUAGGAGAAGAUGGACGUUGGAGAACCACCAGGGGGCCCAUGAGGUAGGGGGCGCGCCCUAGGGGGGCGCCCCACCCUCGUGAGCAGGGUGUGGGCCCCCUGGCCUUCAUCUUUGGCGAGGAUUUUUCAUUAUUUAUUUUAAGAUGUUCCGUGGAGUUUCUGGACUUUUGGAGUUGCGCAGAAUAGGUCUCUAAUAUUUGCUCCUUUUCCAGCCCAGAAUUCCAGCUGCCGGCAUUCUCCCUCCUUAUGUAAACCUUGUAAAAUAAGAGAGAAUAACCAUAAGUAUUGUGACAUAAAGUGAAAUAACAGUCCAUAAUACAAUAAAUAUCGAUAUAAAAGCAUGAUGCAAAAUGGACGUAUCAUACGGCGCGGUGCAUACCACGGGAAGUCGACGCGCGGUGACGGCGGAGUGGACCGCGGGACGCGACGCUAUGACCCGAAGGGGUGACACAGCGGUGGCGGGGAGGUCGGGGCAACGGUAGGAAGACCUCGGGCGGUGGCGGGGACCGCGGGCUGCGGUGCUACGGCCCGAAGAGGCAGUGUAGUGGCGGAGCGCGUGUCGGUGCAAGCGCGGGGACGGCCUCGGGACGGCGGCGUGGACCAUGUGGCAUGCUCGCUACGGCCCGACGGGGCGACGCAGCGGCAACUCGAGGGUUGGAGCUGCCAUGGGGACGACCUGGAGCGGACGGCCUCGGGGCGGCGGUGGACCGCGGGCCACGCCACUACGGCCCAAAGACGCGCCGCAGCGGUGAUGCGGGUCGGUGCAACCGGGAGAAGAACCAUGGGGCGGCGGUGCUGCGGCCCGACGGGGCGACUCAGCGGCAGCCUGUUGCUCGACCGGUGGAGGGGCGCGCUGAACUCGGGGACGAUCUUCACGGGACCUGCGGAUGUGCGCGUAACCGACGGGCUAGGUCGGUCGCGCGGUGUAGAUGAGGCGGAUCGCGGCGGCAAGCGGGUGAUCAAGCCGAUCGCGCGAGGUCGGGGACGCCGCUCGAUGGAGGCGGGGCGGCGACGGAGUUCGAGAUGAAGCCUGCGACGGCGGGCGCCAGGGCGGCUAUGAUUGGCCGCCGCAUGGCGCGACGCCGCCGGGUCGGGGUGAUGCAGGAGUCCCGGUCGGAGCAGGGCGGUGACGGUCGGCGUAGAUCGACGGGCGGGCAGGUGCGCGAACGGCGGCGGUGAAGGACCGCCGCAUGACGCGUGGCCGCCGGGUUAGGACGACCGGCGGGCAGACGCGCGAACGACGCGCGAGGCCGCCGGGUCAGGGCGACUGGCGGGCAGACACACGGCCGAUCGUGUCGGUGUUGGAGUAUAGGCGUACGGGGUCGACGGCGGCGAUGGACGACGCAAACCGAUCAAGUAGAUCAAAAAUAAAAAAAAAACGCCGAUCAAAACGACCAGCAAGAGAGCGAAAAACCCGGAGCAAGGCCUCGGGAAAAAGACUCUCUAAGGCAGCCGGCCAACACGGCUGGCGGACGAAUCCUUGGUACGGGCGGCGCGGCCCCCGGCGGCGGUCUUGGAGGCCGACCGCCCUGAGGGCGGUGCGCAAGUGCGGAAGCGGCGACGGCUAGAGUUUAGGAACGACUUGCGAUAAAUACCAUGUUAGAAAGGAGAAAGAGGGAUUUAGUGAAAUAGUUUUUUAUGUAUUGCUUGAGCCUCGUGGGCAUAUACAUAGAAGUAUAAUGAUCUAUUUGAAGUAAAAGACAAGCCAAAACAAAUCCUAAUCUAUCUCAUAUUUUUCGAUAAUCACGAUACUUAACAUGGUCUUCAUCGUAAAAUGAAUGAGUUCAAGAUCAUUUUAAACGAGACUUUUUGUUAGACAGAAAAGAAAUUUUUAGAGACUGGAAUUUCCAUCGGCUCCAGAAAGAACUUUUUUUUUUAGAAUCGCCUCCAGAAAGAAUUAGAAAAUACCAGAUGCAUCCCUCAAAAAAAAAAAUACCAGAUGCAAUUUCAUCUACCGCAGCAGGGCCGGUUACGUUCCGGCCAUAGGCCCGACGCUCCAAAACCAGCAGUUUCCAGCACACUCCACGCUCCAGACCCAUCACCGGCCUUCCACCGGUGCGCUAUAAAAUGUGGCCUAGCACAAACCGAAGCAUCAACUCGAGCAAUCAUGUCGCUGAUUCCCCGCGGCAAAGCCUUCGACCCCUUCUCCCUUGACCUCACGGACCCCUUCGAUGGCUUCCCCUUCGGCUCCGGCGGCAGCAGCAGCUUCUUCCCCUCGUUCCCGCGCGCAUCCUCCGAGACCGCGGCCUUCGCCGGCGCGCGGAUCGACUGGAAGGAGACUCCCGAGGCGCACGUGUUCAAGGCGGACGUGCCGGGGCUGAAGAAGGAGGAAGUGAAGGUGGAGGUGGAGGACGGCAACGUGCUCCAGAUCAGCGGCGAGCGCAACAAAGAGCAGGAGGAGAAGACGGGCACGUGGCACAGGGUGGAGCGCAGCAGCGGCAAGUUCCUGCGCAGGUUCCGCCUCCCGGACAACGCCAAGGCGGACCAGAUCAAGGCGGCCAUGGAGAACGGCCUGCUCACAGUCACCGUGCCCAAGAAGGAGGUCAAGAAGCCCGAGGUCAAGUCCAUCCAGAUUUCUGGCUAGGCUGCUUCGGGAUCAAGGUUCAAUUCGCCGCUCUGGGGUUCGACUCGCUCUUUUGUGACUUUUGCUCAAAGGCCUGUAAUAAGUGUGGAAGGAGAAGAAGAAGAAGAAGAAGAAGAAGAAGAAGAAGGAGAAGAAGGAGAAGAAGAAGGAGAAGAAGAAGAAGAACGUGUUGAGUGUGAGUAUGCCCUUGUCAGUACUGUGUUCGGCCCUCGCCGGGGCCAAAGGUCUUGCGGCGAUCACGCAAUUCGAGCCACCCUAGCCGUGCACCUGCUCUGUAUCCGGGCUCAUCGUAGAUUCAUGCUCGCCCUCUAGUGUAUGAGUUUAUAUCUACUAUCCUGUAACUCUUGUUCUUCUAUCUAUCAAUGAAAUGUAUUCGCGAAAAAAAAUGAGUUAGUCAUGUAAUGCAAGCAUCGAGUCCGUACUGCUGUGAUCAACUUGUGUACUGGUUUCAAUGAGCAAGUCAUGGUUCUCUCCUAACUGCUUUUGGCAUUUCGAUUCUAUGUCCGUGUUGAAGUCGUACGCAUCUCAUUCUGCCAUUGUGGGGAACUCUGUUCUUGUUUUGUACCGUGGUAGUCCACAUGCACAGCAGAACUCGUACGCACCUUCGAGUACAUCGAGUAUUUUCUUUCAAAGACACCGGAGAACUGCUGUGAUUUCAUUGAAGAAGAAGAACGGCAUCGGCCAAGUACAGGUUAACUGAAAAUGAGAACCCAAACUACAACUGGAGUGAGCUUUGCUCAGCCCUCGACGUUGGCCAGCGGCCGCGGCCACAGCCUGGGUCGAACGAAAUUGGGCAGGCGGCCAGGUUCCAGGUUGCUGCCCUGCCUCGUCGCGGAUGCGGAUGAGUAACGCCGCUACAGGAAGCUCCUUUCCGUUCUAACCUGUUAGCGGCUGGAUUCCACACACUGUAUUACUUUCUCCCAGAUACAACUCAGUUUGCUCAGAUUCGGUUACAAAUUGGAAAGGAAGAAGGGACGGGAAAGUAGAUGCCCCGUGCCCGGAUCAGGGAGGAGUUGAUCGUGUUUGCUUAAGUAGAGGUAGUCCACUCGGGGCCCACGUAUGUGGAAGGCUAUCUGGUGGCUCAAGUGGUAUACGUGGACCAUUCUAUAUUGAGCCAUAUUCAUCAAUUCGCCAAGCAAUUUGGCCUCACACAAUGUAUCCCUGUUCCAUCAAACGCUUAAUCAACCCUGGAACACAAGAGAACCCUUCUUAUCAACGAGAAUUGCGUAUUAAACAGAUGAAAGAAAUAGCCCUAAAUAUGUGCAUUGAGUGAGUCAUUACCUUCUAUUUGAUCUCCAGUAUCGCUCAUCAAGUACUUGAUCAAAUUCCUCUUUUUUCUUGCAAUUGUAUGUAGUGAUAUUUUGGAGGAGCAAUUACCGGAGUGAGAAAGGUAGAAAGAAGCAAUCACGAAAGCUAGUGCUAGUUGUGGCUUUUUGUACUAAUCUUAUUUGUUCAGUAGCUCGCAUCAGUAGCUUUAAAAGGAAUAGAAAACGAGGCUUUUUCCACCACAUCAGGAGCGGGCAUUACGCUCAAGCAGGGGAAUUCAAUUUGACUACUGCUCGAGAACUAGUUUGAACAAGAAGAAGUUACAUGGCUCCAGCGGGGCAGAGCCAAUUGGCUACGACAUGUCUUCCAGAGGGGUAUUUUGGUUAAGCUCGUCCUGAAUGAACGUAACACAUCCUGGAUCCUGCUCGUAAAGACUCGGAUAGAAGUUUAGCCUUGCUAAAUGUACUAGAGCCUAGGGGUCUUGAAUCUCCGGCAGGAGAGUGAUCAGAAAGGAGGAGCCGACGAAGCAUGAACUAAAAAGAUUUAAAAUUGGUAUCAGGCAUAAUAUAAAACGAGAAAGUAAUAAAAAUAUACAAAUCGAAAGUAAUAUCAAAUUUAGCAUCGGUUCGGCUAUGCGAUCCUACGUGGGCGGCUCGGGACACGUUCUUCUCCCUGCGACGUCGCUUGAUCCGAGGUGACAGCCAUGGCAGCUGAUGUGCCUGUCAUGGCAGCGUUUCCGUUGUCAGUGGAACCUAGGCUGCUGACAUCCCCUCCCCCUUGAGAGAUGGCUUGUCCCCAAGUCAGCAGAUUGACGACACACUCCUUCAGCUUGACCACGUCUUCCCAGGUGGCACCGAGAACCGCUGGAUCAGACCAGCGAACCAAAAUCUGCUCUCGGCGGCAUGUGGGUGUUUGCUUCCAACGAGAGUUAGAGAAUCUCAACUAGUUGCAGAACAUGCUCUGAAGGUUGAGGAAGAUGCAUCGACGCUACGAUGCCAUGGCUGAGAGCUGGACAGAGUUGAGAGACAUGGAAUAUAUCAUGUACCUUGGACCCUUCCGAUAAUUGGAGCUUGUAGGCGACUGGGGUGAUCGCCUUUAUCGUCUGAACGAUUGUGAAAGGCCAAAAAAUGUGAAAGAUAGCUUGUGAUUGGUGCACCUCUCAACUAAAGUUUGAACGUAUGGUUGUAACUUGACAAAGAUAGAGUCCCCCACUUGAAAAGUCCGUUCCGUCCGCUUCUUGUUUGCUUGAAUCUUCAUAGUGUUGUGAGCUCUGCUAAGAUGUUGAUUGAGCAGUUGUUGCAUGAGCUUGCGCUCCUCGAGCCAAUCUUUUGAAGGAAAUAUGCCCUAGAGGCAAUAAUAAAGUUGUUAUUUUAUAUUUCCUUAUUCAUGAUAAAGGUUUAUUAUUCAUGCUAGAAUUUUAUUGACCGGAAACUUAAAUACAUGUGUGAAUACAUAAAAAAAUACCGUGUCCCUAGUAAGCCUCAACUAGACUAGCUCGUUGAUCAAAGAUGGUUAAGGUUUCCUAACCAUAGACAUGUGUUGUCGUUUGAUAAUGGGAUCACAUCAUUAGAAGAAUGAUGUGAUGGACAAGACCCAUCUGUUAGCUUAGCAUAAUGAUCGUUCACUUUUAUUGCUAUUGCUUUCUUCAUGGUAAAUACAUAUUCCUUCGACUAUGAGAUUAUGCAACUCCCGGAUACCGGAGGAAUACCUUGUGUGCUAUCAAAUGUCACAACGUAACUAGGUGAUCAUAAAUGUGCUCUAUAGGUAUCUCCGAAGGUGUUUGUUGAGUUGGCAUAGAUCAAUAUUAGAAUUUGUCACUCCGAGUAUCGGAGAGGUAUCUCUGGGUCCUCUCGGUAGUACACAUCAUAAGCUUGCAAGCGAAUGAAUAAGGAGUUAGUCAUGAGGUGAUGUAUUACAGAACAAGUAAAGAAACUUGCCGUAAUGAGAUUGAACUAGGUAUGAAGAUACCGAUGAUCGAAUCUCGGGCAAGUAACAUACCGAUGAACAAAGGGAAUUACGUAUGUCAUCAUAACGGUUCGACUGAUAAAGAUCUUCGUAGAAUAUGUAGGAGCCAAUAUGGGCAUCCAGAUUCCGCUAUUGGUUAUUGACUGGAGAGGUAUCUCGGUCAUGUCUACAUAGUUCUCAAACCCGUAGGGUCCGCACGCUUAACAUUCUAUGUCGAUUUGCUUUUAUAUGAGUUAUGUGGUUUGGUGACCGAAUGUUGUUCGGAGUCCCAGAUGAGAUCACGGACAUGACGUGGAGCUCGGGAAUGACCCGGAUGUACAGAUUGAUAUAUGGAACGAUGCUAUUUGGUCUCUGAAAUGGUUUCAAAAUGCACCGGAAAGUUAUCGAUAUACCGGAAGGGUUCCGGAGGCACCAGGAGAGUAUUGGGCCUUAUUGGGCCAAGUAGAGGGAACACACCAGCCCACGUGGGCUGGUGCGCCCCCCCCCCUAAGGCAGCCGCACCCAAUUAGAUGGAAGGGGGAGGCGCCACCUCCUCCUACCAUAUCUCUGGAAGGGAGAAAUGAAGGAGAAGGGGCGCUUCCCCCUUUCCUUCUCCCUUGUGCAUUAUAUGGAAGGGGGGUGCACCACUAUGAAAUCCCUAGGAUGGCCCCCGACCCUAUUGGAGGUGCCCUAGGGAAGCCUCCUCCCUUCCCACACCUAUAUAUAUAUAUGUGGGGAGGGGUGCCACACAAUACACAACUUAUUCCACGCCGUGUGUCGGCGCCCCUCCGCCUCUAGUUUACUCCUUCGUUCUAAAUCAUCGCAGUGCUUAGGCGAAGCCCUACAGGAUUGCUUCACCACCAUCGUCACCAUGCUGUUGUGCUCACAAAACUCAUCUACUACCUCGCCUCGCUUACUGGAUCAAGACGGCAAGGACGACACCGAGCUGAACGUGUGCAGAACACAGAGGUGCCAUUCGUUCGGUACUUGAUCGGGCAGUUCGCGAAGGUGUACGACUACAUCAACCGCAUUGAAUAAAAGCUUCCACUUAUGGUUUACAAGGGUAGGUAGACACACUCUCCCCCUCUCGUAGCUAUACAUUUCCAUGGAUAGAUCAUUGCGUGUGCGUAGAAUUUUUUUGUUUUCCAUGCAACGUUCCCGAAACAGUGGCAUCAUGAGUCAGGUCUAUGCAUAGAUGAUAUACACGAGUAGAACACAAAGAGUUGUGGGCAGUGAUAGUCAUACUGCUUACCACCAACGUCUUAUUUUGAUUCGACGGUAUUGUGGGAUGAGGCGGCCCGGACUAACCUUACAUGUCCACCCAUAUGCAGGAGACCGGUUCCACCGACUAACAUGCAACUAGUUUUGCAUAAAGGUGGUUGGCGGGUGUCUGUUUCUCCUACUUUAGUUGAAUCGAGUUUGACUACGGAUGCUCCUUGAAGAAGGUUAAAACAACAAACUUGAUGAAACACCAUUGUGGUUUUUGCAUAGGUAAGAACGGUUCUUGCCAGAAGCCCGUAGCAACCACGUAAAACUUGCAACAACAAAGUAGAGGACAUCUAACUUGUUUUUUGAAGGGCAUGUUUGUUGGGGAAUGCGGUAAUUUCAAAAAAAAUCCUACGCACACGCAAGAUCUAUCAUGGUGAUGCAAAGAAACGAGAGGGAAGAGUGUUGUCUGCAUACCCUCAUAGACCGUAAGCGGAAGCGUUAUGAAAACGUGGUUGAUGUAGUCGCACGUCUUCACGAUCUGAUCGAUCCUAGUACCAAAAGUACGGCACCUCCGCGAUCUGCACACGUUCAGCUCGGUGACGUCCCACGAACUCUCGAUCCAGCUGAGUGUCGAGGGAGAGCUUCGUCAGCACGACGAUGUGAUGAUGGUGGUGAUGAAGCUACCGGCGCAGGGCUUCGCCUAAGCACUACGACGAUAUGACCGAGGUGGAUUAUGGUGGAGGGGGGCACCGCACAUGGCUAAGACAAUGAUCAACUUGUGUGUCUAUGGGGUUCCCCCUUCCCCGUAUAUAAAGGAGUGGAGGAGGGGGGAGGGCCGGCCCUCUAUGGUGCGUCCUAGGGGAGUCCUACUCCCACCAGGAGUAGGAUUCCCCCUUCCAAGUAGUAGGAGUAGGAGAGAAGGAAGGGGAGGAGAGAGGGAAGGAAAGGGGGGGGGGGCACCCAAUUCGGAUUGGGCUAGGGGGCGCGCCUCCCACCUUUUCCCUUCCUCUCCUCUAUUCCACUAAGGUCCAAUAAGGCCCAUAUACUCCCAGGGGGGUUCCGGUAACCUCCCGGUACUCCGGAAAAUGCCCGAACUCAUCCGGAACCAUUCCGAUGUCCAAACAUAGGCUUCCAAUAUAUCAAUCUUUAUGUCUCGACCAUUUCGAGACUCCUCGUCAUGUCCGUGAUCAUAUCCGGGACUCCGAACUACCUUUUGUACAUCAAAACACAAAAACUCAUAAUACCGAUUGUCACCGAACGUUAAGCGUGCGGACCCUACGGGUUCGAGAACUAUGUAGACAUGACCGAGACUCGUCUCGGGACAAUAACCAAUAGCGGAACUUGGAUGUUCAUAUUGUUUCCUACAUAUUCUACGAAGAUCUUUAUCGGUCAAACCGCACAACAACAUACGUUGUUCCCUUUGUCAUCGGUAUGUUACUUGCCCGAGAUUCGAUCGUCGGUAUCUCAAUACCUAGUUCAAUCUUGUUACCGGCAAGUCUCUUUACUCAUUCUGUAAUGCAUCAUCCCACAACUAACUCAUUAGUCACAUUGCUUGCAAGGCUUAUAGUGAUGUGCAUUACCGAGAGGGCCUAGAGAUACCUCUCCGAUACUCGGAGUGACAAAUCCUAAUCUCGAUCUAUGCCAACUCAACAAACACCAUCGAAGACACCUGUAGAGCAUCUUUAUAGUCACCCAGUUACGUUGUGACGUUUGAUAGCACACUAAGUGUUCCUCCGGUAUUCGGGUGUUGCAUGAUCUCAUAGUCAUAGGAACACGUUUAAGUUAUGGAGAAAGCAAUAGCAGCAAACUAAACGAUCAUCGUGCUAAGCUAACAGAUGGGUCAAGUCAAUCACAUCAUUCUCUAAUGAUGUGAUCCCGUUAAUCAAAUGAUAACUCAUGUCUAUGGUCAGGAAACAUAACGAUCAUUGAUUCAACGAGCUAGUCAAGUAGAGGCAUACUAGUGACACUCUGUUUGUCUAUGUAUUCACACAUGUACUAAGUUUCCGGUUAAUACAAUUUUAGCAUGAAUAAUAAACAUUUAUCAUGAUAUAAGGAAAUAUAAAUAACAACUUUAUUAUUGCCUCUAGGGCAUAUUUCCUUCAGUCUCCCACUUGUACUGGAGUCAAUAAUCUAGUUCACAUUGCCAUGUGAUUUAACACCAAUAGUUCACAUCUUUAUGUGAUUAGUUCACAUCUCCAUGUGACAAAUACUCAAAGGGUUUACUAGAGUCAAUAAUCUAGUUCACAUCGCUAUGUGAUUAACACCCAAAGAGUGAUCAUGUUUUGCUUGUGAGAGAAGUUUAGUCUACGGGUCUGCAACAUUCAGAUCGAUAUGUAUUUUGCAAAUUUCUAUGUCUACAAUACUCUGCACGGAGCUACUCUAGCUAAUUGCUCCCACUUUUAAUAUGUAUCUAGAUCGAGACUUAGAGUCAUCUAGAUCGGUGUCAAAAGCUUGCAUCGACAUAACUCUUUACGAUGAACACUUUUAUCACCUCCGUAACCGAGAAAUAUUCCCUUAGUCCUCUAAGGAUAAUUUUGACCGCUGUCUAGUGAUCUACUCCUAGAUCACUAUUGUACUCCCUUGCCAAAAUCAUGCUAAGGUAUACAAUAGGUAUGGUACACAGCAUAGCAUACUUAAUAGAACCUAUGACUGAGGCAUAGGGAAUGACUUUUCAUUCUCUUUCUAUUUUCUGCCGUGGUCGGGUUUUGAGUCCUUACUCAACUUCACACCUUGCAACACAGGCAAGAACUCUUUCUUUGACUAAUCCAUUUUGAACUCCUUAAAAAUCUUGUCAAGGUAUGUACUCAUUGAAAAAACUUAUAAAGCGUCUUGAUCUAUAUCUAUAGAUCUUGAUGCUCAAUAUGUAAGCAGCAUUACUGAGGUCUUUCUUUGAAAAACUCCUUUCAAACACUCCUUUAUGCUUUCCAGAAAAUUCUACAUCAUUUCCGAUCAACAAUAUGUCAUUCACAUAUACUUAUCAGAAAGGCUGUAGUGCUCCCACUCACUUUCUUGCAAAUACAUGCUUCAUCGCAAGUAUGUAUAAAACUAUAUGCUUUGAUCAACUUAUCGAAACGUAUAUUCCAACUCCGAGAUGCUUGCACCAGUUCAUAGAUGAAUCGCCGGAGCUUGCACACUUUGUUAGCAUCUUUAGGAUUGACAAAACCUUCUGGUUGCAUCAUAUACAACUCUUCUUUAAUAAAUCCAUUAAGGAAAGUAGUUUUGAUAUCCAUUUGCCAGAUUUCAUAAAAUGCGGCAACUACUAACAUGAUUCGGACAGACUUUUAAGCAUCGAUACGAGUGAGAAAAUCUCAUCAUAGUCAACACCUUGAACUUGUUGAAAACCUUUUGCGACAAUUCAAGCUUUGUAGAUAGUAACACUACUAUCAGCGUCUGUCUUCCUCUUGAAGAUCCAUUUAUUCUGAAUGGCUCACUGAUCAACGGGCAAGUCAAUCAAAGUCCAUAAUUUGUUCUCACACAUGGAUCCCAUCUCAGAUUUCAUGGCCUUAAGCCUUUUCACGGAAUCUGGGCUCAUCAUCGCUUCCUCAUAGUUCGUAGGUUCGUCACGGUGAAGUAACAUGACCUCCAAAACAGGAUUACCGUACCACUCUGGUGUGGAUCUUACUCUGGUUGACCUACGAUGUUCGGUAGUAAGUUGAUCUGAAGUUUCAUGAUCAUCAUCAUUAACUUCCUCACUGAUUCGUGUAGGCAUCACUAGAACAGAUUUCAAUGAUGAGCUACUUUCCAAUUCGAGAGAAGGUACAAUUACCUCAUCAGGUUCUACUUUCCCCCCACUCACUUCUUUUGAGGGAAACUCCUUUCUAGAAAGGAUCCACUCUUAGCAACAAAGAUCUUGCCUUCGGAUCUGUGAUAGAAGGUGUACCCAACAUUUUCUUUUGGGUAUCCUAUGAAGACACACUUCUCCGAUUCGGGUUUGAGCUUAUCAGGUUGAAACCUUUUCACAUAAGCAUCACAACCCCAAACUUUUAAGAAACGACAACUUUGGUUUCUUGCCAAACCAUAGUUCAUACGGUGUCGUCUCAACGAAUUUAGAUGGUGCCCUAUUUAACGUGAAUGCAGCUGUCUCUAAUGCAUAACCCCAAAAUGAGAGUGGUAAAUCGGUAAGAGACAUCAUAGAUCGUACCAUAUCUAAUAAAGUACGGUUAUGACGUUCAGACACACCAUUACGCUGUGGUGUUCCAGGUGGCAUGAGUUGCGAAACUAUUCCACAUUGUUUCAAAUGAAGACCAAACUCGUAACUCAAAUAUUCACCUCCACGAUCAGAUGACAGAAAUUUUAUUUUCUUGUUACGAUGAUUUUCCACUUCACUCUGAAAUUCUUUGAACUUUUCAAAUGUUUCAGACUUAUGUUUCAUCAAGUAGAUAUACCCAUAUCUGCUUCAAAUCAUCUGUGAAGGUCAGAAAAUAACGAUGCCCGCCGCGAGCCUCAACACUCAUCGGACCGCAUACAUCAGUAUGUAUUAUUUCCUAUAAGUCAGUUGCUCGCUCCAUUGUUCCGGAGAAUGGAGUCUAAGUCAUCUUUCCCAUGAGGCAAGGUUCGCAAGCAUCAAGUGAUUCCAAAAGUCCAUCGGCAUGGGGUUUCUUCAUGCGCUUUACACCAAUAUGACCUAAACGGUAGUGCAACAUAUAAGUUGCACUAUCAUUAUUAACUUUGCAUCUUUUGGCCUCAAUGUUAUGAAUAUAUGUAUCACUACGUUCGAGAUUCAAUAAACCAUUUAUAUUGAGUGUAUGACCAUAGAAGGUUUUAUUCAGGUAAAUAGAACAACAAUUAUUCUUUGACUUAAAUGAAUAACAGUAUUGCAAUAAACAUGAUCCAAUCAUAUUUAUGCUCGACGCAAACACCAAAUAACAUUUAUUUUAGGUUCAACACUAAUCUCGAAGGUAAAGGGAGUGUGUGAUGGUGCUCUUAUCAACCUUGGAAUCACUUCCAACUCACAUCAUCACCUCGCCCUUAACUAGUCUCUGUUUAUUUUGUAACUCCCGUUUCGAGUUACUACUCUUAGCAACUCAACCAGUAUCAAAUACUGAGGGGUUGCUAUAAACACUAGUAAAGUACAUAUAAAUAACAUGUAUAUCAAAUAUAAUUUUGUUCACUUUGCCAUCCUUCUUAUCCGCUAAGUAUCUAGGGCAGUUCCACUUCUAGUGACCAUUUCGUUUGUAGUAGAAGCACUCAGUUCCACGCUUGGGUCUAGCUUUGGGCUUCUUCAUGGGAGUGGCAACUUGCUUGCCAUUCUUCUUGAAGUUGUCUUUCUUUCCCUUGCCCUUUUACUUGAAACUAGUGGUCUUGUCAACCAUCAACAUUUGAUGCUUUUCUUGAUUUCUACCUUCGUCGAUUUCAGCAUCACGAAGAGCUCGGGAAUCGUUUUCGUCAUCCCUUGCAUAUUAUAGUUCAUCACGAAGUUCCAGUAACUUGGUGAUAGUGACUAGAGAACUCUGUCAAUCACUAUUUUAUCUGGAAGAUUAACUCCCAAUUGAUUCAAGUGAUUGUAGUACUCAGACAAUCUGAGUACAUGCUCACUGGUUGAGCUAUUCUCCUCCAUCUUGUAGGCAAAGUACUUGUCAGAGAUCUCAUACCUCUCGACUUGGGCAUGAGUCUGAAAUACCAAUUUCAGCUCUUAGAACAUCUUAUAUGCUCUGUGGCGUUCAAAACGUUUUUGAAGUCCCGGUUCUAAGCCGUAAAGCAUGGCGCACUAAACUAUCAAGUAGUUGUCAUACUGAGCUUGCCAAACGUUCAUAACAUCUGCAUCUGCUCCUACAAUAGGCCCGUCACCUAGCGGUUCAUCAAGGACAUAAUUCUUCUGUGCAGCAAUGAGGAUAAUCCUCAGAUCACUGCCCCAGUCGGCAUCAUUGCUACUAUCAUCUUUUAACAUAGUUUUCUCUAGGAACGCACUAAAAUUCAACAGAACAACAACACGAGCCAUCUAUCUAGAACAACAUAGACAUGCAAAAUACUAUCAGGUACUAAGUUCAUGAUAAAUUAAAGUUCAAUUAAUCAAAUUACUUAAGAACUCCCACUUAGAUAGACAUCUCUCUAAUCAUCUAAGUGAUCACGUGAUCCAUAUCAACUAAACCAUGUCCGAUCAUCAUGUGAGAUGGAGUAGUUUUCAAUGGUGAACAUCACUAUGUUGAUCAUAUCUACUAUAUGAUUCACGCUCGACCUUUCGGUCUCAGUGUUCCGAGGCCAUAUCUGCAUACGCUAGGCUCAUCAAGUUUUACCCAAGUAUUCUGCAUGUGCAAAACCGGCUUGCACCUUAUAUGUGAACGUAGAGCUUAUCACACCCGAUCAUCACGUGGUGUCUCGGCACGACGAACUGUCACAACGGUGCAUACUCAGGGAGAACACUUGUACCUUAAAAUUUAGUGAGAGAUCAUCUUAUAAUGCUACCGCCGAACUAAGCAAAAUAAGAUGCAUAAAGGAUAAACAUCACAUGCAAUCAAAUAUAAGUGAUAUGAUAUGGCCAUCAUCAUCUUGUGCCUUUGAUCUCCAUCUCCAAAGCACCGUCAUGAUCACCAUCAUCAUCGGCUUGACACCAAGAUCUCCAUCAUCUUGAUCUUUAUCAAUGUGUCGUCACAUGGUCGUCUCGCCAUCUAUUGCUUUUGCAACUAUUGCUAUCGCAUAGCGAUAAAGUAAAUCAAUUAUAUGGCGCUUGCAUCUUAUGCAAUAAAGAGACAACCAUAAGGCUCCUGCCAGUUGCCGAUAAUUUUAACAAAACAAGAUCAUCUCAUACAACAAUUUAUGUCUCAUCAUGUCUUGACCAUAUCACAUCACAACAUGCCCUGCGAAAACAAGUUAGAUGUCCUCUACUUUGUUGUUGCAAGUUUUACGUGGCUGCUACGGACUGAGCAAUAACCGUUCUUACCUACGCAUCAAAAAACCACAACGCGGUAUAGUGAUUGCUUUUUGAUCUUCAGAAAUAACCAUGUUCAUUGAAUCCGAUUCAACUAAAGUUGGAGAAACUGACAGCCACCAGCCACCUGUGUGCGAAGCACGUUGGUAGAAUGAGUCUCGCGUAAGUGUACGCGUAAUGUCGGUCUGAGCCGCUUCAUCCAACAAUACCACUGAAUCAAGAAUCAACUAGUGAUGGCAAGCAAUAUGUAUAUACCCACGCCCACAACUCCUUUGUGUUCUACUCGUGCAUAUAACAUCUACGCAUAGACCUCACUCAGAUGCCACUGUUGGGGAACGCGGUAAUUUUAAAGAAAAUCCUAGGCACAUGCAAGAUCUAUCAUGGUGAUGCAUAACAACGAGAGGGAAGAGUGUUGUCUAUGUACCCUCGUAGACCGUAAGCGGAAGCGUUAUGACAACAUGGUUGAUGUAGUCGUACGUCUUCACGAUCCGACUGAUCCUAGUACCGGAAGUACGGCACCUCCGCGAUCUGCACACGUUCAGCUCGGUGAUGGCCCACGAACUCCUGAUCCAGCUAAGUGUCGAGGCAGAGCUUCGUCAGCAUGACGAUGUGAUGAUGGUGAUGAUGAAGCUACCGGCGCAGGGCUUCGCCUAAGCACUACGACGAUAUGACCGAGGUCGAUUAUGGUGGAGGGGGCACCACAUACGGCUCAGACAAUGAUCAACUUGUGUGUCUAUGGGGUGCCCCCUCCCCCGUAUAUAAAGGAGUGGAGGAGGGGGCGGGCCGGCCCUCUAUGGCGCGCCCUAGGGGAGUCCUACUCCCACCAGGAGUAGGAUUCCCCCUUUCCAAGUAGUAGGAGUAGGAGAGAAGGAAGGGGAGGAGAGAGGGAAGGAAAGGGGGAGGGGGCGCCCCCACCCAAUUUGGAUUGGGCUAAGGGGGCGCACCUCCCACCUUUUCCCUUCCUCUCCUCUAUUCCACUAAGGCCCAAUAAGGCCCAUAUACUCCCCGGGGGGUUGUGGUAACCUCCCGGUACUCCCGAAAAUGCCCGAAUUCAUCCGGAACCAUUUUGAUGUCCGAACAUAGGCUUCCAAUAUAUCGAUCUUUAUGUCUCGACCAUUUCGAGACUCCUCAUCAUGUCCAUGAUCAUAUCCGGGACUCCGGACUACCUUUGGUACAUCAAAACACAAAAACUCAUAAUACCGAUCAUCACCGAACGUUUAGCGUGUGGACCCUACGGGUUCGAGAACUAUGUAGACAUGACAGAGAAUCAUCUCUGGUAAAUAACCAAUAGCGGAACCUAGAUGUUCAUAUUGGUUCUUACAUCUUCUACGAAGAUCUUUAUCAGUCAAACCGCACAACAACAUACGCUGUUCCCUUUGUCAUCGGUAUGUUACUUGCCUGAGAUUCGAUCGUCGGUAUCUCAAUACCUAGUUCAAUCUCAUUACCGGCAAGUCUAUUUACUCGUUCCGUAAUGCAUCAUCCCACAACUAACGCACUAGUCACAUUGCUUGCAAGGCUUAUAGUGAUGUGCAUUACCGAGAGGGCCCAAAGAUACCUCUCCGAUACUCGGAGUGACAAAUCCUAAUCUCGAUCUAUGCCAACUCAACAAACACCAUCAGAGACACCUGUAGAGCAUCUUUAUAGUCACCCAGUUAUGUUGUGACGUUUGAUAGCACACUAAGUGUUCCUCCGGUAUUCGGGAGUUGCAUGAUCUCUUAGUCAUAGGAACAUGUAUAAGUUAUGGAGAAAGCAAUAGCAACAAACUAAACGAUCAUCGUGCUAAGCUAACGAAUGGGUCAAGUCAAUCACAUCAUUACCUAAUGAUGUGACCCCGUUAAUCAAAUGACAAAUCAUGCCUAUGGUCAGGAAACAUAACCAUCAUUGAUUCAAUGAGCUAGUCAAGUAGAGGCAUACUAGUGACACUCUAUUUGUCUAUGUAUUCACACAUGUACUAAGUUUCCGGUUAAUACAAUUCUAGCAUGAAUAAUAAACAUUUAUCAUGAUAUAAGGAAAUAUAAAUAAUAGCUUUAUUAUUGCCUCUAGGGCAUAUUUCCUUCAAUGUUGUGACGUGAUAUGGUCAAGACAUGUUGUGAUGUACGUUGUUGUAUGUGAUGAUCAUGUUUUGUAAUUUAUCGGCAACCGGCAGGAGCCUUAUGGUUGUCUCUCUAUUGUAUGAAAUGCAAACGCCAUGUAAUUGCUUUACUUUAUCUCUAUGUGUUAGCAAUAUUUGUAGAAGCAAUAGUUGGUGAGACGACCAUGACGCAACGAUGGAGAUCAAGGUGUCGAGCCGGUGACGAUGGAGAUCAUGACGAUGAUUUGGAGAUGGAGAUCAAAAGCACGAGAUGAUGAUGGCCAUAUCAUGUCACAUAUUUUGAUUGCAUGUGAUGUUUAUCUUUUAUGCAUCUUAUUUUGCUUAGAACGACGAUAACAUUAUAAGAUGAUCCCUUCACUAAAUUUCAAGAUAUAAGUGUUAUCCCCGAGUAUCCACCGUUGCGAAAGUUCAUUGUUUCGAGACACCACAUGAUGAUUGGGUGUGAUAGACUCUACGUUCACAUACAAUGGGUGUAAGACAGUUUCCACAUGCAGAAUACUCGGGUUAAACUUGACGAGCCUAGCAUGUACUGACAUGGCCUCGGAACACUGGAGACCGAAAGGUCGAACGUGAAUCAUAUAGUUUAGUUGAUAUGGAUCACCAUUGAAGACUUCUCCAUCUCACGUGCUGAUCGGACAUGGUUUAGUUGAUAUGGAUCCCGUGAUCAUUUAGAUGACUCGAGGGAUGUCUAUCUAAGUGGGAGUUCUUAAGUAAUAUGAUUAAGUGAACUUAAUUUAUCAUGAACUUAGUCCUGAUAGUAUUUGCAAAUCUAUGUUGUAGAUCAAUAGCUCAUGAUGUAGCUCCCCUAUUUUUUGAUACGUUCCUAGAGAAAACUAAGUUGAAAGAUGAUAGUAGCAAUGAUACAGACUGGUCAGUGAUAUGAGGAUUAUCCUCAUUGCUGCACAAAAGAAUUAUGUCCUUGAUGCACUGCUAGGUGAUAGACCUAUUGCAGGAGCAGAUGCAGACAUUAUGAACGUUUGGCAAACUGGAUAUGAUGACUACUUAAUAGUUUAGUGUGCCAUGCUUUACGGCUUAGAACUGGGACGUCAAAAAUGUUUUGAACGCCAUAGAGCAUAUGAGAUGUUCCAAGAGCUGAAAUUGGUAUUUUAGACUCAUACCCAUGUCGAGAGGUAUGAGACCUCUGACAAGUACUUUGCCUACAAGAUGGAGGAGAAUAGCUCAGCUAGUGAGCAUGUGCUCAAAAUGUCUGGGUACUACAAUCACUUGAAUCAAGUGGGAGAAUCUUCCAGAUAAGAUAGUGAUUGACAAAGUUCGCUAGUCACUAUCACCAAGCUAUUAGAACUUCGUGAUGAACUAUAAUAAGCAAGGGAUGACAAAAAUGAUUCCCGAGCUCUUCGCGAUGCUGAAAUCGACGAUGGUAGAAAUCAAGAAAGAGCAUCAAGUGUUGAUGCUUAACACGACCACUAGUUUCAAUAAAAAGGAAGGGAAAGAAAGGGAACUUCAAGAAGAAUGGCAAGCAAGUUGCCGCUCCCAUGAAGAAGUGAUACAUCUCCGUCGUAUCUACUUUUCCAAACACUUUUGCCCGUGUUUUGGACUCUAACUUGCAUGAUUUGAAUGGAACUAACCCGGACUCACACUGUUUUCAGCAGAAUUACCAUGGUGUUAUCUAUGUGCAGAAACAAAUGUUCUCGUAAUGACCUAAAACUUCACGGAGCAACUUUUUGAAAAAUAUAAAGAAUACCUGCAAAAGAUGAAGGCCAGGGGGCCCACGACCUGUCCACGAGGGUGGAGGGCGCGCCCCCUACCUCGUGGGCUCCCUGGUGCCUCUCUGACUCCAACUCCAACUCUAUAUAUUGUGUUUCGGGGAGAAAAAAAUCAUAGAGAAGAAUUCAUCGCGUUUUACGAUACGGAGCCACCGCCAAGCCCUAAAACCUCUCUGGAGGGCUGAUCUGGAGUCCGUUCGGGGCUCCAGAGAGGGGAAUCCGUCGCCAUCGUCAUCAUCAACCAUCCUCCAUCACCAAUUUCAUGAUGCUCACCGCCGUGCGUGAGUAAUUCCAUCGUAGGCUUGCUGGACGGUGAUGGGUUGGAUGGAAUUUAUCAUGUAAUUGAGUUAGUUUUGUUAGGGUUUGAUCCCUAGUAUCCACUAUGUUCUGAGAUUGAUGUUGCUAUGACUUUGCUAUGCUUAAUGCUUGUCACUAGGGCCCGAGUGCCAUGAUUUCAGAUCUGAACCUAUUAUGAUUUCAUCAAUAUAUGAGUGUUCUUGAUCCUAUCUUGCAAGUCUAUAGUCACCUAUUAUGUGUUAUGAUCCGUUAACCCCGAAGUGACAAUAAUCGGGAUACUUACCGGUGAUGACCGUAGUUUGAGGAGUUCAUGUAUUCACUAUGUGUUAAUGCUUUGUUCCGGCACUCUAUUAAAAGGAGGCCUUAAUAUCCCUUAGUUUCCGUAAGGACCCCACUGCCACGGGAGGGUAGGACAAAAGAUGUCAUGCAAGUUCUUUUCCAUAAGCACGUAUGACUAUGUUCGGAAUACAUGCCUACAUUAUAUCAGUGAAUUGGAGCUAGUUCUGUGUCACCCUAGGUUAUGACUGUUACAUGAUGAACCGCAUCCAGCAUAAUUUUCUAUCACCGAUCCAUUGCCUACGAGCUUUCCAUAUAUUGUUCUUCGCUUAUUUACUUUUCCGUUGUUAUUGCUAUCAUCACUACAAAAUACCAAAAACAUUACUUUUACUACUGUUACCUUUUGUUACCUUUACCACUACUAUCAUAUUACUUUGCUACUAAAUACUUUCCUGCAGAUACUAAGUUUCUAGGUGUGGUUGAAUUGACAACUCAGCUGCUAAUACUUGAGAGUAUUCUUUGGCUCCCUUGUGUCGAAUCAAUAAAUUUGGGUUGAAUACUUUACCCUCGAAAACUGUUGCGAUCCCCUAUACUUGUGGGUUAUCAAGACUAUUUUCUGGCGCCGUCGCCGGGGAGCAUAGCUCUAUUCUUUGAGUCACUUGGGAUUUAUAUCUUCUUAUCAUCAUGAAGAACUUGAAAGAUCCAAGAGCCAAGAUUUAUCCCUCAACUACGAGGGGAGGUAAGGAACUGCCAUCUAGCUCUGCACUUGAUUCACCUUCUGUUUUGAGUAAGCUUGCGACACCUAAACCUACUUCAGCUAUUCGUUCUGAUAUGUCGCAUGUUAUUGAUGAUGCCACUUCUGCUAUACAUGAUACUUAUGAUGAAACUACUUGUAUGCUUGAUACUACUGUGCCACUUGGUGAAUUUCUUGAUGAACAACUUCCUAGGGCUAGAGAGAUUGAAAAUAUUGAAUCUGAUAAUACUGAUGAAAUUGAUGAUGAAGACUUGCCUGUUAUUCCUGAGGCUUAUGUUUUUGAUAAAGAAGCUUCUUUAGCUAUUUUAGCUUGCAAACAUAGACACGAACAUAAGAGGUUAUUAGCUAAAUGGAAUAAGCAAUCUCUAAAUGCUAGGAUGAAACCUGACCCUACUUUUGCUACUUCACCUAUCUGUAUUACUAAUAAGGAUUAUGAAUUUUGUGUUGAUCCUGAUAUAAUUACUUUGGUUGAAUCUGAUCCUUUUCAUGGCUAUGAAUCUGAAACUGUUGUGGCACAUCUUACUAAAUUAAAUGAUAUAGCCACCCUGUUCACUAAUGAUGAGAGAACUCGCUACUUUUAUAUCCUUAAAAUAUUUCCAUUCUCAUUAAAGGGUGAUGCUAAGAUAUGGUUUAAUUCUCUUGAUCCUGGUUGUGUGCGUAGUCCCCAGGAUAUGAUUUAUUACUUCUAUGCUAAAUAUUUCCUUGCUCAUAAGAAACAAGCUGCUUUAAGGGAUAUAUAUAAUUUUGUGCAAAUUGAAGAAGAGAGUCUCCCACAAGCUUGGGGGAGGCUUCUCCAAUUACUUAAUGCUUUGCCUGAUCAUCCUCUUAAGAAAAAUGAAAUACUUGAUAUCUUUUAUAAUGGACUAACCGAUGCUUCCAGAGAUUACCUGGAUAGUUGUGCUGGUUCUGUUUUCAGGGAAAGAACACCGGAUGAAGCUGAAAUUCUAUUGAAUAAUAUGUUGACAAAUGAAAAUAAUUGGACACCUCCGGAGCCAAUUCCCGAGCCUAUUCCUAAACCAACUCCGAAGAAGAGGGGUAUUCUAUUUCUCUGUCCUGAAGAUAUGCAAGAGGCAAAGAAAUCUAUGAAAGAAAAAGGUAUUAAAGCUAAAGAUGUUAAGAAUUUACCUCCUAUUGAAUAAAUACACGGUCUUAAUUUACCUCAUAUUGAAGAAAUAUAUGAUCUUGAUCCAUCACCUAUUGAAGAAACUCAUGGUCUUGAUAACCCAACACAGGUAGUAAAGGUAAAUUCUCUCUAUAGAUAUGAUAAAGCUGAAAUCCCAUUUACUAAGUUUGCUAGCCCAUGCUUAGAUGAGUUUGAUAAAUUUAUGGCUAAGCAAGAAGACUUUAAUGCUUAUUUUGGUAGACAACUGAAAUACAAUUCAAAUAUGCUUGAACACUUGGGUGAUUAUAUGGCUAAUGUCAAUGGUAAACUUAAACUUAUUAGUAAAAAUGCUUCUAUGGUUACCACUCAAGUAGAACAAGUACUUAAAGCUCAAAAUGAUUUGCUCAAUGAAUUGAAUAGUAACGAUAAUGAUAAUGCUGUUAGAGUGGCUACUAGAACUGGUAGAAUGACUCAGGAACCUUUGUAUCCUGAAGGACAUCCUAAGAGAAUUGAGCAAGAUUCUCGGAGAAAUAAUAUAGAUGCACCUAGUCCUUCUAAAAGGAAGAAAAAGAAAAAUGAUAGGACUUUGCAUGCUUCUAGUGAACCUGUUACUGAAACACCUGAGAAUCCAAAUGAUAUUUCUAUUUCUGAUGCUGAAACUCAAUCUGGUAAUGAACCUGAAACUAGUAAUAAUGUUAAUGAUGAUGCUCAACCUAGUAAUGAUAAUGAUGUAGAAAUUGAACCUGCUGUUGAUCUUGAUAACCCACAAUCAAGGAAUCAACGUUAUGAUAAGAAAGACUUUGUUGCUAGGAAACAUGGUAAAGAAAGAGAGCAUUGGGUUCAGAAACCCAUGCCUUUUCCUCCCAAACCAUCCAAGAAAAAGGAUGAUGAGGAUUUUGAGCACUUUGCUGAAAUGAUUAGACCUAUCUUUUUGUGUAUGCGAUUAACUGAUAUGCUUAAAAUGAAUCCUUAUGCUAAGUACAUGAAAGAAAUUAUUACAAAUAAAAGAAAGAUACCAGAAGCUGAAAUUUCCACCAUGCUUGCUAAUUAUACUUUUAAGGGUGGAAUACCAAAGAAACUAGGAGAUCCCGGUGUACCAACUAUACCAUGCUCCAUUAAAAGAAACUAUGUUAAAACUGCUUUAUGUGAUCUUGGAGCCGGUGUUAGUGUUAUGCCUCUCUCUUUAUAUCGUAGACUUGAUUUGAAUAAGUUGACACCUACUGAAAUAUCUUUGCAAAUGGCUGAUAAAUCAACUGCUAUUACCUGUCGGUAUUUGUGAGGAUGUGCCUAUUGUAGUUGCAAACGUUACUAUUUUAACAGACUUUGUUAUUCUUGAUAUUCCCGAGGACGAUAGUAUGUCUAUUAUUCUUGGAAGAUCCUUUUUGAAUACUACAGGGGCUGUCAUUGAUUGCACUAAAGGCAAUGUCACUUUUCAUGUUAAUGGUAAUGAGCAUACGGUACACUUUCCGAGGAUACAACCUCAAGUUCAUAGUAUCAACUCUAUUGGAAAAAUUCCAUCGAUUAUAUUUGGAGGUUUUGAAUUUCCUCUUCCUACUGUCAAGAAGAAAUAUGAUAUUAUUAUUAUUGGGGAUGUGCAUAUCCCCGUUGAGGUAACACAGUGUUAUUCAAAAUUUCUCCGGUUCCAUGUUAUUCGGAAUGAGUUCGUUAACAAGACUUGAUCAACCUUCUUAGUGGAUUCCUUUUGAGGAGCAUGAGAUGGAUGAAACUAGAAAGCAAAACCUUAUGAACCCCACUUUUACUCUCUGUUAUUUAUAUUAAAUAAAAUAAAAAUAAAUAUUUUUCUGUCUGUUAUCUGAUUAUCCAUGCAAUAUAAAAAUACCCCGAAAAUGAAAGUUCUCCAAAUGCCCUGAAAUUUAAAUAUGAUUUUUUCUAGAAUAUUUGAGAAUAUUUGGCACUGAGAACACAAUAGGGGGGGUCAACCACCUGCCCACGAGGGUGGAGGGCGCACCCUACCCCCUAGGCGCGCCCCCUGCCUCGUGGGCCCACGGUGGCCCUCCUCCACUUAUCCUUUCACCAACACACUCCUUCUUCCUCCCCCACACACGAAUAUCCAGCUCAAGCACGAGUUCUAACUCAUUGUGCUGCCAUUUCCGAUCUCCUUGCUCAAAGCACCUCUCACAAAACUGCUUGGGGAUAUUGUUCCUUGGUAUGUGACUCCUCCAUUGGUCCAAUUAGUUUUUGUUCUAGUGCUUUAUUCAUUGCAAGUUUUUGCUGCUUAGGUGACCCUGUUCUUGAGCUUGCAUGUCAAAUUUAUAUGGUCAAAAGUAGUUUUGAUGCAUGAUAUAGGCCCUAGGCACUUGUAGGAGUAGUUGCUAUCAAUAUUAUUGAGUUUGGUUCACUUUUAUUUUGAAGUUACUAAAAAUUUCAUAAUUUUUCAGAAAAUGAUGAAGAGACUUUUGAGGGGCUCAUCGAGCUGAAGCUCGAAGGAAAAGGCACCAAAGCCUAAGUAUAACCUGCCUUGCACCGCGGAGGUUUGGGCGUGUGAAUGGCCUUCCAAUGAUUUCUUGAGAGCAGCCGGGAUUUAUGAAGAUUUUCAUGAAUUGGCUAGGAAUGCGAUGCUUAAGUUUGUCUGAAUCAUGUUAGCAAUUGCCGCAUUUUAUAGUUAUGAAAUCAAGAAAAUGGAUGUAAAAAACUACAUUCCUUAAUGGAUAUUAAAGAAGAGUUGUAUAUGAUGCAACCAGAAGUUUUUGUCGAGCCUAAAGGUGCUAACAAAGUGUGCAAGCUCCAGCGAUCCAUCUAUGGACCGGUGCAAGCAUCUCGGAGUUGGAAUAUACGCUUUUAUGAGGUGAUCAAAGCAUAUGGUUUUAUACAGACUUAUGGUGAAGCAUGUAUUUACAAGAAAGUGAGUGGGAGCUCUAUAGCGUUUCUGAUAUUAUAUGUGGAUGACAUAUUGUUGAUUGGAAAUGAUAUAGAAUUUCUGGAUAGCAUAAAAGGAUACUUGAAUAAGAGUUUUUCAAUGAAAGACCUCGGUGAUGCUGCUUAUAUAUUAGGCAUCAAGAUCUAGGGAUAGAUCGAGACGCUUAAUAGGACUUUCACAAAGCACAUACCUUGACAAGAUUUUGAAGAAAUUCAAAAUGGAUCAGUCAAAGAAAGGGUUCUUGCCUGUAUUGCAAGGUGUGAAGUUGAGUAAGACUCAAAACCCGACCACGGUAUAAGAUAGAGACAGAAUGAAAGUCAUUCCCUAUGCCUCAGCCAUAGGUUCUAUAAAGUAUGCCAUGCUGUGUACCAAACCUGUUGUGUACUUUGUCAUGAGUUUGGCAAGGGGGUACAAUGGUGAUCCAGGAGUAGAUCACUGGACAUCAGUCAAAAUUAUCCUUAGUUACCUAAGAGGACUAAGGAGAUAUUUCUCUAUUAUGGAGGUAAUGAAGAGUUCGUCAUAAAAGGUUACGUCGAUGCAAGCUUUGACGCUGAUUCGGAUGACUCUGAGUCUUAAUCUGGAUACAUAUUGAAAGUGGGAGCAAUUAGCUAGAGUAGCCCCAUACAGAGCUUUGUAGACAUAGAAAUUUGCAAGAUAUAUACGGAUCUGAAUGUGACAGACCUAUUGACUAAACUUCUCUCAUAAGAAAAACAUAAUCACUCCUUAAUACUCUAUGGCUGUUAAUCACAUGGCAAUGUGAACUAGAUUAUUGACUUUAGUAAACUCUUUGGGUGUUGGUCACAUGGCGAUGUGAACUAUGGGUGUUAAAUCGCAUGGUGAUGUGAACUAGAUAAUUGACUCUAGUGCAAGUGGGAGACUAAAGGAAAUAUGCCCUAGAGGCAAUAAUAAAGUUGUUAUUUUAUAUUUCUUUAUUCAUAAUAAAGGUUUAUUAUUCAUGUUAGAAUUGUAUUGAUCGGAAACUUAAAUACAUGUGUGAAUACAGAAACAAAUAUUGUAUCCCUAGUAAGCCUCUACUAGACUAGCUUGUUGAUCAAAGAUGGUUAAGGUUUCCUAACCAUAGACAUGUGUUGUCAUUUGAUAACAGGAUCACAUCAUUAGGAGAAUGAUGUGGAAAAGACCCAUCCAUUAGCUUAGCAUAAUGAUCAAUCAGUUUUAUUGCUAUUGCUUUUUUCAUGUCAAAUAGAUAUUCCUUCGACUAUGAGAUUAUGCAACUCCCGGAUACCGGAGGAAUACCUUGUGUGCUAUCAAACGUCACAACGUAACUGGGUGAUCAUAAAGGUGCUCUACAGGUAUCUCUGAAGGUGUUUGUUGAGUUGGCAUAGAUCAAGAUUAGGAUUUGUCACUCCGAGUAUCGGAGAGGUAUCUCUGGGCCCUCUCGGUAAUACACAUCAUAAGCUUGCAAGCAAAUGACUAAGGAGUUAGUCACAAGGUGAUGUAUUACGGAACGAGUAAAGAGACUUACCGGUAAUGAGAUCGAACUAGGUAUGAAGAUACCGAUGAUGGAAUCUUGGGCAAGUAACAUACCAAUGGACAAAGGCAAUUACGUAUGUUGUCAUAACGGUUCGACUGAUAAAGAUACUUGUAGAAUAUGUAGGAGCCAAUAUGGGCAUCCAGGUUCCUCUAUUGGGUAUUGACCAGAGAGGUGUCUCGAUCAUGUCUACAUAGUUCUCGAACCCGUAGGGUCCGCACGCUUAACAUUCGAUGUCGAUUUGGUAUUAUAUGAGUUAUGUGGUUUGGUGACUGAAUGUUGUUUGGAGUCCCAGAUGAGGUCAUGGACAUGACGAGGAGCUCUAGAAUUAUCCGGGGGUAAAGAUUGAUAUAUAAGAUAGUGCUGCUUGGUCUCCCGAAUGGUUUCGGAAUGCACUGGAAAGUUAUCGGAAUACCGGAAGGGGUUCCGGAGGGACCGGGAGAGUAUUGGGCCUUAUUGGGACAAGUAGAGGGAACACACCAGCCCACAUGGGCUAGUGUGCCCCCCUAAGGCAGCCGCACCCAAUUAGAUGGAAGGGGGAGGCGCCACCUCCUCCUACCAUAUCUCCGGAAGGGAGAAAUGAAGGAGAAGGGGCACCUCCCCCUUUCCUUCUCCCUUGUGCAUUAUAUGGAAGGGGGGCGCACCACUAGGAAAUCCCUAGGGUGGCCGCCGACCCUAUUGGAGGCACCCUAGGGCUGCCUCCUCCCUUCCCACACCUAUAUAUAUGUGGCGAGGGGUGCCACACAAUACACAGCUUAUUUCACGCCAUGUGUCGGCACCCCUCCGCCUCUAGUUUAUUCCUCCGUUCUAAAUCACCGUAGUGCUUAGGUGAAGCCCUGCAGGAUUGCUUCACCACCACUGUCACCACGCCAUUGUGCUGACAAAACUCAUCUACUACCUCGCCCCGCUUGCUAGAUCAAGAUGGCGAGGACGACACCGAGCUGAACAUGUGCAGAACGUGGAGGUGUCGUUCGUUCGCUACUUGAUCGGGCGGAUCGUGAAGGUGUACGACUACAUCAGCCGUGUUGAGUAAAUGCUUCCGCUUAUGGUCUACAAGGGUUCAUAGACACACUCUCCCCCUCUCAUAGCUAUACAUCUGCAUGGAUCGAUCAUUGCGUGUGCGUAGACUUUUUUGUUUUCCAUGCAAUGUUCCCCAACAUCUUUGAGAGCUGGUAUUCUGCAAGUGGAUGAUACCUCGAUGCCCCAAUGCCUUGUCUCAUGUCCGUAUAGUGCAACAAAUGGUGAUGUCUUCAGAGCUGAGUGAUAGCUUGAAUUGUACCAGAAUUCUGCUAGAGCGAGGUGCUAACUCCACUUGCCUGGACAUGCAUGUAUGAAACAUUGUAGAUAAAUCUCCAAGGACUGGUUGACGCGCUCGGUCUGACCAUCUAUAUGGGGGUGAUAUGGCGUGCUCAUAGAGAGUUCAGUAUCGACAACACGGAGCAGCUCGCUCCAAAACUUGCUGGUGAACACUAGGUCCCGAUCAGAGAUGAUAGCUUCUGGUAGGCCAUGCAUUUUAUAGACAUUUUCCAGGUAGGAAUGAGCAACUUUCGCAUCUGUAAAGUUGUGAGUUAGAGGAAGGAAAUGGGCAUAUAUGGUAAAUUUGUCGACCACCACCAGGAUGCAGUUGCAUUUGUUGGACUGUGGUAGACCGUCCAUGAAAUCCAUUGUGACUACUUGUCACGCUUCUUCUGGUAAUGGAAUCAACUCAAGAAGCCCUUGAUAUUUCACCCUCUGCGGUAUAGCCUGUGGACAUAUAGUGCAAGCUUGUACAUAUAGACAAACAUGAUCUUUCAUCUUUUGCCAUGCAAAGAGAUGGCGUAGGCGUCUGUAGGUGACUGGAAACCCGGAGCGCCCCCCAACUGAGUUGUCGUAAAAUGUUGUCAACACGCGUUGUUGUAAUUCACGUGCUCCUCCCAACCAAAGUCUGUUUCUGAAGUAAAGGAGACCGUUGGAGACUGAAAAUCGUUGCUUAGGGUCCGAGCCAGCGGCUAGUUGAGCAAAGAUCUUUUGCACUUGCCCAUUGGUAGUGUAACUCGCAGCAAUGUCAUCCACCCAAGCGGGUUUGCAGACGGAGAUCGCGGAUAGGCUUACGGCGUUGUGCAGUUGACAUGACAGAGCAUCUAGGGAUCCAUUAGCAGUCCCCUGGCGGUCGCUGAUUUUGUACCUCAGUCCAAGGAGAGGUGGUGUUUGGUUGUUUAGCCAUCCACCCUAUGGACAGGGAUAGCCCACUUUCCUAAUGAUGCCACCCAUUUGGUUCAGUAGCCAGGGAAUAUAUGGAUAACCAAAUUCACACGAUUAUUUGGCCAAAACUUGGCUCAGGAGAGUCACGAAAUUCUCAUGGACGAGGGCAUCCACCAGCGCACGAGCCCCCUUUCUUUCCCGCUUAGGCCACCUCCUAGCGCGCGAAACUUUUGCCGUUCCCUCUUUAUCUCACCCUCACCCGAAACCUAGCUUUCAGAACUUCCUCAUCCAGAAGCAGCGGCGGCAGCGGCGUGAUUCAACAAGGAUCCCGACAUGGCGGAGGUACAGAUCAUCCUGCCCCUUGUUCCCCUCUCAGUUCCCUUCCUCUUAUGGUAUAUACCGUCGACCAGGGCAGGUGUGGAGUGUGUAGCACCGCCGGGAGGGAAGUAGAUCCGCCGGCAGGGAGCGGGGAGAUCCGCUGAUGGGGAACAACAAGAGUAGGCCGUUUUGAACCUCUCUAUUCACUGGUUUGAGGAUUGGAGUAGUGCCGUUGUAGCGAUCCGACCUCAAACGGUCAAAUCUCUAUGCAUAAGUGUCAUCCCUAGAUCGGUAAUGCUGACACACACAGUACUCGAGGAUUUAUAACAGAGUGCAAUCACACACUUAUUACAUCGAAUAUCUCAAAGAGAUUACUUAUUACAAUAAUAUGGCUGAAGGCCAUCUAAAUAAGAUAACUGCGGAAGCUUCAAGGGUAAAUGAGUCCAUCAUCUCCAACGGCACAGCUGAGUGCAUGACAACGACCUAGCGCACCUUACUCUUCGUCUGAAAACUCUGCAACAUAAUACGUUGCAGCCUAUGUAGGUCAGCACAUGGAAUAUGUUGGCAAGACAACACUAUAGAGCAAUGAACAAGUAAGAGCUAUAACUAUAUGCAUAUAUGGCUGGUGGAGGCUCUAUGGUUAUCAUGUGCAGAAAGCUAGUUUUUCCCUACAAUAAAGGAAUAUAUUUUAUUUCACUACAAAGUUGGUUGAAAACAUCAAGAAUGGUAACCCCAUCUCAAUCCCAAAUUAAAAAUCAAUAACCCCACAAAUUAAUUAGGUAAAGGGAUGAGAUCAACAUAGUAAUUCAAGCACUAGAUACUCAUGAUGUCCAUAACUAGGGACACGACUAACCAUGAUUAGUUUGUACAGACUACAGAGGUUUGUGCACUUUUCGCCACAAGACUCGAUCUCCUCCGUUGUAUUUCUCGCACUACAUGAUGUUUGAGAAACGGAUGACCGAGACACAGUCUUUUCGAAGAGGUCCCCUUAACAGAUAGAUAGGCCGGUACACCUACAAUCCCCCUACAUCUGCUAGCCCAUCAUGGAAAGGUUUCCCACAACUUACUCAACUAUGCCAGAGCCCAUAAUGGCUUGUGGCUGCACACGGAAGUUUCCAGCAUGAAUAACAUAAUGAUCCCUUUGAGCCUGGGUGGCAAACCAUAGGAAAAAUCACACGGAUACCCUGGGAUUCUCCUUGUACCAAUCCACCCAGAUGUGUAUUAAAGUAGCCACCUUAAGCUAAACCUUAAUUAACAAUAAUCUCUUACAUAUGUCAUGAAUUCUCUCAAAACCAAACCACGUCUACGAGCAUAGCAUAGCAGUAUAAGAAUACGUAGUAACUCCCAGGGUUUGAACAAAUGACAAUAGGUUCUACCUCAUCAACUAGUUCCCAAUACCCACAAGUAUUCAAGUCCAAACCAUGCAGUGUUUGAGGAUUGAAACUAAUGCAUAAAACUGGGUAAUAAGGGAUAUGAUCAAAGUGUUACUUGCCUUGUUGACGAUCUGAAAACCCUAGUGACUCGUAGUAGCAACUAGCAAGCCUCGCACUCCGGAAACUCUAUCAUGAACAAAAAUAGCAUACAUAAUCACUCAAGCAUAAGAUGCAAGGGUAAAACUCAAGAGAAAAGAUCCAAACUGAAAGUUCAACUGAAGAGCUUUGAUUUGCAAAAAGAAUCAAUCGAAUCGGAGCUACGAAACUCAAACCGCGAACAAAAGAAGUUCGAAUUAAUAUCUGCUUGAAACCAGAUUUUAAAUUGUCAAAAUCAUGUUCAAGUUGGUUAUCUGGAAAGAAGCGAACAAGAUGAAGAUUUUGGCGUUGCUUUCACUGGAUUUGGAAAAACGAGCAAAAAGUAGCGAGGGUUUGAAGAUCAGGGACUAAUAUGUGAUAAAAGUAUUCGUAGAUAGGACCCUGGCCGGAAAAAUAAAAUAAAAAGAAAAACCUAAUGAAUGAACCUUCGCUAACAAACCUAAACGAACGAAAACGUUCGCUACCACGGAUUAACGGACGAACGUCCGCUAAUUAGAACCAAUCGGAAAAACCAAGAAAACCCUAACCCUAAAAAUAAACUGAAUGAAAACCGAACGGUUUUUACCGGUUAACCGGAGAAAAACGACAGCGACGUCAACGGCGAGAUCCGGCGUGGCUCCGGCGGCGGGUGGUGGGGAGGUGGUGACGGGGCGGCUCGGCCUUAUAAAGAGCUGGGGGGCAGGGCUUGCACGAGGGGGCGACGGCGGGUGCGGGUCCGACCCGGACUCCCCUUGCUGGAGUCCAGCGCCAGCACGGGCGAUGAAGGCGGCGCGGCGGCUGGGCCCGGCUCGGCUGGGCCUUCGGCUCAGUUGGGCGACAAAGUUUUUUUAAAAUAAAUUUUGCCCGAAAGAAAAAUUCUAAUAAAAUAAAAAAAUUCUAAAAAUACCAGAAACAAUUUUCUCCGUCCAAACCUAUUAUUUAGGACAAGAUGAACAUUUUUCUGGCCUAAAAUGCAAUUUAAAAAUGCAUAUUUUUCUAAUUCAAAUAAAAUACCAAUAAAAUAUUAAUUUGAUUUUAAAAUUUCUUCUCCAAUAUUCCUCUAUUUUGAAUAAGUCAUAUUAUUUUCUCUCAUUUAUUUUUAUUAUUGGAAAUAAUUGGAGAGAAAAAUAUUAAAAUCAAAUUGAUCCUCUUUUCAAAUUUGUAAAAUUGAAAUAUAAAAAUUUGUGAAAUCUCCAACUCACUCACAACCAAAUGCAAAUGAAAAUAUGAUAUGCAAAUGUAGACCUAUGUAUAACAUCCAAACUGAAAAUUGGGAUGUUACAAACCUACCCCCCUUAAGAUGAAUCUCGCCCUCGAGAUUCGGGUUGGCUAGAAAAUAGGUGUGGGUGGUCUUUCCGUAGGUCUUCUUCUCGCUCCCAGGUGGCUUCCUCGUCGGAAUGGUGGCUCCAUGAUGACCCACAAGUAUAUGGGAUCUAUCGUAGUCCUUUCGAUAAGUGAGAGUGUCGAACCCAACGAGGAGCAGAAGGAAAUGAUAAGCAGUUUUCAGUAAGGUAUUCUCUGCAAGCACUGAAAUUAUCGGUAACAGGUAGUUUUGUGAUAAGAUAAUUUGUAACGGGUAACAAGUAAUAAAAACAAAUAAGGUGCACCAAGAUCAAUCCUUUUUGUAGCAAAGGAAAAGCCUGGAGAAACUCUUAUAUAAAGGAAAAAUGCUCCCGAGGACACAUGGGAAUUAUCGUCAAGCUAGUUUUCAACACGUUCAUAUGAUUCGCGUUCAGUACUUUCAUAAUUUGAUAUGUGGGUGGACCGGUGCUUGGGUACUGACCUUGCUUCGACAAGCAUCCUACUUAUGAUUAACCCCUCUUGCAAGCAUCCGCAACUACAAAAUAAGUAUUAAGGUAAACCUAACCAUAGCAUGAAACAUAUGGAUCCAAAUCAGCCCCUUACGAAGCAACUCAUAAACUAGGGUUUAAGCUUCUAUCACUCUAGCAACGCAUCAUCUACUUAUUACUUCCCAAUGCCUUUCCCUAGGCCCAAGCAAUGGUGAAGUGUCAUGUAGUUGACGUUCACAUGACACCACUAGAGGAGAGACAACAUACAUCUCAUCAAAAUAUCGAACGAAUACCAAAUUCACAUGACUACUUAUAGCAAGACUUCUCCCAUGUCCUCAGGAACAAACAUAACUACUCACAAAUCAUAUUCAUGUUCAUAAUCAGAGGGGUAUUAAUAUGCAUAAAGGAUCUGAACAUAUGAUCUUCCACCAAAUAAACCAACUAGCAUCAACUACCAGGAGUAAUCAACACUACUAGCAACCCACAUGUACCAAUCUAAGGUUUUGGGACAAAGAUUGGAUACAAGAGAUGAUGGUGCUGGUGAAGAUGUGGAUGGAGAUUGCCCCCCUCCAGAUGAGAGGAUCGAUGGUGAUGACAAUGGUGAUGAUUUCCCCCUCCCAGAGGGAUGUUUCCCCGGCAGAACAGCUCCGCUGGAGCCCUAGAUUGGUUCUGCCAAGGUUCUGCCUCGUGGCGGCGGAGUUUCGUCCUGUGAGCUUGCUUAUGAUUUUUUUUCGAACAAAAGACUUCAUAUAGCAGAAGAUGGGCAUCGGAGGCCUGCCAGGGGGCCCACGAGACAGGGGUGCGCCCAGGGGGUAGGGCGCGCCCCCACCAUCGUGGCUAGGGUGUGGGCCCCCUCUGGGUAAUUCUUUUGCCAGUAUUUUUUAUAUAUUCCAAAGCGUGCUCCCGUGAAGUCUCAUGACUUUUGGAGUUAUGCAUAAUAGGUCACUAAUAUUUGCUCCUUUUCCAGCCCAGAAUUCCAGCUACCGGCAUUCUCCCUCUUCAUGUAAACCUUGUAAAAUAAGAGAGAAAAUGCAUAAGUAUUGUGACCUAAUGUGUAGUAACUGUCCAUAAUGCCAUAAAUAUCGAUAUAAAAGCAUGAUGCAAAAUGGACGUAUCAAAUCCCCCAAGCUUAGACCUCGCUUGUCCUCAAGCGGAAGCCGAUAUCGAAAAAUAUGUCCACAUGUUUACAGAUAGAGGUGUCGAUAAAAUAGAAUACGGACAUGAGGGCAUCAUGAUCAUUCUUAUAACAGCAACCUAUAUAAAUAUUGUCAUAUGAUUUCUUAUGCUAAAGUAACAAUUCAUUCACAAUUUCAAGUAUGAAUCAGAAACUUCAUUGAAAGCUAACAAACUAUAAUCUCAGUCAUUGAAGCAAUUGCAAUUUAUCAUAACAUCUGAAAGAGUCAAUAUAAGAGCUUUUGAGCAAGUCCACAUACUCAACUAUCAUUUAGUCUUUCACAAUUGCUAACACUCACGCAAUAUUUAUGGGUAUGAAGUUUUUAUCGGACACAGAGAAAGAGAGGGGCUUAUAGUUUUGCCUCCCAACCUUUUACCUCAAGGGUAAUGUAAACACUAAUAGUUCAUGAAAACUCACAUCCAAUUAGCUAUAUAUACCAGGAUCUUUCCAACACACAGUGCUUGCCAAAGGAUAAAAUGUAAAAAGGAAAGGUGAACCUCACCAUGACUCUUGUAUGAAGUAUAAGACAAGAAUAAAAGAUAGGACCUUCGUAGAGGGAAGCAGAGGUUGUCAUGUGCUUUUAUGGUUGGAUGCACAAAAUCUUAAUGCAAAAGAACGUCACUUUAUAUUGCCACUUGUGAUAUGGACCUUUACUAUGCAGUCAGUCGCUUUUAUUUCUUCCACAUCACAAGAUCGUAUAAAGCAUAUUUUCUCCACACUAAUAAAUCAUACAUAUUUAGAGAGCAAUUUUUAUUGCUUGCAACAAUGACAACUUACUUGAAAGAUCUUACUCAAUCCAUAGGUAGAUAUGGUGGACUCUCAUGGAAAAACUGGGUUUAAGGAUAUUUGGAAGCACAAGUAGUAUCUCUACCUAGUGCAAAUAAUUUGGCUAGCAUGAGGGGGAAAGGCAAGCUCAACAUGUUGGAUGAUCCAAGACAAUAUAAUUUAUUUUGGAUGUAAGAAAACAUAACCCAUCACGUUGUCUUCCUUGUCCAACAUCAACUUUUUAGCAUGUCAUAUUUUAAUGAGUGCUCACAAUCAUAAAAGAUGUCCAAGAUAGUAUAUUUAUAUGUGAAAACCUCUCUUUAUUUAUUACUUCCUAUUAAUUGCAACGAUGACCAAAACUAUGUUUGUCAACUCUUAACAACUUUUAUUCAUCAUACUCUCUAUAUGUGAAGUCAUUACUCUCCAUAAGAUCAAUAUGAUCUCCUUAUUUCUUUUUAUUCUUUCUCUUCUCUUUUAUAUUUAUUCCCUCUAGAUCAUGGCAAGAUAAUCAGGCCCUUGACUCAUAACUAAUCUUUAUUAUAUAUAGCUCACAGACUCGAUUACAUAGAACGAUCAUAAAGCAAAACUCAAAACUAGAUCAUACUAAAACUUUAUUCUACUAGAUCAAGAUAUAACCAAAAGGAUCGAACUGACAAAAACGGUAAAGAUAAAAGUGUGAUGGUGAUACGAUACUGAGGCACUCCCCCAAGCUUCGCAGUUGCCAACGGGAGUGCCCAUACCCAUAUGUUUAUAUCUCUUUCCUCGGGGGUGGUGAUGGUGGAGUUGUUGAUGAUGUAGGCUUGUCAUCCAUCUUCCAAGGCAUAGGCUCACCAUCGUAAAAGGAUGAUCUUGUCUCCAGGAUCCUCAAAUCUGUAGCCAAACUCAUCCUCUUGAAUCUAUAUUCGUACUCACAGUUUUGGUUUUGCAGGUCAUAGAUCUGGGCUUGGAGGCGCUCAAUUUUCUUGUGAAGCUUGAAGGUGGCCUUCCCAAUGUUCGUGGCAUCUAGCUUGUGGUUGUUGGUGAACUCCGCGAUCAUUAUAUGAUUGGCGUCGAGUCAACGUUCCACCAUCUCCUGGCACUUGAAAACUUGUUGCUCCAUUUCCUCGAGCCUUGUCUCCACGCUUCUGGUCCUCCUUGGUCCCUCAACAUCACGGAUGUGCAGCAACCCCUCACGCAUCUCUAUGGUUUGAGGAUGUUGCAACACUUCCGCGAGGUAGGGGUUGAUGACCUUCUUGAAGAACUUGUCCUUGGGGGCACUUGGAGAUGUCAUGGUGAUCUAGACCUGUCAGAAAAACAUCUCGAAACAAAAAUAGAGGAUAUUUGCGUGGUACGGUGGUCAAAACCUUUGGGAGAUUAUAUAAUGAAUUUUUAUCGAUCAAAAGAAGUAUCGUGCAAGAAAACGGAGUCUAGAGAGCACACGAGGUGCCCACGAGGCAGAGGGCGCACCCAGGGGGUAGGGCGCACCCUCCACCUUCAUGGACGCCUCGUGUCCUUCCCGGACUACUUCUUAUUUUCCUAUUUUCUUAAAUAUUCCAAAACAGAGAAAAAAUGCUAUUAGAACUAUUUUGGAGUCGGUUUACUUACCGUACCACAUACCUAUUCCUUUUCGGAGUCUGAAACGUUCUGGAAAGUGUCCCUUAUAUAUUCCUCCAGGUUACGGUUUCAAUAACAUUAGUUUCAACAUUUUUUUGGAUUACUUGAGAUAUAAUGUUUGAUUCUUUGACCGUUCACCACCCUCGGAUUUGUGCCUUCGAUAUUGUUGAUUUUUAUGGCACCAGAACGAUAGACCUCCUCGAUGACAUAAGGACCUUCCCAUUUAGAGAGGAGUUUUCCUGCAAAAAAAUCUUAAACAAGAGUUGUAUAACAAUAGAUAAUCACCUACAUUAAACUCACGUUUUUGUAUCCUUUUGUCAUGCCAUAUUUUAAAUUUUUCUAUAAACAGUUUGUCAUUCUCAUAGGCCUAGAUUCUCUAUUCAUCAAGUGAGCUAAUGUCAAAAAGCCUUUUCUCACCGGCAAGUUUGAAAUCAUAAUUGAGCUCUUUAAUGGCCCAAUAUGCCUUAUGUUCUAGUUCGAGAGGUAAGUGACAUGCUUUUCCAUAAACCAUUUUAUACGGAGACAUACCCGUAGGAUUUUUAUAUGCAGUUCUAUAAGCCCAUAAUGCAUCAUUAAGUUUCUUGGACCAAUUCUUUCUAGAUUUGUUAACGGUCUUUUGCAAAAUUAAUUUGAGCUCUCUGUUGCUCAGUUCUACUUCACCACUAGACUGUGGAUGAUAGGGAGAUGCAAUUCUAUGAUUAACAUCAUACUUAGCAAGCAUCUUACAAAAAGCACCAUGAAUAAAAUGUGAACCACCAUCAGUCAUUAAAUAUCUAGGUACUCCAAACCUCAGAAAAAUAUUUUCUUUAAGCAUCUUAAUAGAGGUGUUAUGAUCAGCACUACUAGUUGGAAUAGCUUCUACCUACUUAGUAACAAGUGAAUAAUAGAGGUGUUAUGAUCAACAACAACUAAAAUAUGUGUAUACCCAUUAGAGGAAGGAAACGGUCCCAUAUAAUCAAAGCCCCAAACAUCAAAUGGUUCAAUAACAAGUGAAUAAUUCAUAGGCAUUUCUUGACGUCUACUAAUGUUACCAAUUCUUUGACAUUCAUCACAAGACAAGACAAACUUAUGGGCAUCUUUAAAAAGAGUAGGCCAAUAAAAAUCGGAUUGCAAUACCUUAUGUGUAGUUCUAUCUCUAGCAUGGUGUCCUCCAUAAGCCUCGGAGUGACACUUGUGUAGGAUCUAUUCCCGUUCAUGCUCAGGUACACAACAUCUAAUAACAACAUCUACUCCUUCUUUAUAAAGGUGUUGGUCAUCCCAGAAGUAAUGCCUUAAAUCAUAGAAAAACUUUUUCUUUUGCUGGUAUGUGAAACUAGGUGGUAUAAAUUUAGCAACAAUGUAAUUAGCAUAAUCAGCAUACCAUGGAGCAGUACGAGAAGCAUUUAUGAUAGCUAAUUGUUCAUCAGGAAAGCUAUCAUCAAUAGGUAGUGGGUCAUCAAGAACAUUCUCUAACCUAGACAAGUUGUCUACAACGGGGUUCUCAGCUCCCUUUCUAUCAAUAAUAUGCAAAUCAAAUUCUUGUAGCAAGAGAACCCAUCUAAUAAGUCUAGGUUUAGCAUCUUUCUUUUCCAUAAGAUAUUUAAUAGCAGCAUGAUCAGUGUGAAUAGUUGCCUUAGAAUCAACAAUAUAAGGUCUGAACUUAUCACAAGCAAAAACAACUGCUAAAAAUUCUUUUUCAGUAGUAGCAUAAUUUCUCUGGGCACCGUCUAGAGUUUUACUAGCAUAUUGAAUAACAUUUAAUUUCUUAUCAACUCUUUGUCCUAGAACAACUCCUACAGCAUAAUCACUAGCAUCACACAUAAUUUCAAAGGGUAAAUUCCAAUCAGGUGGCUGAACAAUAUGUAACAUCCCAGAUUUUCAAUUUGGAAUGUUAUACAUUAGAUCAUCAUUGCAUAUCAUAUUUUAUUUGCAUUUUGGUUGAUCCUAGAAAUUCUACGCAACUCAAUGACCCAUGGAGAGAGUUGGGGAUUUCGAUAUUUUCAUAUUUGAGUUCUCCCAAAUUUUGAGAAUAGGAUCAUUUGAUUUUAUUUAUUUUAUCAUCAAAUAUUUCUAUUACAAAAAUAUGAGAGAGGGAAUAAAAUGACUUUCCCAAAAUAAAGAAAUAUUGAGGAUUUAAUAAUAAAAUCAAAUAGGAUUUUAUUUCGGAGUUUUUCGGUGUUUUAUUUGAAUUUAGGAAAAAUGUGCAUUUUUCAAAGUUGCAUUUAGGGCCCAAAUAAAUGUUCACCUUGUCGGUCUUGAUUUUAGAAGCCCGGAAAAAUUUAUUUCGGGAUUUUUGGAGUCCGUUUAGUAUUUCUUUUUAUUUUUCUUCCGAGCGUAACUUUAAAAAAAAGGGGAACCGACCUACGUGCCGUGUCCGACUAGGACUCCUGGCCCGUAGGGGCUUUAUAAGCCGGCCCACCCCGGGGGGGGGAACUCUAGCCCAGCGCCCCGCCCUAGCGCCCCGCCCCAGCCCCGCACCCGCCNNNNNNNNNNNNNNNNNNNNNNNNNNNNNNNNNNNNNNNNNNNNNNNNNNNNNNNNNNNNNNNNNNNNNNNNNNNNNNNNNNNNNNNNNNNNNNNNNNNNNNNNNNNNNNNNNNNNNNNNNNNNNNNNNNNNNNNNNNNNNNNNNNNNNNNNNNNNNNNNNNNNNNNNNNNNNNNNNNNNNNNNNNNNNNNNNNNNNNNNNNNNNNNNNNNNNNNNNNNNNNNNNNNNNNNNNNNNNNNNNNNNNNNNNNNNNNNNNNNNNNNNNNNNNNNNNNNNNNNNNNNNNNNNNNNNNNNNNNNNNNNNNNNNNNNNNNNNNNNNNNNNNCGCCCGCCGGAGCCGCCGCCCCGCCGCACGCCCGCUGAGUUUCGCCGCCGCCUCGUAGUCCGCGCCGCCUGUUUUUUUAGAAAACUGAACGGUUUUCCGUCGGUUUAUUUUCGGUUUUUUAGUUUUCGUUUUUUUAGAUCGUUUUUUUUCGGUUUAGGUUAAGUAGCGAGCGUUCGCUCGUUUGUUCGUUUAAACGAACACGUUCAUCGUUUAGAUCUGGAUAACGAACGUUCGUUCGUUAAUCCGUUCGUUGUUUUCUUUUCUCGGAUUAUAUCCGCGAUUUUUCUGAUCGCGAUUCCUGAUCCGAUUUUCGUUUUAGUAUAACUUUUCGCUCGUUUAUCGGAAUCAGGCGAUUCAAGCGCCUAGUCUCGAAACCCUCUAUCCGUUUAACCAACUUAAAUAAGAUUUUUCUACUGUAAAACUUUCCCUAGAUCCAGAUUACUAGAACGAAGUUGUUUUCUUUCGCCGUUUGACUUUCGUUGCUUCGUUCGAUUUGAUUCUUUUUGCCAACCGGAGUUCUUAAGUUGAACCUUUUGGUUAGAUCUCUUAUUUUAGUUUCACCUGUGCAUUAGAUGAGUACUUAUUGUAUGCUUGUUUGUUUGUUUGCGAUAGAGUACCCGGAGUGCGCCGCCUGUUACUUCGAAUCGUUAGGUUUCCCGGAUCAUCAGCAAGGCAAGUAACACUUUGAUCAUACCUUUUCUACUACCGAGUUUUAUUGCAUUAGAUCAAUCGUCACACAUUGCAGGAUUAGGAUCUAAUUAAAUUGUGGGAUGGGAAGUAGAUGAGAUAGUACCUAUUACCUGUUUAUUAUCAAACCUUUGGGAGUUACUUCUACGUUUGCUUAUUAUGCCAUGCUAUGCUAGUAGACGUGGAUUGGGUGAGUGAUAUCCAUGACAAAUGUGAGAUUCUUAAUUAAUGGUUUAUCUAAGGUGGCAACUUAAACACACAUCUGGGUGGAUUGAGGCACCUGGGUAUUCAGGACUUGCCUGUUUUCUUUUGGACUGCCACCCAGGCUCAAAGGGAUCAUAAGACUAUUCAUACUAGAAACUUCCGUGUGCAGCCACGAGCUAUUAUGGGCUCUAGCAUAGUUGACUAAGUCGUGCGAACUCUUACAUUGGUAGACUAGCAGAUGUAGGGGAUGUAGGUGGUACGGUCUACCCGAUCGUAAGGUGCUAGCGCUUUUAAAAGACUAUGUCUCGGUCAUCCGUCUUCUCAAACACCAUGUAGUGCGAGAAAACAAACGGAGGCGAUCGAGUCUUGUGGGGAAAAGUGUGCAAACCUCUGCAGAGUGUAACAAACUAAUCAUGGUUAGCCGUGUCCCCGGUUAUGGACAUCUUGAGUAUCUAGUACCUGGAUGUUCAUGUGAAUCUCAACAUGUUACUCUAAAUUAAUUUUGUUGGGUUAUGUUUAAUGAUGAUGCUUAAUUGGGAUUGAGAAUGCUGUCAACCAUUCUCAAUGUUUAACAACCACCAUGAUAGUAAUUAAAUUUUAUUCCUUUGAAGUAGGGAAAAAUUGGCUUUACGAAAAACUGUAACCAUAGAGCUUUCCACCAACCAAAUAUGCAUAUAGUAUAGUUGUUCAUUCCAUUACUCUCUAUGUGUUACCUUGCCAGCAUAUUCCAUGUGCUGACCCGUUUCAGGCUGCAACAUUAAUGUUGCAGACUUUUCAAACGACGAUUAAGGAGUUUUUAGGUCGUGGUUCUAUACUCAGUGAUGCCGUUGGAGUUGAUGGACUCACUUAUCUUCCAAGCCUUCCGCUGUUAUAGUUAUUAGAUGGCCUUAAGCCAUAUUUAUUGUUAUAAGUUCUCUUUUGAGACACUCGAUGUAAUAAGUGUGCGAUUGCUACUCUGCUAUAAAUCCUCAGAGUACUAUGUGGUGUCAGCAUUACUGAUCCAGGGAUGACAUCGGAGCACAGAGAUCAGACUGUUUGAGGUCUGGUCGCUACACAAUAGGUGUAGAAAUCAAGUCUUUCUUAAGUAUUCCAAAUUCUUCUACACAAUCAUCAUCAAAGACAAAAGGAACAUCAUUUUGCAAGAGAUUGGUUAGAGGCCUCGAAAUUUUUGAGAAGUCUUUAAUGAACCUCCUAUAAAAACCGACAUGACCAAGGAAACUUCUUAUACCUUUAAUGUCCUUAGGACACGACAUCUUUUCAACAGCAUCAACCUUAGCUUUAUCAACUUCAAUACCUCUUUCGGAAAUUUUAUGACCCAAGACAAUACCUUCAUUAACCAUAAAGUGGCACUUCUCCCAAUUCAAGACAAGAUUAGUUUCUUCACAUCUCUGCAAAACUCGAUUAAGGUUGCUUAAACAAUGAUCAUAAGAAGUUCCAUAUACAGAGAAAUCAUCCGUGAAAACGUCAACAAUCUUUUCACAAAAGUCAAAGAAUAUAGCAGUGAUACAUAUUUGAAAGGUAGCAGGUGCAUUGCAUAAAUGAAAAGGCAUACGUCUAUAAGCAAAGGUACCGAAAGGGCAAGUAAAGUUGUCUUUUCUCGAUCCUCUUUUGACAUAGGUAUUUGAGAGAAACCAAAAUAACCAUCUAGAAAGCAAAAAUGUGUAUGUUUGGAUAAUCUUUAUAGCAUUGAUCAAUAGAAGGUAGAGGGUAAUGAUCCUUUUUAGUAGUUUUAUUUAUUUUGCGGAAAUCAAUUACCAUUCUAUAACCUGUAACAAUUCUUUGUGGGAUCAAUUCAUCUUUAUCACUUGGAACAACAGUAAUACCUCCCUUCUUAGGGACACAAUGGACAGGACUUACCUACUGACUAUCAGCAACAAGAUAAAUUAUACCUGCCUCCAGAAGCUUUAGCAUUUCUUUUCUUACCACUUCUUUCAUCUUAGGAUUUAACCAUCAUUGGUGAUCAACAAGCAGUUUCGCGUCUUUCUCCAAUUUUAUUUUGUGCUGGCAUAGAGUGGGACUAAUGCCCUUAAGAUCAUCAAGAGUAUAUCCAAUAGCAGCACGGUGCUUCUUCAGAGUUUUCAAUAAUUUAUUUUCUUCAUGCUCUAAAAGGUUAGCACUAAUAAUAACAUGAUAUAUCUUUUUCUCAUCAAGAUAAGCAUAUUUAAGAGUAUUAGGUAAAGGUUUAAGCUCAAACACGGGAUCACCCUUGGGUGGAGGAGGAUACCCUAGAAUUUCAACACGCAAGUUGUGUUUCAAAAUAGGUCCUUGUUUAAAGAAUACUUCAUCUAUUUCCCUUCUUUCAUUCAUAAACAUAUCAUUUUCAUUGUCGAGCAAAUAUUGUUGUAAAGGAUCAUUAGGAGGCACGACAAUAGAAGCAAGACCAAUAAUUUCAUAUUUACUAGGAAAUUCUUUAUCAUGUGGUUGUCUAUGAAAUUUAGCAAAAUUAAACUCAUGAGACAUAUCCCCCAAACCAAUAGUAACAACAUCCUUUUUGCAAUCUAUCCUAGCAUUAACAGUAUUCAAGAAGGCUCUACCAAAUAUAAUGGGACAAAAGUCAUCUUGUGGGGGAACCAAGAACAAGAAAAUCAUCAGGAUAUUUAACUUUCCCACACAAGACUUCAACAUCUCUAACAAUCCCAACCGGUGAAAUAGUAUCUCUAUUGGCAAGCUUAAUUGUAACAUCUAUCCCUUCAAUCUCAGCAGGUGCAAUAUCAUGCAUAAUUUCUUUGUAUAAGGAAUGAGGUAAUGCACUUGCACUAGCACCCAUAUCACAUAAGCCAUGAUAGCAAUGAUCUCCUAUUUUAACAGAAAUAACAGGCAUGCCUACAUAGGUCUAUGUUUAUUUUUAGUGUCAGGUCUAGCAAUUCUAGCACCUUCAUCACAGAAGUAAAUAACAUGCCCAUCGAUAUUAUCGGCUAAGAGAUCUUUAACCAUAGCAAUACUAGGUUCUACUUUAAUUUUCUCAGGGGGUGUAGGUGUUCUAGUAUUACUCUUACGAACCGCAGUUGAAGCUUUAGCAUGAUCCUUUAUUCUAACAGGGAAAGGUGGUUUCUCAAUAUAAGUAGUAGGAACAACAGGAUCAACAUUAUAAGUGAUAGUCUUUUCUUCAGCUUUAAUAGGUGCAACUACUUUUACUUCAAUGGGAGGAUUAUAUUUAAGCCACUUCUCCUUAGGGAGAUCAACAUGAGUAGCAAAGGAUUCACAGAAAGAAGCUACUAUCUCAGUCAAGUCCAUAUUUAGUGCUAAAUUCACGAAAAACAUUGGUAUCCAUAAAAGAUUUAACACAAUCAAACUUAGGUAUUAUACUUGACUCCUUACCUUCAUCGAGAUCCCAAUCUUCAAAGUUGCAUUUAAUUCUUUCCAAUAAACCCCAUUUGAAUUCAAUAGUCUUCAUCAUAAAAGAACCAGUACAAGAAGUAUCGAGCAUGGAGCGAUUAUUGAGAGAAAGUCGAGCAUAAAUUUUUUGAAUAAUAAUUUCUCUUGAGAGCUCAUGAUUGGGGCAUGAAUAUAACAUUGGCUUGAGCCUCCCCAAGCUUGAGCGAUGCUUUCUCCUUCGUGAGGCCAAAAAUUAUAUAUAUAACUACGAUCAUGAUGAACCAUAUGCAUAGGAUAAAACUUCUGAUGAAAUUCCAAUUUCAAUUGGUUGUAGUUCCAUGAUCCCAUAUCAUCACAUAGCCUAAACCAUGUCAAUGCAUUUCACUUCAAAUAUAAAGGGAAGAACUUCUUCUUGAUAACAUCCUCAGGCAUACCUGCAAGCUUAAAUAAUCCACAAACUUCAUCCACAUAGAUUAGGUGCAAAUCGGGAUGUAAUGUUCCAUCACCUGUGAAAGGAUUAGUUAGAAGUUUCUCUAUCAUACCUGAAGGAAUUUCAAAUUAAGCAUUUUUAGUAGGUUCGGUAGGUUGAGGAGCAACUCUUUGCUCUACUAGUCGGGGUGAAGAUACCCCGAACAAGCCCCUCAAAGGAUUAUGUUCCAUAGUAACAAGUGACAGUAAAUUUCAGCACACUAUAUAAAUUUUUCCUUGCCAAAUUCCACCUACCAAAGGCGCUUCACUCCCCGGCAACGACACCAGAAAAGAGUCUUGAUGACCCACAAGUAUAGGGGAUCUAUCAUAGUCCUUUCGAUAAGUAAGAGUGUCGAACCCAAUGCGGAGCAGAAGGAAAUGAUAAGCAGUUUUCAGGAAGGUAUUCUCUGCAAGCACUGAAAUUAUCAGUAACAGGUAGUUUUGUGAUAAGAUAAUUUGUAAUGGGUAACAAGUAAUAAAUGUAAAUAAGGUGCAGAAAGAUGGCUCAAUCCUUUUUGUAGAAAAGGACAAGCCUGGAAAAACUCUUAUAUAAAGAAAAAAACGCUCCCGAGGACAUAUGGGAAUUAUCGUCAAGCUAGUUUUCAUCACGUUCAUAUGAUUCAUGUUCGGUACUUUGAUAAUUUGAUAUGUGGCUGGACCGGUGCUUGGGUACUUCCCUUCCUUGGAGAAUCAUCCCACUUAUGAUUAACCCCUCUUGCAAGCAUCCGCAACUACAAAAGAAGUAUUAAGGUAAACCUAACCAUAGCAUGAAACAUAUGGAUCCAAAUCAGCCCCUUACGAAGCAACUCAUAAACUAGGGUUUAAGCUUCUGUCACUCUAGCAACCCAUCAUCUACUUAUUACUUCCCAAGUCCUUCCCCUAGGCUCAAAGAAUGGUGAAGUGUCAUGUAGUCGACAUUCACAUGACACCACUAGAGGAGAUACAACAUACAUCUCAUCAAAAUAUCGAAUGAAUACCAAAUUCACAUGACUACUUAUAGCAAGACUUCUCCCAUGUCCUCAGGAACAAACGUAACUACUCACAAAUCAUAUUCAUGUUCAUAAUAAGAGGGGUAUUAAUAUGCAUAAAGGAUCUGAGCAUAUGAUCUUCCACCAAAUAAACCAACUAGCAUCAACUACCAGGAGUAAUCAACACUACUAGCCACCCACAUGUACCAAUCUGAGGUUUUGGGAAAAAGAUUGGAUACAAGAGAUGAACUAGGGUUUGAGAUGAGAUGGUGCUGGUGAAGAUAUGGAUGGAGAUUGACCCCCUCCCGAUGAGAGAAUCGAUGGUGAUGAUUUCCCCCUCCUGGAGGGAUGUUUCCCUGGCAGAACGGCACCGCUGGAGCCCUAGAUUGGUUCUGCCAAGGUUCCGCCUCAUGGCGGCGGAGUUUCGUCCCGUGAGUUUGCUUAUGAUUUUUCUGGGACGAAAGACUUCAUAUAGCAGAAGAUGGGCAUCGGAGGCCUGCCAGGGGCCCCACGAGACAGGGGGCACGCCCCCCACCCUCGUGGCCAGGGUGUGGGCCCCCUCUGGUUAAUUCUUUUGCCAGUAUUUUUUAUAUCUUCGAAAACAUGCUCCCGUGAAGUUUCAGGACUUUUGGAGUUGUGCAGAAUAGGUCUCUAAUAUUUGCUUCUUUCCCAGCCCAGAAUUCCAGCUGCCGGCAUUCUCCCUCUUCAUGUUAUCCUUGUAAAAUAAGUGAGAAAAGGCAUAAGUAUUGUGACCUAAUGUGUAGUAACAGUCCAUAAUGCAAUAAAUAUCGAUAUAAAAGCAUGAUGAAAAAUGGAUGUAUCAACUCCCCCAAGCUUAUACCUUGCUUGUCCUCAAGCGGAAGCCGAUAUUGAAAAAUAUGUCCACAUGUUUAGAGAUAGAGGUGUCGAUACUAGGUUAGGUCACUCUCCAAAUGAAUUGCUUCCAAGGGAACUCUAUCUCUUAGAGGAAUAUCGUCCAUCUCAGCAUGGCACUUCUUCAACUGGGAAACGUGAAACACAUCAUGUACUCCUGGCAAUCCUUCGGGUAACUCCAACUUGUAGGCAACUUCUCCCAUACGUUCCAGAACUCAGUACGGUCCUACAAAUCACGGGGCUAACUUUCCCUUAACUCCAAAUCGUUUAAUUCCUCGGAGCGGUGACACACGAAGAUAUGCUCUAUCUCCAAUCUCAUAGACUACCUCCUUGCGUUUAGUAUCGGCAUAACUCUUCUGCCUGCACGGAGCUACCUUCAGUCUAUCACGAAUCAACUUAACCUUCUCUUUAGACUCCUUAAUCAAAUCGGGUCCAAACAACUGACGGUCUCCAACUUUAUCCCACAUUAAUGGUGUCCUACACCUUCUUCCAUAAAAAGCUUCGAAAGGGGCCAUCUUCAAACUAGCCUGAUAGCUGUUGUUGUAUGAGAACUCUGCGUAGGGCAAAUUAUCGUCCCCACUAGAGCCAUAAUCGAGCGCACAAGCUCUCAACAUGUCCUCCAGAAUCUGAUUGACUCUCUCGAUCUAUCCAUCUGUCUGCGGAUGAAAAGCUAUACUGAACUCUAGCCUGGUACCCACAAGUCUGGUGCAAUUGAUUCCAAAACUUCGAGGUAAACUGGGUUGCUCUAUCUGAUACGUUGGUCCUUAGAACUCCAUGCAGACAUACGAUCCUGGUCAUAUAUAUCUUGGCCAACUUCGCGCUCGUAUAAGUAGUUUUCACUGGGAUAAAGUGAGCCACUUUGGUCAAGCGAUCAACUAUUAUCCAGAUAGAAUCAUAUCCCGAUCGUGUCAUGGGUAAUCCUGUGAUAAAAUCCAUGCCAAGUUUGUCCGACUUCCAUUCCGGUAUUGGCAUAGGCUGAAGUAAUCCUGCUGGCUUCUGAUGUUCUGCCUUCACUCUCUGACAUACGUCACAUACUGCUACAUACUCGGCAAUAUCCUUCUUCAUACCCGUCCACCAGAAACGUUCCUUCAAAUCCAAAUACAUCUUGGUGUUUCCGGGGUGAAUCGAGUAUGGUGAGUCAUGAGCUUCCUGAAGUAUUAACUUCCUGAUCCCCGCAUUAUUCGGCACAUAUACACGAUCCUCAAACCAUAAAGGUUCAUGCUCAUCCUCACGAAAUCCCUUGGCUUUUCCUUUGCUCAUUUUCUCCUUUAUCUCAACAAUUUCCUUGUCAUCCUUCUGAGCUUCUCGAAUCUUUACCAAUAGCGUGGACUGAACCUCCAUUGCUGCAACAAAACCUCUUGGAACUAUCUCCAAACGAAGUUCCUUGAGAUUGCCGACUAACUCCUGCGGUAAUCCUCCGCUUAUGAGUGUAUUGACAUAACUUUUGCGGCUCAAAGCGUCUACUACGAUAUUGGCCUUUCCUGGAUGAUAAUGUAGCUUCAUAUCAUAAUCCUUUAUUAGCUCCAACCAUCUCCUCUGCCAGAGAUUCAACUCCUUCUAUGUGAAAAUAAAUUUCAAACUCUUAUGGUCCGUGUAUACAUCACAACGGUUUCCAAUAAGAAAAUGUCUCUAGGUCUUGAGCGCAUGCACUACGACUGCUAAAUCCAAAUCAUGCAUUGCAUAAUUCAACUCAUGAGAUCGAAGCUCACGUGAGGCAUAUGAAAUAACUCUUUCGUCUUGCGUAAGUACACCUCCAAGUCCUAGGCGAGAAGCGUCGCAAUAAACUUGGAAAUCCUUGCAUAUAUCCGGAAGAAUUAGCACUGGGGCUGUAACCAAACGUUUCUUCCACUCCUAAAAACUGGCCUCACAUUCCUCGGUCCAUUUGAAUUUGUUGUCCUUCUUCAACAAUUCCGUCAUGGAUUUCGCAAUCUUGGAAAAAUUCUCAAUGAAUCCCUAUAAUAUCCUACGAGGCCCAGAAAAUUGCGGAUCUCUCCAACUGAGGUGGGUGCCAACCACUCAGUGACAGACUGAACCUUGGUAGGGUCUACUGCUAUACCUUCUCCUGAUAUAACAUGUCCAAGAAAUCCAACUUCCUUCAGCCAAAAUUCACAUUUGCUGAACUUGGCAUAUAGCUGAUGUUCCCCGAGCUUCUCGAGAACUAGUCGCAAAUGUUCCUUGUGUUCCUCUUCAUUCUUCGAGUACACCAAUAUAUCAUCAAUGAACACCACAACAAACUUAUCCAAAAACUCCAUGAACACCUUGUUCAUCAUACUCCAAAAAUAGGCAAGGACGUUAGUCAAUCCAAAAGACAUGAUCGUGUACUCAUAUAGCCCAUACCUUGUAGUAAAAGUUGUCUUGGGUAUAUCCUGUUCUCGGAUCUUUAGCUGGUGGUAUCCCGAUCGAAGAUCGAUCUUGGAGAAUACUUUAGCUCCCUGCAGCUAGUCAAACAAAUCAUUGACCAUCGGUAGUGGGUACUUGUUCUUGAUCGUCACCUCAUUCAAUGCUCGAUAAUCAACAACCAUUCUCAAAGAUCCAUCAUUCUUCUCAACUAAGAGCACUGGGGCUCCCCACGAUGAUGAACUUGAUUGGAUAUAACCUUUCUCCAGUAACUCCUUAAUCUGCUUCUUAAUUUUCCAGAUAAUUUGCGGGUAUCCGAUACGGUCUCUUCGAUAUUGGUUCGGUGCCUGACAACAGCUCUAUCAAAAAUUCUAUGUCUCGAUCUAGAGGCAUGCCUCGUAGUUCCUCUGGAAAUACAUCCGGGUAAACCUUCACAACAGGCACUUCUUCUUGAACAACUCCCGAGAGGGAAUUUACUUGGGUCCUCCUUGGCGCAUGCCUAGAUACAUACUUGAUCCGUUUACCCUCCGGGGUGGUGACUAAAAUUGACUUACUAGCACAGUCGAUGUUUCCUCCAUACAUCGAUAGUCAAUCCAUGCCUAGUAUCACAUCUAAUCCUUGUGACUCCAAAAUUAUUAGGUUUGAGGGGAAAACAUGCCUACCUAUGGUCGACGACAUUUGAAAACAUCCUCUGCUUGCCAUAUACUCCGCUCUUGGCGAGCUUACUAACAUAGGCGUCUUAAGGGCUUUGGUGGGAAGCUUAAACUUAUCCACAAAUCCCCUUGAUAUGUAUGAAUGCGAUGAAACAGUGUCGAAAAGAACAAUUGCAGUGAAUGACUUAAUCAAAAACUUACCGAUAAUUGCAUCAGGCUGCUCUUCAACUUCCUCCACAUUGACGUGGUUCACCUGACCUCUGGUGAAGGUGUUGGGCUUCUUCCCAGAGUUUCCAUUUCCAUUGCCAUUCUUCAACUUAGAACAAUCAUUGGCGUAGUGUCCAGUCUUCCCGCACUUGUAACAAGUGACAUGGCUCAGGUCCUUCUUAGCGGGUGUGGCUAGGUUGGAACGAUUCUGGCUGUUGCUUCCUCCAUUCCCAUUCCCAUUCUUAGGGCCAUUGUGCUUAUGCGAACUUCCUCCAUUGUGAGUAUGGCCUCCAUGGUUAUGGGUGUAUCGUCCCGAGUUUGGGGUAAAACGAGGCUUCUGUUGGGCUCCAGUGUUGUAAUUCGCCUGUCCAUACUUCCUUUGGCAGCUCUCUAUCUGCUGCUGCUUGCCUUCGAUCAUAAGAGCCCUGUCUACCAACUCCUGGUAGUUAGUGAAUGUUGCCACCAUCAACUGCAUACUCAGCUCAUCAUUCAGCCCUUCCAUAAACUUCUCCUGCUUUGCGGCAUUUGUGGCCACAUCAUCUGUGGCAUAGCGGGCUAACUUGCUGAACUCAUCCACGUACUGCCCCACAGUACGAUUUCCCUGGCGUAAGUUGCGAAACUCAUGCUUCUUCAUGCUCAUAGCUCCGGUUGAGACAUGGGCUGCGAGGAAAGCUUGCUGAAACUGAUCCCAUGUGACAUCGGCUAUGGGGAAAGUGGUUGUGUAAUUCUCCCACCAUGAGGUUGCGGGUCCAUCCAAUUGAUGUGUGGCAAAGCGCACCUUCUUAGCAUCUGUGCAACCUGCGGUGGUCAGAUCCCUUCCAAUCCCAUGGAGCCAGUCAUCAACAACAAUCGGCUAGGUGCUACUGGAAAACACCAGUGGAUUCAACUUCAGAAAAUGGGCUAAGUUGUCCACUGUUGUUGUUGUUGUUGUUGUUGUUUUAACUAGCAACUGCAUCAAGGCAUUCUGCUGUUGGAUCAACUAAGUGAGCUCCGGUGGGAAGACAAAUCCGGGGUCACGUCUCGGAGGCAUCUAAUAGGUUUAGAGAGGUGAGAAUAGAGUAGAGUGAGGUAUAAAGGGAAAAUCACUACCCAUAUGCACAUGAGACAAACACAUUCAUUCACACCACUCAAUUCAAACAAGAUCAUACAAUCGAUCUAAGCUACCGUUACAAAAUACUCAGACUACUACUAUAUACAUAGGGGAAAUACUACUGAUAAUAUGGUGGUCGACUAGAAAUUUUGAUCAGAGGAAGACUCCAUGAUAUCUGCUCUAGCUUCGUCUUCAUAAUCAUCAUCACUAUCGGGAUCGGAGUCGGUGUCGUUGAUGAUGAUGUAGUCUUCGGGGUGGUUGUCCUCCUCGGGUAUGGGAUCUCCCAUGAAUACUCCUAGCUUCUUCUUCAGGUCUUCAUUCUUCUCCAGCAGCACUACAAUUUCUUCUUUGUAUCCAUCGCGUGUAGACUUGAGUUCCUCUUCUAGCUCCAUGUUACUGGUCAUCACCUUCUUCAUGUCUAUCAUGCUGGCGCACAUCUGGUUCUCCUGACGGCGAAUAUGUUGGUUUAACUCCUGGAUGUAGGCCGGAAUGGACUUGUCCUUCCUGGUGCAAAUCAUCUCCCAUUGCUCAUCUCGGCGUUCACAUAUCUGGUAGAUGGUGUCCAUAAGAUCCUUGUGGUAUACUUUGCCGAUGCGUCCCAUGGCGAUGUGGGCUGCCAUGCUCUUUCCUAGACUCCAGGUUGGUGCAUCAAAGGAAAACUCUAUGGGCUCAGUAAUUGGUGAGAAUGUCCUUCCUGGAACAUGUACUCGAAUUGUCCAGUGCUCUUCUUUAGGUAGAGUGGCGGUGUAGGUCCCCGUGAAGCUGGUAUUCCGAUGCUCACUUACUUAGUGGCCUCCUUCAAGUGUCGUCCGAAAGGGGUGUCGUCAUCCGGUUGAGCAAACUUGUUCCUUGGGUCCGCCAUCUAUAGAGUAUAAAGUGGAGAAGAGUCAGAAAUGAGUAGAGAAGAAUGUCCUAUGGUUCAUCCUAGUGGUCGCGUCCAACAGUCAACUUGUGCUCUGAUACCAUCUUGUAGCGAUCCGACCUCAAACGGUCAAAUCUCUGUGUAUAAGUGUCAUCCCUGGAUCGGUAAUGCUGACACACAUAGUACUCGAGAAUUUAUAACAUAGUGCAAUCACACACUUAUUACAUCGAAUAUCUCAAAGAGAGUACUUAUUACAAUAAUAUGGCUGAAGGCCAUCUAAAUAAGAUAACUGCGGAAGCUUCGAGGGUAAAUGAGUCCAUCAACUCCAACGGUAUAGCUGAGUGCAUGACAACAACCUAGCACACCUUACUCCUCGUCUAAAAACUCUGCAACAUAAUACAUUGCAGCCUGUGUAGGUCAGCACAUGGAAUAUGCUGGCAAGACAACACUAUAGAGCAAUGAACAAGUAACAACUAUAACUAUAUGCAUAUAUGGCUGGUGGAGGCUCUAUGGUUAUCAUUUGCAGAAAGCUAGUUUUUCCCUACAACAAAGGAAUAUAUUUUAUUUCACUACAAAGUUGGUUGAAAACAUUGAGAAUGGUAACCCCAUCUCAAUCCCAAAUUAAAAAAAUCAAUAAGCCCACAAAUUAAUUAGGUAAAGUGAUGAGAUUAACAUAGUAAUUCAAGCACCAGAUACUCAAGAUGUUCAUAAUCGGGGACACGGCUAACCAUGAUUAGUUUGUACACUCUGCAGAGGUUUGCACAAUUUUACCCACAAGACUCGAUCUCCUCUGUUGUAUUUCUCGCACUGCAUGAUGUUUGAGAAAUGAAUGACCGAGGCACAGUCUUUCCGAAGAGGUCCCCUUAACUGAUAGAUAGGCAGGUACACCUACAAUCCCCCUACAUCUGCUAGCCCAUCAUGGAAUGGUUUCCCACAACUUACUUAACUAUGACAGAGCCCAUAUUGGCUUGUGGCUGCACACGGAAGUUUCCAGCAUGAAUAACAUAAUGAUCCCUUUGAGCCUGGGUGGCAAACCAUAGGAAAAAUCACACGAAUACCCCGGGAUUCUCCUUGGACAACACUGGAUUCCCCAGGUGCCCACAAACCAAUCCACCCAGAUGUGUAUUAAGGUAGCCACCUUAAGUUAAAUCUUAAUUAACAAUAAUAUCUAACAUCUGUCAUGAAUUCUCUCAAAACCAAACCACGUCUACGAGCAUAGCAUAGAAGUAUAAGCAUACAUAGUAACUCCCAGGGUUUGAACAAAGGACAAUAGGUUCUACCUCAUCAACUACUUCCCAAUACCCAUAAGUAUUCAAGUCCUAACCAUGCAGUGUUUGAGGAUUGAAACUAAUGCAUAAAAACUGGUUAAUAAGGGAUAUGAUCAAAGUGUUACUUGCCUUGCUGACGAUCUGAAAACCCUAGUGACUCGUAGUAGCAAGCCUCGCACUCCGGAAACUCUAUCGUGAAUAAACAAUGGCAUACAUAAGCACUCAAUCAUAAUAUUCAAGGGUAAAACUCAAGAGAAAAGAUCCAAACUUAAAGUUCAACUGAAGAGCUUCGAUUUGCAAAAAGAAUCAAUCGAAUCGGAGCUACGAAACUCAAACUGCGAUCAAAAGAAGUUCGAAUUCAAAUAUUCUUGAAAGCAAAUUUUAAAUUGUCAAAAAUCAUGUUCAAGUUGGUUAUCUGGAAAGAGGGUAACAAUACAAAGAUUUUGGCGUUGGUUUCACUGGAUUUGGAUAAACAAGCAAAAAGUAGCGAGGGUUUGAAGAUCAGGGACUAAUCUGUGAUAAAAGUAUUCGCAGAUAGGUCCUAGCCGAAAAAUAAAAUAAAAAGAAAAACCUAACGAAUGAACGUUCGCUAACAGACCUAAGCGAACGAAAUUUUUUGCCACAGCGGAUUAAUGGACGGACGUCCGCUAAUUAGAACCGAUCGGAAAAACCGAGAAAAACCCUAACCCUAAAAAUAAACCGAACAAAAACCGAACGAUUUUUACCGGUUAACCAGAGAAAAACGACGGCGAUGUCAAUGGCGAGAUCCGUCGCGGCUCCAGCGGUGGGUGGUGGGGAGGUGGCGGCGGGNNNNNNNNNNNNNNNNNNNNNNNNNNNNNNNNNNNNNNNNNNNNNNNNNNNNNNNNNNNNNNNNNNNNNNNNNNNNNNNNNNNNNNNNNNNNNNNNNNNNNNNNNNNNNNNNNNNNNNNNNNNNNNNNNNNNNNNNNNNNNNNNNNNNNNNNNNNNNNNNNNNNNNNNNNNNNNNNNNNNNNNNNNNNNNNNNNNNNNNNNNNNNNNNNNNNNNNNNNNNNNNNNNNNNNNNNNNNNNNNNNNNNNNNNNNNNNNNNNNNNNNNNNNNNNNNNNNNNNNNNNNNNNNNNGCGACGAAGGCGGCGUGGCGGCUGGGCCUGGCUCAGCUGCGCCUUUGGCCCAGUCGGGCGAUGAUUUUUUUAAAUUCACGUGAAAGAAAAAUCCUAAUAAAAUAUAAAAAAUUCUAAAAAUACCAGAAACAAUUUUCACCCUCCAAAUCUAAUAUUUAGGAGAAGAUGAACAUUUUUCUGGCCUAAUAUGCAAUUUUUAAAAAAUGCAUAAUUUUCUAAUUCAAAUAAAAUAGCAAAUAAAAUACCAAUAAAAUAUUAAUUUGAUUUUAAAAUUUCUUCUCCAAUAUUCAUCUCUUUUGAAGAAUUCAUAUUAUCUUCUCUCAUUUAUUUUUAUUAUUGGAAAUAAUUGGAGAGAAAAAUAUUAAAAUCAAAUUGAUCCUCUUUUCAAAUUUGAAAAAUUCAAAUAUGAAAAUUUGUGAAAUCUUCAACUCUCUCCUUGGGUCCUUGAGUUGCUUAAGAUUUCUAGGAUCACAACCAAAUGCAAAUGAAAAUAUGAUAUGCAAAUGAUGACCUAUGUAUAACAUCCAAAUUAAAAAUUGGGAUGUUACAACCGUCGAGGGGGUGAGGGGUCUCUCGCAGUGGGGAUUGGAGGGAGAUCUAGCCAGGAACCUCUCUGUUCGCUGGUUUCUCUCUAUUCGAACCUCUAUGUUUGUUCUAGAUGUGCCUAAUGAUCUUAUUUCUCUUCUUGUUCUGCAACUCAUUUGCAUCCUGGUAGAGAAGAUAAUCAAGCAUGAAUUUCCAAAAAUCGAAGGUAUAAACUGUUGUACAUAGCUACCAGUUUGUGUUGUUUGCUAUUAUGCAUGUAUAAUUGCUAUGGAAAGUUAAAAACAUUUGCUAUGUACAUCUGCCAUGAACAUGUAUUUGAUUAUGAUAUUUCAAUUGACAUUGAGAAGGUUCAUAUCAAUUUAUUAUUGUUUCAAUGUUUCCUUGUAGAUGGACAACAAGCAAAAGAGGCUUAUUUUUGCAGUUGUGUCGUAUAUGCUUGUCUCAGUGAUGACAUUGGUAGUUCAGUCUAAAAAAAGGCAUGUUGUCAUAUGUUAUGGGCCAAUAGAUGAGAGGGAUAGGAUGAGAGGGAUAUGAAAGUUGUCCAAAAUUUGGGGUUUCCCGCCCGAGUCAGGACCAUAAUCUUUUAUGACGGUUGCCACAUGCAAUCCAUCAACUACCAUCAAAUCUUGUCCGUUGAAUCGCAAUAUUCUCUAAAUUAAGGCCAUUCAAUCGGAUUCACGGCGUGCGGUUAUUUGCAUUAGAAUAUAAAAACCGCACCGCCCCCCCUUUGUCUUGUUCACUUCCCUUUCUCCUCGCCUCCACUCCUCUGAAACCCUCUGAUACGUCUCUGAGGUAUCUAUAAUUUUUGAUUGUUCCAUACUGUUAUAUUAUCAUUCUUGGAUGUUUUACAAUCAUUUUGUAGCAACUUUAUAUCAUUUCUGGGGACUAACCUAUUGACAUAGCGCCCAGUGCCAGUUGCUAUUUUUUUGCUUGUUUUCACUUCGCAAAAAAAUCAAUAUCAAACGGAGUCCAAAUGCAGCAAAGCUUUUUAGAGAUUUUUUUCUGGACCAUAAGACACCUGUUGGGCCAAAGAAGUACCAUAGGGGGGCUCCCAGGGGAGCACAACCCACCAGGGCACGCCUGGGGGCCCAAGCGCGCCCAGGUGGGUUGUGCCCACCUCGGUGGCCUCCUGCACCGCCUCUUUGCUCUAUAAAUACCCCAAUAUUCCAAAAACCCUAGGGGAGUCGACAAAAAUCAAUUCCAACCACCGCAAGUUCCAGAAACCAUAGAUCCAAUCUAGACACCAUCACGGAGGGGUUCAUCAUCCUCACUCGUGCCUCUCUGAUGAUGCGUGAGUAGUUCAUUGUAGACCUACGGGUCUGUAGUUAGUAGCUAGAUAGCUUCCUCUCUCUCUCUCUCUCUUUUGAUUCUCAAUACAACUUGGAGAUCUAUUUGAUGUAACUCUUUUUUGUGGUGUGUUUGUUGGGAUCCGAUGAACAUUGAGUUUAUGACCAGAUCUAUGUUUUUAUCCAUGAAAGUUAUUUGAGUCUUUUGAUCUCUUAUAUGCAUGAUUACUUAUAGCCUCGUAUUUCUUCUUAGAAUCUUUGGUUUAGUUAGGCCAACUAGAUCGAUUUUUCUUGCCAUGGGAAGAGGUGCUUUGUGAUGGGUUCGAUCUUACGGUGCUUGAUCCCAGUGACAGAAGGGGAACCGCCACGUAUGUAUCAUUGCUAUUAAGGAUAACAAGAUGGGGUCUAUUUCUACAUAAAUAGAUCUUGUCUAUAUCAUGUCAUCAUUCUUAUUGCAUUACUCCGUUUCUCCAUGAACUUAAUACACUUGAUGCAUGUUGGAUAGCGGUCGAUGUGUGGAGUAAUAGUAGUAGAUGCAGGCAUGAGUCGGUCUAAUAAUCUUGGACAUGAUACCUAUAUAAUGAUCAUUGCCUGGAUAUCUUCAUGAUUAUUUGAAGUUCUAUCAAUUUCCCAACAGUAAUUUGUUUACCCACCAUAUGCUAUUUUUCUUGAGAGAAGCCACUAGUGAAAUCUACGGCCCCGGGUCUCUUCUUUAUUAUAUUUUCCUUCGCUAUCUAUUUUUAUUUUCUUUUAUUUUCAGAUCUAUUAAUCUAAAAAUACAAAAAUACCUAGCCGCAAUUUAUUAUUAUUUAUUUUAUCUCAUGUUCCCGUGAGAUCUAUUUAUCCAAUCUACUACAAUUUUACCUAUCUUUUUACCCGUGAGGGAUUGACAACCCCUCUCUUACGUCGGGUUGCAAGUAUUUGUUCUUUGUGUGCAGGAGCUGUUUACAUGGUGUUGCGUGGUUCUCCUGCUGGUUCGAUAACCUUGUUCUCAUCACUGAGGUAAAUACCUACCGUAGAUGUGUUGCAUCAACCCUUCCUCUUUAGGGAAAUACUGACGUAGUUCAAGCUGCAUCACCCUCGCCGUAGCGCUCCUCCUUGAGCUUGACCCCAACGACCUCUUCACCGCUUCACUGCUGGAAAGUGGUCACCGGAGUCUUUCCUCGCCGCCGCGGGACAUCUCCUUCCCCGCGCCACCGUAGCUGUUGCACGCCACCGAGCUAGGGUACGUGCAGUUCGAACUCGGUCCUCCGUCCUUCCUGUUCGAGUUCGUUGAUACUUCUCCAUCGUAUCUACUUUUCGAAACUCUUUUUCCCGUGUUUUGGACUCUAAUUUGUAUGAUUUGAAUGGAACUAACCCGGACUGACGCUGUUUUCAGCAGAAUUGCAAUGAUGUUAUUUUUCUGCAGAAAUAUAAGUUCUCAGACUAACCUAAAACUCCACGGAGAUCAGUUUUGGAAUAAAUAAAAAAUAUUGGCGAAAGAAUCAACCGAAGGGGACCCACACCCUGUCCACAAGGGUGGGGGGCGCACCCACCCCCCAGGGCAUGCCCUCUGUCCUUGUGGGUCCCACGAGGCUCCACUGACCUCAACUCCAACUCCAUAUAUUCAUGUUCAGGGAGAAAAAAAUCAGAGGGAAGGAUUCAUCAUGUUUUUCGAUACAGAGCCACCGCCAAGCCCUGUUUUUCAUGAGGAGGCCAGAUCUGGAGUCCGUUCGGGGCUUCAGAGAGGGGAAAUCGUCGCCAUCAUUAUCACCAAUUUCAUGAUGCUCACCGCCGUGCAUGAGUAAUUCCAUCGUAGGCUUGCUGCACGGUUAUGGGUUGGAUGAGAUUUACCAUGUAAUCGAGUUAGUUUUGUUAGGGUUUGAUCCCUAGUGUCCACUAUGUUAUAAGAUUGAUGUUGCUAUGACUUUUCUAUGCCUAAUUCUUGUCACUAGGGCCCGAGUGCCAUGAUUUCAGAUCUAAACCUAUUAUGUUUUUAUGAAUAUAUUUGUGUUCUUGAUCCUAUCUUGCAAGUUAUAGUCACCUACUACGUGUUAUGAUCCGGCAACCCCGGAGUGACAAUAGUCGGGACACUUCCCGGUGAUGAUCGUAGUUUGAGGAAUUCAUGUAUUCAGUAAGUGCUAAUGCUUUGGUAUGGUACUCUAUUAGGAGGAGGCCUUAAUAUCUCUUAGUUUCCAAUAGGACCCCGCUGCCACCGGAGGGUAGGAGAAACUAUAUCAUGCUAGUUCUUUUCCAUAAGCACGUAUGACUAUAUUCGGAAUACAUGCUUACAUUAUAUUGAUGAAUUGGAGCUAGUUCUGUGUCACCCUAUGUUAUAACCGUUGCAUGAGGAAUGCCAUCGGACAUAAUUAUAUGUCAUUGAUUCAUUGCCUACGAGUUUGUUUCAUAUUAAUCUUUGCACCGUUACUUUUCCGUUGCCACGAUUAUGAUUGCUACAAAACUGCAACUGUUACUUUCGCCACUGUUACCGUUACUUCCAUAUUACUUUGCUACUAAAUACUUUUCUGCAGAUAUUAAGUCUUUCAAGUGUGGUUGAAUUGACAACUCAGCUGCUAAUACUUGAGAAUAUUCUUUGGCUUCCCUUGUGUCAAAUCAAUAAAUUUGGGUUGAAUAUUGUACCCUCGAAAACUGUUGCAAUCCCUAUACUUGUGGGUUAUCAAGACCUUUUUCUGGCGCUGUUGCAGGGGAGCAUAGCUCUAUUCUCUGAGUCACUUGGGAUUUAUAUCUGCUUAUCACUAUGAGGAAUUUGAAAGAUCAAAGAACUAAGAUUUUUCCCUAAACUAAGAGGGGAGGUAAGGAACUGCCAUCUAGCUCUGUACUUGAUUCACCUUCUGUUUUGAGUAAACUCAAGACACCUACACCUUCUAUUGAUUCUGAUAUGUCACAUGUUAUUGAUGAUGCCACUUUUGCUAUGCAUGAUGCUUAUGAUGAAACUACUUCUAUGCUUGAUGAUACUGUGCCACUAGGUGAAUUUCUUGAUGAAGAACUUGCGAGGGUUAGAGAGAAUGAAAUUACUGAAACUAAAGAUUAUGAUUCUCCCCCUAGAUAUGAAUUGCCUCUUGUACCCGAGGGUUAUUUAUGGACGAGGAAACUGCUAGAGACUUUCUUGCUUGUAAUGAUAGAGAUGAUCUUAAGAAACUGUUAGAAAAGCUGAAAUAAAAGUCUUUGAAUGCUAGAAUGCAAUAUGACCCUAUGUUUUCUACUUCACCUAUCUUUGUUACUGAUAAGGAUUAUGCGUUCUAUGUUGAUCCUGAGAUAAUUACUUUGGUAGAAUUUGAUCCUUUCUGUGGUUAUGAAUCUGAAACUGUUGUGGCACAUCUUAUUAAAUUGAAUGAUAUAGCCACCCUAUUCGCUCAUGAGCUAUAUUCUCAAAUUUUUUCCUUUCUCAUUAAAGGGUGAUGCUAAGCUAUGGUUUAAUUCUCUUGAUCAUGGUUGUGUGCGUAGUCCCCAGGAUAUGAUUUACCAUGUUUCUGCAAAAUAUUUUACUGCUCAUGAGAAACAAGCUGCCCUGAGGGAAAUAUUUAACUUUGUGCAAAUUGAAGAAGAGAGUCUCCCACAAGCAUGGGGGAUGCUCCUCCAAUUACUUAAUGCUUUGCCUGAUAAUCCUCUCAAGAAAAAUGAAAUAAUUGAUAUCCUUUAUAAUGGACUAACCGAUGCUUCCAAAGACCACCUGGAUAGUUGUGAUGGUUGUGUUUUCAGGGAAAGAACCGUUGAGCAAGCUGAAUUGAUAUUGAAUAAUAUAUUAAGAAAAGGGGUAUUUUAUUUCUCAGUCCUGAAGAUUUGCAAGAGGCAAAGAAAUCUAUGAAAGAAAAAGGUAUUAAAACUGAAGAUGUUAAGAAUUUACCGGCUACUGAAGAAAUACAUGGUCUUGAUAACCCGACACAAGUAGUAGAGGUAAACUCUCUCCAUAGUUUUGAUGAAGGUGAUAUUCCUCAUAAUAAGUCUGCUAGUCAAUGCCUAGAUGAGUUUGAUAAUUUUAUUGCUAAACAAGAAAACUUCAAUGCUUAUGUUAGUAGACAAUUGAAACGUAAUGCUUACAUGCUUGACCACUUGCGUGAUUAUAUGAGUAGAACUGUUAAUGAUCUUAAGCUUAUUAGUAAACAUGCUUCCAUGGUUACAACUCAAGUAGAACAAGUCCUUAAGGCACAUGAUGAUUUGCUUAAUGAGUUGAAUAGUAAGAACAAUGAUAAUGUUGUUGGUUAUGACUAGAGGUGGUAAGAUGACACAGGAACCUUUGUAUCCUGAAGGCCAUCCUAAGAGAAUUGAGCAGGAUUCUCACAGAGUUAAUAUUGAUGCACCUAGUCCUAGUAAUAAAAAGAAAAAUAAAACCAAUAGGACUUUGCAUGCUGGUGAACCUAUUAUAGACACACCUGAGAAUCUUAAUGAUAUUUCUAUUUCUGAUACUGAGACACAAUCUGGUAAUGAACAUGAACCUAGUGCUAAUAUUAGUGAUGAUGUUCAUGUUGAUGCUCAACCUAGUAAUGAUAAUGAUGUGGAGAUUGAACCUGUUGUUGAUCUUGAUAAACCACAAUCAAAGAAUCAACGUUAUGAUAAGAGAGACUUCAUUGCUAGGAAACACGGGAAAGAAAGAGAACCAUGGGUUCAGAAACCCAUGCCCUUUCCUCCUAAGCCAUCCAAGAAAAAGGAUGAUGAGGAUUUUGAGCGCUUUGCUGAAAUAAUUAGACCUAUCUUUUUGCGUAUGCGUUUGACUGAUAUGCUUAAAAUGCCUCCUUACGCUAAGUAUAUGAAAGAUAUUGUUACAAGUAAAAGAAGGAUAUCGGAAGCUGAAAUUUCCACUGUGCUUGCUAAUUAUACUUUUAAGGAUGGAAUACCAAAGAAACUUGGAGAUCUAGGAGUACCAACUAUACCAUGCUCCAUUAAAAGAAACUAUGUUAAAACUGCUUUAUGUGAUCUUGGAGCCGGUGUUAGUGUUAUGCCUUUCUCUUUAUAUCGUAGAAUUGAAUUGAAUAAGUUGACACCUAUUGAAAUUCCUUUGCAAAUGGCUGAUAAAUCAACUGAUAUACCCAUCGGUAUUUGUGAGGAUAUGCGUGUUGUGGUUGCGAACAUUAUUAUCUUAAUAGACUUUGUUAUUCUUGAUAUUACCGAGGAUGACAGUAUGUCGAUCAUCCUUGGUAGACCCUUUUUGAAUACUGCAGGGGCUGUUAUUGAUUGCAACAAAGGCAAUGUCACUUUCUAUGUUAAUGGUAACGAGCAUACGGUACACUUUCCAAAGAAACAACCUCAAAUUCAUAGUAUCAAUUCUAUUGGAAAAAUUUCAACUAUUACUAUUGGAGGUUUUGAAUUCCCUCUCCCUACUAUCAAAACGAAAUAUGAUAUUCUUAUUGUUGGGGACAUGCAUAUCACCAUCGAGGUAACCUAGUGUUAUUUGAAAAUUUUCCAGUUUCAUAUCACUCGGAAGAAGUUUGUUAAUAAGACUUGAUCAACCUUGUUAAGGGAUUCCCUUUGAUAGGCAUGAGAUGGAUGAAUUUAGAAGGCACAACUCUUUGUACCUAUCUUUUACUUUCUGUUAUGUUGAUUAAAUAAAGCAAAAAUAGUAUUUUCUAUCUAUUUUUUGAAUUAUCACAGAAAUAAAAAAUGUCCCAAAAAUAAAAGUUCUCCAAAUGCCCUGAAAAUUUAGUAUGAUUUUUUAUAGAAUAUUUGAGAAUUUUUGGCAGUGAACACACACCAGGGGGCCUCACCGGUGGGCCACAAGGGUGGACGGCGCGUCGUACCCCCUGGGCGCACGCCCCGACCUUGUGGGCCCCACGUGGCCCCCCUCCACUUAUUCCAACACCAUCCACUUAGUCUUCCUCCAGAAAAAAAUCACUCCAUAGCUCAAACCCGUGUUCUUGCUCAUUUUGCUGCCAUUUUUGAUCUCCUUGCUCAAAGCUCCAUUCACAAAACUACUUUGGGGGAUUGUUCUUUGGUAUGUGACUCCUCCAAUGGUCCAAUUAGUUUUUGUUCUAGUGCUUUAUUUAUUACAAAUUUUUGCUGCUGUGGUGACCCUGUUCUUGAGCUUGCAUGUCAAAUUUAUAAGGUCCAAAGUAGUUUUGAUGCAUGAUAUAACCUCUAGACACUUGUAGGAGUAGUGGCUAUCAAUAUUGUUGAGUUUGGUUCACUUUUAUUUCGAGUCACUAAAAAUUUUAGAAAUUUUUCAGAGGAAGAAAAAUGUCUAGGAGAAUGUACGAAGGUGGUUCCUCGAGGAAGCAAGCACCGAGGCUCGCGAUACGUGAACCGGAACUUGAACCACCAAGGGAAGCUCAAGUGCGGCCUUGUGAAUGGUCGUCGGAUGAAUUUAUGGUUCGUGCAGGUUUCAAGGAUGAGUUCUAUGCAUACAUACAAAAUGCAAGCCUUGAGGACUUCUUGCCAGACAAGUGCCUACAAUAUUAUUAUCUCACCGAUUCCUUUGUGCAGUGGUUUGAGUUUUCAUCUAAGCACAAUACUCAUACUGUCCUGUUUGAUCUUUAUGAUGAAUCUUAUACCAUGGACCUAGAAGAUUUUUGUGGUGCAUGCAAAAUUCCACAGUGGGGCAUUCUUAGUGAGCCUCAAAAAUCUGAAUACAAUGAUUUCCUUGCUAGAAUCACUGUAGGUGAAACUAGAAAUAUCACACAAGCCACCAUAGGGAGCAUUCAUUUCCCUGCCAUACAUUAUUUUGCUCUCUUUAUAGGAAGAUGCAUUAAUGGUAAGCAUGAGCGUUGCCACCUUUGUGUUCCAGAUCUUAGUGUCCUCAAGUGUAUGGUGUUAGGUGAUAAGCGAUAUAACUUGGGGGCUAUUAUUGCGAGGAUGUUACAUCUUAAUGCUAAAGACGGAGAUUUAUUUGGUGGGAUUUAUGUAACUCAUUUAGCUAAUUAUCUGGGUGCACCCAUAAGAGGGUAUGAUAUUGAUUUGCCACCUGCUUUUCUAGAUUAUGACGCUAUGGUACGCUACCAGUUUCUUGAGAGGAACGAAUAGUCCCUCGAGUAUGGACUAAUCUUUGACAGACGACGUGCCAUCCAUAUUACCCUUCCUGCUCCUGCCUUCUUUAACUUUUAGGUAAAUGGGAGAUAUUUUAUAACCAUAGAGGAGGCAAACGAGUAUGAGAGAACAGCGAAGGCUGCUCACCUCCAGGAGGCAGCUCGCCAAGCAGUAGCUGCCGCAGCACACUAUGACCGCAAGUAUGAUUUUGGAUAUCAUCCAGGCCAGUGGUGUCCCUAGACCAACAUAGGCCAAAAGCCUAAGCUUGGGGGAGUACGUAUUUUGCACCGACAUUACAUUCAUGUUCACACACUCAUUCCAGUUGUCGGUGUUCAUACUUUUUCAUUGUAUUAUCCAUGUCAAUUUAUUUCUUUUUAUCGUUUUCUUCUUGUGUGUUUGGUAAACUUUGAGAAACAAAAAGAAUUAGUUGUAGUUUAUUUCCUUUCUAUGCAUGCUGAGUAGUAGUAUUAAAAGAAAACCCAAAAAGAUUUCUCACUCUUCUUUCGUUUAUUCGGAGCUUUCCCGUGCAAAUACUUUUUCUUGUUCUUGUUUUACUUUCUUCAAAAAAAAACAACAACCCCAAAAAUAUUUAUGUGUGUUUCUUUGAAAUUCUUUUAUUUUCUUUGGGGGUCAAGAGGAGAAGACCACUGUCGGUGUCAAAAUCGGCAGAUCUCGGGUAGGGGAUCCCGAACUGUGCGUCUGAGGACCGAAGGUAAUAGGAGACAGGGACAUGAUGUUUACCCAGGUUCAGGCCCUCUUGAUGGAGGUAAUACCCUACUUCCUGCUUGAUUAUCUUGAAUGAGUAUGAUUUUUACAAGAGUUGAUCUACCUCGAGAUCUUAAUGGCUAAACCCUAGAUGUCUAGCCUGUAUGAUUAUGAUUAUCCUUGCCUCUACGGACUAAACCCUUCAGUUUAUAUAGACACAGGAGGGACCUAUCGUUGUACAGAGUCGGUUUACAGAGAAAGGAAUCUUCAUAUCCGAACGCCAAGCUUGCCAUCCACGCAAAGGAGAGUCCCAUCCGGACAUGGGAGGACGUCUUCUGUCUUGUAUCUUCAUGUCCCAUUAGUCCGGCCCACGUCACAUAGCCCGAAGGCCCGAGGACCCCUUAAUCCAGGACUCCCUCAAUAGCCCCUGAACCAGGCUUCAAUGAUGAUGUGUCCGGCGCGCAGAUCGUCUUUGGCAUUGCAAGGUGGGUUCCCCCUCCGAAUACUUCAAAGUAGUCCUCGAACACAAAAAACGUGUCCGACUCUGCAAGACGGGCACCACACAUAGCCACUAGGAGUAUAAUAUUUCACAAGUCCCAUCUACUGGUCCGGUCAUUAUUUCGAACCGCUUUUUAGCCUCCCACUCCAUGUUUCGAGGUGCAAUUUUCAUUGGCACGUCUUUUCAAAGCAGAGAUCGUGUCCCCUUAUCACGGGAUUCUCAUCAAUACAGGCGUGGCUAAUCCAACCGCGCCGUCCGCACGCCCCUUGGGGAAUAGGUGAGUUUUAAGGCGAGUGGGGAGGUGCUUGAUAUUCGCUGCCUUUAUAAGAGGAUAAGGAUCCGCUCUUUCACCCACGCCUUCUUCCUCUCUUCCCAUCUGUUCUCGAGCUCCAGCUCCCAAGCUUCCAUCCUUUCCGCCUCCAAAAAGCACUCUGACCAUGUCCGGAUCUGGAACGCAGGGCAAGUGGAUGGCCUCCUCCGUCAUGGAGGGGAACAUCAUGGAGCUUUGGGAAGCGGGGUACUUGGCCCAGGGAAUUGCCCACAGGCUUUCGAGCAAGGGGUAGAUCGUCCCCACCCCGGAGCCCAACGAGAGGGUGGUAUUCAUCCCCCACUUCAUCCGCGGGUUAGGAUUUCCCUCCACCCCUUCGUCUGUGGACUCAUGUUCUAUUACGGGCUAGAUUUCCAUGAUCUAGCUCCGAAUUCUUUCCUCAACAUCUCGACAUUCAUUGUCGUGUGCGAGGCCUUCCUCUGCAUCCCACCCCACUUCGGACUAUGGCUAAAGAUAUUCAAUGUGAAGCCGAAAGUGGUCGAUGGUCAACAUGCAGAGUGCGGAGGUGCCAUGGUGAGCAAACUGUCCAAUGUCACAUGGCCCACUGACACCUUUGUGGAGACUGUUGGUGUCAAAACCGGCGGAUCUCGGGUAGGGGGUCCCGAACUGUGCGUCAAGGCCGGAUGGUAACAGGAGACAAGGGACACGAUGUUUUUUUACCCAGGUUUGGGCCCUCUCGAUGGAGGUAAUACCCUACUCCUGCUUGAUUAAUAUUGAUGAUAUGGGUAGUACAAGAGUAGAUCUACCACGAGAUCAAGGAGGCUAAACCCUAGAAGCUAGACUAUGGUAUGAUUGUUGUGUAUGGAGUUGAUUCCCUACGGACUACAACCCUCCGGUUUAUAUAGACACUGGAUAGGGUUUGGGUUACAUAGAGUCGGUUACAAUGGUAGGAGAUCUUGAAUAUCCGCAUCGCCAAGCUUGCCUUCCACGCCAAGGAAAGUCCCAUUCGGACACGGGACGAAGUCUUCAAUCUUGUAUCUUCAUAGUCCAGGAGUCCGGCUGAAGGUAUAGUCUGGCUACCCGAACACCCCCUAAUCCAAGACUCCCCCAGUAGCCCCCGAACCAGGCUUCAAUGAUGAUGAGUCCGACGCGCAGAUUGUUCGGCAUUGCAAGGCGGGUUCCUCUCCAAAUCUUGUGUACCUGUAGGAAUAAUGUCCGAUUUUUGUAAUGUAGUGCUCCUCGGCUUCCACGCCCAAUAAUGACCGUCUUCCAUGUGUUCAAAUGAAUGCGAAAAGCCGGGGUGUUUUUACAUCCACACCCCUAGCCAUAUAAACGAGCCGCCUAUUUAACGGGAUGGGGAUUUAGGUCCAAACCACAUCUUCUCCUUUUUGCGAGUUAUCAUCAGAGCGCUUCCAGCAAAGGUCCAUUCCAACAUGACCAGCCGUCGCAGCUCCUCCCCUCGCCCCUCCGGUCCCAAACCCGGGGACUCGGAGAGUUGCACCAUCCCGCAUAGCGAGUUAGCAUCACUUCAGGCCAAGGGAUUUCUCCCUCAGGCAUACAUGGUCCCGGUCCGAGCCGGUCUCGCCACCUAUAAUGGCGGAAAACAAGCGGAGAGCACCCCCAAUCCUUCUAAAGGAGAGCGGGUGUGCCUCGUCCCCUAUAUAAUAAGGGGACUAGGAUUUCCAAUUCACCCAUUUCUCCACGGGCUUCUGGAGUUCUACGGCCUCCAGCUGCACAACCUCACGCCCGCCUCCGUAUUGCAUAUUGCGGGUUUCGUCGCCCUUUGCGAGCUAUUUUAGGCGUUGAGGCUCAUUUCGCGCUGUGGAAGAGGUUAUUCUGCCUGGUGCCCCGUUCUAAAGAGGGGUCUAUAUACCAAGUGGGUGGAGCCGAAGUAUGGUGCAUCGCCGGGACCGGAUACCUAUCCGGAACCCCGAAGAAGGCAUCCGAGGACUGGCCUUCGGAAUGGUUUUAUAUAGAUGACGUCCCGCUACCGGACCCUAUCUGGGUCGGUCUCCCUGAGUUCAACAGUGCUCCAUUGAAGAAACGCUUGAGCUGGCGUCCGCGGAGCUCUCAGAGAGAAAGCGACAGAGACGUCCUUUACCUGAUGGGCCGGAUAAGCCUGUUGGCUCAUUCCGUUCUAACCAUGAUUGGAGUCAUGGCCGCAUGCAUUAUGCGGGGGGUGCAGCCACUUCAAUAUAGAGGCCACCCCAUGUGGGAUUUCAACGGGGAGGAUGAGGCCACCCGUUACGGUCGUAAGGGGCCGGCUUCAGCUGCCGCCCUAGUAAAGAUCUUAUCCUCUUUGUACAAGGGAGAAAAGGAGGAAUUCCUCCGCGUCAACCCGCAGGCCGGAUUUACUAUGUACAAUCCUCCAAUUUGGGUAAGUGAACAACUGCGCUUGCCCGUUUGUUUUAUACUCCCAUGGUUAGAUAUGUAGUCUAACGACUUCAAUGCAGGAACGGCGACAGGUAGUAAAGGAUAUAAACAGCCGCCCUCCACAACCCGAGGACCCAGAACGGUCCCUCGAUCCAGACUCCGAAGAGGAUCCGGACAUAUCGGUGGAGCUUAUCGACGGGGUGUUCCAUCAGCUAAGCAAGGACGAUACCUUGGUAGCCAUCACGGCUGAUUACCCAGGGUUAAUCCCGGCCUCCUAGGUGACAGAAACCGGAGUCUCAUUCCCUUGAGAGAGAUUCCACUCUCAUGUAUUCCGGUGUUUCUGACGACAACCGUGUUUUGCAGGGGAGAUUUCCGAGGCAAGAGGCCGAACCUGCGGCGGCUAGCCAACGAGGGGCCGCAGGGCCCGUUGGGGCAAAAAGGAAUGUAGUCCGGACUGAGAUGCCGGUGCAAAGGUAUAGCGCACCCUCUAUUUCCCUGGUGUUAUUCUGUCAGGGCAUAUUAACAUUCGUGCUAUCUUCAGAAUGAAGAGACCUCGCCGGACUACAUCCGGAGAGGUUGCCAAUCGCGCCUCCACCAGCCAGGCUCCAACGUCUGGCCAGGAAGCGGAAGCGAGCACAGGGCACGCACCGGACGCUCCUCCGACAAAGGAUGCGGACAGGCUGUCUGCCACAAAUUCUGAAGUGGAGAGUGCCAUGAACCACAGGCUUCGCCGGAUAGUUCUACGCGACGCUUGUUUCUCCCAAGAGGCUUUAGAUGCCUUUAAUUCAGGAGAUGCGUACCUCCGUGCCGCUCAAAAUGGUUUAGCCAGAGCCACGGAGCAGUAUGUAAAAGACAUAUGGGUAAGAAAAUUUAGGUCAAAUAUAUAUAUACCAGUAGCCCCCGAGACUUGAAACAGUUAGAGCAACUGAUUUAAGGAUAAUUUAAUAUGCAGGUUCUUACAGAGAAGAAUACUGUACUGUCCCAGGAGCUGGAAAAGUGCAAGGCCCAACUAGAGGCCGCACUAGCCGCAGCAGGGGAGCCCAAAGAGACCCCCUCAGGUAAGAUACACUUUGAAAGAUUAGUAUUGUGCGGUGUGGGUGCAAAUCUGACAAAUCAUGUUGCAGAUGGCGCCGGACUCAAUCCGGAAAAGCAACAACUCUUACUCCGGCUAAAGGCCGGUGAGAGUACGUUGACAAAGGUGAGGCGAGAGAAGAAUGAUCUUCAGGAUGCCAACACCAGGCUAGACGUCGAACUUAAAGAUGUUCGUGGCCAGCUGUCGGACUCCACGAAGGAGAAUCAGAGGCUUCGAUGCGGCAUAUUUAGUAAGUGCUUGAACGAACAUUGAAAAAAGAGUUCGGCGAGGAAGUCAACUAAGAGAGUAAUGUAUGUAGGUAUGAUCACAGGUCGUCCUGCAGAGGAGAUGCCCGGUUCUACGGGUGACCUUCUUCCCGAACUCAUGUAACUGCACGAGCAAAUACGGCAGGCGAUGCGAGGUGUUGCCCAAGCCUUAUGGCCUGCCCACUCCAUGCCCGAGGGCCUUGGAGAGCUUGCGGAGAAGCUGAAGGGAGCUCAGCGGCGCUUCCGGUUGUGGAAGAUAUCGGCCUGCCGACAAGGCGCUAGGGAAGCCUAGGCCAUGGUGAAGACCCGUUUUACGAAGUCUGACCCAAACCACAUGGCUGAGGUCGGACCAGUGGGGCCUGACGGGAAGGAGAUCCCUGUGAGCUUAGUAUACGGCCAAGUAUAGUUGGUCGCGAAGUAUUCCCAGCAGGACUGUAAAUUAGCCAGCCUGUUAGAUGGUAUAGAAGAGGAAUACAAUCAGUCAGAAUGACUAUGUAAUUUUGAAUUGACAUGUGUAAUGCCUUCUAGCCGGAUUGUAGAUCGUUUGUCGUUGCCGACCUUUUCGCUUCAACCUCGAGACCUGACGGUCCGGAGUGUGUCCGAAUACCAUAGCGGUUAUAUAAGAACCAUGGUAUGCGUGGAGACCAGGCAUAGGGGUCAUUAGUGCUUUAUCAGACAAGUGCCCAACUAGUUAUGUUAUAUUACAUGGUUAGUAAGAAACAUCUUCCACAGAGAAUAGUUCCGUUAGGGGUUCCUUUCGCUGGGAGGCAUGCCCUAAAGUGCAUGUCCGGACUGCGUAAAAAGACGCAGAAAAAGCAUCCGGGGGUGCAUAGAAUGAGUAAAAAGAUCAUCUUUUAUCUCACCGACCGAAUAUUCCCUUAAGAACGCUAGCUUUCGGCUUCACCCAGUCUGAGGUACACAUCCGGCUGACCUGGCAGUAACAAUCAAAGAGGUGCUCCCUUUAUUGCCUAGCCGAACAAUCAGCAACGUAGGGGUAAGCACAGGAGCCAGGCAACCCAGCUUGGCCAAAACUUAAGUCAUAUCGAUGCAUAUAAUGGUGAAAAGAAAGGUACAUGCGGAAGUUUGACGCAUGUGUUGGGCGUGAAGCCCGUAUAAAUAAGCUUCUGUUAAAGAAGCCCCCAGGUUUAAUGAGCGCGAGUGGCGCGUCACUAGAUGAGCCUUUAAGGGCUAUGAAAGAAAAGAGGGGAAGGAGAGAAAUGUAAGACAGAAAAAUGCAAAAAAUGGACAGAGGAAGGAGACGAACACAAAGUCCGGCGCUAGGCAUAGAAUCUUCGAAGAUGGGUGGCGUUCCACGGGUUCGGCUCGAGUCGGUUAUCCGACGCAUCUCGCAGGCGGUACGCCCCGCCAGUCAGGACUUGGUCGAUUAUGAAUGGACCUUCCCACUUGGGCUUGAGUUUGUCCUUUUUCUUACCCGGCAGGCGUAGAACUAGUUCGCCAACAUUGUAUUUUUUGGCCGUACUUCUCUGCUUUGAUAUCUUCGGGCCUGUUGUUGAUAAAAUGCGGAACGGGCUUUUGCCACGUCACGCUCCUCCUCCAGGGCAUCCAAGUUGUCCUGCCGAUCGAGCUCGGCUUCUCUUUCUUCGUACAUGCGCACUCUAGGUGAGUCAUGAAUUAUGUCGCAGGGCAGAACUGCCUCUGCGCCGUACACCAUAAAAAAUGGUGUGUAUCCGGUGGUGCAAUUUGGCGUGGUCUGCAGCCCCCAUAGCAGGGAGUCGAGCUCCUCUACCCAGUGCGUGUUAGAUUCCUUGAGGGACCGCACCAGUCUGGGUUUAAUGCCGCUCAUGAUAAGACCAUUUGCACGUUCGACCUGGCCGUUGGUUUGUGGGUGAUAGACGGAAGCAUAAUCGAGCUUGAUGCCCAUGUUUUUGCACAAGAGUUUUACCUCGUUGGCGGUAAAGUUUGUACCAUUAUCGGUUAUGAUGCUGUGGGGAACGCCAUAAUGGUGUACAACCCCGGAUAUGAAGUCUAUCACAGGUCUGGGUUCGGCCGUUUUAACAGGCUUGGCUUCUAUCCAUUUGGUGAAUUUAUCCACCAUGACCAGUAAGUAUUUUUUCCUAUCGGUCCCACCUUUAAGGGGUCCGACCAUGUCAAGCCCCCAGACCGCAAAAGGCCAGGUGAUGGGUAUAGUUUGGAGUACGGUGGGUCGCAUAUGGCUUUGGUUGACAAAAAGUUGGCAACCAGCGCAUCGUUGGACUAGGUCCUGAGCGUCUUCCCGGGCCGUCGGCCAAUAAAAGCAUGUACGGAAAGCCUUGCUAACAAGGGACCAAGCAGCGGCGUGGUGACCACCGAGUCCAGCAUGAAUUUCAGCCAGAAGGUUCCGCCCUUCCUCUUCGGAGAUGCACCUUUGAAGGACUCCGGUAGUUCUUUUCUUAUAAAGCUCUCCCUCAUGGACUCUAUAGGCUUUAUAUCGCCGCACUAUGCAGCGGGCCUCGUUUUGGUCCUCCGGGAGUUCCUGCCUAGUAAGGUAGGCUAGGAAUGGUUCUGUCCACGGGGCGAUGACCGCCAUUAUUACGUGGGCUGAAGGUGUAAUUUCAUUGGCAGAGCCUCCAAUUGUGUCAGAUUGUUCAGCGUCGAGUGGUGCAGAUGGGUCCGGGCUGUUAUUUUCGGGUUCCCCCUCCCAUGCUACGGAUGGCUUGAACAAUCUUUCCAAAAAGAUGUUGGGGGGGACUGCAUCGCGUCUUGCUCCGAUGAGUGCCAGGACGUCUACUGCUUGAUUGUUUUCUCGGGCUAUAUGGUGAAACUCCAGCCCUUCGAACCGAGCUGACAUUUUUAGGACGGCGUUGCGGUAAGCUGCCAUUUUUGGGUCCUUGGCGUCGAAGUCUCCAUUUAUUUGGGAUAUCGCGAGGUUUGAAUCCCCGAGUACCUCUAGGGGCUGGAUACCCAUGGAUACUGCUAUCCGGAGGCCAUGUAGGAGGGCCUCAUAUUCGGCUGCAUUGUUGGAAUCCAUGUACAUGAUCUGGAGCACAUAUUGGACUGUGUCUCCUGUGGGGGACGUCAGGACGAUGCCAGCCCCCAGUCCGGCCAACAUUUUGGAGCCAUCGAAAUGCAUAAUCCAGUUUGAAUAUGUGCCGUACUCUUUAGGGAGCUCGGCCUCCGUCCAUUCUGUGACGAAGUCGGCCAAAACUUGCGAUUUAAUAGCUCGCCGUGGCUUAAAGCCUGCGUUUAAAACGCUCUUGUUCGGUGGGGUCUGAUGGUAUGACGAAUUCGUCGUCAUCGAGGCUUGCCUCGUCUUCGGAGGGAGGCGCAUAGUUAUCAUCCUCGACCUCUCGGUCUGUCGCUCUCUCUUGAGGGCUAGCUUCUCCAUCUUCCUGUGCCGAAUCUUGCUGAGGUGGGUGUUCUUCAGCGUUAUCCAGGGUAAUAUUAUCUCCCGUGCCGGAAUCACCGUUUUUGCUUUGGCGGGAUUUAGAGCGGCGGCGCCGCUGAUGCCGGCGCUUCGGCUGUUUCUUGGGGGCGUCAUCCCCCACUGUUCCAUCGCCAUCUCCAUCUUUUGGAGUAUCCACCAUAUAUAUGUCAUAUGACGAGGUGGCCUUCCAGCGCCCUACAGGUGCUGGUUCCUGUUCGUCUCCUACAUCGUCGUCCAUGCCGUCGAUGUCUUCGGAACUGAAGUCAAGCAUGUCGGUUAGAUCAUCGACAGUGGCUACAAAGUGGGUGGUGGGUGGGCUUUGAAUUUCCUUAUCGUCCGUAUCCCACCCUCGCUGACCGUAGUCCGGCCAGGGCUCUCCGGAUAAAGAGAGAGACUUAAGAGAGUUCAGGAUGUCACUAAAAGGCGAAUGCUGAAAGAUGUCUGCGGCGGUGAACUCCAUUAUCGGCGCCCAAUCGGAUUCGAUUGGCAGGGGCGCGGGGGGUCCGGAGUCCGGGGAGGAGUCCGGAUCCUUGGAGUCACGGGCCAUGCGGAGUGCGGGGCUGGAGUUCGGCUCGAUCGCCUCUGAGAUCGCAGCCCCUGAGGCAGCGUCUAAUCGCAGAUCCGCGAUAGGCGCAGUAUGCUCCAAAUCAAUGGUCCAAACCGAUGCGUAUGCAGCCUCCAAGGCACUGUUCGGCGGCAGAGCUAUAUCAUACCCAUCGAGACAGUGCGGCGCGCUUGGCUGUGGCUCGAAUCCGUCGAAGAUCAUGUCCCCGUGGAUGUCAGCCGUGUAGUUUAGGCUUCCAAACCUGACCUGAUGGCCAGGGGCGUAGCUUUUGAUCUGCUCCAGGUGGCCGAGUGAAUUGGCCCACAGAGCGAAGCCGCCGAAGACGAAGAUCUGUCUGGGGAGAAAAGUUUCACCCUGGACCGUAUCGUUGUUGAUGAUCAAAGGAGCCAUCGGGCCUAAAGGCGACGACAUAGAGGAACUCUCAAUGAAAGCACCAAUGUCGGUGUCAAAACCGACGGAUCUCGGGUAGGGGGUCCCGAACUGUGCAUCAAGGCCGGAUGGUAAUAGGAGACAAGGGACAUGAUGUUUUUUACCCGGGUUCGGGCCCUCUCGAUGGAGGUAAUACCCUACUCCUGCUUGAUUAAUAUUGAUGAUAUGGGUAGUACAAGAGUAAAUCUACCACGAGAUCAAGGAGGCUAAACCCUAGAAGCUAGCCUAUGGUAUGAUUGUUGUGUAUGGAGUUGAUUCCCUACGGACUACAACCCUCCAAUUUAUAUAGACACCGGAUAGGGUUAGGGUUACAUAGAGUCGGUUACAAUGGUAGGAGAUCUUGAAUAUCCGCAUCGCCAAGCUUGCCUUCCACGCCAAGGAAAGUCCCAUCCAGACACGGGACGAAGUCUUCAAUCUUGUAUCUUCAUAGUCGAGGAGUCCGGCUACCCGAACACCCCCUAAUCCAGGACUCCCUCAAAGACCAUCAAGGGGUGGCAGCAGCAGUGGUUCUAUGUCACUAAGCCCCGUGACACCACUUGGGUCGUGGCUCCCGAAUUCAUGUCCGGGCCCCCAAUGUGGCUUACCUCCUGGCUAAAAAAGGGCCUGGACUAGUCGUCGUCAGACGAGAUAUCAGCGUUGCAGGCGCGCGUCAAGAGCAUGGUGGACAAGAACAUCAAGCUCGUCAAUGUGAUCCAGGUGAUGCUUUUUCGCUGAAUCCUUCCCUGCCAAAGCCGGACUUGCCAAUUGUGGGAGUUUGAUCCAGCCAAGCACCAAACCAUGUGACAGUUCUUCGGCUCCAUGCACGAAGGUAUCUGGAAGGUGCUUUUCUAGGCCAAUCAGACAUGGUCGCAGAUGUCCGAGGACUGUGGAUACAACCUAACCGAUCUAGCUAGUCCGGUAAGUUCUUCAUACUUCAAGGUGUAUCUCUUCCUGUGCAUUCAAGGAAGAUGUCUAAGUUUCUCCGUUUGUAUUUUUAGAGCUGGAUGAAGAAGGCGGAGCGGAUCCGGUGUCCGGCUCCGCUGCCCGAAAACCCUGCCAUCCCGCUCCUGACGAAGCUGCUGGUUCCGGCCCUACCAGGCGCCGUAGAAGAAGGCCAAGAAGAAGGGCCAGGAGACAAGAGGCGGCCUCCGCCAUAAAGUCACUUCGGACGCAACAUCCGAAGACGCGGAAACCCAGUCCUCCCCCGCCGGGAAUGACAAGGAGGAGGAAAGCAAUUCUCCCCCCGAGGGGGGAAGGAAGAAAAGGACGGCCUCCAUGGAUCUGGAGGCGGAGGCGUCCAAGAAAGGGAGAGUCUCCCUUGCGGACGAUUCCGAAUCAGACACCGAUAGCAGCCCUGAGUGGCGUCCUAGAGAGAAGCCCCUGGCCAGAUCGUAAGUACUCAAAGGCACUUACACACAUAUAUAUCCGGCUCCUUUACUUCGUGGCUUUAAUAUGUUGGAUCAUGUGCUCCAGUCUGGCUCUCGUCCACCUCCAGCUAUCCUCAUCUUCCGGGAAUUUGCUUGAUCCCAAUGUGAUGGACAGUGUGUCGCUUCCGCCGGCCUCCGCCCCCAAGACUACGGACGACACCGAAGUGUUGUCCCAAAGGACCCUGCUAGGCCAGGGAGAGGUACAAGAGGCCGCCGAGGUGGCGCCAGAGGGUGGUACCUCGACCGCCGGACACAUGGGGGAGCAGACCCCCUGGAGACUGGCGAUGGGUGCCAUACCCAAUUCGGCCCCCAGCCAAAUACUAUUUCGGAGGCCCGUACGACUCUGGAAUCAGGUAAGUAGCCUCCUACGAAAGAAGGAGGUGCACCUAUUCCGCCGGUGACCUCUGUCCAUCCAGCGGCACCGGAUACUCUACUAGAAGCGCUCCAAGGUGCUUCCAUUGUAGAAGAACACCAUAUCCUUAUGGGUACGGUGGUUGAGAGGGUUCAUUCCGCUAAGAGUGGACUGACCGAAGCCUGCGCCAGCCUUCUAAUAGGCUUUGAGGUACAUGAUGCAAUUAUGCAAAAAGAACACCGUAGUACGGACAUUAGCCCCUAAGACUCUGUGCGGUGUUCGAAAAGAAAGGCCGGACAGAGGAUUGAAUAAUUGUCGUAGGAGACUAAUCAUAUAUGUUUAUGUGAAUAAGCAGGCGUUGAUGUUGGCUGCGACCUCCCAUUCUGCCGAAGUAUCCAAACUAAAGCAGAGGCUGGAGCAGGCCGAUGAAGAACUCGGUCGUGUCAAAAAACACCUUGAGGACAAGCAAUGUACUCAAUGCCCUAUUCAAAUCUUAAAAUGAUAAGAAUUGUUUGUGUUGAUCACAUGAAUAUGAUGCUUCAAAGGAGCUACGGCCAAGGUGGAGUCCCUCUAGAAAUCUCUGAGCAAGGCCCAGAAGAAAGCGGGGAAGGAACAAGCUGCCCGCAAGAAACAUGAGCCAAGGGUCAGGGAGGUUCAGCAGGAGCUCAAGGACGCCAUAAAGAAAUGCGAGUCCUUGGAGCGCAAGAUUGCGGACCAAGAGUCCGAACUUGCUAAGGCCCGCCAAAGCGCACAAGAGGCCCGGGUUGAAGCCCAGGACGCCCUCCGGGAAGUCCAAGAGGCCAAGCAAAUUGCGGCGGGUAAGACCUUUAUUAUGUAGAGCAAAUUUGUGAAGAAAAGGUACCUCCUACUGACUCGGAUUUGGAGUUCUCCAGGAGCGUUUGCGGAUCUGCCUCGUAGUGUUGCUGAUGCUGCGGAGUUCUUACGAGCCAAAGAGGGAAGCUCAUCAGAGAAGCUAUUCUGGUCGCAAUACCUUGUGCCAGAGCAUCCGAUGGCCCUCAGCGAUCUACUGAAACAGCUGUCCGAACUACAUAGGGUGGCUGGAUUGGCCAUGAAGGAUUUAAUAAUCCGUCUAUGGCCUGCCGAAGCCGUGCCCAGCAGCCACUUCGGGCUCGUGAAGCGGCUGGUCGAUGCCUGCCAUCGGCUUGAUGCCAUAAAGCGAUCGGCCUGCAUCGAAGGUGGAUGGAUGGCCUUCACCCGCGUCAAGGUAUAGUGGACGAAGAUGAACGUUGUCAAGCUUGCGACUGCGGGGACGCCUGAGGGCAAAGAGCACCGCACGCCCGAGCGCUAUUUUGAUGACAUCCUGGAAGGAUCCCGCAUUGUAGCGGGCCAGUGUGCGAAGGACAUUAUCUUUUAAUGAAUGUAUUCGUGUUUAUCCAGUCCUGUAUUAUGGAACAAAGCCUAUAUGUAAUAUAUUGCUUGUUGUUUUUUGAAAAUAUUUCCUCCUGUGCGGUCGUUUAUUUAAAUUUGAGAGUUGGACGGUCGUCCGGUUCAUCCCCCACGUAUAUAGUACGGGGAUGUUCGGAUUGGAACCUAAAUGCACUUGACCCAAGAGUUUGGCCCUUGAAGGAGGUGUUUAGUGCAUUGAACUAGGUAAUUAGACUAUAUGGCUUUAUCACCCUCACUUAGCCAUAGGAGUUAGACAAUUAGGAGUGUAGGCGCAUCCCCUAGUUUGUUUAUCCGGACUAGGGGCUAUAAACACCUGAUCGGGUGGAAGCCGAUCCGUCGCAGAAUGCGGAAAAAAUAGCAAGAGAUUUUUAGCCACUGAAUAGCUGACCAGCUCUCGCCACAUCAUGACAGUAAGUUUUUGGCUUUCUCUACUGAGGUGUUUAUCCAGAUGAACAAGAAACACAAUCGUAGUAGUUCUCUCUUUACUACCCUAGCCGAUAAAACGGAACGUAAGGUAACAAGCACAGGAGCCGUGCAACCCAACUAUUGACCAAAGACAUGAUUUGGAGUCGAUGCAUAUAAUGCAAUAUUCGGGGCGCCGAAUUGUACAGUAAAAAGUGUUCGGACUUGUAACCAACAUAUGGGGUGCAAUGGAGCCCUUGGCAGGUUAAGUCAUACCAAAGUGUAUGGGUGCAAUUGAUAAAAAUAGUUUAAAUAUAAUGAAGGAGUAAGCCAAUGCCACAUAUGUUGGGCCGCAAACUGUUUCCAUUAUAAUUUGAUUGAUACGUCAAAGUGUAUUUGUACAAAUAAUGCGAUAAGCAACAGGGCUAUUUAACAUGCCGAGAACAAGGGGAAGCUGCGUGCGGGUCCUGCAAAUAGGCAAAGUGAUCGUCAAGAAGAUCAUCUAGAUGUUUCUGCCACACGUCUAUGCUGCUUGCCUCCUUGGUGUGUUUAUCCUUCAAAAGGAUCGAUGAUGAGGCCGUCGUGAGGGGCCUGUGGAAAAGAAACCUAGAAAAGGAUAGAAAGAAAAAGGGAAAGUAUGAGUGCCCGAGUAAGGUCGAGCCGUAUUGUGGACCAUGAUUGAGUUAUGCCUCCGUCUUUGCCCAUGGUAUUUUUACUGCGUAGUUAUGUACGCGAGGUACGUACACCGCAUUUCGAUCGGGACUGAGAUGGAGGCGGAAUUGCUAGUCCAACUCAUGACGAGCUAGACUGUCAUGUUGCGGAGUAAUCCGGACUUGUUUAAUAGUGUCCAGGGGCUUGGCCGCCAAAUUGACGUUCUGCUUGAUAAGGCCGCCCUGUACUUCCGCUCCAGGGCCAUGGUGUGCACCUCGGUACAGAGGGAGCGUUCAUUAUUUCCGUUGACUAUUAUGACACUGCGUGGCCCGGGCAUCUUAAGUUUGAGAUAGGCAUAGUGUGGCACCGCAUUGAAGUGAGCAAAUGUGGUUCGUCCAAGCAGUGCGUGAUAGCCACUGCGGAAGGGGACGAUGUCGAAGAUCAAGUCUUCACUUCGGAAGUUGUACGGCAAUCCAAGGACGACUUCCAAUGUGAUUGAGCCCGUGCAACGGGCCUCUACACCUGGUAUUACUCCUUUAAAGGUAGUUUUGCUGGGCUUGGUCCUUGAUGGAUCGAUGCCCAUCUUGCGGACUGUGUCCUGAUAGAGCAGGUUAAGGCUGCUACCACCGUCCAUGAGGACCCGCGUGAGGUGGAAUCCAUCAAUGAUUGGGUCGAGGGCUAGUGCGGCUGAGCCGCCGUGAUGGAUACUGGUCGAAUGGUCCCUGCGAUCGAAAGUGAUCGGGCAAGAUGACCAUGGAUUGAAAGUGGUCGGAUGGUCACAUAGACGUCCUUGAGUGCGCGUUUGCGCUCCCUCUUGGGGAUAUGAGUAACGUAUAUCAUGUUCACCGUUUUGAUUUGGGGGGGAUUUCUUUUGUCCCCCUGUGUUCAGUGGACGGGGCUCCUCGUCAUCGUCCUCACUUGGCGACCCCUUCUCUUUGUCCUCGGUAUAUAAUUUACCGGCCUGUUUAAAGACCCAACAGCUUCUAUUGGUAUGAUUGGCAGGUUUAUCGGGGGUGCCGUGGAUCUAACAUGGUCGAUCGAGGAUUCGGUCCAAGAUGGAUGAGCCCGAAUUGUUUCUUUUAAAUGGCUUCUUCCGCUGACCGGGCUUGGAGCCACUGAAUCUGGUGUUGACCGCCGUGUCAUCAGUAUUGUCACCGUUGUUCCGACGCUUGUGCCUGUUGCGUUGGGGCUUUCCGUUGCUAUUUCUGGCUUCAGAGGUGCCAGGUUCGCUUGCAUUGUUGCUGCUACGGGCUAGCCAACUAUCUUCGCCCGCGCAAAAGCGGGUCAUAAGUGCCACGAGGGCUGUGAUACGCCUCCAACAUAUCUAUAAUUUUUGAUUGCUCCAUGCUAUAUUAUCUACUGUUUUGGACAUUAUUGGGCUUUAUUAUCCACUUUUAUAUUAUUUUUGGGACUAACCUAUUAACCGGAGGCCCAGCCCAGAAUUGUUUUUUUCCUAUUUUAGGGUUUCGAAGAAAAGGAAUACCAAACGGAGUCCAAACGGAAUGAAACCUUCGGGAACAUGAUUUUAUCACCGAACAUGAUCCAGGAGACUUGGACCCUACGUCAAGAAACAAAGGAGGAGGCCACGAGGUAGGGGGCGCCCCUACCCCCAAGGCGCGCCCUCCACCCUCGUGGGCCCCCUGUUGCUCCACCGACGUACUCCUUCCUCCUAUAUAUACCUACAUACCCCCAAACAAUCAGAUACGGAGCCAAAACCCUAAUUCCACCACCGUAACUUUCUGUAUCCACGAGAUCCCAUCUUGGGGCCUGUUCCGGAGCUCCGCCGAAGGGGGCAUCCAUCACGGAGGGCUUCUACAUCAACACCAUAGCCUCUCUGAUGAAGUGUGAGUAGUUUACCUCAGACCUUCGGGUCCAUUGUUAUUAGCUAGAUGGCUUCUUCUCUCUUUUUGGAUCUCAAUACAAUGUUCUCCCCCUCUCUUGUGGAGAUCUAUUCAAUGUAAUCUUCUUUUUUGCGGUGUGUUUGUUGAGACCGAUGAAUUGUGGGUUUAUGAUCAAGAUUAUCUAUGUACAAUAUUUGAAUCUUCUCUGAAUGCUUUUAUGUAUGAGUGGUUAUCUUUGCAAGUCUCUUCGAAUUAUCAGUUUGGUUUGGCCUACUAGAUUGAUCUUUCUUGCAAUGGGAGAAGUGAUUAGCUUUGGGUUCAAUCUUGCGGUGUCCUUUCCCAGUGGCAGUAGGGGCAGCAAGGCACAUAUUGUAUUGUUGCCAUCGAGGAUAACAAGAUGGGUUUCUUAUCAUAUUGCAUGAGUUUAUCCCUCUACAUCAUGCCAUCUUGCUUAAGGCGUUACUCUGUUUUCAUUAACUUAAUACUCUAGAUGCAUGCUGGAUAGCGGUCGAUGAGCAGAGUAAUAGUAGUAGAUGCAGGCAGGAGUUGGUCUACUUGUCUCGGACGUGAUGCCUAUAUACAUGAUCAUACCUAGAUAUUCUCAUAACUAUGCUCAAUUCUAUCAAUUGCUCAAUAGUAAUUCGUUCACCCACCGUAAAAUACUUAUGCUCUUGAGAGAAGCCACUAGUGAAACCUAUGGCCCCCGGGUCUAUCUUCAUCAUAUUAAUCUUCCAAUACUUAGUUAUUUCCUUUGCUUUUUUACUUUGAUUUUAUUUUACUUUGCAUCUUUAUCACAAAAAUACCAAAAAUAUUAUAUUAUCAUAUCUAUCAGAUCUCACUCUCGUAAGUGACCGUGAAGGGAUUGAUAACCCCUUAUCGCGUUGGUUGCGAGGAGUUAUUUGUUUUGUGCAGGUACUAGGGACGCGCGCGUAACCUCCUAAUGGAUUGAUACCUUGGUUCUCAAAAACUGAGGGAAAUACUUACGCUACUUUGCUGCAUCAUCCUUUCCUCUUCAAGGAAAUCCAACGCAGUGCUCAAGAGGUAGCAGGCUGCCAUGGACUUCGGCAUUUCUUGGCCAAGGUGCUGGGCAAGCCAUUCGUCAUGAAUGCUAUGCUUAAAGGCCGCUAGGGCUUCGGCAUCCGGACAUUCAACGAUGUGGUUGUUUUUAAUUAGGAACCUAGUCCAGAAUUUCCUGGCCGACUCUCCGGGCUAUUGAACUAUGUGACUUAAGUUAUCAGCGUCCGGAGGUCGGACGUAUGUACCGUGGAAGUUGUCGCAGAAGGCGUCUUCCAGGUCCUCCCAGCUGCCAAUGGAGUUUUCUGGCAGGAUGUUUAACCAGUACCGAGCUGGUCCCUUGAGUUUUAGCAGGAGGUAUUUGAUGGCAUGAAGAUCAUCACCGCGAGCCAUAUGAAUAUCUAGGAGAAAGUCCUCAAUCCAUACUGCGGGAUCCGUUGUUCCAUCAUAUGAUUCGAUAUUCACUGGUUUAAACCCUUCUGGGAAUUCAUGUUCCAUUACUUCGUUAGUGAAGCAGAGGGGGUGUGCGGCGCCUCUAUAGGGGGCCACGUCGCGACAUAGCUCGGAUGGAGUCCGUUUGUGGUUUUUGGCCCGGGCGUGGUUAUGGCUGUCAUGCCCGACUAGAUAGCCGUCCUCGCGCAUCGGAGCACACCCCAUGAUCCGUUGAUCGAUCUGGUCUGGCCUGCUCUAUUUUCCAAAUCCCGACGUAGGUCGUAAGUAUAUUUCCGAGUUGUUGUGUCUCUACCUUUAUGACGAGGUAGUAUGGGCUGGUAUUCGUCUUGAGCUGCCAUUUUGUCAUAGCCACGUGGUGGUCGGUCGGCCACGUUACGCGCCGAUGGUACGGGCACCAGCGCCUCUUUGUCGAAUUGAGGUAGGAGCUUACUCUUCGGGUAAAUCUUGGUUGGGCGCUCGAGGCCGUAUGUUGAGUGGAUCUCAUAUGCAUUAUUGUUGAUCUAACAAAGAGUCCAUAUUACCUUGUCUUCUCCUUUGAAUAAAUGUUUGCAGAUUCCAUCUUAGUCCAAUGCACGUGCACUAUAAUUAUUAUCCACACCAUUCGGUCGUGCAAGUGAAAGGCAAUAAUGACGAUAUAUGAUGAAAUGAUUGAGAUUAGGAGAAGCUGGUAUGAACUCGGCCUAUCUUGUUUUUGUAAAUAUGAUUAGUUCAUCAUUCCUGAUUCAGCCCAUUAUGAAUGAAACUUGUUUGCAUUGAAAAUUAGAGGAUUAUAGUUACUUAUGCCAUGCUUAAUUAGCUAUGAGUUUAUAAUGGUUUACCUUGCGUGCCAACAUGUUUUUGAAAUGGUUGUGAUGAAGUAUGAUGAGAUGGUAUCCUCCUUUGAAUGAUUCGAGUGGCUUGACUUGGCACAUGUUCACGCAUGUAGUUGAAACAAAAUCAACAUAACCUCUAUGAUAUUUAUGUUCAUGGUGAUUUGUAUCCUACUCAUGCUUGCACUCAAUGUUGGUUAAUCUCAAUGCAUGUUGAUGACUAUUGUCGCUCUCUAGUUGGUCACUUCACAGUCUUUUUCUAGCCUUCACUUGUACUAAGUGGGAAUAUUGCUUGUGCAUCCACUUCCAUAAACCCAAAGUUGUUCCAUAAGAGUUCACCAUACCUUCCUAUAUGCGGUAUUUACCUAUCGUUCCAAGUAAGUUUGCAUGUGCCAAACUCUAAACCUUCAAAUAAUAAUAUGUUUUGUAUGCUCGAAUCGCUCAUGUAGCAACUAGAGCUGUCAAUAUCUUCCAAGCUAGGUGGGUUAUUCUCACGAUGAGUGGACUCCGCUCAUCAUUCAUGAGAAAAUGGCUGGUAACCGGGAUGCCCAGUCCCAUGCUCAAAUUAAAUCAGAAUAAUUGCAAACAGAAGUCCCCCAGGACUGUUGUUAGUUGGGCAGUACCCGUUGUUUAAGACAAGCCCCGGAAUGUGCUUGUUGGUGAUGGGGGAGUAUAAACUUUACCAUUCUAUUUGGGAACCGCCUACAAUGUAUGUAGCAUGGAAGAUACCGAGAUAUCUUGGUUGUUAUGUUUACAAUGAAAGCAUGCCGCACAAAAUAUUAUUCCUCUCUAUUUCAAAAACUCGAGAUCUGGCACCUCUACAAAUCCCUGCUUCCCUCUGUGAAGGGCCUAUCUAUUUACUUUUAUUGCUGAGUCAUCAUUCUCUUAUAAAAAGCACCAGUCAGAGAGCACCACUAUCAUUUGUAUGCAUUGUUAUUAAUUUAUAUUGCGUAUGACUAUGAGUGGAUCUCUUUUACCAUUAAUUACAAUGUCUAGUCAGUCCUCGAUCUUCAGGGGUGCUCUACAUUUAUGUUUUGCGGUAUCAGAAAGGGCUAGCGAGAUACCAUCUUGUUAUAUCGUAUCAUGAUUGUUUUGAGAAAGUGUUGUCAUUCGAGAUUUAUUAUUAUUACUUCCUAGUUGAUUAUGCCAUUGAUAUGAGUAAAUGUGAGACCUAAAUGUUGUUGUGAAUAUGGGUAGUUCAUAAUCUUUGCUGAAAACUUGAAUGUUGGCUCUACAUAUUUGCAACAACAAGAUCAAACAGAGUUUGUAAGUUUUUCUUUAUCACUUCAGUUUGUCAACUGAAUUGCUUGAGGACAAGCAAUGGGUUAAGCUUGGGGGAGUCGAUACGUCUCCAUCGUAUAUACCUUUCCAAACUCUUUUCCCCGUGUUUUGGACUCUAAUUUGCAUGAUUUGAAUGGAACUAACCCGGACUGACGCUUUAUUCAGCAGAAUUGCCAUGGUAUUAUUUUUGUGCAGAAAUAGAAGUUCUCGGAAUGACCUAAAACUUCACGGAGAUCAGUUUUGGACUAAAUAAAAAAUAUUGGUGAAAGAAUGAACUGAAGGGGCCCACACCCUGGCCACAAGGGUGGGGGGCGCACCCACCCCCCUAGGGCGCGCCCUCUGUCGUUGUGGGGCCCCUCAAUCUCCACCGACCUCAACUCCAACUCCAUAUAUCCAUGUUCGGGGAGGAAAAAAUCAGAGAGAAAGAUUCAUCGCGUUUUACGAUGCGGAUCCCGCCGCCAAGCCCUAUUCUUCCUUGGGAGGGCAGAUCUGGAGUCCGUUCCAUGCUUCGGAGAGGGGAAAUCAUCGCCAUCGUCAUCACCAACCAUCCUCCAUCACCAAUUUCAUGAUGUCACCACCGUGCGUGACUAAUCCCAUCGUAGGCUUGCUGGACGAUGAUGGGUUGGAUGAUAUUUACCAUGUAAUCGAUUCAGUUUUGUUAGGGUUUGAUCCCUAGUGUCCACUAAGUUCUAUGAUUGAUGUUGCUAUGACUUGGCUAUGCCUAAUGCUUGUCACUAUGGCCCGAGUGCCAUGAUUUCAGAUCUAAACCUAUUAUAUUUUGUGAAUAUAUUUGUGUUCUUGAUCCUAUCUUGCAAGUUAUAGUUGCCUACUACGUGUUAUGAUCCAGCAACCCUGGAGUGACAAUAGGUGGGUGAUACGUCUCCAACGUAUCUACUUUUCCUAAUGCUUUUCCUCUAGCUUUGGACUCUAAUUUGCAUGAUUUGAAUCAAAAUAACCCCGGAUUGACGAUGUUUUCAGCAGAACUACCAUGGUGUUGUUUUUGUGCAGAAAUAAAAGUUCUCGGAAUGGAACGAAACUUUACGAGGAAUUUUUAUAUAAUAAAAGAGAAUUUUUGGAGCCAAGACCUACCGAAGGGGUUGAACCUGGGUGGGCACAACUCACCAGGGCGCGCCCCCCUCACUAGGCACGCCCAGGUGGGUUGUCCCCACCUGGUGGCCCCGCAGACCCUAAUUCCAACUCCAUAAAUACCCAUUUUUUCCAGAAAAAAUUAGGGAGAAAGAUUUAUCAUGAUCCAUGAGAUGGAGCCACCGUCACCUCAUGUGCUUCAUCAGGAGGCCAGAUCUGGAGUCCGUUUGGGGAUCCGGAGAGGGAGAUCUUCAUUCUUUGUUGGGACCCCGAUUCCAAGUCACAUCGAUCUAGCCGGUAACACCUCAUAUCACUUUGCGGCCUCACGCACGGUAUUCCCACGGGUGUCGCCUUACCCUGGACCGGGACCGUUUGCGCCUUUUGGCUCACGUAUAUGACUGUGUCGCUAGCAUCCAUAUGACAGAGAACCCGGGACGACAUGGCUAGUCAUGAACCCAAAGCGGCACUAACCUAUGGGGACAGGCAUACAUGAUUCACAUCAAGCGUGUCGGUCAGCAGCGUGUGAAUCCGGGCUGUAGCACUGGGCUAACAGGACUCCGGGGAAUCCGGGCUGUAGCGGGCUAGGCAAGACUCCGGAUGUCACCGCGUGACAUUUCCCCAAAGGGAGAGACACAGGAACGAAGUGAAACACAUGCCGGCCGGUCAAGUGUCCUAAGCAGUAGUGCUGGGCUAGCAGGACUCCGGUGAACCGGGCUGUAGCGGACUACUAUGGCUCAAGGAAGCACUAGACUACAUUUCCCCAUAAGAGAGGCUGCCAAGGAUAAACAACUAGAUUGUCGGAUCCCACACAUAGCAAUACACGUCACACGUACGCAUAACAUGCAAGUAUGUGCUGUACAACAUGGCACCACAACAUAAUGCAAACUCAUAUAAAUAAAGGCCCAGAAGAGCCACAUAGCAUUAAAUACAAAUAUGGGUCACAUGACCCAUCAUUCAGAGCAUACAAGCAACGGAAGCAUUACAUGUCUGAGUUCAAACAACUACAAAAGGAAAAAGGCUCAGAAGCCUGACUAUCUACAAGACCCUCCCAAGGGUACAAGAUCAUAGCUGAGGUAACAAGCUACUCGUCGAAGUCCAAGCGGUACUACUAGUGAGACAGAUGUCUCACCUGCAAAACAUAAAUAAAGCAAACGUGAGUACAAAGGUACUGAGCAAGACUUACAUCAAAUCCUAUCAUACAUGCAUUUGUAUCAAGAAGGUAAUGUGGGGUUUAGUUGCAGCAAGCCAGCUUUGACUCAGUGGCUAUCCUGUUCUACGACAACGAGAAACUUCUUUGAGAUGAGGCAGCGCGCACGAGUCCACUAAUCACCACAUCAAUACACUACUAUGGAUUCAUCCUUGUCUCCUUACGAGAAGGCCAUCCAUAGCACUCACACUUGUCUUAAGCAUUUUAGAGUAUCCACUUAAAGUUGUUUAUGUACCACGUAAGCAUCCAAGAAGUCCAUAACCGAGGACACGGCUAUUCGAAUAGAUCAUGAUAACCCUGCAGGGGUGUACUUCUUCACACACGCUCUCACCACUUAUCACCAUAUACACAUCAUGUAUCUCGGCAACCUUCAAGCGGAAGCCUAUCGAGGGUGUCGGCCACGACCUGACUAACCGAACAAGACUCUAGUCCAGGUUUAUCGCCUAUUCGGGUUCCAUCCGCAAGGAGAUCCGGCCGGGGUUUCGCUCACGGCCCAAACGAUGUGUACAGGGUUCCCGAGCCCACCAUCCGGGUGCCACUCGGUACACCGGGCCACGUGUGCCUAGUCUGUCCCAAGUCCACCCUGCCGGGUGCCACUCAGUAGAAAAAUAGCACUACCUAUAAACACCAGAAACUAUUUGCAACUCCUGGACAAAGAUCAAGUUGGCUAAUAAGUCGAGAGGGGUCGAGUUACCGGAACCCAAUGUGUGGUAGUAGCUAGUCCUUGGACAACAUACACAGAACUUAGUUCUUAGGGACGGUUCCAGUGAGACAACCCACCAUGUACUCCUACAUGGCCUCUCACCGCUACCUUUACCAAAUUGUGUUCACACGCUUAACUCUCAACUUCAGAACAUAGCACUGUUCUCCAAUUCAUUCCCAAUGAAUCAGACCUGACAUACUCUAAGCAAUAGCAGGCAUGGCAUGGCAAGAACACAACAUGGCUCAAGCAACUCCUACACAUGCUAGUGGGUCUCUGUCCUCUCUAAUUCUUUCUGUUUUCUAAAUUCUGUCAUUUGUUUUGACUUAAUAAAAAUGCUAAACCAUUUUAUUUAAUUCUGUCAAAUUUUGCAGGGACCUAAGGAACUAAUCCAAAGCCCCUCACCAAAAUUCAGAAUUAUUGGACAAUAUUUUGUAUAUAUAAAAAUAUUUAUCUAACGCAAAUAAAUACUGGAUUAAUUCCAAAUGCCCAAAAUAAAUAAGCUCUUUAAAAUAUUGGUUUGAUUUUUAUCUCUGUCCAAUAUUUUCAUAGAGCAACAUGAGCAUUUUUUUGGACCCUUUUGGAGCAAUUUUUUACUUGGGUCAUUUUCAGAAAUGAUUCUGAGGGUUUCACAAAUCCCCAUUUCAAAUUUAAUUGGAAUUUAAACAUGAUGCAAACAUGAAGGGCUAGCCUAGGUCAUACCAGAACUACGGAUGUGACAUCCUUCGUCAUCACCAAACCCUUCUCCAUCACCAAUUCCAUGAUGCUCCCCACCGGGAGUGAGUAAUUCCUUCGUAGGCUCACUGGUCGGUGAGGAGUUGGAUGAGAUUCAUCAUGUAAUCAAGUUAGUUUUGUUAGGGCUUGAUCCCUAGUACCCACUAUGUUAUUAGAUUGAUGUUGCUAUGACUUUGCCAUGCUUAAUGCUUGUCACUUUGGGCCCAGGUGCCAUGAUUUCAGAUCUGAACCGUUUAUGUUAUCACCAUUAUAUCCAUGUUCUAGAUCCGAUCUUGCAAGUUAUAGUCACCUACUACAUGUUAUGAUCCGGCAACCCCUAAGUGACAAUAAUCGGGACCAGGUCCGGUGAUGACCGUAGUUUGAGGAGUUCAUGUAUUCACUAUGUGUUAAUGCUUUGUUCUGGUUCUCUAUUAAAAGGAGGCCUUAGUAUAUCUUAGUUUCCAAUAUGGACCCCGCUGCCACGGGAGGGUAGGACAAAAGAUGUCAUGCAAGUUCUUUCUAUAAGCAUGUAUGACUAUUUACGGAAUACAUGCCUACAUUAUAUUGACGAACUGGAGCUAGUGUCGUAUCGCCCUAGGUUAUAACUGUCUCAUGACGAAUAUCAUACAACAAGUCACCGAUCCAAUGCCUACGAAUUUAUCCUAUAUUGUUCUUGCUAAGUUACUACUGCUAUCAUCAUUGUUACACUUGCUACAAAAUUACUGCUAUCACUGUUACCGUUACUAUUACUGCUGUUACCAUUAUCAAAACUAUCAUAUUACUUUGGUACUGAUCACUUUGCUGCAGAUAAUUAAUCUCCAGAUGUGGUUGAAUUGACAACUCAGCUGCUAAUACCUUCAAUUAUUCUUUGGCUCCCCUUGUGUCGAAUCUAUAAAUUUGGGUUGAAUACUCUACCCUCGAAAACUGUUGUGAUCCCCUAUACUUGUGGGUUAUUAGUGGGACACUUCCCGACGAUUAUCGUAGUUUGAGGAGUUCAUGUAUUCACUAAGUGCUAAUGCUUUGGUCUGGUACUCUAUUAAAAGGAGGACUUAAUAUCCCUUAGUUUCCAAUAGGACCCCGCUGCUACGGGAGGGUAGGACAAAAGAUGUCGUGCAAGUUCUUUUCCAUAAGCACAUAUGACUAUAUUCGGAAUACAUGCCUACAUUAUAUUGAUGAAUUGGAGCUAGUUCUGUGUCACCCUAUGUUAUAACCGUUGCAUGAGGAAUUUCAUCCAACAUAAUUAUCCAUCAUUAAUCCAAUUCCUAUGAGUUCGUUUCAUAUUGAUCUUUGCACCAUUACUUUUCCGUUGCCACUGUUAUGAUUGCUAAAAACUGCUACUAUUACUUUUGCCACCGUUACCAUUACUUCCAUAUUACUUUGCUACUAAAUACUUUGCUGCAGAUAUUAAGUCUUUCAGGUGUGAUUGAAUUGACAACUCAGCUGCUAAUACUUGAGAAUAUUCUUUAUCUCCCCUUGUGUCGAAUCAAUAAAUUUGGGUUGAAUACUCUACCCUCGAAAACUGUUGUGACCCCCUAUACUUGUGGGUUAUCAUUCGUCCGAGGUUAAUUUUAUUUGAUUUUACCGCAUAUCUUAGAUCUAGGGUUUUACCUAUACUAGCGAGGAUGCGGUUUGCAGUUGUUCCUCGCAUCCGAAAUAUUUCAGAUCUAGGGUUUGUGUUAUUCCUCGCACGAAUGGAAUGCUUAGUACGUGAUACGUCUCCAACGUAUUUAUAAUUUAUGAAGUAUUCAUGCCAUGUUUACAACAAUUUUAUAUGGUUUUGGUAUGAUUUGCAUGGAACUAACGCAGACUGACGCUCUUUUCAGCAGAACUACCAUGGUGUUGUUUUUUGUGCAACAAUGAAAGCUCUCCAAAUGAGCAGAAACUUUUUGAUGAUUUUUUUUGGCACAAAAGAGACCACCAAAGCUUCAUGGAAGGACCAGAAGGUGAAGGAGUAGGGAACAAGACACCAAGGCGCGCCUGGGACCUUGUCCAUGCCCUGGUGGGUUGUGCUCACCUCGAGGCCCAUCUUCGUGUGAAACCGACACCAAAAAAUCCCAUAAAUAGAGAAACCAUCAGGGGUAACCCUAGAUCAGAAGUUUCGCUGCUGCAAGGCUCUGUAGAUCCUGUUCCGGCACCUUGCCGGAGGGGGGAAUCAUCACCGGUGGCCAUCUUCAUCAUCCCGGCGGCCACCACGGUUAGGAGGGAGUAGUCCACCCUCGGGGAUGAGGGUUUGUACCAGUAGCUAUGUGUUUAAUCUCUCUCUCUCUUUCUCCCUUGUGUUCUUGAGAUGGCACGAUCUUGAUGUAUCACGGGAUUUGUUAAUAUAGUUGAAUCAUAUGGCGUUUUCCCCUCUCUAUCUUAUUGUGAAUUGAGUUUUCCCUAUGAGAUUUCGUUUUAUCAGACUGAAUACUUUUAUGGAUUUGAGAGCACUUGAUGUAUGUCUUGCUAUGAAUACCCGUGGUGACAAUGGGGUAUCAUAUUGAUUCACUUCAUAUGUGUUUUGGCACUCAACUCGUGGAUUUCCGAGGUGACAUUGGGGUAAUCUAUGCAUAGGAGUUGAUGCACAUUCUCGUCUUUUGUUUCUCUGGUAGAAAUCUUGGGGCACUCUUUGAGGUUCUUUGUGUUGGAUUUAGUAUUAUGAAUCUGAAUUUGCUUUGGUAUUAUUUUAGUACUAACUCUUGAUAGAUCGAUCAGAAAGAAUAGCUACAAACAAUUUCUUCUUAUGUUCUCCGCUAGAUAGGAACUUUGGAGUGACCCUUCAUCGCACAUUGAGGGGUGGUUAUAUGAUCCAAUUAUAUUAGCAUUGUUGAGAGAUUACACUAGCAAAAUUAUGGACCCUAGGCCUCAUUUUCAAGCAUUGCAAUACUGUUUGUGCUCCAUUUUAUCAGUUGAUACCUUGCUGUUUUUUAUUGUUCUUAUUACAAAAACCAACAUCUACUAUCCAUACAAAUUACCAUUGUAUUUGGUGUGUUGGGGACAUAAGAGACUCUUUGUUAUUUGGUUGCAGGGUUGUUUGAGAGAGACCAUCUUCAUCCUAUGCCUCCCACGGAUUGACAAACCUUAGGUCAUCCACUUGAGGGAAAAUCGCUACUGUCCUACAAAACUCUACGCUUGGAGGCCCAACACGAGUCUACAAGAAUAAAGUUGUGUAGUAGACAUCAGUACGCUGACUAGUAUAUUCUUCGGACCUACUAGCUCGUCAUACACAUUUCUUUCAUUUGAAACAUAUCUCAAAGUCUCCACCUAAUUCUUACUCAAAAUGUUUUCAUUUGAAAAAAUAUUCGCUGUGAGCAUUUGUAACCUUGUUCCCAUUUUCCCUCGAAUCUAUUCUCAUUCGCAGGACUAUGCAAUAUGAAAGGAUCGAUAUAGUUGACUAGAGGGGGGGGGGUGAAUAGGCAACUGACAAUUUUUAGCUUUUCUUUACCAAUUUAAACUUUGCAUCAAAGUAGGUUGUCUAUCUCGGUAUCCUGGGAACGGGGGUCCCCAGACUUGCCUGCCUGCGGCCCAUGGCGUGGCUCCACCAGCGGCCCCGUACGGCCCGUCUUCAUCAGCGAACACUCAAGACCCUCGCAAGGGGCCAAGCCUCGCGAGGCGGAUGACACACGACCUCCUCGGGGUGGCCUCACCAAGCUGGCUCGCGAGUGGCGGAGAAAUCAAGGCGAGGGGCACAUCCCGAGGUCCCUGUGAUGCAAGCCUUGACGACCAAGGCCAGGCGGGCGCCAGCGCGCGUAGCGUACUCGUUUCCUCUUUGGUGCUAAAGAGGCAAGCGCAGGCGAGGAGUCCCGAGGCAUUAGGCAAAGGUUUCCAUAUUGGUGCAACAAGAUCAAGACUAGCAGGAUGGCAGGACAGAGGUCACCAUGGAGCCCAGGACGGCGUCACCUCCGGAGCCUUUGGCAGGCAAAGACCACCUUUUGUCAGGAUAACUUGUACUAGUUGUCUCCCUUCGAAUUUGGCCGUUGUUGGAUCCCUUCCCGCCUACAUUUGGGAAGAGGACUAGGGCCUCUAUAAAGAGGACUAGCCACCACAGUAGCUAGGGGGGAGACCAUUCUGAUCAUCCUCAACCACACAAGCUCUCCGAGCUCAAGGACGCCUUUCCUCAGGAGGUUGUUCUUCCCUUGUACUCGUUCAUCCUCAACCCAAGAGGAAAUCCACCAUACCACACUGGAGUAGGGUAUUACACCACAUCGGUGGCCCCAACCAUUAUAAACCCUGUGUCCUUUGUUCUGUGAGUUCGACGUGUUGAGCUUUGAGAUUGUGGUGAGAGCGUGAGCUAGGGGGAGGGGAGAUCUUCGUCCGCACCCCAGAGUUCGAACCUCAAAGGUUUUGCCGGAACCCGAAAUCCGACAUUUGGCACGCUAGGUAGGGGUGCGCCGAAGCCUCUCUUCCAUCAGCACACCCGCCAACGCUCUGUAGCGCCGAUGUCCGGCGACCCGAGGGCCAACGCCGACCACUGGGCAGCAUGGCCAGCCCGAGCGGCAUUGUCCGCCCAAGAGGACCUCCACUCCCCGCUCUAGGCGGCACGCGCACUGCCAAACGCCACAGGGCGCGGGCGAUGUGGUCCGAUGCCUUCCACCCUUACCACACGGCGCGUGCGGGCCGCCGCAAGGGCCUCAAGCUAUGCCGCGGCGACGGUGCCGGACACCCGACGGGAACAAGCGAACAUGAGGGCCGCGCUCACAGUGGCGCGGGAGCUGCUGCGGUGCCGACUGAUGGAGAGCGGCCGAGAUGCAUUGGUGGAGCACUUUGCUGAGUUGUUGGAUGCCGCAGCCAGGGGUACGCCGCCUUUCUGCUCCUUGCUUAUGCCUCAGGCUGCGGCCGGAUCGCACGGUGGGCCUCGUCGCGCCCACGCGCCCCUGGGCACACCAGGAGGUUUCGUCGGCACCGGCGCAACCAGCGGCGCCGGACACCCAACCACACUUGUGCCUCCCCCGAUGGGCGCAGGCAUAAGCAUUGCCACCCAGGGUCCCGGCAGGAUGCCUCCCUACCAUCCUCAGAGCGGCGUGCCGGGCCGGGCGACAUGGAGCGCAUGGCACUUCAGUGACGUUUCUGGGGCGACGGCUCCGGAGGUCUAUGUGCCCCGCAUGAUGGACCAGGAGUACACGUCAGAAGAUGACCCUGGCUCGUUCCUCGAGCCGGGAUGGGAAGAGGGGACGCUGGAAGUUGAGGCCUUCCAGGAGCCACCCGGGAGCCUCACCAACCAUGCCGACGAUAACAGCUACAUGGUACACUAAUCUCUCAGGAGCAGGCUUACGCUAACCAUGGGUCGCAAGUGAAUAUUGUCACAGCGGUGGAUGACGGCCCCAGCACGGCAGCCCCCCUUCCACCAGGGGAAGCGCAUUGGGGGCUGCGUGAGAGGAUCUAGGAGCAAGGCCCCUCCCCACAUCCCAUGGAGCAAGGCGUCGCCCGGAGGUAGGUCCUCUGCCGAGGAGGCACUGGUGAGCCUUCCCCCUAGCAGAGGGCCCGUGAUCGCCAAGGGUGCCGCUAGCAUCCCCUUUGCCCCUUGGCAUCGUCCUGGUUUCUGGACGCCCCAACGGUGGUUGAGGGCAGCGCAAGGCGGGGCCCUCACCUGGCGAUAUGGAGCAAGACUCACGCGUGUGAAGGUCUCCGCUCAUGACACUCUCAUGUAAUAAUGAGUGGGGCUGUACACACCCCAGAGUCUCCAGAGUGCCACCCUCGGGCCUCGGGGGCUCUCGCCGACAUCCUAGUGGAAGCACCAUGCUCCACACUGGCCUUCUACACUUUCCCCCAAUGACUAUGCUCACAGCCAGUGAAAGCACUUAGCUCCGCGCUGGUGGGAAGACAAGAAGACUAGCUAGGUGCCCGACGCGGCCAUUUGCUUUUGACCUCUUUUCUGCAACUCAAACUUGCAGCUUUUGAUCUUGAAUUUGAAGUUGUAUUUCCAUUAGCAAUCGUGGGGGGAAUCUUUUCUCGUUCGCGUUGAUUUCGUGAGUUUCUGGAUUCGUGUUCCGUUUGAUAUUUACGUCCGCUAUAUCCCCCCUUCCGAAAACCUUGCAAGCGGGGGCUCGCAUCGGCGUACACGCACUACGCGCGCACCUCGCCAUUACUGGCGCUCGCUCCUCGCAAGGCCCUCUCGGGUGGACCGGCGGACCCCUCAGGAAACCAAAACCCCGCGAGCUCAUGAGGGGCUCCUCAGAAGGAAUGCACAUCCGUAGCUGCCAAAUCAGUUUGAAGCUCAACUAAACCAAAGUAAGUUAUGACAGCAAGCCCGCAAGGGGUGUCGCGAGCACAUAAAAGCAUGCUUUAAGCCUAGCCUAGGGAAUAAAGUGGUAUUCUAUUUACAUGAGGGGAUCCCCCUCCCGAAAAUGCUCUUACAUUGUGAGGGGCCGUACCCAAGCUUUUGCGUGUAGGUUCAAAAUAAAGGAGCGCGGCCCCAGUCGGACAUAUCGCUCGCCUCGUCUACCGAAUCGCUUCUGGAUAGGCUGUUGGCGCCGUCGCUGUUGCUGUCUUCACCGCCAUCAACCAUGUCGCCCUCAUCCGCCGCAACCACCACCAUGUCGUCAUCAAAAGCAAAGGCCCCAACUAGAGCAUCCACAUUGUCGUCCACCCAGUGCGCUAGGUUGUCCCGGAUGGCCUCAGGCACUGGGGCAAUGGAGUCAAAAAUCAAAGUCAGGAUUAGUGUUCAGGAGAUGGAUGAAGACACGGGAGAAUGCGCGCCCGGGGAGGCCCCGACUCUUUUCGUCCACAAGCUCGCGAGCCCUCUCAGCUUGGUUUUCUAGGCGCGUCACGAUGUCGUCGAAGAAGUGAAGAUGGCUGGCGUAGUCCUCGGCGUGUGGGUGGGGAGCGUGCUCAUGGCAGAUGGUACCAGGCGCCUGAUUGGCCCUCGUCCUGAGGUCCCAAAGCAUGGGAACAUGCUCACGCAGUAGCGUCUGCCGGCAAAGCACCUCCUCCCUGCUUUGUUGUGCGAAGGACUCGACGCUGGCAACUCGCUGCUGAAGAGAGAGCAGCUCGGCACGGGCGGAGGCCAGCUCAGCCUGCACUGAGAUCAGGGCGGCUACGACGACUUUCUCGUGUUGUUCCGCCUCAGCUAGCCCUUACUUGAGGGUAGCGGUCCUGCCCACAGCUUCGGCUUCCAUAAGCUUCAGCUUCAGGUUGUACCUGCUAGCAAGAUCUGCAUGAGCCUCGGCCACCUUGCGGUCGACCUCCUCCUAGGCCCUGGGCUCACGCGCACCGACAACAUCCUCUGCUUGGGCGACUUGGCGUUCCCUCGUCUCCAACCACUCAAGCUCGAGGCUGCGCUUCGAGGCCUUCAGUAAUAGUGCUUCCUCGCGCUUCGAGAUCUGCUCCUUGUCAGAUGGUGCGCCCUUCAUCAACGCCAAGGCAACUCUGCGCCUCCACCUGCUGCUCCAGGGAGGCGUUCAAGGCCUGGAGCUCCCGCCUGCGCUCCUCGGCGGCCGCGCGGCGGUUGUCCGCUUCCCUGGCCUCCUCCAAGGCCCGGGCGCUGGCCUCCCGCGAGGUUCCCAGGGAUGCCUGGGCUUUCGCAUUGGCAUGCUCACGCUGGAGGCCCCCGAGGUUGAUAGCCACCUUCAGUUGAUGGCACUCCUCCGCCAGCCGGAGACCCUCAGCUUCAAGGCGAGUGUCAAUGUCCACGCGUUCUCCACCGAGUCGGCUCAGUGCGCCCAUUGCCUCUUGAAAGUGCUUAUGGCGGACGACACCCUGCUCGCGCGCAAACUUGAGCACGCGACCAGGUCCACCCCCCACAACAGGGGUUGCCGAAGGGAUCCGAAGCGGCUCGCUCCCUCCCAGCAGGGGGCGGGAGGCCGGCGCUUCCCCAGUCGCCGGCUGGGCCUCGGCGGGGGCCCGGAUGGGUGAGGGCCCGUUGCUCGAAGAAGAAGCCAGGAUCGAGGUCAUCCAGCCGCCGUCCACGACUAGGGGUGGAGUCAUUGGCACAACCCCCUCCCCCCCCCCGCACCCGGACCGGGCUGCAAAUGAAGGGCAGCAGGAGCGCAGGAUCAAGGCGCCAGGCCGUCACGCCCAUCUCCCCCGCCGAUCUUGCGCCGGGCGUGCCGGGCUGGCGCGAGACACUCAGAGUCAACGGAGGGCCCGAGGUAGGAGGAGGUUGCUCUUCUGGAGAUUUCAUCACCCUAGCGAAAGGGGGCUUGAUAAACCACAAUCAGAAGAGAAGAUGUCACCUAAGAAAUUACAAAGAUAAGGUACUCACUCGUCCAUGGCGAUAUACUUCCUCUGCUUCAAUGGCCGGAAGGCAUCACCGCUAUAGCUUGGAGACCCCUUCCUCUUGUGGAGCACAUCAAAGUCCAGUCGAAGCCGACCGAAGCCCUGGAUGUGGCCACCAACAUUGGGCACGGCUGGUGAGGCUCCUGAGGGGACGACCUCGGGAGUGCUGGGCCGAGGGGAGCCCUCGGGCUCCGCCUCAGGGUGACCUGUCGGUGCCUCGGGAGCUUUGGCCACAGGAGCAGUGGAUCGUGUCGCCCCCUCAACUGCCACCUCAGGGCGAAGAUCCCCGGGGAUGGCGCCUCGGGAGCCUCGAGCGGAGUCGACACCGUAACAGCCGCGUCUCCAGCCCUCGAUAGUGCUCGACCCCCCGCACCCACUCUCGGGGCGAGCUCGGCAUUGGCGGCAAGGAGGGGAGACACGUAGACAGGGUUCUUGUGAAUCCCUGCAAGGCCGGCUGGACGCAGCCCCCACUUGCCGAAGGGGGGCAUCUGCCUCACGAACUCCACCCUGUUCGAGCAGCAUUAAAAAAGACAACCCUCAUGUGGCAAGUCGGCCGGCGAAGGAUCGCCCGUCAGGACCUCGAGCACCGUUCGUCGCGCCCCAGGGGGAAGCCCUGACUCAUGGAGCCUCAUACGAUCCUUGCUACCGGACAAUGCCCACAUCGGUCGAGAAUGGUGCUGGAGUGGAGCAAUGCGGUGUUGGAGGAACUCCUUCAUCACCAUGGGCACGGUCACGCCAAGAUGUUUCAGCCUCUUCAACCGGAGCCAGAUGAAGGCAAGGCAAGGGUCAGCAAGCCUCUCGUGGGCCCAGCCGAAGCUGGGGAUGGCCGGUGCAAAAGGGGGCGAGAGCAGGGGCUGAGCACGCCAACAUCCACAAAUAUCCACCUUGUCCGAAACCCACUCAUAGAUGGUGGGAGCUCAAAGUCAAUCCCCGAGCCGGCCGUCACAGCCACGGCCUGGAAGCUCAGGCAUCCCGAGCAUUGCCGAGGAUCAAUCAGGUGCAGCGACAAGAAAUGGCGCAGUGGGGCCACGAAAGGAGCAAUGCCGACAGUGGCCUCGCAGACGAAGACGAAAACGACAAGAAGGGAGACAGAUUGGGGAUCUAGGUGCAUGAUGUCAACUACACAACCUUCUUCUUGUAGACGUUGUUGGGCCUCCAAGUGCAGAGGUUUGUAGGACAGUAGCAAAUUUCCCUCAAGUGGAUGACCUAAGGUUUAUCAAUCCGUGGGAGGCGUAGGAUGAAGAUGGUCUCUCUCAAACAACCCUGCAACCAAAUAGCAAAGAGUCUCUUGUGUCCCCAACACACCCAAUACAAUGGUAAAUUGUACAGGUGCACUAGUUUGGCGAAGAGAUGGCGAUACAAGUGCAAUAUGGAUGGUAGUUAUACGUUUUUGUAAUCUGAAAAUAUAAAAACAGCACGUUAGAAGGUAGUAAAAGUGAGCGUAAACCGUAUUGCAAUGCUAGGAAACAAGGCCUAGGGUUCAUACUUUCACUAGUGCAAGUUGUCUCAACAAUAAUAACAUAAUUGGAUCAUAUAACUAUCCCUCGACAUGCAACAAAGAGUCACUCCAAAGUCACUAAUUGCAGAGAGCAAACGAAGAGAUUAUUGUACGGUAUGAAACCACCUCAAAGUUAUCCUUUCUGAUCGAUCUAUUCAAGAGUCCGUAGUAAAAUAACACGAAGCUAUUCUUUCCGUUCAAUCUAUCCUAGAGUUCGUACUAGAAUAACACCUUAAGACACAAAUCAACCAAAACCCUAAUGACACCUAGAUACUCCAAUGUCACCUCAAGUAUCCGUGGGUAUGAUUAUACGAUAUGUAUCACACAAUCUCAGAUUCAUCUAUUCAACCAACACAAAGAACUUCAAAGAGUGCCCCAAAGUUUAUACCGGAGAGUCAAGACGAAAACAUGUGCCAACCCCUAUGCAUAAGUUCACGAGGUCAGAAAACUCACAAGUUGAUCACCAAAACAUACAUCAAGUGGAUCACAUGAAUAUCCCAUUGUCACCACAGAUAAGCAGAUGCAAGACAUACAUCAAGUGUUCUCAAAUCCUUAAAGACUCAAUCCGAUAAGAUAACGUCAAAGGGAAAACUCAAUCCAUUACAAGAGAGUAGAGGGGGUGAAACAUCAUAAGAUCCAACUAUAAUAGCAAAGCUCACGAUACACCAAGAUUGUGCCGAAUCAAAAACACGAGAGAGAGAGAUCAAACACAUAGGUACUGGUACACACCCUCAGCCCCGAGGGUGAACUACUCCCUCCUCGUCAUGGAGAGCGCCGGGAUGAUGAAGAUGGCCACCAGAGAGGGAUUCCCCCCUCCGGCAGGGUGCCAGAACUGGUCUAGAUUUGUCUUUUGUGGAUAGAGAGGCUUGCGGCAGCGGAACUCCCGAUCUAGAUUUCUUUCUGGAAGCACUACGAAAAAGACACAUUCGUGACAUUCUGGGCCGAACGCAAUUUUUUUCUGUCAUACAUAUGAUGAUAAUUGUGACAAAACGCGGUAUCAUCAUAGAUGUGGUGGGCUCCAACUUCUAUGACAAAAAAUCAUGACAGAAAAUGGGCUUUUCGUCCUGGGCGGGCCGGAGACGCAGCUACAUGACAUUCUUUGGGCCGUCCAUGACAGAAAAAACCAUGGUAGAAGCGAGGGGGGGGGGGAUUUCGGGGAGUUCCCGGUUACGGUGGGAGGUUGGGGGCCAUGUGAUGCACGUUUCUCUCGUACACGUACGCGCGUGUGUGCGAGGCGUUGGCUCUAACUGAACCCGAGCGAGGCGUUGGGCUCUAACUGAACCCGAGCGAUUGCACUGCAGGCUACGUGUUACUGAACCCGAGCGAUCGAUCGAUGGCUGUUAACUGAACCCGAUCGAGCGAUUCCUUCGCUACUGCUGCUAACAGAAGCCGAUCGAUGCUGCUACUGGGAUGAACAGUGAGCGUUGCCGGGGGUUUGGAUGAACAGUGAGCGGUGGCGUUACCUCUGGAUGAACAGGACCCCGUGGUGUGGUGGAGGGCUGGAUGAAUAGUAGACGAUGGAGGGGUGCCCGUGGAGGGGUGGUUGAACAGUAGCCGGUGGAGUAGCACAUAGUCGAGGCUGGAUGAAUAGGAGCCCGUGGAGGCUGGAGGAGGUCGACGGUAGCCCGUGGAGGCUGGAGGUGGUCGACGGUGGAGAUGAACAGUAUCCCGUGGAGUCCUGUUUUGCGGUACGCCACACCCCUCCUGUCGGUGUCAAAACCGGCGGAUCUUGGGUAGGGGGUCCCGAACUAUGCGUCAGGGCCGGAUGGUAACAGGAGACAAGGGACACGAUGUUCUUUACCCAGGUCCGGGCCCUCUCGACGGAGGUAAUACCCUACUCCUGCUUGAUUAAUAUUGAUGAUAUGGGUAGUACAAGAGUAGAUCUACCACGAGAUCAGAGAGGCUAAACCCUAGAAGCUAGCCUAUGGUAUGAUUGUUGUAUAUAUUGUCUAUCUAUCGACUAGCCUGGCCUCGGUUUAUAUAAUGCACCGGAGGCCUAGGAUAUAAAGAGUCCUAGCCGAAUACGCCGGUGGGGAGAAGUCCUUGUCUUGAUCGCCAAGUCUUGUGGAAUCUUCCUUGUAUGCGGUAGCCGUCCUAACUGGCCCAUGAGUAUACGGCCACGGGGGUCCUCGGCCCAAUCUAAUAGAUCGGGAGACGACAUGGUGAGUACCCCCUAGUCCAGGACACCGUCAGUAGCCCCCUGAACCGGUCUUCAAGUUAGGGACGCUCCUCGAUUCUUCCGAACUGUUCUUCAUCUUCGGUUGCCGGUCUUGAAAACUGGUUCAACAAAUCUUCUUUAUCUUCGAUCUUGAGGAUCGCCGAAAUGCAUUCGACGAGUUUACACGUCGGGUAUCCGAGGAGCCCCUUUAAGUUUCCGGCCUUUAUCAAUGCCUUGUUUAUUUUUAUGCCACACCUCGGGUUUGUAGUUGUUCCCAGGAGGCAGGGUCCUCUUACGUCCGAGCUCCAACGCCGGACUGCAUUCGAGGUAUCUUUUGCAGCCGAGCACCAAUGCCGGACCACUUCCCAGCUCUAGCACCGGAAUGUAUCCGAGCUCCAACGCCGGACUAUGUAUCCGAGCUCCAACGCCGAAAUAUAUCCGAGCUCCAACACCGGACUAUGUCCAGGCUCCAAUGCCGGACUAUAUCCGAGGUGUCAUAUCACCUUGGUUCAAAAAAGUUGAAGGAGUUUAGCCGAGCUUAAUGCCGGAAAUGAACUCUAUGGAGCCAGCCACUAGCGCCCGAGCUUUAUGCCAGACUGCUUCCGAGGUGGUGCACCACCCCGACUAUGGGCCGGUUUUUUGUCAAUAUUUUUUAUUGGUGCAAUUUAUUCUCUGCCGAGAUACAUAGCCAGUAGCCCUCAAGGUGUGUAUCGGUCUAAAACCCGAGAUGCACAUGAAGGAUGACAUAAGACCGCUGAUCCCAGUAGCCGCUGAGACUCAGGUUGAUUUGCAAAAUCGGCCUGAGGAUCAAGUCCUAGCUCGGCAGAAUACUUCGGGACACAAAAGCGGUGUGCUCCGUCCUCAAGACUCAGGUUGGGUGCGGCCGACCAACCUGAGGAUCAAAAUCUCCUCGGAAACUAUAUUGCACAUAAAAUUUUCUGCAUUGGACAAGCAAUGCAGUAGCCCCCGAGACACUGGUCGGGUGGCAACACCAGAUCAGGGGAUCGAUGUGCCCCUUUAAUAUUUGUAAAUAAUAAGCCCGAAGCCCAGUAGCCCCCGAGCCUUAAUGCGGGCACGGGUGGCCGAAUUAAGGAUCAAUAUCCAUAGUAAAAUCACAAAUUAUGUGUAAUGACUCUAUGUAUCCAAGUACCUUACGUCAUUAAUGCCCGGAUCCGCAUUGUACAAAACUUUGUUGACUGACCAUCGGCUUCCACCUCCUUGGCCAGUAGCCGAGGAGUGUUUGUCCUACUUUAUAAAGCCUUUAUGAGGGCAAAGAUUUACGACAAACAAGGCAAUCUGGCCACACGGUUUUAUAAACAAAGGUACGCAGAGAGAUAUGUUAUAUUACUGUUUAACAGAAGAAAUGCAUUCCAAAGAAAAUAGUUCCGCUAUCGGUUCCUUUCUUUGGGUUGUCAUGCUAAGCAUGAUCAUGAAACCUCAGCUCGAAUGUAAGAGCAAAAUAUCGAGGAUUUAAUUUGGGAGGCCAGUUAAUAGCCCCCGGUAGUGUUCGGCGACAGUCGAGGUCAAGCCGUAAACACUUCGGCCAAUGUUAUGAAUGGCCCGUCAUAGUCAUCGGAUCGCUGACCAGUUUACGCUUAUUGUGACAGUCAGUUUUCUGCUUUCUCCACUAAGGUGCUUAACCAUGUGAGCUGGAAGCACAAUCAAAGUGGUUCUCCCUUUGCACGCCUAGCCUUACAAAAUGGAACGUAGGUAGCAAGUGCAGGAGCCGGGCAACCCAACUAUUGACCGAAGACACAAUUCGAAACCGAUGCAUUUGUAGCAAUAUCUGAGAAUGUUUUUGCCGAAUCCCUAAAGGUGUCCGGUGUUGCACUGCGAGACUAAUGCUGGAAAAGCACAAAUAGUUUAAAAGUGCCAAAAAGCUUGGAAAACCAAGAAACGUCAGUAAAAACAUGACGACCAAACAAGAUCAAGUGUUUGGUGCCAAUCUGAAAAUUGGUCUUUGAAAAAAGAAGUGCUUCUGUCGUCCUUUAACAUGACACAUCCUAUCUCAAGACUUCGAGCGGGUGAGCCUACGGCUUCAACCUCCUAUCCCAAGGGCGGAGUACUUCUCAUUAGGCCAGUUUAGCAAGCUAAACUCUAGCGGCUUUGAGAGAGAAAUUAGGCUCCCCGGCUAGUGAACGCACACUCGCAUCGAAAAAAGGAGUGAUAAAUAAUAAUAAUAGAACUUUGCAACGACUGAGAAGAAGAACACUUAUUAUAAAACGGCUCAAAUAAACUUAAGAGCCCCCAAGUGACUUGGGUAGAAGAAUGAUUGCAUGUACCGAAGUACUUAUAUCAUAUCUAUGUUCAACCGAACUUUAAACGCGUCUUAACUGACCGUAGGCUUCUCCCUCCUUGGUUAAGGACCGAAAAGUGUUAUGUACUCCAUCGGUCGAGAAUAUCGACGGUGUUUCCAAUAACCAGGCAAUCAGGCCAUAAGGCUGUAACAAACAAAGCGCGCUCAGGGAACUUAUGCUAUAUUACUGCGAAGAGUAAGAAGCAUCUUCGAAGAAAAUAGUACCCCCACCGAUACCUUUCUUUGGUGCUCAUUGUUAUUAUGAGACUUGUGCAAUAGAUUUUUUGUACUCAUGAGUUCCGUUGUGUGCCGACCAUCAUUGAAUAACUAUAAGAGCGCUAGCUUUCGGCUUCACCCAGUCUGAGGUCCGGCUCGGGUGACCCGAUCGUGACAAUCGCAGAGGUGCUCCCUUUACUCCCUAGCCGAACAAUCGGGAACGUAGGGGUAAACACAGGAGCAAGGCAACCCACCUUGCAAAUCGCUUAAGUCAAUGUGGUGCAUAUUGUGGCGUAAUACACGAACAAGGAACGAAGCCGUACAAGUAUAAUCAUAUGCAACAGGAAAAGCUUCAUAAAGGAAGCCCCCAAGUAAACGGGGUAUUUGAAUUUAUGCGUCACAAACAAAGUUUGGACAAGUAAAUUUUUUUAGAAGCAACUUUUUUCCAAAAAAGUAUAAUGCUUGGUCGAACCGAACGCAAGUUAGAAAUUAAAGCUUUGAGCAUGAAAGCGACUUAGCUGGUUAAUGUGUUCGGUAUUGGUGACGCAGUCCGAGCUUGAUGCGGGGCAAGGUUCCAUCCCUCAAGCCGGUCCCGAGGUGGCGGAGCGGAGAGCUUGACAUGCCGAAGUGGUCACAUAGCACGAUCAAUGCAGACCGGCAGAGUGACGCCGAAGUCCCCGGAUCAUUUCCCUGUGCACAAAAAAUAGUACAAACAGGAGAUAAUUGUAAUAAUGAUAAUUAAAAAAAUCGUUGCAUAAUAAAUAAUUUAUGCAAAGUGAGUAAUAAAAGAAAUAUGGCCUGGCGCCGAAGUCAAGUCGAUGCAGGGCGUCGGCGUGAUGCGGUAAAGGCGUGCCAAAGCCUGAAUUCAUAGGUCGGUCCGAUCUCCGAGUGUGGCAUUCACCGGACUAUGUACGGAAACUGAUCGAACCACCAUGCGACUGUCGUUAAUGCAGCCACCAUUUGAUAGACCUGUGUACAUAUGACGAACAAACCAGAGUAAUAAUUCCUUGGGAAAAAUGAACCCAAACAAGCAAAAAAUACUGGGAUUAAUAGCAUCUGGUUUAUUUAUUGUAGCAAUCCGAAGGAAGGUGAUUCCUAAAAUUGGGACCCGCUCCGCACACCCAUUGCCUGAUGGGCGAUAAAAGGAUGGCAUGGCAAUGCUGGUAAAGGUUGACUCGCCGAGGCAAAGCCCUCGGCCCAGCUAACGUGACGGAGCUGGUCGGCUAGUGACGCCGAAGUGUCCGGAGUAGGUUGAUGAAGAGAUGGCGAAGCCCCCGGUCCAGCCGAGAUGUCGAAGCCUCGAUGUCAGCCGAUGAGUCGAAGUAGGUCGGCGUGAUGGACACCAGCUUGAAGAAGCAAUAGUGCUGCCCUGUCGAUGCAGGUCGUGACGUCGUCGAUGCCGGCUUGAUGAAGCGACCAUGCGGCGAUGCCGGUAUGCCCACUCUGUGUAAUCUGUGGGGCGGCGAUGUUGGUGAUGAUUUAUCCUUCGCGAUGCCGGGCUUUUGUUCGGCUUGCCAAGAUGAUGAUCCGAAGAAGUUGAGCUCGGCUCAACAAAGUGACGCUGUGUCUAGCGCAGGUCGGCAGCCGUGGAGUAAUAUUGCCGGACUGGUUUGACACCAGCAUGAUGUUGAAGAUCAUGUUCAAAAGAUCUUACUGUUAGUGGGAUGUGUUCGGGAACAAAACACAAUACCCCAUACAAAACUUCCUUCAAAAGGGAUGUCCGAAAUCCUGUUCAUAAAAAAGAUGAACUCGGGUCGGAUUCGUUUUCGCGCAGAAAACAUAUCCGAAAAGUGAUGCACUAAUCGGAAGGUUCCCGGAGUUUGGACAGUCAGAUUGAGCCGAAAUUUUGAGAGGUGGUAGAUAUAGGAAUUCCGCAGCCGAUCAACGGUUGGAUCUUCCAAAGGAAGUCCGAGCUAGAAGCUGGACACCACGCCCUAAACUCAUCCAAAUUCCCGUCCAGAUUUGACAGGGCUCCGGUAUAUCGUGGAUUGCCAGAGAUUCCUCCAUCGGAACUCGACGAAAUUUUCUAGGGUUGUUGUAGACUCAAUUCCACACAAUUCCACCAAAGCGAUCGUCGAAGCGAUACUUGAGGAGGUGGUGGUGGCAGAUACGAGUUCGCUGUCCAGAAAAAUAGCUCAGUCGCUUGUGGGCAAUGUUGACGUUGAGCCCCCGAGCUCCAUAGAUGAUUCCUCCGUGAUCUUGAUAGAGAUCGGAGUUGAUGUUUGAUGAAGGUCCUCGUACGGACAUGGUGAUCCGAACACGGGGCGCAAUUCUUGGUCGAACCAAGGUGACCAGUCGAGCUGGUGACGAAGAUGCCAAAGUCGCAGUUGAUCUGCAGGCGAGCCAUCGAUCCUUUUGUCGAUCACACAGCGGAACUCUCAAUGAAAGCACCAAUGUCGGUGUCAAAACCGGCGGAUCUCGGGUAGGGGGUCCCGAACUGUGCGUCAAGGCCGGAUGGUAAUAGGAGACAAGGGACACGAUGUUUUUUACCCAGGUUCGGGCCCUCUCGACGGAGGUAAUACCCUACUCCUGCUUGAUUAAUAUUGAUGAUAUGGGUAGUACAAGAGUAGAUCUACCACGAGAUCAGAGAGACUAAACCCUAGAAGCUAGCCUAUGGUAUGAUUGUUGUAUAUUUUGUCUAUCUAUCGACUAGUCUGGCCUCGGUUUAUAUAAUGCACCGGAGGCCUAGGAUAACAAGAGUCCUAGCCGAAUACGCCGGUGGGGAGAAGUCCUUGUCUUGAUCGCCAAGUCUUAUGGAAUCUUCCUUGUAUGCGGUAGCCGUACGAACUGGCCCAUGAGUAUACAGCCACGGGGGUCCUCGACCCAAUCUAAUAGAUCGGGAGACGACGUGGUGAGUACCCCCUAGUCUAGGACACCGUCACCUCCGGAUGAACACGACCCCCGUUUCGACCGUAGCUCUCCAACAACAGUCUGUUUCGUUCGUUUUGCGGUACGCCACACCCCUCCCGUUCAACAGGACCCCCGUUUUGACCGUAGGAGGUCUGAUUCGUCCGUUUUGCGAUACGCUAGACCCCUCCCGAUGAACAGGAUCCCGUUUCGAACAUGGCCAGUCGAACACAAGGCCGUUUCCUCCGUUGUGCGGUAUGAUAGGCCUCGUUUCCAUCGCCUGUUCUGUCCAAGCCCUCCCGAUGAACACAACCACGCAUUCUGUUCCGACCCAGCUGGUUGGCUCCCAUGCGUUCCAUUGCCUCCCGAUGAACACGACGCAUUCCGUUGCCUCCCCAUGAACACGACACAUUCCGUUGCCUCUCCAUGAACACGAGGACGACGUUGUUUCUCCGUUCCGACCCAGCCAUGUACACGAGCCCUGGCCGUACGUAUGCGCGAGUAGGCGUUCGAGACCCCACCCGUAUGUACACAUAUGUGGCCGUAUUUUCUUUCUUGCACCCUGGCCGAUGUACGUAUGUGUACAUGCUACGUGCGCGCCUCUACUACGACACGUACGUGCCUCUACUACAACACUUUCACGCAUCUACAUCCACCCGUAUAUAUGUACGUGCACGUUCGCGACCAGAAUGACAACGCUACGUACGCUUCGACCAGGUGAGUCCCGACUGUCAGGCACUUCCUUGUCUGGUGGGUCCUAGCAGUCAGGGGGGCAAAUCAUUUUUUUUUCCCGGACGCACUCCCUUGUGUGCGAAGAUGUAGCUGGUGGGUCCCAGCAGUCAGGUGAGCGAAUCAUUUUUUUUGCCCGGACGCACUUCCUUGCGUGCGAAGAUGUAGCUGGUGGGUCCCAGCAGUCAGGGGGAAAUGUUUUUUUCGUGAAAUACGAUGGCCCGUCCGGUGGGUCCCCGCUGUCAGGUGGAGGAAUUAUUAUUUUGCGUGUAAUAAGGAGGCACUUCCUUGCUGCGGCUGUGGACCCAGCUGUCAGCCUCUCCAUGUACAGUCCACGUCCAAUGGAAGUCGUUCCUUGACCACGUUGACCACGCCGCGCCGAGAGCACCACGGCGAUGGACGAUGGCGAAGACUAGGAAGGGGACGACUCGGAGCCGGGGAAGACGCAACAGUGGAUGCCCACGUGAAGAGGAGUAUGAGGGUUCGCUGGUUCGGCUGCGGUGUGAGGCUGCUGUCGCCGCAGAAUAACAUGGGGUGUGGGUGAGUAGAGGGAUGGCCUAGCCAGCGGUGGGAGUAGUAGGGGGCGGUGAGGCCUUUGCGGCAUGACAGCCGGCCAUGAGAGACAGGAGCACGCGGCACGACCAACACUGGUUUGGGAGGCUGGAGCAAGAAGACCAGAGGUUGAAGAAGCACUACGGCUGGUGGAUGAACAUCGUAUGGUAAUAGGAGCUAGAAUCGUUCAUAUUGACUAAGUUGACAAAGCCCUCCGUCCCCGUCAACUUGGUAGGCCCACAAGUCAGCCUACCACUAUGUUGGGUUCCAACUGGCAGGGGAAAUAUUCAUUUUUUUGUGCGUAAUAAGGAGGCACUUCCUUGUGUGCAAAGAUAGCUGGUGGGUCCAACAUGUCAGUGGGGGCACGUUAUUUUCACAAAAUACAGAGGCCCUUCUGGUGGGUCCCAGAUGUGAGGUGGAGGAAUCAUUAUUUUGCGCGUAAUAAGGAGGCAUUUCCUUAUAUGCGGCCAUGGACCCAACUGUCAGCCUCUCCACGCACAGUCUACUUCCGAUGGUGUCGUUCGUUGACCAUGUUGACCACGCCACGCCAAGCACAUCCAAGGUGGUGGACGACGGCGAGGCCUCGGACAACAACGAGCCGGAGAUCGGAAGACGCGGAGUAGAGUCGCGGACGGAGAGGUGUACGAGGGUUAACUGGUUCUAGUGCGGUGUGGUUCGGCAGUCGGUGGAGAAGAACAUGAGGUGUGGAGGGGUGGAGGGAUGGCCUGGCCAACGGUGGAGUAGCGCUUCAUAGCGAAGCGUGCUAAGCAGAGCUGCUAGCAGCAGGAGGCGGGAGGUGGUCCCGGCGGUGCUAGAGGAAGAAGACGAGAGAUUGAAGAUGGAUGCCGGUCGUUGGAUGUAAAUCCAACGUCUAACAUGUCAGAAUCAUUUGUUGACAAAAUUGACAAUGACUUGCGUUGGCUUGGACCUAUUAGCCCACAUUUGAGCCUCCAAAAAAGUGGCACGUAUUCAACCCAUUUUUGCAGAAUUACAGUCUUUUUUUGCGCGGUAGAAUUUACAGUCAAUUUUAUCUUUUUUUGAAUUACAGCCAUUAGCUGGGCUGGGUGAACAAAUAAUGUAGCGUCCAUGCGGCUCAUUUAUUUUAUUUCCUAAAAAAUUACAGGCCAUUUGCACUUUCUCGAAAUACACGAUUUUGCUGGGCUGAUUCUAAUUAUAAUGUUGGGUUGGGCCAGCAAUGUUAUCAAAAAAUAAAAAGGGGCUGAGCAUUUUGUUAUAAAUAUAUUUAAAUAGUAAGUAAUAAUAAGUGAUAUUAUUACAUUCGUCCUUAAAUCUUACCAAGCGUUUGUACACAAUCACUAGGAUUUUCGUGCCAAAACAAUCCAGGAUUUUAUUUGUUAAGAAAUUAGUUUUAUAAGUUAAUAAGAUGUGGGAUAUUGUUUUCUUACAUAUGUAAGUAUCUGUUAAAUAUAUGAUGACAAUAAAAAUAAUAUAUAAAAUAAUUUUUUUAGAAAAACAGGGAGCAUCUCCCUGGUUCCAUUGCUGAGAACGAAACCACAACAUAUUCUGAUACAGCAGCUCAAAGAGCAGUUCAAAAGCAAAGGUAGAAAAGCUACAAACUAGCGGGGGUGGAUGAACAAGUUCUCUGAACAACACAAAUCACCCGAGCAGUGCCAAAGGCAGAGCGGAUAGAGCACUCAAAUGACACAAUUAGGGUCUAGCGAAGCCUUCAUGCUCUUCAGCCGAGGGGUCGUGUCAGCCUGCGGCGACCAGUAAGCAAGCGAAGACACCAGGCUGGAAGGCGUAGCAUGGUGGAUUUCCCUCUUUUUCGGCGCCAGGUGCCCAUCAUCUUCAUCAGAGAUCUUGAGACGAGCCCACGGGUCCAGCCCCAGAGUAGGUCGAGCCUUGUUCAUCCACAAGUGAUCGCCAAUGGUUUCUGGAGGGAUCUUGUUAGGGUUUCCAUGAAGCUCAUCAACUUGUCCUUGUCCGACCCAGAGGAGAGAAUCACCCAGUUCCUCACCAUGUUCCUGAUCAACCUCAAGACCCGCGGAAUGGAAAUCCAGGAGGUGUUACUAAAAAUCAUAGCAUUUCUAUAUUUCCAGAGGCACCAACGGACAGCUGAGCUAACAGUAUUUAAAACUAAGCACUUUUUGGUAGCAAUCCAGAAUCUGGCAACAGAUUCGAAGGAUGAGCCAAUCUGACUAGAGAAAUAUUCCUCAAUGUGGGCCCAGAGAUGUUUAGCAACUAUACAUUCAAAAAAUAGGUGAGAACAAGACUCUUGUUCCAAUCAGUAAACACAAUCAAGGGGUUUGAUGAUGUGUCUCUUCCUAAGGUUAUCCCUAGUCAUCAAUUUGUUUUUGGAGAGAAGCCAGAGAAAUACAUGAAUUUUAGGGAGAACUCUCAAUUUCCAGACAGCAGGGAUAAACAUGGGUUGAACCCCUCUAAAGUUGAUAACAUGAUAGAGGGAGCUGGAGGAAUACUUCCCCUUAUUGUCCAGCUGCCAAAUCACGGCAUCUGGCUCGGCAGUAAAGGUAAUGCUUUUGGCAAUUUCCUCCAACUGGAACCAUUGUUCCAUGAGACUAUCACUAAAGUUCCUUCUAAAAGAAAGUUUUAGGCAUUGACCGCCCCAAACUUCAUUGACACUUUUGUUAAGCUCAUUACAGACAGAGUAAAUAGGCCAAAAUUGGACUGCUAGGGGGGAUGUGCCAAACCAUGUAUCUUCCCAGAACCUGGUUCUCCUCCCAUCCCCUAUGUUCCACCUAUAGCCAAAUUUCACAACAUGCAUAAUAGAUUUUAAUCCUUUCCAGAAUCUAGAGGUCUUAGGGUUGGAGGAAGGGACAAAAAUAUUAGGUUUAUUUCCUAGGUAUUUAUGGGAAAUAAGAAGCUUCCAGGGUUUCAGGUCUUCCUCAUAGAAUCUUUUAAUCCAAGACCCUAGAAGACAGAUGUUAAUUUCUUGGAGGUUAGGUAUGCCUAGGCCUCCAAAAUCUUUUUUCAUAGAGACUAGGGACCAAUUAGCAAGGUGUAGCUUCCUAUUUCCCUAAAAAUCAUUCCACAAGCAAUGAGACAUCUGAGAAUUGAUGAGGUUCACUGCCCAUUUAGGGAACUUGAAGAAGGAGAGGAGAUACACUGGAAUGCUAGCCAAACAAGCUUGUAUGAGGAUCAAUCUACCUAUGUAAGAGAGAAGUUUUCCCCUCCACCUAGCAAUCCUUUUAAAUAUUUUAUCCAGAAGGGGUUGGAUAUCCUCUCUCCUCAGUUUAUCAUAGUGGAGAGGGAUACCUAGGUACUUAAUGGGGAAGUUACCUUUAUUACAGACUAGAAUAGAGAGGAAGUCAGCUAACUCCUGAUCAUCCAUGUUGAUAGGGAUGAGUUCACUUUUAGAGUAGUUGAUUCUCAUGCCUGAGACUUGUUCAAAACAGGUUAGAACAUUUUUCAGAUUGCUAGAAUGUGUGGAGUCAUUGUCUAAGAAAAGGAUGGUAUCAUCCGCAUAUUGAAGGCAUAUGAUGCCACCAAGGCAGACCUCAGGACAGAGCCCUGCAAUCAGACUAUGAUCAGCAGCUUUGCUGAGCAUUUUAGUAAGAACGUCCACUACUAAAUUAAACAAAAGCGAGGAGAUGGGGUCACCUUGCCUAAGGCCUUUACCAGCAAGGAAAAAAUCACUUUCAUAGUUAUUUAAGUUAACCCCAACAGACCCCCCAUGAGUAAGUUGCUGGAUCCAACUAGUCCAUUUACCCCCAAAACCUCUAAGCUCCAGGAGUUUCAUAAGGAAACCAAGGUCAACUUUAUCGAAGGCAGUCUAAACUAGAAGUACCAUCUAGAGAAAAAUUCUCACAAACAGAGCCUUCAGAUCUGUUUUGGUGAGGGUAAAUAAAGGAAGAUCAUUCAAUGCCAUCAUUAAGAGAAGUAACAUCUACAUGAAUCUUAGCAGCAAUGGCAUUGAAGGAAGGAUCAUUAAAGUUGGAGAAGUAAGUGUGUUUCAUACCCUGGGGUUUUUGCACUUCCAGGUUCUGAACCUCUUUGAGUUGUUGCGCCUUUUCAAUAAUGGUUCUCUUGUCACCAGCUACCGUGGCACUGGUUCUGGUGGCUUGAACAGGACCUCAUUUGGGAAGGUGCUUCUCCUUAGGAAGGGUAGGGAAGUCAGAGUUGUAUUUUGAGUCCAAAUUGUUUGGGUGUUCAGUUGUUUUAACAAGUGCCUCUUGAUCCUCUUGUAGAUCUAUAGAACCUUCUAAUUCCAUCAGAUCAUCAUCGUCCAGGAGCUCCAUUUCCCUGAGGAGGUUGAAUCCAUCAGUUUCAUCAAGCACAGAAUUCAAGAUCUUUUCCAGGAUGCUGAGUUGAGGAGUGUAUGGAGAAUCAGGGAGGUGUGUCUUGAGGACUUAAGUGGGUGUAGUUUCUCCAAGCAUCUGAUUGUGGCCAAAAGAUUGUCCUCUGAUAUUAGGGGCCCCAGAAUUGGCAGCAGACCCUUUAUCUGAUUCAGAUCUAGAGCUCCUGUUGGAUUCAGCAUCUUCCGUAAGAUUGGCACCAGUUUCAGCUGCAGAGACAUAUGUACCAGCAGAGAGGUUGGUGGAGGUGCUAGUUUCAGUGGGGGUUAAGGACUCCACCUCAAUGAGUAUCCUGUAGAUUUUGUUCCCAACUCCAAAAAGCCUUUCAGCAGGGAUUUUGGAGGGAUCUUUACAUAAGAUUUUGACCCUAACAGUUUCAUAGAAUGACUUGAAAUUAUGUUGCCAAUCCACAUCCAGUAAGACCCCCAGAGUGGAAGUGAUUUGAUAUAGCAUAGUCCAGUCACACCACUUGGGGUUCAAUUUCCUGAUCUUGAUCCAAGUUUCCUAGAGGUCCUCUUCAGCCUCAAUCCUGCCUUUCUAGACUUCAAGAAUGACUACAACAUUGUAUUUUUUGAGACCAAAACAGGGGUAUCCAGCAACUUGAACUACAUCUAUUUCAGGAGGGAAUGUGACCAAGAAUGUCCACUCAUCUAGGGCAUUGAUUGGCCAGGGCUAGUUGGUUUUGUAAAUGUCUGCAAACUUAGUGGCAAGUUCCUGCUUGGUCACUUCACCAUCUUCUACCAGAACAAUCCCCACAUUCUUCAGGGAGCCAUCAUACUGAGCAUUUUCAUCAGGUGGGUCUAUGUGGUAGAACCCUAAUCCUAGAGCAGCACUUCCAACAUACUAGCAGAACUGUGGGUUUUCCUUCUGUCAGGGCAAUUCUCAACUUUAUGGGUAACCAUUUUGCAGAUAAAACAACUCUUGGGCUUGACACAUUUAUCCAAAUGAUGCCCUGGUUCCCCACAGUUGUAGCAGAUCACCUCAGAGUAUGCCAUAAGGCCCGAAGCAGGGGCAUGAGCAGUUUUCUAGAUGUCCUGUCUCUUCUUUUGUUGAUUCUUGCCUUGAGAUUUCCCACUGAUCUGAGAGUCAGAACCACCAGCAGAUUGAUCUUGGACAAUUACAGGAGCCUGCCCAGAUUGUGCCCCCAUUUGGGGCGGAGGUGGGCCAUACCACUGCCCAACCGACGCCCCCCCCCAUUGUGAUAGGGGAAAUUCAUCGGAGUUCCUGGUUCCUUCUCAUCCUCCAGCCGGAUGUUGUCUCUCAGGAAGCAGAAAUAACCACCAGACAGCUCAAUUGAAGCAGAUUGCAAGCCUAAUUUCAAUCUUUUGCAGGUUUGGGGGAGAGGUAAGGUAGGGGAUCCACCUGCUCCGGCUCCGGGUGGUGUGCUGGUGGGCAUUAGUCCAGUCAAGCAUUCCCAUCUUGCAGCAUGGCGUGGAUCUCCUGAAUUCACUUCUCCUUUCUCCCAUCGAACGAACGCAAUCGGCGGCUCCCUGGGGUGGGGCAUCCUGUGCUUCUCCGAGAAAUCUCCUUCGAAGUAGAUCCGCAGGGCUAGAUUCAGCGGCUCCCAAUCCACAUGAUCCUUGCACAUCCGAGCAUACCUGCGCCAGUGAGAGAACAGAUUCGGUCCCUCCUCGGCUUCCUCCCUCGCAGCUUCCUCCUCUGCUUCCCUCCAUUUGUGCAUGCACUGGGUCUAGGAGAGAGCAUCGUCACAGAUCCGCAUCGCUCGCUCCCUCCAUCUCCUCCCUCGAGUCUCCCGCAGCACCACCGGCGCGAUGGAGUUGAAUAGCUGGAGCAUCCGCGGGAAGGCUUUGUAGACAUGUUGGAGAUGCAUCUUGUACAUCUGCAUGUCUUCCAGCCAUUCCCCCAUGGAUAUGGCCGGCGACUCCAUGGGGCACGCGAGCGGACUUGCUGAUGGGGGAAGGCGCUCCCAGAGUCAGGAGGCGGGGGGUGGCGGCAAGAUCUAUGGCGGCGGCGAGGGUGGAGGUAGUGGCGGGGGCAGCGGCGAGGGUGGAGGUGGUGGCGGGGGUGGGGGCGAAGGGGAUCACGNNNNNNNNNNNNNNNNNNNNNNNNNNNNNNNNNNNNNNNNNNNNNNNNNNNNNNNNNNNNNNNNNNNNNNNNNNNNNNNNNNNNNNNNNNNNNNNNNNNNNNNNNNNNNNNNNNNNNNNNNNNNNNNNNNNNNNNNNNNNNNNNNNNNNNNNNNNNNNNNNNNNNNNNNNNNNNNNNNNNNNNNNNNNNNNNNNNNNNNNNNNNNNNNNNNNNNNNNNNNNNNNNNNNNNNNNNNNNNNNNNNNNNNNNNNNNNNNNNNNNNNNNNNNNNNNNNNNNNNNNNNNNNNNNNNNNNNNNNNNNNUCUAUUUGCCAAUUAUGUGAACUAAACAGUCAACAUAUAAAAUAAUUUAAAUAUAUAUAAUAAAGUCAGAAGGGAAACAUAAGUUGGACCUGGCGUUCCUAUUCUUAUAUAGAAAAAUAGAACAGACCUCUGCGUUUUCUUCAAAAAAAUACAUAAAUUGGGCUGCCAAAAAUAAAACCUCGGAUGGAGGUCCAUAGGCCGGUCGAUACAUGACGGCCCUAAGAAAAUAGAAACAGGCCUAUGGACCUCCCAUCCGAGGUCGUGGGCUGCGCAUGUUAAAAAUGAAAGCCUAGACGGGGCAGCCCGAAACCACGUCCAACACUUGCUAAAACUUCGUCCAUCGUUUUCUUUGUGUUUCGCACACACGAGAUUGUGUGGGCAUUUUGACUGUGCAUAAUAUGAAGAUGUGCUAUGCAUGAAUGUUGAUUAGCAUGAUGUUAACUGGCUGGUAGUUUCAUUUUCGACCAUGAAUAAAACUUCCAACAUGAUGUUAACCCUGUUUGAAAAGGCCGUGUUAAUAUAAAUGCUCUACCUCUGAAAGUUGCAGUUUCUUAUCUGAAACUGAACUUGCAGUUUCUUAUCUGAAACUGAAACUUGCAGUUUAUUCUCUAAGAAUAACAUUGUGUGCACUUUUAUACUCCUAUGAAACUACAUUUUUUAAGUGCUAAAAAUAGAUAUCUAGAAUUCAUAAAAUACUUCAUAUGCUCAAUACUACAAAUCUGAAAUUCAAAAGACAUUCAUAUCUGAAAGUACUCUCAAAAUACACAACAUAAAACACAAUUCACAACCUGCAAAUACUGACAACCCUAAGCUCCUCCUGACAAUUCACAACCUGCCCGACUAUUGGGCUGGGGGGCAGCCCUCCUAUUCCUCGGCGGCAGACAGCCGCCCCGUGAGAUGAUGUGAACGGCGAGGGAGACGAUGGCGGGGAAGCAUCGUUGAGCCAACUGCUUUUCUCCUCUUGCAGUUGGGUUCGGUCGACGAAGACUCCAUCGGCUCGCUCUGGCAGGACACCCUCACAAACGGCACCAUGUAGAUGCUCGACCCUUCAAUCUCUGGUGGAUGCUCCAUCUGGGAUCGAUACUCCCACCUCCGCUCCCUCAUGAUCGGAUUCAGUGAAUCUGUUUGCUCCAUGGCCUAGAGGAGCAGCUCUAUGUACUCCGGCGUGACUCCCUCCAGGAGUAUCGCCGCCUUUUCGCUCUGUUGCAGAUAUUUGGCCAUGGAUGUCGCCGUCGCCGCUAGUUGGUCCUUGUUGUCAAACCAAGACUAUAUCUCCAACAUCCUAGCUAGCUUCACAGGGUCGUCGUCUGCGAUCCUCACGUAUCGGCUGUACUCCUCCAUCGAUCUACUUCUCCACAGCACCUUCACUCGCUGGUGGUGGUUUUUGAAUGGAAGAGGAGAGGAGCAGCGCUGGUUUUGGUUUAGAAUGGGAGAGGAGCGACGCUGGUUUUGGACUGGAACAGGAGAGGAGGGGCGGUGGUUUUGAAAUGGAAGAGGAGAGGAGUGGCGUUGCAUUUAGAUUGGAACAGGAGAGGAGCGGCGGUGGUUUAAGAGGAGAAGAGCAGAUGAGCGGCGCUGGUCUUGAAAGUAUUUUUUUGUUGUUUUGUGUAUUUUGGGUCAAAGUUUGACCACGUACUGUAUUUCACAAGCAAAAUGUGAAUACAUGUCACAAAAAAUUGUAUCAUUUGGUUCAUAUCUGAAUAUACUUUCAAAUUAUAUUAUUUUUGCAACGUAUAACAUAUAUUUUAUGUGCGAAAAUCAUGGUCAAUUAUGACCCAGAAUAAAAGGGAGACUAGUUAAUGUGGGGUCGCUUUCUUAAUUAAAGGGUAAAUUGAUUUUGAUUUUGAUCCAGUCACAGCACGCCGGCCCUCUCGUCCAAUCCUAAAUUGAUGCCGCACGCUCCUCUCCCUCUUCUCCAUGGCAAAACCACCUCCUCUCCCUCCAUCAUCUCCAUUCCAAAACCACCGUCUCGACUCUCCCUCUUCUGAUCUUCCCCAUUGCAAAACCACCUCCUCUCCUCUCCAUCAUCUCCAUUCCAAAACCACCAUCUCACCUCUCCCUCUUCUCUAUUGCAAGACCACCGUCUCUCCUCCGUUUUCUAGACGCUUUGCUCCAUGGCGCGGGUGCAAUCCAUGGAUACAAAAUUAGUAUAUUGUAUACUAUUUAAAAGUCGACGGCGGGGCUUUUCCUGCGCAGUAGGCGACGGGGCAGUUCUGCCUAGUCGGUUCGACAGAGACGCGAGAAGACGAGGGAGUAGGCUGCUGCAAAUGUAGGGCUGUGUGAUUUGACAGCGAGUUACUGCUGGAUAGGUGGGGCCCCGUGAUUUGACUUGCCAUUAUCAUUUUAACUGCGGCGCUACGACCGGUGUGGGUCUCCCGAUUCCUGACCACCUCCAUACAGGUGCCUCUCCCAAUGCUCCACCAUGUAGUAGAGGCUGGCUCUUGCAUGAGAGCCCACUUCUCCACUUUUUCCUUGCCUCUCUUUCCUCCACAUAUGCAAAAAUGCCAUGUAAAGCGCACUAUUGUACUUACUUUUACUUGCUCCUACAGGUGCAUAAGCUUGCCACAUAGGCAUAAAGUCUGAUGUGGCAAGUUAAUCAAGAAGAGAGAGACUAGUUUGGUGACCCAAGGAAGAAACGGUGCUAAGCGCGUGUACCUAGGUGAAAAGACAAAUUUUAAGUCUAUAGCUAAUUAAAUGAAGCAAACUUAGCAACACCAUUUCAUUGGAAGAGGUCACUCCUUGGCAAAUGCAAUAAAUACUAGUACUCCCUGUGUCCCAUAAUAUAAGAACGUUUUUGGCACUACACUAGUGUCAAAAACAUUCUUAUAUUAUGGGACGGAGGGAGUACGAAGAAAUAGAUUGAGAGGAGUAAAAAAAUACACUUAUAGCCAACCUUAUAGCCAACAUUGUUGUAGUAUGAGUGACUAAGUGAUGACUAUGUAUGACAUGCCAACAUCAGAUAACCUAACGCAUCGUGUUAAAUCUCCAAGGGCGCAACCGCGCGAGCGACGCGACGGUCGUGGUAGGCGUGACCAUGAUACGGGCUGCUGGCAGCCCUUGGAUCUGAGAUCAAACGGUCGCAUGCUAAGUUGCUGAAAAUUUGCAGAAUAACCCUCCAGGAUAGGAUAUUCACCCAUAGGUCUAGAAUCACGCCAUGCAACCAUUCAAUCUCAGAUCCAAGGGCUCUCAGAAGCCCGUAUCAUGGGAGAAUGGAAAGCCACUACCCUGCCGUUCGCACGCUGGCAGUUCACUCCUACUCGUCCCUGCACGUCCUUCAAUACUAUGAUGGUUCGCUCCUAGUCGUCCCGUCCAUUCACAUUACGGCAGUUCCACUAAUCCUAACCCUCCUCCCAAAUCCAUGGCGUCCCAAAUCUCCACGAUCGGCGGUGAGUACAAGGUUAGAACCAUCACCGGCGAUGAGUUCGACGUCAUCUACACCCGUUCUUCCGCGACGGUGAAAGGAUGCCUUUCUCACUUCAAACGCAUGUUCGAAAACUCAGAUGAUGAGUGGGUCGCUGGGCUAGAUGUUGAGUACACCACAGUCCUAGGACCAGAGAAGGAUCUAAAGGACAAAGCGAGGAAGAAGCCCGCCGUGCUCCAGGUUUGCAUACAUAACGUUUGCUUGGUCUACCACAUAUGCCAUGCCGACGUUGAGUGCCAGGAUUUUAAGAACUUCCUCAAGGACAAAACAGUGAAAUUCGUUACUCUAGACUUUAAGAAUGACAGGGAUGUCCUGCAUCGGAUAGGUAUCGUUGUAGGCAACCCCUUCGACCUCUAGAAGAAUCGGCUGGUGUCCUCUCGUCAGCCUUCAAUGCUGACCCUGGCAGGAGCCAUGGUUCAUCCUUCAUACGGUAAACUAGAGAAACCUUCAUACACGUUUCAUCGUCAUGCAUGGCAGCGAAAUGUACUAGAUAUAGACCACAUCCACUAUGCUGCAAUGGAUGGCUACCUUUGCUUCAAUAUCUACAAGGGUUGGAUGAAGAGCAACAACCAAGUGUGCGGUUCAAGCAAAGACGACUCCUUCUGCUUAUUGAGGUGCUUAUUGAGCUGAUUGGGCAUGGCGUCGAGGGAUAACGACUCCAGCUCCGCCGACUCGGUAUGUUCGCCUCCGCGGCUAGGGCGCUCCUGGGAGCCAUCGCCUGCCCGUGUGAGAUCUUUUCAGGUCUCUGCGUGGCGGCAAGCCCUCUUUUUUUCGCAGCCUUGGUUGCCGCUCCCUUGUUACGAGUAGUUCUCGACCUAGAGCUCUCCUCACCGGCCAUGGCAACGAUGGACAAAGAAGAAGCACUUAUGAGGAGGAAAGGUAGAGUAAUUUUCGGUUAGGUAGUUCCCCUUUUUAUAACCUAAGUACUAGCACUAGUACUAAUACCUGCAUAGUGGGAACACGUUCAGGUUUGGUAUGUACUAGUAGGUGUGAGCAGGCUUUCGAAUGUGAUUGGAACAAGGUAAAGAUUAAUUGAUGGUUUUGGUUUCGAGGCCCGAAACGGCUCCCGAUGAGUUUAGCGGAACAUAAAUUUCAAGUACUACACUGCUCAAAUGCGUAAAUAUUAUGUUACUGUCAAAAAUUGGCACAAAAUACGAAGGAGACCAAUGGAAGUACUACUAGCAACCCAUGAUUUAACUACUUGCAUGCGCGCAGUGGAGUAAUAAUGCCUUUCUUCCGCCCCCACGUCCACUCAAUUUGCAUGCGCUAUAUUAAUUGACCAUCAAUGAAGUGAACAACUUUACACGCGUCAAAUUAUCACAUGGGGUGGAUCUUGGUACAAAAUUGAGUCCGCCCGUGUACCCCCGUGUGCGUGCGAGGGAAUGAGUGCGUGCGUGGCGUGCGUGCACAUCUUCGCUUCGUGCAUGUACCACUGGUAUGGCUCAAGGAGGACGAGUACAUUCUUCUAGAACUAGCAUCACGUCACUGUGAUCAAUCCACGCAAGGAGGUCACGACAAUGCCUCCACAUGUGCCACGUGGCUUCAUGAACUGUAAGGCAGACACUGUGUAGCGUGCCAUUGGUAUUCUAAUUUACGUGUUUUGCACAUACUCGAAGUACUAGUAUGGUACACGUGCAUUGCACGCAUCAGAUUUUGCAACCAAAUUAUGAAUAAAUACCACACUAUAGCAUGUAAGCUCUGAGUCAUAUAUGCCUGAUGUAGCCCUUCAUUUAAUUCUUAUAGUUCAUCUCAUUCAAAAUCAAUUAGUUUUUAUAAAAAAGCUAAGAAUGCGGGAAUAGGAAAAACAUGGGAUUAUAGUGGAAUGUCGUCUUGAAUCCUAAAGGAUUGUACGGGUGUUUGAUUGUGCAUAGAAAAAAUGCAGAAUUCUUUCAAAGAGGUUUGAGUGGAUGGGAUGUUUCCUACGAAAUCUAGUGCAAAUGAAUCAUAUGGAAAAAUUCCUAUGGUUUACAAUCCUACGAACCAAACAACCAAGAUAGGAAAAAUUCCUAAUGAUUAGAAUCCUCCAAAAUUCCUUUGAGAAUCCUUUGAAUCAAAGAAGCCCUUAAUCUAUUUUAUGAUUCAUGGAAUUGUGCGUUGUAAAGCAUAAAGUAAAAACAAAUAAUGGUAAUUCAACUAGAAAAAAAAGUUUGGGCAGUUAUGGUACGGAAGAUUCUAGAACAAAAGAGAACCACUGUUGUUUUGAGGUUUGUGCAUUAUGAUUAAAGUUCAACCAUGGAGUCUGCUAGAUUGUACAUGUGGCAAAAUCCGGUGGGGGGCUAGAAGAUGGUGCGAGGGGCCGAGUGGAGGGAGACUAUGAAGGAAUGCACAAGUGCGAGAUCGAUAUUUAGAGAGAGGGGGCGAACACGUGCGCUGUUGCACGCAGUGGCGGAGCCAUGAAAAAUAAAUGAGCUAGGGGGGCAAGCAUUGCUAAUCCUUUACGACGAGGGUCAAUUCAUGAACUUCAACCAUUUUGGCAGCAAUUGUCUAAUGAUCACAUUCUUAUUAGCCUCGAUAUAUAGUGAUGUUAGGGGUGUCACAUCCCUAGUUAUGGAAUGACCUAGGCUAGCCUUCAUGUGUGCAUCAUGUUUAAAUUCCAUUUAAAUUUGAAAUGGGGAUUGGUGAAACCCUCAGAAUCAUUUCUGGAAAUAACCCAGAUAAAAAUUGCUCCAAAAGGGUCCAAAAAAUGUUCAUGUUGCUCUCUGAAAAUAUUGGUCAGAGUUAAAAUUCAAACCAAUAUUUUUAGGAGCUCAUAAAUAUUUAUUUUGGCCAUUUGGAAUUAAUCCAGUAAUUAUUUGCGUUGGAUAAAUAUUUUAUUAUAUAUAAAAUAUUGUCCAAUAAUUCUGAAUUUUGGUGAGGGGCUUUGGAGUGGUCCAACUAGUCCCUACUAAAAUUUACAGAAUAAAAUAAAAUGAUUUGGUAUUUUUAUCAAAUCAAAACAAAUGUCAAAAAAUAGAAAACAAAAACAAAAUAGGAAAAAAGGAGGAACUACCUGGACUUACCUGGGCCACUUGCUGGCCUGGCACUAUGCAGCCAACCGGCCCAGCUGUGCGGCCCAGCUCGCCUCCUCCUCUGUCUUCUUCCUUGCGCCUACUGGCAGAGGCGUGUGGCCGCUGUGCAUGCGCGCACGCGCUCGCCAGCUCCUGCUGGAGACGGCCACGAGCGCCAUGACACCCCCCUAACCGCCCCUCUCUCUGGACCCCUCCUUCUCCUCUGUCCCCUCUCUCUCCCGCGACUGACCACGAGCACCUGAGAGCGCCGACGAUCACCACCGUGGCCCUCGUCCACCCCUCGCCUCUUUGAUGCUUCUAGAAGAACCGCCGCGCCUUCCUCUUCGUCUCCACCAACCCACGUGACGCCGGAAGCCCCAUAGCACCGUCCCCGCCGGAGAUCGGCUUCGCCGUUCUGCCCGCCCCGGACCACCCCCGAGCCGCUGACCUCUUCAACGUGAUCGCUGUGAGCUUCCGCGCCGAACCCAUCUCUUCUCCCUCGCAUUCGCGAGCUCCAGGACGCAUCUCCGCCAUGGCCGAGAGCUCGGCUCCGCCGUGCAUGUCACCGCCGUCGUUCUAGCCACCGCCGCUCGCGUCUGAACCUAUAAACGCACUCAGCGCGUUCCCAGGAACCCGUAGCACUCGCGGGUUCGCCCUACCAUGCCCCGCAGCCCAUUUUUGCCCGGAGCCGAACUCCGGCCGCCGCCUCGAGCCCCGCUCCGGCGAGCUCCGGUGCCCCCGCAACCUCCCACCAGCUCCCCUGGAUGCGAACGACGAUGGGCUACGCCCCGGUGGUCUUCGCGCGUCCAGACGCCGCUCGUAGCGCAAUUCUGGCGAGUCGCCGCCACCGGCCAGAACUCCGGAGGGCUGACGUGGCAUCGUAGUUAGGCACUAACUACCCCCCCUAGAGACACUGACAGUGGGCCCCAGAGCCACUAAUCUAAAUUAGAUUAGGAAUAACCCCUCUGUUAACUAACUGAGUCACUGACGUGUGGACCCCACACGUCUGGUUCGACCCGGUCAGCCACGUUGACUCGCUGACGUAGUGAUGACGUCAUGCUGACGCAGUUAUUCUUUUUCUGGAAUUAUUUUUAAACAGGAAAUUUCAGAAAAUGUUCAAAACUUCAAAAAUUCAUAGAAAUUCAACCGUAGCUCAGAUUGAAAUAAUUUAUAAAUGAAAAAUGAUUAUAAAAAUUCAAUCUAUCCAUCUGUACCAUUUCCAUGCAUGACAAACCAACCUAUACAUGUUGUAUAUCUACAAACACACUUAUGGCAUAUUUAAGAGCUUAAUAUGGAGUUUGCAUAUGAACCCUUGGUCCAUAUGGACUUCAACCAAAUAACCGCUAGAUGCAUUAACUCAAACAAUAUCACAUAUUCAUGCCAUGAUCAUGCAUCAUAUUGUUGCAUAUACUUGUGUUUGAUUUUCGACACCGUUCCUUCUCGAUAGGUUCUGCUCCGGAGAUCGAUCUAGAGUACCUGUCAGAGGAGCAGUGCCCCCCCUGUUGAUCUACCAGGCAAGCAACCCCCCCUUGUUCAUUCCGAUAAAAUCCUACUCUCUUGCUCCUGCUCUCAUUUAUUGCAUUAGGACAACAAUGAUUCAACUGCUACUUUAUGCUACGGUAGUUGAACCCAUUCCUCUGCAUGACCUGUCAUUGCCACAGUUAAUAGUUAAAACCCACUAGCACGUGUAGGAGUUGUUUGAGCCAUGUUGUGUUCCUACCAUGCCAUGCCUGCUAUUGCUUAGAGUUGUGUCAGGUCUGAUUCAUCAGGAAUGAAUUGGAAUGUUAUGAUAUGUUCUGGUAAAGAGAGUUAAGCGUGUGAACACGAUUUGGUAAAGGUAGCGGUGAGAGGCCAUGUAGGAGUACAUGGUGGGUUGUCUCAUUGGGACCGUCCUUAAGAACUGAGUUCUGUGUAAGUUGUCCAAUGACUAGCUACUAUCACACAUUGGGCUCCGGGCGCUCCAAGCUCUCUCGACUUAUUAACCGCCUUGAACUCUGUCCAGGAGUUGCAAAUAGUUUCUGGUGUUUGUAGGUAGUGCUAUUUUUCUACCGAGUGGCACCCGACAGGGUGGACUUGGGACAGACUAGGCACACGUGGCCCGGUGUACCGAGUGGCACCCGGAUGGUGGGCUCGGGAACCCUAUACACAUCAUUUGGGGUCAUGAGCGAAACCUCGGCCGGAUCUCCUUGCGGAUGGAACCCAAAUAGGUGAUAAACCUAGACUAGAGUCUUGUGUGGUUAGUCAGGUCGUGGCCGACACCCUCGCCAGGCUUCCGCUUGAAGGUUGCUGAUAUAAAUGACGGGUAUAUGGUGAUAAGUGGUGAGAGCGCGUGUGAUGAAGUACACCCCUACAGGGUUAUCAUGAUCUAUUCGAAUAGCCGUGUCCUCGAUUAUGGACUUCUUGGAUGCUUACGUGGUACAUAGACAACCUGAAGUGGAUACUCUAAAAUGCUCAAGAUAAGUGUGAGUGCUAUGGAUGGCCUUCUCGUAGGAGAGACGGGGAUGAAUCCAUAGUAGUGUAUUGAUGUGGUGAUUAGUGGACUCGUGUGCACUGCCUCACCUCAAAGAAGUUUCUCAUUGUCGUAGAACAGGAUAGCCACUGAGUCAAAGCUGGCUUGCUGCAACUAAACCCCACAUUACCUUCUUGAUACAAAUGCAUGUAUGAUAGGAUCUGAUGUAAGUAUUGCUGAGUACCUUUGUACUCAUGUUUGCUUUAUUUAUGUUUUGCAGGUGAGACAUCUGUCUCACUAGUAGUACCGCUUGGACUUCGACGAGUAGCUUGUUACCUCAGCUACGAUCUUGUACCUUGGAGGGACUUGUAGAUAGUCAGGCUUCUCGGCCUGUUUCUUUUGUAGCUGUCUGUACUCAGACAUGUAAUGCUUCCGUUGCUUGUAUGCUCUAAAUGAUGGGUCAUGUGUCCCCUGUUUGUAUUUAUGCUAUGUGGCUCUUCUGAGCCUUUAUCUAUAUGAAUUGCGUUAUGUUGUGAUGCCAUGUUGUACAUCACAUACUUGCAUGUUAUGCAUACGUGUGACGUGUAUUGCUAUGUGUGGGCUCCGACAAUCUGGUUGUUUGUCCAUGGCAGCCUCUCUUAUGGGGAAAUGUAGUCUAGUGCUUCCUUGAGCCAUAGUAGUCCGCUACAGCCCGGUUCACCGGAGUCCUGCUAGCCCAGCACUACUUCUCAGAACACUUGACUGGCCGGCAUGUGUUCCACUUCGUUCCUAUGUCUGUCCCUUCGGGGAAAUGUCACGCGGUGAUUUCCGAAGUCCUGUUAGCCAGUGCUACAGCCUGGACUCAUACGCUAUUGACCGACAUGCUCGAUGUGAUUCAUGUAUGCCUGUCUCCAUAGGUCUGUGCCUCUUUGGGCUCACGACUAGCCAUGUCGGCCCGGGUUCUCUGUCAUAUGGAUGCUAGCGACUCUAUCAUAUACGUGAGCCAAAAGGCGCAAACGGUCCCGGGCCACGGUAAGGCGACACCAUGGGAUACCGUGCGUGAGGCCGCAAAGUGAUAUGAGGUGUUACCGGCUAGAUCGAUGCGACUUGGAAUCGGGGUCCCGACAGCUUUGGUAUCAGAGCCUGACUGCCUGUAGGAUUUCCAAGCCAACCUGGUCAAAGUUGAGUCUAGAAAUUCUUUAGUUAUGUAAGGGAAUUGAUUGUGGAAGGGAACGUAAGGCUCUUUUUACUCCUUAUACCUCAUGCCCUUCUGUUCUGAGUCAUCCUAUCUUUUCUACGGGGUUAAGGAACUAGGCUUCCUCCUCUAUCUAUCAGGAUCACGUGUUACUACUCCGUAGUCUCUCAGGAUUGGUUGAUCAGAGUCAUAUCCCAGUUCGAGUACCUCCGGUGUAGUCUGUUUAGUAAUAUCUCAGAACCUUGAGUGAUGAUGUUGAGUAUGGUGCUACUCCGUUUUUUGCAGAAUGUCUCAUUUCGAGCAUUUUACUGCCGUUAUGCUGCCGGAAUUGUCCUAGGAGUUCAAGCGGUAGUAUUUUUCCUCGUACUAUAUUCUACAUCCUUAUCAUGAUGCUGAAUCCAUACUUGUUUCCUUGGUUGGUUCUUCAGGAUGUCGUCAGUUAACCGAAGUUCUGUUGCUCGUAGCCGGAACCACGGAGAUGGUAGGGAUGAGGAUCCUCCCGACCAGUCUUCGUUGAUAGAGUUCAUGUUAGAGAUGGAGAGGAACAAGCAUGAGUCUAACCGCUUGUUAGCACGUAUCUAGGAGAACACCGCACCCCAGUGCAAAGAGUCAGCGACUAUCUAUGAUUUCAUUGGUCUGAAACCACCUACCUUCCAUCAUUCCAUUGAACCACUCGAUGCAGAUGACUGGCUCCGUAGUAUCACACACAAGCUGCGUUCAGUGAACGUAGCUGAAAGUAACAAGGUCACCUAUGCUGCAUAUCACCUGGAAGGUCCUGCUAGUAUUUGGUGGCAGAACUAUGAGGCUAUGCUUCCAGCUGGCCAGAAAACCACCUGGAGAGAUUUCACUGAGGCUUUUCGCGAGCAUCACAUUCCUCAAGCCCUUAUUGACUGCAAGAGAGAAGAGUUCUGUAGUUUCACACAGGGUAAGAUGGCUGUUGAUGCUUACAGUAGAGACUUUGAGAACCUUGCCCGCUAUGCUACAGAAGAAGUGUCCACGGACGCCAAGAAGCAGGCUAGAUUCCGGAAGGGUCUCAACCCCAAGUUGCGUCGUGAUCUCCACUUGCAUCAUUGCAAUACCUUCCAGGCUCUUGUGAACAAGGCCAUUAAUGCGGAGACAGCUCAGCUCACUUACGAGGAGUCUCGUAAGCACACCCGUGAUUUGGGUUCCUCUUCCGGUUCUACUUUGCAGAAGCGCCGGAUUUGGGUUCCGAACUCCGCUCUUCCACCCGGUUAUACACCAAGGCCAUCUUGUGUGGCACCUCACCCAGUUCAGCAGUAUGCUCCACCCAGGCCUAUUGGUAGACCGCUUGUCAAAGCGGGUCCACGUCCUACUUCAGGGACUUGUUUCACAUGCGGAGAGCCAGGACACUAUGCACGUGACUGCUCUCAAACCAACUAUGCUCCACCCCAGCCUGAGAAGUCUGUUGGUCGUGGUAAGCCAUCACGCAAGAUGAUUAGUGUCAAGUCAGCUCCCACUGAACAUGGAUGUGUGCAUCACAUCUCAGCUAAAGACACUGAUGAUGAUCCAGAUGUCGUUAUUGGUACCCUCCUUGUCAAUUGCCAUCCAGCUUCGGUUCUGUUCGAUACCGGAGCAUCUCACUCCUUCAUUUCUGAAGGCUAUGCUCCUUUGCACGACAUGUCAUUUUGCGAUAUGCCAACUCCACUUGAAAUCCAAACUCCAGGGUCUAGAUGGCAGACUACUAGAAUAAGCCAUGGUAAUGAAAUCCUUGUUGACAGACUUGUAUUCCUUGCAUCACUUAUAGCCCUCAAGUCUACAGAUAUUAACAUCAUCUUGGGAUAUGGACUGGAUGAAAGCUCAUUAUGCCAAGAUUGAUUGUUACACUAGGUCUGUUCAGCUUACACACCCAUCUGGCAAGAUAGUCACCGUCUCCACUAGGGUUGCAAAGCGUCAGCUAUAUUCUCUUAAUGCCAACCCUCUUCCUGACCUUGAAGAUAUCCCGGUAGUCCGUGACUUUCUGGAUGUUUUUCCAAAGGAACUACUAGGUAUUCCACCUGACAGAGAUGUAGCAUUUGUCAUACAUCUUAUCACAGGAACCGCUCCAAUCUCUAGGAGACCUUACAAGAUGGCACCCUUAGAACUAGCUGAGCUUAAGAAACAACUUGAUGAAUCCUUGCAAAAGGGUUUCAUCCGUCCUAGUUCUUCUCCCUGGGCUUGCCCCGUCCUCUUCGUCAAGAACAAGGAUGGUACGGACCGAAUGGUUGUAGAUUAUCAUCCUGUUAAUUUGGUCACGACAAAGAACAAGUAUCCGCUCCCCAGGAUCAAUGACCUGUAUGAUCAGCUCGCUGGAUCCUCAGUCUUUUCCAAGAUGGAUUUGAGGUUAGGCUACCACCAAAUCAAGAUAAAAAAUGGGGACAUUCUAAGACGACUUUUGUCACUCGUUAUGGUCACUACGAGUACACCAUCAUGUCCUUUGGUCUAACCAACGCUCCAGCUACUUUCUCUCGCCUGAUGAACUCGAUCUUCAUGGAGUACUUAGAUAAGUUCGUUGUGGUUUACCUCGAUGAUAUCCUUAUUUACUCGAAGAACGAGGAAGAGCAUGCCGAACAUCUUAGACUUGUGCUAGGAAAACUCAGAGAGCACCGCCUUUAUGCCAAGUUCUCCAAGUGCAAAUUUUGGUUGCCAGAAGUGACCUAUCUCGGCCACGUAAUCUCUGGUAAGGGCAUUGCUGUCAAUCCUGAAAGAGUUCAGGCCAUUCUUGAUUGGACUCCACCUGAAACAGUUAAGCAAGUUAGGAGUUUCCUUGGUCUAGCCAGUUAUUCUCGCUGAUUCGUUGAGAACUUCUCCAAAGUGGCCAAACCUCUCACGGAACUUCUCAAGAAAGAUAAAAAGUUUGAGUGGUCCCCACAGUGUGAGCACAGUUUUCAGGAACUGAAAAGACGCUUGACUUCUGCUCCCAUACUUGUGCCACCGGAUUUCACUAAGGACUUUGUUAUCUAUUGUGAUGCUUCACGACAGGGACUAGGUUGCAUUCUUAUGCAAGAUCGCCAUGUGAUUGCCUAUGCAUCUCGACAGUUGCAUCCACAUGAGGAGAAUUAUCCUACACAUGAUCAAGAGCUUGCAGCCGUAGUCUAUGCACUUAAGACCUGGCGACAUUACCUUCUUGGUAAACGUUGCGAGAUUUACACCGAUCACCAGAGUCUCAAAUAUAUCUUCACCCAACCAGAUUUGAACCUUAGGGAAAGACGUUGAUUGGAGUUGAUCUCAGAUUAUGACUUAGGGAUUACCUACACCCCAGGUAAGUGGAAUGUCAUGGCUGAUGCACUAAGUCGUAAGUCCUAUUGCAACAAUCUCGUGUUGCAGCAGGGCCAACCACUUCUCCAUGAGGAAUUAUGUAAACUUAACCUUCACAUUGCUCCUCAUGGAUUCCUUUCUACCUUGGCGGCGAAACCUACUCUUGUGGAUCAGAUCAUCUCUGCUCAGAAGCAGGAUACGGGAAUUUCCCGGAUCAAGAGAAACAUUAACAAAGGAGUUGGUGGUAGUUUCUCUAUAGAUGAUCGUGGUGUUGUUUUCUUUGAGAGUCGCUUGGUGGUUCCCAAGAAUCAACAUCUUUGACAAUUAAUCCUUAAGGAGGCGCAUGAAUCUCCUCUCACGAUUCAUCCCGGUAGUACUAAGAUGUAUCAGGACCUAUGCCAGAGGUUCUGGUGGACUAGGAUGAAGAGAGAAAUUGCUCAAUUUAUUGCUAACUGUGAUGUUUGUCAUCGCGUGAAGGCAGAGCAUCAGAGACCUGCUGGCACCCUUCAACCUUUAGCUAUUCCUGAGUGGAAAUGGGAUAAAGUUGGUAUGGUCUUCAUCACCGGCUUUCCCAGGACCAAGAGAGGGAAUAAUGCUAUCUUCGUAGUCAUUGAUCGUCUUUCCAAAGUGGCUCACUUCCUACCUGUUCGAGAGAGUAUCACUGCUAGUCAGCUCGCUGACUUAUAUAUUUCUCGAAUAGUGUCACUUCAUGGUGUUCCACUAGAGAUCAAUUCAGACCGUGGUAGUCUUUUCACUUCUCAUUUCUGGGAGAGUUUCCAAACUGCCAUGGGCACCCAUCUUUCCUUCAGUACCGCUUUCCACCCUCAAUCAAGUGGUCAGGUGGAAAGGGUCAACCAGAUUCUUGAAGACAUGCUUAGAGCUUGUGUUAUCUCACUCGGUAUGGAUUGGGAGAAGUGUCUUCCCUUCGCCGAGUUUGCUUAUAACAACAGCUACCAAUCCAGCCUCAAGAAAGCUCCUUUUGAGGUUCUGUAUGGACGAAGAUGUCGAACACCUUUGAACUAGUCAGAAACCGGUGAAAGACAAUUCUUUGGACCGGAUAUGAUCCAGGAGGCAGAAGAACAAGUUUGCAUCAUUCGUGAGAAUUUGAAAACAGCCCAAUCUCGUCAAAAGAGCCAGUAUGACUGUAGUCAUAAGGAAGUGGCUUAUGAAAUUGGCGACAAAGCUUACCUUCGGGUUACCCCUUUGAAGGGUACCCAUCGAUUCGGUAUCAAGGGCAAGUUGGCUCCUCGUUACAUUGGUCCAUUUCUCAUUCUCGCUAAGCGAGGAGAGGUUGCCUACCAGUUGGAACUACCACCACAUCUUUCUUGAGUUCAUGAUGUUUUCCACGUCUCUCAACUCAGGCGUUGCUUCUCGGAUCCCAUCCGCGGAGUGGACCACGAACGCUUGAUCUCCAAGAUAACCUCACAUAUCGAGAGUACCCUGUUCGCGUUCUUGAUCAAGCAGAGCGUGUCACUCAACGUCAGAACAUCAAGUUUCUCAAGGUUCUGUGGUCGCAUCAUUCCGAGAGAGAAGCUACUUGGGAGCGUGAAGAUCGUCUUCGACUUGAGUACCCCACUUUCUUUCCGCCAACUCCUGAAUCUCGGGACGAGAUUUCUUUGAGUGGGGGCGAGUUGUCACAUCCCUAGUUAUGGUAUGACCUAGGCUAGCCUUCAUGUGUGCAUCAUGUUUAAAUUCCAUUUAAAUUUGAAAUGGGGAUUGGUGAAACCCUCAGAAUCCAUUUCUAGAAAUAACCCAGAUAAAAAUUGCUCCAAAAGGGUCCAAAAAAAUGUUCAUGUUGCUCUCUGAAAAUAUUGGUCAGAGUUAAAAUUCAAACCAAUAUUUUUAGGAGCUCAUAAAUAUUUAAUUUGGCCAUUUGGAAUUAAUCCAGUAAUUAUUUGCGUUGGAUAAAUAUUUUAUUAUAUAUAAAUAUUGUCCAAUAAUUCUGAAUUUUGGUGAGGGGCUUUGGAGUGGUCCAACUAGUCCCUACUAAAAUUUAUAGAAUAAAAUAAAAUGAUUUGGUAUUUUUAUCAAAUCAAAACAAAUGUCAAAAAAUAGAAAACAAAAACAAAAUAGGAAAAAAGGAGGAACUACCUGGACUUACCUGGGCCACUUGCUGGCCUGGCACUAUGCAACCAACCGGCCCAGCUGUGCGGCCCAGCGGGCCUAGCUCGCCUCCUCCUCUGUCUUCUUCCUCGCGCCUACUGGAAGAGGCGUGUGGCCGCCGUGCGUGCGCGCACGCGCUCGCCAGCUCCUGCUUGCCGCUGCUGCUGGAGACGGCCACGAGCGCCACGACACCCCCCUGACCGCCCCUCUCUCUCUGGACCCCUCCUUCUCCUCUGCCCCCUCUCUCCCGCGACCGACCACGAGCACCUGAGAGCGCCGAUGAUCACCACCGCGGCCCUCGUCCACCCCUCGCCUCUUCGAUGCUUCCAGAAGAACCGUCGCGCCUUCCUCUUCGUCUCCACCAACCCACGUGACGCCGGAAGCCCCAUAGCACCGUCCCCGCCGUCGUCUUCUUCCUCCGGACGCCGGAGAUCGGCUUCGCCGUUCCGCCCGCACCAGACCUCCCCCGAGCCGCUGACCUCUUCAACGUGAUCGCUGUGAGGUUCCGCGUCGAACCCAUCUCUUCUCCCUCGCGUUCGCGAGCUUUAGGACGCAUCUCCGCCAUGGCCGAGAGCUCGGCUCCGCCACGCAUGUCAUCGCCGUUGUUCUAGCCACCGCCGCUCGCGUCCGAACCUAUAAACGCACUCAGCGCGUUCCCAGGAACCCGUAGCACUCGCGGGUUCGCCCUACCAUGCCCCGCAGCCCGUUUUUGCCCGGAGCCGAACUCCAGCCGCCGCCUCGAGCCCCACUCCGGCGAUCUCCGGUGCCCCCGCAGCCUCCCACCAGCUCCCCUGGAUGCGGACGACGAUGGGCUACGCCCCGGUGGUCUUCGCGCAUCCAGACGCCGCUCGUAGCGCAAUUCCGGCGAGUCGCCGCCGCGCUAUUGGUCGCCCCCGGCCAGAACUCCGGCGGGCUGACGUGGCAUCGUAGUUAGGCACUAACUACCCCCCUAGAGACACUGACAGUGGGCCCAGAGCCACUAAUCUAAAUUAGAUUUGGAAUAACUCCUCUGUUAACUAACUGAGUCACUGACGUGUGGACCCCACACGUCAGGUUUGACUUGGUCAGCCACGUUGACUCGCUGACGUAGUGAUGACGUCAUGCUGACGCAGUUAUUCUUUUUCUGGAAUUAUUUUUAAACAAGAAAUUCCAGAAAAUGUUCAAAACUUCAAAAAUUCAUAGAAAUUCAACCGUAGCUCACAUUGAAAUAAUUUAUAAAUGAAAAAUGAUCAGAAAAAUUCAGUCUAUCCAUCUGUACCAUUUCCAUGCAUGACAAACCAACCUAUACAUGCUGUAUAUAUGCAAACACACUUGUGGCAUAUUUAAGAGCUUAAUAUGGAGUUUGCAUAUGAACCCUUGGUCCAUAUAUACUUCAACCAAAUAACCGCUAGAUGCUUUAACUCAAACAAUAUCACAUAUUCAUGCCAUGAUCAUGCAUCAUAUUGUUGCAUAUACUUGUUUUUGAUUUUUGACACCGUUCCUUCUCGAUAGGUUCUACUCCGCAGAUCGUUCCAGAGUACCUGUCAGAGGAGCAGUGCCCCCCUGUUGAUCUACCAGGCAAGCAACCCCCCCUUGUUCAUUCCGAUAAAAUCCCACUCUCUCACUCCUGCUCUCAUUUAUUGCAUUAGGACAACAAUGAUUCAACUGCUACUUUAUGCUACGGUAGUUGAACCCAUUCCUCUGCAUGACCUGUCAUUGCCACAGUAAAUAGUUAAAACCCACUAGCACGUGUAGGAGUUGUUUGAGCCAUGUUGUGUUCCUACCAUGCCAUGCCUGCUAUUGCUUAGAGUUGUGUCAGGUCUGAUUCAUCGAUAAUGAAUUGGAAUGUUAUGAUAUGUUCUGGUAAUGAGAGUUAAGCGUGUGAACACGAUUUGGUAAAGGUAGCGGUGAGAGGCCAUGUAGGAGUACAUGGUGGGUUGUCUCAUUGGGACCGUCCUUAAGAACUGAGUUUUGUGUAAGUUGUCCAAUGACUAGCUACUACCACACAUUGGGCUCCGGGUGCUCCAAGCUCUCUCGACUUAUUAACCGCCUUGAAAUCUAUCCAGGAGUUGCAAAUAGUUUCUGGUGUUUGUAGGUAGUGCUAUUUUCUACCGAGUGGCACCCGGCAGGGUGGACUUGGGACAGACUAGGCACACGUGGCCCGGUGUACCGAGUGGCUCGGGAACCCUGUACACAUCGUUUAGGGCCGUGAGCGAAAUCUCGGCCGGAUCUCCUUGCGGAUGGAACCCGAAAAGCUGAUAAACCUGGACUAGAGUCUUGUGUGGUUAGUCAGGUCGUGGCCGACACCCUCGCCAGGCUUCCGCUUGAAGGUUGCCGAGAUACAUGAUGGGUAUAUGGUGAUAAGUGGUGAGAGCGUGUGUGAUGAAGUACACCCCUGCAGGGUUAUCAUGAUCUAUUCGAAUAGCCGUGUCCUCGGUUAUGGACUUCUUGGAUGCUUACGUGGUACAUAGACAACCUGAAGUGGAUACUCUAAAAUGCUUAAGAUAAGUGUGAGUGCUAUGGAUGGCCUUCUCGUAGGAGAGACGGGGAUGAAUCCAUAGUAGUGUAUUGAUGUGGUCAUUAGUGGACUCGUGUGCGCUGCCUCACCUCAAAGAAGUUUCUCAUAGUCGUAGAACAGGAUAGCCACUGAGUCAAAGCUGGCUUGCUGCAACUAAACCCCACAUUACCUUCUUGAUACAAAUGCAUGUAUGAUUGGAUCUGAUGUAAGUCCUGCUGAGUACCUUUGUACUCACGUUUGCUUUAUUUAUGUUUUGCAGGUGAGACAUCUGUCUCACUAGUAGUACCGCUUGGACUUUGACGAGUAGCUUGUUACCUCAACUAUGAUCUUGUACCUUGGAGGGACUUGUAGAUAGUCAGGCUUCUUGGCCUUUUUCUUUUGUAGUUGUCUAUACUCAGACAUGUAAUCCUUCCGUUGCUUGUAUGCUCUAAAUGAUGGGUCAUGUGACCCCUGUUUGUAUUUAUGCUAUGUGGCUCUUCUGAACCUUUAUCUAUAUGAAUUGCGUUAUGUUGUGAUGCCAUGUUGUACAUCACAUACUUGCAUGUUAUGCGUACGUGUGACGUGUAUUGCUAUGUGUGGGAUCCGACAAUCUGAUUGUUUGUCCUUGGCAGCCUCUCUUAUGGGGAAAUGUAGUCUAGUGCUUCCUUGAGCCAUAGUAGUCAGCUACAGCCCGGUUCACCGGAGUCCUGCUAGCCCAGCACUACUGCUCAGAACACUUGACUGGCCGUCAUGUGUUCCACUUCGUUCCUAUGUCUGUCCCUUCGGGGAAAUGUAACGCGGUGAUUUCCGGAGUCUUGUUAGCCAGUUCUACAGCCCGGACUCAUACACUGUUGACCGACAUGCUUGAUGUGAUUCAUGUAUGCCUGUCUCCAUAGGUCUGUGCCGCUUUGGGCUCAUGACUAGCCAUGUUGGCCCGGGUUCUCUGUCAUAUGGAUGCUGGCGACACUAUCAUAUACGUGAGCCAAAAGGCGCAAACGGUCCCGGGCCAUGGUAAGGCCACACCGUGGGAUACCGUGCGUGAGGCCGCAAAGUGAUAUGAGGUGUUACCGGCUAGAUCGAUGUGACUUGGAAUCGGGGUCCCGACAGGUGGGGAGGGGGGCAGGGCCCUUAUUGCCCCCUGUUUUUCCGUUGUGCACGUGUCUGAGAGAUGAAGUGGAAGGAAUGGAUGAUGAGAGGGGGACAUUGGAUAUAUAAUUAAUGUGGGUGUAUUAGCUAUAUAUGUUAAUCCUAUAUAGAGAGGUAUAGAUUGAUCGAUGUGGACGUGUGAAAGAGGGUGAGAUGUCACGGGAUAUAUAGAUUGAUCGGUUUGUGUGGAAAUCUAUGAAAGACCUAGCUACAUGCACACAUACAUAGAGGAACAUCGAUCAUUGUACAUGCACGCAUGAGAGAUAAAGAAUGCCCGAUAUGAUGGAGAGGGGGAUGUGUGUGGGUGUGUGCCUUCAUGGGAGACCGACCUGAAGAAAAAGAUUGCAUGCAUGCGAUGGAUAAUGCCGACUGUUAGUGUGUGCGCAUGCAUGCACGAGAGAAAGUUAGUGGUACAAUUAUAAAGAGAAGACUACUGUGUGGGGGUAAAAGAAUAGGUGAGGUCAUAAUCAAUGUAAAGUUGAAUUCAAAUAUUUGAAUAAGAGAUCCUGAUGUUUGAAACCCAUGCAUGCAUGAAUAUAACGGAGAUCUACGCGGUGUGGUUUGGAAACGAGCAUGUUGUAAUGUAUACACAUUGAACAAGGUCAGACUGAUUUGAAUUUGAGAUACCGAUGGCAGACAUCAUUUGGCCACGUCGCACCCGUGCAUGGACACACUAUUCUAAUUGGAGAUGAUGGGCGGCUUUUGCAUCACAUAUCUAUAUCUAUACCCCUAUAUAUAUUGUUUUUAUAUUUUUUUAUAUUGUGUGCGGGUAACUUUAACUUUGAAAGAUGGUCGCUGGAUGAGGCGAAUCUGAUGGUCCAAAGAUGGCAAAUUUGAGCACUACUGGCUGUUGGAUAUCAUCUAGAUUCCACCAGAUUUCGCCACAUGUAUAAUCUAGAAGACUCCAUGGUUGAACUUAAGCAUAAUGCACAAACAUCAAAACACAAGCACUUCUUAUUUGUUCUAGAAUCUUUCGUAUCAGAAUUGCCCAAAUGUUUUUCUACAUGACUUUCCAUUAUUUGUUUUUACUUUAUGUCUUACGACGCACAAUUCCAUGAAUCUUAAAAUAGAUUAGCUUUCUUAUAAAAACUAGAUGAUUUUGAAUGAAAUGAACUAUAAAGAAUUAAACAAACAUCUACAUCAUGCAUAUAUGACUCAAAGCUUGCAUGCUAUAAUGUGGUAUUUAUUCAUAAUUUGGUUGCCAAAUCUCAUGCGUGCAAUGCACGUGUACCUUACUCUAGUCUAAAUGGUGUUUGUGUGUGUGUUGUGCGUGUUGAGGUGCAAAUUGUCUUUUUUGGGUACACGUUAAGCUUGUUCUUCCGAAAUUUCAAGUCGCGCCUUGUUAUGCCGAAAAUUCAAGCUAGUGUCUCUGUCUAUCGUGCUGCGAAACUCCCGCCUCUUCAACCCGCACCUUGUUAGCCCGAAAUAUUUAAGAUAUAUCUUUGUCUUGUUGUGCUCCGACAACUCCCUCUAUCUCAACCCGCGCCUUGCUAUUCCGAAACUACAACGCGCACGAAAACUCCCACCUCCUGUGAAAUCCCGACACGCGAAAUGCCCGUGGUACCCCUGAACCGAAAGAACCGCCUCAAAUCGGUGGGGGUACUUUUGUAACUUAACCCACAUUUCGGACAAGCGCGUCUCUAAGCCAUGGUUCCCCACUGCCAUCACAUCCGCCCACCCAUUCGUAAACCGAGGCCGUGAAAACCCGCGACGAAACCCCACACCCUGCUUCGUCCGCCACCCAGCCGGAGCCUCUUCCCCGACGACGUCGUCCACAGCAACACCUCGACGUCCCUCAUUAACCGUGCCAGAUGAGGAUCCGUCGUCGAUCUCAUUGUCCCGCUGGUUCAGCCACCCCAUCCUCCACCUCCAAGGAGCUGCCCCGAUGUUCCCCUUGUCUUUCACGCCACCUCCAUUACCACACCACUGUCUUCACCUGCACCACCGGAAGAGCAUCAUCAUCACUGUUUCCUCGAAUGAAGCUACGGCGUACUCAGAGCCACCAAAGAGGUUGUACACUAAUCGCCGCAUUUUCUUCUUGAUUCGAUCUCACGGUGCUACCGGCGCUCGGUCCCGAGCUGACACGACGCGGCUCCAUCCACGGCGGCGUCACCGGCCACUUCCUGCACGGUGUCGCUCCCUCGGCAGCGACGUCCACAUCAGUAGGAGCUGCUACUGGUUUAGCUCUCGCUCGCGCUGCUGCUCUGCUCUUGCUCUCGGCCCCCUGCCUGGUCUGCUCUUGCUAUUGCUCUUGCUCGCGCUGCUGCUCUCGCUCUUGCUCUUGCUUGCGAUGCUGCUCCAAUUUAGCUACANNNNNNNNNNNNNNNNNNNNNNNNNNNNNNNNNNNNNNNNNNNNNNNNNNNNNNNNNNNNNNNNNNNNNNNNNNNNNNNNNNNNNNNNNNNNNNNNNNNNNNNNNNNNNNNNNNNNNNNNNNNNNNNNNNNNNNNNNNNNNNNNNNNNNNNNNNNNNNNNNNNNNNNNNNNNNNNNNNNNNNNNNNNNNNNNNNNNNNNNNNNNNNNNNNNNNNNNNNNNNNNNNNNNNNNNNNNNNNNNNNNNNNNNNNNNNNNNNNNNNNNNNNNNNNNNNNNNNNNNNNNNNNNNNNNNNNNNNNNNNNNNNNNNNNNNNNNNNNNNNNNNNNNNNNNNNNNNNNNNNNNNNNNNNNNNNNNNNNNNNNNNNNNNNNNNNNNNNNNNNNNNNNNNNNNNNNNNNNNNNNNNNNNNNNNNNNNNNNNNNNNNNNNNNNNNNNNNNNNNNNNNNNNNNNNNGGCCGCAGGCGGUGGGGGCUGCUAUUUGGCCGGUGGUGGCUGGCGGCUCAGGGGGUGGAGGUUGAAGAUGAAUCGCAGGCCCUUGAUUUCGUAUCCAACGGCUACAAAAUCGACUAACCAGAGAUGAAAAAUUCAGUCAACCGACGUGUAGCCUCACCUUGCUAGUGUGUUCAAUUUCGACAGCAAAAUUCAAUUUCGACAGUUAAGUUCAGUUUCGACAGUUAAGUUCAGUUUCGACAGUUAAAUUCAGUUUCGAUAGUUAAGUUCAGAGAUGAGUGGCUGAUGUAUUUUACAUCUAGCACUUUGUGGUUAUGUAUUUUACGUCAUGUAUUGGAGACGCUAUUAGAAUUCCACUCGCGGUCUCGAGACUUGUAAUAUAAUGUUCUAUCUUUGUUCGGUCUUUUCAAUUCGGAGACUAAUAUGAUGAAUUGUAUUCAGAGACUAAUAUGAUGAAUUGUAUUCAAAGACUAAUCUUCUAUUGUAUUCGAUGAAUCUGUUGUUGAUGUGUGCUGUCUAUAUUUUGUCAAAUUAUACAUUUUGUAACCUGUGCAAAAAACAGAAAAUAAAAAAUUAAAAAAAACCUAAUAUUCAUACUAAUGGCGCAUCACAUGACAGUGCGCCAUUAGUAUGACAAAGCAUACUAAUGGCGCAUCACUGGUAAGUGUGCCAUUAAUAUGCCAUGGUUACUAAUGGCGCAUCCAGUGGUGGUGCGCCAUUAGUAUGCUAAAGCACCUGGAUAUACAUGGCCCCUGGGAGGCAUACUAAUGGCGCACCCUGGCCUAUACUAAUGGCGCACCCGUGGUGCGCCAUUAGUAUACCAGAUACUAAUGGCGCACCAGGUGGUGCGCCAUUAGUAAAAAUUACUAAUGGCGUGCUGUUAAUGGCGCACCACAGAUGCACCAUUAAUGGCCAUACUAGGUGCGCCAUUAGUAGGGGUUUUUCUAGUAGUGUCAGGUUAACGUUGUUCGUUGUCUCUCUUGUCCUGCUUCAGCCUCGGCGUCGUACAACUCACCGGAGCUGCUCCAACAACGAAUCCCUCCAUCACAGCGGAGCAGUACCUUGGGCUCCAUCUCCAGACGCCUAAUAUCUUCUUCCCCUCCUCCGACAGCCAAGUCAGUCGGAGCAUCCUCACCGGCCAACCCAAUCACGCUGAGAUCGACAUGGCUUCGCCAAAGAGGUUAUACACUUGUUGCAUCUCUUUUUUACUCUACAUGGUAUAUAUAUUGUCCACUAAGCACUUGUAGUAACAGGAAAUACGAUUAUUUUAUCCUACUAUAUGAAAAGCAGUGAGGUACCAGGCAACUUAGCUAUCCGUGAUAGACUCUCUUGAACGCCAUCAUUAUUUAUCUCUGCGCGUUUGAGCUGUGCUUUUGUCGAUGGGCCUAGGAAUUGAGCUAGUAUGGCAGUGGCCUGGGUCCAAAGUAAUAGAAGUAGCACAAAAACAUUUUUUUAGUGUAGGAUUUUCCUUGCUCAAGCCUGCCUACUAGAAUCGCUAGUGCUUGAAAGGAAAAGUGAAUGAAAAACAUCGGAAUUGGAAAGUUUCCUACGGUACUACUUUUCAUGAAUUUGGUGCAAAGGACUGGAGCAAAGGAAAACUGUGGGAUUUGUUCCUUUAGUGUCUCCUUGAAAGAAAAACUGUAGGAAUUCUAAUUUCCACUUCUCCUCCUUUUCAUAUUCCUAUUCAUCAAGCACAAGACUAAGAGAUAGUAGCAUAAUAGCAUUAUAACCGUACAUUUUCUUGUGGUUUGACUUAAUCUCACCAUGCUUUUUUGCAUCCUGUGAUCUUCCAAUUGUUGUGAAUCAAACACCCAGAUUGGCAGAAAUCCUGUGUUUUCAAAUUCUCUGUUUUGCACGUGCAUUCCUAUCCUAUUCCUAUCUAUUUCCUAUCCCUGCAUUGUUAGAAUCCUCAAAUUCAAACAAGCCCUUACUCAAUUACUUCUGUUACAGAUAUGUGUCAAAGAAAACCUUGUGUGGUUUGUCCUGCUCCUGUGAUGCUGUGUUCCACCCCAGCUCAGCUGCUCCAACGACGGAAGGGUUCACCACAGCAGGGAUCCACUCUCCAUACUGUCUUUCGCCGCCUCAGAUCUUCUUCCCUGCCGCCGGCAGCCAGGCAACUGCAUUACCAUCAUCAACUGAGCAGAUGACCUUGAGGACUACACGGGUCCGCAAGAGAGGUCGCACUCUUCCGUGUCUGCUUACGUUAUGUGUCGCUUAAUAUGAUGACAUGCUACAUUAUCGUCGUGUUCACCUAUUAGACUCCGAGUCAGGUCCAAACUAAUGCUGAAACUUGAGUUUUUAAAUGGUUGUGGGGUACAUAUUGGGGCAACAAUCAGUACUAUCUGUCUACUAUCUGGUUAAUCUCCGGUGUAUACUAUGAGUUUCAUGUUGGGUGCAAACAAACAUUAAAGGAGCCAUUAUCUGUAUUUUUUAACUAAAGCUAUUAUCUGCCUGUUAUCAUUGGUUUUGGGUUUAUCCACAAUUUGCUACCAUCACUCUGGAUUUGUGCAUGCACUCCUUACAUAAUCACACUAUGUUUUAUUCCUAUGCAUGCCAGUUAUUGUACACAAUGGAACUGAUCAUGUAGAGCAAAAGAGACAAGCCUUGCGUGGCACUAAAAUUUCAUGCAGACGUUGUUCCAUGGUGGGCGCAAAGGCAGCCCCCUCCACCCAUUUCGGAUCGUAAUCAAGAGGAAGAUAACUGUUCUGAGGGGGAUUCAGAAGGAGAAGACCACUCCUAUUUACCCCAUGAGGUCUUCGCUCUAACUUGGCAUGCUGAUGUUGGUAAUAUCAUGCAUAUGGUGCCUUGCAUUGCUUACUGCAUACAUUAAAGAUGUCAUCUGCUUAGUUUAGACAUGCUUUGUGUCAAUGCCAUCUGUUUAGUUUCUUUAUCGUAUAUGUGAAUCAUGCAAUGCCAUCUUGUCUAGCUAGGCAUCAUAUAUGCGAAUUUUGCAAUGCCCCCUGGUUAGCCAGUUAUCUUAUAUGUGAAUUAUAUCAUGCCAUCAUUUUUUUAUUAUGUGUUAAAUUUGUCACCAAUUUUAGUACAUUCAAUUACUCUUCCUGUGCAUCAGCCAUUCGGCACGGUCAUGGAAAAAUCUGGAGUGGAAACAAAGUCUUCAGAGCAGACAAUGCUAUCUAACGAAGCACAUGUCUUGUUGGUUACCGAUAGCUCCUCAGAGGAGGAUUCAGAGAUAGAUGACCAGUCAUAUUUCNNNNNNNNNNNNNNNNNNNNNNNNNNNNNNNNNNNNNNNNNNNNNNNNNNNNNNNNNNNNNNNNNNNNNNNNNNNNNNNNNNNNNNNNNNNNNNNNNNNNNNNNNNNNNNNNNNNNNNNNNNNNNNNNNNNNNNNNNNNNNNNNNNNNNNNNNNNNNNNNNNNNNNNNNNNNNNNNNNNNNNNNNNNNNNNNNNNNNNNNNNNNNNNNNNNNNNNNNNNNNNNNNNNNNNNNNNNNNNNNNNNNNNNNNNNNNNNNNNNNNNNNNNNNNNNNNNNNNNNNNNNNNNNNNNAUGCCCUAACUUGGCAGGGUUAUGUUGCUCAUAUCGUGUGUAGGGUAUAUUGCAUUGCUAUGUCAUUUGCUUAGUUUAGACAUGCUUUGUAUGAAUGCCACAUGUUUAGUGUCUAAUUACCAUAUAUGUGAAUUAUGCAAUGCCAUCUUGUUGCAAGACAUUAUAUAUGUGAAUUAUGCAAUGUUAUCUUGUUGCAAGGCACUAUGUAUGUGAAUGAUGCAAUGCCAUGCUGUUUAGGCAAGCGUCAUAUAUGUGAAUUAUAUCAUGCCGUCCUUUUUUUGUAUUUCUCAUUGCUUUUGUCGACAAUGUUUGUAUAUUCAACUGCUCUUCCUGUGCAUCAGCCAUUUGAAUUGAUGAUGAAGAAAUCUGGAGUGAAAACAAGGUCUUCAGAGCAGACAAUGCUACCUGCUGAAGCAGAUAUCUUGUUGGUUACAGAUAGCUCUUCAGAGGAGGAUUCAGAGGCAGAUGACCAGUCCUAUUAUCCCCCUGAGGUGUAUGCUCAAACUUGGCAGGGUUAUAUUACUCAUAUAAUGCAUAUGUUGUAUUUCAAUCCUUAGUUUUUACAUCAUAUACACAAUAUUGAAUGCCAUCUCCUUAGUUGACACAUCAUAUAUGUGAUUGCCCUCUGCUCACUUCCUUAGUAUAUAAAUCAUAUAUUUGAAUUAUGUCAUGCCAUGAUGUUUACAUAGACAACAUGUAGCUGAAUUAUGGCAUGCCAACCCAUUUUCUAAAGACAUAAUAUAGUUAUAUCAUCUCAUCCUGUUUACAUAGUCAUUAUAUUUUAAAUUAUGUCAUUCUAUCCGUGAAUUAUAUCAUGCCAUCAUGUUUCCAUCGACGGCAUGUUUGUGAUUUAUGGCAUGCCAACCUCUUCAAUAGACACAUCGUAUAGUUAUAUCAUGUCAUCCUGUUUACAUAGUCAUCAUAUUUUGAAGUAUGUCAUUCUAUCCUAUUUAGUUAGCCAUAAUACAUGUGAAAUUGUGUCAUGCUAUCAUGUUUAAUUAGCCAUCAUAUAUGUGAAAUUAUGUCCUGCUAUUAUGUUUGCUUAGACAACAUGAAUGUGAAUUAUUUCAUGCCCUGUUUUCUUCCCUACUAUCCAUUGCACCUGUAUAUCUUAUAAUGUCUGUACAUUCAAUUACUUUUCUUGUUUAUCAGCCAUUUCAAUUGGAGGGAGUGAUGGCAGUAUCAGUGGGAGUAAAAACACAGUCUUCAUAAAAGAUCGUGCUACCUGUCGAUGCAGAUAGAACCACGGUUGUACUUGCCCAAGAACCAGCCCCACCACACAUAACCCACACUCAUGCAGAUUGUACCCCUACCCAGUUGGACAGAGAACCAGCUACACCCCUUCUAACCCCAACCCCAGUAGAUAGACACCCAGUUCCCGUUGACACAGCACCGUCUCAACCACAGAGCGCCCAAACAUGAGCAGUUAGUAAGGCAACUGCAGUGCCCAAAUCACGAGGUUCAUCCUACUUUGCUCUUGCAUCACUGUAUUUACUGAUACCAACUAAUUUCAAAUUUGAAGGAUGCAAUUGAAACUCCAAUGGCGCAACAGGUAUGUUUUAAACAUGUUUCUUCAACGUGUUUGGCUGUUUGCUGUUGUAACUUGCUCUAUGUUGAUUUCAGUUUCAAUUGAAUAAACAGUUAUGUUCUCAUGCCAUGCACAUUACAAGUGUUGUUAUUGCUGUGUAGUUUCCCACACUUAUAUUCUGUCUAAGCUGCUUUGUCUUAAAUAGAUAUGAUUCGAACUGUAUCUAUCUUGAUUUGGCAACAUAAACUAGAAUGAUAUAGACCAUACAGUGACCAUACUACAUAGAUAUAUGUUUGUUUCAUGCUGUUAUCCUGUCCACCUUACUACUGAACUGGUUUACCAAAAUGAGUUUCAUAUACUACAUUGUAAACCUGAGAUGUGUUUGUUUGUUUCUCUUUUAGAACGCGGAUAAAAUAUUGGAGAAGAGUACCCUGUUAUGCGAUGGUAAAGGAAGUAAUGCAGAUAAGGUUCAAGAUAGUGAGACAUCCCUGUUGGUCUCCAAGAAAGCUGAUAAAAACUAUACUGAAGACACUGAGACAACCACAAAGUCAUGUCUUGAUGUAGUGUUCGAGUUACUGGCUACCACUGCUGGCACCAGCUCUUCGAACUCAUUGCCUGAAUCAGUUCGACUUCUUGAGUCUCAACUUCAAGUUGAAAGACAUCGAUCAGAUGUUAUGCGACAGGAAGCCGAAGGACUGAGGAAGUCCCUGCAGAAUUCAGAUGCAUAUUUUCUGGUGCAAUAGCAAGCGCUGGAGGACUUAAGCGCCAAACAAGAGAAAGUUAAUAAGCUUGCUAAGCAUCUUGCCAGCAUUAUGGGUACCCAGGAUAUUGUUUCUUGAGCUCUUUUGAAGUGGUUUCAGUUCUAGACUUGUUUUGCUUCAGCGUUUAUAUGCUGCUAUGUUCCCUAUAUUUGCACUGGUGGCGAACUUCGAUGCCCAGUGGAUGUAAUAUGUGUAAUAGCCGUGAUAGCCUAGUGUAAGUUGCUUGCUUAUUUAUUUCCUUGUUGUAUUGUUUAUUUGUUUGCUUGUAGUCGGUGCAGUUCUUUUUCUGUGGUUUGCUAGUGGCUGCAAUAACCUAUUUUUAAAACUAGGCCAGAAUAACCAUGGGCUAAUAUUUACUGUAGUGACACUAGGCCUCCUACGGGCCAUAGAAACAGUGGGCCUUGGACGUGCCCUAUAAACUGUGGGGCCUCUACGGGCCAUAGAAACAAUGGGCCUUCUACGGGCCGUAGAAACAAUGGGCCUUCUAUGGGUCGUAUCAUCAAUGGGCCUUAUACGGGCCGUUUGAUCGAUUAGCCAAACAUGGGCCAAACAAACCGCAUUCUAGCCGUAUACGCGCUAGAGUUGGAAUCGUCCAUUCAUGGGCCGAUCAUAACGGGCCAUCGUUAAUAGGCCGUAUUUGAUGACGCUAUGAAAACGGCCCAACGUAUUAACGGACCAUAAACAGGCCUACUGUAACCACGAGCUGAAUUUGGCCCACAAGCAGAAAAUGACAGUAACGGGCCGUAAGUAAAAGAAUGCUGGAAAAUAGCCCAAGAAUAAAUGGGCUCUAAGAAGGCCAAAAGAUAACAUGGGCAGGAAACGGCCCAACGGAAUAACGGGCCGUUAAUGGGUAUAAAGUGAUACACUGUUCUUUACGGGCCAGUUUCACCACGGGCCGUUAAUGGGUGUAAAGUGAUACACUGUUCAUUACGGGCCAGUUUCACCACGGGCUGUUAAUAGGCCAAGAGUUACAUAGGGCCUCAUAUGGGCCGAAGGACGUCAUGGGCCAUACAUGGGCCAGAAGGGAAAAUGGGCUGGAAUCAUAUUGGAUGGCCCAGAUGACGCUACUGGGCCUAAUUCGAAUAGGGCGUAAUGGGCCUUGAGUUAGCGGGCUGUAAAUGGGCUAUAUGCGAACAGGCCGUUAACAGGCUUUCCAUGGGCUGGCCCGCCACCUUUUGACCAAGUCAAACGGACCGGCCUUUUCACAGUAAUGGGUGAGGGAGUCCUGGAUUAGGGGGUCUCUGGACAGUUGGACUAUAUCCUUUGGCCAGACUGUUGAACUAUGAAGAUACAACAUUGAAGACUUCGUCUCGUGUCCGGAUGGGACUCUACUUGGCGUGGAAGGCAAGCUAGGCAAUACGGAUAUGUAUAUCUCCUCCUUUGUAACCGACCUUGUGUAACCCUAGCCCCCUCUGGUGUUUAUACAAACCGGAGGGUUUUAGUCCGUAGGACAACAUACAAUCAUACCAUAGGCUAGCUUCUAGGGUUUAGCCUCUCUGAUCUUUUGGUAGAUCAACUCUUGUAAUACUCAUAUCAUCAAGAAUAAAUCAAGCAGGACGUAGGGUUUUACCUCCAUCAAGAGGGCCUGAACCUGGGUAAAACAUCGUGUUCCCUGCCUCCUGUUACCAUCCACCUUAGACACACAGUUCGGGACCCCCUACCCGAGAUCCGCCGGUUUUGACACCGACAUUGGUGCUUUCAUUGAGAGUUCCUCUGUGUCAUCGCCGAUAGGAUUGAUGGCUCCUACUAUCAUCAAUAGCGAUGCGGUCCAGGGUGAGACUUUUCUCCCCGGACAGAUCUUUGUGUUUGGCGGCUUCGCACUGCGGGCCAACUCGCUUGGCCAUCUGGAGCAGAUCGAAAGUUACGCCCCUGGCCACCAGGUCAGGUUUGGAAGCUUAAAUUACACGGCUGAUAUCCGCGGAGACUUGAUCUUCGACGGAUUCGAGCCCCUGCCUUGUGCGCCAUGCGGUCACAAUGAGUACGAUUUAGCUCUACCAUCGGACCGUAUUCAGGAGAUCGCACCGGCGGCCGCUCCGAGCCUCAAUUCGGAUCCAGUUGCGCCAUCCAUGGACGGGUGGAUAGACCCUGUCAUGGAGGCCGUAUCCUCAGCGGCGAUCGAGCCGAAUAUUACCCUUCACGAGAGCCGAGCUGCCAAACUGCCGGAUCCUUCUCCGGCCACGGACUCCGAACUGCCUACGCCCGUUCCUAUCGAAUCCGAUUGGGCACCGAUCAUCGAGUUUACCUCCGCGGAUAUUUUUUAGCACUCGCCCUUUGGCGACAUACUGAACUCAUUAAGUUCUCUCUCCUUGUCAGGAGGAUCCUAGCCGAACAAUGUCCGGCAGGAUUGGGAUGCGGAUGACGAAGAAAUUCGCCGCCCACCCACCACCCACUUAGUAGCCACUGUCGACGACUUAACCAACAUGCUUGACUUCGACUCUGAAGACAUCGACGAUGGGGCAACUGAGGGAGUCCUGGAUUAGGGGGUGUUCGGGUAGCCGGACUAUACCUUCAGCCGGACUCCUGGACUAUGAAGAUACAAGAUUGAAGACUUCGUCCCGUGUCCGGAUGGGACUUUCCUUGGCGUGGAAGGCAAGCUUGGCGAUGCGGAUAUUCAAGAUCUCCUACCAUUGUAACCGACUCUGUGUAACCCUAACCCUAUCCGGUGUCUAUAUAAAUCGGAGGGUUGUAGUCCGUAGGCAAUCAACUCCAUACACAACAAUCAUACCAUAGGCUAGCUUCUAGGGUUUAGCCUCCUUGAUCUCGUGGUAGAUCUACUCUUGUACUACCCAUAUCAUCAAUAUUAAUCAAGCAGGAGUAGGGUAUUACCUCCAUCGAGAGGGCCCGAACCUGGGUAAAAAACAUCGUGUCCCUUGUCUCCUGUUACCAUCCGGCCUAGACGCACAGUUCGGGACCCCCUACCCGAGAUCCGCCGGUUUUGACACCGACAUUGGUGCUUUCAUUGAGAGUUCCUCUGUGUCGUCGCCUUUAGGCCAGAUGGCUCCUUUGAUCAUCAACAACGAUACGGUCCAGGGUGAGACUUUUCUCCCCGGACAGAUCUUCGUCUUCGGCGGCUUCACUUUGCGGGCCAAUUCGCUCGGCCACCGGGAGCAGAUCGAAAGCUACGCCCCUGGCCAUCACGUCAGGUUUGGAAGCUUAAACUACACGGCUGACAUCCGCGGAGACUUGAUCUUCGACGGGUUCGAGCCAUGGCCAAGCGCGCCGCACUAUCUCGAGGGGCAUGAUCUAGCUCUGCCCCCGGACGGUGUCCGGGAGGCCGCACACGCAUCGGUUCCGACCCCUAACUCGGAGCCUAUUGCGCCAAUCGAGGAUGAACGGUUGGACGUCACCUCAGGGGCUGCGAUCCCGAAAGCGAUUGAGCCGAACGCUAGCCCCGCACUCUGCGCGACCCGUGACUCUGAGGAUCCGAAAUCCUCCUCGGACUCCGUACCCCCCGCGCCCCUGCCAAUCGAAUCCGAUUGGGCGCUGAUAAUGGAGUUCACCGCCGCAGACAUCUUUCAGCAUUCGCCUUUUGGCGACAUCUUGAAUUCUCUUAAGUCUCUCUCUUUAUCAGGAGAGCCUUGGCUGGACUAUGGUCCGCGAAAGUGGGAUACGGACGAUGAAGAAAUUCAAAGCCCACCCACCACCCACUUGGUAGCCACUGUCGACAAUUUAAACGACGUGCUCAACUUCGACUCCGGAGACAUCGACAGCAUGGAUGACGAUGCAGGAGAUACCGAUGAACCAAUGCCCAUAGGGCAUUGGACAGCCACCUCAUCUCACGAUGUGUAAAUGGUGGAUACCCCUAAAGGAAGCGACAACGAGGAAAAAGGGGAUGGGACGGGAGAUCGACCCCCCGAAAAGCAAUCAAAGCGUCGGCGUAAACGCCGACCCAAGCCCCGCCUUGACCAAAACCCAGCCAUAGAGCAGGACGAGCCGGUAGAUGACGAGCAGGCCUUAGAGCAUCCGUCCAAACAUGGCAACAGAGAUAGAGAAACCGAACAUCCCUCCUCCGGCGAAAACGGCAUUCUGGACGACCUCACGCCGAAUAAACCAAUGGAGCAGAAGAAUCUCCACGAGAGGCUUGUUGCAACUGCACGCAGCCUAAAUAAGCAGAAGCAGAAGCUAAAAACAGCGGAAGAUGCACUCCGGAUUAGAUGGAGCAAAGUAAUCACUACCACAGAUAAGUACGGUGACAGUCGCCGCACUAAAAGCUAUCCGAAAAGAAAGCUACUGCCUGAAUUCGACGAAGAGGCCCUAGAGCCCUCGCAUUCAAAAAAUGAAAAAUCCACACGGUCGGAUAGACGACACCAUAAAGCGGCAAGCGGCGCCGCACCUAAAUCGGCAUGCGACCCACUUAAGGAUUCACAUCAUGGCCCAGUCAGGUCCAUUUAUGGGCCAAGAAAGCAAGCUCUCGUAAGCAACGCUAUGAAGCCAUCAUCAGAAUCCGGCACACCCAAAUACAGGGGUGCCGCACACCCCCUAUGUUUCGCCGAUGAGGUCCUGGACUAUGAAUUCCCAGAGGGAUUCAAACCCGUAAACAUAGAGGCAUAUGAUGGAACAACAGACCCUGGAGUCUGGAUCGAGGAUUAUAUCCUCCACAUACACAUGGCUAGAGGAGAUGAUCUCCACGCCAUAAAAUAUCUACCCCUUAAGCUUAAAGGGCCAGCCCGGCAUUGGCUUAAAAGCCUUCCUGAAAACACAAUUGGAAGCUGGGAAGAGCUUGAGGAUGCUUUCCGAGCAAACUUUCAAGGGACCUAUGUCCGCCCUCCGGAUGCAGACGAUCUUAGUCACAUAACUCAACAACCCGGAGAAUCAGCUCGGCAGUUCUGGAAUAGAUUCCUCACUAAAAAGAAUCAGAUAGUCGACUGUCCGGACGCCGAAGCCUUAGCAGCUUUCAGGCAUAACGUCCGAGACGAAUGGCUCGCCAGACACCUUAGCCAAGAAAAGCCAAGAACAAUGGCCGCACUAACAAGCCUCAUGACCCGCUUUUGUGCAGGGGAGGACAGCUGGUUGGCAAGGUGCAGCCCCAGCGACCCAAGUACAUCCGAAACUAGGGAUGGAAACAGAAAACCGCGACGCAACAAGGACCGUCGCUGGACUAAGGACAAAAGUCCAAAGAGCACGGCAGUCAAUGCCGGAUUCAAAGGGUCACGACAAAAUCAGGAAAAAUCGCCCCCCUAGGAUAAUAGGGACGAUCCAUCCAACCUAAAUAAAAUCCUGGACAGGAUAUGUCAGAUACACAGUACUCCCGGGAAGCCUGCUAACCAUACCCACAGAGACUGUUGGGUUUUCAAACAAUCCGGCAGACUCAAUGCCGAACACAAGGGGCUCGACACACCAAGCGAAGACGAGGACGACCCCAAAAGAAGAGCACCAGGAAACAAAAGCACUUCCCACAAGAGGUAAAAACAGUGAACUCACUUCACAUAACAAAAUGUGCGGCGCCCGUAAAGGUACGCACCACACGGCCCAUCCCCAAAGGGUCCUACCACUGGUUGUCAAAACCGAUCAUCUUCGAUCAGCUAGAUUAUUCUAGGAUAUCAAGAAUGUAGGCGGGACUGCCUUGGUACUCAAUCCAAUAAUUGGCGGACUCCAGUUUUCAAAUGUCCUUAUGGACGGCGGCAGUGGACUAAACCUGAUAUAUCAGGAUACAAUCCAGCACAUGGGGAUAAACCCAGCAAGAAUCCGCCGCAGCAAAACCUCCUUUCAAGGGGUAAUACCUGGUCCGGACACCCAUUGUAUGGGUUUUCUCCGGCUCGAAGUCAUAUUUGGCUCUGCCGAUAACCUUCGCCGUGAAAAGCUGACCUUCCAUAUCGUCCCGUUCUCAAGUCGCUAUCAAGCACUACUGGGACGUGAAGCUUUCGCUCGCUUUAACGCAAUACCGCAUUAUGCAUCUCUUACGCUUAAGAUGCCCGGUCCACGAGGCAUCAUCUCUUUGAAGGGGAAGCACUAAAGUGCGACUCCCCAAGCGGAGGACUGUGCGGCCGCUUUGACAGCCCCAUAGCAAAAUGGCCUCACCGGCCAAAAAACUUCGAAAUAGGUCAUUCAAAACCACGAACGCGGAUAGACGAGUUCGGUGCAAAAUCAUCAUUGAUGCAGGCCUAGAAGCCAUAUACCCCCGCACUAGGGGCUCCACGCAUAUACAAUAAGAGACAAUAAAGCUCAAUCUUAUAUAUCUUACUUUAUACUUUGCUUAUUUUAAACUUUUUCGGCACGACCCGUUUUCAACUCAGUUCCUCUCUUUACAGAUGAACGUCGUGCGGCGCCCGUCCAGGAUAUGGCACAACGGAGACACAGGCGCAGACGUGCAGUAGGGACCCGUCCUAAAGGAUUCUUUUUAGAUUAAGACCCUGCGUAAACCUUUUUUACUGUCUCUUGUUGCUACACAUCUCCUGGUUUUUUCUUUCUGAUAUAACCAAGGAGGAGGCUGGCGUCUUGGCAUGUGGCCACGUCAGAAUUUUUGCACGUACCUGGACACUAGGGGCUUUUUUAAUAAAGAGUGUUGUUUCGCCCGCACUCAUAAAGACCGAACACCUUAGGGAGUGUUCGGCGUCGCGAGUUUUGGCAUUAUAUGCAUCAGCUCCGAAUCAUGUCUUUGGUCAAAUGUUGGGUUGCCCGGCUCCUGAGUUUGGCUACCUUACGUUCCGCUCUAUCGGCUAAGGUAGCACCAGGAGAACUACUGCGAUUGUGCCCCCGGUUCGGCCGGGCGAGCACCUCAGUAGAGAAAGCCGAAAACUGACUGUCAUGAUGUAGCGUGAGACUGGUUAGCACUCGAUGACCUAUCGGAAUCUAUCGGAUUCCUCUGCUUUAAUGAAGGGCCGCUUCCCGGUCAGGCACAUACGCGCCCCGAACUCGGACGAGCGCAGUUGCCACCAAGGAGCUACCUAAAUAGUCUCACUUUCAAACUCCUAUGGCUAAGUGAAAGUGUUAAAGCAUUAUAGUCUGGUUGCAUGGCCCGCUGCACAAUCACCUCCUUUGUAGGACCAAGACGUUGGGUUAAGUGUGAAAAUGCGUCUUCUGCGAGGACCCCCACACUAUGUGCGUGGGGGCAGAAGCCAACGACUGCCAUCUUUCAGAUUCUGUAUAUAUAUAUAUAUAUAUAUAUAUAUAUCUUAAAACGGCCGCACAGGAGGUGUUCCCAAUACUUGGAGGCACAAGUAUAAAAAAGGCCACUACAGUUUAUCAAAAUAUUACUUUAUAAUUAUAUAUGCUAUCAUAACAUAGCAUCUUUCGGGCACUGCGUCUCUAUUACACGAGCGCCUUCAAGAACUUCCUGAAAAUAGUGCUUGGAGGGUACUCGGCUUUUGUCCGAAUCUCGGGACGCAACAACGGUGGUCUCCGUCUCUGCCUAGUAUGUCUUAACACGGGCAAGAGCCAUCCUAGCGCCCUCUAUGCAUGAUGACCUCUUCAUUGCAUUUAUACGUAGCACCGCGUCAAGGAAUUGCUGCACCAAGCCGGAAUAACUCUUCGGCUCCGAUCUCCUAGGCCACAGAUGACCCAUGACGUACUUCAUGGCGAGUCCGGACAAUCUAUUCAGUUCAGCCCAUUGAGCCAGGCGAUCGUCCACUACCAGUGGACGCUCUGGAUUGUGGAACUGUGACCAGAAAAGCUUUUCCACUUCGCGAUCUUUUAGAUGUCGAAAGUGUUCGGUCGCAUCAGCAGCACUUGCUGCCAAAUCCAGAUAGGUGUCCUCCACACUCCACAUCCGGUCCAACGGAGCAAACUUCGGAUCACAAAACUUCCUCCGCAGCAUAAAGGGCUUUCCAGCCGCAAUCUGUUCGGCCUGAUGCAGCUCCUCCUUCCCAGCUCUCAUCGCAGAGCGAGCGUCCUUGGCAUCGGCAACGGCCUUCUCUAAGUCCGUUUGUCUCGCCCGGUCUUCUUUCUCAAGAAGUUUGCAAUGGUCUGCAGCGCUCUUUAACUUCUCGGCCAUCUCGGCCAUCUCUUCUUUGCUUCGACAGUGAGCAGCCUGUUCGGCUCUCAGCUCUUCAAGGGCCUUCUCGGCAGCCGCAUCGCUUUUUCUGGCUUGCUCCUUAGCUCGGGCAAGUUCUGCCCUAAGAUUCUCCACGGCGGCCAUACCAUCUCCAUCAAGCACACACAUUGUAAGACACUGGCAUGAAGCUCCUCUUACCUGAUGCCGCCCGAAGAAUUACAUACCUUGAGCCUCAUCAAGCUGCUUGUUGACAAGCGCGAUGUCGGCAUCUGCCACGUCCAGUUGCCGCUUUAGUUCGGCCACAUCAUCAGUUCGGCUUGAUUCUGGACACCUCGCCACCUACAUUCAAAGGCGACAUCUUAGACCUAGGAUUAUGAUCCUCUGCGUGCCGUCAUUUCUUGACAACGCCCAUAGUCUCAGGGGCUACUAUCUACACAGGGCGCAUCUUACUUAUGCGCAAUUGACAAAAGUGUACAUUAUCUAACGUACCUCAAAACCCGUCAGUAAACUUUUGACGGCCUCAUGCAAUCCGCUUUCUGCGGAUGAAAUCCUUUCAAUCACCGUGCCCAUCAAUGCACGGUGCUCCUCUUAGAUAGAAGCUCGCCCUAGCAAAAUCUUUAGCUCCUCCGGCCGAGCACCAGACGGUGGCGGACUUGUCCUAUGGCCUCUUUCGAAGGCCGGGCGUGGAGAGCCUUGGGGGGCCACAUAGCUAUCUUCCGCCCCUGCCAGAUUCAGACAAACCCUCCGCGACGACACCUCAGGGUCGCCCGCCUCGCUAGGCGGUACGGCAGGGGGAGGCGUCCCGCUCUCCAUCAUCUCCGGAAGAAGAUCCCCCGAAGACGAGCUCUACUGAGAAGGGCUGAGGUCCGAGCUACAAGGUAAAAUUUCGGUUAAUCUUCUCAGAUAUAAAUCAAGGAUUUCUCUCAUCCCUCAAAAGGAAAACCUCUCUCUACUUACGGCUCGCUGGAGGGAUGGUCCCUUUGAGGGCGUAGUUUUGCCGAGGAACUCCCCGGCGUUGGACCCUCUGGCGAGGAUUUUCUCCCCCGCUUCGGGGCCAUGGUCUCCGGGUCGUCAGAGGAAGCCCUCUUCUUCCCCUUGGGAGAGGAAUUGUCGGUUCAUCCCUUCGGAGCAGCCUCCUUCGAGGAGGCCAUAGUUCCCUUGUCCUUCCCCUUACUUCCCUCCAAAGGCAUUAUCUUCAACAUCCUGACAAGCACGGGAUCCAGCCUGGUUUCGGGAAGGGGAGCCGGACACCUGAUCAGCUUUGCCUUUGCUAUCCACUCCUGUUUAAAAGGACAACUCUUUUAGGGGCAAGUUUAUGACGAUUAUAUGGAUAGUAGGUCCGGGCACAAGGCUACUUACUUGGGUAUCCGGGCGAUUGCAGCUUAGGCCUGCGUCCUCGGUCAAAUCCAGACACAUCAUUUGUGAUCCGAAGAAUAGUUUAUACAUCUCCACGGGCGUUACGCCCAUAAAAUGCUGGAGAGCUCGUGGUCCCUCCGGAUUAAACUCCCACAGACGAAGGGAGCGACGUUUGCCGGGCAGUGUUCGGCGAAUCAGCAUGACCUGCGUCACCUUGACCAGGUUGAGGUCUCUUUCUAAGAGAUCCCUGAUGCGACCCUGCAACAAGGGCACGUCUUUGGAUAACCCCCAAUCUAAUCCUUUGUUGACCCAUGACGCUAGCCGUGAUGGGGGACCCGAGCGAAAGGCAGGAGGCACCGCCCACUUGGCGCUCCUGGGAACGGUGAUAUAGAACCAUUCUCGUUGCCACAAGCCGAGCUCCUCUUGAAAGGAGCCCUCGGGCCAUGGAGCAUCAGCAUUCUUACUUAUGAUAGCGCCUCCGCACUCUGCGUGCCGUCCCUCGAUCAUCUUCGGCUCCACUCCAAAAGUCUUGAGCCAUAAUCCGAAGUGAGGAGUAACAUGGAGGAACGCUUUGCACACAACGAUGAAUGAGGAAAUGUGGAGGAUGGACUCUGGAGCUAAGUCAUGAAAUUCCAUCCCGUAAUAAAACAGCAGCCCACUCACGAAGGGAUCCAUCGGGAAGCCUAACCCCCGAAGGAAGUGAGACAUGAACACUAUGCUCUCGCCGGGCUGGGGACUGGGAAUAGCCUGCCUUUGAGCAGGCAACCUAUGCGAAAUUUCGGCGGUCAAGAACUUAGCCUCUCUCAACUUUAGCACGUCAGGAACGCUUCGCACACAACGAUGAAUGAGGAAAUGUGGAGGAUGGACUCCGGAGCUAAGUCAUGAAAUUCCAGCCCGUAAUAAAACAGUAGCCCCCUCACGAAGGGAUCCAUCGGGAAGCCUAACCCCAGAAGGAAGUGAGACAUGAACACUACGCUCUCGCCGGGCUUGGGACUGGGAAUAGCCUGCCUUUGAGCAGGCAACCUAUGCGAAAUUUCGGCGGUCAAGAACUUAGCCUCUCUCAACUUUAGCACGUCCUCCUUCGUGACGGAGGAGGGCAUCCAUCGGCCUUGAAGGUCGGAACCGGACAUUGUCGAAGGUCCGAAGCGCCUGGAAUCUGGAGCCUAGGGUGUUGGAACUCGAGGCGACGAGCGAACUUGUUUUGGGAUUGGAGAAAAGGAGUAAGGCCCUGGUCCCUUUAUCAGAGGUUGAAUACCAGGAGCCCUCCCCGUAACCGUUUGGGACUCACCUUUAAUCGAGAAAACAUGCUAACGGGCACGAUUGGGUUACCCACGUCCGUAUUGAUGAGAAUCCCAUAAAAGGGGGGCACACGAUCUCUGCUUUGACAAGACGUGCCAAGGAAACCGCCUCGCAAAACACGCUGAGGUGGAAAAGUGAAAAUGAUUCGAGUGAAGGACUUGGCUGUAGUGGGAUGACGCACUGCGGAAUACGUCAGCAGAUUUGAUUUGUGUUAAUAUUAUUCUCUCUAUGGCAAUAUGUGGAAGCUUAUUUUGCAUAACCGGACACUACUCUUGGUGUUUACAAUCUUCUAUGAAGGACUUGGAGGAGGAACCCGCCUUGCAAUGCCGAAGAAUAUUUGCGCGCCGGACUCAUCGUCAUUGAAGCUUGGUUCAGGGGCUACUGAGGGAGUCCUGGAUUAGGGGGUGUUCGGGUAGCCGGACUAUACCUUCAGCCGGACUCCUGGACUAUGAAGAUACAAGAUUGAAGACUUCGUCCCGUGUCCGGAUGGGACUUUCCUUGGCGUGGAAGGCAAGCUUGGCGAUGUGGAUAUUCAAGAUCUCCUACCAUUGUAACCGACUCUGUGUAACCCUAACCCUAUCCGGUGUCUAUAUAAACCGGAGGGUUGUAGUCCAUAGGCAAUCAACUCCAUACACAACAAUCAUACCAUAGGCUAGCUUCUAGGGUUUAGCCUCCUUGAUCUCAUGGUAGAUCUACUCUUGUACUACCCAUAUCAUCAAUAUUAAUCAAGCAGGAGUAGGGUAUUACCUCCAUCAAGAGGGCCCGAACCUGGGUAAAAAACAUCGUGUCCCUUGUCUCCUGUUACCAUCCGGCCUAGAUGCACAGUUCGGGACCCCUACCCGAGAUCCGCCAGUUUUGACACCAAAAACGACGAUGCGGGAGACGAAGAGGAACCACUGCCCAUAGGGCACUGGACAUCCACCUCAUCAUAUGAUAUAUACAUGUUGGACACACCCAAAGAAGGCAAUGGCGACGAGACAACGGAGGAUGACCCCUCCAAGAAGCAACCCAAGCGUCGGCGUCAGCGGCGCCGCUCUAAGUCCCGUCAAGGCAAAAGUGGUGAUAUCGGCACAGGAGAUAAUAGCACUCCGGACAGUGCCGGAGACGGCAACAAUCCCCUCCAACAAGAUUUAGGGCAGGAGGAUGGAGAAGCCACCCUCCAGUGAGAGCGGCAGAUGGAGAGGCGGAGGAUGAUAAUUACAUGCCUCCCUCCGAAGACGAGGCAAGCCUCGACGAUGACGAAUUCGUCGUUCCUGAGGAUCCCGUCGAACAAGAGUGCUUCAAGCACCUUAAGAAAAAGUAGCAACAGCUUCAAGCUGAUCAAGAUUUGCUAGCUGACAGAUGGACUGAAGUCUUGGCGGCCGAGGAAUAUAAACUUGAACGCCCCUCCAAGAGUUUCCCAAAGUGCAAGUUGCUACCCCGACUGGAGGAGGAAGCACCGAAACCUACAUCCCCGACGUAUGACGCGGCUGAUCGGCCACCUCAUGGCCGCGACAGAGAGACAUUCCAGCCAAAAGCUCAGCCCGCACCCCGACUCCAUUCAAAUAAAAAGGCAUGGGGAAUACGCCAGACCUGCGAGACGUAUUGGAGGACAAAGCAAAACAUGCAAGAUCGAUCUACGGAUCACGAGGGCGCGCCACUAUGCCAGACGAUAAUCGUCACACCGGAUACAGUAAAAGUAAGUCCGGCCAGGCCGAACACAGCGGGCAAGACUCAUUCGAGCUGCGUCGUGACAUAGCCCAGUAUAGAGGCGCCGCACACCCCCUAUGCUUCACAAAUGAAGUAAUGGAUCAUCAAAUCCCAUAGGGUUUCAAACCCGCAAAUAUAGAAUCAUACGACAGCACAACAGAUCCUGCGGAAUGGAUCGAGGAUUUCCUCCUGCAUAUCCACAUGGCCCGCGGUGACAAUCUACACGCCAUUAAAUACCUCCCACUGAAGCUCAAAGGAACAGCUCGGCAUUGGCUCAAUAGCUUGCCAGUAGAGUCCAUUGGCUGUUGGGAGGAUCUGGAAGCCGCAUUCCUCGACAACUUCUAGGGCACUUACGUGCGACCCCCAAAUGCCGAUGACUUGAGCCACAUAAUUCAGCAGCCAGAGGAAUCGUCCAGGCAAUUCUGGACACGGUUCCUAACAAAGAAAAAUCAAAUCGUCGACUGUCCGGAUGCAGAGGCCCUAGCAGCUUUUAAGCACAACAUCCGCGAUGAGUGGCUCGCCUGGCACCUUGGCCAUGAAAAGCCGAAAUCUAUGGAAGCCUUCACGACAUUCAAGACCCGCUUUUGUGCGGGAGAAGACAGCUGGCUGGCUCGCAGCAAUAACAUAUCAAAGAACCAUGGUACUUCGAACACCAAGGAUGGCAAUGGCAGGUCGCGUCACAACAAACAUAAGCGCCGCUUUAACAGCGACAAUACCGAGGAUACGGCAGUCAAUACCGGAUUGAAAGGCUCUAAACCCGAUAAGUGGAAAAAGCCAUUCAAAAGAAGCACUCCGGGCCCGUCCAGUUUGAACCGUAUACUCGAUCGCUCAUGCCAAAUACACGGCACCCCGACAAGCCAGCCAACCACACCAACAGGGAUUGUUGGGUGUUCAAGCAGGCCAGCAAGAUAAAUGCCGAAAACAAAGAUAAGGGGUCACAUAGCGAUGACGAGGAGGAGCCCCGGCAGCCGAACACCGGAGGACAGAAGAGGUUCCCCCCACAAGUGCGGACACUGAACAUAAUAUACACAACCCACAUCCCCAAGAGGGAGCGGAAGCGUGCGCUUAGGGACGUAUAUGUGUUGGAGCCAGUCGCAUCAAAGUUCAACCCAUGGUCCUCUUGUCCGAUCACCUUCGAUCGCAGAGACCACCCCACUAGUAUCCGUCAUGGCGGAUUCGCCGCACUGGUCCUAGACCCAAUCAUUGACAGAUUUCACCUCACUCGAGUCCUAAUGGAUGGCGGCAGCAGCCUGAACCUGCUUUAUCAGGACAUAGUGCGCAAAAUGGGUAUAGACCCCUCAAGGAUCAAACCCACAAAAACGACCUUUAAAGGUGUCAUACCAGGUGUAGAGGCCCAUUGCACAGGCUCAGUAACACUGGAAGUGGUCUUCGGAUCUCCGGAUAACUUCCGAAGUGAAGAGUUAAUCUUCGACAUAGUCCCGUUUCAUAGUGGCUACCAUGCACUACUCGGGCGAACCGCAUUUGCGAGAUUCAAUGCGGUACCGCAUUAUGCAUAUCUCAAGCUCAAGAUGUCAGGACCUCGGGGGGUCAUAAUAGUCAAUGGAAACACAGAGCGCUCUCUCUGCACGGAGCAGCAUACUGCGGCCCUCGCAGCAGAAGUGCAAAGUAGCCUCUUAAGGCAAUCCACUAGUUCGGCGAUUAAGGACUCGGACACCUUCAAGCGCGCCCAGAGUAAUCGGCAACAGGACCGCCUGGCACGUUCCGAGCUCGCAUAGCAAUGCGGGCCCCACCCCGGCCCCAGCCAAACGGCGAAAUCUGUGCCACGCGUACAUAAUUACGCAUUAAAAAUACCAUGGGCACAGGCGGGGAGGGGGCACGACUGCAGCACGCUCCAAGUCGUGGCUUAAACUGCACUAGGGGCUUCCCGCUUUGUUAUUUUUCUCUUUCAGGACUUUAAUCUCUGGAAACCCUGUCCGGCAGCAUGAUUGCCGAACACAUGAUGCAGCAACCAAGGAGGCAGAAAGCUACGUCACACCUUGGAACUCCCAGGUGGAUUACGAUAACGAGUGAAAUAUUUGCUUUAAUACUAUUCCUCAGCUUGCCCUUGGAAGGGACAUGUCAAACAGUCCUACUUUUUGCUUAUCACACUCCUUGUAUCAUUCUGCUUUAACACACCUUUUUGAAUAAACAAUGCAUAUCAUUAAGACUAUUAUUGCAUUCUUCCUUUAUAUAUAUAUAUAUAUAUGUUCAUUCACGACAUCUAGAACCCGUACACUCUGGUACGGCCAAUACGCUACGGGCUUAAGAAUACCCCAUAAUACGGCGUGAGAAGUCCGAACACUUUCGACAGUGCGGCACCCCGAACUUAUAGCAUUAUAUGCAUCAGCUCUGAAUCAUGUCUUGGGUCAAUAGUUGGGUUUGCCCGGCUCCCAUGUUUUGGUACCUUACGUUCCGCUAUAUCGGCUAAGGUAGCAUUGGGAGAACUACUGUGAUUGUGCCCCGGUUCUGCUGGGCUAAGCACCUCAGUAGAGAAAGCUAAAACUAACUAUCAUGAUAAGGCGAGAGACUGGUCGCUGUUCGAGAGGUUUCGAGUCCCUAAAGACUUAUGCCGCUUAGAGCGAGGAGUCGGCCCUGUCCGGCUUAAGGUGCGUAUCGCGCCCCGAAUUCGGCCUUCCGAAUACUAGGGCUUCGCCGAAAUUUAAAAUUAUAGAAUUUUAUGGCUAAGUGAGAGUGAUAACGCAUUAUAGUCCGAUUGCCUUGUUCGUUGUGCUGAGCACCUCCCUCGAAGGACCCAACAAUGGGAACAAGAGUGCUCAGGUUUAUCCCGAACACCCCAGCACUCGUGGCAUGGGGGCAGAAGCCGACGACUAGCCAUCUCUCAGAUUUGAUAAACAGCCGAACAGAAGGUAAUAUUUUCAAUUCAGACAAGCGUUGCAUAGCGCAUAUGAACAAUUUUUCAUAAUACAGGAUUACAUGAGCAAGUUUGUUCAAAUAUUACAUCUUUCGCACACUCGUCUGCUACAAGACGGGCACCCUUCAGGACACCCUCAUAGUACAUCUCGGGGUGGCGAUGCUCCUUGCCCUGCGGCAGCCCCUCCUUCACCAGCUUCACGGCGUCCAUCUUGGCCCAUUGCACCUUGACACGAGCGAAAGCCUAGCGUGCACCUUCGAUGCAGACGGACCACUUAAUGACUUCUAGCCGUGGGCAGGCAUCCACAAGCCACCUCACCAGGCCGAAGUAGCUGUUGGGAAGGGCGUCGCUAGGCCACAUCCGGACUAUAAAGCCCUUCAUGGCCUGCUCGGCCGCCUUGUGCAGCUCGACUAGUUGCUUCAGCUGGUCGCUCAGAGGCAUAGGGUGUUUGGUCCCAGUAUACUGAGACCAGACCAGCUUCUCCAUUGAGCUUCCCUCCUCGGCCUGGUAAAACUGUGCGGCAUCCGACACAUUGCGGGGCAAAUCUGCGAAUGCUCCUGGAUAGCUCCGGAUUUGGGUAAGUAACAAGUAAUUUACUUUCACAUGCUUGCUUUGCAUAUAGAAUGCCUUACCUGCCGCUAUCUUCUUCAUCGCAUAAAUCUCCUGGAGAGCCUUUUGGGCGUCGGCCUUGGCAUUCUUUGCACUCUCUAGGGCCGCGGCAAGCUCGAACUCUCGCGUCUUCAAGUCAAGCUCGAACGCCUCGUGCUUCGUCACGAGAGCGUGGAGCUCAUGCUGCACCUCGCCCACCCAUGCCUCCUGCCUUUCCCGCUCGGUGCGCUCCUUGGCCACUUUAUUUUCGGCCUCGGAUAGCACUUGCUUCAGGGUCGCCACCUCGGUCGUGGCCCCUGGCAAAUUUACGAUGAUCCUGUCAUUUUGCAAUCGCAUUCUUUAUAUAUAUAUAUAUCCAUAGAGUAGGAACUACUUACCUUUGUUCUCCUCGAGCCACCUCUUGGCAAGGCCGAUCUCUUCCUUGGACCCUUCGAGGUCCUGCUUCAGUGUGGCGACCUCCGCAGUCAGUGCGGUAGAGGCCAGCAGCGAAGCCUUCAUAUGCAUAUAGACAUACUUAAAUUAGACUCCUGUGAUAUUGUUUGAUCCUCUAUUUGGCUUUUCUUUGUGAACACCGAACAGAGCAUCAGGGGCUACUGUCUAUGCGGUAAUAUUUUUCCUAUAUUUCAAAUACUUACCUCAAAGCCUGUUAGAACACUGGCACAGGCUUCAGUCAGUCCGCUCUUGGUGGACUAAACCUUCUGGAUCACCGCACUCAUAAUAGUGCGAUACUCUUCAUUGAUGGAAGCGUUGUGAAGCGCUCCCAGCAUAUUGUCCGGUGCCCCUAGCUAGGCAAAGGUCACCGGCACAGGCGUUUUUCCCCUUUUGGAAGGAGGCCGCCUGCCCGAGUCCGGAACCACUGGGGGUUCCGGCGUGGUGUUCGGCUGAGGGCCGAACUCGGAGCCCUCGGGGGCCUUACUCCCUCUGCUCCUGGAGUCCGGAAGGUCGCCUUGAGGCGCCUCCGGGAUUGUCUCCCCUCGACCUGAUGCCUCUUGAGACAAUACCUCAGCAUUGUCCGAAGGGCACGGGGAGGUGGCGGUCGGAAGUGGAUCCCUAUCCAUAUCCGACAAGUCCAAGGAGCCGCCUGACGAAGAUACGUCGAUACGGGCUUGGGGCGGUCUGCAUAAUCAUAUUCGGCGUUAGGGAAAGCAGUGCGACGAAGGUAUGCUAUGAGUUACUCUGGUAUCCGAAUACUUACGACUUCGCCAGGGGCUUGGCCAUGAGCAGCCACUCGUCUUCGCCUUCGAUAGCGGUGGUGGAGUAGUCCGGAAGGAGGGUUCUCCCCUUCUUGAACCCUUCGCCCCCCCCCCCGGUCCGGGCGGCCUUCCUUUUCUUGUCUCCCCCGACUAAAGGGGGAGCAUCUUCAUCUUCCUCCUCGUCUUCGGGGGAGGAGUGCAUCGCGGAUUUAUCGGACGAUGAGUCCGAUAACACCUGGCGUCGGGAACUCUUUCGGGUUCCCUUAGCCUUCUUAGUCUUCUCCGGCACCUUGUAAGGAGCCGGAGUCAGCAUCUCCAUCAGGAGAGCGUCCGCAGUGUCUUCGGGCAGAGGGGCCGGACAGUUAAUCUACCCCGACGUCUCCACCCAGUCCUGUCAAAGGCAUGGAGCUCAGACCCCGCACAUGGUUAAGCUAGGGGAAAUAAAAAAUCCUACCAGAUGUAUAGAACUCACCGAAUGCGCUAGGUGCUUCGCCCUUAGCCUGCGGUCCUCGGUGCCCUUGAAUAGCAACCUCUAGACGUCCUUGUGCAUCAUGUCGAAGAGCUCGCUCAGAGUCUGGUGCUGGGCCAGGUCGAACUCCCAAAAGUUGAAAUCCCGUUGUUGACACGGGAGGAUCCGGCGGAUGAGCAUGACCCGGACUAUGUUGACAAGCUUGAGCUUCUUGCUUGCCAUAUUCUGGAUACAUUUCUGGAGUCCGUCCAGCUCCACCGAUGAACCCCAGGAUAGGCCCUCCUCCUUCCAGGAGGUGAGCCGCGUGGGGAUUCUGGAUCGAAACUCGGGGGCCACCACCCAGUUGGUGUCGCGCGGCUCAGUGAUGUAGAACCACGCCGAUUGCCACCCCUUUAUGGUCUCCAUGAAGGAGCCUUCAAGCCAUAUAACAUUGGGCAUCUUACCCACCAUGGCUCUGCCGCAUUCCGCUUGAUAUUGAAGGUCUUUAACCACAGGCCGAAGUGGGGCCGGAUGCGGAGGAAAGCCUCACACACAACGAUGAACGCCGAAAUGUUGAGGAUGAAGUUUGGGGCCAAAUCAUGGAAGUCCAGCCCGUAGUAGAACAUGAGACCACGGACGAAUGGAUGGAGGGGAAACCCCAGUCCGUGGAGGAAGUGGUGGAGGAAAACUACCCUCUCGUGAGGUUCAGGGGUAGGAACGAUCUGCCCCGCAGCGGGCAGCCGAUGCGCGAUAUUCGCGGCUAAGUAUCCGGCUCCGGGCAGCUUCUUGAUGUGUCCCUCCGUAAUGGAGGAAGCCAUCCAUUUGCCUCCCACUCCAGACAUGUUUGGAGAAGGUUGAGGGGAAGGAUGUGGACUUGGGCGUUGGAGCUCGAGUGCGCAAGAACGGAUAAGCAAGGAGGAAGAAGGCAUGGGUAGAGAAAGGUUAAACAUUAUUCCCUUAUAAGGGCGGCCGAAACUAUGCGCCCCCACUAGCCUGGUAAAACUCGCUUAUCCCCCAAGCGCCGUAAUUGAUGGCGCUGUUGGGUUACCCACGACCAUAUUGAUGAGAAUCCCGUAAUAAGAGGGACAUGAUCUCUGCUUUGACAAGACGUGUCAGGAAACUGCCUCGCGUUAUGUGCGGGGCUAGUUAAAGAAAAAUGAUUCGAAUAAUCACCAAGCCAUGGCAUGUUGUCAUGUUGCCAAAACAUGUCAGCAUAUUAGAUUUGUGGAAAUAUUAUUCUCUCUACGGUGGUAUGUGGAACUUAUUUUGCAGGGUCGGACACUAUCCUUGUAUUCAUAUUCUUCCGUGGUGUAUUCGGAGGAGGAACCCGCCUUGCAAUGCCGAAGACAACACUGCGCGCCGCACUCAUCGUCAUUGAAGUCUGGUUCAGGGGCUACUGAGGGAGUCCUAGAUUAGGGGGUCUCCGGACAGCCGGACUAUAUCCUUUGGCCGGACUGUUGGACUAAGAAGAUACAAGAUUGAAGACUUCAUCUCGUGUCCGGAUGGGACUCUACUUGGCGUGGAAGGCAAGCUAGGCAAUACAGAUAUGUAUAUCUCCUCCUUUGUAACCGACCUUGUGUAACCCUAGCCCCCUCUGGUGUCUAUAUAAUCCGGAGGGUUUUAGUCCGUAGGACAACAUACAAUCAUACCAUAGGCUAGCUUCUAGGGUUUAGCCUCUCCGAUCUCGUGGUAGAUCAACUCUUGUAAUACUCAUAUCAUCAAGAAUAAAUCAAGUAGGACGUAGGGUUUUACCUCCAUCAAGAGGGCCCGAACCUGGGUAAAACAUCGUGUUCCCUGCCUCCUGUUACCAUCUGCCUUAGACGCACAGUUCGGAACCCCCUACCCGAGAUCCGCCGAUUUUGACACCGACAUAGGGCCUCUAUUGGGCCGUGCCACGUGUCGACGUAUCAUAGGCGCCUUCUGUCCAAUGAGUGGAUUACAUCUGUCCCAGCGAUGAGCCGACACGUGUUUCCUCCAGCCAAUGAUGAUUUUACACGUGGAAAAUCCCCAUUGGUCGGGGCUGUUAACGGGUUAUCAGAUCCAAAACUUGACCCGAUAGCUUAACGGCGUUCUGUUAUGGUGGAUGCCACGUGUCAGUCACCCUUGACGAAAGCACUUGUGUGACGCGCGAUUUAUCGUCAUGGAAGUGGACACUUCCGUGAUGAUAAUUUUGGUAAUGUCAUGGAACACUUCUACGAUAGCGCAGGUAUGACUAUCUUGAUUCUGUCAUAAAUUUGUCAUGCAUGUACAUGCAUGACAGAAAACGGGACCUACUGUGACAAACACGUAUCAUCACAGAAGUGUAUUUUUUUUGUAGUGAAGUUUGGGUAUGUAUAAGAGAUGUUGGAGUUGGGAACAAGUUAGGGGGGUCCCCGAGGCGGCCAUGAGAUUGGGGGGGGGGGUUGCCCCCACCCUCGUGGUGGCCUCGGGACUCCUCUGGUCCAUCUACGGUACUCUGUGAGCUUCUUCUGGUCCAAAAAUAAUCUCCGUAAAAUUUUAGGUCAAUUGGACUCCGUUUGGUUUUCCUUUUCUGCGAUACUCAAAAACAAAGAAAAAACAAAAACUGGCACUAGGCUCUAGGUUAAUAGGUUAGUCCCAAAAAUCAUACAAAAUAGCAUAUAAAACAUCCAAGGUUGAUAAUAUAAUAGCAUGGAACAAUCAAAAAUUAUAGAUACGUUGGAGACAUAUAUGCAUCCCCAGGCUUAAUUCCUCCCCGUCCUCGAGUAGGUAAUGAUAAAAACAGAAUUUUUGAUGUGGAAUGCUACCUAACAUAUUUAUCCAUGUAAUUCUCUUUAUUGUGGCUAGAAUAUCCAGAUCCGAAAGAUUCAAGACAAAAGUUUUUGACAUAAAAAUAAUAAUACUUCAAGCAUUCUAACGAAAUAAUCAUGUCUUCUCAAAAUAACAUGGCCAAAGAAAGCUAUCCCUACAAAAUCAUAUAGUCUGGCUAUGCUCUAUCUUCAUCACACAAAAUAUUUAAAUCAUGCACAACCCCGAUGACAAGCCAUACAAUAGUUUCAUACUUUUGAUGUUCUCAAACUUUUUCAAUUUUCAUGCAAUACAUGAGCAUGAGCCAUGGACAUAGCACUAUAGCAGGAAUAGAAUGUUGGUUGUGGAGAAAACAAAAAGGAGAAGACAUUCUCACAUCAACUAGGUGUAUCAACGGGCUAUGGAGAUGCCCAUCAAUAGAUAUCAAUGUGAGUGAGUAGGGAUUGCCAUGCAACGGAUGCACUAGAGCUAUAAGUGUAUGAAAGCUCAAAAAGAAACUAAGUGAGUGUGCAUCCAACUUGCUUGCUCACGAAGACCUAGGGCAUUUUGAGGAAUCCCAUUGUCGGUGUCAAAACCGGCGGAUCUCGGGUAGGGGGUCCCGAACUGUGCGUCUAGGCCGGAUGGUAACAGGAGGCAUGGGACACAAUGUUUUACCCAGGUUCGGGCCCUCUUGAUGGAGGUAAAACCCAACGUCCUGCUUGAUUGAUAUUGAUGAUAUGGGUAGUACAAGAGUAGAUCUACCACGAGAUCAGAGAGGCUAAACCCUAGAAGCUAGCCUAUGGUAUGAUUGUAUGUUAUGGUUGUUGUCCUACGGACUAAAACCCUUCGAUUUAUAUAGACACCAGAGAGGGUUAGGGUUACACAAGGUCGGUUACAAAGGAGGAGAUAUGCAUAUCCGUAUUGCCUAGCUUGCCUUCCACGCCAAGUAGAGUCCCAUCCGGACACGAGAUGAAGUCUUCAAUCUUGUAUCUUCAUAGUCUGACAGUCCGGCCAAAGGAUAUAAUCCGGCUGUCCGGAGACCCCCUAAUCCAGGACUCCCUCGGUAGCCCCCGAACCAGGCUUCAAUGACGAUGAGUCCGACGCGCAGUAUUGUUUUCGGCAUUGUAGGGCGGGUUCCUCUCCAAAUUCCGUGUACAUGUCGAAAUAGUGUCCAGCCUCUUGUGAAUGUUGCACUCCUUCGCUUCCACGCCCAAUAAUGGCCACUUUCCACGUGUCGAGCAAAUGUGAAGAGCCAGGGUGUUUUUACAUUCCCCCCCUAGAUGUGUGAAUGAGCUGCCUAUUAAAAAGACAAGGAUUUAGAUCCAAAUCACACCAUCCUCCCUUGGCGAGCCUUCAUCGGAGCGCAUUCGACAGAGAUCCAUUCCAUCAUGGUCGAUCGACGCUCCUCCUCUCGCUCCCCUAGCCCCAAGCCUGGAGAUUGGGAGAGAUGAUCCGUCCCGCACAGCAAAUUAGUGAUGCUUCAGACCAAGGGAUUUCUUCCCCCAGCAUACAUGGUCCCGGUUCAAGCCGGGCUUGCCACCUAUAAUGGCGGAGAGCAAGCGGAGAGCCUUCCCAAUCCCUCCAAGGGAGAGCGGGUAUGACUUGUCCCUUAUUUGGUAAGAGGGCUCGGAUUUCCAAUUCAUCCGUUUCUACGGCGGCUCCUGGAGUUCUACGGCCUCCAGUUGCACAACCUUACGCCUGCCUCCAUGCUGCACAUCGCGGGAUUCGUAGCCCUUUAUGAGUUGUUUUUGGGCUGUGAGGCUCAGUUCUCUCUGUGGAAGAAGUUGUUCUGCUUUUUGCCCUGUUCUCAGAAGGGGUCAAUAUAUCAAGUGGUCGGAGCUGAAGUGUGGCGUAUUGCCGGGACAGGUUACCUGUCCGGAACCCCAAAGAUGACAUUCGAAGACUGGCCUUCAGAAUGGUUUUAUAUAGAAGACGCCCCCUCCCGGAUCCUAUUAGAAUCGGCCUUCCUGAGUUCGACAACGCCCCUUUGAAGAUGACAGGUAUGUUGUUUACCUAAUGAGCCGGAUAAGUUUUUUAGCUCGAUCCGGAUUGACCAUGAUCGAGGUCAUGGCCAUAUGUAUUAUGCGGGGGGUGCAGCCGCUUCAAUAUAGAGGCCACCCCAUGUGGGAUUUCAACGGGGAGGAUGACGCCACCCGCCACGGCCGCAAAGGGCCGGGAUCGGUUGCUGAUCUAAUAAAGAUCUUAUCCACUUUGUACAAGGGAGAAGAGGAGGAAUUCCUUCGUGUCAACCCGCAGGGCGGAUUUUCUAUGUACAAUCCUCCGAGCUGGGUAAGCGGAGACUUUUUCUCGCCCAUCCGUUUCGUAUUCCCGUAGUUAAGUAUUCAGUCUAGCGAUUUCAUCGCAGGAGCUGCGCCAGGCUGUAAAGGAGAUAAACAGCCCCCCUCCACAACCCGAGGACCCUGGACGGUCCCUUGACCCGGCCUCCCAGGAGGAUCCGGAUAUAUCUGUGGUGCUGAUCGAUGGGGUAUUUUACCAAUCGAGUAAUGACAACGCUUUGGUGGCCAUUACGGCCGAUUACCCCGGGCUACUUCCAGCCUCACAGGUGACUGAGACCGAAGUCCUAGCACUUCGAAAAGGGAUUCGUCCUUGUGUGUUUUUGAUUGCCGUAUAACAUCUGUGUUUUGCAGGGGAGGUCCUCGAGGCGGAAGGCCGAGCCUGCGGCGACUAGCCAACAAGGGGCCGCGAGGCCAGGCAGGCUGAAAAGACCCGCAGUCCGGAUUGAGACACCGGCACAACGGUAUGGCAUGCCGUCUUUAUUGCAAGACAUUAUUCUCAGAGGCAUAUUAACGCCCAUGCCUUCUUUUCAGGAAAAAGAGCGCUCGCCGGACUAUACCCAUAGAGGCAACUAAUCGCGCCUCCACCAGCAAGGCUCCAAGGCCGGAUUCGGAGGCGGGAACAAGGCGUGCGCAGGGCGCUCCUCCGGCAGAGAAUGCAGACAAACUGUCUGCCACCAAUUCCGAGGUGGAAAGUGCCAUGAACCACAGGCGUCACCGGACUGUUCUUCGUGACGCUUGUUUCUCCCAAGAGGCAUUGGAUGCCUUCAACUCGGGAGAUGCAUACCUCUGUGCCGCUCAAAAUGGUCUAUCCAGAGCCAUGGAGCAGUAUGUAAAAGACAUACGGGUGAGAAAAUUUGGUGAUUAUAUAUAUAUCAGUAGCCCCUGAGACUUGAAACAGUUAGAAUAACUGAUUUAAGGAUCACUUGUUAUGCAGGCUCUUACCGAAAAUAAUACUCAACUGUCCCAGGAGCUGGAAGAGUGCAGAGCCCAACUUCAGGCCGCAUUGGCCACGGAGGGGGAGCCCAAAGAGACCCCCUCUGGUAACAUAUCCUUCGAAUGAUAAGUGUCAUAUAGGAUGCGGCAUAUAUGCAGAUCUGACAAUAAAAAUUGCAGAUGACGCUGGAGUAAAUCCGGAUAAGCAACAACUCCUAUGCGAGCUGAAGGCCAGUGAGAGUGUGCUUAUGAGGGUGAGGCAGGAGAAGAAUGAUCUCCUAGAUGCCAACACCAAGCUGGGCGUGGAACUAAAAGAUGUUUGUGCCCAACUGCCAGACUCUGUUAAGGAGAAUCGGCGGUUUCGACGCGGCAUAUUUAGUAGUGCUUGAAUGAACUUUGAAAAAGAGUUCGGUGAGGAAGCUGGCUGAUAGAGUUAUGUCUGUAGGUAUGCUAACAGGUCUUCCUGCCGAGGAAAUGCCCGGUUCAAUGGGUGACCUUCUUCCCGAGCUCUCACAGCUGCACGAACGAGUUCGGCAGGUGAUGCAAGGCGUCGCCCAGGCCUUGUGGCCAUCCGUCUCCAUACCCGAAGGCCUUGGAGAGCUUGAAGAAAAGCUGAAGGGAGCGCGGCGGCACUUCCGAUUAUGGAAGAUAUCGGCCUGCCAUUAGGGCGCCAGGGAAGCCUGGGCAAUGGUGAAGAAACGGUACACGAAGGCUGACCCGAACCACAUGGCCGAAGUCGGACCUGUGGGGCCUGAUGGGAAGGAGAUCCCUGUGAGCUUAGUGUAUGGCCAAGUAGAAUUGGCCGCAAAGUAUUCCCAACAGGACUGUAGACUAGACAGCCUAUUGGAUGGUAUUGAAGAGGAAUUCAACUAGUCAAAUUGACUAUGUAAUUUAAAGUGACAUGUAUAAUGCCUUCUAGCCGGAUUGUAGAUUGUUUUUCAUGGCGGACCUUUUCGCUUCAACCUCAGGACCCGACGGUCCGGAGUGUAUCCGAAUACCCUCUCGAUUAUGUAAGAACCGGAGCAUGCGUGGAGACCAGGCGUAGGGGUCAUUAGUGCUUUAUCAGACAAGUGCCCAACUAGUUAUGUUAUAUUACAUGGGUAGUAAGACACAUCUUCCAGGGAGAAUAGUUCUAUUAAGGGUUAGCAUGCCCUAAAGUGCAUGUCCGGACUGCGAUAAGAAGCGCAGAAAAAGCAUCUGGGGGCAAAUAUGGAUAAUAAAUAAAAGUCAUAUUUUGUUCACCGACCGAAUAUUCCCUUAAGAAUGCUAGCUUUCGGCUUCACCCAGUCUGAGGUACACAUCCGGCUGACCCGGUGGUAACAAUCGCAGAGGUGCUCCCCUUAUGCCCUAGAAGAAUUAACAGGAACGUAGGGCAUAAAUACAAGAGCCAGGCAACCCAGCUUGGCCAAAACUUAAGUCAUAUCGAUGCAUAUAAUGGUGAAAAAAGGUACAUGCGGAAGUAUAACACACGUGUUGGGCGUGAGGCCCAGGUAAAUAAUUUAAGCUUCUGUGAAGGAAGCCCCCAGGUAUGGAGAGUGCGGCUAGCGCAUUUGUAAUGUACAAGUGAGGCACAAGGUGACCCUUGAAGGCCUAGAGAAAUAAUAAGAAAAAUAAAGAAAGGGAAACAAGACGGAUGAUGCAUAUGCAGAAAAUGGACAAAGGGAGGGGACUAACAUAGAGUCCGGUGGUAGGCGUAGAAUCUUCGAACCUGGCUGCGUUCCAUGGGUUCGGCUCGAGUCGACUAGUCGAUGCAUCCCGCAGUCGGUAUGCUCCACCGGUCAGUACUUGGUCGAUAAUGAAGGGACCUUCCCAUUUGGGCUUGAGCUUGUUCUUUUUCUUAUCCGGCAGUCGUAGAACUAGUUCGCCAAUGUUAUAAGUUUUGGCCCGUACUUCUCUGCUUUGGUAUCUGCGAGCCUGUUGCUGGUAAAAUGCGGAACGAGCUUUGGCUAUGUCGUGCUCUUCCUCCAAGGUGUCCAGACUGUCCUGCCGAUCGAGCUCGACUUCUCUUUCUUUGUACAUGCGCACUCGAGGUGAGUCAUGAAUUAUGUCACGGGGCAAGACUGCCUCUGCGCCGUACACCAUAAAAACGGUGUAUAUCCGGUACUACGAUUCGACAUGGUCCGCAACCCCCAGAGUAUGGAGUCGAGCUCCUCUACCCAGUGCGUGUCAGACUCCGUUAAGGAAUGCACUAAUCUGGGUUUAAUGCCACUCAUUAUAAGACCGUUUGCUCGUUCGACUUGACCGUUGGUUUGUGGGUGAUAGACUGAAGCAUAAUCGAGCUCGAUGCCCAUUUUGCUGCACCAGAGUUUUACCUCGUCGGCCAUGAAGUUCGUGCCGUUAUCAGUGAUGAUGUUGUGGGGGACGUCGUAACGGUGUACAACCCUGGAUAUGAAAUCUAUCACUGGUCCGGAUUAUGCUGUUUUAACCAGUUUAGCCUCUAUCCAUUUGGUGAAUUUAUCCACCAUGACCAAUAAGUAUGUUUUCUUGUGGGUUCCCCCUUUAAGGGGUCCAACCAUGUCAAGCCCCAGACCACGAAGGGCCAUGUAAUAGGGAUUGUUUGGAGGGCGGUGGGUGGCAUGUAGCUUUGAUUUGCAAAGAGCUAGCAACCGGCGCAACGUUGGACCAAGUCCUGUGCAUCUGCCCGGGCCGUUGGCCAAUAGAAUCCUGUACGGAAGGCCUUGCUUACAAGAGCCCGGUCUGCGGCGUGAUGACCGCCGAGUCGGGCGUGAAUUUCUGCCAAAAGGUUCCGCCCUUCCUCUUCGGAGAUGCACCUUUGAAGGACUCCGGUAGUGCUUUUCUUGUACAAUUCUCCCUCAUGGACCCUGUAGGCCUUGGAUCGCCGCACUAUGCAGCGUGCCUCAUUUUGGUCUUCCGGAAUGUCCUAUCUAGUUAGGUAGGCCAGGAAUGGUUCUGUCCACGGGGUAAUAAUGGCCAUUAUUUCGUGGGCUGAAUGUGUUAUUUCGGUGGCGGAGCCUCCGAUUGUGUCAGAGAGUUCGAUAUCGGGUAUUUUGGCCGGGUCCGGACUAUUGUUACCGGUGUCCCCUUCCCAUGCAAUGGAUGGCUUGAAGAGCCUUUCCAGAAAUAUGUUGGGAGGGACCGCGUCGCGUUUUGCGCCGAUGCGGGCGAGGAUAUCCGCCACCUGAUUAUUUUCCCGAGCCACAUGGUGAAAUUCGAGCCCCUCGAACCGAGCUGACAUUUUUAGGACGGCAUUGCGAUAAGCUGCCAUUUUCGGAUCCUUGGCAUCAAAGUCUCCAUUUAUUUGGGAUAUCGCAAGGUUUGAAUCCCCGCGCACCUCAAGGCGUUGAAUGCCCAUGGAUACUGCCAUCCGGAGACCAUGUAGAAGGGCCUCAUAUUCAGCUGCGUUGUUGGAGUCCGUAUACAUUAUCUGUAGUACAUAUUGAACUGUAUCUCCUGUUGGGGACGUUAAAACGACGCCAGCCCCCAGACCAGCCAACAUUUUGGAGCCGUCGAAGUGCAUGAUCCAGUUUGAAUAUGUGUCGUACUCCUUAGGGAGUUCAGCUUCCGUCCACUCGGCGACGAAGCCAGCCAAAACUUGCGACUUAAUAGCUCGCCGUGGCUUGUAAGUUAUGUCGAACGGGAGGAGCUCAAUGGCCUAUUUGGCAAUCCGGCCCGUCGCGUCGCGGUUGUUUAUAAUAUCGUUAAGUGGUACUUCCGAGGCUGCCGUUAUCGAACACUCUUGAAAGUAGUGUCGCAGCUUCCGGGAUGCCAUAAAUACCGCGCACGCUAUCUUCUGAUAAUGCGGGUACCGUGAUUUGCAUGGAGUAAGGACAGUGGACACAUAGUAAACCGGCUUUUGAAGGGGGAAUUUGUGUCUGUCCAUUUCUCGCUCGACGACCAGCACUGCGCUUACUACUUGAUGAGUUGCCGCAAUGUAUAAUAGCAUUGGUUCGCCAAUGUUUGGCGCGGCCAGGACUGGGUUUGUUGCCAAUAUGGCUUUUAUUUUGUUGAGUCCGGCCACGGUGGCAUCCGUCCACUCGAAGUGUUCAGUGCGCCGGAGGAGGCAAUAAAGGGGUAAUGCCGUUUCUCCCAAGCGGCAGAUAAAGCGGCUUAGAGCCGCCACGCAUCCGGUUAAUUUUUGUAUUUGUUUGAGGUCUGUUGGGGGAGCCAACUGUGACAAUGCUCGGAUUUUGGCCGGAUUAGCUUCAAUACCUCUACUGGAGACAAUGAAUCCCACGAGUUUUUCGGCUGGUAUGCCGAAAACACAUUUUUCCGGAUUGAGCUUGAUGUCAUAUGUUCGGAGGUUAUCGAAUGUGAGCCUCAAGUCGUCGACUAGAGAUUCAACAUGCUUGGUUUUGACGACCACGUCAUCUACAUAUGCCUCCACUGUUUUGCCGAUCUGGUUUGCCAGACAUGUCUGAAUCAUGCGCUAAUAUGUUGCGCCGGCGUUUUUGAGCCCGAAGGGCAUUGUGUUGAAGCAGAAUGGGCCAUAUGGUGUGAUGAAUGCCGUUGCGGCUUGGUCUGGCUCUGCCAUUUUAAUUUGAUGGUAGCUGGAGUAUGCGUCGAGGAAACACAAUGAAUCGUGUCCUGCGGUAGCAUCGAUGAUUUGAUCGAUGCGGGAAGGGGGAAGGGAUCCUUUGGGCAGGCCUUGUUAAGGUCCUUAAAAUCGACGCACAAGCGCCAGGAUUUGUCCUUCUUUGGUACCAUCACCAGGUUUGCUAGCCAGUCCUGAUGUUUUAUGUCUCUGAUGAAUCCGGCCUCCAAUAGCUUGGCUAGUUCCUCUCCCAUGGCUUGUCUCUUAGGUUCGGAGAAACGCCGAAGAGCCUGCUUGACUGGCUUGAAUCCUUUUAGGAUAUUUAGGCUGUGCUCGGCCAACCUGCAUGGGAUUCCUGGCAUGUCUGAAGGGUGCCAGGCAAAAAUGUCCCAGUUCUCGCGUAGGGACUCUCGUAGUGCGACGUCGACAUCAGGGUUUAAUUUUGCCCCGAUGGAAGUUGUUUUUGUAGGGUCCGUCGGAUGGACUUGGAAUUUGACUAUUUCGUCCGCCGGUUUAAAGGAGGUGGACUUGGAUCUUUUAUUGAGUAUCACGUCGUCCCUGUUCACCGUGGGGCGCAGCGCAGUUAGUUCCUCGGCCGCAAGGGUUCAGACAGUGCCUCGAGGGCCAGUGCGGCUAUCUUAUUUUCGGCACGGUGUGCUAUGUCCGGAUCACAAGCAAGAGUGAUGAUUCCGUUGGGCCCAGGAAUUUUGAGCGUCAUGUACCGGUAAUGGGGUAUGGCUUGGAAGAUUGUAAACGCCUCCCGCCCUAACAGAGUGUGGUAUCCGCUGCUGAACGGGGACACUUGGAAUGUAAUUUCUUCGGACCUGUAAUUAUCCGGCCUGCAGAAUACCACAUCUAGUGUGAUUUUCCUAGCACAGCGUGCUUCCUGACUGGGGAUGAUUCCUCUAAAGGUUGUGCUACUUUGCUCAAUGCGGCUCCAGUCUAUUUCCAUCUUUUGAAGAGUUUCCUCAUAGAUGAGGUUUAACCUGCUGCCGCCGUCCAUGAGUACCUUGGUGAGUCAAAAGCCGUCCAUGAUUGGACUGAGGACUAGUGCGGUUGGUGCUCGGGCUGUUCGGAAUUUAGGUUCGUCAUUGGCAUUGAAGGUAAUAGCCGUGUCGCUCCAAGGAUUUAUUUCUGCUAUGUGGCAGAUUUCGGCCAUGUUGCAGAGUGUUCGCUUGCGUCUAUUAUUUGACGUGAAGGUCUCAAAGACCGUUAACACCGUAUUGUUGUCCACGGGAUGGUGCUCUAUGGUAUUUGGGAGGAGUAGAUCCUCACCACUUUUGGCCACCUGCCGGAGUAUCCAACAUGCUCUAAGGUUGUGCGUUGGUAUUGCAUCCGAUGUACUAUGAAUUUUGCAGGGUCCGUUGAGCCAUCCCUCCAGUACGGUUCCUUGUCCUGUAGAGAGCUUUUUCUUUUUGGUAGUUAACCCAGGUGUAUUGUGAUAAUGCACCCUUUUAUUUCAGAUUGUGUUUGUAUUCAGGGCCGGAUUAUCCCAAAAAAAAAUUCGGUUUUCCAGGCGCUUUCCGUCGCACAGUACUUUUGUACUAUGGACACCAAGUCGACAAAGCGUGUAAUUUCACGGUGACUUAUGGCGUUGAGGAUUCCCUUGUCCGUACACUUAUUGCGGAAGAAUGAAAUUGUGUCUUCCUCGCGGCAAUCCUUUAUCCUAUUCAUGACCAGGAGGGAUCUGGCCCAGUAAUGGUGUACUGUUUCUUCGGGCUCUUGCCUAAUUUGGGAUAGAUCGCUUAUGUUUGGGUGGGUGGGUGGAAUUGAACCUGAAUCCUCACCCAAUCUGAGACUCAGGGGCCAAGGAGUUUCUGAACUCAGAGGUUUGGAUUCUUGGAGGUUUUCCAAUAAAUCUAGCCCGCUGCCUGACUCUAGGCUCAGGUCUUGAGUGACGUCCUCCCCUCCGCGGGUAUCCGGCUUGGAGGGAUCGGGAAUCCGGACAUAGCUAGUCCUUAAGAUAGAUAAAGGGUUUCCGCAUUGUUCCUCCACCACUGCAACGUGAUGGGUGACCUAGGGAGAGGUGAUCUCUCUCAGAUCGUGUUUAGGCCCAAUCUGAUCGUAGUCUGUAGCGACUCCCAGGGCGGCGAUGCGAUCCAAGAGCUCGUUUAGGGAAGAGAGCUCCAUUGGAUCUAACUACUCGGCGAGUUCCGAGUUGACGUGAAGAUUGCUUUUGAUGACCCGAGAAGUCAUCGUCAGCGCGGCGGCCGAACAGGCGGUCAUAAGAAAACCAACUAGCCAGAGAGUUUGGCCGAUAGCCAAAGCUCCCUCAGCAACAAUGUCGUCUUUAAAGAUGGGAUGAGGCAUCCUUCCUGAUGGCGACGGCAUAGCGGAACUCUCAAUGAAAGGACCAAUGUUGGUGUCAAAACCGGCGGAUCUCGGGUAGGGGGUCCCGACUGUGCGUCAAGGCCGGAUGGUAACAGGAGGCAGGGGACACAAUGUUUUACCCAGGUUGGGCCCUCUUGAUGGAGGUAAAACCCUACGUCCUGCUUGAUUGAUAUUGAUGAUAUGGGUAGUACAAGAGUAGAUCUACCACGAGAUCAAAGAGGCUAAACCCUAGAAGCUAGCCUAUGGUAUGAUUGUAUGUUAUGGUUGUUGUCCUACGGACUAAAACCCUUCGGUUUAUAUAGACACCGGAGAGGGUUAGGGUUACACACGGUCGGUUACAAAGGAGGAGAUAUACAUAUCCGUAUUGCCUAGCUUGCCUUCCACGCCAAGUAGAGUCCCAUCCGGACACGAGACGAGGUCUUCAAUCUUGUAUCCUCAUAGUCUAACAGUCCGGCCAAAGGAUAUAAUCCGGCUGUCCGGAGACCCCCUAAUCCAGGACUCCCUCACCCAUCAUUGGAAUAUACAAGCCAAGUUCUAUAAUGAAAGAUUCCCACUAGUAUAUGAAAGUGAAAACAUAGGAGACUCUCUAUCAUGAAGAUCAUGGUGCUACUUUGAAGCACAAGUGUGGUAAAAUGAUAGUAACAUUGUCCCUUCUCUCUUUUUUCUCUUUUUUUUGUUUUUUUCAGGCCUUCUCUUUUUUAUGGCCCAUUUUUUCUUUUAUUUUUUUUAUUUUUCGUCUGGAGUCUCAUCCUGACUUGUGGGGGAAUCGUAGUCUCCAUCAUCCUUUCCUCACAUGGGACAAUGCUCUAAUAAUGAGGAUCAUCACACUUUUAUUUACUUGCAACUCAAGAUUUACAACUCGAUACUUAGAACAAGCUAGGCAAUAUGACAAUGAUGAAGCGUGUAAUAAUAAACAGAACGGUGGAAAGUUGCAUGGCAAUAUAUCUCAGAAUGGCUUUGGAAAUGCCAUAAUAGGUAGGUAUGGUGGCUGUUUUGAGGAAGGUAUAUGGUGGGUUUAUGGUACCGGCGAAAGUUGCGCGGUACUAGAGAGGCUAGCAACGGUGGAAGGGUGAGAGUGCGUAUAAUCCAUGGACUCAACAUUAGUAAUAAAGAACUCACAUAGUUAUUGCAAAAAUCUAUUAGUUAUCAAAAUCAAGUACUACGUGCAUGCUCCUAGGGGGAUAGAUUGGUGGGAAAAGACCAUCGCUCGUCCCCAACCGCCACUCAUAAGGAAGACAAUCUAAAAAUAAAUCAUCCUCCGACUUCCUUACAUAACGGUUCACCAUAUGUGCAUGCUACGGGAAUCACAAACUUUAACACAAGUAUCUCUCAAAUUCACAACUACUCAACUAGCAUGACUCUAAUAUCACCAUCUUCAUAUCUCAAAACAAUCAUCAAGUAUCAAACUUGUCAUAGUAUUCAAUGCACUUUAUAUGAAAGUUUUUAUUAUACCCAUCUUGAAUGCCCAUCAUAGUAGGACUAAUUUUUUAACCCAAGAAAAUUACCAUGCUGUUCUAAAGGACUCUCAAAAUAAUAUAAAGGAAGCAUGAGAGAUCAACAAUUUCUUCAAAAUAAAACUACUGCCAUGCUCUAACAUAUAUAAGUGAAGUACUAGAGCAAAUGACAAACUACUCCAAAAGAUAUAAGUGAAGAUCAAUGAGUAGUUGAAUAAUUAUGCAACUAUGUGAAGACUCUCUAACAUUUAAGAAUUUCAGAUCUUGGUAUAUUAUUCAAACAACAAGCAAAACAAAAGAAAAUGAAAUGACGCCCCAAGCAAAACACAUAUCAUGUGGUGAAUAAAAAUAUAGCUCCAAGUAAAGUUACCGAUGAACAAAGACGAAAGAGGGGAUGCCAUCCGGGGCAUCCCCAAGCUUAGGCACUUGGUUGUCCUUGAAUAUUACCUUGGGGUGCCUUGGGCAUCCCCAAGCUUAGGCUAUUGCCACUCCUUAUUCCAUAGUCCAUCGAAUCUUUACCCAAAACUUGAAAACUUCACAACACAAAACUUAACAGAAAACUCGUAAGCUUUGUUAGUAUAAGAAAAUAAAUCACCACUUAGGUACUAUUGUGAACUCAUUCUAAAUUCAUAUUGGUGUAAUAUCUACUGUAUUCCAACUUAUCUAUAGUUCAUACCCUCCGAUACUACUCAUAGAUUCAUCAAAAUAAGCAAACAACACAAUGAAAACAGAAUCUGUCAAAAACAGAACAGUCUGUAGAAAUCUGAAGGUUUCGAAUACUUCUGUCACUCCAAAAAUUAUGAAAUAAAUUGGUGGAGCAUAUGAAUUUGUAUACUCCCUCCAUUCCACAAUGUAGUGCCUAUAGAUUUUUCUGAAAUUCAAACUUUCCCAACUUUGACCAAGUGUAUAGAGAAAAUUAUCUGCUUCUACAAUACCAAACAUGUAUAUUCUGAAAAUAUAACUCAUGAUGUUUCCAAUGAUGUGCAUUUGGCAUUCUAGAUGUACCCAAUUUUCGCUAUAAAUAUGAUCAAAGUUUGUAAUGUUUGACUUCUAAAAUAAUCUAUAGGCACUCACUUAUGGAACGGGGGGAGUAUUAAUCAUCUGCAAAAAGAAUCAAGCUAAACGCACUCUCUAGUAAAAAAUGGCGGCUAAUCUCGUGAGAGCAAAAAAAUUUGUCUUUUACAGCAAGAUCGCAAAGACUUCACACAAGUCUUCCCAAAGGUUCUACUUGGCACAAACACUAACUAAAACAUAAAACCACAUGUAAACAGAAGCUAGAUGAAUUAUUUAUUACUAAACAGGAGCAAAAAGCAAGGAACAAAAAUAAAAUUGGGUUGCCUCCCAACAAGCCCUAUUGUUUAACGCCCCUAGCUAGGCAUGAUGAUUUCAAUGAUUCUCACAUAAAAGAUAAGAAUUGUAACAUAAAGAGAGCAUCAUGAAGAAUAUGACUAGCACAUUUAAGUCUAACCCACUUCCUAUGCAUAGGGAUUUUGUGAGCAAACAACUUCUGGGAACAAGACUCAACUUGCAUAGGAAGGUAAAACAAGCAAAUCUUCAAGAUUUUGAACACAUAGAGAGGAAACUUGAUAUUAUUGCAAUUUCUACAAGCAUAUGUUCCUCCCUCAUAAUAAUUACAUGUAGGAUCAUAAGCAAAAUCGACAAUAUAGCUAUCAGAAAACAUAUUCUUAACACGAUCCACAUGUAUGCAAAGUUGACACUCUUCCAAAAUAGUGGGAUUAACAUUAACUAAAGUCAUGACCUCUCCAAACCCACCUUCAUAAUUAUCACAGUAAGAUUCAACACCCUCCAAAAUAGUGGGAUCAUUACUUCCUAAAGUUGACACUCUUCCAAGCCCACUUUCAUCAAUAUAAUCAUCAUAAAUAGGGGGCAUGCUAUCAUCAAAAUAAAUUUUCUCAUCAAAACUUGGGGCACAAAAAAUAUCAUUUUCAUCAAACAUAGCAUCCCCAAGCUUGUGGCUUUGCAUAUCAUUAGCAUCAUAGAUAUCCAAGGCAUUCAUACUACAACGUCGCAAUCAUGCUCAUCAUACAAAGAUUUAGUGCCAAACAUUCUAAUGCAUUCUUCUUCUAACACUUCGGCACAAUUAUCGGAAUCCUUAUUUUCAUGAAAGAUAUUAAAAAGAUGAAGCAUAUGAGGUAUCCUCAAUUCCAUUUUUUUAAAAUUUUAUUUUAUAAACUAAACUAGUGAUAAAACAAGAAACAAAAAGAUCUGAUUGCAAGAUCUAAAGAUAUACCUUCAAGCGCUAACCUCCCCGGCAACGGCGCGAGAAAAGAGCUUGAUGUCUACUACACAACAUUCUUCUUGUAGACAUGGUUGGGCCUCCAAGUGCAGAGGUUUGUAGGACAGUAGCAAAUUUCCCUCAAGUGGAUGACCUACGCUUUAUCAAUCCGUGGGAGGCGUAGGAUGAAAAUGGUCUCUAUCAAACAACCCUACAACCAAAUAGCAAAGAGUAUCUUGUGUCCCAACACACCCAAUACAAUGGUAAAUUGUAUAGGUGCACUAGUUCGGCGAAGAGAUGGUGAUACAAGUGCAAUAUGGAUGGUAGAUAUAGGUUUUUGUAAUCUGAAAAUAUAAAAACAGCAAGGUAGCAGGUGGUAAAAGUGAGCGUAAACGGUAUUGCAAUGCUAGGAAACAAGGCCUAGGGUUCAUACUUUCACUAGUGCAAGUUCUCUCAACAAUAAUAACAUAAUUGGAUCAUGUAACUAUCCCUCAACAUGCAACAAAGAGUCACUCCAAAGUCACAAAUAGCAGAGAGCAAACGAAGAUAUUAUUGUACGGUACGAAAUCACCUCAAAGUUAUCCUUUCUGAUCGAUCUAUUCAAGAGUCCGUAGUAAAAUAACACAAACCUAUUCUUUCCGUUCAAUCUAUCCUAGAGUUCGUACUAGAAUAACACCUUAAGACACAAAUCAACCAAAACCCUAAUGUCAUCUAGAUACUCCAAUGUCACCUCAAGUAUCCGUGGGUAUGAUUAUACGAUAUGUAUCACACAAUCUCAUAUUCAUCUAUUCAACCAACACAAAGAACUUCAAAGAGUCCCCCAAAGUUUAUACCGGAGAGUCAAGACGAAAACGUGUGCCAACCCCUAUGCAUAAGUUCACGAGGUCACGGAACUCGCAAGUUGAUCACCAAAACAUACAUCAAGUGGAUCACAUGAAUAUCCCAUUGUCACCACAGAUAAGCAGAUGCAAGACAUACAUCAAGUGUUCUCAAAUCCUUAAAGACUCAAUCCGAUAAGAUAACUUCAAAGGGAAAACUCAAUCCAUUACAAGAGAGUAGAGGGGGAGAAAUAUCAUAAGAUCCAACUAUAAUAGCAAAGCUCGCUAUACUUCAAGAUCGUGCCGAAUCAAGAACACAAGAGAGAGAGAGAGAUCAAACACAUAACUACUGGUACAUACCCUCAACCCCGAGGGUGAACUACUCCCUCCUCGUCAUGGAGAGCGUCGGGAUGAUGAAGAUGGCCACCGGAAAGGGAUUCCCCCCCCCCUCCGGCAGGGUGCCAGAACGGGUCUAGAUUGGUUUUUGGUGGCUACAGAGGCUUGCGGCGGCGGAACUCCCGAUAUAGGUUUCUUUCUAGAAUUUUGGGUAUAUAUAAGAGAUGUUGGAGUUGGGAACAAGUCAGGGGGGUCCCCGAGGCGACCACGAGAUAGGGGGUUUUCCCAGGGGGUAGGGCGCGCCCCCCACCCUCGUGGUGGCCUCGGGACUCCUCUGGUCCAUCUCCGGUACUCCAUGGGCUUCUUCUGGUCCACAAACUAUCUCCGUGAAAUUUCAGGUGAAUUGAACUCCGUUUGGGUUUCCUUUUCUACGAUACUCAAAAACAAGGAAAAUUUAGAAACUGGCACUCGGCUCUAGGUUAAUAGGUUAGUCCCAAAAAUCAAAUAAAAUAGCAUAUAAAUGCAUAUAAAACAUCCAAGGUUGAUAAUAUAAUAGCAUGGAACAAUCAAAAAUUAUAGAUAUGUUGGAGACGUAUUAGUGCAGCAUAUGGAUGUGAUAGUGGGAAAGCACGACGUUGAACAAGGUGGAAAAGGGAGGAAUCAGGCCAGCCCGUAGGGUCUCAAUGAAGAAUUGGACCUCAGUUGAUGUCCUAUCAACAGAGGCGCGGGAUGCAGGCCAGGCCACCGUCUUCCCCCAUUCGUUGAAGCCGGUGGCGAGCGCUGGGUGGACCUUGUCCAUGGCUUACUGGUUGAGCACCAACGACCGACCAACGGCGGGUUCAAUGCCAGGUGUGGCUCGGCUAAAGACUGGGACUUCUUCUUCCCCUUCUCCAUUCGGCUCAGUGCCAUGGCGACGGGGAGGGCCGAGCUUGGGUCGAGUUGGGAGAGGAGGUUGUUGUUUUGGAAGGCGGAAGAAUUGGAGAAGUGCGUCGCCAGCAACAAGGGAAUUACUGUAUAGGUCACGGUGGCCGCCUAGCUAGGCGGAUAUCAAGGUAGAAUGGGGAAGCAGAGACGCCCACGUCCCAUCAAUCGCCACGCGUGAGUCAAGGCCGCAGGCUGUUGGGGCCCAUGGCUCUCUGCACUUGCCCCUUGGCUUCACCUUGAAGCCAAGUCCGAGCGCGCCUUGGGCCCGGGGGAUACUGUCGGCGUCCUGGGAACGGGGGUCCCUAGACUUGCAUGCCUGCGGCCCAUGCCAUGGCUCCACCAGCGGCCCCGUACGGCCCAUUUUCAUCAGUGAACACUCAAGACCCUCGUGAGGGGCCAAGCCUCGUGAGGCGAACGACACAAGACCUCCUCGGGGGUGGCCUCACCAGGCUGGCUCAUGAGGGGCGGAGAGAUCAAGGCGAGGGGCACCUCGCGAGGUCCCUGUGACGCAAGCCAUGACGACCAACGCCAGGCGGGCGCCAGCGCGCACAUCAUACUCGUUUCCACUUUGGUGCUAAAGAGGCAAGCGCAGGCGAGGAGUCCCGAGGCAUCAGGGAAAGGUUUCCAUAUCAAUGCAACAAGACCAAGACCAGCAGGACGGCAGGACAGAGGUCACGAUGGAGCCCAGGACGGCGUCACCACCGGAGCCUUUGGCAGGCGAAGACCACCUUUUGUUAGGAUAACUUGUAAUAGUAGUCUCCGUUCGAAUUUGGCCAUUGUAGGAUCCCUUCUCGCCUACAUUUGGGAAGAGGACCAGGGCCUCUAUAAAGAGGACUAGCCACCACAGUAGCUAGGGGGAGACCAUUCUGAUCAUCCUCAACCACACAAGCUCUCCGAGCUAAAGGACCGCCUCUCGUCAGGAGGUUGUUCUUCCCUUGUGCUCAUUCAUCCUUAGUCCAAGAGGCAAUCCACCAUGUUACACUGGAGUAACGUAUUACACCACAUUGGUGGACGGAACCAGUAUAAACCCCGUGUCCUUUGUUCUGCGAGUUCGACAUGCUGAGCUUUGAGAUUAUGGUGAGAGCGUGAGCUGGGGGGAGGGGAGAUCUUCGUGCGCACCCCAGAGUUCGAACCUCAAGGGUUUUGCCGGAACCCGAAAUCCGACAAUCUAGAUAUGCAAUUAGGUGAGCAACCUAUAUGAUGCAACAACAAUAGGCACACGAGCAAGCAAUGGAUGAAACACAAUGUAAGCUUGCACAAGUAAAGGUACGGAAUAACCAAGAGUGGAGCCGGUGAAGACGAGGAUGUGUUACCGAAGUUCCUUCCCUUUGAAGGGAAGUACGUCUCCGUUGGAGCGGUGUGGAGGCACAAUGCUCCCCAAGAAGCCACCAGUGCCAUCAUAAUCUCCUCACGCCCUCACACAAUGUGAGAUGCCGUGAUUCCACUAUUGGUGCCCUUGGAGGCGGCGACCGAACCUUUACAAACAAGGUUGGGGCAAUCUCCACAACUUAAUUGGAGGCUCCCAACAACACCAUGAAGCUUCACCACAAUGGAAUAUGGCUCCGCGGUGACCUCAACCAUCUAGGGUGCUCAAACACCCAAGAGUAACAAGAUCUGCAAGGGAUUAGUGGGGGAAAUCAAAUUUCUCUUGGUGGAAGUGUAGAUCGGGGCCUUCUCAACCAAUCCCUAGAGAAUCAACAAGUUUGAUUGGCUAGGGAGAGAGAUCGGGCGAAAAUGGAGCUUAGAGCAACAAUGGAGCUUAGGGAUGGAAGAGGUAGUCAACUCGGAGAAGAAGACCCCCCCUUUUAUGGUGAUAGGACAAAUCCCAUUAUCCACUUACUCAGCCCGCGACGUGCGGUACUAAUGCACCAGGCAUGUGGUACUACCACAAGGGCCUGGGGUACUACUGCGGGGCACAACGGUAGUACCGCAUGCGCGACAUGAGCUAGACCAGCCCUGAUGCGUUGAUGCAAAGAGCGGUAGAAUUGCCGGAGCGGUAUUACUGCUCCCCCUUGCGGUACUACCACAAGGCAGGGUUUGUCUGGGCUGGGAAGACAUGGACGAAUAAAAAUACAUCCGUGACUACUUCCACUGAGAAACGAUCUAUGCAAAACUCUGACACGGUACUACCGCAAGAAGGGAGCGGUACUACCACAAGGGCAUGUGGUACUACCGCGACCCCGGCCGGUACUAUCGUGGGCCACUGCGGUACUACGGCUCCUCUGAGCAGUACUACCGCAUGCCAUAGCACAACAAACACUAGGAGUACUUAAUUUUGCGGAGACACGGAUAAACAGUGGUUACGCCAAAAGGUGCAAGGGAAAAGGGGGUGCAAAAGGAACAGACGUGAACUUGAUGAUUCCACCCAAACCUUUCCAACGCGGAUCCCCUCUUAAUAGUACGGCUUUCCUACGACUCAAAUCCAUCGAAAAGAAACAUAGGGCAAACUCCAUCUUCACUAGACUCCGAGGGGCAACGAAUCAUCUUGUGCCUAAAUCAUGAGAUAUCUGAAAAGCUCAAUGCACACGAUUAGUCCGCAAAUGCAUUGUCAUCAAUCACCAAAACCACUUAGGGAUAAAUAUGCCCUUACAAUCUCCCCCUUUUUGGUGGAUUGAUGACAAUACGGGAUUUGCACAUAGGGAUAUAAAAUGAAACAUAGGCAAACCCAACAUGUAUAAAAUAUAGACGGGCUCCCCCUAGAUGUAUGCUCUCUAGAGAGAUGCUUUGGACUGCACGGCACGCAUACUAGGAUCAACACUCACCCUAUUUUUAUAGACGAGGCAUAACUUGCAACAAUAUAACUAACACUAAGCAAGGAGGGAAGGUAAUGAAUAUGAGCAUAAAGUAACGGGCACAAGAUAGCAUAGGCUCACAGACUAUUAAGCAUGAAAGAUAACAAGAUAAGCUAGAGUGCAUAUGUCUUACACCAUAUGAUAGGGAACCAGGUUGACGAGCACAAAAUAAACCAAAGUAAACAAGGUUCAACAUAACGAAAGCAAAGCAACAAUGCGAAAUAGGACAUGACACAAGACUCGCAAAUCGUACUCUCUCUCCCCCUUUGGCAUCGAGACACCAAAAAGGUAGAGAGGACACCUACGACACAGGUGGUAGCUCAGCUACAGUGAUCGCUCAUCGCGCUCCUCAUCGGUCUCAGUAGUGGGAAUGGGCUCCUCCUCUGACUCAGUCCACUAGUAACCCUGCUUCGCCAUCCAGGCGGCCUCAGGAGUGAUGACCCUCUCGGACCCGCCUGACACGUGCUCGUCGAACGUCCUCAAGAUCCUCCUGCCGUGUCGGCGACUCUCCUUCUGAGCAACAUGGGACUCGUACUGUCCCUUGGCCUGCAUGCAGAACAGGGCCUUCAUCUUGUUCUUCAGCUCCUUAGCCCAAGUGGGCUCAGACGAUGGAGGAGUUUAUCCAUCAGAACUGUCGUCAUCCGCCUCCUCCUCCGCGAUCUCAUCCUCAUCCACAUCCAUCCUAGCAGCCUCUGCCUCAGCCCGGGUACUGGUCUUAGCCCACUAGUUCUUGAUGCGCAGCUUGAUAGGCUCAUGACGAAUCCCGUUGGGGGCUUCAAAAUCUUCAUCGGGAUAGAGCUGCUCCACAGUCUUUGAGAUCAAGAUAUGCAGGUAAGGUCCAUAGAUGGGCACCUUACGGUUGAGCACGGCAAACUGCAGCUCACACCACAUGAUGUGGGAGAUGAUACGUCUCCGUCCCAUCUAUAAUUUUUGAUUGUUCCAUGCAAAUAUUAUACAACUUUCAUAUACUUUUGGCAACUUUUUAUAUUAUUUUUGGGACUAACAUAUUGAUCCAGUGCCUAGUGCCAGUUCCUGUUUGUUGCAUGUUUUAUGUUUCAAAGAAUAUCCAUAUCAAACGGAGUCUAGACGGGAUAAAAACAAACAGAGCUUAUUUUCAGAAUAUUUGGAAAAUCUGGGAGAAAGAUCAACGCGAGAUGGUGUCCGAGGUGGGCACGAGGCAGGGGGCGCGCCCCACCCCCCUGGGCGCGCCCCUGACCCUCGUGGUCCACCUGUAAGGCGGUUGAUGACCUUCUUCGCCGCGAAAAAUCUAAUUUUUGGUAAAAAAAUCACGGCGAAGGUUUUGGUCCAAUCGGAGUUACGGAUCUCCAUAUAUAUACGAAACGGUGAAAGGGCAGCACAAGAGAACAUAGAAACGUUGAGAGACAGAGAGACAGAUCCAAUCUCGGAGGGGCUCUUGCCCCUCCCAUGCCAUGGAGGCCAAGGGCCAGAGGGGAAACCCUUCUCCCAUCUAGGGAAGAGGGCAAGGAAGAAGAAGACGAAGGGUCCCCCUCUCCCCUUCUCUUCCGGUGGCGCCGGAACGCUGCCAUGGCCAUCAUCAUCACCGCGAUCUACACCAACACCUCCGCCAUCUUCAUCAACAUCUCCAUCACCUUCCCCCCUCUAUCUAUAGCAGUCCACUCUCCCGCAACCCGCUGUACCCUCUACUCGAACAUGGUGCUUUAUGCUUCAUAUUAUUAUCCAAUUAUGUGUUGCCAUCCUAUGAUGUCUGAGUAGAUUUUCGUUGUCCUAUCGGUGGUUGAUGAAUUGCUAUGAUUGAUUUAAUUUUCUUGUGGUUAUGUUGCUAUCCUUUGGUGCCCAUCAUAUGAGCGCGCGUGGAUCACACCAUAGGGUUAGUUGUAUGUUGAUAGGACUAUGUAUUGGAGGGCAAGAGUGACAGAAGCUUCAACCUAGCAUAGAAAUUGAUGCAUACGGGAUUGAAGGGGGACCAAUAUAUCUUAAUGCUAUGGUUGGGUUUUACCUUAAUGAAUGUUAGUAGUUGUGAAUGCUUGCUAAUAGUUCCGAUCAUAAGUGCAUAGAAUUCCAAGUCAGGGAUGACAUGCUAGCAGUGGCCUCUCCCACAUAAUACUUGCUAUCGGUCUAGUAAAGUAGUCAAUUGCUUAGGGACAAUUUCGCAACUCCUACCACCACUUCUCCAUACUCGCUAUAUUUACUUUAUUGCUUCUUUACUUACAACAGCCCCUACUUUUAUUUACUUGCUCUUUAUUAUCUUGCUAACCUAUCCAACAACACCUACAAAGUACUUCUAGUUUCAUACUUGUUCUAGGUAAAGCGAACAUCAAUCGUGCGUAGAGUUGUAUCGGUGGUCGACAGAACUUGAGGGAAUAUUUGUUCUGCCUUUAGCUCCUCGUUGGGUUCGACACUCUUACUUAUCGAAAACUGUUGCGAUCCCCUAUACUUGUGGGUUAUCAAGACCUUUUUCUGGCACCGUUGCCGGGGAGCAAUAGCGUGGGGUGAAUAUUCUUGUGUGUGCUUGUUUGCUUUAUCACUAAGUAAUUUUUAUUUGUUGUUCUUAGUUGUUCUUUAUCUUUAGUUAUGGAUAUGGAACACAAAAUACCAAAAAAAUUAGGUGUACUUGUUGCUCAUGGAGAUGAGGAACCUCCUAAAACCCUCGAUGCUUGUUAUGUGACAGAAAUUAUGUACUACUUUGAUAAUCCUGGGAAAACAUCAUUCAAUCUGGUAAUGGGAGUAGCGUUGGAUCAACGUGAAUACUUUAGGGAUUAUCGCUUGACACAAAAAGGGAAACUAUUAUGGGAUCAAAUUUAUAUAUUGAAGUGGUAUGCUCGGCAAGUAUGCUUGAGAUAUAAUUACACUUGUUGCUCUAGGAUGAAGGCUCCACACCUUCCCUUUUCAUGUGAAUUUAAUGAUAAUGAAACUUUGGCUUCUUAUGCUAGAGCUAUAUAUGAUUACUAUGAUGUGGAACAAAUAGAAGAAUUUGUUGCUUUUAAGGGUGCUUAUGAAAUUGAAUCUUUGUUUGAAAAGUAUGAAGCUUUUGAUGAUGAUGUUUAUAGGCCUGAAAAUUUAGCUAUCCUAAAAUAUUGCUAUGAUAAUUAUGAAUAUAAUUCCUAUAUUAACGCGCUUAUUGAGAAAGUCUCUGUUGUCCAAGAAGAGACUAAUAUUUUGCAGGAAUCUAUGGAAGAAGAAGUUGAUGAAACUAUGAGCUCAUUGGAUGAAAAAGAUGAGGAGGAGAGCGAAUAACAAAAGGAGGAAGAGUGGAUUGAUCACCCGUGCUCACCUUCUAAUGAGAGUAACUCUUCAACGCAUACAUUGUUUAGUUCCCCUUCGUGCUUACCGAAGGAUGAAUGCUAUGAUAAUUGCUAUGAUCCCGUUGAUUCUUUUGAAAUGUCCCUUUUUGAUGAUGCUUGCUAUGCUUGUGGCUAAGAUGCCAAUAUGAAUUAUGCUUAUGGAGAUGAACUUGCUAUAGUUCCUUAUGUUAAACAUGAAGUUGUUGCUAUUGCACCCACGCAUGAUAGUCCUAUUAUCUUUUUGAAUUCUCCCAACUACACUAUAUCGGAGAAGUUUGCACUUAUUAAGGAUUAUAUUGAUGGGUUGCCUUUUACCGUUACACAUGAUGAUUUUGAUAGAUAUAACAUGCAUGUGCUUGCUGCUCCUACUUACAAUUAUUAUGAGAGAGGAACUAUAUCUCCACCUCUCUAUGCUUCCAAUAUGAUAAAAUUGCAAGGAACUAUUUAUACUAUGCAUUGGCCUUUACUAUGUGUGAAUGAAUUGUUCUUUUAUGACAUGCCGACGCAUAGGAAGAGAGUUAGACUUCAUCAUUACAUGAUAUAUGUUACUUUGUGCUCACUACUAAAUUACAAAUCAUUGUUAAUUAAAAUUUGCUUUGAUAUACCUUGGGAUCCGGGUGGAUUCAUUACUUGAGCACUAUAUGCCUAGCUUAAUGGCUUUAAAGAAAGCGCUGCCAGGGAGACAACCCGGAAGUUUUAGAGAGUCAUUUAUUUCUGUUGAGUGCUUUUAUAUAGUUUAAAAUCAACAAAAAUAAAGAGGGAAACCAAAAACCUUUUCAAAAAGGAAAGUGAGAAAGACAAGCAUUGUUGAAGUGGGAGAGCUCCUUGAACUUUGUUCAUGCUCACGGCAACUUUGUGAAUCUUGAUUACAGAAACUUUUCAACAAAAAAAAAUUAUCCCCUUGUACAAUUCCAUUGUAUUAUAAAAAUAAUGUGCCAAGAUUUGCCUUUAGGAUGUUUACUUUGCUUGUUGGUUUGUACGGUGCAGGACAGAAACUUUGGCUAUAGUGCGCGAUUUUACAUUUUUUUACUAGAAUGUCAAAUUGUUCUGAUUCUUUUUGCAAUCUCUUUCUAUACAAUUUUUGUAUUUUUCCAAAUUUUGGAAGAAUUUUUCAACUAUCUUAAGUAUGGUGAAUGUUCAGAUUAUUAGAGAUUGUUCUGUUUUAGAUAGAUUUUGUUUUUGAUGCAUAGUUUGCUUGUUUUGAUAAAACUAUCGAAUUAUAUUAGUGGAUUAAGCCAUGGAAAAGUUAUACUACAGUAGCUAUAAUGAAAAAACAAAAUAUGAAUUGGUUUGCAACAGUACUUAGAGUAGUGAUUUGCUUUAUUAUACUAACGGAUCUUACCGAGUAUUAUAGCUACAGGUCUCGAUGUGAGAAGAAGGAAGAGAUGAAAGAGCUCAAGCUUGGGGAUGCCCGAGGCAGCCCAAGUAAAUAUUCAAGGAGACUCAAGCGUCUAAGCUUGGGGAUUCCCCGGAAGGCAUCCCCUCUUUCUUCAACAAGUAUCGGUAUGUUUUCGGAUUCCUUUCGUUCAUGCAAUAUGUGCAAUCUUGGAGUGUCUUUUGCAUUUAGUUUUCAUUUUUCUUUUAUGCACCAUGCUGGUAUGAGAUAGUCCUUGGUUGAUUUAUAGAAUGCUCUUUGCACUUCACUUAUAUAUUUUGAGUAUGGCUUUAUAGAAUGCUUCAUGUGCUUCACUUAUAUCAUUUGAAGUUUGGAUUGCAUGUUUCUCUUCACCUAAACAAUCGCCAUUUUUAGAAUGCUCUUUUGCUUCACUUAUAUUUGUUAGAGUGUGGGCAUAUCUUUUGUAGAAAGAGUUAAACUCUCUUGCUUCACUUAUAUCUAUUUAAAGAGAUGACAGGAACUGGUCAUUCACAUGGUUUGUCAUAAAUCCUACAUAAAACUUGUAGAUCACUGAAUAUGAUAUGUUUGAUUCCUUGCAAUAGUUUUGCGAUAUAAAGAUGGUGAUAUUAGAGUCAUGCUAGUGGGUAGUUGUGGAUUGUAGAAAUACUUGUGUUGAGGUUUGUGAUUCUCGUAGCAUGCACGUAUGGUGAACCAUUAUGUAACGAAGUCGGAGCAUGAUUUAUUUAUUGAUUGUCUUCCUUAUGAGUGGCGGUCGGGGAUGAGCGAUGGUCCAUUCCUACCAAUCUAUCCCCCUAGGAGCAUGCACGUAGUACUUUGUUUCGAUAUCUAAUGGACUUUCGCAAUAAGUAUGUGAGUUCUUUAUGACUAAUGUUGAGUCCAUGGAUUAUACGCAUUCUCACCCUUCCACCAUUGCUAGCCUCUCUAGUAUCGCGCAACUUUCGCCGAUACCAUAAACCCACCAUAUACCUUCCUCAAAACAGCCACCAUACCUACCUAUCAUGGCAUUUCCAUAGCCAUUCCGAGAUAUAUUGCGAUGCAACUUCCAUCAUCAUCAUAUACAUGACUUGAGCAUUUAUUGUCAUAUUGCUUUACAUGAUCGUAAGAUAGCUAGCAUGAUAUUUUCAUGGCUUGUCCGUUUUUUGAUGUCAUUGCUACGCUAGAUCAUUGCACAUCCCGGUACACCGCCGGAGGCAUUCAUAUAGAGUCAUAUCUUUGUUCUAGUAUCGAGUUGUAAUAUCGAGUUGAAAGUAAAUAAAAGUGUGAUGGUCAUCAUUAUUAGAGCAUUACCACAGUGAGGAAAGGAUGAUGGAGACUAUGGUUCCCCCACAAGUCGGGAUGAGACUCCGGACGAAAGAAAGAGAAAGGACAAAAAAAGAGAAGGCCCAAUUUUAAAAAAUAAAAAAUAAAAAAAUGAGAGAAAAAGAGAGAAGGGGCAAUGUUAAUAUCCUUUUACCACACUUGUGCUUCAAAGUAGCACCAUGUUCUUCAUAUAGAGAGUCUCUUGAGUUAUCACUUUCAUAUACUAGUGGGAAUUUUCAUUAUAGAACUUGGCUUGUAUAUUCUGAUGAUGGGCUUCCUCAAACGCCUGAGGUCUUCAUGAGCAAGCAAGUUGGAUGCACACCCACUUAGUUUUCAGUCUGAGAUUUCAUACACUUAUAGCUCUCAGUGCAUCCGUUGCAUGGCAAUCCCUGCUCACUCACAUUGAUAUCUAUUGAUGGGCAUCUCCAUAGCCCGUUGUUACGCCUAGUUGAUGUGAGACUAUCUUCUCCUUUUUGUCUUCUCCACAACCACCAUUCUAUUCCACCUAUAGUGCUAUGUCCAUGGCUCAUGCUCAUGUAUUGCGUGAAAGUUGAAAAGGUUUGAGAACGUCAAAAGUGUGAAACAAUUGCUUGGCUUGUCAUCGGGGUUGUGCAUGAUGUGAAUAUUUUGUGUGGUGAAGAUGGAGCAUAGCUAGACUAUAUGAUUGUAUAGGGAUAACUUUCUUUGGCCAUGUUAUUUUGAAAAGACAUGAUUGCUUUAUUAGUAGGCUUGAAGUAUUAUUGCUUUUAUGUCAAAUGAUAGACUAUUGCUUUGAAUCACUUGUGUCUUAACAUUCAUGCCAUGAUUAGACUUAUGAUCAAGAUUAGGCUAGGUAGCAUUCCACAUCAAAAAUUAUCUUUUUAUCAUUUACCUACUCGAGGACGAGCAGGAAUUAAGCUUGGGGAUGCUGAUACGUCUCCGUCGUAUCUAUAAUUUUUGAUUGUUCCAUGCCAAUAUUCUACAACUUUCAUAUACUUCUGGCAAGUUUUUAUAUUACUUUUGGGACUAACAUAUUGAUCCAGUGCCCAGUGCCAGUUCCUGUUUGUUGCAUGUUUUAUGUUCCGCAGAAUAUCCAUAUCAAACGGAGUCCAAACGGGAUAAAAACGAACAGAGCUUAUUUUUGGAAUAUUUGGAAAAUCUGGGAGAAAGAUCAACGCGAGACGGUGUCCGAGGUGGGCAUGAGGCAGGGGGCGCGCCCCUGACCCUCGUGGUCCACCCAUAAGGCGGUUGAUGCCCUUCUUCGGCCGCAAGAAAGCUAUUGUUGGUAAAAAAUCACGGCGAAGGUUUCGGUCCAAUCGGAGUUAUGGAUCUCCAUAUAUAUACGAAAUGGUGAAAGGGUAGCACAAGUGAACGCAGAAACGGAGAGAGACAUAGAGACAUAGAGACAUGGAGGCCAAGGACUAGAGGGGAAACCCUUCUCCCAUCUAGGGAGGAGGUCAAGGAAGAAGAAGACGAAGGGGCCCCCUCUCCCCUUCUCUUCCGGUGGCGCCGGAAUGCUGCCAUGGCCAUCAUCAUCAUCACCGCGAUCUACACCAACACCUCCGCCAUCUUCAUCAACAUCUCCAUCACCUUCCCCCCUCUAUCUAUAGAAGUCCACUCUCCCACAACCCGUUGUACCCUCUACUCGAACAUGGUGCUUUAUGCUUCAUAUUAUUAUCCAAUGAUGUGUUGCCAUCCUAUGAUGUCUGAGUAGAUUUUCGUUGUCCUAUCGGUGGUUGAUGAAUUGCUAUGAUUGAUUUAAUUUGCUUGUGGUUAUGUUGCUAACCUUUGGUGCCCAUCAUAUGAGCGCGUGCGUGGAUCACACCAUAGGGUUAGUUGGACGUUGAUAGGACUAUGUAUUGGAGGGCAAGAGUGACAGAAGCUUCAACCUAGCAUAGAAAUUGAUGCAUACGGGAUUGAAGGGGGACCAAUAUAUCUUAAUGCUAUGGUUGGGUUUUACCUUAAUGAAUGUUAGUAGUUGCGGAUGCUUGCUAAUAGUUCCAAUCAUAAGUGCAUAGAAUUCCAAGUCAGGGAUGACAUGCUAGCAGUGGCCUCUCCCACAUAAUACUUGCUAUCGGUCUAGUAAAGUAGUCAAUUUCUUAGGGACAAAUUCGCAACUCCUACCACCACUUUUCCAUACUCGCUAUAUUUACUUUAUUGCUUCUUUACUUACAACAGCCCCUACUUUUUAUUUAAUUGCUCUUUAUUAUCUUGCAAACCUAUCUAACAACACCUACAAAGUACUUCUUGUUUCAUACUUGUUCUAGGUAAAGCGAACAUCAAUCGUGCGUAGAGUUGUAUCGGUGGUCGAUAGAACUUGAGGGAAUAUUUGUUCUGCCUUUAGCUCCUCGUUGGGUUUGACACUCUUACUUAUCGAAAACUGUUGCGAUCCCCUAUACUUGUGGGUUAUCAUGAGACAUCAAGUGGUUCCGUCUGAUGGAGACGCGCCUUCUCACAAAUGAGCAUCAUGUCCACAAGAUAAGCAUGCACCUUAUCCUUAUAACCAAUGCGUGGAAAGAGGGAGUUGCAUAAGAUCCGAUGCAUGAUGUCAAGGAAUGGAUUCAGCACCCAGGUUUUCUUGUCAGUGCCAAGCUUCUUCUCAACAAGGUACGGCUGAAGCUUUUCCUUGCUGGACGACUCGGCGUUGGCAUGAGGGUGGACACCAAUGGGCGGAUUGAUCCCCUCGGCAUGAACGUGCAGUAGCGCCAUGAAGUCCUUCCACUUAGCAGUCAUCCUUUGCCCAUUGGUCAUCCACGUCUUGGUCCAUUCCUCAUUAGGAUGGAAGUGGGCCGGCACAAAGAACUGACCCACAAUCUCUGGGUCAUAGUCCAAGUGAAACGUGAGCAAGUACUCAAUGCCAAAUUGCUCCACCAGGUCCAAAGCCUCACCAAAAUAUUCCUGGUGGUUAUCCUUCCUCAUGUGAACCAUGUCAACCCAGUGCACGUCGACAUAGAUGUUCUGCUUGGCCUUGAUCACAUCCAAGAAGAUGAAGUUCUGUUGCUUGGUCCAAAACAACUCAUUCCCUCUGAAAUUCUCACAGGGCUUCACAUAGGGUUUGAUCCUCCGGCGAGUGACAAACUCGGCUAGAGGAAUCUCAUCCAUGCCCAUUGUUGGCUCCUUGGUAUUGGUGGCGGUUGACUUGGUCCUGCGUUGGGGGGCACUGGAGCCCUUUGGAGCCUCCUCUGGGUUGCGCAGGCGCUUCGAGCCCGUGUCAUGGCUGGGAUUCGAAUGAUGGACAUUGGAACCGGAGCCACCACCCAUGAGACACAACACAAACACGAGAGAAAUCGAGAAGGAUUAUUGCAAAGACGAGGGACAAAACCAAAUGAAAACAAGAAAACACGAGAUUUGGAAGGACAGAACAACAAAGUUUGCAUAUCUACGGUAGUACCGGACAAGCUCACGGAAGUAAGAAAUUAUAGCCGCUCCAGCCGCGGUAGUACUGUGCCGGAGUGGCACGGUAGUACCGCGCCUGGAGCGGAAGUAAUUUUUUACUUCCGCGCCCCGGGCGGUAGUACCGCUUCUGGAGGCGGUAGUACCGCGCCGAGGUUAGUUCAUGGGUGAGGGUGCGGUAGUACCACUCUAGGAGGAGCGGUAGUACCGCACGGAUUUGACAGCCACAUGAACAGCGGAUCUAGAUAUGGAUCCGGAUCUAGAAACAACUGCAACACUAGAAUGGUACUACCGUUGAUCAAACUAUAGUAUUGUAUCAUUCCAAAUAGCAUGUCUACUGCACUAGCUGAGGGAGUCCUGGAUUAGGGGGUAUCCGGACAGCCGGACUAUAUCCUUUGGCCGGACUAUUGGACUAUGAAGAUACAAGAUUGAAGACUUCGUCCCGUGUCCGGAUGGGACUCUCCUUGGCGUGGAAGUCAAGCUUGGCAGUACGGAUAUGUAGAUCUCCUUCCUUGUAACCGACUCUGUGUAACCCUAGCCCCCUCCGGUGUCUAUAUAAACCAGAGGGUUUAGUCCGUAGGACAAGAACAAUCAUAAUCAUAGGCUAGCUUCUAGGGUUUAGCCUCUACGGUCUCGUGGUAGAUCAACUCUUGUACUACUCAUAUUAUCAAGAACAAUCAAGCAGGACGUAGGGUAUUACCUCCAUCAAGAGGGCCCGAACCUGGGUAAAGAUCGUGUCCCUCGCCUCCUGUUACCAUCCGCCUAGAUGCACAGUUCGGGACCCCCUACCCGAGAUCCGCCGGUUUUGACACCGACAUUGGUGCUUUCAUUGAGAGUUCCACUGUGCCGUCACCGUAAGGAAGGAUGCCUCGUCUCGUUGUUAAAAACAACAUUACCGUCGGGGGAGCCCUGGCUGUCGGCCAAACUCUCCGGCUAGGCAGUUUCAUCAUGACUGCCCGUUCGGCUGCUGCACCGACGAUGACUUCUCGAGUCAUCGAAAAUAGCCUCCACGUCGGCUCGGAAUUUGCCGAGCAGAUGGAUCCAAUGGAGCUCUCAUCCCUAAAUGAGCUCUUGGAUCGCAUCGCCGCCUUGGGAGUCGCUACGGACUAUGAUCGGAUUGGGCUUAAACCCGAUCAACGGGAGAUUGACUCUCCACCGGUCACCCAUCAUAUUGCGGUGGUGGAGGAACAAUGCGGCGAUUCUUCCUCUAUCUUGAGGACUAACUAUGUCCGGAUUCUUGAGCUCUCCGAGCCGGAUACCCGUUUAUGGGAGGACAUCACCCAAGCCCUGAACCUAGAGUUAGGCGGCGGGCCAGACUUAUCGGGCAACAUCCUGGAACCCGAACUUCCAUGAUUGGAAACUCCUCGGCCCCUGGGUCUCAGAUCGGGUAAGGGUUCGGACUCAAAUCCACCCACCCACCCAAACAUAAAUGAUCUUUCCUACAUCAGGCAAGCGCCCCAGGAAACAGUACAUCAUUAUUGGGCCAGAUUCCUCCUUAUGAUGAACAAGGUUAAGGACUGUCUCAAGGAAGACGCAGUCUCAUUUUUCCGCGAUAAUUGCACAGACAAGGGAAUCCUUAACGCCAUAAGUCGCCGUGACAUAUCACGCUUCGCUGACUUGGCGUCCAUAGUACGAAAGUACUGUGCGAUGGAAAGCGCCUGGAAAACCAAAACGAAAUUUUGGGAUAAUCCGACUCCAAAUAUACACCCAGUUCGAAGUAAAAGGGUGCACUAUCAUAAGACACCCAAGUUAAUUACAAAGAAGCAAAAACCCUCUACAGGGCGUGAAACCAUAUUGGAGGGAUGGCUCAACGGACCCUGCAAAAUUCAUAGUACAGCGAAUACCAUACCAACACACAGCCUUAGAGCAUGUUGGGUACUCCGGCAGGUGGCAAAAAGUGGUGAGGAUCUUCUCAUCCCAGAUGCCACAGAGCACCAUCCCGGGGAUAACAAUACGGUAUUAACAGUCUUUGAAACCUUCGCAUCAAAUAAUAGACGCAAGCGAACACUCUGCGGCCUUGCCGAAAUCUGCCACAUGGCAGCAAUAAAUCCAUGGAGUGACACGGCUGUUACCUUCAAUGCCAGUGACGAACCUAAAUUACGAACAGCCCAAGCACCAGCUGCACUGGUCCUCAGUCCAAUUGUCGACGGCUUUCGACUCACCAAAGUACUCAUGGACGGCGGCAGUGGAUUAAACGUCAUCUAUGAGGAAACUCUUCAAAAAAUGGAAAUAGACUGGAACCGCAUUGAGCAAAGUAGCACAACCUUCAGAGGAAUCAUCCCCAGUCGGGAAGCACGCUGUGCUGGGAAAAUCACACUAGAUGUGGUAUUCGGCACGCCGGAGAACUAUAGGUCCGAAGAAAUUACAUUCCAAAUGGCCCCGUUCGGUAGCGGAUACCAUGCCCUUUUAGGGCGGGAGGCGUUCACGAUCUUCCAAGGCAUACCCCAUUAUGAGUACAUGAAGCUCAAAAUGCCGGGGCCCAACGGAAUCAUCAUUCUCGCUAGUGAUCCGGACACAACACUCCAUGCCAAAAACAAAACAGCCGCAUUGGCCCAUGAGGCAUUAUCCGAAGCCCUUUCGGCCGAGGUAUUAACUGCGCUAUGCUCCACAGUGGACAGGGAUGACGUGAUACUUGACAAGAGAUCCAAGUCCACCUCUUUUAAACCAGCGGAUGAAAUAGUCAAAUUCCAAGUCCACCCAACGGACCCUACAAAAACAGCCUCCAUCGGGGCACAGUUAAACCCUGCCGUGGAUGCCGCACUACAAGAGUUCCUGCGCGAAAAUCGGGACAUAUUCGGCUGGCACCCCUCAGACAUGCCAGGAAUCCCACGCAGGCUAGCCGAGCACAGCCUCAAUAUUCAAAAGGGAUUCAAGCCAGUCAAGCAGACUCUCCGGCAUUUCUCUGAACCUAAGAGACAAGCUAUGGGAGAGGAACUAGCCAAGUUAUUGGAGGCCGGAUUCAUUAGAGAAAUAAAACACCCGGACUGGCUAGCAAACCUGGUGAUGGUACCAAAGAAGGAGAAAUCCUGGCGCCUAUGUGUCGAUUUCAAGGACCUCAACAAGGCCUGCCCAAAGGAUCCCUUCCCCCUCCCCCGCAUCGAUCAAAUUAUCGAUGCUACCACAGGACACGAUUCAUUGUGUUUCCUCGACGCAUACUCCGGCUACCACCAAAUCAAGAUGGCGGAGUCUGAGCAAGCCACAACGGCAUUUAUCACACCAUACGGCCCCUUCUGUUUCAACACAAUGCCUUUUGGGCUCAAAAACGCCGCGCAACAUAUCAGCGCAUGAUUCAGACAUGUCUGGAGAAACAGAUCGGCAAAACAGUAGAGGCAUACGUAGAUGAUGUGGUCAUCAAAACCAAACACGUCGACUCUUUAAUAGACGACUUGAGACUCACAUUCGACAACCUCCGAACAUACGACAUCAAGCUCAAUCCGGAAAAAUGCGUUUUCGGUGUACCAGCCAGAAAGCUCCUGGGUUUCAUUGUCUCCAGUAGAGGAAUUGAAGCAAAUCCGGCCAAAAUCCGAGCUCUGUCACAGUUGGCCAUCCCAACGGACCUCAAACAAAUCCAGAAAUUAACCGGAUGUGUGGCGGCUCUAAGCCGCUUAAUCUCCCGCUUAGGAGAAAAGGCAUUACCCCUUUAUUGCCUCCUUCGGCGCACCAAACACUUCGAGUGGACGGACACUGCCACAGCCGGAUUUGAAGAAAUAAAAGCCAUACUGGCAACCAACCCAAUCCUGGCCGCGCCAAACAUCGGCGAACCAAUGUUGUUGUACAUUGCAGCAACUCAUCAGGUUGUAAGCGCAGUGCUCUUCGUCGAAUGAGAAACGGAUGGACAUAAAUUCCCCCUUCAAAAGUCAGUAUAUUAUGUAUCCACUCUCCUCACUCCAUGCAAAUCACGGUACCCACAUCAUCAAAAGAUAGCCUAUGCGGUAUUCAUGGCAUCCCGGAAGCUGUGACACUACUUUCAAGAGUGUUCAAUUACAGUAGCCUCGGAAGUGCCACUUAAUGAUAUUAUAAAUAACCGCGACGCCAUGGGCCGGAUUCCCAAAUGGGCCAUUGAGCUCCUCCUGUUCGACAUAACAUACAAACCCCGGGGAGCCAUUAAAUCGCAAGUAUUGGCCGACUUUGUCGCCGAAUGGACAGAAGCCGAACUCCCUAAAGAGUACGGUGCAUACUCCAAUUGGAUCAUGCACUUCGACGGCUCCAAAAUGCUGGCUGGUCUGGGGGCUGGCGUCGUCCUGACAUCCCCAACCGGAGAUACAGUUCAAUAUGUACUACAGAUACUGUAUACAGACUCCAACAACGCAGUCGAAUAUGAAGCCCUGUUACAUGGUCUUUGGAUGGCAGUUUCCAUGGGCAUACAAUGCUUGGAGGUGCGUGGGGAUUCGAACCUUGCAAUAUCCCAAAUAAAUGGAGACUUCGACGCCAAGGAUCCGAAAAUGGCGGCAUAUCGCAACACCAUCCUAAAGAUGUCAACUCGGUUCAAGGGGCUCGAAUUUCACCAUGUGGCUAGGGAAAACAAUCAGGCGGCGGAUAUCCUCGCCUGCAUCGGCACAAAACGCGAUGUGGUCCCCCCCAACAUCUUUUUGGAGAGGUUUUUUAAGCCAUCCGUGGUAUGGGAAGGGGACACCGGUAACAAUCGUCCGGACCCAGCCAAAAUGCCCGAUACUGAACACUCUGACGUAAUCGGAGGCUCUGCCACCGAAAUAACACCUUCAGCCGAAGUAAUAAUGGCCAUCAUCACCCCGUGGACAGAACCAUUCCUGGCCUACCUAACUAGGCAGGAACUUCCCGAGGACCAAAAUGAGGCACGCAGCAUAGUGCGGCGAUCUAAAGCCUACAGGGUCCACGAGGGAGAGCUGUAUAAAAAAAGCACUACUGGAGUCCUUCAAAGGUGCAUCACCGAAGAGGAAGGGAGGAAGCUUUUGGCAGAAAUUCAUGCCGGACUCGACGACCACCACGCCGCAGCCCGGGCCCUUGUAAGCAAGGCCUUCCGUACAGGUUUUUAUUGGCCGACGGCCCGGGUAGAUGCACAGGACUUGGUCCAACGCUGCGUUGGUUGCCAGCUUUUUGCAAACCAAAGCCACAUGCCGCCCACCGCCCUCCAAACAAUCCCCAUUACCAGGCCCUUCACGGUCUAGGGGCUUGACAUGGUUGGACCCCUCAAAGGGGGAACCCAUAAGAAAAAAUACUUACUGGUCAUGGUGGAUAAAUUCACCAAAUGGAUAGAAGCCAAACCUGUUAAAACGACCGAAUCUGGACCGGUGAUAGACUUCAUAUCUGGGGUUGUACACCAUUAUGGCGUCCCCUACAACAUCAUCACUGACAACGGCACGAACUUCACGGCCGACGAGGUAAAACUCUAGUGAAGCAACAUGGGCAUUAAGCUCGAUUAUGCCUUUGUCUAUCACCCACAAACUAACGGCCAAGUUGAGCGAGCAAAUGGUCUUAUCAUGAGCGGCAUCAAACCCAGAUUAGUGCGGUCCUUAAAGGAGUCUAACAUGCACUGGGUAGAGGAGCUCGACUCCGUACUCUGGGGCCUGCGAAGCACGCUGAAUCGUACUACCGGAUACACACCCUUCUUUAUGGUGUACGGCGCAGAGGCGGUUCUGCUCUGCAACAUAAUUCAUGACUCACCUCGAGUGCGCAUGUAUGAAGAAAGAGAAGCCAAGCUUGAUCGAUAGGACAGUCUGGACACCCUGGAGGAGGAGCGCGACGUGGCAAAAGCUCGUUCUGCAUUCUAUCAGCAACAGGCUCGCAGAUACCAAAGCAGAGAAAUACGGGCCAAAACUUAUAACGUUGGCGAGCUAGUUCUACGCCUGCCGGAGAAGAAAAAGACCAAGCUCGAGACCAAAUGGGAAGGUCCCUUCAUUAUUGACCAAGUUCUGACCGGUGGAGCGUACCAUCUGCGGGAUGCAUCGAAUAAUUGACUUGAGCCGAACCCCUGGAACGCAGCCAGGCUCCGAAGAUUCUACGCCUAGUAUCGGACUCUAUGUGCGUCUCCUUCCUCUGUCCAUUUUUUGCAUAUACAUUAUCUGUCUUUUUUCUCUUUCUUUCUUUUAUUCUUUCUCAAGGCCUUCAAGGGCCAACUUGUGCCUUGCUUGCACACUAUUGACGCGCUAACCGCGCUCAUUAUACCUGGGGGCUUCUUACACAGAAGCUUAAUUAUUUAUCUGGGCUUCAUGCCCCGCACAUGUGUUAUUCUUCCGCAUGUACCUUUUCUUCGCCAUUAUAUGCAUCGAUAUGACUUAAGUUUUGGCCAAGAUGGGUUGCCUGGCUCUUGUAUUUAUGCCCUACGUUCCCGUUAAUUCGGCUAGGGCAUAAGGGGAGCACCUCUGCGAUUGUUACUGCCGGGUCAGCCAGAUGUGUAUCUCAGACUGGGUGAAGCCGAAAGCUAGCGUUCUUAAGGGAAUAUUCGGUCGAUGAACAAAAGAUGAUUUUUAUUUAUUUUCCAUAUGUGCCCCUAGAUGUUUUUGCCUGUGUCUCCUCUCGCAGUCCGGAUAUGCACUUUAGGGCAUGCGUACCCAGGGGAAGGAACACUUAAUGGAACUAUUCUCCCUGGAAGAUGUUUCUUACUACCCAUGUAAUAUAUCAUAACUAGUUGGAUACUUGUCUGUUCAAGCACUAAUGACCCCUACGCCUGGUUUCCACGCAUACCCCAGUUCUUAUAUAACUGAGCGGGUAUUCGGAUACACUCCGGACUAUCGGGUCCCGAGGUUGAAGCAAAAAGGUCCGCCAUGACAAAUGAUUUACAAUCCGGCUAGAAGGCAUUAUACAUGUCACUUUAAUAACAUAGUCAUGUAGACUGACUAAAUUCCUCUUCUAUACCAUCCAACAGGCUGUCUAGCCUACAAUCCUGUUGGGAAUACUUUGCGGCUAAUUCUACUUGCCCAUACACUAAGCUAAUGGGGAUCUCUUUCCCAUCGGGCCCCACAGCUCCGACCUCGGCCAUGUGGUUUGGGUCAGCCUUGGUAUACCGCGUCUUCACCAUGGCCCGGGCCUCCCUGGCACCUUGACGGCAGGCCGAUACCUUCCAUAAUCGGAAGCGCCGCCGUGCUCCCUUGAGCUUCUCCACAAGCUCUCUAAUGCCUGCUGGCAGGGAGACGGAUUGCCACAAGGCCUGGGCAAUACCUUGCAUCACCUGCCGAACUUCUUCGUGCAGUUGUGAGAGCUCGGGUAGAAGAUCACCCGCAGAGCCGGGCAUCUCCUCCGCAGGAGAUCCGUCAGCAUACCUGCAGACAUAACUCUGUUAGCCGGCUUCUUCGCGGCACCCUUUUAAGGGUUCGUUCAAGCACUUACUGAAAAUGCCGCGUCGAAGCCGCUUAUUCUCCUUCUUGGAGUCCACAAGCUGGGCUCGAACAUCUUUCAGUUCCACGCUCAGCUUGGUAUUGACAUCUUGGAGAUUGUUUUUCUCCCGCCUGACCUUAGUCAGCAUGUGUUCGCCAGCCUUUAGCUGUCGUACGACAUGCUGGUCCUCCGGAUUCUCUCCGGAGUCAUCUGCAAUAUCUACUGUUAGAUCUGCAGCCAUACCGCACACUAUAUGGUACCUAUCAUUCUUUGAAACAAAUGUUUCCAGCUGGGGACUUUUCAGGUUCCUUCAAUGCGGCAACGGCGGCCCGAAGUUGGGUCUAGCAUUCCUCCAGCUCUUGUGACAGUCGAGUAUUCUUAUCUGUAAGAACCUGCACAAUAAAUGAUCCUUAAAUCAGUUGUGCCAACUGUUUCAAGUCUUAGGGGCUACUAAUAUAUAUACUCAUCAAAUUUUCUUACCCGUACGUCCUUUACAUACUGGUCCGUGGGUCUGGCUAGACCAUUUUGAGCAGCACGGAUGUACGCAUCUCCUGAGUUGAAGGCAUCAAAUGCCUCUCGGGAGAAACAAGCGUCAUGGACUACGGCUCGGCGACGCCUGUGAUUCAUGGCGCUCUCCACUUCGGAAUUCGUAGCGGAUAUCUUAUCCGCAUCCUCUGUAGAAGGAGCAUCCGGAGUGUGCCUCGUGUUAGCUUCCGCCUCUGUGUCCGGCCCUAGAGCCCGACUGGUAGAGGCGAGAUCGGCGACUCCUCCGGAUAUUGUCCGGUGAGCGUUCCUCCUUCUAGGAAACACGGGUGUUAUUAUGUUUUUAAAGACGACAACCACGGAGUGAGGUGUUGCAUUAUACCUCUGCACCGGCGUCUCCGUCCGGACCGCCUUCCUUUUUAGCCUGUCUGGCUUUGAAACCCCUUGUUGGUGAGUCGCCGUGGGCUCGGUAUGGCAUCCCGAGGGCCUUCCCUAUAAAACACCAUUUGUAUAUGGUAGGUGAAGUGCGCAAAAGGAAAUCCUUUUCAAAGGUUGGGACUCCGGUCUCAUUUACCUGCGAGGCUGGGAGUAUCCCAGGGUAGUCGGCUAUAACGGCUAUGUGGCCGGGGUCCACGAAUAUGUCCUAUCAAUCAGCUCCACGAAUAUCAAUCAGCUCCACGAAUAUGUCCUAUCAAUCAGCUCCACGAAUAUGUCCAGAUCCUCUUUGAGGCCGGGGUCGAGGACCCGUUCAGGAUCCUCCGGUUGUGGAGGUGGGCUAUUGAUCUCCCCUACCGCCUUACGCAGUUCCUGCAAUGAAACAGCAAGGUAAAUAUUUAUCACGAAAACAAGGGUUGGAUGGAAGUAAAUAGAGCGGAAGCUCACCCAGCUUCAAGGGUUGUUCAUGGAGAAUCCAUCCCGUGGCUUGAUGCGGAGGAACUCCUCUUCUUCCCCCUUAUACAGAUCGGAUAGAAUUUUUGCUAGAGCAGCAACUGAGUCCGGUCCCUUGCGCCCGCAGCGAGUUGCAUCAUCUUCCCCGUUGAAGUCCCACAUGGGGUGGCCUCGAUAUUGAAGUGGCUGCACCCCCCGCAUAAUGCAUAUUGCCAUAACCUCGGUUAUGGUCAGUCCUAAUUUGGCCAGCAACUUUAUCCGGCCCAUCAGAUAAAAUACGUCUCUAUCAUCUUCCUCUUGUGGGCUCCGUGGGCGCCAGCUUAGGCGUUUCUUCAGAGGGGCGUUGCCGAACUCAGGAAGACCAAUCCGGAUAGGAUCCGGGAGAGGAAUAUCCUCCAUAUAAAACCACUCCGAAGGCCAGUCCUCAGACGUCUUUUUCGGGGUACCGGAUAGGUAUCCUGGCCCGGUGAUGCGCCAUACUUUGGCUCCACCCACUUGGUAUAUUGAUCCCCUCUGUGUACGGGGCACAAGGCAAAACAACUUCUUCCACAUCGCGAAAUGAGCUUCGCAACCCAGAAACUACUUGCAAAGGUCUACGUAACCAGCGAUGUACAGUAUGGAGGCAGGGGUGAGGUUGUGCAACUGGAGGCCAUAGAACUCCAGGAGCCCUCAGAGAAAUGGAUGGAUUGGAAAUCCGAGUCCCCUUAAUAGAUAAGGGACAAGGCAUACCCUCUCUCCCUUAGAGGGGUUGGGAAAGCUCUCCGCUUGCUCCCCGCCAUUAUAGGUGGCGAGCCCGUCUCGAAUCGGGACCAUAUACGCAGGAGGGAGGAAUCCCUGGGUCUGUAGCUCCACUAAUUGGCUGUGCGGGAUGGAACACUUCUCCCAAUCUCCGGGCUUGGGGCUGCGGGAGCGAGAGGAGGAGCUGUGUUGGUCAGCCAUGAUGGGAUGGAUUUAUUAGGGCGUGCUCCGAUGAAUGCUCGCUGAGGGAGGAUGGUGUGGUUUGGAUCUGAGGAUCCUCGUCUCUUUAAUAGAUAGUUCACUCACAUAGAUGGGGUGGUAAAAGUAAAAACACCCUGGCUCCUCACAUUCGCUUGACACGUGGAAGAUGGCCAUUAUUGGACGCAGAAGCCAAGAAGCGCAACAUUUACGAGAAGCCGGACACUAUUUAGCAGGUACUCAGAGUUUGAAGAAGAACCCGCCUUGCAAUGUCGAAGACAAUAUGCGCGCAGGACUCAUCGUCAUUGAAGCCUGGUUCAGAGGCUACUGAGGGAGUCCUGGAUUAGGGGGUAUCCGGACAGCCGGACUAUAUCCUUUGGCCGGACUGUUUGACUAUGAAGAUACAAGAUUGAAGACUUCGUCCCGUGUCGGGAUGGGACUCUCCUUGGCGUGGAAGGCAAGCUUGGCAGUACGGAUAUGUAGAUCUCCUUCCUUGUAACCGACUCUGUGUAACCCUAGCCCCCUCCGGUGUCUAUAUAAACCGGAGGGUUUAGUCCGUAGGAACGACAACAAUCAUACCAUAGUCUAGGUUCUAGGGUUUAGCCUCUCUGAUCUCGUGGUAGAUCAACUCUUGUACUACUCAUAUUAUCAAGAACAAUCAAGCAGGACGUAGGGUAUUACCUCCAUCAAGAGGGCCCAAACCUGGUUAAACAUCGUGUCCCUCGCCUCCUGUUACCAUCCGCCUAGACGCACAGUUCGGGAUCCCCUACCCGAGAUCCGCCGGUUUUGACACCGACACUAGCAAUCUCCUACAAUCCUCUCUUGCAAAGAUUUAGCCAAAAAUCACACGAACUACACAUGUAUAUCCCCAAGACCUAGAAGCUCAAGAACGGAACAAAACGGGAAGGACAUGGGGAAAUACCAGGGUCCAUGGCAAGAGGGCGAGGUGGGGAACGAUCCCACCGGUCAGAAUGCGAGGAGAGCGACCGGAGAUAGAGAUCCGAUGAGGUCCUCCGGCGCCGUUCUUGGGUGGGAGAGAGAGAGAGACAACACGGGGAAAAGAGAUGAAUGGGUAUGGGGGAGUUGGAACUCCCCCUGCCCCGCUCUUAACCCCCACCCGCUCGCGAUGGCGCGGUAGUACUGCCCGGGCGGAAGUACCCCUCGCUGGGCAGUAGUACCGCUCUUUUAGCGGCAGUAAAAAAUUACUGCCACGAUGGAAGCGGUAGUAUCGUGCCUAGGAUGCAUCUGUGCACGCACAUAGCAGCCUACCUCCCGCGGUAGUACCGUGGGUAGUACCAUACCCCCAAGAAAGUGCAGGUUUCGCAAACAAUAGAGGAAAACGGCCUUUGCAAUGCAACCUUCAAGCAACCAAACACACAAACUCAAACACAAACUAGGCUCGAAGAAAGAAUGGCAAAAGACAACAAGGACCAAACACAAGACACAACCUCUCUAAAUAGAGGGGCGGUGGCUGGAGCCACCUAUGUUUGAGUCAAUUGGUAUGGCACCGCGAAGAAUUAUCCUUGGACCCAUGAUCCAAACUCAUCUUUGAAGCACAAGAACCCUCAAAAAUGGCUAAUGUGAAAGAGUUGAUCAAUUUAUGCAUAAUGGGGGAGGGAGAGUUCAUUGAGAGAACAAAACUCCCCCUAUGUCCAUGCCUACACCUAAACAAGAUAUCAAGAUGAGUAUGGUGGGGUGUGCAAGGGUUCUAGCCACAUUGCUCGAAUCAAUGAUAUUUAGCUCAUGCCUUAACCCGCGAAAUCUUGCUUCAUCCAAGGGCUCAUGAAUAUAUCUGCAAGGUUAUCAUGAGUGUUGACAUAGUUGAGCUCGAUCUCCCCUCGCCUAAUAUGAUCCCGGAUGAAGUGAUGUCGAAUGUCAAUAUGCUUCGUCUUCAAGUGUUGCACUGGGUUGAGAGAAAUCUUUAUGGCACUUUCAUUGUCACACCAAAGAGGCACUUUGUCACAAAUGACACCAUAAUCCUUUAAUGUUUGCCUCAUCCAUAGAAGUUGUGAACAACAACUACCGGCGGCCACAUACUCCGCUUCGUUUGACGAGAGAGACACACAACUCUGCUUCUUGCAAGACCAACUCACCAAAGAGCAACCAAGGAAUUGGCACCCUCCGGAAUUUGACUUCCUAUCCACUUUGUCUCCCACCCAAUCGGAGUCCGAGUAGCCUACAAGGUUGAAGUUUGCUCCUCUUGGGUACCAUAAGCCAAAGUUUGGGGUAUGAGCCAAAUAUCGAAAUAUUCGCUUGACCGCCACAUAGUGGCUUUGCUGUAGGUGCGGCUUGAAACCAUGCACAAAUUCCCACACUCAACAUGAUAUCUGGUCUAGAUGCACAAAGGUAAAGCAAGGAGCCAAUCAUGGAGCAAUAUACCUUUUGAUCCACCGCUUUACCAUUGGGAUCUAUAUCAAGUUGGCAUUUGACGCGCAUUGGAGUGGAAGCCGGCUUGACAUCACUUAGCUUGAAUCUCUUGAGCAUGUCUUGAGUGUAUUUCGCUUGGUUGAUGAAGGUUCUUUCUCUUCUUUGCUUGAUUUCAAACCCGAGAAAGAACUUCAACUCUCCCAUCAUGGACAUCUUGAACUUUGAGGUCAUGAGAGCAGCAAACUCCUCAUUGAAAGCUUUGUUAGGAGAACCAAAGAUAAUAUCAUCAACAAAUAGUUGGCAUACAAACAACUCCCCUUUGACCUUCUUGGUAAAAAGAGUGGGGUCGAUUUCCCAAUUUCAAACCCACGAUCUUGCAACAACAAGGUAAGGUGCUCAUACCAUGCACAUGGGGCUUGUUUAAGCCCAUAUAGCGCCUUAUCGAGUUGGUACACAUGAUCGGGAAAAUAGGGAUCCUCGAACCCCGGGGGUUGUUUGACAUACACCAACUCAUUAAUAGGACCAUUAAGAAAAGCACUCUUCACAUCCAUUUGUUGCAACUUAAAGUUAUGAUUAUAAGCAUAAGCAAUCAAUAGACGAAUGGAUUCAAGGCGAGCAAUGGGAGCAAAGGUUUCAACGUAGUCGAUACCCUCGACUUGGGAGUAGCCUUGUGCUACCAACCGAGCCUUGUUGCGAACGAUAAUCCCAUGAGCAUCUUGCUUGUUCUUGAAUAUCCACUUGGUUCCAGUGACAUUAUGGUUCCCCGUUGGCCUUGGCACCAAUCUCCACACAUUGUUUUGCUCAAAGUUGUUGAGUUCUUCAUGCAUGGUGCGAAUAUUGAUGUUUGAUCCCCUCAUCACUAAGAAACUCAUACAAGGUGUAUUUCUUGAACUCGGUGCCAUUGUCAUUUCUUAUCAUCAAGAUCUUUGCAUGAUGUUGGCAUUGAGCUUCAUUUGUGAAGUCAAUGAUAGUUUGUUGGGUCUCACUCUUCCUCUUAAAGAAGUACACCCAAGUGUAUCUUGGUAAUCAUCCACAAUCACCAAGCAAUACUUUCUACCCCCAAGACUAUCAAAGGAUGGAGGCCCAAAGAGAUCCAAGUGAAGGAGAUCCAAAGGCCUCUUCGAGUAAAUGAUAGUCAUGGGAGGGUGAGCCUUCUCAUGUAGCUUUCCUUCGAUAACAGCACUGCAAGCACGGUCUUUGUCAAAACUAACAUUUGUUAGUCCACGGACAUGGUCCCCCUUGAGAAGACUUUGCGAAGAUCUCAUAUUGACAUGGGCUAAACGGCGAUGCCAAAGCCAUCCCAUGUCAACUUUAGCCAUUAGGCAUGUCACGGUCUUAGUGGGUCGCUCCGAAAAGUUAAUCACAUAGAGACCAUUCUCGACAUGCCCAACAAAGGAUACUUUAAGAGUCUUGCUCCACAAGAGGGCCACGAUAUCAAUAUCAAAGAAAGUGGCAAAGCCCAUGAGUGCAAGUUGACGAACGGAAAGUAAAUUGUAUGCAAGGGACACAACAAGCAUGACUUUCUCGAUCGUGAGAUCAUGAGAAAAUGACAACCUUGCCAAGUCCCAAUACCUUAGAAGAUGAGGCAUCACCCCACUCGACAUUGGUGGGCAUAGAUGGAAUCUUGUGCAUGUCCACCGCAAAGUCCUUGCUUCCGGUCAUAUGAUGAGUGGCUCCACUAUCAAGCAACCAUGAUCCCCCACCAGAAGCAAACACCUACAAGAGAUCAAUGCUUGGUUUUAGGUACCCAUUUUGUAAUGGGUCCUUUAAUGUUAGUAACAAGGGUCAUAGGAACCCAAAUAGAACAUUCAAUGUACUCAUAAGGAGAACCAACAAAUUUAGCAUAAACAUGCCCAUCGCUAGCAUGGCACAACACAUAAGAAGGGUUAAAGUCGCCGGCUUUGUUGGAAGGGGUGGCAUUGACCUUCUUGAUACCACCACCCUUCUCAUUGUUCUUCUUCUCCUUAGAAGCACCCUCUCCCUCCUUCACAAAAGUUUGCUUGAGAGGAGGAGGUCGUUUGGCCUUGUCAUUCUUCUUCUUGUUCUUGGGCUCGGAGAGAAACCCAAUUCCCUCCUUGUCCACAACUUCCUUUUGAUUGCUCAAAAGGUCGUUGAGGUUCUUCUCACCUUGUAUGCAAGAGACUAGGCCUUUCUCAAGUUGCUCCUUCAACUUAGCAUUCUCCUCCACAAGAUGCACAUGCUCACAACAUGGGUUAGUAGCAUUUGCAUUAUCAAUUAAGACCAUAUGAGGAAAAGUAACUUUUUCAUUAGUUAGCUUCACUUCACUACAAAAAAAGACACAUCCGUGACAUUUUGGGCCAAACAAAAAUUUUCUCUGUCAUACUUAUGACACUUCUAUGACGAUAAUUGUGACAAAACCCGGUAUCAUCAUAGAUGUGGUGGGGUCCUACUUCUAUGACAAAAAAUCAUGACAGAAAAUGGGCUUUUCGUCCUGGGCGGGCUGAAGACGCAGCCGCAUGACAUUCUUUAAGCCGUCCAUGACUGAAAAAAAACUGUGGUAGAAGCGGGGGCGAGGAAAAUAUCAGGGAGUUCCCGGCUACGGUGGGUGGUCGUGGGCCGAGUGAUGCGCGUUUCUCUCAUACGUACGCGCAUGUGUGCGAGGCGUUGGGCUCUAACUGAACCCGAGCAAGGCGUUGGGCUCUAACUGAACCCGAGUGAAGCGUUGAACAGUAGCCGGUGGAGGCUGGAUGAACAUGAGCCUGUGGAUGAACAUUCACAGGUGGACGUUGGAGGAGGUCGACGGUGGAUGAACAGUAGCCCAUGGAGUGUUGGGGGGGAUGGACCCCGGGCAGGCAACGGAACCCGGAUCCUUUGAAAAAACAACGGGCCGGCAUCGCCCCUCAAGACGGCUCACGCUUGGCCGGGUCGCUCGACCCGGCCAAGCCCCCUCGACCUGGCCUAAUCCUCAAGACUUCUCCAGCAAGCCAGCCCAAGGCGGCCAAGCCCGGCACACCAAGACUUAUCCAACAAGCCAACUCCCCAUGGCGUGUACUCCAACCCGGCCAAGGGUCAGCAGCCGUCCCAUCCCAGCCGUACGAUGGGACGAGUCGCCACCAACCGAUGAUCGAAGCCAUAGUGCCUCGCCCAUGCCUAUGGUCAGCCAGACAAGGCAAUAGUGCUCCCCACCUACCCACUGACCAGGCUCGGCAUGGCAACAGUGCACCCGUCGUCACCCAUGAUGCCAUUGAGCGGCGACCUACCGGAGCGCUGUAGCUGGCUCAACUCGAUCACGCCCUGACGAUUGACAAGACGGCCAACAGUGCCCCCGUACCCGGUGGGUCCCGUGCCUGGGGAACCUGGCGACACCUGGUACCCGGCGGGUCCCAGCACCGAGUUCCUAGACGCUAACGACCCGGCCCCAUAACCAUGUAACAUUACCGUUGUACCUCUGGGCAGUUGACCUAUAAAACCCCCCAGGAGCCCUCAUGCAUACGGGUAGAUCAUCUAUUUCCACUCACUCGACCAUCAAAGGAGCUCUUCUCCGUCCCCCACACAACAUAGGUAGGGAGCAGCCCAAGCCUCGGCCUGCCUCCCUUCUUCCUCAAUACAGCUCUAGGAGCAACUCUGUACUGUAACGUAUUAACCACACUCAGCGGGACUAGGGGUGUUAUCUCUCCUGAGAGCCCCGAACCUGGGUAUGUCUUGCGUCUCACGCUCGCUCAUGCUGACCUCGCCUCUGGAGCCCACCAGUGCCCUCGAGCCUCCUCCUCUCUUUAGCCAUCCCAUGGCAUCUGCCGUGCGCCCACCACGACAGUUGGCGCCCACCGUGGGGCAGCUCGAGGUCCUGUCCGGGAGCAUGCUUCAGACGGGGCUCUACUCCGACUCCGACAAGCUCGUCACGCUGGCGUACGAUGUCAUCGACGCACUCGCCAUCUCCUUCGCUGUGCUGCACAUCUCCGACGCGCCUGCGGCUGACGAGUACCCCUGGGAGGUGCUCGACUAUCCUGACUACCCCCUUUCCCUCGAUGGUGGCAUUCUCGCCGGGACAAUGGACCUCUGCGUGGAGGUUUUCGUCACUGACACCGGCGCCGCUUCCUCGUCUAGCACGGCGAGGAAGGCCGCUGAAGCUAGGACCGCAGCUGGGCGGGCCAACCCACCCGAACCCUGCGGGCCAUGAUGCAGAGCCUAUGCGUCCCCAUCGGCACCGUCAUUGAUGCCUCCGACGUCGUCAAGGCACGAAAUCGCCUCGAUGAGUAUCGCCAGCGCCUGCUGGACCUCACCGAGACGCUCAGUGCCACGCAGCGCCACCUCGACUCCGCUCAGUUGGAGCGCAACACCACCUACGGCUUCACGCCAGACGCGCCUGACCCAAGCCGGGUCGCUGACAUGCGGGCCCGGGGCGGCGCGAUUGGGCGCGCCUUCGGCGCCAUCCCUCCCGUCAACGAGACUCCCAUGAAGAACAUGCGCGCUUCCCUGGCGGCCAUGGCCGGCCUGGAUCAGCUCGCGGGCGAAGAGCUGCAUGACCGCCUCAAGAGGGUGAACGACCUCCUCGCCGCUGCUAACGCGCAGCAGGACCGCCUCAACCAACUCGCCAAAUAGGUCGGAUCCAGCUUCGCCGGCGUCGCUGGACCCGACGAUUUCCAGCACACGGCGUCCUCUCCGCCUGGCGAAGCGCACUGCGGCCGCAUCCGGACCCGGCGCAACCCUGCCCUGACGACUUCUGGCGGCUUGGGCGACGAGCCAACUUCGGAGGCCCGACACCCGCUCGACCCCCUGCUCCAACCCAGUGGACUUCCAACGGGAGGAGACCCGGCCCCCUACGGUGUGGUGACUGACCGGCUGGGCCCACGCACCAUCGAUGACACUGAUGCCCGUCAUCGCCUCGACCGACUCGCCCUCUCCCAAGAGUUGGAGGAAACCAGCCCCGUCGGGCCGACGUGCUUCAGACCACGCAUCUGAGGUGAGCCCUUUACCAAAGGGUUCACGCUCCCCCGUGACACCCCCCAAGUACAACGGCACCGUGAAGCCGGAGGACUGGCUCGCCGACUACACCACCACCAUCGGCAUCAGCAGCGGCAACCGCCGCCUCGCCAUGCAUGACGCGCCCCUCAUGCUCCAAGGGUCGGCCCGCACCUGGUUGAAUAGUAUGCCGAAGGGCAGCAUCAAUGCGUGGGUCGACAUCGAGCAAGCUUUUGUGCGCAACUUCACCGACACGUACAAGCGACCCGGCCGCCCCAGUCAGCUCGCCAAGUACGUGCAGGGACCGGCGAAGACCGGCCGCGAGUACCUUGCAUGCUGGACCGAGCUCCAGAACUGCUGCGAGGGCGUCCACGAAGUCCAAGCAAUCCAAUACUUCAUCGAUGGGUGCCGGGAUGGCACCCUCCUCAAGCACAAGCUCUUGCGCUUCAAGCCGGCCACCAUGGCCGCGCUCAUGGUGAUGGAGGAUAGGUACACCACUGCUGACUCCUCCCUGAAGAUCCAGGUGGCGCUGGACGAAGCCGGCAAAGCAAAGCCGGUCCCCCCCCCCCCGAAGCCGGCGGGUGAAGGAAGCCGGCAGCAGCACAACCAGCAGAACAACAAGCACAAGGCCGAUCAGCCGGCUCAGCGCUACGACAACUGGCUCGUUGCGGCCGCUGAGUAGGCGCCCGCGGCCAACCUGGCCACCAAGCGCCGACAGGCCGGCAAGAUGACAUGGCAACCCGCCAUGAGUUUCGAGGAGAUGCUUGACGCCCCCUCCAAGCACCACAGUGGCGUGAGGCCAUCCACACACAUGCUUCGGCAGUGCCCCAUCACCAAGCACAUCAUGAGGGGCGACGUCCCGCCUCCUCUGGCCCCGGCUCCGGGAGCGGGGCAGCCGCCUCCACCUCCACCACCGCCCCCGGCCGUCGAUGCAAUGCGCGACGACACCUACCUAGCCUAGAACGCAACUUACGUCGUCUUCACUAGCCUCGGCGACAACAAGCGCAGCGAGCGCCUCCUUUGGCAGGAGGUGAACACUGUCAUCCCGGCCAAGACGGAGUACAUGCAUUGGUCGGAGCGUCUGGUCACCUGGACUCGGCAGGACCACCCAGUCGUCGUGCCGAACCCGGGUGGUAACGCCCUUGUCCUCGAUCCCACAAUCAUCGCGCCUCGGCGCAUGUGCAAGUUCUCCCGGGUGGUCCUCGACGGCGGCAGCAGCAUCAACAUCCUCUACCGCGACACCAUGACCAAGCUCGGCCUCUAGGCUAAGGACUUAGAGGCGACCCGGACAGUUUUCCACGGCAUCGUUCCCGGCCUCUCCUGCUCUCCGAUCAACCAGGUCCGGCUCCAUGUCCUGUUCGGCGACAGCAGCCACUUUCGACACGAUUCGAUCUAGUUCGAGGUGGUGGACCUGUCCAGCGCGCAUCAUGCGCUGCUGAGCCGGUCCACGCUCGCCAAGUUCAUGGUUGUUCCCCACUAUGCCUAUCUGAAGAUAAAGAUGCCGGGUCCAAAGGGCCUCAUCACCAUCACUGGCGACUACCGUAAGUCCGUGGAUUGCGCCCGAGACGGUGCCAAGAUGGCCGAGUCACUGGUCGUAGUCGAGGAGCGGUGCCAGCUCGACCAAAUCAUCGCCCUGGCCCAAGAGGUGUCGGCCGCACCCGCCCCGACCGAGGACCCGGCUGACGAGGCCUCAUUCAAGCCCUCCAAGGAAACCAAGAAAGUGAAGCUGAACCCGGAAGACCCCAGCUGCAGCAAGUAUGUUGUCGUAGGCACCCGCCUCGACAACAAAUAGGAAGGCGAGCUCGUCGACUUCCUCCGUGAGACUCAGGAUAUCUUUGCAUGGACCCCAAAGGACAUGCCGGGUAUCCCGAGGAAGUACACCAAGCACAAACUCCAUGUCCGCAAGGACACCAGGCCCGUCCGUCAACCCCUGCGACGUUUUUCCGAAGAGAAGAGAAGGACCAUCGGUGAAGAGGUCGCCAAGCUUCUGGCGGCCGGCUUCAUCAUGGAAGUAUUUCACUCCGAGUGGCUGGCCAACCCAGUCCUCGUUUUGAAGAAGAACAAGACCUGGCGCAUGUGUAUCGACUACACCAGCCUGAACAAGGCCUGCCCAAAAGACCCGUUCGCCCUCCCGCGGAUCGACCAAGUCAUCGACUCCACUGCUGGGUGUGAGCUCCUGUCCUUUCUGGACGCAUACUCUGGCUAUCACCAGAUCAAGCUGGACCCGGCCUACGCCCUGAAGACAUCCUUCAUCAAGCCCUUCGGGGCGUAUUGCUACAUCACCAUGUCUUUCGGCUUGAAGAACGCCGGCGCCACCUUCCAGCGCUGCAUGCAGAAAUGCCUGCUGCCGCAACUCGGCUGCAAUAUCCACGUCUACGUGGACGACAUCAUGGUGAAGACCAAGCAGCACCUCAAGCUCCUCGACGAUCUGAAGGAGACCUUCGCCAGCCUGCGCGAGUACAAGGUCAAGCUCAACCCCAAGAUAUGUGUUUUCGGCAUCCCGGCCAGAAAACUACUUGGCUUCCUCGUCUCGGAGCGCGGCAUUGAGGCGAACCCGGAGAAAAUCAAGACCAUCAAGCGCAUGCGCAAGCCGGCCCGGUUGUGCGAUGUCCAGAAGUUCACCGGCUGCUUGGCCUUGGUUAGCCAGUUUCUCAGCCGGCUGGGCGAGAGGGCCCUGCCCCUGUAUCAGCUGAUGAAGAAGACGACGCCGUUCGAAUGGAACGACCAGGCGGAUGAAGCUUUCUGGGAUCUCAAGCGCAUGCUCUCCACCGCACCAGUCCUGUCCGCGUCGGCCGAGAAGGACCCGUUGUUGCUCUAUAUCGCCACGACCUCACGGUCGGUUAGCACGAUGAUGGUGGUCGAGCGACCAGAGAAGGACAGGGUCCAAGCCGUCCAAUGUCCCGUCUACUACCUGAGCGAGGUGCUCUCCGCCUCAAAGCAGAACUACCCGCACUACCAGAAGAUGUGUUACGGCGUGUACUUCGCUGCCAAGAAGCUGAAGCAGUACUUCCAAGAGCAUGUCAUCACCGUGGUCAGCACGGCUCCUCUGAGAGACAUCAUCGGGUCCCGGGAUGCCUUUGGCCGGGUCGCCAAGUGGGCGCUCGAGCUGGCCGGCCAUACCAUCCUCUAUGAGCCCCGCACCAUGAUCAAGUCCCAAGCUUUGGCCGACUUCCUCGUCGACUGGACCAAAACCCGAUGCCUGCCACCGCCACUGGACUCAACGCAUUGGCGCAUGCACUUCGACGGCUUGAAGAUGCGACUCGGCCUAGGAGCCGGCAUAGUGAUGUCCUCCCCCAAGGGAGACCGGCUCAAGUACGCACUACAAAUCCACUUCACCGCCUCCAACAACGUCGUCGAGUACGAAGCCCUUGUGCAUGGCCUCCGGUUUGCCAAGGAACUCGGCAUCCGGCACAUCCUGUGCUAUGGCGACUCGGACCUGGUGGUACAGCAGUGCUCAGGCGAGUGGGACGCGCACGACUCAAACAUGGCAAGCGACCACUUCCUCGUCCAGAAACUGUCCGCGUUUUUCGAGGGUCGCGAGUUCCUCCAUGUCCCACGCGCGGAGAACGAGGCCGCCGACACGCUCGCCAAGAUCGCCUCGUCUCGGCAGUCCAUUCCAUCCGGCGUUUCCCUCGAGCAUCUGCACAAGCCGUCCUUCAAGCCGUCUCCAGACUCCGAGUCCAUCCAUGUGCCAACCGACCCAGCCGUGCCUCAACCCAGUCCAGGGACUGCUCCAACCGACCCGGCCACGCAUCAACCCUGCCUGCGGACUGCUCCAAGCGAUCCGGCCAUGCCUCAACCCUGCCCGGGGACUGCUCCAUCUGACCCGGCCGCGCCUCAACCCAGCCCGGGGACUGCUCCAUCCGACCCGGGGGCUGCCGAACCCGUCCCGGGGGCUACCGGACCCGGCUUUGGGGCCACCGACCCGGAUCCCAAAAUAGUGGCUAUCUUCGCCGUGGUGAAGGCACCAUCCUGGGCCCUGCCCAUCUUGGAGUUCCUGGAGAACAGGGUCCUCCCCAUGGAUGAGACCGAAUCUCGGCAAGUGCAACGUCGAGCGGCCGCCUACAGCAUCAUCAACAUCAAGCUCAUCAAGCGCAGCUCCACCGGCGUGUUCCAGCGCUGCGUCGAGCAGGACAAGGGUAUUGAGAUCCUCCUUGACAUACACCAGGGCGAAUGCGGUCACCACGCCGCCUCAAGAUCCCUGGUGGCCAAGGCUUUGCGCCAUGGCUUAUACUAGCCCACGGCCCUUGAAGAUGCAGAGUCACUCGUCAUCAAGUGCGAGGGAUGCCAGCGCUUCAGCAAGCGCAGCCACCAGCCGGCGUCAGCACUCCAGACCAUCCCGAUCGCCUGGCCCUUCGCGGUAUGGGACUCGACAUGGUGGGACCCUUCAAGACCGCCCGAGGCGGCAUGACGCAUUUGCUGGUGGCUGUCGACAAGUUCACCAAAUGGAUCGAAGCAAGGCCAAUCAAGAAGCUGGACGGCCCGAUGGCCGUCUGGUUCAUCAAGGACAUCGCGGUGCGCUACGACAUGCCGAACAGCAUCAUCACGGACAACGGCACCAACUUCGCCAAGGGCGCGCUCGUGCAGUACUGCUCCGUCUCUGGCAUCCGCCUCGACCUGGCUUCCGUUGCGCAUCCGCAGUCCAACUGCCAGGUAAAGCGGGCCAACGGCCUCAUCCUAUCUGGCAUCAAGCCGCGGCUCGUCGAGCCACUCGUCCGUUCUCCCGGCAGCUGGCUCGACGAGUUGUCGGCCGUCCUCUGGAGUCUCCGCACCAUGCCAAACCGGUCGACCGGGUUCACCCCGUUCUUCCUUGUCUAUGGAGCAGAAGCCGUCAUCCCGACCGACAUCGAGUUCUACUCACCGCACAUCACGAUGUACACGGAAGCCAAAGCCAAGGAAGCUCGCGAAGACGGCGUCGACCUGCUCGAAGAGGCACGUCUCCUAGCGCCCAGUCGCUCAGCCAUCUACCAGCAAGGCCUGAGGCACUACCACAACAAGAAAAUCAAGCCCCUCUCCUUCCAGGAGGUAGACCUCGUCCUCCAGCUUGUCCAGCAGCAGACCGGCCAACACAAGCUAUCAUCCCCAUGGGAGGGCCCCUUCAUCAUCAUCAAGGCCUUGUGCGAUCGCAACGCAUACUACCUCAUCGAUGCCCGCAAGUCAAACAAGCGCAAGAGGGACACCGCCGGCGAAGAAACAACCCGGCCCUGGCACGCCGAACACAUCUGCCCAUUUUAUAGUUAGACGAAUGCACGUAUGUAUCGCUGCCUUUUGUAAUCAUCUGAAAACUAUGGGGCCCCCGAACGACGGUCGGGGGCUGCCCUUUUCGCGACCAAGUUAUUGUGUCCUCGACUUUUGUGCAUUUACCUUUCUAGUAAGCCAACCCGACCACCGGGUCGACUCGCUCGACCCGGGGGCUGGCCAUCUUGUGUGACAGCCUGGUUUUUGCCCUCUUUUCUUUGCCUGAUUUUCUUUGGGUUUGGUUUUGAAAUUUGGAGUUUUGAAUCUUUUCAAGUGGACUUGAACACUUGGGUACCCCUUGACUUUCACCCAAUUGCCUCUUUUCCCUCUCUAACUAUCAUUUCCUCUUUGGUUCACCUCAAAAUAAUAUUAUUAAUAUUUUUCUUAAAUGAAAAAUAUUCAUUUCCCUCUCUUAAACCCUAGCUAGCUCAAUGUGCUCCAAAGCAACCCCAAUUUUUCUUGCCGACAAAAAUCUGAGAAAAUCCCAAAUAUUCUUGGAACCCUAGGGCACCUUCCUGUGAAAAAAUAUUUCAUCACUUUUUGGAAUAUUUUUGCUACAGAAAAUAUCUUCUGUUCAGGACAGGAAUGGUGGUUUCUACAGCAACUACCAUUUUACUUGCUCCAUUGUGGCUGAUUUUUCUUGUGCAUCAUCACCUUAGUAGAUGAUUGCUAACCUCCAAAGCCCAGCUCCCAACUCUCAGUAGUUUGACUGCAGUAAGCUCUCAAAGUUACUGACCAGAAACUUACCAGGGAGUGGAAAUCCAUUCUACUGCGUCCGAGCUCAAACCAAAGCAUGGUAACCUCUCAAUCUACCAUGAGCUACACACCAGACAUGAAGUUUAGGCUUAGGUUGGCCUCAGGUCAGAGUUCACGCGGUGACCACAGGUGUGCACGGUGCCAACCUGCAUGUCGUCGCGCUCUGAGUGCCGCCGAGCGGUCUGUUGUGCGCGUGCUCGCUUCCCAGAUUGCCAAACUGCGCCACGAUCAUCGUCCCGACCCUCUUAACUCCCUCCUGGCGCUCGCCGACGUCGAAGCUCGCUGCAGCGAGCAUGGGCACAGUCCGGCCAACGCAACAGUGCGCUGCGCACUGUGUUCGUCGCCAACCCCUCGCCCAUGUGCUCGUCUCCGCUCGCCCACAGUGCCCGCAUGAGCCGCGUCGCCUUCCCCCUCGCUCACUGAUGUCAUAAAUCGCCAGGAGCCGUGUCCAGGUGUCCUCUGGCUGAGGCCGAACCCCUUUCUCGCUCGGCUAUAAACAGAGCCCUCCCCAGCCUCCUCGAGCAUCAUCCACUCUUCACACACAGUCCACGAUCUCGUAGAAAGCUGUAUCCCGGCCGGGCAGGCUGCGGGCCGCCGUCCCCGAUCUCGAGCUCGCCGGCGAUCCCCUAGGGUCAUGCCUCCGUAGUGUCGUUCCGCCCGGUUGGAGCCCCUGGUGUCGCCUCGAGUCGUCGACGUCUUCAACUCCGGCGACCUCUGCCUUCUGUCGCCGCUAGAGAGGCCAUUUCCGACGCCGUCCGACCACCCCUAGCUAACCUACGGGUACGGGCAGGUCCGCCUCCAUCUUCUCUUUCGAUCCCUCCCUCUAGUUCUGGCCAAAGAGCUCUCCUUGCUGACGUGUGCUCCGGUGGAGCCGCGCCGCUCUCUGUUUCCAUCCUCCCCUCCCUCUCACCUGACUAGCAGGGCCCGCUAGUCAGUCACUCUGUACGCGCCCGAAGCGGUAAGAGUGGUUGCGCCCGCGAGGUUUUACGCCUUCGNNNNNNNNNNNNNNNNNNNNNNNNNNNNNNNNNNNNNNNNNNNNNNNNNNNNNNNNNNNNNNNNNNNNNNNNNNNNNNNNNNNNNNNNNNNNNNNNNNNNNNNNNNNNNNNNNNNNNNNNNNNNNNNNNNNNNNNNNNNNNNNNNNNNNNNNNNNNNNNNNNNNNNNNNNNNNNNNNNNNNNNNNNNNNNNNNNNNNNNNNNNNNNNNNNNNNNNNNNNNNNNNNNNNNNNNNNNNNNNNNNNNNNNNNNNNNNNNNNNNNNNNNNNNNNNNNNNNNNNNNNNNNNNNNNNNNNNNNNNNNNNNNNNNNNNNNUGUUUAUUUAAAUUGAAAAUCCAGAGAGAUUCAAACGGCCAAAACUUUUUAACCAUAAGUCCAAAUGAAUUGAUUCUUUUUGCAUUGUGUUCUUUAUGAAGAAAUCUAGCAGCUCACCAAAAAUGAGAAUUUUCGCUGCUGCCUAGAUUUUCUGGUGAAUUUCAGAAGGUUUCUUGAUGUUUUCUUUUUGUGUUUAUAUUUGCUUUCAGAAAGUGAAGUUUGUCUUGAGGAUCACCAGGAGGAUUGUGAACCUCAUCUGCACUAAGGCAAGUCACAGCAACAUUUUCAUGGUGCCAUUUCAAUAUUAGUGAUUUUUUAACUUGAAUUAAUGGUUUAAUCCACGCAUUUAAAUCACUAGAAUAUUAUUUAUAUUAUGUUGGUUGUUUGUUUAAGUUGAUAUGCUUAAUUUACAGAAGUUUGAAGCUAACUAAGAUUGGUUAAGUAACUAGAAGUAAUACUGGUUAUGAAGAAGUAAUAUGGUUAUGGAUAUAAGUAAUUAUUUUGAGUAUUUUCUUGGAUGAGAAAAAUGAUAAAUUUGCUAAGUAAAGAUUCUAUUUAAAGUGAGGAUUAAUCAUAACCACAGGAGUGUUAUGAGUUGUUGAUGAUUAUGCUUAGUGUGGAUAUAGUUGACCCAGUUAUUUCCGUUGAGAUAUGAUGCACAUGUUAGUGCUGCAUUUCAUGGUAUACUAUGACACCGGUUACAUUCACUUUAAGUUGAACCUGAUAAUAACUCAACUUGAAUAUAUCGUUGACUGGGUCAUGGUGCCACUGAAUCUUGUUUUUCCCAGUGCAACCACAUUUGACUUUAUGGGAAGGCCUUUAUUUGGUCUGUUGUCAUGCCUCUGGUCGGUGCCUCCAAUGAGGGAAGGUUAUGGGUGUGCGGUACCCUGGCCCGGUAAGCAGACAUAACCUUGUGUGCCCGUUCUUGUUAUGGUACCUUGUCCCCAUUUGGGACCGUUUAUGUUUUGCCACGAUGGUGGCUGUUGGUGUCUUUGGUAGACACGGGGCCACCCAGGACUAGCCCAGUGGGGAGUGAGUCGGAGUGGCCGGGAGAGUGUCACGGCAAUGGAGGGGUUUCGUUGGAACGACGUUGGUCCACUCGAAUGGGAGUGCGAGGCUGUGACGCCCCGAGACCGUUGUGUCAGGUGUCAUCCAGUUAUUCGCUGUUGUUGCCUUGUCAUUCGCUUGCGUGUUGCAUUUCAUCUUAUCAUCAUGUGCAUUGCAUCAUCAUGGUUUCAAAACUUGCAUUUGUCUGGGUUCUCCGAGUUCUCUCCGUUGUCCGUUCUGAGCCUAGACACACUUGCAUGCGCCCGCGGCAUGUCCGAAAUAGUAUUUUAUAAGUGGCCGGAAAAUGUCCUCCGAAUGGGAUGAGAGUUGACGUGUGGUCUUAUUAUAGUGUAGACAGAGCGCCUGUCGAGUUUCAUCGCAUUCGGAGCUCGUUUGAUAGCCCAACUGUUAUAUAUAUAGCGGCACCGUUGCCGGUAUUUUCGUCGGACGUUUUCGAUCUUCGGAAACCCAUGUCGGGCUGCAGUUCUUUUCUCUCCUCUCAGUCCAACCCUCCUACACAGCCCGAGUCCAGCCCACUAAACCCCCCUCCGACCGGAACCGUUCGAUUACGAUCGGAGGGCUCUGAAACCCCCCUAGAACCCCAACCCUAGCCAUUUUUGCUAUAAAAGGGAACCCCCCUUCCAAAUCUGGACAUUCUUCCACUCUCCUCCUCAUUUUCCGCACAGCCCCAGCCUCCACCCGCCAUUUGUCACCGUUAGAUCUGCUCCGCCGCUGCCACUUGGCCUCCUCCAGCGCCACCACAUGGCGCCACCCCAGUGGGCAGCGUCGCCGCCCUGCCCAACCAGAUGAGGCCACGUCGCCCCUGGGUCUCCCCUCCACCGCACGGCCUUGCAGGCCCACAGGGAGCCCAUCGUGGGCCGCCCCAAGCCCGACCGUUGUGCCCCGUCACCUCGCUUGAGCUGGAUCGGGAGAGCUCGAUCCCGAGCUCCCUGCGCCACCGCCUGACCUCUCGCCGGAGUUGAGGACCCCGAGCGCCCUAUCUCUCUCCCUCCGCUGCCCCUCCUUCUUCAUCUCUCUCUCACAGAGCUCUCUCUCUCCCCGUGUCGUGCAGAUCCUCGAGUUUCGUCGCGCCGCCGCAUGGAGUUCACCAGAGCUUGCGACCCCCGCCGUUUCUUCGCCCGGAUCUGUGUCGCCCUGGCCGUCCUUGCCCACAUCCGGUCAGAUCCGGUGCCCAGGAGCCGGAUCCACCCAUUCCCGCCGUCAGUCGGGCCCAUCCCCACCGCCUGCCGCCGUACCCUCGCCGGAAUCCAUCGGUCGUCGCCGUGUCGUUCCUCCUCUGCAUGUGGCCGCAAGUCGCGUGGCCCAGCGCCUCCUCCUUGAGCCCGAUCUAGACCUGGCCCAGCUCCAACGCAGGUGGAUCCAGCGAUUGGGCCUCCUCCUCUCCAGAUCUGGGCUAUGGCCUAUGGUGAGACCCCCAUCGCCUCUGCUCCGGUUAGCCUGGCUAGACUCGGCCCGAGAUGUAUUUUUUUCCCGCAGAAUGUUUUAGCUAAUUUCCUGAGCACUACCCGUUUUGCAGAAUAGUCCCUAGAGUUCAUGCAUAUAAUAACUCACAAACCGUGCAUCAGAUUAAAACAAACUUAAUAUGAAAUAUGCUUAGUUUUUCAUCUAGUUUCAUAAUAUGUCUUUUUCAUCCAUGUUUAAAAUGUUUAAAAUGAUGUUUGAUUAAAUUUGCUCCUAUGCCAUGCUAAAAUGACUUAAUUCAUAACUAAAUAAUCGUAGCUCCGUUUUUAGCAAACUUUAUAUGUAAAUGGGGUAGAAUUUUGCCUAGUUUAACAUGGUUCACUUACUUUGCAUGUUUAACAACUCUAAAAUUUUGUUUAGGGCAGAACAGUACCAAACCUAAUAUAUACAUAUGAGGAGUUUCCGGAAUUGUUGUUCGUUGUUUCCGGCCUCAUUUAAACUUGACUAGAUAGGUAGUUUUCAUUUGCUUCACCCUCUUGCCAUGUUUUACAACAUUUAAUAUUGUUGUGUACAUAAACGAGAUCGAACUAAAUAACUUGUCGUGGUGUUUCGCCAAUAUGCAACUCGUUGCAUAUUGAGCUCCACUUAACUUGUAGUGUUGUUUGUGCACUUUGCCAUGCCAUGCAUAUUUAAACCGGACAUGCAUCAUACUUGAUUGCGCUUCGUGCCAUGAUUAUGUGAUGGUUGUUUUACUAUAUUGUUUGCUUUCUUUCCGGUGUUGCUUCUUCGGGUUGGUUCCGAUAACGUUGCGUUUGUGAGGAUCCGUUCGACUACGUCUGUUUGUCUUCUUCAUGGACUCGUUCUUCUUCCUUGCGGGAUUUCGGGCAAGAUGAUCAUACCCUCGAAAUCACUACUAUCUUUGCUUUGCUAGAUGCUCUCUCUUUUGCUAUGCCUAUGCUACGAUGCCUACCACUUGCUUAUCAUGCCUCCCAUAUUGUGAACCAAGCCUCUAAACCACCUUGUCCUAGCAAACCGUUGUUUGGCUAUGUUACCGCUUUGCUCAGCCCCUCUUAUAGCGUUGUUAGUUGCAGGUGAAGUUUGAAGUUUGUUCCUUGUUGGAACAUGGAGAUGUUGUUCCUUGUUUGGAACAUGUGUACUUGUUGGGAUAUCACAAUAUAUCUUGAUUAAUUAAUGCAUAUAUAUACUUGGUAAAGGGUGGAAGGCUCGGCCUUAUGUCUGGUGUUUUGUUCCACUCUUGCCGCCCUAGUUUCCAUCAUAUCGGUGUUAUGUUCCUGGUUUUUGCGUUCCUUACGCGGUUGGGUAAUAAUGGGAACCCCUUGACAGUUCGCCUUGAAUAAAACUCCUCCAGCAAUGCCCAACAUUGGUUUUGCCAUUUGCACUAACAACCUACCACCUUCCCUUGGGUUCUGCAGACUCAAGGGUCAUCUUUAUUCUAACCCCCCCCGGGACAGUGCUCCUCUAAGUGUUGGUCUGAACUGAGCUGCCUGCGGGGCCACCUCGGGGAAACUUGAGGGUUGGUUUUUACUCGUAGCUAGUCUCAUCUGAGUGUGCCUUGAGAAGGAGAUAUGUGCAGCUCCUAUCGGGAUUUGUCGGAAAAUUCGGGCGGUGUUGCUGGAUUUGUUUUACCCUGUCGAAAUGUCUUGUUGUACCGGGAUACCGAGUCUGAUCGGAACGUCUCGGGAGGAGGUCUAUUCCUUCGUUGACCGUGAGAGCUUGUCAUGGGCUAAGUUGGGACUCCCCUGCAGGGAUUUGAACUUUCGAAAGCCAUGCCCGCGGUUAUGGGCAGAUGGGAAUUUGUUAAUGUCCUGUUGUAGAUAACUUGAACCUUAACUUAAUUAAAAUGAGUCAACUGCGUGUGUAACCGUGAUGGUCUCUUUCCGGCGGAGUCCGGGAAGUGAACACGGUGUUGGAGUUAUGCUUGACGUAGGUUGUUUUAGGAUCACUUCUUGAUCAUACUUGUAUCGACCGUGCUUUGCCUUCUCUUCUCGCUCUCAUUUGCGUAUGUUAGCCACCAUAUAUGCUAGCCGCUUGCUGCAGCUCCACCUCAUACCUUUACCUUACCCAUAAGCUUAAAUAGUCUUGAUCGCGAGGGUGCAAGAUUUGUCAAUGCAGAUGACGCAACCAAGCUCAGGAGGAGCUCGAUGAAGAUCUUAUCCUUUGUGUUGUUCCGUUCUAGUUGAUCAGUAGUGGAGCCCAGUUGGGGUCGAUCGGGGAUCUGUGUAGCAUUUGGGGUAGUCUUCUUUUAUUUUGGUUCCGUAGUCGGACCCUGAUUGUAUCUGGACGAUGUAAUUCUUUAUUCAUCUAUUUUGUGAAGUGGCGAUUGUAAAUCAACUAUGUAUCUUUUUCCCCUAUUGUAUUACAUGGGUUGUGUGAAGAUUACCUCACUUGCGACAUUGCCUUCAAUGCGGUUAUGCCUCUAAGUCGUGCUUCGACACGUGGGAGAUAUAGCCGCAUCGAGGGCAUUACAAGUUGGUAAUCAGAGCCUUCCCCGACCUUAGGAGCCCCCACCGAUUGAUCGUUCUUAGCAGCCAUUGUUGUGUCUAGAAAAAUGUUUUGAGUCAUUUAGGAAUUAUAUAUCGGAGAGUUUAGGAAUUCUUUUUACUUCCUAGUCUCCUCAUCGCUCUGGUAAGGCAUCCUGACAUAGAGUUUUGACUCUUCUCUUCUCAAAUUUCACUAAAAUUUUUUUAGGAUCACGCGGGUAUCUUGGAAUCGUUCCGAUGGUUUUGUGACGAGAACAUUGUCUUGGUGCCUCCUGUCAGGGGUUUUGUGGCAGUGUCCCGGGGAGUUGAGCUCUGAGGUGUUGUCGUCAUAAUUUUAUCGUUGCAGUUCUGGAAUACCUAAGUUUAGUACGCCGACAUCAAAAAUCUCUUUUAUGCAGUUCGUUGGUGAGAUAACCUCGAUGCCACCCAGUACUGGGGCGGGAGUUCGGGAGUAUUGCCAUAACUUGUAUAACGGAUGCUUUUCGAAGGUUGAGGUAGAUGAUUUCCGAAGGUUUCUUGGUUAUCUGUUGAAGGAUGGAUACAGCUGGAUGUAGGAUCUGCUAGUUUUGGGUGAGAUAUUAUGCUUCCCCUGUAUCCCCAACACCUGAUUGCAUAACCGGAAAGUUUCGGGAGUUUAUAAGUGGGAAUUCAAGUAGUUCGUAGGAUAUCUUUUCGAUAGAUGUAUGAUAUGAAAUUAGGGUUCGAUGUCUAGUGGUCCGCCUAUUCACGGUUGGUUUUACAGUGGUCUCGUUGUGUCUUAAAGAGUCCUCGGCUAUGCCGACUCGGGGAUGCUUCGUAUGUCAUUUGCACUGCCUUGUACAUGAUGGUGUUGUACGAUCGAGCCCGUGUAGGCCCCACCACGAAAACUUCGGACGAAAUCUCUAUCAUAUGUUCGUUCUGGCUUAUUCUGCAAGCCAACCCUUUGUGUUGUUUUGAGUUGUGGUAUUCGAGUUGCUUCGAAGUCAAAUGUUGAUUCCAUACCUUUCCUAAACGGUGUUCUCAUAUUUCUAUGUGAAUACUAAUCCUUCUUGAUCAUCAAGAUUGUUUUUGUCAAUCCUUUAACCGGUGUGCUUCUCUUCAAGUGGAUCCGAUCACUUCAACAUUCGAAAGAUCAACUCAAGCUCUCUCAACGGUGUUUGUUUCAUCCAUCCCAAGUUGCCUUUGUUUUCCCACCCUCCCACCCUUUUUCUUCGAGGACUAAGAUUUUUUUCUUAAUCAAAUAUCCAUUUUAUACGUGUGAAGUCUCUUCUUUCUUUUCUUUCAAUAUUCUUAUCCGGUGAUUCUCAUGAAGAUUCUAACGGAGCUUCUAGUUCAUCAUUUUUCAUUCUUUUCUUCUCUAGUGGAUUCAAAUCAAGCUUUGUUUUGAUCAUAUCCUUUUUUCCUCGUUUCAAAUACCUUCUCAUGCCUGUGCACCUCAUAUUCGCUCACUUCUCGCUAUUUAAUUGUUCCAGAGUGCUCAAGAUAUAUCAAAGAUUCGUGUUUUCCACUCUGCAUUCAUUCAAGAUCUUUCGAGGUUGUUAUCUCAUUCAAGUCAUUUAAUUCAACCGGUGCAACCUCUCUUUCAAAUCAUUCAACGGUGUUUCUUUUGAGUGGGUCCUAACCCACAGGUCUUUUCCCAGGAUCUUACCUGACUCUUCUUAUUUUCUCGGAGGUAUUCUCAAAUUCCUUUCGAAGUUUGACGUAAGUAUGAUUUAUCAUCAGUCAAAUGUCUUCUUCAAGAUCUGUCAAAUUCUUUUCAUCGUCAGCUCAACCUCUUCGCUUUUGAUUCUUCCAGAGUAUCUCAACAAUACAUGGUGGUGUUCUCGUCGUCAUUCUCGGAUUUUGAAGACCAAAGAAGAAUUUUUCUCUCAAUCUUGCUCUUUUCUCUUCAAGAUUCAUGUUUCUAGCUUUAUGCCAUUCUCUCAUAAUUAUUUUCGGUUGUGAGAAUUAUUUUCACCUAUCCGGAGCAAUUCAAGAGUCUUUUCAGUUUGUUCAUCCGGAGCCCAUCAUCUAAGAUUUAUUCAUUCUCAGCUGUCAGUUAUCAUUCUCCUAUCUUACCGGUGCAUCGUUCAAGUGAUCUCUAAUCAGUCGUGAUUCCUUCGCUCUCAUGGAUCUAAACUCUCUCAUGUAUCUUCGUUCAUUUGCUAAUUCUUACCGGUGAUUCACCCCUUUUACUUCGUUCAUUUUCAAUUCUUACCGGUGGCUCGUUCAAGAGUUCUCUUCCUUGGUUAUUUAUCAAUUCAUUCGUCCUUUCCAAUCCUUCCGGUGGUUCGUUCAAUACUUUUCCAAGUUGGCGCGAUAUCAAUCUUAAUCUUUCUACGAGGAUAAGUAGUAUGUCAAAUCCAUUGCUUGUCAUCAAUUUGAAUUGGUGAAGGAUAAUCAUAAUGUAAUUCUUAUUAUUAUUUCAUCCAAUUGAUUUAAUUCCUUAUUCCGGAGGUUCAUCAAAAAUCUUGAUUUCAGUUGUUUCAUCUUUUCUUUUCCGGAGUUCCAAGUUUUUCUGCAUUAUAUCAUCGCGAAGCUCCAUCUAAAUCAUUGCUAGGCUUCAACCUUACUCUUUUCAUCUUUCUUUUUGUUUGAUCAUUCUUUCAUUACCGGACUUCUUCAUGAAGGUUCUACAUGAUAGUUCUUCAAGGAUUUAAUUCCUUCUCGAAGUGUUCAUCAAGAUUCUUUUCAGAGGAGCUCAAGCAUUCUUCUUCUUGCUAUCCGGAGUGCAAUUCUUUCUUCCGUAUCAUUGGAGGUGGUAUUAUGUCAUUCUUGAUAAUUUGAGUUCAUGUUUCAUGAUUCACAUCUUAUUAAGAAUGAGGUAUUUUAAAUCCUUCAAUCUCGUCAUUGCAGUUACCUUGGGUUAUAUUUCACCUAAAGCCUUCCCUAAGGAUUGUUGCUAUCUAUGGUGCUUAUAAAUGAUCCAAGUUCUUCAUUUAUUCUCCUGGUGCGAUAGUUUCUCGUAUCCUUUUUGAUAUCAAGCCAAUUAUUGUUUCGUUAGUGGCAGAAUUUCACCUCAUAAUGUUGAGAUGUCUUCCAUAAGCCCACUACUAGCUUACUCUUUUCGUUGUUGGUUUUCCAACAAUUCCGUUCGACCAUUCUCCUAAAAGAUGCAUUGUCAAUCUCUUUCGUGACAGAACUUGGCAUUUUCUUCUCCAUUCUUUUCUCUCAAUUACCUAUCUUCUAUUUUUUUCGUUCCGGAGGUCUAUUGAUGUUUCUCUUUUCACUCCUCAUCUCGUUUUGUCAAGAUCAUGUUCAAUUUCUUCCAUUUACAGUUGAAGUGUUGUCCAAAUUAUAUCAGUCUUAUCCCUUCUCUAUCUUUUUUAACCGGAGUGUCGUGUCCUCUGCUCAAGUUCUUUUCAUCGUAUCAAGUCUUGCAUAACUUCUCAACUGGAGUGCUGCCCGUAUUUUUUCUUCCUCGUUCCUCUUUUCUAAUGGAGAUUGUCAACUUCGUUAAUCUCCGUUGUGUUCAUUUCUCGAAAUGGCUUAACCUUUUCAAGGCUCCUUGGUUUCACUCAUUGGUCAAAGAAGCAACUUAGUUUUACCUCUUCUUUUUCUCUUCCGCUUUCCCUCCGGUGCCAUUCUAGAUCUCGGGACGAGAUCCUCUCGUAGUGGUGGAGUGUUGUGACGCCCCGAGACCGUUGUGCCAGGUGUCCUCCAGUUAUUCGCUGUUGUUGCCUUGUCAUUCGCUUGCGUGUUGCAUUUCAUCUUAUCAUCAUGUGCAUUGCAUCAUCAUGGUUUCAAAACUUGCAUUCGUCCGGGUUCUCCGAGUUCUCUCCGUUGUCCGUUCUGAGCCUAGACACACUUGCACGUGCCCGCGGCAUGUCCAAAAUAGUAUUUUAUAAGUGGCCGGAAAAUGUCCUCGGAAUGGGAUGAGAGUUGAUGUGUUGUCUUAUUAUAGUGUAGACAGAGCGCGUGUCGAGUUUUGUUGCAUUCGGAGCUCGUUUGAUAGCCCAACCGUUAUAUAUAUAGCGGCACCGUUGCCGGUAUUUUCGUCGGACGUUUUCGAUCUUCGGAAACCCGUGUCGGGCUGUAGUUCUUUUCUCUCCUCUCAGUCCAACCCUCCUACACAGCCCGAGUCCAGCCCACUAAACCCCCCUCUGACCGGAACCGUUCGAUUACGAUCGGAGGGCUCCGAAACCCCCCUAGAACCCCAACCCUAGCCAUUUUUGCUAUAAAAGGGAACCCCCCCUUCCAAAUCUGGACAUUCUUCCACUCUCCUCCUCAUUUUCCGCGCAGCCCCAGCCUCCACCCGCCACUUGUCGCCGUUAGAUCUGCUCCGCCGCUGCCACUUGGCCUCCUCCAGCGCCGCCACCUCGCCGUUGCCACAUGGCGCCACCCCAGUGGGCAGCGUCGCCGCCCUGCCCAACCAGAUGAGGCCACGUCGCCCCUGGGUCUCCCCUCCACCGCGCGGCCCUGCAGGCCCAUGGGGAGCCCGUCGUGGGCUGGAUCGGGAGAGCUCGAUCCCGAGCUCCCUGCGCCACCGCCUGACCUCUCGCCGGAGUUGAGGACCCCGAGUGCCCUGUCUCUCUCCCUCCGCUGCCCCUCCUUCUUCAUCUCUCUCUCACAGAGCUCUCUCUCUCCCCGUUUCACGCAGAUCCUCGAGUUUCGUCGCGCUGCCACAUGGAGUUCGCCGGAGCUCGCGACCCCCGCCGUUUCUUCGCCCGGAUCUGUGCCGCCCUCGCCAUCCUUGCCCACAUCCGGCCAGAUCCGGUGCCCAGGGUCCGGAUCCACCCAUUCCCGCCGUCAGUCGGGCCCAUCCCCGCCGCCUGCCGCCGUACCCUCGCCGGAAUCCAUCGGUCGCCGCCGCGUCGUUCCUCCUCUGCAUGUGGCCGCAAGUCGUGUGGCCCAGCGCCUCCUCCUUGAGCUCGAUCUAGGCCUGGCCCAGCUCCAAUGCAGGUGGAUCCAGCGAUUGGGCCUCCUCCUCUCCAGAUCUGGGCUAUGGCCUAUGGUGAGACCCCCAUCACCUCUGCUCCGGUUGGCCCGGCUAGAUUCGGCCCGAGAUGUAUUUUUUUCCCGCAGAAUGUUUUAGCUAAUUUCCUGAGCACUACCCGUUUUGCAGAAUAGUCCCUAGAGUUCAUGCAUAUAAUAACUCACAAACCGUGCAUCAGAUUAAAACAAACUUAAUAUGAAAUAUGCUUAGUUUUUCAUCUAGUUUCAUAAUAUGUCUUUUUCAUCCAUGUUUAAAAUGUUUAAAAUGAUGUUUGAUUAAAUUUGCUCCUAUGCCAUGCUAAAAUGACUUAAUUCAUAACUAAAUAAUCGUAGCUCCGUUUUUAGCAAACUUUAUAUGUAAAUGGGGUAGAAUUUUGCCUAGUUUAACAUGGUUCACUUACUUUGCAUGUUUAACAACUCUAAAAUUUUGUUUAGGGCAGAACAGUACCAAACCUAAUAUAUACAUAUGAGGAGUUUCCGGAAUUGUUGUUCGUUGUUUCCGGCCUCAUUUAAACUUGACUAGAUAGGUAGUUUUCAUUUGCUUCACCCUCUUGCCAUGUUUUACAACAUUUAAUAUUGUUGUGUACAUAAACGAGAUCGAACUAAAUAACUUGUCGUGGUGUUUCGCCAAUAUGCAACUCGUUGCAUAUUGAGCUCCACUUAACUUGUAGUGUUGUUUGUGCACUUUGCCAUGCCAUGCAUAUUUAAACCGGACAUGCAUCAUACUUGAUUGCGCUUCGUGCCAUGAUUAUGUGAUGGUUGUUUUACUAUAUUGUUUGCUUUCUUUCCGGUGUUGCUUCUUCGGGUUGGUUCCGAUAACGUUGCGUUUCUGAGAAUCCGUUCGACUACGUCCGUUUGUCUUCUUCAUGGACUCGUUCUUCUUCCUUGCGGGAUUUCAGGCAAGAUGAUCAUACCCUCGAAAUCACUACUAUAUUUGCUUUGCUAGAUGCUCUCUCUUUUGCUAUGCCUAUGCUACGAUGCCUACCACUUGCUUAUCAUGCCUCCCAUAUUGUGAACCAAGCCUCUAACCCACCUUGUCCUAGCAAACCGUUGUUUGGCUAUGUUACCGCUUUGCUCAGCCCCUCUUAUAGCGUUGUUAGUUGCAGGUGAAGUUUGAAGUUUGUUCCUUGUUGGAACAUGGAGAUGUUGUUCCUUGUUUGGAACAUGUUUACUUGUUGGGAUAUCACAAUAUAUCUUGACUAAUUAAUGCAUCUAUAUACUUGGUAAAGGGUGGAAGGCUCGGCCUUAUGCCUGGUGUUUUGUUCCACUCUUGCCGCCCUAGUUUCCGUCAUAUCGGUGUUAUGUUCCCGGUUUUUGCGUUCCUUACGCGGUUGGGUAAUAAUGGGAACCCCUUGACAGUUCGCCUUGAAUAAAACUCCUCCAGCAAUGCCCAACAUUGGUUUUACCAUUUGCACUAACAACCUACCACCUUCCCUUGGGUUAUGCAGACUCAAGGGUCAUCUUUAUUCUAACCCCCCGGGCCAGUGCUCCUCUGAGUGUUGGUCCGAACUGAGCUGCCUGCGAGGCCACCUCGGGGAAACUUGAGGGUUGGUUUUUACUCGUAGCUAGUCUCAUCUGAGUGUGCCCUGAGAAGGAGAUAUGUGCAGCUCCUAUCGGGAUUUGUCGGCACAUUCGGGCGGUGUUGCUGGAUUUGUUUUACCCUGUCGAAAUAUCUUGUUGUACCGGGAUACCGAGUCUGAUCGGAACGUCUCGGGAGGAGGUCUAUUCCUUCGUUGACCGUGAGAGCUUGUCAUGGCCUAAGUUGGAACUCCCCUGCAGGGAUUUGAACUUUCGAAAGCCGUGCCCGCAGUUAUGGGCAGAUGGGAAUUUGUUAAUGUCCGGUUGUAGAUAACUUGAACCUUAACUUAAUUAAAAUGAGUCAACUGCGUGUGUAACCAUGAUGGUCUCUUUUCGGCGGAGUCCGGGAAGUGAACACGGUGUUGGAGUUAUGCUUGACGUAGGUUGUUUUAGGAUCACUUAUUGAUCAUACUUGUAUCGACCGUGCUUUGCCUUCUCUUCUCGCUCUCAUUUGCGUAUGUUAGCCACCAUAUAUGCUAGCCGCUUGCUGCAGCUCCACCUCAUACCUUUACCUUACCCAUAAGCUUAAAUAGUCUUGAUCGCAAGGGUGCGAGAUUGCUGAGUCCCUGUGGCUCACAGAUACUUCCAAAACCAGCUUGCAGGUGUCGAUGAGUCCGUGCAGAUGACGCAACCAAGCUCAGGAGGAGCUCGAUGAAGAUUUUGUCCUUUGUGUUGUUCCGUUCUAGUUGAUCAGUAGUGGAGCCCAGUUGGGGUCGAUCGGGGAUCUGUGUAGCAUUUGGGGUAGUCUUCUUUUAUUUUGGUUCUGUUGUCGGACCCUGAUUGUAUCUGGAUGAUGUAAUGCUUUAUUCAUGUAUUGUGUGAAGUGGCGAUUGUAAGCCAACUAUGUAUCUUUUUCCCCUAUUGUAUUAAAUGGGUUGUGUGAAGAUUACCUCACUUGCGACAUUGCUUUCAAUGCGGUUAUGCCUCUAAGUCGUGCUUCGACACGUGGGAGAUAUAGCCGCAUCGAGGGUGUUACAGAGGCCAUGGGUUCCGUGGUGUGGGUACAGUGCACUAGCUCUAUAGAGUGUAUUCAAUCUAUCGAUAGCCGUGUCCACGGUCACGGACACGCUCGAAAGUAGGUCACACCAUGGGUCAAUGUUUAAUUAAUUUUGCACACUAAGUCAUGAACUUUGCACUGUUGAGAGGAUGAUGGUGGGUAAAUCAUCUUGAUGAUGGCAACCAAGUGUUGGUCAUGGUUGUGAUCGCCGGAAAGAUCACCAUUUGGUUACGAGGUAACCUGAUCAAAGACCACGAGGUGGGUCCAUUUGUGAUCCGAGAACGAUCACCGUUGGUAAGCAAGUUCGAGGGACUUAUUUCACACAAGUAUGAUCACGACAUGUAUGAUAUGAUGUUGCAUUAGUAAAUCAAUCGGUUAAAUAUCAUGAUAUUGUUUGUCAUUAUGUUUUUGUUUGUUGUGAGCUUGCAAGUACAUUCAAUAUACUGACCUGGCAUGUCAUGCCAGCUUUCAGGAAAGUCUCGUUGGAAAGGAGUGCUGUCCGAGUCUAGAUCGUGUCCACAUCGGUGUCCACGUGCUAUGGAGUUCCGCUACGAUGUUGUUCCGCUGCCGCGUAGUUGCUAUGAUCGAGGCCCCUUUAUGUUCACUAAAUAAUGUACAUAUUGUUCAGCCGCACCGUGUGUGCCGCUUGGCCUCGCCACCUAUUGUAAUAUGAACUAUGAUCCGCUAACAUCAAUAAAGCGGUUGUUUUCUGUACCAAGAUGUUGUGUGUUGCCAGAAGACAUGGUCUCUAGGCUGGCAAUGCAUGGAAAACCAGUUGCUCUGAGCUGGGGUGCCACAACGCUUGGUAUCAGAGCCGCGCUGACUGUAGGCCAUGCUAGACUACGAUGUGUUAACUUGGCGUUAGUUACGAGUUUAAGCUGAGUGCCGGUAGCAUUUGUAGCUGGUUGUUGCAUUGUAUGCGCUCGUUUUAUUUUUAUGCUAGCCUGCUAAUGGUUAUGAGUGUAGAUGGCUCCAGUGACGUAUCCGUGCCAGUUGUAGCUGAUGCCGUACACGUCGUCGCAUCUCCUUCGUAACGACCCAGUCUAUCGUGUGUACCGGGAGCGUCUAGCAGACUCAGUGUAUGAGUAUCACGCAGUGGUUACUCUGCGCACCAGUUCCAAUUCCAGCACUUACACUCGUACCUCUCAGAGCGGUUUUGCUUCUACCGCUUCUCAGGCUGUCCAGUUUGCUGCAUUCGAGGUUUUCGCCGAGCUCUGUUAUAAUGAGCUCUAGAUGCAGAACCACCCAGGUUUCCACUACUAUCCAUCUCUGCAUGACAAUGGUCGUGUCCUCUUUCCUAUCAUUGAUCCAGAGUCUGAUAGUGUUGCUAGCCACCUUUCUUGUUAUAUCACUGCUAGCAACCUUAUGAUCCACAAGCUAGCUCGAGAGCUAGCUCGUGCUCGUACUGCUUUAGCCACUACUAGAUCUUUCACUACUCCAUCAUCUACGGGAUUUACCCCUUAUAUUCCAUCCAGUUCUAGUUCACCUAUUUCGCCGGUUACUCCUCCGAGUAGCUCGGAUACCUCGACCGUGAAUCAUCUCAGUGCUCCUGCUGAGUGGGUUUCCCUUCUCACUACUCCCGUAGCCCCGAUGCUUCACCCUUCACCUACCCCAAAGGGAGAGCCCUUGAGGAAGCAUCGUUGUGUUACCUUUAACCCGGAGGUUUCAGUUAACAUCGUCAGUUCAGGAUCUAAGUCCGCUUCAGGAGAGGACCCCGCCGCACCAGCAGAGCAGUAGAGCAUUUGAGUAUCCGCGGUUGUCAGGAUGAUGCACGGAUGUAGUCAUGAUGCUCCGUUUCAUGUAUGAGAGUAGUUGAACCUUGCAUGUUGUUUAUCUUUCAUGUACGAGGCUAUGUAUAAUUAUGUUGGAACUCUGUUUUAUUUGUUGUGUUUUCUCCGCUAUUUCAUUUUCUCUCGGGAUUUGUUGCUGGCUUUUCCCCAAUUUAUUUUGGAUGUUUCUCAUCUCGGUUGUGUUGUCUUUGGAAAAAUCCACUCUAGGACGACACAGGGAGGCAGCAGUAGCAACGCUCAUGAGGACGCUCCUGUUCGUCGUUCCGCACGACAGGCAUGACACUCCCCCGAGCUGUACGUUCCACCACCGCCUCCACCGCCAAAUCCGCCCUCCACCGAAAAAAUUCUGCAUAUGUUUGAGGAAAGGAGGAAUAAUGAUCUGAUUGAAAUAUUAAGGAGUGUGCAAGCUGUGGUUCGACAAAAUGGAAAUCAGAACGGUCACCACUCCAAGCUGUCAGAUUUUUCAGAGAACCAAGCCUCCCAGUUUCUGUCAGGUUAUUGAUCCCUUGGAUGAAGACGAUUGGUUACGAACCAUUGAGAGGAAGCUUGAGAUUGCUCAUACUGAAGAAAAUUAUAAAGUUCCGUUUGCAACUCAUUAUCUUGAAGGCGCUGCCGCCAUAUGGUGGGAAAGCACAAAAGCCAUGUGGCCUGCUGAUGAAGAAAUCACCUGGGCAAAAUUCAAGGAUCAGUUCCAGAAAUAUCAUAUUCCUACUUGAAUUAUGAAGGUUAAGCAGCAUGAAUUUCUCGCGCUCCUUCAAGGAAAUCAUUCUGUGGGUGAAUAUUUGCAAAAGUUCAAUCAUCUGGCCCGUUAUUCCCUUUAUGACAUGGCCACCGAAGAAAGAAAGAUUGAUAGGUUUCUUGGGGGAUUAAACCUGCAACUCUGAUGUACCCUCAAUAUGUUUGAUUUCCUAGAUUUCCAAACUCUAGUAAACAAGGCUUUCAUUGCUGAAAGGGAACACAAACUCGUAUCGGACAAUAGGCCUGCUAAUAACAAUCACAAGCGCAAGUUCGAGCCAAGGAAGGAAGUGCAGCCAGUACAAAAGGCUCGUACCUGGCAACAUACUUAGGUGGACUACAAGCCCAAUGGAGUCAUGCCCUACCCAGCAAAACAUCACUGGGCGCGUUCAUCACCUCUCCGCAGACGAAGCUCAAGAGAACCCCGAAGUCAUCAUUGGUAUGUUUCAUGCUAAUAACAUACAUGCCGUAAUUUUAUUUGACUCUGGGGCUUCCCACUCUUUUAUUUCGCGGAGUUUUGUUGCCCAAAACAAAUUUCUUUGUUCACUUUUGGGCAAGGAUAUGAUGGUACAAUCCCCGGGAACAUUGAUCAGGAGCAAUCUGGUCUGCCGUAAUCUGGAAAUCAAUAUCAACAGAGCUUGUUUUCCAACAUCAUUGAUAAUCAUUGAGUCUGUAAAGUUGGAUGUUAUCUUGGGUAUGAAUUGGCUGACCCAAUAUCAAGUAUGCAAAAACUGCGCGACCCGAGAAGUGACUUUGACCAGGCAAGAGGGGCAGACUACCAAAUUUUAUGCUCACAGGAACAUACCCAAGAAAGAGAUGGUCUUCACCGUUGUGACUGGUGAAUUGGAUUUAGUUCCUGUGGUUAGUGAGUUUCCUGAUGUAUUUCUAGAAGAACUGCUAGGCAUGCCAGCAGAUCAAAAGCUUGAGUUCGCAAUAGAUCUUGUGCCCGGAACCGCACUGUUGUACAAAAAGUAUUACCGGAUGCCUUCAUCAGAAUUAGUGGAGCUAAAGAAACAGCUUGAUGAAAUGCUCCAGAAAGGAUAUAUCCAUCCUAGCUCUUUACCUUGGGGAUCACCUGCUAUCUUCGUGGAUACGAAUGAUGGCAGCCUCCACAUGUGUGUGGAUUACCGUCAGCUGAAUGAUGUCACCAUCAAAAAUAAAUAUCCACUGCCCAGGAUUGAUGACUUGUUUGAUCAGCUCAGUGGGGCCAAGGUAUUCUCCAAAAGUGAUUUGAGUACAGGAUAUCAUCAACUCAAGAUUAAUAAGGAAGAUAUUCCUAAGACUGCAUUCACUACUUGGUACGGUCUUAUGAAUAUACAGUUAUGUCCUUUGGUCUCACCAAUGCCCCUGCCUUCUUCAUGCAUAUGAUGACAAAGUAUUCAUGGACUUCCUCGAUAAAUUCGUGGUAGUCUUCAUUGAUGACAUACUUAUAUACUCAAAAAGUGAAGAAGAGCACAAAGAACACCUCAGAGCUGUGUUACAACGACUCCGUGACCAUCAGCUAUACGCCAAAUUCAGUAAAUGCGAGUUUUGGCUCAAGCAAGUUGGAUUUCUUGGACAUGUGCUAUCCGCCGAAGGCAUAGCCGUGGACCCGAGCAAAGUAAAGGAUGUGCUCGAUUGGUUGCCACCCACAACCAUAUCGCAAAUCCGGAGUUUUCUUGGAUUAGCUAGAUACUACCACAUUUCAUUGAAGGGCUUUCCAAGAUAGCUAAACCCAUGACGGAGCUGCUCAAGAAAGAUAAGAAGUAUGAAUGGACUGAGGACUGUGAGAAAAGUUUCAAUGAGCUAAAGAUACGGCUGAUGACAACACCUGUGUUGACUCUUCCAGACAUCUACCCCAGCUUUGAUGUGUACUGCGACGCCUCCAGACAGGGUCUUGGAUGCGUACUUAUGCAACACGGCAAGGUGGUAGCAUAUGCAUCGCGACAGCUACGCCCCCACGAGGGAAUUUAUCCUACUCAUUAUCUGGAAUUGGCCGCGGUGAUUCAUGCUCUAAAACUUUGGAGACACUACCUCAUUGGGAAGAGGUGCCAAAUUUUUACAGACCACAAAAGUCUCAAGUAUAUAUUUACUUAGCCAGAUUUAAAUAUCUCCCAACGAAGAUGGCUUGAGUUAGUCAAGGACUAUGAUCUUGGAAUGAAUUAUCACCCGGGUAAGGCCAACGUGGUUGCCGAUGCACUCAGUCGAAAGCCUGUCAGCCUGAAUGCCAUAAUGAAAUCCUUGCCUCCUGAACUUCAAGAGGAGAUUACUCAGCUCAACCUGGUCAUAGUUGAUGUUGUCCUUGUUGAUAUUAUGGAAGUUACCCCUACCCUUGAGGAAGAGAUCCGCAAGGCCCAGCCAGCUGACACUGUCCUACAGAAAUGUGCCAAGAGUAUGAUAGCAAGACAGACUCCAGAUUUUUCUAAGGAUCAACAUGGUACACUCUGAUUAUGUGGAAGAAUUUGUGUACCCAGUCAGUCGGAUUUAAGGAAGAAAAUCAUGUCAGAAGCACACGAAUCCUCGUAUUCUAUUCACCCUGGAGGUACUAAAAUGUAUGAAGACCUUCGACAAAUAUUUUGGUGUGAUGGAAUGAAGAAAGACAUUGCCUAUUUUGUGGCAUGUUGCGACAUAUGCAACAAGGUGAAGGUAGAACAUCAAAAGCCAGCUGGACUUCUCCAACCGUUGCCAGUUUCACAAUGGAAAUGGGAUGAUGUCUGCAUGGAUUUUGUCACAGGGCUACCUAAGACUCAGUGAGGUAACGAUGCAGUCUGGGUCAUAGUGGACACCUUAACCAAGGUUGCUCACUUUAUCCCGAUCAGAACUACAUAUCAAGCAGAUCAACUAGCACAACUAUAUGUAUCCAGAAUAGUCAGUCUGCAUGGAGUACCUUGAAAAAUCACUUCGGACAGGGGGUCACUUUUUACCUCUGCUUUCUGGUCACGACUCCACCAAGCCUUGGGGACAGCGUUAAAAUAUAGUAGCACUUAUCAUCCUCAGACUGGUGGACAGACUGAGCGAGUAAACCAAAUACUCGAAGAUAUGCUAUGAGCCUGUGCUUUGGCCCAAGGACCAAAAUGGGAAUACUGCCUGCCAUAUGACGAGUUCUCUUAUAACAACAGCUUCCAGACCAGUUUAAAGAUGUCACCGUAUGAUGCUUUGUAUGGUCGUAAGUGCCGCACUCCUUUAAAUUGGUCUCAAACUGGAGAUAGUCGUACUUUCGGAACGGAUCUCAUGAUGGAAGCUGAGAAGCAAGCCAAAGAAAUCAGAGACACAUUGCAAUUGGCCAAAUCACGACAAAAGAGUUAUUAUGAUGCAAAGCACUGACAAAUCAGUUUUGAACCCGGAGAACAUGUAUACCUUCGAGUCACCCCUAUGAAAGGGGUUAAGAGAUUUCCCACUCGUGGAAAGUUGGCACCCAGAUUUAUUGGUCCAUUCCCCGUUAUGUCCCGAGUGUGUACUGUUGCAUAUCAGUUGAAAUUACCCCCAGAAUUGUCGGAAAUACACAAUGUGUUUCAUGUUUCACAGUUGAGGCGAUGCAUAUCGCCGCCUGAGAAAAAUACUAUUAUGACAGAAAUAGAAUUGGCAAAGGAUUUAACAUAUGAAGAGAGACCGGUCAUAAUUUUGGAUCAGAUGGAAAGGGUCACUCAUAGUAAAGCAAGGAAGUUUUACACAGUUCAGUGGGAGCAUCACACAGAGGCAGAAUCGACGUGGGAAUGAGAAGAAUUUCUAAAGGCACAUUAUCUGGAAUGGUUUUCCCAAGCAACCGAAUCUCGAGGACGAGAUUCAUCCUAAGUGGGGGAGGUUUGUGACAGCCUGGUUUUCGCCCUCUUCUCUUUGCCUGAUUUUCUUUUGGUUUGGCUUUGAAAUUUGGAGUUUUGAAUCUUUUCAAGUGGACUUAAACACUUGGGUACCCCUUGACUUUCACCCAAGUGCCUCAUUUCCCUCUCUAACUAUCAUUUCCUCUCUGGUUCACCUCAAAAUAAUAUUAUGAAUAUUUUCUUAAAUGAAAAAUAUUCAUUUCCCACUCUUAAACCCUAGGUAGCUCAAUGUGCUCCAAAGCAACCCCAAUUUUUCUUGCCCUCAAAAAUUUGAGAAAAUUCCCAAAUAUUCUUGGAACCCUAGGGCACCUUCCUGAGAAAAAAUAUUUCAUCACUUUUUGGAAUAUUUUUGGUACAGAAAAUAUUUCUGUUCUGGACAGAAAUGGUGGUUUCUACAGCAACUACCAUUUUACUUGCUCCAUUGUGGCUGAUUUUUCUUGUGCAUCAUCACCUUAGUAGAUGAUUGCAAACCUUCAAAGCCCAGCUCCGAACUCUCAGUAGUAUAACCAUAGUAAGCUCUCAAAGUUACUGACCAGAAACUUACCAGGGAGUUGAAAUCCAUUCUACUACAUCCGAGCACAAACCAAAGUGUGGUAACCUCUCAAUCUAUACCACGAACUACACGCCAGACAUGAAGUUUAGGCUUAGGUCGGCUUGAGGUCAGAGUUCACGCGGUGACCACACAUGUGCAUGGUGCCAACCUGCAUGUCGCCGCGCUCUGAGUGCCGUCGAGCGCUCUGUUAUGCGCGUCCUCGCUUCCCCAACUGCCAAACUGCGCCACGAUCAUCGUCCCGACCCUCUUAACUCCCUCCUAGCACUCGCCGACGCUGGAGCUCGCCGCAGCGAGCACAGGCGCGGUCCGGCCAACGCAACAGUGUGUUGUGCAUUGUGUUCGUCGCCACCCCCUCGCCCCUGUGCUCAUCUCCGCUCGCCCACAGUGCCCGCGUGAGCUGCGUCGCCUUCCCCCUCGCUCACUGACGUUGUUCAUCGUCGAGCGCCAUGUCCAGGUGUCCUCCGGCGGAGCCCGAACCCCCCUCGUUGCUCGGCUAUAAAUAGAGCCCUCCCCAGCCUCCUCGAGCAUCAUCCACUCCUCACACACACUCCACGAUCUCGUAGAAAGCCGUAGCCCAGCCGGGCAGGCCGCGAGCCGCCGUCCCCGAGAUCGAGCUCGCCGGCGAUCCCCUCGGGUCGUCUCCACGGUUCUAGCCCCUCCCAAGAUCGGACCACCCUUCCAGGGCCUCCGUCAUGCCUCGGUAGUGCCCUUUCUCCCGGUUGGAGCCCCUGGUGUCGCCUCGAGUCGCCGUCGUCUUCAACUCCGGCGACCUCUGCGUUCUGUUGCCGCUGGCGAGGCCAUUUCCGAUGUUGUCCAGCCACCCCUAGCUAACCUAUGGGUACAGGCAGGUGCACCUCCGUCUUCUCUUUCGAUCCCUCCCUCUAGUUCUGGCCAAAGAGCUCUUCUCGCCGGCGUGUGCUUUGGCGGAGCCGCACCGCUCUCUGUUUCCCUCCUCCCCUCCCUCUCACCUAACUAGCAGGGCCCGCUAGUCAUUCACUCUGUACGCGCCCAAAGCGGUGCGAGUGGUGCUGCCCGCGAGGUUUUACGCCUUCGACGUCACCCCCCCAGUUUUGUUUUUUUAAAUUCAAAAUCCAGAGAGCUUCCGACAGCCAAAACUUUUUAACCAUGAGUCCAAAUGAAUUGAUUGUUUUUGCAUUGUGUUCUUUAUCAAGAAAUCUUGCAGCUCACAAAAAAUGAGAAUUUUCUCUGUUGCCUAGAUUUUAUGGUGAAUUUCAAAAGGGUUCUUGAUAUUUUCUUUUUGUGUUUAUAUUUGCUUUCAGAAAGUGAAGCUUGUCUUGAGGAUCACCAGGAGGAUUGUGAACCUCAUCUGCACUAAGGCAAGCCACAGCAACAUUUUCAUGGUGCCAUUACAAUAUUAGUGAUUUUUCAACUUGAAUUAAUGGUUUAAUCCAUGCAUUUAAAUCACUAGAAUAUUAUUUAUAUUGUGUUGGUUGUUUGUUUAAGUUGAUAUGCUUAAUUUACAGAAGUUUGAAGCUAACUAAGAUUGGUUAAGUAACUAGAAGUAAUACUGGUUAUGAAGAAGUGAUAUGGUUAUGGAUGUAAGUAAUUAUUUUGAGUAUUUUAUUGGACGAGAAAAAUGAUAAAUUUGCUAAGUAAAUAUUCUGUUUAAAGUGAGGAUUAAUCAUAACCAGAGGAGUAUUAUGAGUUGUUGAUGAUUAUGCUUAGUGUGGAUAUAGUUGACCCAGUUAUUUCCGUUGAGAUAUGAUGCACAUGUUAGUGCUGCAUUUCAUGUCAUACUAUGACAUCGGUUACAUUCACUUUAAGUUGAACCUGAUAAUAACUCAACUUGAAUAUAUUGUUGACCGGGUCAUGGUGCCACUGAAUCGAGUUUUUCCCAGUGCAACCACAUUUUCCUUUAUGGGAAGGCCUUUAUUCGGUCCGUUGUCAUGCCUCUGGUCAGUGCCUCCAACGAGGGAAGGUUAUGGGCGUGCGGUACUCUGGCCCGGUAAGUAGACAUAACCUUGUGUGCCCGUUGUUUUUAUGGUACCUUGUCCCCGUUUGGCACUGUUUAUGUUUUGCCACGAUGGUGGCCGUUGGUGUCUUUGGUAGACACAGGGCCACCCACAACUAGCCCAGUGGGAAGUGAGUUGGAGUGGCUGGGAGAGUGUCAUGGCAAUGGAGGGGUUUCGUCAGAACGCCAUUGGUCCACCCGAAUGGGAGUGCGAGGCCAUGGGUUCCAUGGUGUAGGUACAGUGCACUAGCUCUUUAGAGUGUAUUCAAUCUAUCGAUAGCCGAGUCCACGGUCACAGACACGCUCAAAAGUAGGUCACACCAUGGGUCAACGUUUAAUUAAUUUUGCACACUAAGUUAUGAACUUUGCACUAUUGAGCGGAUGAUGGUGGGUAAAUCAUCUUGAUGAUGGUGACCAAGUGUUGGUCAUGGUUGUCAUCACCGGAAAUAUCACCGCUUGGUUACGAGGUAACUCGAUCAAAGACCACGAGGUUGGUCCGUUUGUGAUCCGAGAACGAUCACCGUUGGUAAGCAAGUGUGAGGGACUUAUUUCAUAAGAGUAUGAUCACGGCAUGUAUGAUAUGAUGUUGCAUUAGUAAAUCAAUCGGUUAAAUAUCAUGAUAUUGUUUGUCAUUAUGUUUAUCUUUGUUGUGAGCUUGCAAGAAAAUUCAAUGUACUGACUUGGCGUGUCAUGCCAGCUUUCAGGAAAGUCUCCUUGGAAAGGAGUGAUGUCCGAGUCUAGAUCGUGUCCACAUCGGUGUCCCUGUGCUAUGGAGUUCCUCUACGACGUUGUUCCGCUGCCGCGUAAUUGCUAUGAUCGAGGCCCCUUUAUGUACACUAAAUAAUGUACAUAUUGUUCAGCCGCACCGUGUGUGCCGUUUGGCCUCGUCACCUGUUGUAAUAUGAACAAUGAUUCGCUAACAUCAAUAAAGCGGUUGUUUUCUAUACCAAGAUGUUGUGUGUUCCCAGAAGACAUGGUCUCUGGGCUGGCAAUGCAUGGUCAACCGGUUGCUCUGAGCCGGGGUGCCGCAACUUGGCCACCCUCUGCUUCCUUUAGCGGCUCCUAACGCAUUUGAUUGCCGCGGCCUCCCGCCUCGCCCUAAGCCGCAUAACCGGCUUCAGCUGUUGGCUGGCAAGCGCCGAGACCAGAGCACCAGGCGCUCCGCGAGUGCUAAGUCAAGAGCCGCCGGGUCGCCCUACCCGGCCCCGCCACUUUAAAGUUGCCGCACGACCGGCUGCUUGCCAACCCGGCCCCACCGAAUUGCCGCCGGCCGGCCCAAUGGGUGUUUCGCUUGCGCUCAACGUUUUGAAAGGCUAAAUAUCAUGCGUUCCUCCAAAAGGUCAAACCCCUUGUCAUGGACCGAAGCCUCGGCCGUCAGACUCACGGGGGGAAACCCGAAGGGGGAGAAGUCGCGAGAAAAAAGCUUCAAAGACAAAGAGAAAGAGCGCUGACAUCCACAUAGUUUUCGCAUGCUGACCGGGUCGCUCGACCCGACCCCGCCACUCUAAGCCACCAAGCAACCGUCCGCACGCCAACCCGGUCCUGCCGGGUUGCCACUGGCCGGCCCACUGGGUGUUUUCGCUCAUGCUCAGUGAUACGAAAGCCUAAGUACUACAUGCUUCUCUCAAAAGCCGAACCCUUUGUCACGGACCAGUGCCUCGGCCGUCAGACUCGCGGGGGAGAAGCCCAAGAGGGAAGAAUGCAGGAAAACGGCUCGAAAAAACGAGAAGCAAAGGCAAAAACAUUCACAAGGCUCAUACAUCGUAAAUUCAGAAACAGGCCCAAGGACAGAGUUCAUUACACCCAAGUCGACCCCCAGUGGGUGGGUGGACCUGCUACCUAACAGAAAUUUUUACAAAAUUAAAUCAGGCAUCUCCGCCACCGGAUCACGCAACCCUUGGGUCCGCUGAGGUGCCGACAUCAUCCUCUCCGGCGUCAGCGCCACAUAGACGCCCGUCUCCUCAGAGCUGCCCUUGGGUCGUCCAAAAGAAGGUCGUAGUCCUCAGAAGGCACGACUCUACCAUCAUUCGCCCGCUCCGGCUGGAACUCGUCGUGGAUGGUGAACCCGUCGAUGUAGCUGGCCCGGGCGGCGAUCCGUCCGGCCUCCGCCUGCAGCUGGCUCUCCGAGCCGGCCCGCUGGCCCAUCAGCGCAUCCGGCGCCAGGUCCGGAUGCCAAGACAAGACGAAUCGAAGCGCCAUCUCGGCACCAGCACGGGCGGCAGAAACCCGCCACUCAUGAAGACGGUCCAGGCCCGCCUCCAAGCACCGCGCCAGCCGCGUGAUGCUGUUCGGCGUGAUGGCGCCCGGCCAGAGGUCUGCCGUCAUCGCCGCGCCGGCCGCAGAAAGCCGCCCCAUCUGCUCGCUCAGGACUCGCAGAAGGGCCUCGGCAGCUGCCAUGAUUCCCUGUGGGUCACGCUGAAAGAGGACCGCCUCCUCCACCAGCCGGCGCGUCUCCGGGAAGGCCCCGGUCGAAGAGAAAAGCAAGUCAGAAGAAAGUCACUAAGGAAGAAAAGCCGGAGUCCCAACCCGGUAACAACAAAACCGAAGGAAAGCACUUAUUGGAGAAGGACUCUUCCAGGUGUUGCGCUUUGAGAAACGUACCGUGCCGCUCUCGGGCGAUGGUGCGGUCACGCUCCUGGAGCGCCUUCUCCAGCUCGGCGACCUUGGCAAGGGGCGCCUUUAACUUGGCAUCCUUGUCCUCGGCCACCUUCCCGGCCUCCUCGUGGCGCCGGGUCUCCGCCUGCCGGGUCUCCUCCGCCGUGGUUUCAGACGCUCCACCUUGGCCUGGAGCUGCCCCUUCUCAUCGGCCAGCUGGCCGCGUUGCUGGUCCGCCUCGGCUAGGUCCUGCUGCGCCUCAACGACCUUGGAGGCCUUCGCCUUGAGCUGCUCCACCUCGGCCUCAAGGCGGCCCUUGUCGCCCUCCAGCCACUCCUGCAGCCGGCUGGCUUCGUCGAGCGCCCACCGGGCCCCCGUCGCCUCCGCCCUCGCCCUCUCCACCUCAGCUCCAAGCCGACCGGCGUCAGCAACAAGCCGGUCAUAGUGGACGCCGGCCCGAACCAGCCGGGUCCUCCAAGAUAGAACCUCGGCUGCAGACAAGAAACUCAGAAACAAAGUACUACUUAAGAUUCGACCCAGCUGCUACGCAGUUGGCCCGAAUCUAGGGGGCUACACCCAGUGGGUGCGCUAGCGUGCCCCCACUAGAAAAGAGCAUACAAGGCAAGUACCUGCCGUGGCGUGGAGCUCCUCCUCCUUGGCGGCGAGCCGCUCCUUGAGACAUUGGUGCGUCUCAAGGAGCCGUUUGAAGACGUUGACCCGAUAGGCAUCCAGUUGCUACAAAAAGUAGUGAUCAAUACAAGACAUCAAGAUAAGACUCGACCCAACUGCUACGCAGUUCGCCUGAAUCUCGAGGGCUACACCUAGUGGGUGCGCUGGUGCGCCCCUAUGAAGCAGAGGUAGUAAAAAAGGAAAAGAAGAAUGUGGAGGAAACUUACAAGCAUGACAUGCUCCAGCUCCUAUGUUGCCCCGACCUCGGCCUGGGCGAAGGCCUGGAUCCGGUCCGCCCGCCCUUACAGGCAUUGGGUCACGACGUUCAUCGCCGCCUCCUCCUGGGUCGGGGGGCCGAAGAAGACCUCGCCGGUCCCGCUCCACGCUGGCUGCGAACCGGCGGCCCGGCGACCCCUUGGCUUGAGGACUAGGGCGUGCUCCGAUGCCGGCUCCGUGGGCCGACUGGCUCUCGGCUCCACCACCAGUGGCGUCUCACUCGUCGGCGCCCGGGCCGUCCCCGCCGGCGCCGUCCGCGACGCCUCCCCCAAGACGGCAUCACCACCGCCUCCAUCGGCUCCCGCCCGCUAGAGGUCCGCGGCAAGACGCCAUCCCCAACGACCACGACCUCCCGGUAGAGGUCCAUCGCGUCGAGGCGGUCAUCAUGGCCGCGCUCCCCCUCUGACGAUGGCACAAAGGCCGUCUCCACAGCCACCGUCCCCACCGGCAUCUCCGGCCAUGCCGGUUCCUCGCCGACUCCUGCCCACGCCGUCGCGGCGCUAAUCCAGGCCUGGGUCGACGCCACCUCCAGCUCUGCCUUGGCCCGGUUCCGGUCCCUCCAGGCCAGGCCUUCGGUGUCGGACUGGUCCAGACCAAGGUCCGAAUCCACUCGCCCUUCCUCCUCCUUGUCCCGAUCGACGGUGCCAGACCGGCUCCUCCGGAAUGUGGCACCCUCGGCGGACGCCGCAUCCGCCGCCGCCACCGCCAGCGAGAUCGGCGACCUGAAACACAAGAUGAAGUAAAUACGAGACAAGCAAAGCUGCUCGGCAACUCGGUCCGAGAUAGAAAAAAGCUUACCCCGGCACCACUAGAACGGCGGGUCUCGCCGCCCUCUCCUGCGUGCGGUGCGCCUCCUCUUGACGGCUGGCUUCGCCACCCUGGCCGGGUCCGCUACGCGCUUCAUGGCCGGGGCUCGUGGCGUGAAGUUGUCCUUCCCAUGCAGCCGCCGGCGCUCCCCGAGGCAACCCGGCCAUGACCGCACUGCCACCUCCUCCACCUGGCGCUGCUGCAUCAACGGCUCAUGUCGGCACCUCGACCCGGCAACCUAGCGAUUCAAAAAGACUGCAGAAGAAAGCACAAGGCUUACCAGCUCGGUGCCCCGCGCCCGCGUCAGCUACCGCCUCCUCCUCUCUAACGUGGGCCUCGGGCUCCUCCAAGGCAGCACGCAACACCUGCGCCCGCGCCCGGUCAUAAGGAUACCAGAUGGCGUUCAGAAGCACUUCUUGCAUUGCGUCGGGGCGGACAAAAAGAUAAGCGCCAGCAAAGAAUGGAGACCAAGGACUCACUGAGGGUGCCGGGUUCACGCGACUGUACGGGGCCUUCCCGAACUCCCAGUUGCCCUGGAGGUUGGCCUUGGAGAUGUCGUUGACCCAGCGUGCGACCAGGUCCGUGCCCAGCCGCGUGUUUUCCAUGUGGUCGGGGUCCUGGAGGCCGGUCAUCUCCCCUAUGAGAUGGCUGCGCUGCUGCAGCGGCAGCAUCCGGCGGACAAAGAAGGCAGUGAUGAGGUCGGUGCCGGUGAGCCAGUCCCGCUCCUUCAUCACCGACACUCGCUCGCACAGGUUGAGCACCUCCUGCGACGGGUGCUUGGGGUGGUACCCCCAGUUCUGCUUCUCCUUCGGCGGCGAGUUGACAAAGGGUGGCCGGUUGAUGCGGUCUGCGCCAAGGUUGCAGACGUAGAAGAAAGAGUUCUGCCACUUCUUGGCAGAAUCCUCUAGUGGCAUCUUCGGGCAGUCAGCGCCUGCCCGCUUGGAGAUGACGGCGGCCCCGCACUCCAACAUCUCCCCGGCCCUCGGCCCCUGCUGCUUCAAGGAGAAGAAGCAGACUCAGAGGUCGAUCGAAGGUUCGACCCACAGGUACCCCUCGCAGAGGGUUACGAAGCCGGACAGCUGCACAAUGGCACCGGUGCCCAGAUGAUGAGGCUAGAGCCCGAAGAACUCCAGGAAGUCGCGGAAGAAGCCGCUCCCAAGAAGCCCGAACCCGCGCUCGAAGUGCGGGAGGAAGACGACCCGCUCCAUGCCCUCGGGCCACGGCUCUCGCUCGCCCCGCGGCGGGCGCACGGCGACCUUCGUCUCCCCCGGUAGGCGCCUGGUGGCGUGGAGCUAGGCGAUGUCCUCAAGGGUGACGGUCGAGCCCAUCUACGAGCCCAACAGCAACGCCAUCAAUGAAGAAGCAAGAGAAGAAGAAGAGGGUGACCGCAAAGCUCUGCUCGAAGCAAUGGGCGUCGCAGUCUGUGGCGCUUGCAGGAAACAGAGGAAGAAAGACGAAGGCAGGGGCAUGGGUGAGAAUGAUUUCCACCACCCCCUCCUCGCCCCAAUUUAUAAGCCACGGUUUAAAACGUGGCAAAGUGGGAUCGUUUGCGCUCCCCUCCCCCACUUCCCCACAAUAACUGCGCACGAACGUACGCAAUAACUGCCACGAGAAUGGCAACCAACUCGCGGACGCCGUAAUAAAUCCGCGCGCAUGGGUCGUAGGCGCGCGGCCACGGGCCUCUGUGCAUCGCCCUGUCCUAUCGCGCGCGUGGCCUGUCAGGCCCCUCCGGCUCCCGGACGCCACGUGGCGCCCGCACAAGGCCCGAAAGAUUGCCUCCAAGAUUCGGUGGACUCCUCGGUUUCCCGCCACUGUCAAGAUGACGCGAUCCGGCUUCCGGAAGCCGGCACAUAGUGGGUGUUGCCGGACCCCACGGCCUCAAGAUUCACCUCCUUCAAAGGGGAAACUGUGAAGGCCCUUCCUUCUGAAGACGGCGGACCUUCACAGCUUCAGGGACUAGUGUCGGGGGGCUGGACCCCGAGCAGGCAACGGAACUCGGAUCCUUUGAAAAAAACGGGGUCGGCAUCGCCCCUCAAGACGGCUCGCGCUCGGCCGGGUAGCUCGACCCGGCCAAGCCCCCUCGACCCGGCCUAAUCCUCAAGACUUCUCCGGUAAGCCAUCCCAAGGCGGCCAAGCCCGGCGCACCAAGACUUAUCAAACAAGCCAACUCCCCUUGGCGUGUACUCCAACCCGGCCAAAGGGUCAGCGGCCGUCCCAUUCCAGCUGUACGAGGGGACGAGUCGCCACCAACUGAUGACUGAAGCCAUAGUGCCCCGCCCAUGCCUUUGGUCAGCCAGAUGAGGCAACAGUGCCCCCCACCUAACCACUGACCAGGCUCGGCGUGGCAACAGUGCACCCGUCAUCACCCAUGACGCCAGCAAGUGGCGACCUGAUGGAGCGCCAUUGUAGCCGGCUCAACUCGGCCACGCCCUGACGAUCGACAAGACGGCCAACAGUCCCCCAUACUCGGUGGGUCCCGUGCCCCGGGAAGCCGGAGAGACCUAGUACCCGGGCGGUCCCAGCACCGAGUUCCUAGAUGCUGACGACCCGGCCCCACAACCAUGUAACAUUAUCGUUUUACCCCUAGGGAGUUGACCUAUAAAACCCCCCAGGAGCCCUCAUGCAUACGGGCAGAUCAUCUCUUUCCACUCACUCGACCAUCAAAGGAGCUCUUCUCCGUCCCACACACACAGGAAGGGAGCAGCCCAAGCCUCGGCCUGCCUCCCUUCUUCCUCAAUGCAGCUCUAUGAGGAACUCUGUACUGUAACGUAUUAACCACACUCGGCAGGACUAGGGGUGUUAUCUCUCCGGAGAGCCCUGAACUUGGGUAUGUCUUGUGUCCCGCGCUCUCUCAUGCCGACCUCACCUCUGGAACCCACCAGUGCCCUCGAGCCUCCUCCUCUCUUUAGCCAUCCCAUGGCAUCUGCCGUGCGCCCACCAUGACAUGGAGGCUGGAGGAGGUCGACGGUGGAGAUGAACAGUAUCCCUUGGUGUCCCGUUUUGCGGUUCGCCACACCCCUCGUGAUAAACAGGACCCCCGUUUCGACCCUAGCGCUCCAACACAAGUUUGUUUCCUCCGUUUUGCGGUAUGCCACACCCCUCCCGAUCAACAGGACCCCGUUUCGACCGUAGGAGGUCCGUUUCCUCCGUUUUGCGGUAUGCCAGACCCCUCCCGAUGAACAGGAUCCUGUUACCACCGUGGCCGUUCGAACACAAGGCCAGUUCCUCCGUUCUGCGAUACGCCAGGCCUCGUUUCCAUUGGUUAUUCCGUCCAAGCCGAUUGGCUCCCGAUGAACACGACGACGCAUUCCAUUCCGACCCAGCCGGUUGGCUCUCCAUGAACACGACGACGGCGCAAUUUCUCCGUUCCGACCCAGCCACAGCCAUGUACACGAGCCCUGGCCGUACAUAUGCGCGAGUAGGCGUUCGAGACCCCGCCCAUAUGUACGUACGUGGCCGUAUUUUCUUUCUUGAACCCUGGCCGCUGUACGUAUGUGUACAUGCUACGUGUGCGCCUCUACUAUGACACAUGCGCGCCUCUACUACGACACGUGCCCUUCCUUGCACGGCCACAGUUCAUCGCUGCAGCCUGUAGACAGGCCGAUCGUAUGUACGUACACGUGCGCGACUAGAAUGACAACACUAUGUAUGCUUCGACCAGGUGGGUCCCGACUGUCAGGCACUUCCUUGCGUGCGAGCUGUCAGCGGGGGAAAUGUAUUUUUUGCGAAAUACAGAGGCCCUGCCGGUGGGUCCCGGAUGUCAGGUGGAGGAAUCAUUAUUUUGUGCGUAAUAAGGAGGCAUUUCCUUGUGUGCAGUCGUGGACCUAGCUGUCAGCCUCUCCACGUACAGUCCACUUCCAAUGGAUGUCGUUCGUUUACCAUGUUGACCAUGCCGCGUCGAGAGCACCAGGGCGGUGGACGACGGCGAGGCCUACGAAGGGAAUGACACGGAGCCGGGGAAGACACGGCGGUGGCUGCCUAAGCGGUGGGGAGUAUGAGGGUUGACUGGUUCGGCUGCAGUCGCCGGAGAAUAACAGCAGGUGUGGGUGAGUAGAGGGAUAGCUAGGCCAGCGAUGGGAGUACAAUGGGGCGGUGAGGCCUGCGCGAUAGCACAGCCGACCGCAUGAGGAGGGAGCAGGCAGUCCUGUCGGUGCUUGUUUGAGCGGCUAGAGCAGGAAGAGUUGUUGGAUGGACAUCCAACAGUCACUCCUUUUGCGUCAACCUUUUUUAGGAAAGCCUCAAACCUGUGGGAAACAUCAUACAGGCCAUCUGCCAUUAUUUCUAAUAAUUUACAGCCCAUUUGCUAAUUCUUAAGGUUUUUUCUGGCCCAUAUUCUUUCAGCUCAUAUUGUGGCCACGGUUAAAAAAUUAUACGAAAUUUUGCAUAUUUCGGUGCGGUCCAAACUGUUUUUAAUCCCAAAAUUUCGAGUCACAUUCAAACUGAUUUUAAAAAUAAAUGUAUAUCAAUAUAAAAUCCAACAAAUUGUCCACGCAUAAAAAUCAAUGCAAUUUAAAAUCUCAAAAUAAUAAUAAAAAAAUAAAUUUGAAACUAAUUGCCGAUUUGAUGCGUUUUAAAAAUGUACAGCCCAUUUCUCAUUAUUGAUAGGCCAUUUUCUCGGCCAACCGAAUGAAGCCCUCCUCGUCUUGAAAGUUUGCAUCCCAAUAGGCCUGACAAAGCAACUUACUUGACAAUCACAAAAAAAUUGGGCUAGCCAUUUUCAGAAAGAACAAAAAAACUACUGGGCUGGUCUGUGGUAAACAUAAAAGAAAAGGUUGUCUAGACAGGCCAGAGUGCCACGUACAGCCCAGUUGAAACCAUGCUUCCAUCUCAAAACAAAUUAGAUAAAUGCCAGUCCAAUUAUAGCGAUUCGUAAAAAUGCCACUACAAUUUCAACCUUUGAAAAAUGCCACUGUGAUUUUGCAAACUUUGAAAAACGGCACUGUAAUUUGUAAACUUUGAAAAACGCCACUCCAGACUUCAAAAAAUGCCACUGGAAAUGGCAUGAAAUGGCAUUUUUCAAAGUUUGGAAAUUGCAGUGGAAUUUCUCGGAAUCACCAGAUUUGGAGUGGCAUUUAUCAAAUUAACCCAAAACAAAAAUAAUUGGGUGAGAUGUUGGGUCCCUGGUGUCAGCCGCUCAUUGUGCAAUUCUCUCGUUUAUUGACUAUGUUGACAAUGGCAUGGGACCCAGAUGUCAGAAAUCCAUUAGGAGGAGCCAUUUUUUUAUUGGCUUGAAAUAAGGAGGCAUUUGCUUGCGUACUGCCAUAACCUUGGUGGGUCCCCGUUGUCAUCCUCUGCACGUACAAUCAUCUCCUGAUUGUGUACGCGUCAACCUGGUAGGCCCACCAGUCAGCCUCUAAACCCAUGGUAGACAAAUACAACCCAUUUUAAAAAAUAACAUCCCAUUCCAUACGUUCAAAUGAAAAGUUCAACAUUCAGAGGAAAGUAACAAGUCUGAUCCAGAUAUAGAGUACUGAACUUCCACGUUGACAACCAUCAUAGCCAAGUUAACUCUCUACUCCCACUAAUACUCUAGUAGUGUACAAGUACUAACUUACUCUUAGCUAACUAGACGAUGUCGUCCGCCAUCUGCGGUACACGCUAAACGCUGGCACCGACGUCCUCCGCCUCGCCUCGGACUUGCCAGAGGUGCGAUAGGGUGCAUUUGUCGCGCGCGUUGGCCCUUUCCAUGCCGGCGUGGUCCAUCGAAGCUUCGGCUUCUAAGCAGGAAACCCACUUGACGAGCUUGUAGUAAAAUUUGGCGCCGCGAACGCGUGCGUGCCGACAGCCUCCAGGGCUAUUUGCUAGGCGCCGGCCUCCACGUAGUCGGCCCAGUUGCGGGCGCUCAGCUCGCGACUUAGAGCGUCGGUGCGCUGCUGCUCCAUAUCCCGCUGGCCGCGCAAAUCGGCAAUACGCUGCUCCUCCACCAGGCGGUCGCGCUCCAACAACUCCUCAUACUCCGCAUUGCCAUCUAAAAACCGAUAGAAUGCCUCCUCCCUCCAUCUGCCUUUCGGUGAAAAACCGAACACUAGUUUCGGCGGUGACCGCCUCCUGCGUCACCUAUCGCAGACGGGCGGGGGCAUGGCGGACGUGGCGAGCGACGUCGGGCCGGUGGGGGCUUAUGAUGAUAGGGCAAGUUGGAUGAUGGUGCCACCGGAGAAGCCCGGGAAACAAUAAUUAUAUGCGGAAGCUAGGCGAACUAGCGUGUCGCGGGAAACGCGACAGUCGUCGCGGUUAUCGGAAUUCAAUGCAUAAGCAGGCAUGGCUUAGCGCGCCAGCUUGCCGUGGAAAACUAGAAAAACUAAAAUUAUGACUGUGCCAUCCCGUCCCGUCAGUGGUGUGUCCCGUCCGUGCUGGGUCGCAUGCCGGCAUGACGGUCAAACGAGUGCACUUGAAUCAUCCAGAUGGGGUACUCCCUCCUUGUCAAUAAUGAUUCCACAGAUUUAAAAGGCCCGCAACAAUUAAAGCACAUCUUUUUCGCAUCAUUUAGCUGCCUUAAUCAUGGCCAGCUGCAUGCAGCCACUCAGAAUCGCUCGCAGCCAGUACGCGGAGCAGCAUGCAACGAGUCGUAGCCGAGGGCAUGCAUGCAGCCACUUAAAUCGCUGGAAUUAAUUAGGCUUAAAUGUCUGCAUGUAGUUAAUUAUUGCCAUGCCUUGGUCUUGCUUCUUUGGCUCACGGGACUAAUAAACCCGGACGGAGGGAGUACCUUGGUCGGUGAGAUUUUUGAACUAAGCCCUUCAAACCGGAAAGGAGGUACUAGUACGUGUGUGAUCCGCUAUUUAUUCGUGUAGGAUCGAGUAGGUCAUUUCUUGAAUUGAGCCCUGCAAACCGAAAAGGAGGUAGUACGUGUGUGAUCUGUUUUUUAUCCGUGUAGGAUCGAGUAGGUCGGAUAGUGUACGUGUACGACCGAGUAGGUCAGAUGGUGUACGUGUACGAUCACAUUAGCUGAUGAACUUAGCUGGGAGAUAGGGCAUUUGCGAAUGUUUUUGCUGGCAGUUUCUUCAAAUUCGCAUGGCAUUUUCUUCAGAGCAGCUUGUCAGUUUCUUCAGAGGUAGGCAUUUUAUUCAAAAAACUGCCACUUAGGAUCUUGUGUCGCAACUAAAACUGCCAGGAGUGCAUUAGUAGACUAGCUAGUGAUCGAUCAGUAACUUGUAAACACUGAGCGAACAGAAAUAAGGAACUGCUAGUAACUUGUAAACACUGAGAACGCAGAAAUAAGGAUCAUGUUGUGCACAGUAGUAAGAGCCGAUCGUUCGAAAUGUUCACACGAGACUCACAGGCCUGGCAUUGUAAUAUGUUCACAUUAGUAGCCCAAAUUCAAAACCAAUUAGUACGAUUCCCAUACAUAAGAUCAACAUGUUAAUGCAUCUCAAUGAUUCACAGAUCAUAUACAAAUAUGUAGCUCCAAAAGCAAAGAUCUAGAAAAAACAUAUGUUCUUCCUACUAACAUGGAUGCUUCUCUUGGCUAACAUUCAGUACAGACUGAAAGAUAAAUUUGUUUGUGAAGUCUACAAUUCCUCUUGCAAACGUAAGUGGUUUCACCAACAGCUGGAAGCAUGAGAAUGAACCACACAUGAUGGAGGAACAUCCACUGCAAUAUGAUUUGGUCUUCUCUCGAUCACACGGCGAGACUAUGUUCAGAAUACAAACUUUAACUUAUGCAAAAUGAUGCCCAUUCUAUAAUCAGACCAAAGCAAUGAAGCACCUAGUGUUGGCCAAUAAAUAGUACAAUACUACUUUUCUGUAGUCCAUGAAAUGACUAUCCAAUCUUUCUGUGUCUAUUUUCAAAUGACACUGCAUGUAGUGACUAUACUAUUCUCUUGUGCAGUUCAUCAAAAAUUCCAGUCACUUUGUUUGUCUGCCAAAUAGCAAUGGGCAGACAUCUCUGUCUGCACAAAUAUCAAGCAACUAGUAAACAUAUACCCCACCUUGUAUUUUCGGUUUAAACACAUCUCUUCCGCUUAGCAUAUGUCAUGUUUUGCACUGCACAGUUUGAUACAGUCAUGUUUUGCCCUGGACAAUUUCAUACUGAAUUGAUUUGCUGGUUCAGAGCAGAAAUAUAGCGCCUAUUAUUCAUCAGACCAAGGAUAUCCAUGUUCGUAGUGAUGGAAGUGGUGAAAUCGAUACAACCGAAAUUGAGCAUCCAAUCAUUGAAUCAUGUCCUGCACCUCCAAUGUAGGUCCACCCCGCCAAUAAAUUCACAUGCAACCCACUAGUAUUACUAUCUAAUGACAGUACAAAAAGAGUAGCAAGAUAGUAGCAAAGCAUGUACCUUCGUAAUGAACAGCUCAUAGUGCCACCAAUUGGAUAUAAAGGUUUGGAAGAAAACAUGCUCCUAAUGUUGAACCAUUUGGACUUUUUGUGCUGUUCCACUAAAAUCGAGCAUCCCAGUUUGCAUAGAUAUUGAAAGUGUGAUUACUAUAAAAGUCGCACUAGUUGAAGCAUAGAGUCACAAAUAUAAGCAUUCCAAUUUCUUAAUGGGAAAAGGUAGCAAGACUGUUUCUAACCACCUGUUUGAAGGAAUAAAUAAGGCAACAACGGCUGAUGUCAGGAAGGCAUAUAUAGUUAUUUCUGAGAGAAUGAUCGAUUCCUAACCUUUCCUCUUCUUUUAAGCAUAUUUUGUGUAGUUCAACUAAAAUAAAAUGCCAUCACCGCAUUGACAAUUUAGUGACACUGUACAAAAGGAAAUGACUUAACAUUACAUCAUGAUGUCAAGUAUGUAGUCGACAGGCAUUAGAGACAAACAUACAGACCUCCUCCCAUAACAUAAUGAACAUUAAUUUUAACAAAGGUGUGUCUAGCUUUACCGAGAUAAUUUGAGUGAACUCUACACCCUCUGUUCCUUAAUAUAAGACAUUUUCGCAGUUCAAUUUAAAGUACCCAAACAUCUAGUAUUUAGAAAGACAGGUAGUAGUUUUCUUGAGCACAUAUCUGGGAAAUCUUGCCACACUUUAUUUAUGUCCAUACGCUAAUGCAACACCAUUCAAAUAGUACAAAUAUACACUAAUGCAGUGGCUAGUGCAACAAUAGAGUAGUUAUUUUAUUACAGGGUACAGUAUGAUGGUUUUACAGAACAGAUUUCAAUAAACUCUAGCACUGGAAGAUUUCUAUAAGAAUUAACAAUACAAAAUGUAAAGGUAACAAGUUUCAACAUUGGUAUGCUAGAUGUGCAUGAGCAUUAAACCAAAUACAAAAGUCUAAAGGUAAUUAGCAUUAUUAACUAAUGACAGUAUAAAAAAUUGCAAACCAUGUACCUUCAAGGUAAAUAUCAUUUUGAACUCGAGGGGACCUAAAAAUUGCUAUCCCAAUCUUGAUAAUCGAUCAAACAUAAAAACUUGAUCGAACAAAUCAAGAGAACAGCCAGAGAAGGAGGUGCCCACUCUUGACCUCUUGACACUAUACCAAAAAAAUUGACUUAUCUCAUGAAAGUGAGGUAUGUAAUCUAUAAGCAUUAACAGUGCAAAAAUCUGAAGGUAGUAGCAAGAUUCAUCGUUGGUAUACUGGUUGUGCAACAGCAUUAGAAUGCCUUAGCUAAAAAAUAUUUAAUACAUCCACAAUCAACAGCUAACCCCGAAAUAAUCCAGUGACAUUAAAUGGCAUUGAUUUAAUUUUUCGGUGGCAUUAGACUGAGUGCGGCAUUAGUUAAAUGUGGCAUCACUUUAGCAGUAGAAUUGCUUGACUUGACUGCUGGCAUUAUACUAACAGCAAAAAAGUGGCAAUAAGAGCAUGGGAGGCCCAUUCAGACAGUGGGCGUACCAGUACGAUGUACCUCCACGGACGCAUAGAGUGGUGAGGGAGGUAUGGUUGCCCAGAGCAAGAAAUAUCCAGGCAACAUCUGUGGAUUACGUCCCCUUCUUGUUCUCUUUAGCCACCUUUUUCCUAUGUGAGAACAACAAAUCGAUCGAACUGGUCAUUCUCUAUUGCAUUGUCAUGCCUGUCUACCCUUCUUCAACCAAGAGACAUGAGACUCGUUCCUUAGCUACUGAUUUUCCCCUUUUCGACCUAGAUGUGGGUUCGAUGCCUACUCUCUUGGACAGUAGAGUCUCCCUUCCUUUCCUCAUUCAACCCAGACAUGGAUUAGUCUGCAUGAAGUAGGGUUUCCUUUAAUAGUGCAAAUUAAGGUAUUCAUCUGCGUGACCAGCAGAGCAGAGGAUAGUAAAUUGGGAAGAUGGUGGAGUGGAAAAAGAUCCACAUGCAGGGACAUGGCAGAUGGGCCAAUAGAACAAGUGUAUGGUUCGAAAAGAGGUAGCAUACUUGAUGGUUGGCGGGAAGUAGCUUCGCUCGUGGUCGUCGUCCUCCGCACACACUACGAUAGUGAGCUUGGGGACGGAGACCAUCCCGCGCGAGCACUAGGUCUGAGAGGACGGCCUUGUUGUUAAUGCGUGACCUCGCUCGCCGACGAGGAGUGCGUCAACGUUGCACGUCCUUUUCUCCCCCGGCGGAUCUGUGACCACCGGUGAGGAGGGAGAGAGAGAGGCCGUCUUUUUUAGAUCUGGAGAGAGGGUGAUAGUGUGAGAAGCAAGUGGGCAGCCCUUAGCAAGAAAGCGUUGAAACUCCAGCCUAUAUAUCUUUUUUUAUACUACUAGUACUAGAGGUGGAGUAGUGGUAGAGUAGUUUAUAUUUUCUCUGCAUACAGUACCAAUUAGUCGUGCUUCAAAACUGAACGGCACGCCAUUAAAAAAUAAAGUCGAGAAAUAAUGCGGCACUUCAGGCCAACGCGGCCAGAUCGCAUUUUGCACGAGAGGUGACACACCAUGUUUCGUUAACAUGUGGUCUCGUUCCGACAUGUCAGUGAGACGACGGUGUGUCCUUUUGUACAAUUUCUGAACGGACAUCUAUGUAGGCCGGGGCGCCUCUUCGUGUACCGUGGCAACCACCGCCUCUUCGCCUUCCUCUCUCGAUUUAGAAUUGUUGUCACACGCUCUUCCUCCCUCCUCCAUUUGCCUUCACCCUUCCUUCUGCCAUUGUUCGAUCAUCUUCUCCAUGGAGGGAACAAGCCAGAAACGACCCCGUUAUUCUUGCCCCGAUCUGAAAGAUGACAUGGUGGAGGAACUCAUUGGUCGGUGCGACGUCAUCACCUCGGCUAGCAUGGCAGGUUCGUUCAAGACCAUUCUCGACUCAACUAAUAACAUCAUUACAAGGAACCCAAGGGUCCAGGAGCGGUUUGAUCUCACUUAUCUUCUUCACUAUAAGCCUGUUCGCAUGGGCGCGGACGACGGAGGCCUUGCCUUGUGCAAGUUGAUGCCACUUGAUAAUGAUACGUGUGAUGUCAAGAUGUCAUCGCUUAACGGUAAGGCCUGGGCUGGCGCAAAUGGAGAUUGGGUUGUUUAUAUUGGGUACAAUUGCGAGUGGGAACUUGUGAAUGUGUACACUCGUCAGCGGAUUCCACUUCCAAAACUCUCAGAGUGCCCUGAGGUUGAGCAUACAGAUAAUCUACGUACAUUCAAAUACGAUCAUGGUAGCUGUCGUCUACGGAAGAUAGCAAUUUGUCGAGUUCCCAACAGCUCUUGGAAUUACGGGAACUAUGAAGUUGUUGCUAUCUUUGACAAGCUUGUUGUCGUCAUUACUGAUUCCACGGUUUGUCCAUGGAUAUUGCUCAAAAAUCAGUUUCUGUACACGGAUGAGUAUUUUGAUGCAAUUGAAUACGAGGAUCUUGUGUUUGCUGCCACCACUCAUGGCACUGUUUUUGCAUGGGAUCCUCGUAGUUCGGUACAUUUGUCUUCCACCAUAAUUAUAAUUGUUGCAUCCAGAUGCAUGCGGAUUAGCAAGUUUCCCUUUACUAAUUAAUCUUCUUGUUUCCAAGGUCAUGUGAACAUUCCACCACCUAUAAUUGAAAAAAUUUAUAACCAAGGGGGAGAUGACAAUGGUGAUGAUAACGAGCAUGAGGACGAGCAGAACUUAUAUACUCAGUGACGCCUGGCAACUAAUUCUGAUGGAUCACCUCUUCUUGUCUGUAUACAGUGCACUGAGAUUGUUACUACUGAGGGAGCACGUGCUGUCUCCCAUGGUCGCCCUCUCCGGACCUAUUCCAACACCUGUUGCAGGGUAUUCGGGAUGGAUACUAGUGUGCUAGUGCCAAUAGCUUCUCCCUGGUUCAGUAUUGAUAGUCUUAGAGAAAACCCGCUCUUCCUUAGACCAAACUAUCCAAUGAUGGUGAAAGGCGAUCCAGCUGCUGCUGACACAACGUUACUACCAUUUAUGAGAAGCAAUUGUAUCUAUACCUCGGACAUUGCGGUGGUUCCCUACCCUGGUCUUGAUAUAUGCCACUUCAGCCUGGAUGAUCAGUCAUGCGUUGCUCUCGAUAUUGACAAUACCUGGCCCUUCCCAGAGCACCUAUGGUUCAAAGCAAGUGUUUCCAACGCCGAGGAUUGGUUGAGUUGAAGUUCAUUUCAUUGCUUGUUAUUUGUUGUGUGAUGGAAACUUCAGUGUUUACUAGAAUGUUUUAAUGGAAAUAAUCUAUAAUCCAACAUGUAUCCUCGUUGUCAUUGUGUAUUGACGACUUGUUGUAUGUAAUGAAUGGUACAUUUGCAAAUGCAUGUCAUAGACUCAAUUUACAAAUGGUUUUCGAGUCACUUCUUGGAGUGUGAGUACCAUAGUAGUAUAGCCAGCAUCCGGUUAGUAUAUGAAGUUGCCACAUCACAUAGAGCAAACCUAAUAUUGGAGUAUACUAUCCCUCUGCCAGCGCGCCGCUUCAAAUGGUAGAUGAUGUGAGAGGUCGCUUCACCUUGUGUCCAGAUCUGAGAUGCCACGUGUACCAGAUGAAUGACUCCAAGUUGGACCACCGUGAUGCUAGGUGCGAGCCGAGGAACACUGUUGGAGAGACCCCCCCCCCCUCAUAAUUUUCCUACAUUGGUCGUUUGACUCAUAGGAUAGAAUGCUAUAGGAUUUUUUUUCCUAUGUAAUCGUGUUUUAAUUGGCAAUCUAGCAUCCACUCCAACUUUUGUUUCACUUUCUUUGUUGCUACGAAGAGAGUACUUGCUCUAAAUGAUGUGCCGCUGCAAGAGUCGCCUAUAUUAAUUAACCAUGCUCUAAAAAGGUGGACCAGCUUUGGCUAUAGUAGUAUUGUACUAGGUUAGUAGGUGACCUUGCGCUUGGCUCUUAUCCUCUUCCGGAAGUCGAACAAUAAUGAUGGUACUACAGUAGUACUUCUGGCAAUCUGACACCAAAUGAACUUUUGCACGUCCACCGCUUGUAAGAAAAAGUUUCUCCUUGUGCUGCAAGCCACCGCACACGUGUUGGCGAGGGAGAAGGAAUAGUAAGCAAGCUUCUCAUCGUUCUGCGAGUUGACGGGACACAUCAAAGUUAAGUAUUUAUUAGUGCUCUCUUCAAAAAGGGCCGACCAUGUCCAUGGCUACCAUCCCAUGCUCUGUCAUUGAGUACGUGCACUAUUCAUGUGCCAUCAAGGAGAAAAAAUAUUGCGUAGUACUAGGUGCCAUCGAAGUGCACGACUCACUUAUGCACUGCAUAUCUCCAUUUUCUUGCAUGACACGCCACCUUCAUUCUAGAUGUCCCACGUGUCAUGGAGGCACAUUGUAUGAUUUUUAAAAUGGAGGCAUAUAGAUGUCCCGUGUGUCGGCAAAAGGAUGAACAAAGCUCAUGUCUUAAAGGAAAUAUUGAAAGAACAUAGAUUCCCUACGACCGAGAAGGAGGAACAAACCUCGCGGUGGAGCAUCUGAACUCAUAAUAUUUUAUAUUAUUCAGGGAUAUAAAAUCAACCAAAUAUCUCCACGUUCCUAUACCAUUCUAUAGUAUGAGAAUAGCUUUGAAUGUAAGCCAUUGAUUCACUCUAUCCAAUGGUCAUAGUUGGAAAAUCCAAACAAAACCAAGCAUUGGAUCAACUCUUUUAGCACUUAGAUUGUUGCCGCCUGCACACCUAGCCCACCUAUAUAUCCGCUCACGUGUGAUGACCACAGGAGCUAUACAGUCGGAUUGUAUGUUAAAAAAAUAAUGGUUGAUAACUAAUGCGGAACCUCGGGCCAAUGCGGCCAGAUCGCAUUUUGCACGAGAAAUUACACACCCGGUUUCGUUGAAAUGUGGUCCCGUUCCAACAUGUCAGUGAGACGACGGCGAGUCCUUUUGUACAAUUUUCGAACGGACAUGUAGGUCAGGGCGCCUCUUCGUGUACCAUGGCAAACUGGCAACCGUCCACCGACUCUUCGCCUUUCCCUCUAGAUUUGGAACUGUUGUCACAUGCUCUUCCUCCCUCCUCCAUUUGCCUUCACCCUUCCUUCUGCCAUUGUUCGAUUGUCUUCUCCAUGGAGGGAACAGGCCGGAAACGACCCUGUUAUUCUUGCCCCGAUCUGAAAGAUGACGUGGUGGAGGAACUCAUUGAUCGAUGCGACGUCAUCACCUCGGCUAGCAUGGUAGGUUCGUUCAAGACCAUUCUCGACUCAACUAAUGACAUCAUUACAAAGAACCAAAGGGUCCAAGAGCAGUUUGAUCUCCCCUAUCUUCUUCGUUGUGACCCUGCUGACUGGCGCGGGGAUGAGGGAAGCCUCGCCUUGUUGCUACGUCUUGAGCUUGCGUUGGUUUUCCCCGAAGAGGAAGGGAUGAUGCAGCAGAGUAGCAUAAGUAUUUCCCUCAGUUUUUGAGAACCAAGGUAACAAUCCAGUAGGAGGCCACGCUCAAGUCCCUCGUACCUGCACAAAACGAUAGCUACUCGCAACCAACGCGGUUAGGGGUUGUCAAUCCCUUCACGAUCACUUACGAGAGUGAGAUCUGAUAGAUAUAAUAUUUUUGGUAUUUUUGGUAUAAAGGUGCAAAGUAAAAAGUAAAGGCAAAGUAAAAAAGCAAAGCAACAUUAAAGUGAUGGAGACUGAUAUGAUGAGAAUAGACCCGAGGGCCAUAGGUUUCACUAGUGGCUUCCCUCAAGAACAUAAGUAUUCUACGGUGGGUGAACAAAUUAUUGUUGAGCAAUUGACAGAAUUGAGCAUAGUUAUGAGAAUAUCUAGGAAUGAUCAUGUAUAUAGGCAUCACGUCCGUGACAAGUAGAUUGACACGAUUCUGCAUCUACUACUAUUACUCCACUCAUCGACCGCUAUCCAGCAUGCAUCAAGAGUAUUAAGUUAAAAACAGAAUAACACCUUAAGCAAGAUGACAUGAUGUAGAGAGAUAAAUUCAUGCAAUAUGAAAUAAACCCCAUCUUGUUAUCCUCAAUGGCAACGAUGCAAUACGUGCCUUGCUGCCCCUUCUGUCACUGGGAAAGGACACCGCAAGAUCGAACCCAAAGCUAAGCACUUCUCCCAUGGAAAGAACUACCAAUCUAGUUGGCCAAACCAAACGGAUAAUUCGAAGAGACUUGCAAAGAUAACCAAUCAUACAUAAAAGAAUUCAAAGAAUAUUCAAAUAUUAUUCAUAGAUAGAUUUGAUCAUAAACCCACAAUUCAUCGGUCUCAACAAACACACCGCAAAAAGAAGAUUACAUCGAAUAGAUCUCCACAAGAGAGGGGGAGAACUUUGUAUUGAGAUUCAAAGAGAGAGAGAAGAAUCCAUCUAGCUACUAACUAUGGACCCGAAGGUCUGAGGUAAACUACUCACACUUCAUCGGAGGGGCUAUGAUGAUGUAUAAGCCCUCUGUGAUGACGGCCCUCUUCCGGUGGAGCUCCGGAACAGGCCCCAAGAUGGGAUCUUGUGGAUAUAGAAAGUUACGGUGGUGGAAUUAGGUUUUUGGCUCCAAUUCUGAUCGUUUGGGGGUACGUGUGUAUAUAUAGGAGGAAGAAGUACGCCGGAGGAGCACCGAGGGGCCCACGAGGCAGGGGGCACGCCCUAGGGGGGCGCCCCCCACCCUCGUGACCGCCUCUUUUGUUCCUUGGAGCAGGGUCCAAGUCUCAUGGAUCACGUUCGGUGAGAAAAUCACGUUCCCGAAGAUUUUAUUCCGUUUGGACUCCGUUUGAUAUUCUGUUUCUUCGAAACACUGAAAUAGGCAAAAAAAACAAUAAUUCUGGGCUGGGCCUCCGGUUAAUAGGUUAGUCCCAAAAAUAAUAUAAAAGUGGAAAAUAAAGCCCAAUAUAGUCCAAAAUAGUAGAUAAUAUAGCAUGGAGUAAUCAAAAAUUAUAGAUACGUUGGAGACGUAUCAGGCAUCCCCAAGCUUAAUUCAUGCUCGUCCUCGAGUAGGUAAAUGAUAAAAUGAGAAUUUUUGAUGGGGAGCGCUACUUGGCAUAAUUUCAAUGCAAAUCUUCUUAAUUGUGGUAUGAAUAUUCAGAUUCGAAAGAUUCAAGACAAAAGUUUAUAUUGACAUAAAAAUAAUAAUACUUCGAGCAUACUAACAAAGCAAUUAUGUCUUCUCAAAAUAACAUGGCCAAAGAAAGUUAUCCCUACAAAAUCAUAUAGUCUGGCUAUGCUCUAUCUUCACCACACAAAAUAUUUAAAUCAUGCACAACCCCGAUGACAAGCCAAGCAAUUGUUUCAUACUCUAACUUUUUCAAUCUUCACGCAAUACAUGAGCGUGAGCCAUGGCUAUAGCACUAUAGGUGGAAUAGAAUGGUGGUUGUGGAGAAGACAAAAAGGAGAAGAUAGUCUCACAUCAACUAGGCGUAUCAACAGGCUAUGGAGAUGCCCAUCAAUAGAUAUCAACGUGAGUGAGUAGGGAUUGCCAUGCAACGGAUGCACUAGAGCUAUAAGUAUAUGAAAGCUCAAAAAGAAACUAAGUGGGUGUGCAUCCAACUUGCUUGCUCAUGAAGACCUAGUGCAAUUUGAGGAAGCCCAUCAUUGGAAUAUACAAGCCAAGUUCUACAAUGUAAAAUUCCCACUAGUAUAUGAAAGUGAUAACAUGAGAGACUCUCUACUAUGAAGAUCAUGGUGCUACUUUGAAUCACAAGUGUGGCAAAAGGAUAGUAACAUUGUCCCUUCUCUCUUUUUAUCUCAUAUUUUAUAUAUAUAUAUAUAUUUUAUUUGGGCCUUUUUUCUUUUUUAUGGCCUCUUUUCUCUCUUUUUUUAUUUGGGCUUCUUUGGCCUCUUUUAUUUAUGUUUCGUCCGGAGUCUCAUCUCGACUUAUGGGGGAAUCAUAGUCUCCAUCAUCCUUUCCUCACUGGGACAAUGCUCUAAUAAUGAUGAUCAUCACACUUCUAUUUUUCUUACAACUCAACUAUUACAACUCGAUACUUAGAACAAAAUAUGACUCUAUGUGAAUGCAUCCGGCGGUGUACCGGGAUAUGCAAUAUGACAAUGAUGGCAUGUGUCAUGAACGGAACAGUGGAAAAUUGCAUGGCAAUAUAUCUCGGAAUGGCUAUGGAAAUUCCAUAAUAGGUAGGUAUAGUGGCUAUUUUGAGGAAGGUGUAUGGUAGGUGUAUGAUAUCGGCGAAAAGUGCGCGGUAUUUAGAGAGGCUAGCAAAGGUGGAAGUGUGAGAGUGUGUAUAAUCCAUGGACUCAACAUUAGUCAUAAAGAACUCAUAUACUUAUUGCAAAAAUCUAGAAGUUAUCAAAGCAAAGUAUUACGUGCAUGCUCCUAGGGGGAUAUAUUGGUAGGAAAAGACAAUCGCUCGUCCCCGACCGCCACUCAUAAGGAAGACAAUCAAUAAAUAAAUCAUGCUCCGACUUCAUCACAUAACGGUUCACCAUACGUGCAUGCUACGGGAAUCACAAACUUCAACACAAGUAUUCUUUAAAUGCACAACUACUCAACUAGCAUGACUUUAAUAUUAUCACCUCCAUAUCUCAAAACAAUUAUCAAGCUUCAAUCUUUUCUUAGUAUUCAACACACUCAAAAUAAAAGUUUCACAAAUCUUGAAUACCAAGCAUAUUAUUAUUAAGCAAAUUUCCAUGCUAUUAAGAGACUCUCAAAAUAAUUUAAGUGAAGCAUGAGAGGUCAAUAGUUUCUUUAAAACAAAUCCACCACCGUGCUAUAAAAGAUCUAAGUGAAGCACAUAGAGCAAAAUUAUAACGCUCAAAAGAUAUAAGUGAAGCACAUAGAGCAAAACUACUUAGCUCAAAAGAUAUAAGUGAAGCACGUAGAGUAUUCUAUCAAAUUUUAAUUCAUGUAUGGCUCUCUCAAAAGGUGUGUACAGAAAGGAUGAUUGUGUCAUACUAAGACACAAAGACACAAAUAAUACAAGACGCUCCAAGCAAAACACAUAUCAUGUUGGUGAAUAAAAAUAUAGCUCCAAGUAAAUUACCGAUGGAAGUGGACUAAAGAGGGGAUGCCUCCCGGGGCAUCCCCAUGCUUUGACUUCUUGGUGUCCUUGGAUUAUCUUGGGGGUGCAAUGGCAUCCCCAAGCUUAGGCUCUUGCCACCCCUUGUUCCAUAAUCCAUCAAAAGAAUUCACCCAAAACUUGAAAACUUCACAACACAAAACUCAAAAUAGAAAACUCGUGAGCUCCGUUAGCGAAAGAAAACAAAAAGACCACUUCAAAGUACUGUAAUGAACUUAUUAUUUAUUUACAUUGGUGUUAAACCUACUGUAUUCCAACUUCUCUAUGGAUUAUAAACUAUUUUACUAACCAUAGAUUCAUCAAAAUAAGCAAACAACACACGAAAAACAGAAUCUGUCAAAAACAGAAUAGUCUGUAGUAAUCUGUAGCUAGCGCAAGAUCUGGAAGCCCAACAAUUCUAAAAUAAAUUGAUGGAAGUGAGGAAUUUAUCUAUUAAUCAUCUUCAAAAAGAAUUAACUAAAUAUCACUCUUCAAAUAAAAAUGACAGCAGUUCUCGUGAGCGCUAAAGUUUCUGUUUUUUACAGCAAGUUCAACAAGACUUUCCCCAAGUCUUCCCAACGGUUUUACUUGGCACAAACACUAAUUAAACACAAAAAACACAACCAAAACAGAGGCUAGAUAAUUUAUUUAUUAAAUAACAGCAAGGAAAAAUAUUGGGAUGUCUCCCAACAAGCGCUUUUCUUUAAAGCCUUAUAGCUAGGCAUUGAUAAUUUUAAUGAUGCUCACAUGAAAGACAAGAAUUGAAGCACAAAAGGAGCACCAUAAAGCAUGUGACAAACACAUCUAUGUCUAACAUACUUCCUAUGCAUAGGCAUCUUAUAGGCAAACAAAUUAUCAAGGCAAGCAAAAACUAGCAUAUGCAAGGAAGAGGAAAGAAACAAUAGCAAUCUCAACAUAAUGAGAGGUAAUUUAGUAACAUGAAAAUUUCUACCACCAUAUUUUCCUAUCUCAUAAUAAUUACAUGUAGGAUAAUAAUCAAAUUCAACAAAAUAGCUAUCACAUAAAAUAUUUUCAACACGAUCCUCAUGCAUGCAAAGUUGACACUCUUCCAAAAUAGUGGGAUUAACAUUAACUAAAGUCAUGACCUUUCCAAACCCACUUUUAUUAAAAACUUCAUGAUAUUGAACAUUCUCCAAAUAUGUGGGAUCUAAAGUUGACAUUAUUACAAACCAAUUUUCAAUAUUAUUGCAAACAUUAUAAUCAUUCUCAUAUUCAUCAUGGGGCUUAAAUAAAUUUUCAAGAUCAUAAGAAGAAUCACCCCAAUCAUGACCAUUGCAACAAGUAGUAGACAUAGCAAAACUAGGAUCCCCAAGCUUAGGGUUUUGCAUAUUAUUAGCACAAUUUACAUCAAGAUAAUUUAUAAUAAAAUCAUUGCAAUCAUGCUUUUUAUUCAAAGAUCUAUCGUGGAGCACUUCAUCACAAUUUUCAGAUUUACGGAUUUCAGGCAAAAGCUUAUAAAGAUAAUCUAGUGCAUCCAAAUCACUAGGAAUUGAUUCAUCAUAAUUGGACCUCUUAAAAAGAUUGGCAAGCGGAUGAGGAUCCAUAGAUAUUAGGUUCUCUGUUUAGUAAUAAAUAAAUGACUAUUCCAACCAUACGAGCAAAUAAAAAGCAAAACGGGCCAGAAGAGGCAAAUAGAGAGGGAGGAUAGAGAGAGAGAGGGCGAAUAAAAUGGCAAGGGUGAAGUGGGGGAGAGGAAAACGAGAGGCAAAUGGCAAAUAAUGUAAUGCGAGAGAUAGGGAUUGUGAUGGGUACUUGGUAUGUUGACUUUUUGCGUAGACUCCCUGGCAACGGCGCCAGAAAUCCUUCUUGCUACGUCUUGACCUUCCGUUGGUUUUCCCUGAAGAGGAAGGGAUGAUGCAGCAGAGUAGCGUAAGUAUUUCCCUCAGUUUUUGAGAACCAAGGUAUCAAUCCAGUAGGAGGCCACGCUCAAGUCCCUCGUACCUGCACAAAACGAUAGCUACUCGCAACCAACGCGAUUAGGGGUUGUCAAUCCCUUCACGGUCACUUACGAGAGUGAGAUCUGAUAGAUAUAAUAUUUUUGGUAUUUUUGGUAUAAAGAUGCAAAGUAAAAAGUAAAGGCAAAGUAAAAAAUCAAAGCAAGAUUAAAGUGAUGGAGACUGAUAUGAUGAGAAUAGACCCGGGGGCCCUAGGUUUCACUAGUGGCUUCCCUCAAGAGCAUAAGUAUUCUACGGUGGGUGAACAAAUUACUGUUGAGCAAUUGACAGAAUUGACCAUAGUUAUGAGAAUAUCUAGGCAUGAUCAUGUAUAUAGGCAUCACGUCCGUGACAAGUAGAUCGAAACGAUUUUGCAUCUACUACUAUUACUCCACUCAUCGACCGCUAUCAAGCAUGCAUCUAGAGUAUUAAGUUAAAACCAGAGUAACGCCUUAAGCAAGAUGACAUGAUGUAGAGAGUUAAAUUCAUGCAAUAUGAAAUAAACCCCAUCUUGUUAUCCUCGAUGGCAACAAUGCAAUACGUGCCUUGAUGCCCCUUCUGUCAUUGGGAAAGGACACUGCAAGAUCGAACCCAAAGCUAAGCACUUCUCCCAUGGCAAGAACUACCAAUCUAGUUGGCCAAACCAAACGGAUAAUUCGAAGAGACUUGCAAAGAUAACCAAUCAUACAUAAAAGAAUUCAGAGAAGAUUCAAAUAUUAUUCAUAGAUAGACUUCAUCAUAAACCCACAAUUCAUCAGUCUCAACAAACACACCGCAAAAAGAAGAUUACAUCGAAUAGAUCUCCGCAAGAGAGGGGGAGAACUUUGUAUUGAGAUUCAAAGAGAGAGAAGAAUCCAUCUAGCUACUAACUACGGACCCGAAGGUCUGAGGUAAACUACUCACACUUCAUCGGAGGGGCUAUGAUGAUGUAUAAGCCCUCUGUGAUGACGGCCCUCUUCCGGUGGAGCUCCAGAAUAGGCCCCAAGAUGGGAUCUUGUCGAUAUAGAAAGUUGUGGUGGUGGAAUUAGGUUUUUGGCUCCUAUUCUGAUCGUUUGGGGGUACGUGUGUAUAUAUAGGAGGAAGAAGUACGCCGGAGGAGCACCGAGGGGCCCACGAGGCAGGGGGCGCGCCCUAGGGGGGCGCCCCCACCCUCGUGACCGCCUCUUUUGUUCCUUGGAGCAGGGUCCAAGUCUCAUGGAUCACGUUCGGUGAGAAAAUCACGUUCCCGAAGAUUUUAUUCCGUUUGGACUCUGUUUGAUAUUCUGUUUCUUUGAAACAUUGAAAUAGGAAAAAAACAGCAAUUCUAGGCUGGGCUUCCGGUUAAUAGGUUAGUCCCAAAAAUAAUAUAAAAGUGGAAAAUAAAGCCCAAUAUAGUCCAAAACAGUAGAUAAUAUAGCAUGGAGUAAUCAAAAAUUAUAGAUACGUUGGAGACGUAUCACUUGUGCAAGUUGAUGCCGCUUGAUAAUGAUAUGUAUGAUGUUAAGAUGCCAUUGCCUGAUGGUAAGGCUUGGGCAGGCGCAAAUGGAGAUUGGGUUGUUUAUAUUGGGUACAACAACGAAUGGGAACUUGUGAAUGUGUACACUCGUCACCGGGUUCCACUUUCAAAAAUCUCAGACUGCCCAGAGGUUGAGCACACCGGUAUUCUAUGCACGUUCAAAUACGAUCAUGGUGACUUUCUUCUACAAAAGAUAGCAAUUUGUCGAGUUCCCAACCGCUCUUAGCAUUACAAGAACUAUGGAGUUGUUGCUAUCUUCGACAAGCUUGUUGCUGUCCUUCGUGGUUCGACUGGAUGGAUAUUGCUCAAAAAUCGGAUUCUAUACACGGAUGUGUACUGUGAUGCAAUUCAAUACGCGGGUCUUGUGUUUGCUGCCACCACUCGUGGCACUGUUUUUGCAUGGGAUCCUCGUAGUUUCGGUAUGUUUGUCUUCCACCGUAAUUAUAAUUGUUUCAUCCACAUGCAUGCGGGUUAGCAAGUUUCCCUUUACUAAUUAACCUUCUUCUUGUGUUUCCAAGGUCCUGUGAACAUUCCACCAUCUAUACUUGAAAUUUUUCAUAACCAAGGGGGAGAUGACGAUGGUGAUGAUCACGAGCAUGAGGACGAGUAGGGCCCAUAUACUCAAUGGCGCCUGGCAACUUAUUCCGAUGGAUCACCCCUUCUUGUCUGUAUACAGCCCACUGCUGAUGUUACUACUAAGGAAGCAGGUGUUGUCUCCCAUGGUCGCACUCUCUAGACCUAUUCCAACACCCGUUGCAUGGUAUUCGGGAUGGAUACUAGUGUGCUAGCGCCAACACCUUCUCCCUGGUACAGUAUAGAUAGUCUUGGAGAAAACUUUCUCUUCCUUGGACAAAACUAUCCAAUGAUGGUGAAAGGCGAUCCAACUGUUGUUGACACAACAUUACUACCAUUUAUGAGAAGCAACUAUAUCUAUACCUCGGACAUUGCAGUGGUUCCCUACCCUGUUCGUGAUAUAGUAGGCCGCUUCAGCCUGGAUGAUUAGUCAUGUGUUGGUCUCGAGAUUGACAGUAGCUGGCCCUUCCCAGAGAAUCACUUGUGAUUCAAACCAAGCGUUUCCAACGCCGAGGAUUGGUUGAGUGGAAGUUCAUUUCAUUGCUUGUUAUUUGUGGUGUGAUGAAAACUUUAGUAUUUAUAAUGUAUCCUCGUUGUCAUUGUGGGUUGAUGACCUAUUGUAUGUAAUAAAAUGAUAUGCCUGUGAUAAACUUACUAAAUUUAUGAAUGGCUUUCGAGUCGCUUCUCUGAGUGGGUGCUGCGAUGAGGAAAAAAUAUUCUUCGAAUACAUAAUUGUAUGUGUAUUGCAACAGGUUAUCGGAUGAGGCAAAUCAACAAUAGUACACUAUUUGUACUAUCUUCACAUGCUGCACUAUCUCUACGUCUAUGUACGUAAUACAACAAGUUUUAAACUUGAGACCAGCCACCCACCCUCACAAAGAACACUUUUUAACCUAGCACAGACUCCAGGAAAUUUGCCCACAAUGUGAGGUGGGUCAUAUGUUAAUGUGUUAAAUGUACGUAACCAGCACCUCGAAUCCUCGAUACUACUACUAUAUAGUAGGGUGGCAUGGGCCAGAACAAGCAUUCACGUCCAGGAGUACGGCACACGCCACCAGCACGACUUCCAUCUGACACCAUAUUUCUUGGAGUCCGUGCUACAGAUAUCUUUUCAACCUCGUCGUUUCUCUAACUCAGCCAUCACGUGGCGGGCGAGGUGGGGGGUUUGCCGAUAGUCGGUUUCCUCAACUACGGUCCCACUUGUAAGGCCAACUCCAAUGCACGACCCCAAAUGGACCUCCGUUUUGCCCAGAUUCUGUCUGUUUGGGUAGGGCAAUGGGGUCGUGUUCGGGCCAUUUCUCGGAUGCGGUGGCCAUGCGCCCAAUGCGCGGACGCAUCUCGGCCGCGUACAUUUUUCUUUACAAACACAUAUCUUUUUUUCAUCAUUGAUUUUUGGUACAUGGAAAUACAUCACCAAAAUUUGACUAGAAAAGCAAGACCAAAGAAAACAAGGACCACAAGAAUACAUUUUAGAAGAUAUCCAACUUCUAUAACCGCUCCUGUAAGUUGGAUUAGUGCCUUCUCGAUGCAUUCAUUGUUGAUCUGUGGAGGCUCGAUCUUGUGUGCUUCUUUCUCUUCGAGUGUAAAGAAGUAGAUGUUGCUUCCUCGCAUCUAGUCUCAUGUCUAGCCUCUAUUCUAUCAACAAGUGCACUAGUCUCAUCUCUAGCCUCUAUGAUAGCUAAAAGUGCUAGAACAUCUACUAAAUUGCGCUCUAUCAAUAUAUCGAUGUACUCUUCUUCCCAAUACCAAAACUUGCAUCCAUUCUACACAACAAAAUUUUAAGUUAGCACAACUAGUCUAAUCCGAGAGCACAACCGAAGAUUUGGUCGAGUUCUUCCUCCUUUUGUCGACAUGUGGGACAUCCAGCAUCGAGGUCGUGUCAUGCAAGAAAAUGGAGUGGUAGUUGAAGCCACGUGAUGUGCAUCUUGGUUUAAACUAUAAAUAGAAUCUUACUACUCUUGAGUAACUCCAAAAGCGGCCACCUAAGAUCUUUAUUGGAUUUGUUUUUCAUCACCAGCACAUCGAGGUGAAAGCUGUGCAGGUUCAGUGGGUCCUCUUGCGUUUUCACUGACACGUGGGACCGCAUAUGACCAAACAGACGAUGGGCUCCGCGCGUCUGCUGGCUGGCUGAGAAGAGAGAUAGAGGAGGGUUGAGCACGGACUCCAGGAAAUUUGUUCUACGUAACCAGCACCUCGAUAUAGGCUCGAUAUAGUGGGGUGGCAUGGGCCAUAACUAGCAUUCACGUCUAGCAGUACGACACACGCCACCCACACGAGUCCCAUCCGACACCAAUUUUCUGGAGUCCGUGCUACAGCCAUCUCUUCUCCCUCCUAUUUUCUCAGCCAUCGCGUGGUGGGCGCGGUGGAGGUUUGCCCAUAGUCGGUUUGCUCAACUGCGCUCCCACUUGUAAGUGAAAAUGCAACACAGCACGCAUUCCCCCUUGAGCGGUGUGCCGGACCAAUCGUGUGGGCAGCGGGGUGCGACGCGAACACGACAAGCUUUUCCUUUUGAACUUGUAACUUGUAAAAUUUGGUUCUGCUCCAUGGCGCGACCGAUAGAUAGAAAUAAGGAUUUUCCCUUGAGUAAUGAGAAGUUAGGUUCUGGCGCGGUUCAUGCAUGGAGUACGUAGAAAAAUUAUGAAGUUGAUGCGAAAGGUAAGAUAAUUACUAGUAGUACCAUAUACUACUACAUGGAUUUGACGAAAAGAUAAAGAUACAUACAGAUCCAUCAACGACAUCCUCGCGCCCUAGUGCGCCUGGUCACCAACCGACGUGUGAGGAGUAGCAGCAUUGGCGGUGAGCUCAACGUGCUUCUGAACAAUGCCGUCCAAGGUUGCCCUGAGGGUCAAGAAGGCCAGCAACCUAUCGUCCUCCUCUGGCAGGUAGUAGUCCUUGUGGGCGAUUUGCGCGUAGACGUGGGUGAUUAUGUCGAUGGUGUCUUGCUGUGCCAGGCAUUGCGCGGCGAGCGCGACCUCGAGGUGGACAUUCUCCGGCGCGACAGCGGGCAGUCGCAGGGCCACCAGUGCGUCAAAGAGGUUGUAACCAUAGAGGUAGUUGAGGGUGGCGGGCAUCGUAGAGCCUAGGCGCGUGGGCUGGAAGCGUACAUCAAGGUUGUCCGCGAGCUUCUUGACAAUGGUGAACUUGUCGAGGAAGCCGACAAGGACCUUGUCGAACAAGGAGACGAAGCUGUCGUCCAAGCGGCCUCUCACCCUGGCGGCCUCAAGCAUGACCUGGAGACAUUCCUCGGUGCCGGGACGUAGGCCGGCGUCGUGGACCAUCUGGCACAGCCGGCUGAUGCUCGCGCUCAUCGCCUCCAUGGGUCUAGCUUCUAGGCAACUGAUCUUGCGAUUGGACAACACAUGCAUCUUCGACAACAGAAGCAAGGUGAGGAAAUAGUGUGUGGUUGUUUGCAACCGAGAGAGAAAAACUCCUAGCACGUGGCCAACAGGGGUCUGACAAGCAAGGGAGAGAGGUUGAGAGAGACGUACGGAGAAAAUGCAAACAUGGGGAGGAGAGAGUGUAUGUUUGUGAUAGAGAGAUCCCCUGGAGAUCAUGAUGGGACUACAUGGGUGGGAGAUCGGGUGACAAGGUGUGUGGGUGAUAAAAUAUACCCCGAGAGAUAUCGUGAUAGACGUAUGGAUGGAAGGAGACAAUACGUGUGUUCCUGAUGGCUAGUAGAGAUAAUCAUACUUAAGGGAGAGUGCGUGCGCCUAUGAUGGACUGAGGGAUUAUGGUACUUAGGGGGGGUGCGUGUCACAUAGAGAGAGAACAAGGGCGGAGAGUGUUGGAUGGGUCUAUGUGUAGCGUGAGCGAGACAUGUGUAUGUGUGAACCAGGGAGAUAUAAAGUUUGAUAGAUAUAGAGGGGCCCCGAUAAGGCUGAGUGGUGCGUCAGAUAGCUCAGAGGGGGAAAGAGAUAUUCCAUCUGCUCGAUAAUGCAGUGCAUGUAAAUUUUUUUAGAAGUCGAACUUUGGAAACAUUGAUCAGGUUUACGCAAAUGUUAUUUAUAUCUACAAUACCAAAGAUACAUCAUAUGAAACUACAUCUCAUGAUGAAUCUAAUGGUAUAUGUUUGCCAUUCUAGAUGUAAAUGUUUUUCUCCGCGUACAUGGUCAAACUUUGUGAUGUUUGACUUUUCAAUAAAUCUAUAUGCUAUGGACCGAAGAGAGUGCCUAAGUCGAGAUAGAUCAAGUGCGUGUGAAGGAGAAUGAGUGAGUGUGCAAAAAGAGUAUGUGUGUGAAAGAGAAAGGGACAACAAACGAUAAAUUAGAGAGAGAGUGUGUUUUUUUGUUUAUUAUGCAAACAUAUCACGCAUGCAUCUCCGAGAUAGAAAAGCGAGGAGAGGAGAUACACGAAGAUAGCUAGUGCGCAAUUGUUUGAAACGGAGAGAGACACCCCUAUAGCAUGUGUCCAAUAGAGGUCUAGCCAACAAGGUACAAAGGUCGAGAGCGACACAUGGAGAACAUGGACGCAUGGGGAGGGAGAGAGUGUGUGUCUGUGAUACAGAGAUCCCCUCGAGAUCGUGAGGGGACUUAAAUGGGUGAGAGAUCGAGGGAGGUGCGUGCGAGAUAGAAAGAUGCCCCGAGAGAAAUCGAGAUAGACCAUGCACAUGUUUGUGAUGGAGACUAAGAUUAGCUAGUCAUAUACAUAUAGGGGGGAAUGCGUUUGCCUACAUUUGAGUGAGAGACCAUAAUACUUGGCUAGGCAUGAGAUUGUGUGUGUGUGUGUGCGUGUGAGAUGGAGAGAGAACGAGGGUGAGAGAUAAAGUUUUAGAUGGGUCUAUCGAGUGCGAGUGAGAUAUGCAUGUGUAUGUGUGACCCAGGUAGAUGGAGAGUUUGAGAGAGAGAGAGAAGAACUCUGAGACGACAGAGUGGUGCGUGAGAGAGUUACGGGCAAGAAGCCAAGGAAUUUGUGUGCGUACGAUGAGUGCAUCCAAGAUAUUUAGCUUGGACUAGAGAAUCGUACAUAGUGUGCGAGAGAGACCUAUAGAUGGAGUAUAUAUGCAUGCGAACUAGAAAGACCCCCCCCCCACACACNNNNNNNNNNNNNNNNNNNNNNNNNNNNNNNNNNNNNNNNNNNNNNNNNNNNNNNNNNNNNNNNNNNNNNNNNNNNNNNNNNNNNNNNNNNNNNNNNNNNNNNNNNNNNNNNNNNNNNNNNNNNNNNNNNNNNNNNNNNNNNNNNNNNNNNNNNNNNNNNNNNNNNNNNNNNNNNNNNNNNNNNNNNNNNNNNNNNNNNNNNNNNNNNNNNNNNNNNNNNNNNNNNNNNNNNNNNNNNNNNNNNNNNNNNNNNNNNNNNGAGAGAGAGAUGUGUUAUAGGAAGGAGAGGGAACCAAAGGAAAAUAAGGAACGGGGGAGAGGGACACAGCAAGGCCGAUGGGGAUGGGGAACUCGUUGGGGGAGGGACCAACAAGGUUUGUGUGUUGGAUGUGUGCGACGGAAUUGAAGAUUGUCGGCGAGGGAGAGAGAGAGAGAGAGAGAGAGAGAGAGAGAGAGAGAGCAGGAGUCCGGGGAAGGGGGGUCGCAUUUUAUGCAUCAAAGACUGAUAUAAACCAUGUUUCGAUAUAAACUUCCAUUAAAAUAUUUAAAUUGGAGAACAUGUAGUUUGCAAUCCACACAUGAACGGAGAUAUGCGUAUAUCAAACAAGUUCAUUAAUUUGACUCUCAACAUGUUCAUGGAGUACUAUAAUACUGUACAACAUGCUACUCGAUUGAGGUGUUUAAUUUUGGAUUUAGUUCACUAUUUUGACCUGGUGAACGAGCUAUUCCAUUGAAUCGAGAUAUUUUAUUUUGGGUCUGAUUCCCGUUUUUGAGUGGGUCAACUAUUUUUCAUAUAGUAAAUCGCUAGCAACGAGCAUGUAAAAUAACAUUACUCCCGAGCAUCAUCUCUCCAACUAAAAAAGAAGUGGAAAGCUAAUAUUUCAAAAUUUGAUUCAAAUCGACUUGGUAAGGUAGACGUGGAUGCUCCUUCUCCCAAAAUUUGAACGAACCGUUAAACACCCUCUGCUCGGUGGAAUUCGCCUGAGCAAAUAAAUGGGAGACGCGAAAUUACGGGCCUAUGUGGGACACGCAUCAAUUGGCCCGUUGUACAUUGAGGGUAGGUUCGUAACUUCAUCCAAGCGCGCCUUCUCCUUGGCCAAAAUGACAUGUGUCGAAUAAUUCAUAAACCAUGGUCGGCAAAACACCCUCUCCUCUCCCGAAGUAGCUCGUGCCCACUAUUUCAAAACACGCUCUCCUCGCCCGAAAUCCCUCGCGCCCACUAUAUUUCAAAAUACGCCCUCCUCGCCCAAAAUCGCUCACACCCACUAUAUUUCAAAACACGCCCUCCUCGCCCGAAAUCGCUCGCGCCCACUAUAUUUCAAAACACGCCCUCCUCGCCCAAAAUCGCUCGCUCCUAGUAUAUUUCAAAACACGCCCUCCUCGCCCGAAAUCGCCCGCGCCCACUAUUUGGGAGAAGCAAANNNNNNNNNNNNNNNNNNNNNNNNNNNNNNNNNNNNNNNNNNNNNNNNNNNNNNNNNNNNNNNNNNNNNNNNNNNNNNNNNNNNNNNNNNNNNNNNNNNNNNNNNNNNNNNNNNNNNNNNNNNNNNNNNNNNNNNNNNNNNNNNNNNNNNNNNNNNNNNNNNNNNNNNNNNNNNNNNNNNNNNNNNNNNNNNNNNNNNNNNNNNNNNNNNNNNNNNNNNNNNNNNNNNNNNNNNNNNNNNNNNNNNNNNNNNNNNNNNNNNNNNNNNNNNNNNNNNNNNNNNNNNNNNNNNNNNNNNNNNNNNNNNNNNNNNNNNNNNCAUUUCAAACAAAUGCGUCCUUAAGACAUGAUUCCCCCUCACAAUUCCCCAUUCAUACCUCGUGGGCGCCAAAUCACCUUCUCCCCAGAAGCUCCCUUCUCCAGAGCCGCGAAACCUCAGCCCCUCCUCCAUGGCGCCCCCCACCGCACCAAAUUCAAAGCCGCCCUCCUCUCUAAUCCCAGAGACGUUGUCCAUUUGCCGUCGUGCACUGGGCCGUGUGCCUCUUACUCUGUGCUGCCGGAGCUGCCUCAACGACGGCCGCUGAACCAUACCGGAGCCCAUUCACCCCCGCCGUUGUUCACGGUGCCGGAGAGGCUCCAACUUUGGACCUGUCCAGAGCCCCGGCGCUGCUUCCCCGUUGUCGUCGACCAUCGUGACAUCUCUACUUCCCUACCGCCGGUAGCCACCGCAACCGCGCCGGCCUCACCGACUAGGCAGCUGCAGCUGCCUACUUCACCGGGCCACCAGAUAGGUCGCACCCUCAUCUCAUAUCACUUUAUUUAGGCGUCAGUUGUCUGAAUUUUUAUUCUGGGUCAAUCGAUUCCUAAUGGGAAGCAACACCCUCGAGCCGGCGGAGCUCCUAGGCUGCCGGUUGGCUGGUGUCUAACGUAAGGGUGCGGGGGUGCAAGUUCACCGCAGAAGCAGCGCUUAGAUGGCUAUCUUAGAGUUGCGUGGGUUGAAGGUUCUGCCGCCGCCGGAUCUGGAUGAUAGUGAGUUUUUGUGGAUUGGCCCGGGGUCGGUGCAACCACGGCAGUGCGGUGGGGCGGAGAGUGGGGUUUUGUUCGGGGCCACGGACGGUGGAGGCAGGCUGCUCUGCCGGUGGUCGCUGGCUCUUCGGGGAAGAUUUUGAAUAGUGUCAGCCGAGAGGCACAAGACGGCCGUCAAGCCAUCCGGCAUAGAUCGAAUAGUACCAAAAUAAAAUAAAAUCAUAUAACCCUAAUUUAGUCUUCAGUCAACAGAUGUGUGACCACUCUCGUACCUUGCUGUUGAUCUCGUAGGGUAUUUCUUCAGAUCACAGAGAUGUGUCGUUCUUCACAUUAUGCAUUUUCUGCAUCUUUAGCCGCAUCGUCUUCUGACUCACCGCAGCUGCUCCAACAAGGGAAGCAUGCACUAGAAGGGAGCUAUAGUCCCCACUCAACAGUUCCCUGCAUCAAAUGCGCGUGCCCGACAUGGACAGCCACAACAACUACAGGGCCACUGACAAGUCAGCACAUGACGCUCACUCCUAUGGAUGGCGACUAGAUAGGUUGUACCCUCAUCUUACUUGUGUGCAACAUUUAUGGCUUUGUUAUUCAUCUAAGCAUUCAAAAUAGAUUAUCACAUUUCACUAUAUAUUCAUGCUGAUCUCUUAUGGGUCUUGUUCGGGAGUUAACGUUGUUGCAUAGUUCAUCUAAGAGACUUGUUCUUUAGGUAACACUCUUCCAUAGUUAUCAUCCAUCAGCCAAUGCUAUCCCAUAGGCUGGUGAUUAUAGUAUUAUACCACUUCUAGUAUAACAUAUGUUGUUCCUUAAUACUUUUGUGUGCCAUCUAGUUAAUCUCGAGUACAAACCAUACAUAUUCUGUAGCUUUCAUCUGAGUUCUCCCUUUAGUUUUUGAGACCUGUUGCUGCUAGUUAACCCAGUCCUACUAUUUAUAUCGUCUCCUACAGGCACUCAUUACAUAAAUCUAAUUACUAGUUGUCGUCCAUGCAUGUAAGAUAUAAUUGCACACACUGAUUUAUCCACAAGAACCUCACAGAGCAAUGUAACGGCCAACAAACUUGACAUCAAUGAUAUCCAAUAUGAUGGAACAUGUAAAGGCAGUUCUUCACAAGACUUGCAGAAAGAUGAUGAAUCCUAUUCACCCCAAAAGGUCCUUGCUCUAACUUGGCCCUUGAUAUGGGUACAGCAUGCAUAUAAUGUCCUGGAGUGCAUCUACUCUGUUGCAAUGCCUUGUGCUUUGCCUGUUGAUCAUGCAUGUAAAUAUGGCAUGCUUUCCUGUUUUUCAGUUCCUAUUCCAUUAAUGAUAACAUGUUUUGAAAUUCAAGUACUAUCAUUCUACUCUAUCGCAAUGCCAUCUGCUUAGUCUGGACAUCAUGCUUCUCAAUAUCUUAUGCAUUGUUAUUCAUCAGUAUGUACUUCAUCUGUCUACCAUACCAUGUUCUUUUUUUACAUUGAAGUGUUGUUCUAGUGGUCUCUUGCAAUGCCAUCUUAGUUUCCCAAUCAUACACGCAUAUGUUGCUUUAGUGUUUUUCUAUAAUGUAUUCCGCUAGCAUACAGUUUUACAUUCAAGUAGUGAUUUUUUACACUGUUGUCCUAUCGUAUCCCCAGAUCUUACAUCAUACUCCCUCCAUUCAGAUUACAUGUCGCAGAAAUGGAUAAAACUGGAUGUAUCUAGAACUGAAAUAUGCCUAGACCCAUCCAUUUAUUUCCGGAUGGAGGAAACACAUGUCAAUAUGUCAUUCCUUUCUAUUCUUCAGUACCUAUUCCAUCUUUGUUGUAGCAUGUUUUAUAAUUGAAGCACCAUUUUUCUAUAUAAGGCAUGCAAGGGGAAGACGGCUAUGUUAGAAUUUAAAGGGUUACAAACCAGGUCUUUACAAAAAAUCCAAACGCCAGGAGAUAAUAAACCAACUCCAGUUUUCAUAGAUACUUCUCCAGCACAGAAAAACCCAACUCCCACUGAUAAUAAGCAGAUUCCAGUGGCCAAAGAACUAGUCUACUCCAGUCCAGCAAAAAUAUGUCAACUCCAUUCUAAGAAGCGUGUGCGUAUCCUCGCAUCAUGAAAUUUGAUAGCAUUCUGAUCAUAUUUUCUACAUGUUUCUUACCCAUCUCUCUUUUAGAAAAUAAGGUUAAACGAUAGAAGAUUCCCUCCAUUGGGAUCAUAUUCGAGGAAAGUAUCUUGCGGGAAUUCACUGUGCUCCAAUGCUGAUGUAAGUACCUGUUGUAUAACACUAUAUUUUUAUCAGCAUGUAUUUUGUUAAUCGGUGUGAAUCGAACCUCUAUCUGAUCUAAAUUCAGUUGUAGCAAAAUGUUAAAGGCGACAAUGUUGAUUUUUGUAAGGAAAACUGCCUGGUAGUUUUGCAUACUGAGCUGCAUGAGUGUACUAUCUCAUAUCAUGCACAUUACUGAAUUGUAGUGCUUCUCUGGUUGCCCAUUCAUUCAUUAUGUCAAUGUUGCUUUCGUAUUACCUUACCUGGCUGAUGAUAGAUGUGCCAUAUUGCGUUAAUUUGGUGUAGGAUGGUGUGGUCUGGUUGCCCAAACGUUCGUUGUGUCAAUGUUGCUUUCCUAUUAUCUAACCUGGCCAAUGAUAGCAAUGCUAGUAUGUUAAUUUGGUGCAGGCUGCUGAAGAUAAGAAGACAAACUCUGAAAACAGAAAGGCAACCUGUUGUUUCUUUCCAAUAAAUCUAGGCCAGGUAAUAUGGCAAUAACUCAUGAUUAAUCUGUUUGGUUCCCCUCCUAAUUUAUGUUAUGAUGCAGUGGUUGAGACACUCUCCACUAUAAAAAAUGCAAGCCUGCCAAAAUCGCCAUUUGAAUCUAUUCAGUUUCCUCUGUCUCGAAUGCAACAGAAAAAAUGUAUGUUUGUGAACCAAUUAAUGGCUGAAGCAAUGAUGGAAAUGGUGGAGGAAUCAGAGCUGCACAUUCGUGCGCAACAACAACUGAUCAAUGUUUUUAGAGACAGUGUAGCAAAGCAGCAAGAACUUGCCCACAUGUUUAUGGGUGUCAUCCGCACUAAGGUUGCAGAUUGUGACGUUGUAGAUCGUUAGGUUAUGUUCAUUUAUUUGCACUGGCAUCAAUCUUUGAUUGCCUAGUGGAUGUAAUUUCCUGUAAUAUAUGCUGGAUGUGCAACAUUUUUCCCCGCACCUUUGCUUGAUCGGUUUUGGUCCUGUGCAUAAUUGCUCGUCGUAAUGGGCUCAAAUUAUCUAAUUGGGCCUAAAGACAUGUAUGAACUUUAGUGGGCCCAUUAUGUUAAUGGGCCAUUACCAGGCCGAAAGUUAAUGGUCGGCCCUCUUACCUCCCGGGUCGUUAACAGGCCGACAUCGAAGCGGGAAAUAGGUGUGCCCAUUUGAUUUCACAGGCUGUUAACAGGCUGUUACUAAGGUCGGGCUACAUAUGGCCGAACACUGAAAGAGACAGUGGGCUCGUACUGGACCAUGAAGAGCAUGGGCCGCUAAGAGGCCGAAAGUCAGGUCGUACUAUAAAUGGCCCAACUGUGUUGUGGGACUUUAGCAGGCCGAAAGAGAAACCGGGUUGGUAUUGGACCAUGAAGCGCAUGGGCCGUUAAAAGGCCAAAACUCAUGUCCGACUACAAAUGGACCAAAUCAUUUAUGGGCCGUCAACAGGCUGAAAGACACACCGGGUCAGGAAUUGGCCCAACACUUAAAUGGGUCGCUGAAAGGCUAAAACUAAGGUCCGACUACAAAUGGCCCAACUCAUUUAUGGGUUGUCAAUAGGCUGAAAGACACACCGGGUCGGAAAUUGGCCCAACACUUAAAUGGUCGCUAAAAGGCCGAAAGAUGUACAUCCUGAAAAUUGGCCCAUUCAAUUAACAGGCCAAAAUCACAUCGGGCCGAUAUUGAGCCCAAAUAUAUAGCGAGCUGUUAACAGGCUCAAACUGACGACGGGUUGCAAUGGUGUCAAAUCCUUAACGGGUCAUUGACAGGACGAAUUGGCACAUAUCGUAUGGGCCGUGGGCUUAAAUGGACCUGACACAAGUAGGUCUUAUAUGGGCUGGCCUUUUUCACCGGAAUGGGCCACUGUUGGGCCGUGCCACGUGUUGACCUAUCAUAGGCGCCUCCUGUCUAAUGAGUGGAUGACAUCUGUCCCAAUGGUGAGCCAACGCGUGUUUCCUCCGGCCAAUGAGAAUUUUACACGUGGAAAAUCCUCAUUGGUCCGGGCUGUUAACGGGUUAUCUGAUUCAAAACCAGACCCGAUAGCUUAAUAGUGACCCAUUAUGGUGGAUGCCACGUGUCGGUCACCCUUGACGAAAGCACUUUCAUGACACGCCAUUUAUCGUCAUGGAAGUGGACACUUCCGUGAUGAUAAUUUUGGUAAUGUCAUGGAACACUUCUACGACAGCACAGGUAUGACUAUCUUGAUUCUAUCAUAAAAUCGUCAUGGAUGUACAUGCAUGAGAAAAAAUGUGACCUACUGUGACAAACAUGUAUCAUCACGGAAGUGUAUUUUUUUGUAGUGCUUGGAGUUGAUCAUGAGAUUCUUUGAAGCUAGCAUGAGCACCCUUCAAGACUUUGUGAGCCUUGUCGAGUAUAUCAAACUCCUCCUUGAGUCUAGCAAGAUCAACCCCAAAUUUUGCCAUCUCGAAAUUGAGAACACGAGAUACAACAAGUGCAUGAUCAAGAUAUUUCUUUAAUUUAGCAUGAUCAUCUUGUGUGACUCCUCGAGAGCCAAACUAUGACCACGCUCUUCCUCAAGAGCAUUAGAGAGACCCAAUAUCUAGUCACAACUAUGUCCCUCCAUCUUAGAGAUGGUGUCUUCAUGAGCCUCGAUCAUAGCAUUGGCUACCCCAAGUUGUUCCAAGAGAGCAACAAAGUGCUUCUUGGAUUUACUGUUGAGCUUACUCAUAAAAGACUCAAGCUCAUUUUCUUCCUCAUUAGACCCCUCACUUGCGUCAAUGCAAUCCAUCAAAGAGGGAUUAGUAGUGAUGGUAGUUUUCAUUUUGGGGGGUACCUUGUUGGUGGCUUGGGCCAUGAGGCUCUUAGCGGUGAUGUUCUCGUUGGGUGAGUCGAAGAGGGACACCCGUGGAGUUCUCGCAAUGGCAACGGAGGCCAUGGCAACCGUCUCACCGUCUUCAUCAUCGUCAUCAUCCUCAUUGUACUCUUCUUGUGCCACCAACCCCUUGGGAGGAGUCUUCUUGGUGAAGUUGCUCUUGUUGGGGAAGGACUUGACCUUGUCUUUUCAGCUGAGCUUGCCACCAUUGUCUUCCCUCUUCUCAUAUCAGCACUCCACAACAAAAUGACUCACAUUGCCACAAUUAUAGCAAGUCCUCACAUGUUGCUUGCCCUUCACACCACUUGAGUUGUUCUUGUUGAAGUUGGGCCUUGUGUUCUUCUUGCUCCAAAAUUGCCUUGAAGCGAGAUCCAUGUGUUCAUGAUAAGCAUAUUUCGUAUCUUCGGGGUUGCUCUCCUCUUCUUCCUCUUCAUCAUCUUCUUCCACACUGCCUUGGCCUUCAAGGCAAGGUUGGGCUUCUUUGCUCUUUCAGAACGCAACACCGCAUUGUCGGUGGUCUUGUCCAAGAUCCUCAUAGCCACAAACUCAUCCAACACUUCACUUGAGGACAAGGUGUGGAAGUCCGUCCUUUGACGGAUGACGGAGGACAUGGCCUUGUGGUAAGGAAUCAUGGCCUUGAGGAACUUGCGCUUGAUCCAAUUGUCAUCUGUAUCCUUGCUCCCAUGAUCUCGGAGUGAGACCGCGAGAGUGGUUAAUCUUCGGUAAAGCUCACGAGGUUCGUCGUCUUCAUUCAUUGCGAACUCAUCGGCUUCAUCUUGCACCACUUCAUACUUGGAGCGUUGAAUGCUUGUGCUUCCCUUGUAAAGGGAAACAACAUGGUGCCAUGCUUCCUUGGCCAUGGUGAAAGGUCGAAGAUGUGCAAUAUCUUCAGAAGGAAUUGCAUCUUGGAUGAUGAAUAGAGCAUUCUCGUUGAAUUGAUGAUCUGCGGCUUCUCUGGGGGUGAAGUUGCUUGGGUCAUGCGGAUAGAAACCUUGCUAUGAUUCUCCAAAGAUUAGUAUUGACAUGAUUUAAAUGACGUUUGAAGCGAUAGACCCAAUAGUCAAAAUCCUCAUUUUUCACAAUCUUAGGAGGAGAACCCGCAUGAUUUAAAUGAGUGGGGGGAACCGGUCCUCCAUAAGUAAGAGGAGGUUCAACAUGGGCAAAGAUGCCGUUUCCACUUUUACCACUAGACAAAGGAACUUUAUCACUAGAAGCUUCACUACUGCAGGAUGGUCCAAACAUGACACUACGAUCAAAGAUCCUUCGACGAAACUGUGUGUGAUGCCAUAAUCGCAAACGGGGGUGUAAAAACCGUCAAAAAAGUGCAAAACAUUUGCGAUGAGGAUGCAUCAAACACGGUUCAGAUUUUAGUUGCGUGUGCGAUGCAGGGCAUAUGGUUCAGUUCAAUUAACUGUUUGGGACGAGGAGGAACAAAAGAAACGGGCAGCCAGAUGAAGGCAUGUGCGAAAUAUAGCAUACGGUUCACUAGGAUGAACUAUGUGUGAUUAGGCAACACAAUGGAAACGGUUCAAUUGAACAAGAUAUGUGUGAUACACAGCAAACAAAUUCGUAAUCAGAAAUGUGUGCAAAGACCAAUAAUAACACAGACGAUUGCUGCUAAUAAGCCAUGUGAUUUGCUCUGUCUAUAGUAGAAUAACAUGUAUAUAUAUCAUUGAAAUAAACAUCCAAUUACAUAAGUGACUAUACAUAUCAUUCGCACACACCUCAAUAAACAAUUGUGUGAAUUCUAAAGUAGGAGAAAUGAUCGUCUAGUCAUCUACUUCUUGUGACACUCCCGCCACUGCUAUGUGGCUCGAUCCCUCGUCUGGGUCAGGAGAAAACAGUUCCUCAUGUCAAUGAUCCGCCUGUACAUCUUGUAGCUUGUGUACGCGUCCAUGGCCGCGUACUUGACAUGUUGUUCAUCCAGUCUCUUAUGCCACACACUGUGCCAGGCGUUCAUGUCCUUAUUGCUCUCAUUCUUCAUCUUCAUGUACUAGGGGUCGAUGAUGGCCGAGGCGCGGUCAACCAGGGAGUUCAGUUUGUUUUUGUCGCUGCCCCAAACCUUGUAGUGGCUUUGGAUGUUGACAAGAUUCAGGCAUUUCAAGCACGUAACCUUGAGCGCUUUUAGAUCGUUGGUGGUGUCGACCGCAGUGAAACUGUAGUCGGAGCUAUUGAUAAACCUGGAGAAACGCUCGCAAGGCGUUGUGGCUAGGUGGUAGUGGUAGACGAGGAUGUCAUGUCAUACGCACAACUGGGCGAUGGCAACCUUCUGAUCGUGCCCGGCACGACCCAUGGUGUACUCGAGGUCGAAGCCGACCACUUGGUACGUGUCCUCGGCAAGGAACUUCUCCAUAGUUUGGAUGGAGCUCUCCAUCGAGACCGGAUCGUUCGUGUACACCAACGAGAGAGCCUUCCCCCUCACAUGGGUGUCCACAACGUGUUGCGUGGUGAACUGCCCGACGUUGUCAUAGUCGGCCGCUGGGAGCGCCAUUGGAGCCACGGGGAGCGCCAUUGGAACCGCUGGAUGUCCUCUCUAUAUGUGUCCUCAUGGGUGUGCUUAUUGUGUCAUGUGAGACGAGAGAUGAAGAUAAAUGGCCGCAGGAAUAAAAGGGGGUCGGGUGGCGUGGAUCCUCGGCGCGUCCGCAUGGCAGUUUUUGCAGCGGGUAACUGCAUCAUCGCGCCGCGCCCGGCACAACCGCAAGCACACGAACAUGCAUGAUCGUGCACCGGCCCCAAACACUGGCAGCGCACGUGGAGGAAUGAGGGUAGAGCACCCGGAGGGACGCGAGAGCAGAGCGCGCGCAGUGGGAUGCGAGAGCAGAGCGCGCUCAGUGGGAUGCGAGCAGAGUGCGCCGCGGCCGCCUGAUCCAGAAGCACCCACACGCAUAGAACAGUUGAACGCGCAUGAAAUGGUCGCCUACAAGCCGGCCGACAGUUGUGUUGCUGCGUAGAGAGAGGCCAUGUUCUACCACCUCCGUCUAGUCUAUAGUCCCCUUUAUAUUUUGUGCCAUACUUUGCCCUCAAAUUUAACCAACAAAAUGUUAAUGCCUGUUAUAAAAAUUAUAUAAUUGGAAACUAUGUUCAAAUACGAAUCCAACUAUAUAAUCUUUGGCGACAUGCAUUCGUAUUUUAUAAGUUAAAUCAUACUUAUAAACCAGGACGGGUGUAUAGUAGGUAAUUAAAUCGCAAACAUUUUUUCCGCAUGUGUACGUGGCCUUUCGUCCUCCUCUCGCACGUCUUGUCACCCCACUGCCACAGACGGCUUACAACGCAAGCUUGCGCAGCGCGCGGGGGUGUUCUUUUGGCCAAAUGGUGGCGCCAAUGAAUCGUCGAUGAGCUCGUUCCCGCGCAAGCGUCUCGCCUGACUCGGUGAAAUCCCCCAAAAUCCCAAUGCUUACCGGCCUGCUAUAAAAACCCUCACAUCCGGCAAUUCCUACGUCGCAUUUUCCGCUCCCUUCCUGUAGCUUAUCUUAUCUGCUUCUCCCACAAUCGCCAAUGGCACCGGUCCAUCUUCGUCGCUCAGCCACUCUGUCGUCAUCAGAGGACAGCUCCAGCUGGGAGGCUACACUGCGGUGGCGGCACGGUCCCUGGCGUAGUGUAGUGCACGUGGCGUCCCUGUUGGGUGUGCGCGGAACACCCACCGCACACUCCGCCGCCGGGGCCCGUCAGCAGCUAUUGCCUGCCGCUGUUGCCCCCACACCACCGUCAAAAGCCAGGGCCAUCGCCCGCUCCGCCGCCGCGGCCCAAAGGCGUGAGGUGGCCGUCGUGGCCGCCACCCCACUGCCGGCUACCGUGGCCAUCACCCGCUCCACCACCACGGCCUGAAGGCGGGAGGUGGUGGUCGUGGCCGCCACCGCAUCAUCGGCCGUCGUGGCCGCCAGCCCACCGUCGACCGCCAGGGUCAUCACCCGCUCCGCCAUCCCUACCCAAAGGCGGGAGGCGGAGGUGGAUGUCCGCACGUGCGUCAGCGACCUUGCGUGCUACACCGAGUUCCUGUGGGAGGAGGAGGAGCGCCUCGUCGAGCAUGCAAAGAGCCUUACUGCCGCCGUGGCCGUAACACACGCCACCUCAGAGGCGAGGAAUCAGGAGAUCUACGGGGAGAACCACCGCUUCAAUAGGGGUCGUCUGGAGCGGCAGAGGGCGUUCGAGGUGAGCGUCGCUGAAGCUGCAACAGUGGCAGGCACCGUAUUGCGGUUGCCCAGCUCAUCGGUAGGAUCCUCCUCCGCCACCUCUUACUGAGCGCGCUCGGUAGAGGAGAGGCAGUCGGAAGUUGUACAAAGCCCCUCUGCAGUAGUACUAGUAUUUAGGGGCUAUUUUGUUCAGUUCAUUUGACUAUAGAUGUGGUGGAAUUGUACAACGUACUUAAAAUUAGCUAGUAUAUAUAGUUGAACUAGCUAUUUCAGUAUGUGGUUGGAAAUAAUUGGGGAAAAGUUUGGUCGGUUCAGCUGUCGAGUUGAACUGUUUUUAUAAAUUAAGACCGAAUGCUUAAUUUAUGAAUGAAAUCUAUGCUUAAUUACUGAAUUUUAGUUGCAAAAAUUAGAUACUGCUAGUGAUUUUUAUUUUCAUAUUUUGACAAAACACAGUGUUACAAGGUUGAGAAAUGGCAAUGUUACCAGAUCAACAAAUGUCAAUCUUUCCAGUUUGACAAAUGGUAACAUACCCAAUAUGACAGAUGCAAAUCGCACCAAAUUUUUUGUAAGUGGUGGCAAGUGGUGGCACACGGGUCAUCCAAAAGAACCGUUUGCAUUGAAGAGAUGCACAAAUCAUGCUCUCACUUUGCAUCAUGUCGUCCCGGGGUUGACGGGUGUGGGGCGGGAGAACGGCAGCUGGCGGCACUGAGAGGUACCAUUCGACGGCGGCGUCCCAUGCCGCUGAGGGGGGCGCGUGCACGGAGAGGAAGGCGGGCGGCCAUGGAAAUCAAAGGGCUCGCUUCCUAGUGAGCCUGCGCAUUCGAGGCCAGCUUGCACUCCUCUCGGUCAGCCUACGCACCGGACUGCACUCGCACGCCCCCCGUUCAGUCAAGGUCAAGCAGCUGUCCAAAAGGCACCUCCUACAGCCAUUAAAACCAAGACACGUGGCAUCAUGUGAAUGGUUAACCGAACGCACACGGUUUGUAUUAUACAAACAUUUGAGAUAUUAAAGUGGCAGUUAUUUUUUUCAAAAUGCCUUUCUUGGUUGUCAUUAUUCGAGUGUGCCUUCGUUCAAAAUGGACAGGAAAAAUAUCACAUCAUGUCUGGUGCCAUUCCAUGAUAGCAUGUCAAGUUUCAUGAAUUUCAUAUGAGUUUUGAAUUUACUAGAAUUUAAAAACCAUGCAUCUCAAUGUUUUGCCGGCAAUCAAUGAUGCCCUGGUGUUUGAAAUUCAUUCCCAUUUCUUGCAUGGGACCUAAGCAUUCACCCAAGGACAGAUUUUAUUUUUCAACCAAUUUAUGUGCACUGGAGCAUGUGCAUGUAGUUCAAAUUAGAAUUAUCGACAUAAAUGCAUUGAAAACUUGGUUAAUGCAUAAAAAUGUCCAAACGAACCCCGAAAAAUCACAAAAAUUGACACAACACUCAUGUUGUUCUAUGUUGACACGAGAAAAAAUUUGGAAGCAAUAAGAGGCAAUGGAUAUCGUUUCGUCCCCAAAGGUGGGACGUUCCCUACCAAAACCAUCAUGCUUGUCGUGAGAAUCUCUGGUUUGUGAGAAGCAUAUACCGAAACCUGCCCCAAACGGGAAAAAAAAUUACCAUGACAUGUUGAUGCUGCUCCAUGAAAGCAUGCCAAGUUUCAUGAAUUUCAGACGAGUUUUGGAUUUACUAGAAUUUAAAAACCAGGCAUCUCAAUGUUUUGCCGGCAAUCAACGGUGCCCUGGUGUUUGAAAUUCAUUCUCAUUUCUUACAUGGGACCUAAGCAUGCACCCAAGGACACAGAUUUGAUUUUUCAACCAAUUUAUAUGCAUUUGAGCAUGUGCAUGUAGUUCAAAUUUGAAUUAUGCACAUAAAUGCAUUGAAAACUUAGUUAAUGCAUAAAAAUGUCCAACGAACCCCGAAAGAUCACAAAAAUUGACACAACACUCCUGUUGUUAUAUCUUGACACGAGAAAAAAGUUGGAAGUAAUAAGAGGCAAUGGAUAUUGUUUCGUCCCCAAAGGUGGGACGUUCCCUACCCAAACCAUCAUGCUUGUUGUGAGAAACUCUGGUUUGUGAGAAGCAUAUACCCAAACCUGCCCCAACUGGGACAAAAAAUUUACCACGACAUGUUGAUGCCGCUCCAUGAUAGCAUGCCAAGUUUCAUGAAUUUCAUGAGUUUUGGAUUUACUAGAAUUUAAAAACCAGGCAUCUCAAUGUUUUGCCGGCAAUCAACAGUGCCCUAGUGUUUGAAAUUCAUUCCCAUUUCUUGCAUGGGACCUAAGCAUGCACCCAAGGACACAUAUUUGAUUUUUCAACCAAUUUAUGUGCACUGGAGCAUGUGCAUGUAGUUCAAAUUUGAAUUAUGCACAUAAAUGCAUUGAAAACUCAGUUAAUGCAUAAAAAUGUCCAAACGAACCCUGAAAAAUCACAAAAAAUCACACAACACUCAUGUUGUUCUAUGUUGACACGAGAAAAUUUUUGGAGUAAUAAGAGGCAAUGGAUACCGUUUCGUCCCAAAGGUGGGACGUUCCCUACCGAAACCAUCAUGCUUGUUGUGAGAAGCUCUGGUUUGUGAGAAGCAUAUGCCCAAACCUGCCCCAAAUGGGACAACAAUUUUACCAUGGCAUGUUGAUGCCACUCCAUGAUAGCAUGCCAAGUUUCAUGAAUUUCAGACAAGUUUUGCAUUUACUAGAAUUUAAAAACCAGGCAUCUCAAUGUUUUGCCGGCAAUCAACGGUGCCCUGGUGUUUGAAAUUCAUUCUCACUUCUUGCAUGGGACCUAAGUAUGCACCCAAGGACACGGAUUUGAUUUUUCAACCAAUUUAUAUGCACUGGAGCAUGUGCAUGUAGUUCAAAUUUGAAUUAUGCACAUAAAUGCAUUGAAAACCCAGUUAAUGCAUAAAAUGUCCAAAUGAACCCCGAAAAAUCAUAAAAAUUGACACAACACUCCUGUUGUUCUAUGUUGACACGAGAAAUUUUUUGGAAGUAAUAAGAGUCAAUGGAUAUUGUUUCAUCCCCAAAGGUGGGACGCUCCCUACCCAAAACCAUCAUGCUUGUUGUGAGAAGUGAUGGGGAAUGUAGUAAUUUCAAAAAAAUUCCUACGCACACACAAGAUCAUGGUGAUGCAUAGCAACGAGGGGAGAGCGUGAUCUAUGUACCUGGUAGAUCGACAAUGGAAGCAUUUGGUUGAUGUAGUCGUACGUCUCCACGGCCCGACCGAUCAAGCACCGAAACUACGGCACCUCCGAGUUCUAGCACACGUUCAGCUCGAUGAUGAUCCCCAGACUCCGAUCCAGCAAAGUGUCGGGGAAGAGUUCCAUCAGCACGACGGCGUGGUGGCGAUCUUGAUGCACUACUGUCGUAGGGCUUCGCCUAAGCACCGCUACAAUAUUGUCGAGGACUAUGGUGGAAGGGGGCGCCGCACACGGCUAAGAAUAUGAUCACGUGGAUCAACUUGUGUGUCUCUGGGAUGCCCCUGCCUCCGUAUAUAAAGGACUAAGGGGGGGUGCGGCCGUCCUAGGAGAGGCGCGCCAGGAGAGUCCUACUCCCUCUGGGAGUAGGAUUCCCCCCCUCCCAAUCCUAGUUGGAAUAGGAUUCGUGGAGGGGGGAAGAGAGAGAGGGUGGCCGGCCCCUCUCCUUGUACUAUUCGGACCAAGGGAGGGGAGGGGCGCGCGGCCCACUUUGGGAAGCCCCUUCUCUUUUCCACUAAGGCCCACUAUGGCCCAUAUAGCUCCGGGGGGUUCCAGUAACCUCCCGGUACUCCGGUAAAAUCCCGAUUUCACUCGGAACACUUCCGAUAUCCAAAUAUAGGCUUCCAAUAUAUCAAUCUUUAUGUCUCGACCAUUUCGAGACUCCUCGUCAUGUCCGUGAUCACAUCUGGGACUCCGAACAACCCUCGGUACAUCAAAAUGCAUAAACUCAUAAUAUAACUGUCAUCAUAACCUUAAGCGUGCGGACCCUACGGGUUCGAGAACAAUGUAGACAUGACCGAGACAUGUCUCCGAUCAAUAACCAAUAGCGGGACCUGGAUGCCCAUAUUGGCUCCUACAUAUUCUACGAAGAUCUUUAUCGGUCAGACCGCAUAACAACAUACGUUGUUCCCUUUGUCAUCGGUAUGUUACUUGCCCGAGAUUCGAUCGUCGGUAUUCCAAUACCUAGUUCAAUCUCGUUACCGGCAAGUCUCUUUACUCGUUCUGUAAUACAUCAUCCUGCAACUAACUCAUUAGUUGCAAUGCUUGCAAGGCUUAAGUGAUGUGCAUUACCGAGAGGGCCCAGAGAUACCUCUCCGACAAUCGGAGUGACAAAUCCUAAUCUCGAAAUACGCCAACCCAACAUGUACCUUUGGAGACACCUGUAGAGCUCCUUUAUAAUCACCCAGUUACGUUGUGAUGUUUGGUAGCACACAAAGUGUUCCUCCGGCAAACGGGAGUUGCAUAAUCUCAUAGUCAUAGGAACAUGUAUAAGUCAUGAAGAAAGCAAUAGCAACAUACUAAACGAUCGGGUGCUAAGCUAAUGGAAUGGGUCAUGUCAAUCAGAUCAUUCACUUAAUGAUGUGAUCCCGUUAAUCAAAUAACAACUCUUUGUUCAUGGUUAGGAAACAUAACCAUCUUUGAUUAACGAGCUAGUCAAGUAGAGGCACACUAGUGACACUUUGUUUGUCUAUGUAUUCACACAUGUAUUAUGUUUCCGGUUAAUACAAUUCUAGCAUGAAUAAUAAACAUUUAUCAUGAUAUAAGGAAAUAAAUAAUAACUUUAUUAUUGCCUCUAGGGCAUAUUUCCUUCAGUCUCCCACUUGCACUAGAGUCAAUAAUCUAGAUUACACAGUAAUGAUUCUAACACCCAUGGAGCCUUGGUGCUGAUCAUGUUUUGCUCGUGGAAGAGGCUUAGUCAACGGGUCUGCAACAUUCAGAUCCGUAUGUAUCUUGCAAAUCUCUAUGUCUCCCACCUGGACUAGAUCCUGGAUGGAAUUGAAGCGUCUCUUGAUGUGCUUGGUUCUCUUGUGAAAUCUGGAUUCCUUUUCCAAGGCAAUUGCACCAGUAUUGUCACAAAAGAUUUUCAUUGGACCCGAUGCACUAGGUAUGACACCUAGAUCGGAUAUGAACUCCUUCAUCCAGACUCCUUCAUUUGCUGCUUCUGAAGCAGCUAUGUACUCCGCUUCACAUGUAGAUCCCGCUACAACGCUUUGUUUAGAACUGCACCAACUGACAGCUCCACCGUUUAAUGUAAACACGUAUCCGGUUUGCGAUUUAGAAUCGUCCGGAUCAGUGUCAAAGCUUGCAUCAACGUAACCUUUUAUGAUGAGCUCUUUGUCACCUCCGCAUACGAGAAACAUAUCCUUAGUCCUUUUCAGGUACUUCAGGAUGUUCUUGACCGCCGUCCAGUGAUCCACUCCUGGAUUACUUUGGUACCUCCCUGCUAGACUUAUAGCAAGGCACACAUCAGGUCUGGUACACAGCAUUGCAUACAUGAUAGAGCCUAUGGCUGAAGCAUAGGGAACAUCUUUCAUAUUCUCUCUAUCUUCUGCAGUGGUCGGGCAUUGAGUCUUACUCAACUUCACACCUUGUAACACAGGUAAGAACCCUUUCUUUGCUUGAUCCAUUUUGAACUUCUUCAAAACUUUGUCAAGGUAUGUGCUUUGUGAAAGUCCAAUUAAGCAUCUUGAUCUAUCUCUAUAGAUCUUAAUGCCUAAUAUGUAAGCAGCUUCACCGAGGUCUUUCAUUGAAAAACUCUUAUUCAAGUAUCCCUUUAUGCUAUCCAGAAAUUUUAUAUCAUUCCCAAUUAGUAAUAUGUCAUCUACAUAUAAUAUCAGAAAUGCUAUAGAGCUCCCACUCACUUUCUUGUAAAUACAGGCUUCUCCAAAAAUCUGUAUAAAACCAAAUGCUUUGAUCACACUAUCAAAGCGUUUAUUCCAACUCCGAGAAGCUUGCACCAGUCCAUAAAUGGAUCGCUGGAGCUUGCACACUUUGUUAGCUCCCUUUGGAUCGACAAAACCUUCUGGUUGCAUCAUAUACAACUCUUCUUCCAGAAAUCCAUUCAGGAAUGCAGUUUUGACAUCCAUCUGCCAAAUUUCAUAAUCAUAAAAUGCGGCAAUUGCUAACAUGAUUCGGACAGACUUAAGCAUCGCUACGGGUGAGAAGGUCUCAUCGUAGUCAAUCCCUUGAACUUGCCGAAAACCUUUUGCGACAAGUCGAGCUUUGUAGACAGUAAUAUUACCGUCAGCGUCAGUCUUCUUCUUGAAGAUCCAUUUAUUCUCAAUUGCUUGCCACUCAUCGGGCAAGUCAACCAAAGUCCAUACUUUGUUCUCAUACAUGGAUCCCAUCUCAGAUUUCAUGGCCUCAAGCCAUUUUGCUGAAUCUGGGCUCACCAUCGCUUCUUCAUAGUUCGUAGGUUCAUCAUGAUCUAAUAGCAUGACUUCCAGAACGGGAUUACCGUACCACUCUGGCGCGGAUCUUACUCUGGUUGAUCUAUGAGGUUCAGUAGUAUCUUGUUCUGAAGUUUCAUGAUCAUCAUCAUUAGCUUCCUCACUAACUGGUGUAGGUGUCACAGAAACAAUUUUCUGUGAUGUAUUACUUUCCAAUAAGGGAGCAGGUACAGUUACCUCGUCAAGUUCUACUUUCCUCCCACUCACUUCUUUCAAGAGAAACUCCUUCUCCAGAAAGUUUCCGAAUUUAGCAACAAAAGUCUUGCCUUCGGAUCUGUGAUAGAAGGUGUAUCCAAUAGUCUCCUUUGGAUAUCCUAUGAAGACACAUUUCUCCGAUUUGGGUUCGAGCUUAUCAGGUUGAAGCUUUUUCACAUAAGCAUCGCGGCCCCAAACUUUCAGAAACGACAACUUUGGUUUCUUGCCAAACCACAGUUCAUGAGGCGUCGUCUCAACGGAUUUUGAUGGUGCCCUAUUUAACGUGAAUGCGGCUCCCCAAACGAUAGCGGUAAAUCAGUAAGAGACAUCAUAGAUCGCACCAUAUCUAGUAAAGUACGAUUACGACGUUCGGACACACCAUUACGCUGUGGUGUUUCGGGUGGCGUGAGUUGCAAAACUAUUCCACAAUUUUUCAAAUGUACACCAAACUCGUAACUCAAAUAUUCUCCUCCACGAUCAGAUCGUAGAAACUUUAUUUUCUUGUUACGAUGAUUUUCAACUUCACUCUGAAAUUCUUUGAACUUUUCAAACGUUUCAGACUUAUGUUUCAUUAAGUAGAUAUACCCAUAUCUGCUUAAGUCAUCUAUGAAGGUGAGAAAAUAACGAUAUCUGCCACGAGCUUCAAUAUUCAUCGGACCACAUACAUCUGUAUGUAUGAUUUCCAACAAAUCUGUUGCUCUCUCCAUAGUACCGGAGAACGGUGUUUUGGUCAUCUUGCCCAUGAGGCAUGGUUCGCAAGUACCAAGUGAUUCAUAAUCAAGUGGUUCCAAAAGUCCAUCAGUAUGGAGUUUCUUCAUGCGCUUUACACCGAUAUGACCUAAACGGCAGUGCCACAAAUAUAUUGCACUAUCAUUAUCAACUCUGCAUCUUUUGGUUUCAACAUUAUGAAUAUGUGUGUUACUACUAUCGAGAUUCAAUAAGAAUAGACCACUCUUCAAGGGUGCAUGACCAUAAAAGAUAUUACUCAUAUAAACAGAACAACCAUUAUUCUCUGAUUUAAAUGAAUAACCGUCUCGCAUCAAACAAGAUCCAGAUAUAAUGUUCAUGCUUAACGCUGGCACCAAAUAACAAUUAUUUAGGUCUAAUAUUAAUCCUGAAGGUAGAUGUAGAGGUAGCGUGCCGACUGCGAUCACAUCGACUUUGGAACCGUUUCCCACGCGCAUCGUCACCUCGUCCUUAGCCAAUCUUCACUUAAUCCGUAGUCCCUGUUUCGAGUUGCAAAUAUUAGCAACAGAACCAGUAUCAAAUACCCAGGUGCUACUGCGAGCAUUAGUAAGGUACACAUCAAUAACAUGUAUAUCACAUAUACCUUUGUUCACCUUGCCAUCCUUCUUAUCCGCCAAAUACUUGGGACAGUUCCGCUUCCAGUGACCAGUCUGCUUGCAGUAGAAGCACUCAGUUUCAGGCUUAGGUCCAGGUUUGGGUUUCUUCUCUUGAGUAGCAACUUGCUUGCUGUUCUUUUUGAAGUUUCCCUUCUUCUUCCCUUUGCCCUUUUCUUGAAACUAGUGGUCUUGUUGACCAUCAACACUUGAUGCUCCUUCUUGAUUUCUACCUCCGCAGCUUUCAGCAUCGCGAAGAGCUCGGGAAUAGUCUUAUUCAUCCCUUGCAUAUUAUAGUUCAUCAUGAAGCUCUUGUAGCUUGGUGGCAGUGAUUGGAGAAUUCUGUAAAUGACGCAAUCAUCCGGAAGAUUAACUCCCAAUUGAAUCAAGUGAUUAUUAUACCCAGACAUUUUGAGUAUAUGCUCACUAACAGAACUGUUCUCCUCCAUCUUACAGCUAUAGAACUUAUUGGAGACUUCAUAUCUCUCAAUUUUGGUAUUUGCUUGAAAUAUUAACUUCAACUCUUGGAACAUAUCAUAUGCUCCAUGACGUUCAAAACGUCAUUGAAGUCCCGAUUCUAAGCCGUAAAGCAUGGCACACUGAACUAUUGAGUAGUCAUUAGUUUUGCUCUGCCAGACGUUCAUAACAUCUGGCGUUGCUCCAUCAGCAGGCCUGGUCACCCAGCGGUGCUUCCAGGACGUAAUUCUUCUGUGCAGCAAUGAGGAUAAUCCUCAAGUUACGGACCCAGUCCGUGUAAUUGCUACCAUCAUCUUUCAACUUUGCUUUCUCAAGGAACGCAUUAAAAUUCAACGGAACAACAGCAUGAGCCAUCUAUCUACAAUCAAGCAUAAACAAGCAAGAUACUUAUCAGGUACUAAGUUUCAUGAUAAAUUUAAGUUCAGUUAAUUUACUUAAAGAACUCCCACUUAGAUAGACAUCCCUCUAAUCCUCUAAGUGAUUACGUGAUCGAAAUCAACUAAACCAUGUCCGAUCAUCACGUGAGAUGGAGUAGUUUCAUUGGUGAACAUCACUAUGUUGAUCAUAUCUACUAUAUGAUUCACACUCGACCUUUCGGUCUCCGUGUUUCGAGGCCAUAUCUGUAUAUGCUUGGCUCGUCAAGUAUAACCUGAGUAUUCCGCGUGUACAACUGUUUUGCACCCGUUGUAUUUGAACGUAGAGCCUAUCACACCCGAUCAUCACGUGGUGUCUCAGCACGAAGAACUUUCGCAACGGUGCAUACUCAGGGAGAACACUUCUUGAUAAUUAGUGAGAGAUCAUCUUAUAAUGCUACCGUCAAUCAAAGCAAGAUAAGAUGCAUAAAAGAUAAACAUCACAUGCAAUCAAUAUAAGUGAUAUGAUAUGGCCAUCAUCAUCUUGUGCUUGUGAUCUCCAUCUCCGAAGCACCAUCGUGAUCACCAUCGUCACCAGCGUGACACCUUGAUCUCCAUCGUAGCAUCAUUGUCGUCUCGCCAAGCUUGUGCUUCCACGACUAUCGCUACCGCUUAGUGAUAAAGUAAAGCAUUACAUCGCGAUUGCAUUGCAUACAAUAAAGCGACAACCAUAUGGCUCCUGCCAGUUGCCGAUAACUCAGUUACAAAACAUGAUCAUCUCAUACAAUAAAAUUCAGCAUCAUGUCUUGACCAUAUCACAUCACAACAUGCCCUGUAAAAACAAGUUAGACGUCCUCUACUUUGUUGUUGCAAGUUUUACGUGGCUGCUACGGGCUUAAGCAAGAACUAAUCUUACCUACGCAUCAAAACCACAACGAUAGUUUGUCAAGUUGGUGCUGUUUUAACCUUCGCAAGGACCGGGCGUAGCCACACUUGGUUCAACUAAAGUUGGAGAAACUGUCACCCACAAGCCACCUCUGUGCAAAGCACGUCGGGAGAACUGGUCUCGCGUAACGUUGGUCUGGGCCGCUUCGUCCAACAAUACCGCCGAACCAAAGUAUGACAUGCUGGUAAGCAGUAUGACUUAUAUCGCCCACAACUCACUUGUGUUCUACUCGUGCAUAUAACAUCAACAUAUAAAACCUAGGCUCGGAUGCCACCGAUGGGGAACGUAGUAAUUUCAAAAAAAUUCCUACACACACACAAGAUCAUGGUGAUGCAUAGCAACGAGGGGAGAGUGUGAUUUAUGUACCUAGUAGAUCGACAACGGAAGCGUUUGGUUGAUGUAGUCGUACGUCUCCACGGCCCGACCGAUCAAGCACCGAAACUACGGCACCUCCGAGUUCUAGCACACGUUCAGCUCGAUGACGAUCCCCGGACUCCGAUACAGCAAAGUGUCAGGGAAGAGUUCCGUCAGCAUGACGGCGUGGUGACGAUCUUGAUGCACUACUGUCGCAGGGCUUCGCCUAAGCACCGCUACAAUAUUAUCGAGGAUUGUGGUGGAAGGGGGCGCCGCACACGGCUAAGAAUAUGAUCACGUGGAUCAACUUGUGUGUCUCUGGGGUGCCCCUGCCUCCGUAUAUAAAGGACUAAGGGGGGGUGCGGCCGGCCUAGGAGAGGCGCGCCAGGAGAGUCCUACUCCCUCUGGGAGUAGGACUCCCCCCCCCCAAUCCUAGUUGGAAUAGGAUUCGCGGAGGGGGGAAGAGAGAGAGGGUGGCCGGCCCCCUCUCCUUGUCCUAUUCGGACCAAGGGAGGGGAGGGGCGUGCAGCCCACUUUGGGCAGCCCCUUCUCUUUUCCACUAAGGCCCACUAUGGCCCAUAUAGCUCCCGGGGGGUUCCGGUAACCUCCCGGUACUCCGGUAAAAUCCCGAUUUCACUCGGAACACUUACGAUAUCCAAAUAUAGGCUUCCAAUAUAUCAAUAUUUAUGUGUCGACCAUUUCGAGACUCCUCGUCAUGUCCGUGAUCACAUCUGGGACUCCGAAGAACCUUCGGUACAUCAAAAUGCAUAAACUCAUAAUAUAACUAUCAUCGUAACCUUAAGCGUGCGAACCCUACGGGUUCGAGAACAAUGUAGACUUGACCGAGACAUGUCUCCGGUCAAUAACCAAUAGCGGGACCUGGAUGCCCAUACUGGCUCCUACAUAUUCUACGAAGAUCUUUAUCGGUCAGACCGCAUAACAACAUACAUUGUUCCCUUUGUCAUCGGUAUGUUACUUACCCGAGAUUCGAUCGUCGGUAUUCCAAUACCUAGUUCAAUCUCGUUACCGGCAAGUCUCAUUACUCGUUCUGUAAUACAUCAUCCUGCAACUAACUCAUUAGUUGCAAUGCUUGCAAGGCUUAAGUGAUGUGCAUUACCGAGAGGGCCCAGAGAUACCUCUCCGACAAUGGGAGUGACAAAUCCUAAUCUCGAAAUACGCCAACCCAGCAUGUACCUUUGGAGACACCUGUAGAGCUCCUUUAUAAUCACCAAGUUACGUUGUGACGUUUGGUAGCACACAAAGUGUUCCUCCGGCAAACGGGAGUUGCAUAAUCUCAUAGUCAUAGGAACAUGUAUAAGUCAUGAAGAAAGGAAUAGCAACAUACUAAACGAUCGGGUGCUAAGCUAAUGGAAUGGGUCAUGUCAAUCAGAUCAUUCACUUAAUGAUGUGAUCCCGUUAAUCAAAUAACAACUCUUUGUUCAUGGUUAGGAAACAUAACCAUCUUUGAUUAACGAGCUAGUCAAGUAGAGGCACACUAGUGACACUUUGUUUGUCUAUGUAUUCACACAUGUAUUAUGUUUCCGGUUAAUACAAUUCUAGCAUGAAUAAUAAACAUUUAUCAUGAUAUAAGGAAAAAAAUAAUAACUUUAUUAUUGCCUCUAGGGCAUAUUUCCUUCAAGAAGCUCUGGUUUGUGAGAAGCAUGUACCCAAACCUGCCCCAAAUGGGACAAAUUUUUUACCACGGCAUGUUGACGCCGCUCCAUGAUAGCAUUGCCAAGUUUCAUGAAUUUCAGACGAGUUUUGGAUUUACUAGAAUUUUAAAAUCAGGUAUCUCAAUGUUUGUGACCGAGUGACGGUGGCAGGGUGUUUGACAUUCAUUCCCAUUUCUUGCAUGGGACCUAAGCAGGCAACCGAGGACACAGAUUUAAAUUUUCAACUAAUUUAUAUGCAUUAGAGCAUGUGCCUGUAGUUCAAAUUUUAAUUAUCCACAUGAAUGCACAGAAAACUCAGUUAAUGUAUAAAAAUGUCCAAGCAAACCCCGAAAAAUCCCCAAAAUUGACACAACACUCCUAUUGUUCUAUGUUGACACUAGGAAAAAAAUUGAAAUCAAGAAGAGGCAACAGAUAUCGUUUCGUCCAGAAAGGUGAAACGUUCCCUACCGAAACCAUCACACUUGUUGUGUGAGAAGCUCUGGUUUAUGAGAAGCUUAUUCCUAAACCUGCCCCAAAUGGGACAAAAAAUUUACCAUGACAUGGUGAUGCCGCUCCAUGAUAGCAUUAAGUUUCAUGCAUUUCGAAUGAAUUUUGGAUUUACUAGAAUUACAAAAGCAAGUACGUCGAUGUUUUCUGGAGAGCCACGACGCCAUGGUGUUCAAAUUUCAUCCCCAUGUCUUGCAUGGGAGAUAAGCAUAAACCCAUGGACACAUAUAUGAUUUUACAACCCAUGUUGGUGCACCGGAGCAUGUGCAUGUAGUUUAAUUUUGAAUUGUGCACCUGAAAUGGCUAGAAAACCAAUUUAAUGUAUAAAAUGUUCAAACGAACCCUGAAUAAUUCCAAUUCUUUUAUGACACACAUAUAGUUGCAUGUUCACUCCAGAUAAAAGGUCUAGCAAUUCAAACACUGUCCAUUGCCGCUGUGACCCCAUUAUGUAAUUCAAAUCAAGAUAAAAAAUCAAGUAGAUUGCACACAGUUUAUUAUCACCAACCGUGUGAGAUGCAACACAAAAUAUCAUGGAGCACCGUCGGUGUAUAGUACGCAUAUGGCUUACACGAGAAGGUGCGUCGGCUACAGUCCACAGCCGGCGUCUCAAGCACACUAGCUCGCUCCCCAAAUAUCAUUUUCACUGUUUAAUCAUCGUCGGUGAAAGAUGGGCACGUGGACCCGCGUCGUGAGGGCAACUUCGAUGGCCCACUCCGGCGAGAGCGCAGCCACAACCGCCAUACGUGUGUUAACAAGGUGCAUGAGCGCGGCCGCAAUCUACGACCGGGCGGUCAUGGCAGCCCAAACGGCCGUUGUUGCUUCUCAUGUGGCGGCGGCAACAUCUGGCUCGGGGAUAACAACUGGCGAGAGCGGCACAACGGUUGUCCGUUCCACAGCAGCGGCCUUAGCCCUGAUGGAGGCCGCCCACGACCAUGUCGAGGCUGCCCACGCCCAGCUCCUGGCGGUUACCGUACAAAUCGAACGAAGCUUCUCCAACAACAGUCGGUAACCCACGGCCGAAGAGCUGACAAUCACCGAGAGCGUUCGAGCAGCCGUCCGUUCCUCCGCCGCAUACCUUGCAACGACGGAGCCCGUCCAAGCCCAGAUCGCAUCCACCCACGCCCAGCUUGUGGCGGCCUUUUCCAAAGAGAUGGCAGACGCGGAUGGCGAGAUGCUUGCUGAGUAUGGUGCGAUGGAUGCUAUGGACCCCCUUCCCCAGGAGACCGUCGGGCGCGAGCUGGACAUGGAGGCGGCGGACGAGAUCGACGAGCACCAGUCGUAGUAGUACUCUUUGUUUAGUUUAAUUAAGAGCGUCGGUCUUUAAUUUGUUAGAGUAAUGUUUAGGUCAGCUAGCUCUAUUUAAUUGCUGAACCUGCUCGAUUAAGAAGUUAGUCUCCUUUGUGUACCCAAAUUAUGAAAUAACGUGGAUGAUCACUGUAACCAGAGAAAUUUGAACCAAAAUUUUUGACAUUCAAACUCAUCACACACGGGUUAAGCUAUCUGAAUCGUUUGUGAUGUUCACAUAUCAUACAUAGUUCUGAAUAAGGGACCGUGUCUGAUGACACUUUGCGCGCCAGUUUUUUCGCUGAAGUAUUUCCAAAUUUUCGACUUCCACAGAAAUAUCUAUCUCCCCGCCCCCUCCCCCUUACCAAAAGCCACAUUUCCCCUGUUUCCACCUUCUUUUCCAAGGUGAAACAUUCACUCCUUGCUUGAAGCGUCGCCGCCUCCUCGCCGACGACCCUCCUUCAUGCUGCUCGGCCCCGCCUAUCCAGGCAGGUAAUCCACACCCGACCCCCAUCCUCCUCCUCCUUCCACAUCCCACAUGCCCCGGCCACCGGCGCAAGUGCGACACCUUCCACCCAAAUCACCGACCCCUCCACCAAAUAAGCAUGGCCCUAAGCCAUGGUGCACGCAGUAUAGCCAGGAUCUCAAGGAGCAUUUGGCAGCGGAGAAGCAAAUCGAGGCUGCAUGUGCGGAUGAGGUCGCGAUGGCUGACAUUCGUGCCGACCCCCAGAUCUUGGAGGAGCACCUUGCCAUUUGCUAGCUACGCCGGUUAAGUAUGCUUGGUUUACCCAUUGCGUGUGUUGCUCCUGCAUUUCCUUCACAAAUUCUAGUGAAUGGUGCUAUCUAAUUUUACCAUGCAAUCUGUUAUUGUAGUGUAUAUGUUCUAUAUGUCGUGCAGUGUGGUGCUCACUUACUAACUAUUUUGUUAAUUAGUUGUCAUCUUCAGUUAACUGUUUGGUUCAAUUCUGCAAAUGUGAUGUUCAACUCUUUAGGCUGCAAUUUUGUAUUGUCUUCCAUGUGAGAAAUAAAUUGAAUUUAUCUUUACAAAAUACAUGAGAAACGAAUACAAUUGCUAUAUUUCCAAGUUGUCAAGCAUGCUUGGUUUGGUUAUACAUUGUGCAAUGUGGUGCUCAGUUAAUGUUUGGUUCAUUUGUGUUGUGGUGUUUAGUUAAUUGUUUGGUUCAAUUCUGCAAUGCGAUGUUCAAUUGUUGUGGCUGCAUUCUGUUAUUGUAUACCAUGUGAGGAAUAAAUCGAAUUUGGUUGUACUAAAUACAUGAGAAACAAAUACAAUUGCUAUAUUUCCAAGUUGUUAAGCAUGCUUGGUUUGGUUAACUGUCUGAUCUUCUAUUAGGAGUAUGUUAUAUUGUGCAAUGUGGUGCUCAGUUAAUGUUUGGUUUAUUUGUUGUGGUGUUUAGUUAACUGCUUGGUUCAAUUCUGCAAUGCGAUGUUCAAUUGUUGUGGCUGCAUUCUGUUAUUGUAUACCAUGUCAGGAAUAAAUCGAAUUUGGCUGCACUUAAUACAUGAGAACCAUAUACGAGUGCUAUAUUUCCUAGUUCCUAAUCAUGCUUGGUUUGGAUAAAUGGGUUUUCCAUGUGGCUUGAAUUAAUCUGAUGAAUCUGCAAUGUGCUUAUUUUUCAUCAACAAAUUUUACUGAUAGCAUGCGAACCCUUACUUAACCUGAUGACUAACUACCUUAUUUGUGUUGCAGGGAAACAAUGGGAAGCACUCAGGUUUACAAUCGAGGUUAGCACGUGCAUGGUCCGUUGUUUAAUAGCACAUUAUUGUGCAAUUGUAGGAACCAUUCUAAUAUUUUGGUUUUUAAUAAUUUGAUCUUGCACAUGUAGGUCCUGCUGUUAGAGGUUUUGACCCACUGUUCGACCCUUUUUGCAUAUGGAGAAAUGAGUUGUCCAUGAAUAUCAAUCAAAUCAAGAAACACAGAAAGAUUGUUAGGAAAAGAAACUAACGACAAAAAAUAACAAGAUCUUUGUCUGCACAAUGAAGAAGACAUCAGUUCACUACAAAAUGGUACUAACUAUUAUACAUUGCCUUUUUUAUUCCUUUUGCCCCAUUUCCAAUAUAGAGAAGAUAUUUAUGCACAUCCUUGCUUUCAGGCCUUUCCAAAGCAGUUCACCGAUGAUUACCUCUCAACUCACCUCUAUGGUCAGGAGGCGAGGAAGGUUUUCAUACAACAUCCACGGUUCAAUAUUGAAGUGUUCCUGAAGAGGAUGAAGGACGGACGGUCAACCAUCCACAGGCACUAGCCUAAAGUUGCAAGGACCUUCAACAUGAAUGAAGGCUCAAUAUUCGCCUUCCGCUUCAGCAGAUUUCCAGAUGAGAUGCAUCUGUCUAUAUACCGUAUAUGAUGCUAAUUUUGAAAGAUUCUACAUGUUGCAUGUGAAACUUGGUGCUGGUGCAGUUGUGUAAUAAGGUAGCUGAGUGCUGAAGCUAUAUCAUGUUGUACGCUGAUGUAUUUUAAUUAUGAGAUUCUGCUUCCUUAAUAUGGAAAUGAAAUAUAUUAUGUGCUUAAUAUGAAUGUCAUUUAGAUUAAUAAAUGGAUUAUUAAUAACAGGGCAAUUAUCCUGCUAAUGGCGAAUUAGCCUGCUAAUUGGGUUUUGCUAUUGCAAAUGGUUGUUGAAAAAAUACCGUCGGUGAUGACCUCAGGCAACGCACACAGUUUCUAGGAAUAAACCAUGUUGGAUCAAUGAACAAUCACACACGACUUUCUCUUGAAAACUAUUUGCGUUAGGCCACCUUGCGCAAACGUUUACCACAUAAAACUGUGUGUGGUGGAUAGCCUUUGCCACACAGUUUCUUGUACGGACCGUGUGUGAUAUAUUCAAUAACGCAAACGAUUUAACGGGAAAAAUUGUGUGUGAUGUACCUGUGAACGGAAACGCUUUCCUUGGAGCGACUGUGCGGGAUGUACAUACGAACGGAAACAUUUAGAUGGGACUGACUGUGUGGGAUGUACUUGCGAUUGGAAACAAUUUUGCCGUAUAAUUAUAUUUUUUAGCUCUAUUGUACGUAUUUCCGUAUUUGAGCGCUCGCCAGUCGCACACGACCUCAUUUUUCCGAGCGUGUGUGCCAGGAGGGCAUAUCCCUGAUGGUUUUUGGGUCGUGUGGGAAGGACCACCCUAUCGCCCACACUCACUUGGCGACGGUUCCAAAUGUCGUCGCAGAAAGGAGUUAAAACUGUUUGCUUAGGACCGACGCGUACCAGUGCUUCCCCCUUGUCCGAAUUAGCAUCCGUCACCUUGUUAGUGGGAUCGACCACUUCCAACGGUGCGGUGGACAAUUUAAGACCAUCAAGAAAGUUCUUAAACAUGUCUUUGACCUCGGUCGUCAUGGAGGUUUUCAAUGUGUGCAAGGCCACAUUGAACUCCUCACGUGAGAUGGAGGAUUCCCCAUCGGCCGUAGACAAGGACGGAAUUACACUGAUACUUCUCCAACGUAUCUAUAAUUUUUUAUUGUUCCAUUCUAUAAUAUUAUCUGCUUUGGAUGUUAAUGGGCUUUAUUUUACACUUUUAUAUUAUUUUGGGGACUAACCUAUUUAACCCAAGGCCCAGUGCAAAUUGUUGUUUUUUUGCCUAUUUUAGUGUUUCGCAGAAAAGGAAUAUCAAACGGAGUCCAAACGGAAUGAAACCUUCGGGAGUGUGAUUUUUGGAACAAACGUGAUCCAAAGGACUUGGAGUGGACGUCAAGAAACGAACGAGGCAUCCACGAGGCAGGGGGCACGCCUACCCCCCUGAGCGCGCCCUCCCCCCUCAUGGCUCAACCGACCUACUUCUUCCUCCUAUAUAUGUUCACAUACCCCGAAAACAUCCAGGAGCACCAUGAAAGCCUAUUUCCACCGCCGCAACCUUCUGUACCCAAGAGAUCCAAUCUUGGGGCCUUUUCCAGAGCUCCGCCGGAGGGGGCAUCGAUCACGGAGGGCCUCUACAUCAACUCCAUGGCCCCUGCGAUGAUGUGUGAGUAGUUUACUUCAGACCUUCGGGUCCAUAGUUAUUAGCUAGAUGACUUUUUCUCUCUCUUUGGAUCUCAAUACAAAGUUCUCCUCGAUCUUGUUGGAGAUCUAUUCGAUGUAACUCUUUUUGCGGUGUGUCUGUCGAGAUCCGAUGAAUUGUGGCUUUAUGAUCAAGUCUAUCUAUGAACAAUAUUUGAUUCUUCUCUGAAAUCUUUUAUGCAUGAUUGGUUAUCUUUGCAAGUCUCUUUGAAUUAUCAGUUUGGUUUGGCCUACUAGAUUGAUCGUUCUUGCAACGGGAGAAGUGCUUAGCUUUGGGUUCAAUCUUGUGGUGCUCGAUCCCAGUGACAGAAAGGGAAACGACACAUAUUGUAUUAUUGCCAUCGAGGAUAAAAAGAUGGAGUUUAUAUCAUAUUGCUUGAGUUUAUCCCUCUACAUCAUGUCAUCUUACCUAAGGCAUUACUCUAUUCUUAUGAACUUAAUACUCUAGAUGCAUGCUGGAUAGCGGUCGAUGUGUGGAGUAAUAGUAGUAGAUGCAGGCAGGAGUCGGUCUACUUGUCGCGGACGUGAUACCUAUAUACAUGAUCAUGCCUAGAUAUUCUCAUAAUUAUUCUCUUUUCUAUUAAUUGCUCAACAGUAAUUCGUUCACCCACCAUAAUACUUAUGCUAUCUUGAGAGAAGCCACUAGUGAAACCUAUGGCCCCCAGGUCUAUUUUCUAUCACAUAAGUUUCCAAUCUAUUUUACUUUGCAAUCUUUACUUUCAAUCUAUAUCAUAAAAAUACCAAAAAUAUUUAUCUUAUCAUUAUUAUCUCUAUCAUAUCUCACUCUCAUAAGUGACCGUGAAGGGAUUGACAACCCCUUUAUCGCGUUGGUUGCGAGGUUCUUAUUUGUUUGUGUAGGUACGAGGGACUUGCGUGUGGCCUCCUACUGGAUUGAUACCUUGGUUCUCAAAACUGAGGGAAAUACUUACGCUACUUUGCUGCAUCACCAUUUCCUCUUCAAGGGAAAACCAACGCAGUGCUCAAGAGGUAGCAAGAAGGAUUUCUGGCGCCAUUGCUGGGGAGUCUACGCACAAGUCAAGACAUACCAAGUACCGAUCACAAACUCUUAUCCCUCACAUUACAUUAUUUUUCAUUUGCCUCUCAUUUUCCUCUCCCCCACUUCACCUUUGCCGUUUUAUUCGCCCUUUUUCCAUUCGCCUUCUUCCCAUAUGUAUCUUUCUUUGUGUUUCCAUGCGCCUUCUAUUUGCUUGCAUCUUUGCUUGCUAAAAAUCUAUUGAUAUGGAUCCACUUAAAGUGUUCUACUUGGAUCAUCUUUGAUCCUUAUGCGCCCGUGCUGGAACCCGAACUAGCCUAGUUGAUGGGAAAUCUUUAGAUGAGCAUGCUCAUUUUGUGUGUCACCAUUUGUCUGAAAAAGGGAGACUCUUAUGGGAUCAAAUAAACAGAUUGCUAUGUUAUGCUUGGAAUCUUUGUGAAAUUUGUGAUUUUACUUGUUGCUCUAAGAACCCUAAAAAAACACCUCCCCUACCUAUGUGAGUUUAAUGAUAAUGAAAUCUUAUCUUCUUAUGCAAAGGGUGUUUAUAGUUAUUAUGAUAUCGAACAAAUUGAAGAAUUUGUUGCUUCUAAGGGUGCUUAUGAAGUUUCUUCUUUGAUUGAAAAGUAUGAUAUUACUCUCUACGAAUCUGAAAAUUUUGACAUACUUAAAUAUUGCUAUGAAAACUAUGCUCAUAAUGUCUAUGUCAAAGAAUUUAUUGAAAAAAUGAUCAUUGCUUGAAUCUAUAGAUAUGCAUGAAUCUAUAGAUAAUUAUGAUUCCGAUGAUUUCAUUGAAAUAUCCCUUGAUGAACAUGAUGCUUGCUAUUCCUGUGGCCAUGAUGCCAAUAUUUAUGAAGAUGAAUUUGCUAUAGUUCUUAUGUUAAACAUGAGAUCGUUGUUGUUGCACCCAUACUUGAUAGUUCCUUCGAUGAAAAGCAUGAUUGCAAUGAUGUUAUUAUAAAUUCUCAGUGUAAAUUGUGUUAAUGAUAUGCAAAACCCUAAGCUUGGGGAUGCUAGUUUUUCUAUGUCCACUACUUGUUGCAAUGAUCAUGAUUGGGGUAAUUCUUCUUAUGAUCUUGAAAAUUUAUUUAAGCCCCAUGAUGAAUAUAAGAUUGAUAAUAAUGGUUGCAAUAUUGAAAGUGGGUUUGGAAGAGUGUCAACUUUAGAUCCCACAUAUUUGGAGAAUGUUCAAUAUUAUGAAUUUUUUGAUAAAAGUGGGUUUGGAGAGGUCAUGACUUUAGUUAAUGGUAAUCCCACUAUUUUGGGAGAGUGUCAACUUUGCAUGCAUGUGGAUCGUGUUGAAAAUAUUUUAUGUGAUAGCUAUUUUGUUGAAUUUUCUUAUGAUCCCACAUGUAAUUAUUAUGAAAGAGGAAAAUAUGAUUGUAGACAUUUUCAUGUUACUAAAUUACCUCUCAUUAUGUUGAGAUUGCUAUUGUUUCUUUCCUCUUCCUUGCAUAUGCUAGUUUUUGCUUGCUAUGAUAAUUUGUUUGCCUAUAAGAUGCCUAUGCAUAGGAAGUAUGUUAGGCUUAGAUGUUAUUGUCACAUGUUUCGUGAUGCUCUCUUUGUGCUUCAAUUCUUGUCUUUCAUGUGAGCAUCAUUGAAAUUAUCAAUGCCUAGCUAGGGGCGUUAAACGAUAGCGCAUGUUAGGAGGCAACCCAAUUUUAUUUUUGUUUCUUGCUUAUUGAUUCUGUUUAGUAAUAAAUAAUUCAUAUAUCCUAUGUUUAGUGUGGUUUUAUGCUUUUAAUUAGUGUUUGUGCCAAGUAGAACCUUUGGGAAGACUUGGGGAAAGUCUUUGCGAUCUUACUGUAAAAAACAGAAACUUUAGCGCUCACGAGAUUUGCUGUCAUUUUUUACUGGAGAGUGUUAUUUAGUUAAUUAUUUUUUCAGCUGAUUAAUAGAUAAAUUAAUCACGUCCAGCAAUUUAUUUUAGAAUUUUUGGGGUUCCAUAAGUAUUCGAAACCUACAGAUUACUACAGAAUGUUCUGUUUUUGACAGAUUCUGUUUUUCGUGUGUUGUUUGCUUAUUUUGAUGAAUCUAUGGCUAGUAAUAGAGUUUAUGAACCAUAGAAAGUUGGAAUACGGUAGGUUUAACACCAAUAUAAACAAAGAAUGAGUUCAUUACAGUACCUUGAAGUGGUGGUUUGUUUUCUUUUACUAACGGAGCUCACGAGAUUUUCUUUUAAGUUUUGUGUUGUGUAGUUUUCAAGUUUUGGGUAAAGAUUUGAUGGAUUAUGGAAUAAGGAGUGGCAAGAGCCUAAGCUUGGGAAUGCCCAAGGCACCCCAAGGUAAAAUCCAGGGACAACCAAAACCCUAAGCAUGGGGAUUCCCCGGAAGGCAUCCCCUCUUUCGUCUUUGUCCAUCGGUAACUUUACCUGGAGCUAUAUUUUUAUUCGCCACAUGAUAUGUGUUUUGCUUGGAGCGUCUUGUAUGAUUUGAGUCUUUGCUUUUUAGUUUACCACAAUCAUCCUUGUUGUACACACCUUUUGGGAGAGACAUGCAUGAAUUGGAAUUUAUUAGAAUACUCUAUGUGCUUCACUUAUAUCUUUUGAGUUGGAUAAUUUUUGCUCUAGUGCUUCGCUUAUAUCUUUUAGAGCACGGCGGUGGUUCUAUUUUAUAGAAAUAAUUGAUCUCUCAUGAUUCACUUAUAUCAUUUUGAGAGUCCUUUAGAACAGCAUGGUAAUUCACUUUGGCUAUAAAUUUUAAAUGCUAAGAGAAGUUGGAUGCUUGAUAGAUUGUUUUGAGAUAUAAAGGUGGUAAUAUUAGAGGAGUGCUAGUUGAGUAAUUGUGAAAUUGAUGAAUACUUGUGUUGAAGUUGGCAAGUCCCGUAGCAUGCACGUAUGGUAAACGUUGUGUGACAAAUUUAAAGCAUGGGGUGUUCUUUGAUUGCUUUCCUUAUGAGUGGCGGUCGGGGACGAGCGAUGGUCUUUUCCUACCAAUCUAUCCCCCUAGGAGCAUGCGCGUAGUGCCUGGUUUUGAUGACUUGUAGAUUUUUGCAAUAAAUAUGUGAGUUCUUUAUGACUAAUGUUGAGUCCAUGGAUUAUACGCACUCUCACCCUUCCAUCUUUUCUAGCCUCUUUGGUACCGUGCAUUGCCCUUUCUCACCUUGAGAGUUGGUGCAAACUUCGCCGGUGCAUCCAAACACCGUGAUAUGAUACGCUCUAUCACACAUAAGCCUCCUUACAUCUUUCUCAAAACAGCCACCAUACCUACCUAUUAUGGCAUUUCCAUAGCCAUUCCUAGAUAUAUUGCCAUGCAACUUUCUACCGUUUCAUUUAUUAUGACACGCAUCAUCAUUGUCAUAUUGCUUUGCAUGAUCAUGUACUUGACAUCAUAUUAGUGGCAAAGCCACCAUGCUUAAUUUUUCAUACAUGUCACUCUUGAUUCAUCGCAAUCCCGGUACACCGCCGGAGGCAUUCACAUAGAGUCAUAUUCUGUUCUAAGUAUCGAGUUGUGAUUAUUUAGUUGUAAGUAAAUAAAAGUGUGAUGAUCAUCAUUAGAGCAUUGUCCCAUGUGAGGAAAGGAUGAUGGAGAUUAUGAUUCCCCCACAAGUCGGGAUGAGACUCCAGACGAAAAAUAAAUAAAUAAAAGAGGCCAUAAAAAAGAAGGCCCAAACAAAAAGAGAGAGAGAGAGAAGGGACAAUGUUACUAUCCUUUUUCCACACUUGUGCUUCAAAGUAGCACCAUGAUCUUCAUGAUAGAGAGUCUCUUAUUUUGUCACUUUCAUAUACUAGUGGAAAUUUUUCAUUAUAAAACUUGGCUUGUAUAUUCCAAUGAUGGGCUUCCUCAAAUGCCCUAGGUCUUCGUGAGCAAGCAAGUUGGAUGCACACCCACUAGUUUCUUUGAUGAGCUUUCAUAUAUUUCUAGCUCUAGUGCAUCCGCUGCAUGGCAAUCCCUACUCCUUGCAUUGACAUCAAUCGGUGGGCAUAUCCAUAGCCCAUUAAUUAGCCGCGUCAAUGUGAGACUUUCUCCCUUUUUGUCUUCUCACACAACCUCAAUCAUCAUAUUCUAUUCCACCCAUAGUGCUAUGUCCAUGGCUCGCGCUCACAUAUUGCGUAAAAGUUGAAAGAGUUUGAAAAGGCUAAGUAUGAAACAAUUGCUUGGAUUGUCAUCAGGGUUGUGCAUGAUGAGAGCAUUUUGUGUGACGAAAAUGAAGCAUGGCCAAACUAUAUGAUUUGUUGGGAUAAGUUUUCUUUGGCUAUGGUAUUUUGAUAAGACAUAAUUGCUUGAUUAGCAUACUUGGAGUAUUACUAUUUUUAUGUCAACAAUAAACUUUUAUCUUGAAUCUUUCGGAUCUGAACAUUCAUGCCACGAUAGAGAAAAUACAUUGAAUAAUAUGCUAGAAAGCAUUCCACAUCAAAAAUUCUGUUUUUAUCAUUUACCUACUCGAGGACGAGCAGGAAUUAAGCUUGGGGAUGCUUGAUACGUCUCCAAUGUAUCUAUAAUUUUUUAUUGUUCCAUGCUAUUAUAUUAUCUGUUUUGUAUGUUAACGGGCUUUAUUUUACACUUUUAUAUUAUUUUUAGGACUAACCUAUUAACCCAAGGCCCAGUGCAAAUUGCUGUUUUUUGCCUAUUUCAGUGUUUCGCAGAAAAGGAAUAUAAAACGGAGUCUGUCGGUGUCAAAACCGGCGGAUCUCGGGUAGGGGGUCCCGAACUGUGCAUCUAGGCCGAAUGGUAACAGGAGACAAGGGACACGAUGUUUUUACCCAGGUUCGGGCCCUCUCGAUGGAGGUAAAACCCUACUCUUGCUUGAUUAAUAUUGAUGAUAUGGGUAGUACAAGAGUAGAUCUACCACGAGAUCAAGGAGGCUAAACCCUAGAAGCUAGCCUAUGGUAUGAUUGUUGUAUAUGGAGUUGAUUGCCUACGGACUACAACCCUCCGGUUUAUAUAGACACCGGAUAGGGUUAGGGUUACAUAAAGUCAGUUACAAUGGUAGGAGAUCUUGAAUAUCCGCAUCGCCAAGCUUGCCUUCCACGCAAAGGAAAGUCCCAUCCGGACACGGGACAAAGUCUUCAAUCUUGUAUCUUCAUAGUCCAGGAGUCCGGCUGAAGGUAUAGUCCGGCUACCCGAACACCCCCUAAUCCAGGACUCCCUCAGUAGCCCCUGAACCAGGCUUCAAUGACGAUGAGUCCGGCGCGCAAAUUAUCUUCGACAUUGCAAGGCGGGUUCCUCCCCCAAGUCCUUCAUAGAAGAUUGUAAACACCAAGAGUAGUGUCCGGCUCUGCAAAAUAAGCUUCCACAUAUUGCCAUAGAGAGAAUAAUAUUAACACAAAUCAAAUCUGCUGACGUAUUCCGCAGUGCGUCAUCACACUACAGCCAAGUCCUUCACUCGAAUCGUUUUCACUUUUCCACCUCAGCGUGUUUUGCGAGGCGGUUUCCUUGGCACGUCUUGUCAAAGCAGAGAUCGUGUGCCCCCCUUUUACGGGAUUCUCAUCAAUACGGAUGUGGGUAACCCAAUCGUGCCCGUUAGCAUGUUUUCUCGAUUGAAGGCGAGUCCCAAACGGUUACGGGGAGGGCUCCUUGUAUUCAACCUCUUAUAAAGAGACCAGGGCCUUAUUCCUUUUCUCCAAUCCCAAAACAAGUUCGCCCGUCGCCUCGAGUUCCAACACCCUAGGCUCCAGAUUCCGGGCGCCUCAGACCUUCGACAAUGUCCGGUUCCGACCUUCAAGGCCGAUGGAUGCCCUCCUCCGUCACGGAGGAGGACGUGCUAAAGUUGAGAGAGGCUAAGUUCUUGACCGCCGAAAUUUUGCACAGGUUGCCUGCUCAAAGGCAGGCUAUCCCAGUCCCUAGCCCGGUGAGAGUGUAGUGUUCGUGUCUCACUUCCUUCGGGGGUUAGGCUUCCCGAUGGACCCCUUUGUGAGGGGACUGCUGUUUUAUUACGGGCUGGAAUUCCACGACUUAGCUCUAGAGUCCAUCCUCCAUAUCUCCGCGUUUAUCGUUGUAUGUGAAGCGUUCCUCCGUGUUACCCCUCACUUCGGAUUAUGGCUCAAGACUUUCAAAGUGGAGCCGAAGAUGAUCAAGGGACGGCACGCAGAGUGCGGAGGCGCUGUUAUAAGCAAAAAUGUUGAUGCUCCAUGGCCCGAGGGCUCUUUUCAAGAGGAGCUAGGCUUGUGGAAACGAGAGUGGUUUUAUAUCACCGCUUCUCGGAGCACCAAGUGGGUGGCGCUUCCUGCCUUUCGCUCGGGUCCCCCACCACGGCUAGCGUCAUGGGUUAACAGAGGGUUAGAUUCGGGUUUGCCCAAAGACGUGCCCCUGUUAUAGGGCCGAAUUAAGGAUCUCUUAGAAGGAGACCUCAGCUUGGUCAAGGUGACGCGGGUCAUCCUGAUUCGCCGAAUAUUGCCCGGCAAACGUCGCCCCCUUCGCCUGUGGGAGUUUAAUCCAGAGGGACCGCGAGCUCUCCAGAACUUUAUGGGCGCAAUGCCCGCAGAGAUGUAUAGACUAUUCUUCGGAUCACAAGAGAUGUGUCCGGAUUUAACCGAGGACGCAGGCCUAAGCUGUAAUCGCCCGGAUACUCAAGUAAGCAACCUUGUGCCCGGACCUUCUAUCCGUAUAAUUGUCAUAAACUUGCCCCUAAAAGAGCCGUCCUUUUAAACAGGAGUGGAUAGCGAAGGCAAAGCUGAUCAGGUGUCCGGCUCCCCUUCCUGAAACCAGGUCGGAUCCUGUGCUGGUCAGGAUGCUGGAGAUAAUGCCUUUGGAGGGGGAGGACAAGGAAGGUAUGGCCUCCUCGAAGGAGGAUGCUCCGAAGGGAGGAACCGACAAUUCCUCUCCUAAGGGGAAGAAGAGAGCCGCCUCUGACGACCCGAAAACCAUGGCCUCGAAAUGGGGGAGAAAAUUCUCGUCAGAGGGUCCGACACCGGGGAGUUCCUCGGCCGGACUACGCCCUCAAGGGGAUCAGCCCUCCAGCAAGCCGUAAGUGGAGAAAAGAUUUUCCUUUUGAGGGAUGAGGGAAGUCCUUGAUUUAUAUCUGAGAAGAUUAACCAAACCUUUAUCUUGUAGCUCGGACCUCAGCCCUUCUCAGCAGAGCUCGUCUUCGAGGGAUCUCCUUCCGGAGAUGAUGGACAGCGGGACGCCUCCCCCUGCCGUGCCGCCUAGUGAGGCGGGCGACCCUGAGGUGUCGUCGUGGAGGGUUUCUCCAAAUCCGGCAGGGGCGGAAGGUGGCUAUGCAGCCCCCCGAGGUUCACCACGUCCGGCCUUCGAAAGAGGUCAUGGGACGAGCCCGGCACCGUCUGGUGCUCGGCCGGAGGAGCUAAAGAUUCUGCUGGGGCGAGCUUCUAUCUCAGAGGAGCACCGCGCAUUGAUGGGCACGGUGAUUGAAAGGAUUUCAUCCGUAGAGAGCGGAUUGUAUGAGGCUGUCAAAAGUUUACUGACGGGUUUCGAGGUACAUUAGAUAAUGUAUACUUUUGUUAGUUGCGCAUGAGUAAGAUGCGCCCUGUGUAGAUAGUAGCCCCUGAGACUCUGCGCAUCGUCAAGAAAUGACGGCACGCGGAGGAUCAUAAUCCCAGGUCUAAGAUGUCGCCUUUGAAUGUAGGCGGCAGGGUGUCUGGAAUCGAGCCAAACUGACGAUUUUGCCGAACUAAAGUGGCAACUGGACGUGGUAGAUGCCGACAUCACGCUUGUCAAUAAGCGGCUUGAUGAGGCUCAAGGUAUGUAAUUCCUCGGGCGGCAUCAGGUAAGAACAGUUUUAUGCCUGUGUCUUACGAUGUGUGUGCUUGACGCAGAUGGUGUGGCCGCCGUGGAGAGUCUUAGGGCAGAACUUGCCCGAGCUAAAGAACAAGCCAGCGAAAGUGAUGCGGCCACUAGGAAAGCCCUUGAAGAGCUGAGAGCCGAACAGGCUGCUCAUUGCCGAAGCAAGGAAGAGAUGGCCGAGAUGGCCGAAGAGUUAAAAAGCGCUACAGACCGUUGCAGACUUCUUGAAAAGGAAGACCAGGCGAAACAGGCGGACUUAGAGAAGGCCGUUGCCAAUGCCAAGGACGCGCGCUCUGCGAUGAGAGCUGCGAAGGAGGAGCUGCGUCAGGCCGAACAGAUUGCGGCUGGAAAGCCCUUUAUGCUGCGAAGGAAAUUUUGUGAUCCGAAGUUUGCUCCGUUGGACCGGAUGUGGAGUGUGGAGGAUACCUAUCUGGACUUGGCAGCGAGUGCUGCUGAUGCGACCGAACACUUUCGAGAUCAGAAAGAUCGCGAAGUGGAAAAGCUUUUCUGGUCGCAGUUUCACAAUCCAGAGCGUCAUCUGGCAGUGGAUGAUCGUUUGGCUCAAUGGGCCGAACUGAAUAGGUUGUCUGGACUCGCCAUGAAGUACGUCAUGGGUCACCUGUGGCCGGGGAGAUCGGAGCCAAAGAGUUAUUUCAACUAGGUGCAGCAAUUCCUUGACGCGGUGCCGCGUAUAAAUGCAAUGAAGAGGUCAGCAUGCAUAGAGGGUGCUAGGAUGGCUCUUGCCCGUGUUAAGACAUACUGGGCAGAGAUGGAGACCACCGUUGUUGCGUCCCGAGAUUCGGACAAAAGCCGAGUACCCUCCGAGCACUAUUUUCAGGAAGUUCUUGAAUGCGCUCGUGUAAUAGAGACGCAGUGCCUGAAAGAUGCUAUGUUAUGAUAGCAUAUGUAAUUAUAAAGUAGUAUUUUGAUAAACUGUAGUGGCCUUUUUUAUACUUGUGCCUCCAAGUAUUGGGAACACCUCCUGUGCGGUCGUUUUAAGAUAUAUAUAGAAUCUGAAAGAUGGCAGUCGUUGGCUUCAGCCCCCACGCACAUAGUGCGGGGGUGCUCGCAGAAGACGCAUUUUCACACUUAACCCAACGUCUUGGUCCUACAAAGGAGGUGAUAGCGCAGCGGGCCAGGCAACCAGACUAUAAUGCUUUAACACUUUCACUUAGCCAUAGGAGUUUGACAGUGAGACUAUUUAGGUAGCCCCUUGGUGGCAACUGCACUCGUCCGAGUUCGGGGCGCAUAUGUGCCUGACCGGGAAGCGGCCCUUCGUUAAAGCGGAGGAAUCCGAUAGAUUCCGAUAGGUCAUCGAGUGGCUGACCAGUCUCAUGCUACAUCAUGACAGUCAGUUUUCGGCUUUCUCUACUGAGGUGCUCGCCCGGCCAAACCGGGACACAAUCGCAGUAGUUCUCCUGGUGCUACCUUAGCCGAUAGAGCGGAAUGUAAGGUAGCCGAACUCAGGAGCCAGGCAACCCAACAUUUGACCAAAGACAUGAUUCGGAGUUGAUGAAUAUAAUGCCAAAACUCGCAACGCCGAACACUCCCUAAGGUGUUCGGUCUUUAUGAGUGCGGGCGAAACAACACUCUUUAUUAAAAAAGCUCCUAGUGUCCAGGUACGUGCAAAAAUUCUGACAUGGCCACAUGCCAAGAUGCCAGCCUCCUCCUUGGUUAUAUCAGAAAGAAAAAACCAGGGGAUGUGUAGCAACAAGAGACAGUAAAAAAGGUUUACGCAGGGUCUUAAUCUAAAAAGAAUCCUUUAGGACGGGUCCCUACUGCACGUCUGUGCUUGUGUCUCCGUUGUGCCGUAUCUUGGACGGGCGCCGCACGACGUUCAUCUGUAAAAGAGAGGAACUGAGUUGAAAACGGGUCGUGCCGAAAAAGUUUAAAAUAAGCAAAGUAUAAAGUAAGAUAUAUAAGAUUGAGCUUUAUUGUCUCUUAUUGUAUAUGCAUGGAGCCCCUAGUGCGGGGGAUAUGGCUUCUAGGCCUGCAUCAAUGAUGAUUUUGCACCGAACUCGUCUAUCCGCGUUCGUGGUCUUUGAAUGACCUAUUUCGAAGUUUUUUUUGGCCGGUGAGGCCAUUUUGCUGUGGGGCUGUCAAAGCGGCCGCACAGUCCUCCGCUUGGGGAGGCGCACUUUACUGCUUCCCCUUCAAAGAGAUGAUGCCUCGUGGACCGGGCAUCUUAAGCGUAAGAGAUGCAUAAUGCGGUAUUGCAUUAAAGCGAGCGAAAGCUUCGCGUCCCAGUAGUGCUUGAUAGCGACUUGAGAACGGGACGAUAUGGAAGGUCAGCUUUUCGCGGCGGAGGUUAUCGGCAGAGCCGAAUAUGACUUCGAGCCAGAGAAAACCCAUACAAUGGGUGUCCGGACCAGGUAUUACCCCUUGAAAGAAGGUUUUGCUGUGGCGGAUUCUUGCUGGGUUUAUCCCCAUGUGCUGGAUUGUAUCCUGAUAUAUCAGGUUUAGUCCACUGCCGCCGUCCAUAAGGACAUUUGAAAACAGGAGUCCGCCAAUUAUUGGAUCGAGUAUCAAGGCAGUCCAGCCUACAUUCUUGAUAUUCCUAGAAUAAUCUAGCUGAUCGAAGAUGAUCGGUUUUGACAACCAGUGGCAGUACCCUUUGGGGAUGGGCCGUGUGGUGCAUACCUUUACGGGCGCCGCAUGUUUUGCUAUGUGAAGUGCAUUCACUAUUUUUACUUCUUGUGGGAAGUUCUUUUGUUUCCUGGUGCUCUGCUUUUGGGGUUCGUCCUCGUCUUCGCUUGGUGUGUCGAGCCCCUUGUGUUCGGCAUUGAGUCUGCCGGAUUGUUUGAAAACCCAAAAGUCUCUGUGGGUAUGGUUAGCAGGCUUCCCAGGAGUACUGUGUAUCUAACAUAUCCUGUCCAGGAUUUUAUUUAGGUUGGAUGGAUCGUCCCUGUUAUCCUGGGAGGGCGAUUUUCCUGAUUUUGUCGUGAGCCUUUGAAUCCGGCAUUGACUGCCAUGCUCUUCAGACUUUUGUCCUUAAUCCAGCGACGGUCCUUGUUGCGUCGCGGUUUUCCAUUUCCAUCCCUAGUUUCGGAUGUACUUGGGUCGCUGGGGCUGCACCUUGCCAACCAGCUGUCCUCCCCUGCACAAAAGCGGGUCAUGAGGCUUGUUUGUGCGGCCAUUGUUCUUGGCUUUUCUUGGCCGAGGUGUCUGGCGAGCCAUUCGUCUCGUACGUUAUGCCUGAAAGAUGCUAAGGCUUCGGCGUCCGGACAGUCGACUAUCUGAUUCUUUUUAGUGAGGAAUCUAUUCCAGAACUGCCGAGCUGAUUCUCCGGGUUGUUGAGUUAUGUGACUAAGAUCGUCUGCAUCCGGAGGGCGGACAUAGGUCCCUUGAAAGUUUGCCCGGAAAGCAUCCUCGAGCUCUUCCCAGCUUCCAAUUGUGUUUUCGGGAAGGCUUUUAAGCCAAUGCCGGGCUGGCCCUUUAAGCUUAAGGGGUAGAUAUUUUAUGGCGUGGAGAUCAUCUCCUCUAGCCAUGUGUAUGUGGAGGAUAUAAUCCUCGAUCCAAACUUCAGGGUCUGUUGUUCCAUCAUAUGCCUCUAUGUUUACGGAUUUGAAUCCCUCUGGGAAUUCAUAGUCCAGUACCUCAUCGGUGAAACAUAGGGGGUGUGCGGCGCCCCUGUAUUUGGGUGUGCCGGACUCUGAUGAUGGCUUCAUAGCGUUGCUUACGAGAGCUUGCUUUCUUGGCCCAUAAAUGGACCUGACUGGGCCAUGAUGCGAAUCCUUAAGUGGGUCACAUGCCGAUUUAGGUGCGGCGCCGCUUGCCGCUUUAUGGGGUCGUCUAUCCGACCGUGUGGCUUUUUCAUUUUUUAAAUGCGAGGGCUCUAGGGCCUCUUCGUCGAAUUCAGGCAGUAGCUUUCUUUUCGGAUAGCUUUUAGUGCGGCGACUGUCGCCGUACUUAUCUGUGGUAUUGAUUACUUUGCUCCAUCUAAUCCGGAGUGCAUCUUCCGCUGUUUUUAGCUUCCGCUUCUGCUUUUUUAGGCUGCGUGCAGUUGCAACGAGCCUCUCGUGGAGAUUCUUCUGCUCCAUAGGUUUAUUCGGCGUGAGGUCGUCCGGAAUGCCGUUUUCGCCGGAGGAGGAAUGUUUGGUUUCUCUAUCCGUGUUGCCCUGUUCGGAUGGUUGCUCUAAGGCCUGCUCGUCGUCUACUGGCUCGUCCUGCUCUAUGGCUGGGUUUUUGUCGAGGCGGGGCUUGGGUCGGCAUUUACGCCGACGCUUUGAUUGCUUUUUGGGGGGUCAAUCUUCCAUCCCAUCCCCUUUUUCCUUGUUGUCGCUUCCUUUAGGGGUAUCCACCAUGUACACAUCGUGAGAGGAGGUGGCUGUACAAUGCCCUAUGGGCGUUGGUUCGUCGGUAUCUCCUGCAUCAUCAUCCAUGUUGUCGAUGUCUCCGGAGUCAAAGUUGAGCACGUCGUUUAAAUUGUCGACAGUGGCUACCAAGUGGGUGGUGGGUGGGCUUUGAAUUUCUUCAUCGUCCGUAUCCCAUCCUCGCUGACCGUAGUUCGGCCAGGGCUCUCCUGAUAAGGAGAGAGACUUGAGAGAGUUCAGGAUAUCGCCACAAGGCGAGUGCUGAAAGAUGUCUGCAGCGGUGAACUCUAUUAUCGGCGCCCAAUCGGAUUCGAUCGGCAGGGGCGCGGGGGAUUCGGAGUUCGGAAAGGAGUCCGGAUCCUCGGAGUCACGGAUCAUGCAUAGUGCGGGGCUAGCGUUCGGCUCGAUCGCCUUUGAGAUUGAAGCCCCCGAGGUGACGUCCAACCGCUCAUCCUCGAUUGGCGCAAUAGGCUCCGAGUUAGGGGGUCGGAACUGAUGCGUGUGCGGCCUCCAGGACACUGUCCGGAGGCAGAGCUAGAUCAUGCCCCUCGAGAUAGUGCGGCGCGCCUGGCCGUGGCUCGAACCCGUCGAAGAUCAAGUCUCCGCGGAUGUCAGCCGUGUAGUUUAAGCUUCCAAACCUGACUUGAUGGCUAGGGGCAUAGCUUUCGAUCUGCUCCAAGUGGCCGAGCGAAUUGUCCCGCAGAGCGAAGCCGCCGAAGACGAAGAUCUGUCCGGGGAGAAAAGUCUCACCCUAGACCGUAUCGUUGUUGAUGAUCAAAGGAGCCAUCGGGCCUAAAGGCGAUGACACAGAGGAACUCUCCAUGAAAGCACCAAUGUCGGUGUCAAAACCGGCGGAUCUCGGGUAGGGGGUCCCGAACUGUGCGUCUAGGCUGGAUGGUAACAGGAGACAAGGGAAACGAUGCUUUUACCCAGGUUCGGGCCCUCUCGAUGGAGGUAAAACCCUACUCCUGCUUGAUUAAUAUUGAUGAUAUGGGUAGUACAAGAGUAGAUCUACCACGAGAUCAAGGAGGCUAAACCCUAGAAGCUAGCCUAUGGUAUGAUUGUUGUAUAUGGAGUUGAUUGCCUACGGACUACAACCCUCUGGUUUAUAUAGACACUGGAUAGGGUUAGGGUUACAUAAAGUCGGUUACAAUGGUAGGAUAUCUUGAAUAUCUGCAUCUCCAAGCUUGCCUUCCACACCAAGGAAAGUCCCAUCCGGACACGGGACGAAGUCUUCAAUCUUGUAUCUUCAUAGUCCAGGAGUCCGGCUGAAGGUAUAGUCCGGCUACCCGAACACCCCCUAAUCCAGGACUCCCUCAGAGUCCAAACGGAAUGAAACCUUCGGGAGCGUUAUUUUUGGAACAAACAUGAUCUAGAGGACUUGGAGUGGACGUCAAGAAACGAAUGAGGCAUCCACGAGGCAGGGGGCGCGCCCUCCCCCUCGUGGGCCCCUCGUGGCUCAACCAACCUACUUAUUCCUCCUAUAUAUGUUCACAUACCCCGAAAACAUCCAGGAGCACCACGAAUACCUAUUUCCACCGCCGCAACCUUCUGUACCCAAGAGAUCCCAUCUUCGGGCCUUUUCCGGAGCUCCGCCUGAGGGGGCAUCGAUCACGGAGGGCCUCUACAUCAACUCCAUGGCCCCUCCGAUGAUGUGUGAGUAGUUUACUUCAGACCUUCGGGCCCAUAGUUAUUAGCUAGAUGGCUUCUUCUCUCUCUUUGGAUUUCAAUACAAAGUUCUCCUCGAUCUUCUUAGAGAUCUGUAGGAUCGAAAGUAUGUCUAGAGGGGGGGUGAUUAGACUACUUGACCAAAUAAAAAUCUAGCCUUUUCCCAAUUUUAGUUCUUGGCAGAUUUUAGCUAUCUUAGCACAAGUCAAGCAAUCUCCACACAAUUCAAGCAAGCAUGCAAAAGAGUAUAUGAGCAGCGGAAAGUAAAGCAUGCAACUUGCAAGAAUGUAAAGGGAAGGGUUUGGAGGAUUCAAACGCAAUUGGAGACACGGAUGUUUUUGUCGUGGUUCCGAUAGGUGGUGCUAUCGUACAUCCACAUUGAUGGAGACUUCAACCCACAGAGGGUAAUGGUUGCGCGAGUCCACGGAGGGCUCCACCCACGAAGGGUCCAUGAAGAAGUAACCUUGUCUAUUCCAUGAUGGUCGUCGCCCACGAAGGACUUGCCUCACUAGCGGUAGAUCUUCACGAAGUAGGCGAUCUCCUUGCCCUUACAAACUCCUUGGUUCAACUCCACAAUCUUGUUGGAGGCUCCCAAGUGACACCUAGCCAAUCUAGGAGACACCACUCUCCAAGAAGUAACAAAUGGUGUGUUGAUGAUUGAGGGAGUCCUGGAUUAGGGGGUGUUCGGGUAGCCGGACUAUACCUUCAGCCGGACUCCUGGACUGUGAAGAUACAAGAUUGAAGACUUCGUCCCAUGUCCGGAUGGGACUUUCCUUGGCGUGGAAGGCAAUCUUGGCGAUACGGAUAUUCAAGAUCUCCUACCAUUGUAACCGACUUUAUGUAACCCUAACCCUAUCCGGUGUCUAUAUAAACCGGAGGGUUGUAGUCCGUAGGCAAUCAACUCCAUACACAACAAUCAUACCAUAGGCUAGCUUCUAGGGUUUAGCCUCCUUGAUCUCGUGGUAGAUCUACUCUUGUACUACCCAUAUCAUCAAUAUUAAUCCAGCAGGAGUAGGGUAUUACCUCCAUCGAGAGGGCCCGAACCUGGGUAAAAACAUCGUGUCCCUUGUCUCCUGUUACCAUCCGGCCUAGACGCACAGUUCGGGACCCCCUACCCGAGAUCCGCCAGUUUUGACACCGACAUUGGUGCUUUCAUUGAGAGUUCCUCUGUGUCGUCGCCUUUAGGCCCGAUGGAUCCUUUGAUCAUCAACAACGAUACGGUCCAGGGUGAGACUUUUCUCCCCGAACAGAUCUUCGUUUUCGGCGGCUUUGCUCUGCGGGCCAAUUCGCUCGGCCACCUAGAGCAGAUCGAAAGCUACGCCCCUGGCCAUCAAGUCAGGUUUGGAAGCUUAAACUACACGGCUGACAUCCGCGGAGACUUGAUCUUCGACGGGCUCGAGCCACGGCCAAGCGCGCCGCACUAUCUCGAGGGGCAUGAUCUAGCUCUGCCUCCGGACAGUGUCCUGGAGGCCGCACACGCAUCGGUUCCGACCCCUAACUCGGAGCCUAUUGCGCCAAUCGAGGAUGAGCGGUUGGACGUCACCUCGGGGGCUGCGAUCCUACAGCGAUCGAGCCGAACGCUAGCCCCGCACCCUGCACGACCCGUGACUCCUCCCCGGGCUUCGAACCCCCCGCGCCCCUGCCAAUCGAAUCCGAUUGGGCGCCGAUAAUGGAGUUCACCGCCGCAGACAUCUUUCAGCAUUCCCCUUUUGGCGACAUCCUGAAUUCUCUCAAGUCUCUCUCCUUAUCAGGAGAGCCCUGGCCGGACUACAGUCAGCGAAGGUGGGAUACGGAUGAUGAGGAAAUUCAAAGCCCACCCACCACCCACUUGGUAGCCACUGUCAACAAUUUAAACGACGUGCUCAACUUCGACUCCGGAGACAUCGACAGCAUGGAUGACAAUGCAAGAGAUACCGACGAACCAACGCCCAUAGGGCAUUGGACAGCCACCUCACCUCACGAUGUGUACAUGGUGGAUACCCCUAAAGGAAGCGACAACGAGGAAAAUGGCGAUGGGACGGGAGAUCGACCCCUCGAAAAGCAAUCAAAGCGUCGGCGUAAAUGCCGACCCAAGCCCCGCCUCGACAAAAACCCAGCCAUAGAGCAGGACGAGCCGAUAGACGGCGAGCAGGCCUUAGACCAACCGUCCGAACAGGGCAACACGGAUAGAGAAACCAAACAUCCCUCCUCCGGCAAAAACGGCAUUCCGGACGACCUCACGCCGAAUAAACCUAUGGAGCAGAAGAAUCUCCACGAGAGGCUCGUUGCAACUGCACGCAGCCUAAAAAAGCAGAAGCGGAAGCUAAAAACAGCGGAAGAUGCACUCCGGAUUAGAUGGAACAAAGUAAUCAAUACCACAGAUAAGUACGGCGACAGUCGCCGCACUAAAAGCUAUCCGAAAAGAAAGCUACUGCCUGAAUUGGACGAAGAGGCCCUAGAGCCCUCGCAUUCAAAAAAUGGAAAAGCCACACGGUCGGAUAGACGACCCAUAAAGCGGCAAGCGGCGCCGCACCUAAAUCGGCAUGCGACCCACUUAAGGAUUCGCAUCAUGGCCCAGUCAGGUCCAUUUAUGGGCCAAGAAAGCAAGCUCUCGUAAGCAACGCUAUGAAGCCAUCAUCAGAAUCCGGCACACCCAAAUAUAGGGGCGCCGCACACCCCCUAUGUUUUACUGAUGAGGUCCUGGACUAUGAAUUCCCAGAGGGAUUCAAACCCGUAAACAUAGAGGCUUAUGAUGGAACAACAGACCCUGGAGUUUGGAUCGAGGAUUAUAUCCUUCACAUACACAUGGCUAGAGGAGAUGAUCUCCACGCCAUAGAAUAUCUACCCCUUAAGCUUAAAGGGCCAGCCCGGCAUUGGCUUAAAAGCCUUCCCGAAAACACAAUUGGAAGCUGGGAAGAGCUCGAGGAUGCUUUCCGAGCAAACUUUCAAGGGACCUAUGUCCGCCCUCCGGAUGCAGACGAUCUUAGUCACAUAACUCAACAACCCGGAGAAUCAGCUCGGCAGUUCUGGAAUAGAUUCCUCACUAAAAAGAAUCAGAUAGUCGACUGUCCGGACGCUGAAGCCUUAGCAUCUUUCAGGCAUAACGUCUGAGACGAAUGGCUCGCCAGACACCUCGGCCAAGAAAAGCCAAGAACAAUGGCCGCACAAACAAGCCUCAUGACCCGCUUUUGUGCAGGGGAUGACAGCUGGUUGGCAAGGUGCAGCCCCAGCGACCCAAGUACAUCCGAAACUAGGGAUGGAAACGGAAAACCGCGACGCAACAAGGACCGUCACUAGACUAAGGACAAAAGUCUGAAGAGCAUGGCAGUCAAUGCCGGAUUCAAAGGCUCACGACAAAAUCAGGAAAAAUUGCCCCCCCAGGAUAACAGGGACGAUCCAUCCAACCUAUAUAAAAUCCUGGACAGGAUAUGUCAGAUACACAGUACUCCCGGGAAGCCUGGUAACCAUACCCGCAAAGACUGUUGGGUUUUCAAACAAUCCGGCAGACUCAAUGCCGAACACAAGGGGCUCGACACACCAAGUGAAGACGAGGACGAACCCCAAAAGCAGAGCACCAGGAAACAAAAGAACUUCCCACAAGAAGUAAAAACAGUGAACUCACUUCACAUAACAAAACGUGCAGCGCCCGUAAAGGUACGCACCACACGGCCCAUCCCCAAAGGGUCCUGCCACUGGUUGUCAAAACUGAUCAUCUUCGAUCAGCUAGAUUAUUCUAGGAAUAUCAAGUAUGUAGGCUGGACUACCUUGAUACUCGAUCCAAUAAUUGGCAGACUCCGGUUUUCAAAUGUCCUUAUGGACGGCGGCAGUGGACUAAACCUGAUAUAUCAGGAUACAAUCCAGCACAUGGAGAUAAACCAAGUAAGAAUCCGCCGCAGCAAAACCUCCUUUCAAGGGGUAAUACCUGGUCCGGACACCCAUUGUAUGGGUUUUCUCCGGCUCGAAGUCAUAUUCGGCUCCGCCGAUAACCUCCGCCGCGAAAAGCUGACCUUCCAUAUCGCCCCGUUCUCAAGUCGCUAUCAAGCACUACUGGGACGCGAAGCUUUCGCUCACUUUAACGCAAUACCGCAUUAUGCAUCUCUUACGCUUAAGAUGCCCGGUCCAUGAGGCAUCAUCUCUUUGAAGGGGAAGCACUAAAAGUGCGCCUCCCUAAGCGAAGGACUGUGCGGCCGCUUUGACAGCCCCACAGCAAAAUGGCCUCACCGGCCAAAAAACUUCGAAAUAGGUCAUUCAAGACCACGAACGCGGAUAGACGAGUUCGGUGCAAAAUCAUCAUUGAUGUAGGCCUAGAAGCCAUAUACCCCCGCACUAGGGGCUCCACGCAUAUACAAUAAGAGACAAUAAAGCUCAAUCUUAUAUAUCUUACUUUAUACUUUGCUUAUUUUAAACUUUUUCGGCACGACCCGUUUGCAACUCAGUUCCUCUCUUUUACAGAUGAACGUCGCGCGGCGUCCGUCCAGGAUACGGCACAACGGAGACACAGGCGCAGACGUGCAGUAGGGACCCGUCCUAAAGGAUUCUUUUUAGAUUAAGACCCUGCGUAAACCUUUUUUACUAUCUCUUGUUGAUACACAUCCCCUGGUUUUUUCUUUCUGAUAUAACCAAGGAGGAGGCUGGCGUCUUGGCAUGUGGCCACGUCAGAAUUUUUGCAUGUACCUGGACACUAGGGGCUUUUUUAAUAAAGAGUGUUGUUUCGCCCGCACUCAUAAAGACCGAACACCUUAGGGAGUGUUCGGCGUCACGAGUUUUGGCAUUAUAUGCAUCAGCUCCGAAUCAUGUCUUUGGUCAAAUGUUGGGUUGCCCGGCUCCUGAGUUCGGCUACCUUACGUUCCGCUCUAUCGGCUAAGGUAGCACCAGGAGAACUACUACGAUUGUGCCCCAGUUCGGUCGGGCGAGCACCUCAGUAGAGAAAGCCGAAAACUGACUGUCAUGAUGUAGCGUGAGACUGGUCAGCCACUCGAUGACCUAUCAGAAUCUAUCGGAUUCCUCCGCUUUAACGAAGGGCCGCUUCCCGGUCAGGCACAUACGCGCCCCGAACUCAGACGAGCGCAGUUGCCACCAAGGGGCUACCUAAAUAGUCUCACUGUCAAACUCCUAUGGCUAAGUGAAAGUGUUAAAGCAUUAUAGUCCGGUUGCCUGGCCCGCUGCGCUAUCACCUCCUUUGUAGGACCAAGACGUUGGGUUAAGUGUGAAAAUGCGUCUUCUGCGAGCACCCCUGCACUAUGUGCGUGGGGGCUGAAGCCAACGACUGCCAUCUUUCAGAUUCUAUAUAUAUCUUAAAACGGCCGCACAUGAGGUGUUCCCAAUACUUGGAGGCACAAGUAUAAAAAAGGCCACUACAGUUUAUCAAAAUACUACUUUAUAAUUACAUAUGCUAUCAUAACAUAGCAUCUUUCGGGCACUGCGUCUCUAUUACACGAGUGCCUUCAAGAACUUCCUGAAAAUAGUGCUCGGAGGGUACUCGGCUUUUGUCCGAAUCUCGGGACGCAACAACGGUGGUCUCCAUCUCUGCCCAGUAUGUCUUAACACGGGCAAGAGCCAUCCUAGCACCCUCUAUGCAUGCUGACCUCUUCAUUGCAUUUAUACGCGGCACCGCGUCAAGGAAUUGCUGCACCAAGCUGAAAUAACUCUUCGGCUCCGAUCUCCCCGGCCACAGGUGACCCAUGACGUACUUCAUGGCGAGUCCAGAUAACCUAUUCUGUUCGGCCCAUUGAGCCAAACGAUCAUCCACUGCCAGUGGACGCUCUGGAUUGUGAAACUGCGACUAGAAAAGCUUUUCCACUUCGCGAUCUUUCUGAUCUCGAAAGUGUUCGGCCGCAUCAGCAGCACUCGCUGCCAAGUCCAGAUAGGUAUCCUCCACACUCCACAUCCGGUCCAACGGACCAAACUACGGAUCACAAAAUUUCCUUCGCAGCAUAAAGGGCUUUCCAGCCGCAAUCUGUUCGGCCUGACACAGCUCCUCCUUCGCAGCUCUCAUCACAGAGCGCGCGUCCUUGGCAUUGGCAACGGCCUUCUCUAAGUCCGUCUGUUUCGCCUGGUCUUCUUUUUCAAGAAGUCUGCAACGGUCUGUAGCGCUUUUUAACUUUUCUGCCAUCUCGGCCAUCUCUUCCUUGCUUCGGCAAUGAGCAGCCUGUUCGGCUCUCGGCUCUUCAAGGGCUUUCCUGGUGGCUGCGUCACUUUCGCUGGCUUGUUCUUUAGCUCGGGCAAGUUCUGCCCUAAGACUCUCCACGGCAGCCGCACCAUCUGCAUCAAGCACACACAUCGUAAGACACAGGCAUAAAAUUAUUCUUACCUAAUGCCGCCCGAGGAAUUACAUACCUUGAACCUCAUCAAGCCGCUUAUUGACAAGCGUGAUGUCGGCACCUGCCACAUCUAGUUGCCGCUUUAGUUCGGCAAAAUCGUCAGUUCAGCUCGAUUCUGGACACCCUGCCGCCUACAUUCAAAGGCGACAUCUUAGACCUGGGAUUAUGAUCCUCCACGUGUCGUCAUUUCUUGACGACGCGCAGAGUCUCAGGGGCUACUAUCUACACAGGGCGCAUCUUACUCAUGCGCAACUGACAAAAGUAUACAUUAUCUAAUGUACCUCGAAACCCGUCAGUAAACUUUUGACGGCCUAUACAAUCCACUCUCUACGGAUGAAAUCCUUUCAAUCACCGUGCCCAUCAAUGCGCGGUGCUCCUCUGAGAUAGAAGCUCGCCCCAGCAGAAUCUUUAGCUCCUCCGGCCGAGCACCAGACGGUGUCGGGCUCAUCCCAUGACCUCUUUCAAAGGCCGGACGCGGAGAACCUCGGGGGGCCGCAUAGCCACCUUCUGCCCCUGCCGGAUUUGGAGAAACCCUCUGUGACGACACCUCAGGGUCGCCCGCCUCGCUAGGCGGCACGGCAGGGGGAGGCGUCCCACUCUCCAUCAUCUCCGGAAGGAGAUCCCCCGAAGACGAGCUCUGCUGAGAAGGGCUGAGGUCCGAGCUACAAGAUAAAGGUUUGGUUAAAUCUUCUCAGAUAUAAAUCAAGGACUUCCCUCAUCCCUCAAAAGGAAAAUCUUUUCUCCACUUAAGGCUCGCUGGAGGGCUGAUCCCCUUGAGGGCGUAGUCCGGCCGAGGAACUCCCCGGCGUCGGACCCUCUGACAAGGAUUUUCUCCCCCGUUUCGAGGCCAUGGUUUCCGGGUCGUCAUAGACGGCUCUCUUCUUCCCCUUAGGAGAGGAAUUGUCGGUUCCUCCCUUCGGAGCAGCCUGCUUCGAGGAGUCCAUAGCUUUCUUGUCCUCCCCCUCCAAAGGCAUUAUCUCCAGCAUCCUGACCAGCACGGGAUCCGGCCUGGUUUCAGGAAGGGGAGCCGGACACCUGAUCAGCUUUGCCUUCGCUAUCCACUCCUGUUUAAAAGGACGGCUCUUUUAGGGGCAAGUUUAUGACAAUUAUACGGAUAGAAGGUCCGGGCACAAGGUUGCUUACUUGAGUAUCCGGGCGAUUGCAGCUUAGGCCUGCGUCCUUGGUUAAAUCCGGACACAUCUAUUGUGAUCCGAAGAACAGUCUAUACAUCUCCGCGGGCGUUGCGCCCAUAAAGUUCUGAAGAGCUCGCGGUCCCUCUGGAUUAAACUCCCGCAGGCGAAGGGGGCGACGUUUGCCGGGCAAUAUUCGGUGAAUCAGCAUGACCUGCGUCACCUUGACCAAGCUGAGGUCUCCUUCCAAGAGAUCCUUAAUUCGGCCCUGUAACAGGGGCACGUCUUUGGGCAAACCCCAAUCUAACCCUCCAUUAACCCAUGACGCUAGCCGUGGUGGGGGACCCGAGCGAAAGGCGGGAAGCGCCACCCACUUGGUGCUCCGGGAAGCGGUGAUAUAAAACCACUCUCGUUGCCACAAGCCUAGCUCCUCUUGAAAAGAACCCUCGGGCCAUGGAGCAUCAGCAUUUUUGCUUAUAACAGCGCCUCCACACUCUACGUGCCGUCCCUUGAUCAUCUUCGGCUCCACUUUGAAAGUCUUGAGCCAUAAUCCGAAGUGAGGGGUAACACGGAGGAACGCUUCGCAUACAACGAUAAACAAGGAGAUAUGGAGGAUGGACUCCGGAGCUAAGUCAUGGAAUUCCAGCCCGUAAUAAAACAGCAGUCCCCUCACAAAGGGGUCCAUCGGGAAGCCUAACCCUCGAAGGAAGUGAGACACAAACACUACGCUCUCACCGGGCUGGGGACUGGGGAUAGCCUGCCUUUGAGCAGGCAACCUGUGCAAAAUUUCGGCGGUCAAGAACUUAGCCUCUCUCAACUUUACAAUGUCCUCCUCCGUGAAGGAGGAGGGCAUCCAUCGGCCUUGAAGGUCGGAACCGGACAUUAUCGAAGGUCUAAGGCGCCCGGAAUCUAGAGCCUAUGGUGUUGGAACUCGAGGCGACGGGCGAACUUGUUUUGGGAUUGGAGAAAAGGAGUAAGGCCCUGGUCUCUUUAUAAGAGGUUGAAUACCAGGAGCCCUCCCCGUAACCGUUUGGGACUCGCCUUUAAUCGAGAAAACAUGCUAACGGGCAUGAUUGGGUUACCCACGUCCGUAUUGAUGAGAAUCCCGUAAAAGGGGGGCACACGAUCUCUGCUUUGACAAGACGUGCCAAGGAAACCGCGUCGCAAAACACGCUGAGGUGGAAAAGUGAAAACGAUUCGAGUGAAGGACUUGGCUGUAGUGUGAUGACGCACUGCGGAAUACGUCAGCAGAUUUGAUUUGUGUUAAUAUUAUUCUCUCUAUGGCAAUAUGUGGAAGCUUAUUUUGCAGAGCCGGACACUACUCUCGGUGUUUACAAUCUUCUGUGAAGGACUUGGAGGAGGAACCCGCCUUGCAAUGCCGAAGACAAUUUGUGCGCCGGACUCGUCGGCAUUGAAGCCUGGUUUAGGGGCUACUGAGGGAGUCCUGGAUUAGGGGGUGUUCGGGUAGCCAGACUAUACCUUCAGCCAGACUCCUGGACUGUGAAGAUACAAGAUUGAAGACUUCGUCCCGUGUCCAGAUGGGACUUUCCUCAGCAUGGAAGGCAAGCUUGGCGAUGCGGAUAUUCAAGAUCUCCUACCAUUGUAACCGACUUUAUGUAACCCUAACCCUAUCCGAUGUCUAUAUAAACCGGAGGGUUGUAGUCCGUAGGCAAUCAACUCCAUACACAACAAUCAUACCAUAGGCUAGCUUCUGUGGUUUAGCCUCCUUGAUCUCGUGGUAGAUCUACUCUUGUACUACCCAUAUCAUCAAUAUUAAUCCAGCAGGAGUAGGGUAUUACCUCCAUCGAGAGGGCCCGAACCUGGGUAAAAACAUCGUGUCCCUUGUCUCCUGUUACCAUCCGGCCUAGACGCAUAGUUCGGGACCCCCUACCCGAGAUCCGCCAGUUUUUACACCGAUAAUGAUGAACUCCUUGCUCUUGUGCUUCAAAUGAUAGUCUCCCCAACACUCAACUCUCUCUCACGGGAUUUGGAUUUGGUGGAAAGAAGAUUUGAGUGGAAAGGAACUUGGGGAAGGCUAGAGAUCAAGAUUCAUAUGGUUGGAAUGGAAUAUCUUGACCACAACACAAGUGUAGGUGGUUCUCUCUCAGAAAAUGUGUAUUGGAAGUGUACGUAUGUUCUGAUGGCUCUCUCCACGAAUGAAGAGUGGGUGGAGGUGUAUAUAUAGCCUCCACACAAAAUCUAACCGUUACACACAAUUUGCCAAACUCGGGGGGGACCGAAUGGUUAAACUCGGUCGGACCGAUUCAGCAAACCUAGUGACCGUUAGGAUUUUCGGUGGGACUGAGAUGCAACUCGGUAGGACCGAUAUGGUUAGGGUUAGGGCAUAAUGUAAUCUCGGUGUGACCGAUUACACAAACUCGGUAGGACCGAUUUUGGUAAUAAGCUAACCAGAGAGUUGGUCAGGUAAACUCGGUGGGACCGAUUCGCUCAUCUCGGUGAGACCGAAGUGUUACAAAAGGGAAACAGAGAGUUUACAUUGAAAUCUCGGUGGGACCGAUCGCUCAUCUCGGUAAGACCGAAACGUUACGAAGGGAAACAGAGAGAUUACAAUCCCAUCUCGGUGAGACCGAGAUCCCUAUCGGUGAGACCGAUUUGCCUAGGGUUUGUGGCAGUGGCUAUGACAUUUGACACUUGGUGGCGCCGGAUAGAAAGAAUCGGUGGGGCCAACUUUGACUUUUGGUUUAGGUCAUAUGUGGAUGUGGGAAGGUAGUUGAGGGUUUUGGAGCAUAUCACUAAGCAUUUUGAGCAAGCAAGCCAUUAAGCACCACCUCAUCCCUCCUUGAUAGUAUUGGCUUUUCCUAUAGACUCAAUGUGAUCUUGGAUCACUAAAUUAGAAAAUGUAGAGUCUUGAGCUUCAAGCUUCAGCCAAACUUUUUGUCCUUAGAAUUUUGAGAGAUCCACUUUCCUCAUACAUGACAUGCCAUUCAUUGAGCUUUUCUUGAAAUAUUAAUCUUGGAAUAAUGUUAGCUCAAUGAGCUAUAUGUUGUUAGGAAUUACCAAAACCACCCAUGGAUAGUUGCACUUUCAAUCUCCCCCUUUUUGGUAAUUGAUGACAACAUAUAGAUCAAAGCUUCAACAAAUGAUAAUAAGAGUGAAAGAUAUUGUCGCUUUGAGAAGUAUGUGAAAAGCAAGAGCUCCCCCUAAAUUUGUGCAUAUCUUAAGAUUUGCUUUGGACUGCAAAUGCACAAUGAGUUAGGAUCAUGGGUUACUCUUCCAUGUCACAUACAUCUUGGUGGAGUGCUCAAAAUAAUAAAAAUUGAAUACAUGCACUCAUCACCAAGCAAAGUGAAUGAUCAUAUAAGGAUAAGUAAGAUAAUAUCAUCUAACAAGCAUAAGUGUAGCUUAUGAUCAACCACAUGAUCAUCAAUGUCUCACAGAUAAUAGCAUAGUAUCUCAAGCAAUCAAAAGACAAACAAAGUGCAACCAUCAAAGCAAGAGAGAAUAAAAAGCAACGCUCUCUCUCAAAGCCUAUGAUCUAUCUAUACAUGUUUAUCCCCCUUUGGCAACAAGUUACCAAAAAGUUCAUAGAAAAUGUAUAGCACUAAAAUGUCUCUCAAGUUUGGUCUUCAGGUGGUGGUGUCCGGAGAGCUCCAAGAACGAAGGCUUCAGUUGAAGUUGAUGGAGCUGAUGGAGUAGGUGCUGGAGCUGGUGGCACUGAAGCUGUAGCUGGUGCAGAUGACGUGGCUCUGGUGUCUGGAACAGGCACUGCAACAGACCUCUGAGCUCUAGGCACUCUGGCAAAUGCAUCAGUGGUUGUCUUUCCCUUCCUCUCCUGCAUAUCAUCUUGAAGUUGCUCCACAACAGACUGAAUCUUAGUUACCUUCACAUUGAAGUCAUAGAAUUUUUGCUCCAUGAUUCUUUCCAAGCUCUCCUAGUUUUGAGUCAGGGUGGCCAGUCCCUUCUCAAUCCUCAGAGUGGAUGCAAUCAGGUAGCCAAGCUGAUCUUGCUUGCUCUUCAGGAGAUACUGAGAUGCUUCUUCAGUAGUUGGCAUCCUUGCAGCUUUUUCUAUUUUUGUCUUCUCUCUCUUGGCUUGUGCUUGUACUGAGGAUGGUUCAUCUUCAUCCAUAACCACUUAGUUGUCCUCAAAGUCAGGAUAGAGAACAAAGUGUUCCUUAUCCAACAGAUAUUUUCGUGUGCCCAUCUUUGAGUUAAUCAACUCCUGAAUUUGUGGGGCAUAUCCACAACUUCUCUUUUGGUCUGCUGCUGUCCUCUUGAUAGUCUCAACCAUGAGGCUCAUGACCUUGAAUUUCUGUGGCACAUCAAAUAUGUCUAGCAAAUUAAUUGCAUGCCCUCUGAUCAUGUUGUGGUCACCUGGUCAGACAUAUUGCAAACACUGACAGCAGACCCUGUGAAUAGAUAUAGAUGAGAUAGAGUGGAUGAGCAUCACAAAAUGCAGAGGUUUUUGCAAACGAAUGAGUCAAAAACUUAGUUUUAGUUUUCCACAUAAAGCAUUUCGGAUCAACCGAUUUGUAAACUCGGUGAUACUGAAGCAGCUGUUGGAACCUAAACUAGUGAACUCGGUCAGACCGAGUCACAGUUCGGUGGCACCGAGACUGCUAGGGUUUCACAAAGUCCAAAACUCGGUCACACCGAUUUUCAAUUAUCGGUCAGAUCGAGAAUCUCAUGUGCAAUGGCCUGAGCCGAAUCGGUGGUGCCGAGUUCCACAACUCGGAUGGUCCGAGAUGGUUUCGGCAGAAACCUAACCCUAAAUUUUCAAUUCACGACUAAACUAUGGAGUGUUUUGACUGGAUAAGAAUGAUCUCAAUCAUGGCAAGAUACAUGGAAAACACAAUGUGCUAGGAAUCAGAUAGCUAGAGAGGGUUCUUAGGCAUUCUUGUCCAUCCACUUGGCAAAAGAAAAGAAAACCAAUCAAUCAAAACGACAAGUGGAUGUCCUCGAAUGAGUAAAAUAUGCAAUGAACAUGCUCACACAAUAAAAUGGCAAUUGAAAUAUGUGGCAAAGCAUGCACAACCAAUUCUAGCAUCUAUCAAACAAUUUGCGAUGACUAGGUCAUCUAUAUAUGAGUAUAUUGACUUAGGAGUCAAAUGAGAACAUUUGAUCAUAGGUCAUACUCAUCGUUUAAGCACAAGUGGGGUUACCACUUUUACAUAAAGCAUUGUUGUGUUCACACCAUUAGAGUUGCUUUAGCUCAAUUCUUAGAGUACAGCUCCCCCUAGAUGUGAGAUCCCCCCUAAGAGGGAUGAACUAACCUUGGGUUUUGUCGAUGAUGACUUCAUGUAGAUGUUGAAGAUGUGGAUGCUCAAUGUUGAUGUAGAUCAUUUGAAGAUAUCCAUUGGAGUGAGUUGCACUUUCAAUACCUACAUGGGUUAGUCCCACAAGGAACAAACAAGGAUAUCCAUAUACAUAAAGUGAUGCACACACAAGAUGAUGUCUAUGAAAGCUUUUAGGUUACCUUGUCCCUUGUCUUACCAACAAGAGGGUUUGUGACUCCUUGAACUAGUGCAAGAUGUGGAAGUUGAUUGCACGUGUUCUUGCCAAGAUGAUAAGAGUGAAGUAUGUUGGCGGAGUCACCCUCAAGAACUCUUUAGUUCUUCUUCUUCGGGAUCCACACCAUCUUGAUGGGAAUCCUCGGUGUUGUAGUUGUACUUGAUGAAGUGGAACUUGAAGUAGUCUUGGGAACCCACUUGACCAAGGCCUUAGGAGCUUCUUCAAAUGCAUCAAUUUCCUCUUGAAGCUUGUCCUUGCCUUUUUGCUUGUGGUCUUGUGGUGGAAGAUCAUCUUGAGCUUGUGUCCCUUUGAAAGAAGUAGGAUCAUACUUCUCUUGUUGAGGAACAAACUUCGUCUUGGGGUAUUGAUCUUAUUCCCACUCAACUCGAUUGGCAUUGAACUUUCAUUCAAAACCAACACCUUGAUUCUUCCGGUGCCUUCCUUGCUUGCGUACAAUUUCCUCAAAUUUCUUACUUCCGGCAAGGCUCUUGUAAACACCUUUCUCUAUAAUUCCCUUCAAUAAGCUAUUUUCUUGCUCAAGUGUAACUUGGCUAAGAGAAUCAUUAGUGGAAUCAAGAGAACAACUAGAAGCAACAAUAUUGGAUUUAGCAUGAUUAUUGUUACCACUAGAGGAAGAAUCUUUCUUAUUCUUGUUACUAGACUUGACUUGAGGCAUGUAAGUGGAUAAGAGUAAACACUUGGCAAUGUAAGAAGAACUUUUCUUACGAAGAUCAUCAUUGAUUGCUUUUAAGAACUCAUGCUCUUGCUCAAGGUUGAGCUUUUCAAAGCGUAAUUUCUCAUGAGUCCUUAAAAGUUCUCGAUGAUCUCCUAAGAUAGUUUCAUGAGCUAACUUAAGAGUGUUUAGUUCUUUAGUUACAGACUCAAUCUUCUCCUUAUCAUUGUCAUUCGUUUUAUCUUAAUUAGCAUGAUUAAUUGACGUUUCAUCACAGUAUUCAUCACUAGAGUUGUCAACAAGUAAAUCAUCAUCACCUAACAAGUCAUCUUCAUCACUAUUGAAAUCAACAUACUUGGGGUGUGAUACCUUUGGGCCUUUAGCCAUGAAGCAUGUUCCAAAUCCUUCAUUUGGUGAGUCAAAUAUGUCGUAGCAGUUGGUUGUCACAAGUGCUAGACCGGCAACACCUUCAUCUUGAGUAUAUUCGGAGUCGGAGCGAUAGCUUCUCUCGGAGUGGUUGUCGGAGUCGGAGCCGGAUACCCAUUCACCAACAUGAGCUUGAUGUCUUUGUUUUGUGUAGCUCCUUGAUGACUUGUCCUUUCUUUCCGAAUCCUUGCUUCUCCGUGAGGGUCUUCGUUCAUAACGAUCAUCUCUACUCCUUCUUUCUCUAGAUGGUGAUUCUUCUCUUCUACUUCUUCUCUUGGGAGAAUCUUCUCUUCUCUUGUAGGGGGGCGUACACUCAUUGGAAUAGUGUCCGGGUCUUCCACAAUUGUAGCAAUUUCGCUCUCGACUAGAAGAUCUUUUGUCAUUAUAGGACCUUGACUUGGAGCUUCUCUCUUUGCUUCUACUCUUGUAGAACUUGUUGAAGUUCUUCACCAUUAAGCUCAAUUCUUCAUUGAAGGUUUGUUUCUCACUCGAUGAUGUGGGGGCUUCACAUGAGGCUUUGUAAGCACCACUUGAUUUGUUGUGAAGUUCCUCUUUAUCCUUGAGUGACAUCUCAUGAGCAACAAUUCUUCUGAUGACUUCCUUUGGCUUGAGAUCUUUGUAAUUUGGCAUCAUUUGGAUCAAUGUGCACACGAUAUCAUAUUUUCCAAGCUCUUAGGAUCUUCUUGAUCAUGAAUCUAUUGGUCAUCUCUUCACUCCCUAAGCCGGCAAUCUCAUUUGUGAUAAGAGCAAGCCUAGAGUACAUUUCAGCAACACCUUCACCAUCCUUCAUUUUGAACUUGUCAAGUUGACUUUGAAGCACAUCCAAUUUGGAUUCCUUGACGGAGUCGGUACCUUCGUGCAUAUCUAUCAAAGUAUCCCAAAUUUCCCUUGCAUUCUCAAGACGGCUGAUUUUGUUGAAUUCUUCGGGGCACAAUCCGUUGAAGAGGAUAUCACAAGCUUGAGCGUUGUAUUGCAGCAUUUUCAACUCUUCCGCGGUAGCUUCACGGUUCGGUUCUUUCCCGUCAAAGAAUUCACCUUGCAAGCCAAUACACACUAUAGCCCAAACGGCGGGGUUAUGUCCAAGAAUAUGCAUUUUCAUCUUAUGCUUCCAACUAGCAAAAUUAGUGCCAUCAAAGUAAGGACCUCUACGGUGAUAAUUUCCCUCGCUAGACGCCAUACUCUCCUAGGUUGUGAAACCAAGGCUAUGACCGCCAAAAGCUAUGGAAAUCAAAGCAAAUGGAGACCAAAGCUCUGAUACCACUUAUAGGAUCGAAAGUAUGUCUAGAGGGGGGUGAUUAGACUACUUGACCAAAUAACAAAUCUAGCCUUUUCCCAAUUUUAGUUCUUGGCAGAUUUUAGCUAUCUUAGCACAAGUCAAGCAAUCUCCACGCAAUUCAAGCAAGCAUGCAAAAGAGUAUAUGAGCAGCGGAAAGUAAAGCAUGCAACCUGCAAGAAUGUAAGGGAAGGGUUUGGAGAAUUCAAACGCAAUUGGAGACACGGAUAUUUUUGUCGUGGUUCCGAUAGGUGGUGCUUGAAGGAAAUAUGCCCUAGAGGCAAUAAUAAUGUUAUUAUUUUAUUUCCUUAUAUCAUGAUAAAUGUUUAUUAUUCAUGCUAGAAUUCUAUUAUCUGGAAACAUAAUAAUUGUGUGAAUACAUAGACAAACCAAACGUCACUAGUAUGCUUCUACUUGACUAGCUCGUUAAUCGAAGAUGGUUAUGUUUCCUAACCAUAGACAUAUGUUGUCAUUUGAUUAAUGGGAUCACAUCAUUAGGAGAAUGAUGUGAUUGACAUGACCCAUUCCAUUAGCUUAGCACCCGAUCGUUUAAUAUGUUGUUAUUGCUUUCUUCAUGACUUAUACAUGUUCCUAUGACUAUGAGAUUAUGCAACUCCCGUUUGUCGGAGGAACACUUUGUGUGCUACCAAACGUCACAACGUAACUGGGUGAUUAUACAGGAGCUCUAUAGGUGUCUCCAAAGGUACAUGUUGGGAUGGCGUAUUUCGAGAUUAGGAUUUUCCACUCCGAUUGUCGGAGAGGUAUCUCUGGGCCCUCUCGGUAAUGCACAUCACAUAAGCCUUGCAAGCAUUACAACUAAUUAGUUAGUUGCAAGAUGAUCUAUUACGAAACGAGUAAAGAGACUUGCCAGUAACGAGAUUGAACUAGGUAUUGAGAUACCGACGAUCGAAUCUCGGGCAAGUAACAUACCGAUGACAAAGGGAACAACGUAUGUUGUUAUGCGGUCUGACCGAUAAAGAUCUUCAUAGAAUAUGUGGGAGCCAAUAUGAGCAUCCAGGUUACGCUAUUGGUUAUUGACCGGAGACGUGUCUCGGUCAUGUCUACGAACCCGUAGGGUCUGCACGCUUAAGGUUUUGAUGACAGUUAUAUUAUGAGUUUAUGCAUUUUGAUGUACCGAAGUUUGUUCGAAGUCCCAGAUGUGAUCACGGACAUGAAGAGGAGUCUCGAAAUGGUCGAGACAUAAAGAUUGAUAUAUUGGAAGCCUAUAUUUGGAUAUCAGAAGUGUUCCGGGUGAAAUCGGGAUUUUACCGGAGUACCGGGAGGUUACCGGAACCCCCCGGGAGGUAUAUGGGCCUUAGUGGGUUAAGUGGAAGAGAGGAGAGGUGGCCAGGGCUGGACCGCGCGCCCCUCCCCCUAGUCCGAAUAGGACAACGAGAGGGGGGCGGUGCCCCCCCCUUCCUUCUCUCUCUCCUCUUUCCCCCUCCCGAAUCCUAUUCCAACUAGGAAAGGGGGGGAAUCCUACUCCCGGUGGGAGUAGGACUCCUCCUGGCGCGCCCUCCUCCUGGCCGGCCGCACCUCCCCCUGCUCCUUUAUAUACGGGGGCAGGGGGCACCCCUAGAAACACAAGUUGAUCCAUGUGAUCAUAUUCUUAGCCGUGUGCGGUGCCCCCUUCCACCAUAAUCCUCGAUAAUAUUGUAGCGGUGCUUAGGCGAAGCCCUGCGACGUAGUACAUCAAGAUUGUCACCACGCUGUCGUGCUGACGGAACUCUUCCCCGACACUUUGUUGGAUCGGAGUCCGGGGAUCAUCAUCGAGCUGAACGUGUGCUAGAACUCGGAGGUGCCGUAGUUUCGGUGCUUGAUCGGUCGGGUCGUGAAGACGUACGACUACAUCAACCGCGUUGUGCUAACGCUUCUACUGUCGGUCUACAAGGGUAUGUAGAUCACACUCUCCCCUCUCAUUGCUAUGCAUCACCAUGAUCUUGCGUGUGCGUAGGAAAUUUUUUGAAAUUACUACGUUCCCCAACAGUGGCAUCCGAGCCUAGGUUUUAUGUGUUGAUGUUAUAUGCACGAGUAGAACACAAGUGAGUUGUGGGCGAUAUAAGUCAUACUGCUUACCAGCAUGUCAUACUUUGGUUCGGCGAUAUUGUUGGACGAAGCGGCCCGGACCGACAUUACGCGUACGCUUACGCGAGACCGGUUGUCCCGACGUGCUUUGCACAAAGGUGGCUAGCGGGUGACAGUUUCUCCAACUUUAGUUGAACCGAGUGUGGCUACGCCCGCUCCUUGCGAAGGUUAAAACAGCACCAACUUGACAAACUAUCGUUGUGGUUUUGAUGCGUAGGUAAGAUUGGUUCUUGCUUAAGCCCGUAGCAGCCACGUAAAACUUGCAACAACAAAGUAGAGGACGUCUAACUUGUUUUUGCAGGGCAUGUUGUGAUGUGAUAUGGUCAAGACAUGAUGCUAAAUUUUAUUGUAUGAGAUGAUCAUGUUUUGUAACCGAGUUAUCGGCAACUGGCAGGAGCCAUAUGGUUGUCGCUUUAUUGUAUGCAAUGCAAUCGUGCUGUAAUGUUUUACUUUAUCACUAAGCGGUAGCGAUAGUCGUGGAAUCAUAAGAUUGGCGAGACGACAACGAUGCUACGAUGGAGAUCAAGGUGUCACGCCGGUGAUGAUGGUGAUCACGACGGUGCUUCGAAGAUGGAGAUCACAAGCACAAGAUGAUGAUGGCCAUAUCAUAUCACUUAUAUUGAUUGCAUGUGAUGUUUAUCUUUUAUGCAUCUUAUCUUGCUUUGAUUGACGGUAGCAUUAUAAGAUGAUCUCUCACUAAUUAUCAAAAAGUGUUCUCCCUGAGUAUGCACCGUUGCGAAAGUUCUUCGUGCUGAGACACCACGUGAUGAUCGGGUGUGAUAGGCUCUACGUUCAAAUACAACGGGUGCAAAACAGUUGCACAUGCGGAAUACUCAGGUUAUACUUGACGAGCGAAGCAUAUACAGAUAUGGCCUCGGAACACGGAGAUCGAAAGGUCGAGCGUGAAUCAUAUAGUAGAUAUGAUCAACAUAGUGAUGUUCACCAAUGAAACUACUCCAUCUCACGUGAUGAUCGGACAUGGUUUAGUUGAUUUGGAUCACGUAAUCACUUAGAGGAUUAGAGGGAUGUCUAUCUAAGUGGGAGUUCUUUAAGUAAUAUGAUUAAUUGAACCUAAAUUUAUCAUGAAACUUAGUACCUGGUAGUAUCUUGCUUGUUUAUGCUUGAUUGUAGAUAGAUGGCCCGUGUUGUUGUUCCGUUGAAUUUUAAUGCGUUCCUUGAGAAAGCAAAGUUGAAAGAUGAUGGUAGCAAUUACAUGGACUGGGUCCGUAACUUGAGGAUUAUCCUCAUUGCUGCACAGAAGAAUUACGUCCUGGAAGCACCGCUGGGUGCCAGGCCUGCUGCUGGAGCAACACCAGAUGUUAUGAACGUCUGGCAGAGCAAAGCUGAUGACUACUCGAUUGUUCAGUGUGCCAUGCUUUACAUCUUAGAAUCGGGACUUCAACGACGUUUUGAACGUCAUGGAGCAUAUGAGAUGUUCCAGGAGUUGAAGUUAAUAUUUCAAGCAAAUGCCUGGAUUGAGAGAUAUGAAGUCUCCAAUAAGUUCUAUAGCUGCAAGAUGGAGGAGAACAGUUCUGUCAGUGAGCAUAUACUCAAAAUGUCUGGGUAUAAUAAUCACUUGAUUCAAUUGGGAGUUAAUCUUCCAGAUGAUUGCGUCAUUGACAGAAUUCUCCAAUCACUGCCACCGAGCUACAAGAGCUUCGUGAUGAACUAUAAUAUGCAAGGGAUGAAUAAGACUAUUCCCGAGCUCUUCGCAAUGCUGAAAGCUGCGGAGGUAGAAAUCAAGAAGGAGCAUCAAGUGUUGAUGGUCAACAAGACCACUAGUUUCAAGAAAAAGGGCAAAGGGAAGAAGAAGGGGAACUUCAAAAAGAACAGCAAGCAAGUUGCUACUCAAGAGAAGAAACCCAAACCUGGACCUAAGCCUGAAACUGAGUGCUUCUACUGCAAGCAGACUGGUCACUGGAAGCGGAACUGCCCCAAGUAUUUGGCGGAUAAGAAGGAUGGCAAGGUGAAGAAAGGUAUAUGUGAUAUACAUGUUAUUGAUGUGUACCUUACUAAUGCUCGCAGUAGCACCUGGGUAUUUGAUACUGGUUCUGUUGCUAAUAUUUGCAACUCGAAAUAGGGACUAUGGAUUAAGCGAAGAUUGGCUAAGGACGAGGUGACGAUGCGCGUGGGAAAUGGUUCCAAAGUCGAUGUGAUCGCAGUCGGCACGCUACCUCUACAUCUACCUUCGGGAUUAGUAUUAGACCUAAAUAAUUGUUAUUUGGUGCCAGCGUUAAGCAUGAACAUUAUAUCUAGAUCUUGUUUGAUGCGAGACGAUUAUUCAUUUAAAUCAGAGAAUAAUGGUUAUUCUAUUUACAUGAGUAAUAUCUUUUAUGGUCAUGCACCCUUAAAGAGUGGUCUAUUCUUAUUAAAUCUCGAUAGUAGUGACACACAUAUUCAUAGUGUUGAAACCAAAAGAUGCAGAGUUGAUAAUGAUACUGCAACUUAUUUGUGGCACUGCCGUUUGGGUCAUAUCGGUAUAAAGCGCAUGAAGAAACUCCAUACUGAUGGGCUUUUGAAACCACUUGAUUAUGAAUCACUUGGUACUUGUGAACCGUGCCUUAUGGGUAAGAUGACAAAAACACCAUUCUCCGGUACUAUGGAGAGAGCAACAAAUUUAUUGGAAAUCAUACAUACAGAUGUAUGUGGUCCGAUGAAUGUUGAGGCUCGUGGCGGAUAUAGAUAUUUUCUCACCUUCACAGAUGACUUAAGCAGAUAUGGGUAUAUCUACUUAAUGAAACAUAAGUCUGAAACAUUUGAAAAGUUCAAAGAAUUUCAGAGUGAAGUUGAAAAUCAUCGUAACAAGAAAAUAAAAUUCCUACGAUCUGAUCGUGGAGGAGAAUAUUUGAGUUACGAGUUUGGUGUACAUAUAAAACAAUGUGGAAUAGUUUUGCAACUCACGCCACCUGGAACACCACAGCGUAAUGGUGUGUCUGAACGUUGUAAUCGUACUUUACUAGAUAUGGUGCGAUCUAUGAUGUCUCUUACUGAUUUACCGCUAUCGUUUUGGGGAUAUGCUCUAGAGACGGCCGCAUUCACGUUAAAUAGGGCACCAUCAAAAUCCGUUGAGACGACGCCAUAUGAACUGUGGUUUGGCAAGAAACCAAAGUUGUCGUUUCUGAAAGUUUGGGGCUGCGAUGCUUAUGUGAAAAAACUUCAACCUAAUAAGCUCGAACCCAAAUCGGAGAAAUGUGUCUUCAUAGGAUAUCCAAAGGAAACUAUUGGAUACACCUUCUAUCACAGAUCCGAAGGCAAGACUUUUGUUGCUAAAUUCGGAAACUUUCUAGAGAAGGAGUUUCUCUCGAAAGAAGUGAGUGGGAGGAAAGUAGAACUUGACGAGGUAACUGUACCUGCUCCCUUAUUGGAAAGUAGUACAUCACAGAAACCAGUUUCUGUGACACCUACACCAAUUAGUGAGGAAGCUAAUGAUAAUGAUCAUGAAACUUCAGAACAAGAUACUACUGAACCACGUAGAUCAACCAGAGUAAGAUCCGCGCCAGAGUGGUAUGGUAAUCCUGUUCUGGAAGUCAUGCUACUAGAUCAUGAUGAACCUAUGAACUAUGAAGAAGCGAUGGUGAGCCCAGAUUCCGCAAAAUGGCUUCAAGCCAUGAAAUCUGAGAUGGGAUCCAUGUAUGAGAACAAAGUAUGGACUUUGGUUGACUUGCCCAAUGAUCGGCAAGCAAUUGAGAAUAAAUGGAUCUUCAAGAAGAAGACGGACGCUGACGGUAAUAUUACUGUCUACAAAGCUCGACUUGUUGCAAAAGGUUUUCGGUAAGUUCAAGGGAUUGACUAUGAUGAGACCUUCUCACACGUAGCGAUGCUUAAGUCUGUCCGAAUCAUGUUAGCAAUUGCCGCAUUUUAUGAUUAUGAAAUUUGGCAAAUGGAUGUCUAAACUGCUUGAAUGGAUUUCUGCAAGAAGAGUUGUAUAUGAUGCAGCCGGAAGGUUUUGUCGAUCCAAAGGGAGCUAACAAAGUGUGCAAGCUCCAGCGAUCCAUUUAUGGACUGGUGCAAGCCUCUCGGAGUUGGAAUAAACGCUUUGAUAAUGUGAUCAAAGCAUUUGGUUUUGUACAUACUUUUGGAGAAGCCUGUAUUUACAAGAAAGUGAGUGGGAGCUCUGUAGCAUUUCUGAUAUUAUAUGUAGAUGACAUAUUGCUAAUCGGAAAUGAUAUAGAAUUUUUGGAUAGCAUAAAAGGAUACUUGAAUAAGAGUUUUUCAAUGAAAGACCUCGGUGAAGCUGCUUACAUGUUGGGCAUUAAGAUCUAUAGAGAUAGAUCAAGACGCUUAAUUGGACUUUCACAAAGCACAUACCUUGACAAAGUUUUGAAGAAGUUCAAAAUGGAUCAAGCAAAGAAAGGAUUCUUGCCUGUGUUAUUGUAACACCCCGGAUGUAACUUUCCCUUUUUGUACUCCAACUCUUGCCGUUUCCGGCGUUAAGUUAUAUUUAUUAUCUCGGGUUCGGGUUUUUGUCUCUGUGUGUUGUUGUCAUUGUCAUGCAUCGCAUAUCAUGUCAUCAUGCGCAUUGCAUUUGCAUACGGGUUCGUCUCAUGCAUUCGAGCAUUUUCCCCGUUGUCCGUUUCGCAUUCCGGCGCUUCGUUCUCCUCCGGUGGCCAUUUCUAGCUUUCUUUCGUGUGUGGGGAUUAAACAUUUCCGGAUUGGACCGAGACUUGCCAAGCGGCCUUGGUUUACUACCGGUAGACCGCCUGUCAAGUUUCGUAUCAUUUGGACUUCGUUUGAUACUCCAACGGUUAACCGAGGGACCAUAAAGGCCUCAUGUGUGUUGCAGCCCCAACACCCCUCCAAUUUGGCCCAAAACCCACCAAACUCUACUCCAUCAUCUAGAGCGUUCGAUCACGAUCGCGUGGCCGAAAACCGCACCUCAUUUGGACUCUCCUAGCUCCCUCUAUGCCUAUAUAUACCACCCCCAUUCCAAAUCUCGGAUCCCCUCGUCAAACCCUAAAAAAACCAUCUCCGCCGCCGGACGUGUCCGCACAAGCCGGACAACAUCCGGAUCCGCCUCCGCCAACCGGGAGCCGCAACGUGGGCGCCCCGGACCACAUCACUGCCACUUCCGCCGAGGCCCACUCGGGCCCGAGGCCGGCCCGCCCGCCGCCGAUCCGGGCCAGAGGUCGCGCGCCUCGCCCGCGCCUUCUUCCUCGCAGCCGCGCCGCCUCCCCACCGCCUGUGCGCUGCCGCGCGCCAUCUUCGGUGAGGCCGCCGCCCGCUGCCUCCUUCUCCGGCCGCCGUAGCCGCCGCGGGUCCCCGCCGCCGCCGCGCCGUGUCCNNNNNNNNNNNNNNNNNNNNNNNNNNNNNNNNNNNNNNNNNNNNNNNNNNNNNNNNNNNNNNNNNNNNNNNNNNNNNNNNNNNNNNNNNNNNNNNNNNNNNNNNNNNNNNNNNNNNNNNNNNNNNNNNNNNNNNNNNNNNNNNNNNNNNNNNNNNNNNNNNNNNNNNNNNNNNNNNNNNNNNNNNNNNNNNNNNNNNNNNNNNNNNNNNNNNNNNNNNNNNNNNNNNNNNNNNNNNNNNNNNNNNNNNNNNNNNNNNNNNNNNNNNNNNNNNNNNNNNNNNNNNNNNNNNNNNNNNNNNNNNNNNNNNNNNNNNNNNNNNNNNNNNNNNNNNNNNNNNNNNNNNNNNNNNNNNNNNNNNNNNNNNNNNNNNNNNNNNNNNNNNNNNNNNNNNNNNNNNNNNNNNNNNNNNNNNNNNNNNNNNNNNNNNNNNNNNNNNNNNNNNNNNNNNNNNNNNNNNNNNNNNNNNNNNNNNNNNNNNNNNNNNNGAAGCCGCCGCCUCCUCGACGCCGGCAAGCUCCACCGCCGCUGGCCGCCCUCGCCCUCGUCCUCGCCUCUUCUUCUCUCUCGCCGGCGAACCGAACCCCGGCUGCUACAGUGCUCGCGCCGCCGCCUCGGAUUGCGUGUAGAUCUGGAAACCCUAGAUCGGAGGUUGAAUUUUCUCAAAGUCCCAGAAUUCCGAUCCAAGUGCUCAUGUUCGUGACUCGGUAACUUUGCAUCCGUAGCUCCGAUUCAUGCAUAUAGCAUAUCAAAAUGUUCAUCUUAGAGAGUACAUCAUUUAAUUCCAUUGCAUCAUUUUCAUUUGAGUUCAUCUUGAUGCCCGAAAUGCUGUUAGAAGAGGGCUACUUGAGAUAUUUGUCAGAUCUGCUACUCCAUUUAGCUUUUUGUCAUUUUUGCCAUGAUUAUUGUGUGCAUGAUAUGCCCUGAUGCUCUACAUGUGUUUUGUUAAGGGUUUUGUCAUAUUUCCAGAGGUGCAACCCAUGUAUUUUUGUGAUGUGUGUGGUGACUUGUGCAAGCUUGCAAAGUGGUGCACUUGCUAAUUCUGUUUUCAGGGACUUGGUAAUUUCACUAAGUCCUUGAUCUGUUUAUCUCAUGUUGCCAUAUAUUCAUGUUGUUUCCUAGUGAUCCGUGCCUCUUUUGAGGAUGAUCAGUAAGGAUGUUUUGUUAAUAUUGUAGUGAUCUAUCCAUCCAUGCCUUUUUUUGCAAUUAUGGAGCACCCUAGCUUGAGUCAAUCGAGCUCUACUUUUGCUACUUUAUGAAUCUGGGCAGAUUGUCAACUUGUUUGCAAUUUUGCCGGUGAUGUUGUAGUUGGUCCGUGCAUGCUAUGCUAUUGUUCUUGCCAUGUCUAGCUUGCAUUUUGUGCAUUGUUGAUGGAUGUAUGCUUGUCUUGCCAUGACUUGCACCGUAGUGAGUGCAUCGAGCUCGUAAACAUGCCUACUUGAGUUAUAUUUCAGCAUGUGUCAGUUUUCACUAAGUCUGAAAACUGAUUAUGUUUUUGCUAUGUUCACGUGCUUGCAAUUGUAUUUUCUGAUCCCUUUUGGCUCAAGGUCACUAAGGGACUUUUGUUAAGCUCUUUGAGUAGCUCCAGGCCAUGCUUUACUUUGCCAUGUUUAGGUCCUGUAUAUGUAGUUUUGUGGCUCCGAAGAGGGCUACCUGAUCUGAAAUUCCAGACAAGUGUUAAUUUUACCAAGUCUGAGAUCUGUUUGCAAUGUGCAUUUUUUCCAUGCUUGUUUGAACCUGUUAAUGGAUGAAUUGGCCGUAACUCAGUGCUAGACUUUUGUUAAGCAUCUUGUGUGCAUCCCUUCCAUGUAUUUUGUUGUCAUGUUUGGGUCCUGUAGCAUGUUCAUUUCAUUGCAUUUAGAUGGCUACUUGCUGUAAAUCGCAGACCGGUGUCAUUUUUGAAUCGCUUGCCAUUUCCAAACCGUAACUCCGAUUCCGGCGUUCUUUAUAUCGUUUUCAAGCGAUUUCAUCUCAUCUUUCCAGUGGCAUACUUGGUUUUCCAAGUUGAGGCCAGGUUCAUGCAUUUCCUGUCAUAUCUUGCAUUUCGCAUCCCGCAUCGCAUCCCGCAUAGCAUACCAUCUUUGCAUUGUGUUGUUUGAGUUUGCACGUGGUUGAUUGUAUCCUUGUUGCUUGUUUGUAUUGUUUGGGUAGAGCCGCGAGACGAGUUCGCUAACGAGGAGCCCGUUGAGUUUGCUUUCGAGGAUCCAGUCAAUUCUGACAACUGUGCAGGCAAGAUGAUCAUACCCUCGAAAUCACUACUAUCUUUGAUAUGCUAGUUUGCUCGCUCUUUUGCUAUGCCAUUGCUACGAUGCCUACCACUUGCCUUCAAGCCUCCCAAUUGCCAUGAAAAACCUCUAACCCACCAUGUCCUAGCAAACCGUUGAUUGGCUAUGUUACCGCUUUGCUCAGCCCCUCUUAUAGUGUUGCUAGUUGCAGGUGAAGAUUGAAGACCGUUCCUUGUUGGAACAUCUUUUAUUUACUUGUUGUGAUAUCAUUAUAUUGCCAUGUUAUCUUAAUGCAUCUAUAUACUUGGUAAAGGGUGGAAGGCUCGGCCUCUCGCCUAGUGUUUUGCUCCACUCUUGCUGCCCUAGUUUCCGUCAUAUCGGUGUUAUGUUCCCGGAUUUUGCAUUCCUUACGCGGUUGGGUUAUAAUGGGAACCCCUUGAUAGUUCGCCUUGAUUAAAGCUUUUCCAGCAAUGCCCAACCUUGGUUUUACCAUUCGCCACCUAGCCUAUUUUUCCCUUGGGUUUCCGGAGCCCGAGGGUNNNNNNNNNNNNNNNNNNNNNNNNNNNNNNNNNNNNNNNNNNNNNNNNNNNNNNNNNNNNNNNNNNNNNNNNNNNNNNNNNNNNNNNNNNNNNNNNNNNNNNNNNNNNNNNNNNNNNNNNNNNNNNNNNNNNNNNNNNNNNNNNNNNNNNNNNNNNNNNNNNNNNNNNNNNNNNNNNNNNNNNNNNNNNNNNNNNNNNNNNNNNNNNNNNNNNNNNNNNNNNNNNNNNNNNNNNNNNNNNNNNNNNNNNNNNNNNNNNNNNNNNNNNNNNNNNNCCAGUGCUCCUCUGAGUGUUGGUCCGACCGAGUAGACUGCGGGGCCACCUCGGGGCAACUUGAGGGUUGGUUUUACUCGUAGGAUGUAUCAUCUGAGUGUGCCCUGAGAACGAGAUAUGUGCAGCUCCUAUCGGGAUUUGUCGGCACAUUCGGGCGGUGUUGCUGGUCUUGUUUUAACCUGUCGAAGUGUCUUGAAUUACCGAGAUACCGAGCCUGAUCGGAACGUCUUGGGAGGAGGUCUAUUCCUUCGUUGACCAUGGGAGCUUGUCAUGGGCUAAGUUGGGACUCCCCUGCAGGGAUUUGAACUUUCGAAAGCCGUGCCCGCGGUUAUGGGCAGAUGGGAAUUUGUUAAUGUCCGGUUGUAGAUAACUUGAACUUUAAUUAAUUAAAAUGAAUCAACUGAGUGUGUUACCGUGAUGGCCCCUUCUCGGCGGAGUCCGGGAAGUGGACACGGUGUUGGAGUAAUGUUUGCGCAGGUGGUUCUCUAGUUUCUCGCACGCGCUUUGCCUCCUCUUCUCGCUCUCUUUUGCGAAUAAGUUAGCCACCAUACUUGCUAGUCGCUUGCUGCAGCUCCACUUAUAUUUACCUUGCCAUACCUAUAAGCUUAAAUAGUCUUGAUCGCGAGGGUGCGAGAUUGCUGAGUCCCUGUGGCUCACAGAUUACUAUUACACCAGAUGCAGGGCAUGAUGAUUCCGCUCCAGGAGACGCGUAUGAGCUCAAUUGGGAGUUCGACGAAGACUCUCAACGUUACUAUGUUUCCUUUCCCGAUGUUUAGUAGUGGUGCCCAGUUGGGGGUGAUUGGGACCGCGUCGCUUGUUGGGUUAUCUUUUAUUUUGGCGUCGUAGUCGGGCCAUGAGUGUUUGGAUGAUGCAAUGUUAUUUAUGUACCUUGAUUGACGUGGCGGGUGUAAGCCAACUAUGUUAUCUCCCCUUUACUAUUCAUUUUACAUGGGAUGUUGUGAAGAUUGCCUAACUUGCGACAUAUGCCUUCAAUGCGAUUAUGCCUCUAAGUCGUGCCUCAACACGUGGGAGAUAUAGUCGCAUCGAGGGUGUUACAAGUUGGUAAUCAGAGCCUUCCCCGACCUUAGGAGCCCCAUUACUUGAUCGUUUUUAGCGGCCGAGUUGUGUCUAGAAAAAAUGUUUUGAGUCUUUUAGGAAUUAUAUAUCGGAGAGUUUAGGAAUUCUUUUUACUUCCCAAUCUCCUCAUCGCUCUGGUAAGGCAUCCUGACGUAGAGUUUUGACUCUUCUCUUCUCAAAUUUCACUAAAAAAAUUUAGGAUCACGCGGGUAUCUUGGAAUCAUUCCGAUGGUUUUAUGAUGAGAACAUUGACUUGGUGCCUCCUGUCAGGGGUUUAGUGGAAGUGUCCCAGGGAGUUGAGCUCUGAGGUGUUGUCAUCAUAAUUUUAUUGCUGCAGUUCUGGAAUACCUGAGUUCAGUACGCCGACAUCGAAAAUCUCUUUUAUGCAGUUCGUUGGUGCGAUAACCUCGACGCCACCCAGUACUGGGGCGGGAGUUCGGGAGUAUCGCCAUAACAUGUAUAACGGAUGCUUUUCGAAGGUUGAGGUAGAUGAUUUCCGAAGGUUUCUUGGUUAUGUGUUGAAGGAUGGAUACAACUGGAUGUAGGAAUUGCUAGUUUGGGUGAGAUAUUAUGCUUCCCCUGUAUCCCCAACACCUGAUUGCAUAACCGGAAAGGUUCGGGAGUUUCAUAGGUGGGAAUUCUAGUAGCUCUAGUUAUUCUUCCACGGAUAUUGGUUUGAGAUUGGGAUUUCUUACCGAUUAUUCGUUCUUGAUCCGUACCUUGUUGAUUUAUUUCUCUACCUUAAUUUUACGUGGCUUCUCAAUUUAUGGAUAUGUGACCAUUUCAAGAGGAAUGCAUUCGUUCAUUUUGUUCGGAUGUGAAGACUAUAUGUUGCAAUUUUCAUUCCGUUGGAUUCAGCUUCAAUAUUUCUCUGUCAAUGUGCUAAUGGUGGUCAACCUCUUUAGGAUGGCUCCUCCAACGCGCACGACUCCGAAUCCUGAUCCGCCACCACCUCCACCUCCUCCAGAGGCAUGGCAAGCUGUGAUGGCCGCAACCAAUGCAAACACACAGUUGAUCAUGCAAAUUCUUCAAGAGCGCAAUCAAGGCAACCAAGAGAAUCAAGGCAGCAAUCAGAAUCACUUUGCUACACUCAACCAGUUCCUUGCUAACGGGCCAAAGACUUUCAGCAAUUGUAUUGAGGCAACCGAUGCUGACGAUUGGCUUGUGGAUCUGUGCAAGCAUUUCGAGUGCAGUAACGUCAGGCAUGAGGACUUUGUUAAGUUCGCUUCCUUCCAACUCAAAGAUCAAGCUGCAGAAUGGUUCCAGCAGUACAAGGAUUCCAGAGGUGGACGUGUUAUCACUUGGGAUGAUUUCCGUCGAGAUUUCCGAGCUCGUCAUAUUCCGCAGAGCGUGGUUGAAAGCAAGCAUGAGGAAUUCCGCAAUCUGAAGCAAGGCUCUUUGUCUGUCUAUGACUACAACAAGUUGUUCUAGAAGCUCGCCCGCUUUGCCAAGCAGGACGUCCCUGAUGAGAAGAGCAUGAUAUAUCUGUUCAGGGGUGGUCUCAGAGAAGAAAUUCAGCUAGCUCUUGUUCUCUUUGAGCCCUUGAGAUACGAUGAGUUCUACAACAUGGCACUGAAGCAAGAGGCUGCUCAGUUGAGGUGUGAUGCUUCCAAGAAGCGAGUCAGGGAUGUUACUCCUUCUUCCUCUACUCAAGUGGCCAAGCAGCAGAAGUUUUGGCUUCCUCCUCCUCCGUUCCGUCAGCCGUAUCAGCAGAAGAGCAAAGGUGGCAGUGGUUCUUCCCACCCACCCAACCCUGGCUUUCAGAACAAGACUUCGUCUCAACCUCCAAGAUCGAGUGCUCCAUAUCACCGUCCGCUUUCAGAGGUCACGUGCAACAAGUGCCAACAGAAGGGUCACUAUGCCAACAAGUGUUUCAAUCAGAGACGUCUUCCUCCUCCUCCUCCUCCUGUCAGAUUGGCAAGUACAGCUGUGGUCAAGCAUAACCCCAAGCACGCCAAGGUCAACUUGAUGAAUGCAGCUCAGGCAGAGGACUCGUCAGAUGUGAUCAUGGGUAACCUUCCUGUUAACAAUGUUCCUGCAAAAGUUCUUUUUGACACUAGUGCAUUGCAUUCCUUUUUGUCAUGCCCUUUUGCAUCGAAGCACAAUGUUGAUACAGAGAUUAUGCCCAAAGUCAUGCAAGUUGUUUCUCCCGGCAAGCUUUUGACUUCUAGUUUGGUUGCUCCCGAUAUCUCUAUCACAUUGGGUGAUUACAAGUUUCUCUCUUCUCCGGUGGUUCUGGGUAACUCGGAUAUUGAUCUUAUUCUUGGAAUGGAUUGGCUUUCUAAGCACAAGGCUCAGCUUGAUUGUGCAGCCAGGCAGAUUCAAUUGACUCAUUCGUCUGAGGAUGUAAUUGUCUUUGCCGCUAGUGAUGAUACCAUCCGUCUGUUUUCUCUCAAUGAGAAGGGUGAAUUGGAUGCUAUCUCUCAAAUUCCAGUCGUUUGCGAAUAUCAAGACAUCUUUCCAGAAGAGCUUCCAGGAAUGCCUCCGCACCGGCCAGUUGAAUUCGUUAUUGAUCUUGAGCCUGGCACGGAACCUGUGUGCAAACGUCCUUACAAGCUCGGACCAGAAGAGUUGAAGGAGCUAAAGAAGCAACUCGAUAUUCAAGAGAAAAUGGGUCUCAUCCGGCCUAGUUCUUCUCCGUGGGGUUGUGGUGUUCUUUUUGUGAAGAAGAAGGAUGGAAUGGACCGACUUUGUGUUGAUUACCGUCCAGUGAACAAGAAGACCAUCAAGAACAAAUACCCACUUCCCAACAUCAAUGAGCUGUUCGAACAACUCAAAGGUGCUUGAGUAUUCUCCAAGCUUGAUCUCCGUAUGGGUUAUCAUCAGCUUCGAAUCCGUGAGCAAGAUAUUCCGAAGACGGCUUUCAGGACAAGCUUUGGUUCAUAUGAAUACACUGUCAUGUCUUUUGGCCUCGUCAACACUCCUCCGACGUUUUCUCGCAUGAUGAAUUUCAUCUUCAACGCCUACACCAAUGACUUCGUUCUGGUCUAUCUCGACGACAUUCUGGUUUUCUUGAAGAACAAGGAAGAUCAUGCCAAGCACUUGCGUUUGGUUCUUGAUAAGCUCAGAGAACAUCAGUUCUACGCCAAGUUCUCCAAGUAUGAAUUUUGGCUUGAUGAGGUUCUUUAUCUUGGUCAUAUCAUCUCUGCCAAGGGCAUUGCCGUGAAUCCUAAGAAGGUGUCUGCAAUUGGGAAUUGGGAACCUCUUCAGAACGUGAAGCAACUCCGCAGUUUUCUCGGUCUCGCAAGCUAUUGCUGAAGAUUCGUUGAAAACUUUUCUAAGAUCGCGAAGCCUCUCUCAAAUCUUCUCCAGAAGCACGUCAAGUACGUUUGGUCUCCGGAGUGUGACAUUGCUUUCAACACUUUGAAAGAGAAAUUGAUCACUGCUCCAGUUCUGACUCCGCCUGAUGAAUCCAAGUCGUACGAGGUUUUUUGUGAUGCCUCUCUCCAAGGUCUUGGCACAGUAUUGAUGCAAGAGAAGAAAGUUGUUGCUUAUACCUCUCGCCAAUUGAAGCCUAAUGAGAAGAACUACCCCACUCAUGAUCUUGAGUUGGCGGCAGUUGUGCAUGCUCUUUUGACUUGGAGACACCUUCUAUUGGGAAGAAAAGUGGACAUUUUCACUGAUCACAAGAGUCUCAAGUACAACUUCACUCAGCCUAAUCUCAACCUCAGGCAAACUCGAUGGGUCGAAAUGAUUCAAGAGUAUAAUCCGAGUAUCGAGUAUACUCCAGGCAAGGCCAAUGUGAUUGUUGACGCAUUGAGCAGAAAAGCUUACUGCAACAGUCUGAUUCUUAAGCCUUAUCAACCUGAGCUUUGUGAAGCUUUCCGCAAACUUAAUCUGCAAGUUGUUCCUUAAGGUUUCCUCGCCGACCUUCAAGUCUCUCCUACCCUAGAAUACCAGAUUCGCCAAGCUCAGCUUCUUGAUGCUAUGGUGAAAAAGGUGAAGAUUGGGAUUGCCAAGAGUCAGCCCAAGUACAAGUGCUACCGCCUUGAUGACAAGGACACUCUCUUCUUCGAGGAUCGUAUUGUUGUACCCAAAGGUGAACUUCGUAAAGUGAUCAUGAACGAGGCUCACAAUUCUCUCCUCUCCAUCCACCCUGGUAGCACGAAGAUGUAUCAGGACCUCAAGCAAGCUUAUUGGUGGACUCGAAUGAAGCGCGAGAUCGCUCAAUUCGUGAAUGAAUGUGAUGUCUGCAGAAGAGUGAAGGCAGAACACCAAAGGCCAGCAGGUCUCCUCCAACCUCUUGCCAUUCCAGAAUGGAAGUUUGACCACAUUGAAAUGGACUUCGUGACUGGGUUUCCAAAGUCCAAGCGUGGCAAUGAUGCUAUAUUCAUUGUCAUCGACAAACUCACCAAAGUGGCUCAUUUUCUCCCUAUCAAAGAGUCGAUCACUGCAGCUCAAUUGGCGGAACUCUAUACCUCUCGUAUAGUCUCUCUGCAUGGUAUUCCACAAGUGAUCUCUUCAGACCGUGGCAGCAUCUUUACCUCGAAGUUUUGGGAUUCUUUCCAGAAGGCCAUGGGCACCAACAUCCGCUUCAGCACAGCUUUCCAUCCUCAAACUAGCGGUCAAGUCGAGCGUGUCAACCAGAUUCUUGAAGAUAUGCUCAGGGCUUGUGUGAUCUCCUUCGGCAUGAAAUGGGAGGAUUGUCUUCCUUAUGCUGAAUUCUCCUACAACAACAGUUUUCAAGCAAGUUCAGGCAAAGCCCCAUUUGAAAUUCUGUAUGGCAGGAAGUGUCGUACCCCUCUCAACUGGUCUGAAACCGGUGAACGUCAGCUCUUGGGUAAUGACUUAAUCACAGAGGCAGAGGAAAUGUGCAAAGUCAUUCGUGAUAACCUCAAAGCAGCCCAACCCCAUCAGAAGAGCUACUAUGAUAGUAAGCACCGUGAUUUGGCUUUCGAGAUCGGAGAUCAUGUUUACCUCCGCGUCUCUCCUAUGAAAGGUACUCGUCGCUUCGGUAUCAAAGGGAAGCUUGCCCCUAGAUACGUGGGACCUUUCAAGAUUGUCAGCAAGAGAGGUGACCUCGCCUAUCAACUCGAGCUUCCUUCAAACUUUGCAAAUGUUCAUGACGUGUUCCAUGUCUCUCAGCUUCGAAAGUGCUUCAAGACUCCUGACCGCACAGUCAACUUCGAGGACAUUGAGCUCCAAGAAGAUCUCUCUUAUCGUGAGCACCCAGUUGCUAUUCUUGAAGAGACUGAAUGCAAGACUCGCAACAAGUCAAUCAAAUUUCUCAAAGUCAAGUGGUCACACCAUUCCGACCGUGAAGCUACCUAGGAACGCGAGGAUCACCUCCGUUCUGAGUACCCGGCGUUCUUUCAGUCCUAGAUCUUGGGACGAGAUCCUUUCGUAGUGGUGGAGUGUUGUAACACCCCGGAUGUAACUUUCCCUUUUUGUACUCUAACUCUUGACGUUUCCGGCGUUAAGUUAUAUUUAUUAUCUCGGGUUCGGGUUUUUGUCUCCGUGUGUUGUUGUCAUUGUCAUGCAUCGCAUAUCAUGUCAUCAUGCGCAUUGCAUUUGCAUACGUGUUCAUCUCAUGCAUUCGAGCAUUUUCCCCGUUGUCCGUUUUGCAUUCCGGCGCUUCGUUCUCCUCCGGUGGCCAUUUCUAGCUUUCUUUCAUGUGUGGGGAUUAAACAUUUCCGAAUUGGACCGAGACUUGCCAAGCGGCCUUGGUUUACUACCGGUAGACCGCCUGUCAAGUUUCGUAUCAUUUGGACUUCGUUUGAUACUCCAAAGGUUAACCGAGGGACCGUAAAGGCCUCGUGUGUGUUGCAGCCCAACACCCCUCCAAUUUGGCCCAAAACCUACCAAACUCUACUUCAUCAUCUAGAGCGUUUGAUCACGAUCGCGUGGCCGAAAACCGCACCUCAUUUGGACUCUCAUAGCUCCCUCUAUGCCUAUAUAUACCUCCCCCAUUCCAAAUCUCGGAUCCCCUCGUCAAACCUUCAAAAAAAACCAUCUCCGCCGCCGUCGGACGUGUCCGCACAAGCCGGACAACGUCCGGAUCCGCCUCCGCCAACCGGGAGCCGCCACGUGGGUGCCCCGGACCACAUCACCGCCACUUCCGCCGAGGCCCACUCGGGCCCGAGGCCGGCCCGCCCGCCGCCGAUCNNNNNNNNNNNNNNNNNNNNNNNNNNNNNNNNNNNNNNNNNNNNNNNNNNNNNNNNNNNNNNNNNNNNNNNNNNNNNNNNNNNNNNNNNNNNNNNNNNNNNNNNNNNNNNNNNNNNNNNNNNNNNNNNNNNNNNNNNNNNNNNNNNNNNNNNNNNNNNNNNNNNNNNNNNNNNNNNNNNNNNNNNNNNNNNNNNNNNNNNNNNNNNNNNNNNNNNNNNNNNNNNNNNNNNNNNNNNNNNNNNNNNNNNNNNNNNNNNNNNNNNNNNNNNNNNNNNNNNNNNNNNNNNNNNNNNNNNNNNNNNNNNNNNNNNNNNNNNNNNNNNNNNNNNNNNNNNNNNNNNNNNNNNNNNNNNNNNNNNNNNNNNNNNNNNNNNNNNNNNNNNNNNNNNNNNNNNNNNNNNNNNNNNNNNNNNNNNNNNNNNNNNNNNNNNNNNNNNNNNNNNNNNNNNNNNNNNNNNNNNNNNNNNNNNNNNNNNNNNNNNNNNNNNNNNNNNNNNNNNNNNNNNNNNNNNNNNNNNNNNNNNNNNNNNNNNNNNNNNNNNNNNNNNNNNNNNNNNNNNNNNNNNNNNNNNNNNNNNNNNNNNNNNNNNNNNNNNNNNNNNNNNNNNNNNNNNNNNNNNNNNNNNNCCUCGCCCUCAUCCUCGCCUCUUCUUCUCUCCCGCCGACGAACCGAACCCCGGCUGCUACAGUGCUCGCGCCGUCGCCUCGGAUUGCGUGUAGAUCUGGAAACCCUAGAUCGAAGGUUGAAUUUUCUCAAAGUCCCAGAAUUCCAAUCCAAGUGCUCAUGUUCGUGACUCCGUAACUUUGCAUCCAUAGCCCUGAUUCAUGCAUAUAGCAUAUCAAAAUGUUCACCUCAGAGAGUACAUCAUUUCAUUCCAUUGCAUCAUUUUCAUUUGAGUUCAUCUUGAUGCCCGAAAUGCUGUUAGAAGAGGGCUACUUGAGAUAUUUGUCAGAUCUGCUACUCCAUUUAGCUUUUUGUCAUUUUUGCCAUGAUUAUUGUGUGCAUGAUAUGCCCUGAUGCUCUACAUGUGUUUUGUUAAGGGUUUUGUCAUCUUUCCAGAGGUGCAACCCAUGUAUUUUUGUGAUGUCUGUGGUGACUUGUGCAAGCUUGCAAAGUGGUGCACUUGCUAAUUCUGUUUUCAGGGACUUGGUAAUUUCACUAAGUCCUUGAUCUGUUUAUCUCAUGUUGCCAUAUGUUCAUGUUGUUUCCUAGUGAUCCGUGCCUCUUUUGAGGAUGAUCAGUAAGGAUGUUUUGUUAAUAUUGUAGUGAUCUAUCCAUCCAUGCCUUUGUUUGCAAUUAUGGAGCACCCUAGCUUGAGUCAAUCGAGCUCUACUUUUGCUACUUUGUGAAUAUGGGCAGAUUGUCAACUUGUUUGCAAUUUUGCCGGUGAUGUUGUAGUUGAUCCGUGCAUGCUAUGCUAUUGUUCUUGCCAUGUCUAGCUUGCAUUUUGUGCAUUUUUGAUGGAUGUAUGCUUGUCCUGCCAUGACUUGCACCGUAGUGAGUGCAUCGAGCUCGUAAACAUGCCUACUUGAGUUAUAUUUCAGCAUGUGCCAGUUUUCACUAAGUCUGAAAACUGAUUAUGUUUUUGCUAUGUUCACGUGCUUGCAAUUGUAUUUUCUAAUCCCUUUUGGCUCAAGGUCACUAAGGGACUUUUGUUAAGCUCUUUGAGUAGCUCCAGGCCAUGCUUUACUUUGCCAUGUUCAGGUCCUGUAACAUGUAGUUUUGUGGCUCCGAAGAGGGCUACCUGAUCUGAAAUUCCAGACAAGUGUUAAUUUCACUAAGUCUGAGAUCUGUUUGCAAUAUGCAUUUUUUCCAUGCUUGUUUGAACCUGUUAAUGGAUGAAUUGGCCGUAACUCAGUGCUAGACUUUUUUUAAGCAUCUUGUGUGCAUCCCUUCCAUGUAUUCUGUUGUCAUGUUUGGGUGUUGUAGCAUGUUCAUUUCAUUGCAUUCAGAUGGCUACUUGCUGUAAAUCGCAGACCGGUGUCAUUUUUGAAUCGCUUGCCAUUUCCAAACCGUAACUCCGAUUUCGGCGUUCUUUAUAUCGUUUUCAAGCGAUUUCAUCUCAUCUUUCUAGUGGCACACUUGGUUUUCCAAGUUAAGGCCAGGUUCAUGCAUUUCCUGUCAUAUCUUGCAUUUCGCAUCCCGCAUCGCAUCCCGCAUAGCAUACCAUCUUUGCAUUGCGUUGUUUGAGUUUGCACGUGGUUGAUUGUAUCCUUGUUGCUUGUUUGUCUUGUUUGCGUAGAGCCGGGAGACGAGUUAGCUAACGAGGAGCCCGUUGAGUUUGCUUUCGAGGAUCCAGUCAAUUCUGACAACUGUGCAGGCAAGAUGAUCAUACCCUUGAAAUCACUACUAUCUUUGCUAUGCUAGUUUGCUCGCUCUUUUGCUAUGCCAUUGCUACGAUGCCUACCACUUGCCUUCAAGCCUCCCAAUUGCCAUGACAAACCUCUAGCCCACCAUGUCCUAGCAAACCGUUGAUUGGCUAUGUUACCGCUUUGCUCAGCCCCUCUUAUAGCGUUGCUAGUUGCAGGUGAAGAUUGAAGACCGUUCCUUGUUGGAACAUCUUUUAUUUACUUGUUGUGAUAUCAUUAUAUUGCCAUGUUAUCUUAAUGCAUCUAUAUACUUGGUAAAGGGUGGAAGGCUCGGCCUCUCUCCUAGUGUUUUGCUCCACUCUUGCUGCCCUAGUUUCCGUCAUAUCGGUGUUAUGUUCCCGGAUUUUGCAUUCCUUACGCGGUUGGGUUAUAAUGGGAACCCCUUGAUAGUUCACCUUGAUUAAAGCUUUUCCAGCAAUGCCCAACCUUGGUUUUACCAUUCGCCACCUAGCCUAUUUUUCCCUUGGGUUUCCGGAGCCCGAGGGUCAUCUUAUUUUAGCCCCCCCCCCCGGGCCAGUGCUCCUCUGAGUGUUGGUCCGACCGAGUAGACUGCGGGGCCACCUCGGGGCAACUUGAGGGUUGGUUUUACUCGUAGGAUGUCUCAUAUGAGUGUGCCCUCAGAACGAGAUAUGUGCAGCUCCUAUCGGGAUUUGUAAGCACAUUCGGGCGGUGUUGCUAGUCUUGUUUUAACCUGUCGAAGUGUCUUGAAUUACCGAGAUACCGAGCCUGAUCGGAACGUCUUGGGAGGAGGUCUAUUCCUUCGUUGACCGUGGGAGCUUGUCAUGGGCUAAGUUGGGACUCCCCUGUAGGGAUUUGAACUUUCGAAAGCCGUGCCCGCGGUUAUGGGCAGAUGGGAAUUUGUUAAUGUCCGGUUGUAGAUAACUUGAACUUUAAUUAAUUAAAAUGAAUCAACUGAGUGUGUUAACGUGAUGGCCCCUUCUCGGCGGAGUCCGCGAAGUGGACACGGUGUUGGAGUAAUGUUUGCGCAGGUGGUUCUAUAGUUUCUCGCACGCGCUUUGCCUCCUCUUCUCGCUCUCUUUUGCGAAUAAGUUAGCCACCAUACUUGCUAGUCGCUUGCUGCAGCUCCACUUAUAUUUACCUUGCCAUACCUAUAAGCUUAAAUAGUCUUGAUCACGAGGGUGCGAGAUUGUUGAGUCCCUGUGGCUCAUAGAUUACUAUUACACCAGAUGCAGGGCAUGAUGAUUCCGCUCCAGGAGACGCGUAUGAGCUCAAGUGGGAGUUCGACGAAGACUCUCAACGUUACUAUGUUUCCUUUCCCGAUGUUCAGUAGUGGUGCCCAGUUGGAGGUGAUUGGGACCGUGUCGCUUGUUGGGUUAUCUUUUAUUUUGGCUCCGUAGUCAGGCCAUGAGUGUUUGAAUGAUGUAAUGUUAUUUAUGUACCUUGAUUGACGUGGCGGGUGUAAGCCAACUAUGUUAUCUCCCCUUUAUUAUUCAUUUUACAUGGGAUGUUGUGAAGAUUGCCUAACUUGCGACAUAUGCCUUCAAUGCGAUUAUGCCUCUAAGUCGUGCCUCGACACGUGGGAGAUAUAGUCGCAUCGAGGGUGUUACAAGUUGGUAAUCAGAGCCUUCCCCGACCUUAGGAGCCCCAUUGCUUGAUCGUUUUUAGGGCCGAGUUGUGUCUAGAAAAAAUGGUUUGAAUCUUUUAGGAAUUAUAUAUCGGAGAGUUUAGGAAUUCUUUUUAUUUCCCAGUCUCCUCAUCGCUCUGGUAAGGCAUCCUGACGUAGAGUUUUGACUCUUCUCUUCUCAAAUUUCACUAAAAAAAUUUAGGAUCACGCGGGUAUCUUGGAAUCGUUCCGAUGGUUUUAUGAUGAGAACAUUGACUUGGUGCCUCCUGUCAGGGGUUUAGUGGAAGUGUCCCGGGGAGUUGAGCUCUGAGGUGUUGUCAUCAUAAUUUUAUCGUAGCAGUUCUGGAAUACCUGAGUUCAGUACGCCGACAUCGAAAAUCUCUUUUAUGCAGUUCGUUGGUGAGAUAACCUCGACGCCACCCAGUACUGGGGCGGGAGUUCGGGAGUAUCGCCAUAACUUGUAUAACGGAUGCUUUUCGAAGGUUGAGGUAGAUGAUUUCCGAAGGUUUCUUGGUUAUGUGUUGAAGGAUGGAUACAGCUGGAUGUAGGAAUUGCUAGUUUGGGUGAGAUAUUAUGCUUCCCCUGUAUCCCCAACACCUGAUUGCAUAACCGGAAAGGUUCGGGAGUUUCAUAGGUGGGAAUUCUAGUAGCUCUAGUUCUUCUUCCACGGAUAUUGGUUUGAGAUUGGGAUUUCUUACCGAUUAUUCGUUCUUGAUCUGUACCUUGUUGAUUUAUUUCUCUACCUUAAUUUUAUGUGGCUUCUCAAUUUAUGGAUAUGUGACCAUUUCAAGAGGAAUGCAUUCGUUCAUUUUGUUCGGAUGUGAAGACUAUAUGUUGCAAUUUUCAUUCCGUUGGAUUCAGCUUCAAUAUUUCUUUGUCAAUGUGCUAAUGGUGGUCAACCUCUUUAGGAUGGCUCCUCCAACGCACACGACUCUGAAUCCUGAUCCGCCACCACCUCCACCUCCUCCAGAGGCAUGGCAAGCUGUGAUGGCCGCAACCAAUGCAAACACACAGUUGAUCAUGCAAAUUCUUCAAGAGCGCAAUCAAGGCAACCAAGGGAAUCAAGGCAGCAAUCAGAAUCACUUUGCUACACUCAACCAGUUCCUUGCUAACGGGCCAAAGACUUUCAGCAAUUGUGUUGAGGCAACCGAUGCUGACGAUUGGCUUGUGGAUCUAUGCAAGCAUUUCGAGUGCAGUAACGUCAGGCCUGAGGACUUUGUUAAGUUCGCUUCCUUCCAACUCAAAGAUCAAGCUGCAGAAUGGUUCCAGCAGUACAAGUAUUCCAGAGGUGGACGUGUUAUCACUUGGGAUGAUUUCCGUCGAGAUUUCCGAGCUCAUCAUAUUCCGCAGAGCGUGGUUGAAAGCAAGCAUGAGGAAUUCCGCAAUCUGAAGCAAGGCUCUUUGUCUGUCUAUGACUACAACAAGUUCUUCCAGAAGCUCGCCCGCUUUGCCAAGCAGGACGUCCCUGAUGAGAAGAGCAUGAUAUAUCAGUUCAGGGGUGGUCUCAGAGAAGAAAUUCAGCUAGCUCUUGUUCUCUUUGAGCCCUUGAGAUACGAUGAGUUCUACAACAUGGCACUGAAGCAAGAGGCUGCUCAGUUGAGGUGUGAUGCUUCCAAGAAGCGAGUCAGGGAUGUUACUCCUUCUUCCUCUACUCAAGUGGCCAAGCAGCAGAAGUUUUGGCUUCCUCCUCCUCCGUUCCGUCAGCCGUAUCAGCAAAAGAGCAAAGGUGGCAGUGGUUCUUCCCACCCACCCAACCCUGGCUUUCAGAACAAGACUUCGUCUCAACCUCCAAGAUCGAGUGCUUCGUAUCACCGUCCGCUUUCAGAGGUCACGUGCAACAAGUGCCAACAGAAGGGUCACUAUGCCAACAAGUGUUUCAACCAGAGACGUCUUCCUCCUCCUCCUCCUCCUGUCAGAUUGGCAAGUACAGCUGUGGUCAAGCAUAACCCCAAGCACGCCAAGGUCAACUUGAUGAAUGCAGCUCAGGCAGAGGACUCGUCAGAUGUGAUCAUGGGUAACCUUCCUGUUAACAAUGUUCCUGCAAAAGUUCUUUUUGACACUAGUGCAUCACAUUCCUUUUUGUCAUGCCCUUUUGCAUCGAAGCACAAUGUUGAUACAGAGAUUAUGCCCAAAGUCAUGCAAGUUGUUUCUCCCGGCAAGCUUUUGACUUCUAGUUUGGUUGCUCCCGAUAUCUCUAUCACAUUGGGUGAUUACAAGUUUCUCUCUUCUCCGGUGGUUCUGGGUAACUCGGAUAUUGAUCUUAUUCUCGGAAUGGAUUGGCUUUCUAAGCACAAGGCCCAGCUUGAUUGUGCAGCAGGCAGAUUCAAUUGACUCAUUCGUCUGAGGAUGUAAUUGUCUUUGCCGCUAGUGAUGAUACCAUCCGUCUGUUUUCUCUCGAUGAGAAGGGUGAAUUGGAUGCUAUCUCUCAAAUUCCAGUCAUUUGCGAAUAUCAAGAUGUCUUUUCAGAAGAGCUUCCAGGAAUGCCUCCGCACCGGCCAGUUGAAUUCGUUAUUGAUCUUGAGCCUGGCACGGAACCUGUGUGCAAACGUCCUUACAAGCUCGGACCAGAAGAGUUGAAGGAGCUAAAGAAGCAACUCGAUAUUCAAGAGAAAAUGGGUCUCAUCCGGCCUAGUUCUUCUCCGUGGGGUUGUGGUGUUCUUUUUGUGAAGAAGAAGGAUGGAACGGACCGACUUUGUGUUGAUUACCGUCCAGUGAACAAGAAGACCAUCAAGAACAAAUACCCACUUCCCAACAUCAAUGAGUUGUUCGAACAACUCAAAGGUGCUCGAGUAUUCUCCAAGCUUGAUCUCCAUAUGGGUUAUCAUCAAAUUCGAAUCCGUGAGCAAGAUAUUCCGAAGACGGCUUUCACGACAAGCUUUGGUUCAUAUGAAUACACUGUCAUGUCUUUUGGCCUCGUCAACGCUCCUCCGACGUUUUCUCGCAUGAUGAAUUUCAUCUUCAACGCCUACACCAAUGACUUCCUUUUGGUCUAUCUCGACGACAUUCUGGUUUUCUUGAAGAACAAGGAAGAUCAUGCCAAGCACUUGCGUUUGGUUCUUGAUAAGCUCAGAGAACAUCAGUUCUACGCCAAGUUCUCCAAGUGUGAAUUUUGGCUUGAUGAGGUUCUUUAUCUUGGUCAUAUCAUCUCUGCCAAGGGCAUUGCCGUGAAUCCUGAGAAGGUGUCUGCAAUUGGGAAUUGGGAACCUCCUCAGAACGUGAAGCAACUCCGCAGUUUUCUCGGUCUCGCAAGCUAUUGCCGAAGAUUCGUUGAAAACUUUUCUAAGAUCGCGAGGCCUCUCUCAAAUCUUCUCCAGAAGCACGUCAAGUACGUUUGGUCUCCGGAGUGUGACAUUGCUUUCAACACUUUGAAAGAGAAAUUGAUCACUGCUCCAGUUCUGACUCCGCCUGAUGAAUCCAAGUCGUACGAGGUUUUUUGUGAUGCCUCUCUCCAAGGUCUUGGCACAGUAUUGAUGCAAGAGAAGAAAGUUGUUGCUUAUACCUCUCGCCAAUUGAAGCCUAAUGAGAAGAACUACCCCACUCAUGAUCUUGAGUUGGCGGCAGUUGUGCAUGCUCUUUUGACUUGGAGACAUCUUCUAUUGGGAAGAAAAGUGGACAUUUUCACUGAUCACAAGAGUCUCAAGUACAACUUCACUCAGCCUAAUCUCAACCUCAGGCAAACUCGAUGGGUCGAAAUGAUUCAAGAGUAUAAUCCGAGUAUCGAGUAUACUCCAGGCAAGGCCAAUGUGAUUGCUGACGCAUUGAGCAGAAAAGCUUACUGCAACAGUCUGAUUCUUAAGCCUUAUCAACCCGAGCUUUGUGAAGCUUUCCGCAAACUUAAUCUGCAAGUUGUUCCUCAAGGUUUCCUCGCCGACCUUCAAGUCUCUCCUACCUUAGAAGACCAGAUUCGCCAAGCUCAGCUUCUUGAUGCUAUGGUGAAAAAGGUGAAGAUUGGGAUUGCCAAGAGUCAGCCCAAGUACAAGUGCUACCGCCUUGAUGACAAGGACACUCUCUUCUUUGAGGAUCGUAUUGUUGUACCCAAAGGUGAACUUCGUAAAGUGAUCAUGAACGAGGCUCACAAUUCUCACCUCUCCAUCCACCCUGGUAGCACGAAGAUGUAUCAGGACCUCAAGCAAGCUUAUUGGUGGACUCGAAUGAAGCGCGAGAUCGCUCAAUUCGUGAAUGAAUGUGAUGUCUGCAGAAGAGUGAAGGAAGAACACCAAAGGCCAGCAGGUCUUCUCCAACCUCUUGCCAUUCCAGAAUGGAAGUUUGACCACAUUGAAAUGGACUUCGUGACUGGGUUUCCAAAGUCCAAGUGUGGCAAUGAUGCUAUAUUCGUUGUCAUCGACAAACUCACCAAAGUGGUUCAUUUUCUGCCUAUCAAAGAGUCGAUCACUGCAGCUCAAUUGGCGGAACUCUAUACCUCUCGUAUUGUCUCUCUGCACGGUAUUCCACAAGUGUUCUCUUCAGACUGUGGCAGCAUCUUUACCUCGAAGUUUUGGGAUUCUUUCCAGAAGGCCAUGGGCACCAACAUCCGCUUCAGCACAGCUUUCCAUCCUCAAACUAGCGGUCAAGUCGAGCGUGUCAACCAGAUUCUUGAAGAUAUGCUCAGGGCUUGUGUGAUCUCCUUUGGCAUGAAAUGGGAGGAUUGUCUUCCUUAUGCUGAAUUCUCCUACAACAACAGUUUUCAAGCAAGUUCAGGCAAAGCCCCAUUUGAAAUUCUGGAUGGUAGGAAGUGUCGUACCCCUCUCAGCUGGUCUGAAACCGGUGAACGUCAGCUCUUGGGUAAUGACUUAAUCACAGAGGCAGAGGAAAUGUGCAAAGUCAUUCGUGAUAACCUCAAAGCAGCCCAAUCCCGUCAGAAGAGCUACUAUGAUAGUAAGCACCGUGAUUUGGCUUUCGAGAUCGGAGAUCAUGUUUACCUCCGCGUCUCUCCUAUGAAAGGUACUCGUCGCUUCGGUAUCAAAGGGAAGCUUGCCCCUAGAUACGUGGGACCUUUCAAGAUUGUCAGCAAGAGAGGCGCCUCGCCUAUCAACUCGAGCUUCCUUCAAACUUUGCAAAUGUUCAUGACGUGUUCCAUGUCUCUCAGCUUCGAAAGUGCUUCAAGACUCCUGACCGCACAGUCAACUUCGAGGACAUUGAGCUCCAAGAAGAUCUCUCUUAUCGUGAGCACCCAGUUGCUAUUCUUGAAGAGACUGAACGCAUGACUCGCAACAAGUCUAUCAAAUUUCUCAAAGUCAAGUGGUCACACCAUUCCGACCGUGAAGCUACCUAGGAAUGCGAGGAUCACCUCCGUUCUGAGUACCCGGCGUUCUUUCAGUCCUAGAUCUUGGGACGAGAUCCUUUCGUAGUGGUGGAGUGUUGUAACACCCCGGGUGUAACUUUCCCUUUUUGUACUCCAACUCUUGCCGUUUCUGGCGUUAAGUUAUAUUUAUUAUCUCGGGUUCGGGUUUUUGUCUCCGUGUGUUGUUGUCAUUGUCAUGCAUCACAUAUCAUGUCAUCAUGCGCAUUGCAUUUGCAUACGUGUUCGUCUCAUGCAUUCGAGCAUUUUCCCCGUUGUCCGUUUUGCAUUCCGGCGCUUCGUUCUCCUCUGGUGGCCAUUUCUAGCUUUCUUUCAUGUGUGGGGAUUAAACAUUUCCGGAUUGGACCGAGACUUGCCAAGCGGCCUUGGUUUACUACCGGUAGACCGCCUGUCAAGUUUCGUAUCAUUUGGACUUCGUUUGAUACUCCAACGGUUAACCGAGGGACCGUAAAGGCCUCGUGUGUGUUGCAGCCCAACACCCCUCCAAUUUGGCCCAAACCCACCAAACUCUACUCCAUCAUCUAGAGCAUUCGAUCACGAUCACCUGGCCGAAAACUGCACCUUAUUUGGACUCUCCUAGCUCCCUCUAUGCCUAUAUAUACCUCUCCCAUUCCAAAUCUCGGAUCCCCUAGUCAAACCCUAAAAAAACCAUCUCCGUCGCCGCCGGACGUGUCCGCACAAGCCGGACAACGUCCGGAUCCGCCUCCGCCAACCGGGAGCCGCCACGUGGGUGCCCCGGACCACAUCACCGCCACUUCCGCCGAGGCCCACUCGGGCCCGAGGCCGGCCCGCCCGCCGCCGAUCCGGGCCAGAGGCCGCGCGCCUCGCCCGCGCCUUCUUCCCCGCAGUCGCGCCGCCUCCCCGCCGCCUNNNNNNNNNNNNNNNNNNNNNNNNNNNNNNNNNNNNNNNNNNNNNNNNNNNNNNNNNNNNNNNNNNNNNNNNNNNNNNNNNNNNNNNNNNNNNNNNNNNNNNNNNNNNNNNNNNNNNNNNNNNNNNNNNNNNNNNNNNNNNNNNNNNNNNNNNNNNNNNNNNNNNNNNNNNNNNNNNNNNNNNNNNNNNNNNNNNNNNNNNNNNNNNNNNNNNNNNNNNNNNNNNNNNNNNNNNNNNNNNNNNNNNNNNNNNNNNNNNNNNNNNNNNNNNNNNNNNNNNNNNNNNNNNNNNNNNNNNNNNNNNNNNNNNNNNNNNNNNNNNNNNNNNNNNNNNNNNNNNNNNNNNNNNNNNNNNNNNNNNNNNNNNNNNNNNNNNNNNNNNNNNNNNNNNNNNNNNNNNNNNNNNNNNNNNNNNNNNNNNNNNNNNNNNNNNNNNGCCGCCGCGCCGUGUCCGCCGCCCGGAGCCGCCGCCUCCUCGACGCCGGCAAGCUCCACCGCCGCCGGCCGCCCUCGCCCUCGUCCUCGCCUCUUCUUCUCUCCCGCCGACGAACCGAACCCCGGCUGCUACAGUGCUCGCGCCGCCGCCUCGCAUUGCGUGUAGAUCUGGAAACCCUAGAUCGGAGGUUGAAUUUUCUCAAAGUCCCAGAAUUCCGAUCCAAGUGCUCAUGUUCGUGACUCCGUAACUUUGCAUCCGUAGCUCCGAUUCAUGCAUACAGCAUAUCAAAAUGUUCAUAUCAGAGAGUACAUCAUUUCAUUCCAUUGCAUCAUUUUCAUUUGAGUUCAUCUUGAUGCCCGAAAUGCUGUUAGAAGAGGGCUACUUGAGAUAUUUGUCAGAUCUGCUACUCCAUUUAGCUUUUUGUCAUUUUUGCCAUGAUUAUUGUGUGCAUGAUAUGCCCUGAUGCUCUACAUGUGUUUUGUUAAGGGUUUUGUCAUCUUUCCAUAUGUUCAUGUUGUUUCCUAGUGAUCCGUGCCUCUUUUGAGGAUGAUCAGUAAGGAUGUUUUGUUAAUAUUGUAGUGAUCUAUCCAUCCAUGCCUUUUUUUCAAUUAUGGAGCACCCUAGCUUGAGUCAAUCGAGCUCUACUUUUGCUACUUUGUGAAUCUGGGCAGAUUGUCAACUUGUUUGCAAUUUUGCCGGUGAUGUUGUAGUUGGUCCGUGCAUGCUAUGCUAUUGUUCUUGCCAUGUCUAGCUUGCAUUUUGUGCAUUGUUGAUGGAUGUAUGCUUGUCUUGCCAUGACUUGCACCGUAGUGAGUGCAUCGAGCUCGUAAACAUGCCUACUUGAGUUAUAUUUCAGCAUGUGCCAGUUUUCACUAAGUCUGAAAACUGAUUAUGUUUUUGCUAUGUUCACGUGCUUGCAAUUGUAUUUUCUGAUCCCUUUUGGCUCAAGGUCACUAAGGGACUUUUGUUAAGCUCUUUGAGUAGCUCCAGGCCAUGCUUUACUUUGCCAUGUUCAGGUCCUGUAACAUGUAGUUUUGUGGCUCCGAAGAGGGCUACCUGAUCUGAAAUUCCAGACAAGUGUUAAUUUCACUAAGUCUGAGAUCUGUUUGCAAUAUGCAUUUUUGCCAUGCUUGUUUGAACCUGUUAAUGGAUGAAUUGGCCGUAACUCAGUGCUAGACUUUUGUUAAGCAUCUUGUGUGCAUCCCUUCCAUGUAUUUUGUUGUCAUGUUUGGGUGCUGUAGCAUGUUCAUUUCGUUGCAUUUAGAUGGCUACUUGCUGUAAAUCACAGACCGGUGUCAUUUUUGAAUCGCUUGCCAUUUCCAAACCGUAACUCCGAUUCCGGCGUUCUUUAUAUCUUUUUCAAGCGAUUUCAUCUCAUCUUUCCAGUGGAAUACUUGGUUUUCCAAGUUGAGGCCAGGUUCAUGCAUUUCCUGCCAUAUCUUGCAUUUCGCAUCCCGCAUAGCAUACCAUCUUUGCAUUGCGUUGUUUGAGUUUGCACGUGGUUGAUUGUAUCCUUGUUGCUUGUUUGUCUUGUUUGGGUAGAGCUGGGAGACGAGUUCGCUAACGAGGAGCCCGUUGAGUUUGCUUUCGAGGAUCCAGUCAAUUCUGACAACUGUGCAGGCAAGAUGAUCAUACCCUCGAAAUCACUACUAUCUUUGCUAUGCUAGUUUGCUCGCUCUUUUGCUAUGCCAUUGCUACGAUGCCUACCACUUGCCUUCAAGCCUCCCAAUUGCCAUGACAAACCUCUAACCCACCAUGUCCUAGCAAACCGUUGAUUGGCUAUGUUACCGCUUUGCUCAGCCCCUCUUAUAGCGUUGCUAGUUGCAGGUGAAGAUUGAAGAUCGUUCCUUGUUGGAACAUCUUUUAUUUACUUGUUGGGAUAUCAUUAUAUUGCCAUGUUAUCUUAAUGCAUCUAUAUAGUUGGGAAAGGGUGGAAGGCUCGGCCUCUCGCCUAGUGUUUUGUUCCACUCUUGCUGCCCUAGUUUCCGUCAUAUCGGUGUUAUGUUCCCGGAUUUUGCGUUCCUUAUGCGGUUGGGUUAUAAUGGGAACCCCUUGAUAGUUCGCCUUGAUUAAAGCUUUUCCAGCAAUGCCCAACCUUGGUUUUACCAUUCGCCACCUAGCCUNNNNNNNNNNNNNNNNNNNNNNNNNNNNNNNNNNNNNNNNNNNNNNNNNNNNNNNNNNNNNNNNNNNNNNNNNNNNNNNNNNNNNNNNNNNNNNNNNNNNNNNNNNNNNNNNNNNNNNNNNNNNNNNNNNNNNNNNNNNNNNNNNNNNNNNNNNNNNNNNNNNNNNNNNNNNNNNNNNNNNNNNNNNNNNNNNNNNNNNNNNNNNNNNNNNNNNNNNNNNNNNNNNNNNNNNNNNNNNNNNNNNNNNNNNNNNNNNNNNNNNNNNNNNNNNNNNNNNNNNNNNNNNNNNNNNNNNNNNNNNNNNNNNNNNNNNNNNNNNNNNNNNNNNNNNNNNNNNNNNNNNNNNNNNNNNNNNNNNNNNNNNNNNNNNNNNNNNNNNNNNCCAGUGCUCCUCUGAGUGUUGGUCCGACCGAGUAGACUGCGGGGCCACCUCAGGGCAACUUGAGGGUUGGUUUUACUCGUAGGAUGUCUCAUCUGAGUGUGCCCUGAGAACGAGAUAUGUGCAGCUCCUAUCGGGAUUUGUCGGCACAUUCGGGCGGUGUUGAUGGUCUUGUUUUAACCUGUCGAAGUGUCUUGAAUUACCGAGAUACCGAGCCUGAUCGGAACGUCUUGGGAGGAGGUCUAUUCCUUCGUUGAGCGUGAGAGCUUGUCAUGGGCUAAGUUGGGACUCCCCUGCAGGGAUUUGAACUUUCGAAAGCCGUGCCCGCGGUUAUGGGCAGAUGGGAAUUUGUUAAUGUCCGGUUGUAGAUAACUUGAACUUUAAUUAAUUAAAAUGAAUCAACUGAGUGUGUUACCAUGAUGGCCCCUUCUCGGCGGAGUCCGGGAAGUGGACACGGUGUUGGAGUAAUGUUUGCCCAGGUGGUUCUCUAGUUUCUUGCACGCGCUUUGCCUCCUCUUCUCGCUCUCUUUUGCGAAUAAGUUAGCCACCAUACUUGCUAGUCGUUUGCUGCAGCUCCACUUAUAUUUACCUUGCCAUACCUAUAAGCUUAAAUAGUCUUGAUCGCGAGGGUGCGAGAUUGCUGAGUCCCUGUGGCUCACAGAUUACUAUUACACCAGAUGCAGGGCCUGAUGAUUCCGCUCCAGGAGACGCGUAUGAGCUCAAGUGGGAGUUCGACGAAGACUCUCAACGUUACUAUGUUUCCUUUCCCGAUGUUCAGUAGUGGUGCCUAGUUGGGGGUGAUUGGGACCGUGUCGCUUGUUAGGUUAUCUUUUAUUUUGGCGUCGUAGUCGGGCCAUGAGUGUUUGGAUGAUGUAAUGUUAUUUAUGUACCUUGAUUGACGUGGCGGGUGUAAGCCAACUAUGUUAUCUCCCCUUUAUUAUUCAUAUUACAUGGGAUGUUGUGAAGAUUGCCUAACUUGCGACAUAUGCCUUCAAUGCGAUUAUGCCUCUAAGUCGUGCCUCGACACGUGGGAGAUAUAGUCGCAUCGAGGGUGUUACAGUUACAAGGUGUGAAAUUGAGUAAGACUCAAUCCCUGACCAAUGCAGAAGAUAGAGAGAAAAUGAAAGAUGUUCCCUAUGCUUCAGCCAUAGGCUCUAUCAUGUAUGCAAUGCUGUGUACCAGACCUGAUGUGUGUCUUGCUAUAAGUCUAGCAGGGAGGUACCAAAGUAAUCCAGGAGUGGAUCACUGGACAGCGGUCAAGAACAUCCUGAAAUACCUGAAAAGGACUAAGGAUAUGUUUCUCAUAUAUGGAGGUGACAAAGAGCUCAUCAUAAAUGGUUACGUUGAUGCAAGCUUUGACACUGAUCCGGACGAUUCUAAAUCGCAAACCGGAUACGUGUUUACAUUAAACGGUGGAGCUGUCAGUUGGUGCAGUUCUAAACAAAGCGUUAUGGCGGGAUCUACAUGUGCAGUGGAGUACAUAGCUGCUUCGGAAGCAGCAAACGAAGGAGUCUGGAUGAAGGAGUUCAUAUCCGAUCUAGGUGUCAUACCUAGUGCAUCAGGUCCAAUGAAAAUCUUUUGUGACAAUACUGGUGCAAUUGCCUUGGCAAAGGAAUCCAGAUUUCACAAAAGAACCAAGCACAUCAAGAGACGCUUCAAUUCCAUCCGGGAUCUAGUCCAGGGGGAGACAUAGAGAUUUGCAACAUACAUACGGAUCUGAAUAUAGCAGACCCGUUGACUAAGCCUCUUCCACGAGCAAAACAUGAUCAGCACCAAAGCUCCAUGGGUGUUAGAAUCAUUACUGUGUAAUCUAGAUUAUUGACUCUAGUGCAAGUGGGAGACUGAAGGAAAUAUGCCCUAGAGGCGAUAAUAAUGUUAUUAUUUUAUUUCCUUAUAUCAUGAUAAAUGUUUAUUAUUCAUGCUAGAAUUGUAUUAUCCGGAAACAUAAUACUUGUGUGAAUACAUAGACAAACCAAACGUCACUAGUAUGCCUCUACUUGACUAGCUCGUUAAUCGAAGAUGGUUAUGUUUCCUAACCAUAGACAUAUGUUGUCAUUUGAUUAAUGGGAUCACAUCAUUAGGAGAAUGAUGUGAUUGACAUGACCCAUUCCAUUAGCUUAGCACCCGAUCGUUUAAUAUGUUGCUAUUGCUUUCUUCAUGACUUAUACAUGUUCCUAUGACUAUGAGAUUAUGCAAUUCCCGUUUGCUAGAGGAACACUUUGUGUGCUACCAAACGUCACAACGUAACUGGGUGAUUAUAAAGGAGCUCUACAGGUGUCUCCAAAGGUACAUGUUGGGUUGGCGUGUUUCGAGAUUAGGAUUUGUCACUCCGAUUGUCGGAGAGGUAUCUCUGGGCCCUCUCGGUAAUGCACAUCACAUAAGCCUUGCAAGCAUUACAACUAAUGAGUUAGUUGCAAGAUGAUGUAUUACGAAAUGAGUAAAGAGACUUGCCGGUAACGAGAUUGAACUAGGUAUUGAGAUACCGACGAUCGAAUCUCGGGCAAGUAACAUACCGAUGACAAAGGGAACAACGUAUGUUGUUAUGCGGUCUGACCGAUAAAGAUCUUCGUAGAAUAUGUGGGAGCCAAUAUGAGCAUCCAGGUUCCGCUAUUGGUUAUUGACCGGAGACGUGUCUCGGUCAUGUCUACAUUGUUCUCGAACCCGUAGGGUCCGCACGCUUAAGGUUUUGAUGACAGUUAUAUUAUGAGUUUAUGCAUUUUGAUGUACCGAAGUUUUUUCGGAGUCCCGAAUGUGAUCACGGACAUGACGAGGAGUCUCGAAAUGGUCGAGACAUAAAGAUUGAUAUAUUGGAAGCCUAUAUUUGGAUAUCGGAAGUGUUCCGGGUGAAAUCGGGAUUUUACCGGAGUACCGGGAGGUUACCGGAACCCCCCGGGAGGUAUAUGGGCCUUAGUGGGCUUUAGUGGAAGAGAGGAGAGGUGGCCAGGGCUGGACUGCGCGCCCCUCCCCCCCUAGUCCGAAUAGGACAAGGAGAGGGGGGCGGCGCCCCCUUCCUUCUCUCUCUCCUCUUUCCCCCUCCCGAAUCCUAUUCCAACUAGGAAAGGGGGGAAUCCUACUCCCGGUGGGAGUAGGACUCCUCCUGGCGCGCCCUCCUCCUAGCCGGCCGCACCUCCCCCUGCUCCUUUAUAUACGGGGGCAGGGGGCACCCCUAGAAACACAAGUUGAUCCACGUGAUCAUAUUCUUAGCCGUGUGCGGUGCCCCCUUCCACCAUAAUCCUCGAUAAUAUUGUAGCGGUGCUUAGGCGAAGCCCUGCAACGGUAGUACAUCAAGAUCGUCAUCACGCCGUCGUGCUGACGGAACUCUUCCCCAACACUUUGCUGGAUCGGAGUCCGAGGAUCGUCAUCGAGCUGAACGUGUGCUAGAACUCGGAGGUGCCGUAGUUUCGGUGCUUGAUCGGUUGGGCCGUGAAGACGUAUGACUACAUCAACCGUGUUGUGCUAACGCUUCUGUUGUCGGUCUACAAGGGUAUGUAGAUCACACUCUCCCCUCUCGUUGCUAUGCAUCACCAUGAUCUUGCGUGUGCGUAGGAAAUUUUUUGAAAUUACUACGUUCCCCAACAGUGCUAUCGUACAUCCACGUUGAUGGAGACUCCCACGGAGGGUAACGGUUGCGCGAGUCCACGGAGGGCUCCACCCACGAAGGGUCCAUGAAGAAACAACCUUGUCUAUUCCAUCACGGCCGUCGCCCACGAAGGACUUGCCUCACUAGCGGUAGAUCUUCACAAAGUAGGCGAUCUCCUUGCCCUUACAAACUCCUUGGUUCAACUCCACAAUCUUGUCGGAGGCUCCCAAGUGACACCUAGCCAAUCUAGGAGACACCACUCUCCAAGAAGUAACAAAUGGUGUGUUGAUGAUGAACUCCUUGCUCUUGUGCUUCCAAUGAUAGUCUCCCCAACACUCAACUCUCUCCCACAGGAUUUGGAUUUGGUGGAAAGAAGAUUUGAGUGGAAAGCAACUUGGGGAAGGCUAGAGAUCAAGAUUGAUAUGGUUGGAAUGGAAUAUCUUGACCUCAACACAAGUGUAGGUGGUUCUCUCUCAGAAAAUGUGUAUUGGAAGUGUAGGUAUGUUCUGAUGGCUCUCUCCACGAAUGAAGAGUGGGUGGAGGGGUAUAUAUAGCCUCCACACAAAAUCUAACCGUUACACACAAUUUUCCAAACUCGGUGGGACCGAAUGGUUAAACUUGGUCGGACCGAUUCAGCAAACCUAGUGACUGUUAGGAUUUUCGGUGGGACUGAGAUGCAACUCGGUAGGACCGAUAAGGUUAGGGUUAGGGCAUAAUGUAAUCUCGCUGUGACCGAUUACACAAACUCGGUAGGACCGAUUUUGGUAAUAAGCUAACCAGAGAGUUGGUCAGGUAAACUCGGUGGGACCGAUUCGCUCAUCUCAGUGAGACCUAAGUGUUACAAAAGGGAAACAGAGAGUUUACAUUGCAAUCUCAGUGGGACCGAUCGCUCAUCUCGGUAAGACCGAAACGUUACGAAGGAAAACAGAGAGAUUACAAUCCCAUCUCGGUGAGAUCGAGAUCCCUAUCGGUGAGACCGAUUUGCCUAGGGUUUGUGGCAGUGGCUAUGACAUUUGAAACUCGGUGGCGCCGGAUAGAAAGAAUCGGUGGGGCCGAGAUUGACUUUUGGUUUAGGUCAUAUGUGGAUGUGGGAAGGUAGUUGAGGGUUUUGGAGCAUAUCACUAAGCAUUUUGAGCAAGCAAGCCAUUAAGCAACACCUCAUCCCUCCUUGAUAGUAUUGACUUUUCCUAUAGACUCAAUGUGAUCUUGGAUCACUAAAAUAUAAAAUGUAGAGUCUUGAGCUUCAAGCUUGAGCCAAACUUUUUGUCCUUAGAAUUUUGAGGGAUCCACUUUCCUCAUCCAUGCCAUGCCAUUCAUUGAGCUUUUCCUGAAAUAUUAAUCUUGGAAUAAUGUUAGCUCAAUGAGCUAUAUGUUGUUAGGAAUUACCAAAACCACCCAGGGAUAGUUGCACUUUCAAGAUCUAUUCGAUGUAACUCUUUUUGCGGUGUGUUUGUCGAGAUCCGAUGAAUUGUGGGUUUAUGAUCAAGUCUAUCUAUGAACAAUAUUUGAUUCUUCUCUGAAAUAUUUUAUGCAUGAUUGGUUAUCUUUGCAAGUCUCUUCGAAUUAUCAGUUUGGUUUGGCCUACUAGAUUGAUCGUUCUUGCAAUGGGAGAAGUGCUUAGCUUUGGGUCCAAUCUUGCGGUGCUCGAUCCCAGUGACAGAAAGGGAAACGACACGUAUUGUAUUGUAGCCAUCGAGGAUAAAAAUAUGGGGUUUAUAUCAUAUUGCUUGAGUUUAUCCCUCUACAUCAUGUCAUCUUACCUAAGGCAUUACUCUAUUCUUAUGAACUUAAUACUCUAGAUGCAUGCUGGAUAGCGGUCGAUGUGUGGAGUAAUAGUAGUAGAUGCAGGCAGGAGUCGGUCUACUUGUCGCGGACGUGAUGCCUAUAUACACGAUCAUGCCUAGAUAUUCUCAUAAUUAUUCUCUUUUCUAUUAAUUGCUCAACAGUAAUUCGUUCACCCACCGUAAUACUUAUGCUAUCUUGAGAGAAGCCACUAGUGAAACCUAUGGCCCCCGGGUCUAUUUUCCAUCAUAUAAGUUUCCAAUCUAUUUUACUUUGUAAUCUUUACUUUCAAUCUAUAUCAUAAAAAUACCAAAAAUAUUUAUCUUAUCAUUAUUAUCUCUAUCAGAUCUCACUCUCGUAAGUGACCGUGAAGGGAUUGACAACCCAUUUAUCGCGUUGGUUGCGAGGUUCUUAUUUGUUUGUGUAGGUAUGAGGGACUUGCGUGCGGCCUCCUACUGGAUUGAUACCUUGGUUCUCAAAAACUGAGGGAAAUACUUAUGCUACUUUGCUGCAUCACCCUUUCCUCUUCAAGGGAAAACCAACGCAGUGCUCAAGAGGUACUCUUUGGACACAAAGUCCUUAAUAAAGAGAUAAGGCUCUAAUACCAAUUGAAAGGAUCGAUAUAGUUGACUAGAGGGGGUGAAUAGGCAACUAAAAAAUUUUAGCUUUUCUUUACCAAUUUAAACUUUGCAUCACAGUAGGUUGUCUAGAUAUGCACCUAGGUGAGCAACCUAUAUGAUGCAACAACAACAGGCACACAAGCUAGCAAUGGAUGCAACACAAUGUAAGCUUGCACAAGUAAAGGUACAGAAUAACCAAGAGUGGAGCCGGUGAAGACGACGAUGUGUUACCGAAGUUCCUUCUCUUUGAAGGGAAGUACGUCUUCGUUGGAGCGGUGUCGAGGCACAAUGCUCCCCAAGAAGCCACUAGGGCCACCGUAUUCUCCUCACGCCCUCACACAAUGCGAGAUGUCGUGAUUCCACUAUUUGUGCUCUUGGAGGUGGCGACCGAACCUUUACAAACAAGGUUGGCGAAAUCUCCACAACUUAAUUGGAGGCUCCCAACGACACCACAAAGCUUCACCACAAUGGAAUAUGGCUCCGCGGUGACCUCAACCGUCUAGGGUGCUCAAACACCCAAGAGUAACAACAUCCGCAAGGGAUUAGUGGGGGAAUCAAAUUUCUCGGGGCCUUCUCAACCAAUCCCUAGAGUAUCAACAAGUUUGAUUGGCUAGGGAGAGAGAUCGGGCAAAAUGGAGCUUAGAGCAACAAUGCAGCUUAAGGAUGGAAGAGGUAGUCAACUCGGAGAAGAAGAUUCCCCUUUUAUGGUGAUAGGACAAAUCCAACCGUUAUCCACUUACUCGGCCCGCGACGUGCGGUACUACCGCACCAGACAUGCGGUACUACCGCAAGGCCCUGUGGUACUACCACGGGGCACAGCGGUACUACUGCAUGCACGGCAGGAGCUAGACUAGCCCUGAUGUGUUGACGCAAAGAGCGGUAGAACCACCGAAGCGGUACUACCGCUCCCCCUUGCGGUACUACCGCAAGGCAGGGUUUGUCUGGGCUGGGAAGGCACGGACAAAUAAAAAUACAUGUGUGACUACUUCCGCUGAGAAACGAUCUAUGCAAAACUUCGACACGGUACUACCGCAAGAAGGCAGCGGUACUACCACGUAGGGAACGGAUGUAAAAAAUUACAUCCGCCCCUACUUCCGCUUGUGCUGCUGUGCCUGGCUAGAGGCCACGGUAUUACCGCGCCCGUGGAGCGGUACUACCGCAAGGGCCUGCGGUACUACCACAACCUCGGCCUAUACUACCGUGGGCCAUUGCGGUACUAUGGCUCCCCUGAGCAGUACUACUGCAUGGCACAGCACAACAAACACUACGAGUCCUUCAUUUUGCAGAGACACGGAUAAACGGUGGUUGCUCCAAAGGUGCAAGGGAAAGGGGGUGCAAAAGGAACAGACGUGAACAUGAUGAUUCCACCCAAACCUUUCCAAUGCGGAUCCCCUCUUAAUAGUACGACUUUCCUACAACUCAAAUCCACCGAAAAGAAAUGUAGGGAAAACUCCGUCUUCACUACACUCCGAGGAGCAACGAAUCGUCUUGUGCCUAAAUCAUGGGAUAUCUGAAAAGCUCAAUGCACACGAUUAGUCCGCAAAUGCAUUGUCAUCAAUCACCAAAACCACUUAGGGAUAAAUAUGCCCUUACACAAUCUGUUGAAGAUUCUGCUCGACCACUGAGCAUGGCCUAUGAUGAAGAGGCACUCAUGGGCACAACAGAUGAGUCAAAAGCUCCAAAUGCCAAGGGCCCAACGGUAGGCCCAUCCAUCGGCAAAAGAAAGAGAUCCGAACAAAAUCCAGACAAGCAAGAAGAAGAUGCUCCGAAGAAAAGGAAAGGUGGAGGCAACCUUUCACAAAUUCAACUCGGUAUAUCUCUCAUGAUAACUAUAACAUUGUUCCAGGAGAAACAACUCAAGAAAAGAGAAGGCGUAUGCAAAAGAUUCGACGUCACUGGGUAUGCAAGUGGUUUAACUAUGAAAUGAUUCAUCCUCAGUAUGCAAAGAACUUUGCCUUCCAUCCUCCGUGGGGUGACUGUCAUGAAAUUUGCCAUGUCCAUGCAAGUGAUCCCCAGGAAAGACCGCCACCUCCACCGAAUGCUCAUGAGUCACCUCUCAAGACUCCCGAAUCCUAUCCCGAUGAACAGGCCAAGCGCUUGAAGAAUGCUGAAAAGAGAGCAAAGAAGGCUGAAAAAGAACGAGCUCACGAAGAAGAAAAUCGUCGACUGCUCAACGAUGAGGUUGAGAAGAAAAAGGCCGAAGGAAAAUCAGAAUGGCACUCAAAGCGUAAACAUGAUCAUAGAUUUGUUGCUUUGAAGAAAAAGAGCGCGUCGAAUAAGAGGUCGGUUGCACCAGAUGAUAAAAAUGAUGAAAGUGAAUCCUCCGAUCAAGAUGAUCCUCCACUCACAAUGGAAGAAGUUGAUGCAACUCUCUCCGAACAAGUGAACAUCACUACUUCUACCGUACUGCCAGAUCUUCGAGCUUGUGCAGUCCCAAUAGCACCUCCGAAGAAGAUCACUUUGAAGAGAAAAACACCUCGUACCACUGUCACUAUGGUAUACCAUGUGGAUACAACCCCUCAUCCUGAGGCGAUUAACAUGAAAGAUUUGGUGGUUGAUGCUCCAAUAAGCACAGCUCAGCCAGGAGAGAAAAUUCCAAAACCAAAGGUGAAGAAAAUCAUAGCUCCUUCUGUCGAGCAAAGUGCUUCACGAGCUGAUGUGCUGAAAGAAAAGGCUGCUAAAUUUGCUCCCACCUUGACUCAACCAUUGGCUUCUAUGCCUCCAACUGAGCAAAAUCCAAUGCAAAUUGCUCCUGUUGCACGGACUGAUGACCACUCUGAUGCCCCUCAUUAUUUCAAUCAAGUGUUCAAUACAGAGCAGCUCGACAAAUUUAUGGAAAACUUAUUCGAUGGAGAAGUAGCAUCUUUACCGAUCCCUCCUGAAGUUGUUACUCAAGCUUCUGAUCCGGUUCAAGAUAUGAGAGAAGAUUAUGUUGAGAUCAAUAACCUCAUGCCCAACUUAAUGAUCUUGAUAACUGUAUGAAAGCUGCAACCUCCAAGUUUGUCAUCAAGCAACUUGAGGAAUCAUACGUGGAUGUCAAUCUUGCCUUAACUAUCAUUCGUAGGCGAUUGAGAUUUCCUUCUGAUCUAGAUCAAAUCGUUUGCAAGAUCUGCCUCAAUCAUCAAUCCCAAGCCACUGGCUACAAUGAUAUAUCUUGUCAAAGGGCAUGUUGAUCAAUCUUCUCAGCCGAAGAAGAAGAAGAAGAAGAAGAAGAAAAUUGCGAAGAAGAAGAAUGCUCCUCCUCCUCCUACGAAAGAAAAGUUACCAGAAGUUGUGCCACAGACGGAAAACUCACCGGAGCCUGCAAUUCCCUCGCCAAUUCAUGAACCAAUUACAGAUGCUCCAACAACGCCAAGGCCAACUGAACCAGUGCCUAUGGCCUCCCCUGUUCAUGAAGCAAAUCCUUCUCAGCCAAAUGUAUCAGAAGAAGGUGAAAUUCCUCAGCCUAAGCAUAAAGAGUCUCCAGCUCGUGUCGAACCAAAUGAAUUGGUUCCUCCCUCUACACCACAAUUGUCUGCCGUAGAACAUCCCCUUCAGUCCCCAGUGCCUGAUAAAGCUUAGUGUCACCUGCAAAAGUGUGUGCUCCCUCUCCACUGCAAAUUUUACUCGAUACCGGGAAAAUAACUUCAGAUGUUGUUCCUUCUAUAGUGAAAUAUGUUUCUGCUCAUCAUUUAGAUUCGUUAGUUUGUGGCGAUGAAGUGAUUUCGGUUGAAGAUGAGCUCAAAUACCCAUAUCCUCAUGAACAAUUGCAUUUAUUCUCUAUAGGCGGUGGAGUCAAAUGGCCACUCUACAAUCGGAACACUCAUCCUCUUUUCUUUCAAGAGAGUCCAUACAACAAGCCUCGCACGUCGGAAUCUCCUCGGUUCUAGACUCAAGAAUAGGCUAUAUAUUACUCUCGGAUCCUAUAUGACAGCCGCAAGAUAUUUCCUCAUGAGUUACCAGACAUCGCUGCUAUGAAGAACAUUGGAUGCUUUAAUCAGGUCUUGCUAGAUAUCGAAGAUUUUGGCCUCACACAUGUCUUUGCAUUUCAGCAUCCAUGGAACAGAGAAAUAAAACUUCAAUUCUAUGCCACUUUGUACAUCUCUGGUGAUGAAUCUGAUUGCACCAAGUGGAUCAUGGAAUGGAUAACCGAGGGGAAACAUAGAAAAUACUCUGCAAUAGACUUUGUCUCACACUUUCAUUUCCCUCAGUUCGAGCAUGGCAAGACUGAAAUUCGAGUACACAACAUUGAUGCCAUUUUCGAUGAAGAUUUCCGUUGCACCAUGGACCAAGAGAAAAUUCGUGACUACAAUGGUUCUCCCUUGCACGAGCAUUUGACUCUUGAUAAAUCAGACUCUAUACCACAUGCUCACUUAUACCAUCGGACCUCUGGCCGGGAUGAAUUCCGACAAUGUUAUAUCUCAUGUUCUUAGAAACACCAUUCAUGCUAUCCCCAAGGAUAUAUCUUUGAUGUCAAAGACAUGUUUCUGCGUAUACUGAUGGACUCUGCUCAACAUCCGAAAACCAUGAAAGUCUUUGCGCCUUGGAUUCAGAAAGUGGUUGAUUAUGCAAUGCACACCGAAUAUUUGGCAAAAGUCAAUCACAAAAGUUGCAUUCCUCCCGUGUGUGAUACGCUGUGAGUCAUGGAAGAUUUUUCUUCGGGCAAAGUACCAGUGUCCAACACUCCAGAUUAUCACAAUACAUUCGAUGGGCCACGGCUCCCUCAGCAUGAUCGACAACCAACUAGUCAACCUCCUUCACACCUUGAAGUGAGUUUGCAUACUCAACAUCUGUUGUUGCAGCAUAUAGCUGAGGAUCGCCGAGAGAAAGAACAUCUGGCUGCCAAACUGAAUUCCAUCAACAAUAGAAUGAAAGUUGUGCACAUGAUUACAGCUAAAAAUAAGAAGCGCCUAUGGAAAUUGCUUCGAAAGUUCUUCUCCAAGAAACAACUUCUUAACUCUGAUCUCAAAGAACUCUAUGAGUAUAUUGAUCAAGGUUUCUCUAAUGAAAAUUUUCAAGAUUGUAUCACUCCACCUCUGACAGCUCGUCAGCCAACAACUGUUUUACUUCGGUUUCAACUGCACAAGUUGCUCGACGAAUCAUAAGCUACCUCACCAACCGAGAAACCAGCUGAAGGAAAUGUGUUGUCUCGAAAGAAUAAACAAGCUGAUCCUAACGUGCCUUCAUCUUCUUAGCCUCAAGCCAGUCUUGAAGGAACAUCUACUGUUGCUGACGAUGAAGAUAUACCAGCCACUUCUGAAUCUAAAACAUCUUCGGCCAGUUCUUCCGGAGACACCUCAGAGUGAAUCAAGUUCACCUCUUUUGCACUCAUGUUCUUCGUCACCUUUUUGACACUAGUUGACAAAAGGGGGAGAAUUACAUCGAGUUUCGAUAGAUUUGCUCUAAUAGAUUUGGUCUUUGUGUUUAUUUGGUCUGAUGUUAUGAGACUUUUGAGCUCUAUGCCUUAAAGACUAUAUGUGCUUUGAUGUAAAACUUAUGUGCUGUAAUAUUAAUAACCCUGCCUGCUGCACUAUUUCUCUCGAAGCAUUUGUUUUGCAGGUGGAAUUAUUAUCAGAAGUUAUGAAUGAUUGCACUAUAGUCUCGAUGGAUUAUAUAUCAUCAAUGCGAAUCAUUGAAAAAUCAUCCACAUACUUCAAUGAAUUGCAGAGAAUUUUAUCUCAUAUUUCUGACCCUGCAUACAUCUAGGGGGAGUAUAUUUCAUCAUUAAGCCAAGUAACACAAAUUCACUCUUGUUCGAUCAAUUCUUUCACUUUUCUAUCUUCACUUUGAUGAUUAUCUGUUUUGUCAACAACCGUCCAAAAAGGGGGAGAUUGUUGGUGUGAUGAUAGGCCCCUUAUGUUUUGGAGUUUGUUGACAUAAACAAUAUGAGACUUAUGUGUUUGCUAGUGCACACAGAGUAACAGGUCCCCGGGAGAUCGAGGAGUUUGAUGCAAACGACGAAGAUAAUCUCCCUACGUUGCAGCAAAGGUUAUCACCGAAGAUGGUGUUAACAAGAGUGACCCCUAAAAAUUGCUAAAGUUCAGGCAAUUAGUUCGGUGUCUGUUCGAAGAAAAUGAGUGUGCUCGAGGAGAAAUGAAGACGAAGUGAAGACGUAGCAUUUAUUUCAUUGUUCUUCUUCUUUCAUUGAGUCAUAGGACCACCGUACUAUUAAGAGGGGUGUAGUGUUCGAACUUUGAUUCUCGGAUGCUAAACCCAAAUCCUAUGAAAGUUGUGAGAGAAAUCUCUUUGUGUUUCGAGUAAAUACUUGCCAGCAGGAGACUGUGAUCUUCUUCGCUGCGAGAGAUUUGUCUCAGACCGAGGAGUUAGCACUACUUGUUCCUCAAGUAAUGUUGUGAAUGUGUCGGUUGGCCAUUGGCUGGACCGCGUGUUCAAAAUGGUCAUUUCCCAUCUAGGAAGGCUGCGGCUAUAAAUAGCCACCCGCGCCGGCUUUGUCCGGUGGCUGCUCUGUUUGAUUCUGAGAAGUUUGUUGAGCAAACCACUCUCUGAGUGAUCUGAGUUUAAAAUCCACCGAGAGAAAACCCCUAGAGCUGAAGAAUUAGAUAGUGGUUCAACAUCACUCGAAUCUAAGUCUAGUGCGCUCCACCUAUUACUCUUGAGAGCUGCAAACUCUCUAGACGAUUAGGUGUCAAUUUCUUCAGAGACCAAGAGUGAUUGUGGUUCUCGAAGAAGAAGUCUGUAAAGGUUCGGAGAUCACCUUCAAGUAUCUACCAUGAGUAAUCGGCAUCGGUUGACGAAUCGAUUGUCGAGGAGAAUAGGGUGGAGAGAGUUUAUCUUCCGUGUUAAGUCACAACCCCUCCAACCAUACGUAGUCCUUGUGCAGAAGGACGAUCUGGUCGACCAAAUUCCCUAUCUCCAUCGAGCACCACUGGUUAUCUCUGUUAUCCGUGUUUCCCGUUCGACAUUUUUUCCAUCAUGUGAUUUGUUUUGAUGUAUGUUUAAUCUCCAUUCGGUACUUAGUUUAGCUCGUUGUAGCUUGUUUUCAUUUGUUUCCGAUGCUGGGUUCUGGGAGUUUUUAGUUUUUCCGAAAAAAAUUAAAACUCCCAUUCACCCUCCCCUCUGGUAGACAUACUUCAUUCCUACAGACUGUGGUGGCAGGGCCUCCACUAGCUACCGUGGCAGGUGACGCAUGUUGCUUGUCGGGCUUGUCAUCACAAUACUUUUGUCAAUUCUAUUCAAGGGCGGUCCUUACUAUCAAUACGUUUGUGUAAAUAUUCUAAAAUGCCAAAAAUUGGAGGCCUUCUCCUCGAUGGCCAACCUGUCUUCUUUCUAUCCUGGGGGUUGGAACAGGGAGAUAUCCCUCAUUGAUUGGUUCAUUGCUCAUAGAGCGUGGUUAAUAAUACAAUCAACAAUCGGUUAUAAGGAGUUGUCAUACAUUUAAUCUAAUAGUCGGUUUGUAUAAUAGCGAGUAUUAAAAAUGUACUACUACUUUACUAAUAGUUGACACAUCUUAUAAUUUCACAAAGUAUCUUGGAUAUAAUUGCUAUAGCCUGCUUUUAUUCUACAACCUGCUUUCCUUCUCUUUCUUCUCUUCUCUUUUCUCCAACUAAGUAAAGAUAUAAUAUUUUACUCCUUAUAGCAUGCUUAUGUCACCUUAUUAUACCCGCUCUUAGCAAAAGGACAGAAUGCUAAAAAUGGAAAGGCGCAAAAACGCUUACAACAUCUACAUCCGGGCACCUCAAAUUCUCCAUAACAACCGGGUGGAUGGCUCGAUCAGUGACCGGUGAAAAAAAGCGAGUCAAACGAGCGCCUCAAACCGGUCUCAAACGCCUAGACUGUCCAGUACCCCCUUAUAUCCAGACCAAAUCUGGGGUAGAUAUGGGGCAACCUGGACGCGGCCGGGCACGUCCAUUACGUCGAAACGAACAGUUCGAUCCCAACAAAGCGUGACCAAAUCCACUUCCGACCUACCACUUUUCACUUGCUCCUCCCUGCCGGACAUCUGCUACCUCCGCCGCUACCCUUGCGCCGGAUUUUGGCCUUCACUGUCGGACUGCAUACUGCACCUAUGAAGAAAAAGGAGUCGGGCAGCCAUCAAUGCUUCUUUUGUGAGGAGAAAAUUCAUAUGACAGUCAAUUACCUUUAGAAAGGGUGCACUGAUGAAUGAUUUUUAUCACUUAAAUGAUGCGGCUAUUUAAACUGAUCGCCUCGCUCCGAGAUGGGAGUAAACACCCUACCCGCCGGGCCAACAUGGACAUUUACACUCCUACCCCCGAGGCAACUCUGUGUGGCUAUUUAAACCGAUCGCCUUGUUCCGAGAUGAGACUAAACACUCUACCCGUCGGGCAAACACGUACAUUUACACUCGUACCCAUGGGGCAACACGGACAACUACAUUGGAAAUCUAGGUAUGGACAACCCCGGACGUUAACACGAGUCGUCUACACUGAAACUGGUGUUUUCAAAAUAGGGUUUGUGAUUGCAAACGAUAAAAUUUAAGACCCGUCCAGUCACUGUGCGGUGCGAGGAUGUUUGAUGGAUCAAAUUUGCUGUCCGCCGCGGCAGCCGUAGAUGCUCUUACGCUGUUGAUCUACUGGGAGAUAUGGUUAGAACGGAAUAGAAGAAUCUUUAGGCUUUAUGUGGUGGAGGAGGUUUGGGGAGGUUUGGGAGGGAAAAUCCCCGUAAGGUUCAAAAUCUUCAGAAAUUCUUGUCAACCCAUUUGAUACAUAAGGAUUGAGCAUGCCAAUCCUUUCUGUUUUUCAUGAAUCUCCCUCAAUCCAUGUGGUACAGAAAAUCCCCUAAGACAUCCAUGAAACUGGACGCUUGCUUUGAUACUGUUGUAGGAGGUUUAAUCAAAUAGAUGAGUUUAUGAGAGGGAAGGAUGAGUAGGAAAUUAAAAGGAUUGGAUGAAAGAGAGGGAUUAACCAAAUUCCCUCGGACGCUCCUCCACUCCGGGGCUGUAAAACCUUUCGUGCAAAACCUUUCGUGUCAAACGAGGCCUUAAGCGCAAGGAGCUUCCUGUAGCGGUGUCACUCAUCCGCAUCCGAGACGAGGCAGCGACCUCCUCUGGCCGGCUGCCCAAUUUCGUUCGACCCAGGCUGUGGCUGCGGCCACUGGCCGACGAGGAGGGCUGAGCAAAGCCCGCUCCAGUCGCAUUUUUGAGUUUUCAUUUUGAGUUAACCUGUACUUGCCCGACGCCGUUCUUCUUCAAUGAAAUCACAGCAGUUCUCCCGUUUCUUUGAAAAGAAAUACUCGGAUGUAUUCGAAGGUGCGUACGAGUUCUGCUGCGUUUGCCAGAGUUUCUAGCUUCACCGUGCCACUACAUGUGGACGCCCACAGUACAACACAAGAACAGAGUUUCCAUGCUGCGGGAGCUCCGCAAUGGCAGAUUGGUCGACGGAAUUAGAGGUGCAUUCGACUUCAACACGGAAGUAAAAUCGAAGUUCCAAAAGCAGUUAAGAGAGAACUGUGACUCGCUCGUUCAAAUCAGCACAGAAGUUGAUCACAGCAGUACAUCACACUUUGGACUCGAUGCUUGCAUUACAUGACUAUAACUCUGGACACGGACGUUGAACACGCACCCAAAUCCAUCCACACGAGCAAAAGGCACAAAAGAGCGAGUUGAAACUCACAGCAGCGAACUGAACCUGAACCUUAAUCUCAAGCAGCCUAGCCGGAGAUCUGGAUGGACUUAACCUCGGGCUUCUUGGCCCCCUCCUUGGGCACGGUGACGGUGAGCACGCCGUUGUCCAUGGUCGCCUUGAUCUGGUCCGCCUUGGCGUCCUCCGGGAGCCUGAACCGGCGCAGGAACUUGCCGCUGCUGCGCUCCACGCGGUGCCAGGUGUCAGUCUUCUCCUCCUGCUCCUUGUUCCGCUCGCCGCUGAUCUGGAGCACGUUGCCGUCCUCCACCUCCACCUUCACUUCCUCCUUCUUCAGCCCCGGCACGUCCGCCUUGAACACGUGCGCCUCGGGCGUCUCCUUCCAGUCGAUCCGCGCGCCGGCGAAGGCCGCGGUCUCGGAGCUGAUGCGCGGGAACGAGGGGAAGAGGCUGCUGCUGCCGCCGGAGCCGAAGGGGAAGCCGUCGAAGGGGUCCCAGAGGUCAGGGGAGAAGGGGUCGAAGGCGUUGCCGCGGGGAAUCAGCGACAUGGCUGCUCGAUUUGGGCGAGGACGAACUGCGAUUAGGAAGCUCUCAAACUCAGGGGAUGGAUGCUUUUCUUUU